rnacentral:lncRNA from 1 species
GGAUUCGAAGCCGGUGGUGCUGCCGGGAGUGGCAACGUCGGGCUGCCCCGUGGACGCGCGGAGGAGCGCGUGCCAGAGCAGCCAUACCUCCUGCCGCAACGUCUCCGGCAACUACCGCAGCGGCUACGUGUGCCGGUGCCUGGACGGUUACCAGGGCAACCCAUACCUUGCCGGCGGAUGCCAGGACGUCGACGAGUGCAAGCUGCCGGGCAUGUGCUUCGGCAAGUGCACCAACACGGCCGGAGGGCACCUAUGCCGGUGCCCGCGUGGCGCCCAUGGCGACCCACGCAUAAGAAAUGGCUGCAUCAGAUCUUCUCUAGGUGAGCACAAAACAAUAAAAUUGCACGUCAGAGAUUGCAUGGGUUCAUGCUCUGUUUUGUAUCUCAGAGAUGCUUCCUUAACAACAAAGACGCAUUGUUUGUGCAUAUUCUACAUGUUUAAGUGUCGGCAUUGGAGUUGGCAGCGGAGCCGCCCUUCUAAUCAUGGUCCUUGGUGCUAUGUUCGUGACCCGAAAGAUGAAGCAACGGAGGGCAAAAAUGCUCAAGAAGAAAUUCUUCAAGCAAAAUUGAGGGCAUCUAUUGCAACAACUGCUGUCUCAGAAGGCGGACAUCGCCGAGAGGAUGAUCAUCCCCUUGGCGGAGCUACAAGAGGCCACAAACAAUUUCGACAAAGCUCGCGAGAUCGGUGGAGGAGGGCAUGGCACGGUCUACAAAGGGAUCAUGUCGGACCUGCACGUCGUGGCGAUCAAGAAGUCCAAGGUCGCGAUCCAGAGGGAGAUCGACGAGUUCAUAAAUGAGGUAGCCAUCCUCUCACAGAUCAACCAUCGAAACGUGGUGAAACUCUUCGGGUGUUGCCUUGAGACGGAGGUGCCGUUGCUGGUGUACGAGUUCAUCUUCAAUGGGACCCUUUACCAUCAUCUUCACGUCCAAAAACCCGCGCCAUCCCUGGCAUGGGAAGAUCGGGUAAGGAUCGCAACCGAAACCGCGAGAGCUCUCGCCUACCUUCACUCAGCCGUGUCGUUCCCUAUAGUCCACAGGGAUACCAAGUCCCAAAACAUUCUGUUAGAUGGCACUCUUAUAACAAAGGUGUCAGACUUUGGAGCUUCGAGGUGCAUUCCGGUCGAUCAAACAAAGACCGCAACCGCUAUCCAAGGGACAUUUGGGUACUUAGACCCCUUGUAUUUCUACUCGGGAUAGCUCACGGAGAAGAGCGACGUUUACAGCUUCGGUGUCCUUCUCAUGGAGCUUUUGACAAGGAAAAAAACAUGCUCAUAUCGGUCAUCGGAGGAGGAAAACCUUGUCGCAUAUUUCACCGCAUCGCUAGCAGCAGGCAAGCUGGUUCGCAUGCUAGAUCCUCAGGUCGUUGAAGAAGGCGGUAAGGAGGUUGAAGAGGUGACUGUGCUGGCGGUGGCAUGUGUGAGGAAUGAAGGAGACCACCGUCCAACCAUGAGGCAAGUGGAGUUUGACACUUUGGUUAUCGCGGUGGCAUGUGCUGUAACGUCUGAACCUUAUGAUGUUUGUCUGUGGCAACUACUUUGGUUAUCGCCGAGAGCUGUUAAAGAGUCUGCUUGCUAUGCUUUAGCUUUGGCUUAAUAAAGUUGGGGCAGAGGGGAACCCUUUCAUUUCAAAAAAAGAGAGCAGGGAAAUUUAAUUUGGUCCUGUCUCGUUGUGGUUGUCGUCCGCAGCGGAGGCUGGGGAAGCAGAUUCAGGUUGGGUUCGUUGGACAGUGAACAGAUGGUAAAAGAAAAAAGAAAAUAGAAAAUAAGAUAACGGGCAAAAUACCAAAUUCCGACCUGCCGGAUUCGAACCAGCGACCUAAGGAUUUUUCUGCAACACUACAGUCCUCCGCUCUACCAACUGAGCUAAGGUCGGUUUGUGCUUAAUAUUUAAUAAUUCGCUCUAAUCUAGAAAAGAAGCUCCGACAAGGAUUCGAUAGUACAUCAGAUGCACGAUCACUAACCAACAGUACCUUUUUUUCCUAAUCAACAGCACUUGAGGAAAACAAUAGUGAUAUUCUUCAAAUCGCCAGACUGAUUUGUUGUCUCCCAUCCACUGCUUCGCUCAUGCUACCCGUGUCCCACUCCCACGUACUUGUCCGUGGCUUAUCCAAUCUCAACCACAUACCCCGCACCACGUUCGGUAUUUCCAGAAAAAUAUUCACCUCCCACACGUCCUUACCUUGUCCUCUCCUUUUCACCUCGCCGUCAUUGUAUGUCGUGCUUGUUGCCGCCAUUUCUCAACUAGACAAGGUUGCUAGCAGCGGGGGAGAGCCUUCUAGUAUAGUGCAAUGGCGAGUGAGUUAUGUUUCCACUCAAGCCACCUGGGUUCAAACCUUCACAUCUUUUUUUUUGGGAAACACUUCCCAUCAGUAGUCUGAUGGAAACAAAUCGUCAGUCCAAUCCUGCGACGUCAAUUUCUUAUCUCAUCCUACGGCUAAGAUUUCAGUCAAAUCCCAUUCUAAAAGCCCGUCCUCCACGCACUUAUCUCCCCUAAUCCCUCCACCCGCUAGGGUAGUUGCCUCCUUCCCCAAUUAAUUGACGCUAGCUAGCUACGGCUUGGUCUUUGCUGCUCUGAAACCACCGUGCGGCGCGAUUCAUGAUCCACCACGUCGGCCGACUCUUCUACCCUCCGGUUCCUCCAACUCGAUUGGCUGACGUGUGGCCAUCACCCACACCUCGACUGAUGCUUCUUCAGUUUCACUACGCCGGGCCGCAACCGCCUUGACAGAUGGUCGUGGUGCGGGUGCCCAACAGGGGAUUUCCUCAUCGGGUUGCAGAAGGUGUAUUUUCGUUCAGAGUCCCUUUUAUCAACAACAAUGACAAAACAUGCAGCCGCUUGCAUGAAGCGACUCAUAGCUUAUCCCCACGUCUUAGGUCCUAAACUCCUAAUUCAUCUCCUUUUUGUGUGGUUUAUUCAUAACGAAUGGGUUUCAUAAUCAAGAAUUUAUGCAUCUGCAUCUUGGUGCCAAAUAUGCUAAUUUGUGAUUUGAACUAUGCUCUCCCUUGGUCUCACAUGUGUUGUGAUAGCAUCACUUGUUUGCUUCAGAGAUCCAUGCUUCCUAUGUAUGCUUUCACUCUAUUUGGAUCUGGGAAAGAGUACCAGUGUCAACCACAACCACGAGCACUAAUAAGCCAGCAAACAGACAUGCGUUUGGCAGCUCCUACUCCAUCUUGUCAUCAGCGGCGGCGGCAACAUGCAUUUGGCUUCUCCGACUCCAUCUUGUCAUCAGCGGCGGCGGGAACGACACUCCUAGUCGUCUGAUCAGCGUUUCAUCGGGUGUGGUCGAGGCAAGUAGUGCGAUGGAAGGCGGCACUGUCUUCUGCCUCCACCAGACCAACGGCCUCCUCGGCACGAUGACGAUCGAGUGUUGAAGCAAUAUUGGUAAAGAUAGGAAGCAAAUAACAUGAAUAUGUGCAUGUAUAUUCAUUUACUGUUGAAGCGGGAAAUGAAAGUAAUGGAACAUAGUCUGUUUAUUUUACUUUUUGAGACCCAAGCACCAAAUGAUUACUUAAGAAGCCUCACAAAAUUAUGUAGGAAGCAAAUAAAAUGCUAGGGCAGAAAUUAGCUGCCACGGAAAAAAAAUCAUAUACGACACUCAUUGAAGCAUGGUUCUUAUAGUAUAAUGGAAAUGAAUAGUACAGCAAAGAAGCAUAAUUAGAAGGAGUCCAUUUUAAAUACAUUCGAAGCAAUUCUCUACUCGGCAGAACAAUAUUGUGAGGUUUUGGAAACAAGUUAUACCAUUGCAUUAGCACAAUAUAUUUUGUUAAACUGAAGCAAAUUUCAAUAGCAAAUGAAGCAAAUUUUCCUAUCAUCAAAAACAUAGAAUUGCUGCUUUGAAAAAAAGAAGAAGUUAAUUUCAUUUAAAAAAAUUAACCUACUAAAGUUUCUAUUACAAUGGAAGCAAAUUCUUCUAUCCACGGAAGCAUAACUUUUUGUGUUGGAAGCAAACAAUUACGUGCCAAAUCAAUUAUGAAAGAAAAACUCAAAGCAGGGUUUCUAUUAAAAUGGAAGCAAAUUCUUCUAUCCACGGAAGCAUAAUUUGUUGUGUUGGAAGCAAACCAUUACAUGCCAAAUCAAUUAUGAAAGAAAAACUCGAAGCAGUAAGGGACGUAGAUGGAGGACAAAGGGUAUGGUAGAUCACAACGUGAUUUAAGGAAGCAGUUACACGGAAACAACAUUAGUGAAGAUCCAUGCAUGCAUCAUGCAUGGAUGCUAACAACCGGAGUCCACGAUUUACAGGCAGUCCGAUGCAUGUGUGGGCAGUUAUGGAUGCACUCAAUUAACGAAGUGAAUCACCGUAACUCACGCGGGCCUAAAACUACGGGGGUGUUUGGUUUUAGGGAUUUUUUUGUGUUGGGACUAGAAAAAGUCCCUAACAAACAAACAGGAUGGGACUUUUUUAAGACUUUUUGCUAAAAGUCCUUAGAAACACCUCCUUGAGAGUUUUUUCAAAAAUUCCUAGGGACUAGAAAAAGUCCUAGGACUAGAGAACCAAACGCCACCUACAUCAGACGACUACCAUGCUUUCGAUCGAACGGUUAACCAUUAGUCUGAUGAAAACUAAACAUCAGUAGUCUGAUGCCUAGUGAUGCCUUUUUUUUAACUGUCAAAUCUCCACAUCUACGUAACAAGGAAAGUUAAGGGAGGGAACUUUCCCCUUAGCCUCAUUUUGUUAGGCUGCUGGCAGCGUGUUAGGCGGAGCUUGUCGCUGCAACGCGACCCGCGUGGCUUUUCCCCCUAUGUGGUGCAAGGUGGAUUGCUACAAGUAGAGCAUGGCUAACCCCAAUGAUGUCUGACGAUGUUCGCAACUUGGGGUUGUGGAUAUGCAUGGAUGAGCCACCGCCGACCAUCACCGUCAGCCUCCCUGUUGUAAUUGCAACGGUGGAAUUGCAAACGGUGGCGACAAAUCAUGAUGGCACUGCUGCGACAUGUGUCAGGAAUGGCGGCAGCAUUUCUGGAACAUCACUUUCAAUGCAAAAUUUGUUGUAACAUCACCUAUGUUGCAAAAGUUUCCUCCGCAACAUCAUCUAUGUUACAAAAAUGUGAAUACGAAAAAAAUUCUACAAAAAAACCUCUGUUGCAAAAUUUUCUGCAACAAGAGACAUUGUUGCAAAGAUUUCUGCAACAACAACUCUGUUGCAGUAAGGGAAGAUGUCGCAUGGCCACGCGAUGACAUCAUAUUCGACAGAUCGCGACUCGGCCGAUCUUUUACGCGUAGCAUGCUCCUUGUUACCUCACAAUCUCAAAUAGAUGUAUGUUGCUAUCCUUGUGUAAGAUCACUAAAAUCGAGGAAACAAUUGGAGUGUGAUCUACAACAAAGUAACACAUUCCAUGCCCCAUGUACUAUCUUGUAGAGAACUUCAAGCAACGUAAAAUGUUUGUAUACAUGUUCAAGUGCAUGAUGAUGCGGCACACCCAAGAGCAUGAGUGACGAGGAUGUGUCGAAGGGAUGGGAGGAAGCAGUCUCCUACCAUGUAAGAUGGUGUGAAAGUCGGGCGUGAUAGUCUGGUCGCUCAGGAUCCCAAGCUGUUGGUGCUUGCUGGCACGCCUGACGGCUCGGUCCUUGAGGAAGACUGGGUUGGCGCGUCUGGAAGCCUCGGGAUUCUUGCGGAUCUGGUGGAUCCCAACGACAUGUAGAAUUGCGACGUGCAUGCACAAGGACGACAUUUUUUGGUUGUACUAGUAAGCGUGCACGUGCAACGCACGCCUCAAUCAAACCAUGUCAAAUUCAUGCGGGUACAAAAAUUCGAAUUCAUACUCUAGGAUGACCCACGCCUCAAUCAAACCAUGUCAAUUUCAUGCGGGUAUAAAAUUUUGAAUUCAUACUCUAGGAUGACCCAUUCUCUAUAAACAAAAGAAGAAGUACAAACCCAUCAAUUAUCUUUUGACGAUACCAAGAGACCACAUAAAUCAUAACUGUACAAAAAAUGUCACAAAUCAAUGGCAAUCAACUGGGUGGACAACUUCUCCACAAAGAAUGUAAGGGCGUAGCCUAUUUAGUCUAUUCUUUAUUAAAAAUGGAAUCAAAUAUCCUAUAAAGAUUUCAGAAUGUUUAUUUUCUUGGUGAAAAAUCGAAGGAACACAUAAACAUUGUCCAAGUGAUGUCAAUGCAAAAUUGGAACAAAGAUACUCAAAAAAUAGCAGUCUUGGCAGAACUGAAUUAGUUUUCUUCUUGGAUUCGGGCUACUUGUUCAAAAUUUGAAGUUGCGGUAAUGCCACCCAAGGGAGUCAUAGCAGGCCUCGCCUGCAGGUACGAAGAGUCAGAAUUUCUUUGCCCCAUUCUUAGUUUAUCUCAGCUUCUCAUGGAGUGAAACUAUAGUUCAGACAGACAAUAUCUAUUGUGUAUAUAGUUGCAGAAUAUCUAGAAGAUAAAAAUAGAUCAAUAAAGCGUUAGAUUCAUGGUAAGGAAAUGGAGAGAGGGGAUUUAACAUUUUCUCUUUGACAUGGAUGGCAUGCAAGCAACCCUUUCUCUACCAUAUGCUUAGUUCUGACGACAUUAAACAUGUUGUCGUGCUUCAACAUCUUAGCAGUGCAGAAAGGCUGCUAUUAUAGAACGGGAAACUGUACAAUAUAAGGAAAUUGGGCAUGUGCAGAUCAAGGGCUAUAAUAAUUAUUGUUUGGCAAAGUUAAACAAGACCGGAAAAAGAAUCCACACAAAAUUUAGGAUGACCAAAGACACUCAAAGAACUUCCUAACUAAGAUGAAUAUACACUCAGUACAAGAAAUCAUACUAAAUUAACACCGGAUACAUAAGUUUAAUGGCUAAAAUGAAGGAAAUGUGUAAUGCAUGGCGCUUUUAGUUAUUGAUGUGCAAAUCCAACAGUAAGCAUAAUCUGAUGGAAGACACAAAGAUUCAAAGUUAUCUGCUGAUAUAAAAUGUGCUGAAAUAUAUGUACAGAAGACGCAAAUAUUCAAAGUUAUCAAUUGAGAUUGUCAAUGACCCAGGUCUGUCCCAGGUCAUUUACAAUCUCAAACGAUGAAAGCUUGCUUUCUGCAAGUUCAACAAAGGUUCUAAUUUACUACUAUUCACUCAAAGAUCUGUUGUCUACUGAUCUCUCAAUCUUAUGGCUGAGAUUAACAUAAUUGUAGAAAGCAACAUCAAUUUAAAUUUUAGUCUGCAUUGGAAACCACCAAAUAGUUUCCAGCACGCAAAGUUCUUGCCUAGCCCGAGCUAUGCGGUACCUCCUAUCUAGACGGUUGGCUGUCCUCGUGAUAUGUGCAGGUCUGGUGUCAUUAGGAGGAGUUGUCCUGUCCAAACAGUAAUUCAAAGCAGCUGGUCCUGCAUGCGGUUCCUAGGCACAGUAGCUGGUCGCCUUUGUCGUCUCACAUGCACAUGCACCCUGUCCCUGCUGAGUCUUGUUUGCCAGCGAUUAAAAAAUGAAGGAACAGUGUGCCCUGCUGCAGCUGACCAGAGAGAGAGAGAAAAUGGAUGCUACUUGGUGCUAGCGGACAUGUGAGAGAGACAGAGAAGCUGUGAGAGAAAUGGAGAAGAGGAAAAAUGGGAUAGCAGAAAUGGAUAAGAGGGAGAGGGAACAGAAAUGGGAGACUGCGAGAGGAAGGAUAAAGGAAAAAUGUGUGAAGAUUGAACAAUCAUUUUGCUGUGUGUGUGAGAGAGGGGAGAUAGUCUCUCCACUUUUCUGAACAAAACUGAAAAGGUGAUGCACGCGCGCGGGGUGUGGGGGGUGUGGGGUAGAGUUUGAACAUUUAGUCCCGGUUUGGGACACGAACCGGGACUAAAGGGUGCGAUGCCCUUUAGUCCCGGUUCGUAUCUCAAACCGAGACUAAACCGGGACUAAUGCCUUCCCGAGGCCUUAGCCGCUCGAACCAGGACUAAUGCCUUCCCGACGCCUUAGCCGGUCAAAGGGACUAAUUAAGGACAGUAUAACCGCACCUAAUCCCUACCCUCACAGCGAUUUGCAUUUUCGGCCGUUCGAUUUAGCGAUUUGGGCUCCGUGGCCGUCUGAUCUCCUUCCUAGCCCUCUCACGCUAUGUGCCUUUUCCUUUGUUGGAUCACAUGAUCUGGUCUUCCUUUGCCGUCUGAUUUGUAACUCGCCGAGGGAAGCUAUUCCCGUAGAAAAAUCCGAGCAUUCUGGUUAAUCGGGCCCGGCAGCCGAAUCAAGCCCAUGUAUAGUACAAUCUAGCAUUUCCACUGUACGAGAGCCCAUCGCCCCCACCCUUCCCAAUGGGAGCGAGUGUAACCUAGGUCGGCCGCCGUCGAGAGAGGGCGCACCUUAGCCGGCGGCACAACCAUAUCCUCCUCGAUCCUUCCCACCAUCCUUGCCUCCACGCCGCUACCUCCUCACCUCCGUGUUUUGAUGCUCUGUGCAGGUCGAGGGGGAGAGGAAGACGAGAGGAUGAAGGGACGGCGAAUCGAUCUGAAAUAAGGUGGAUGUGUUUCCAUGUCAAAGGCGACCCAAGAGCAAGGUCAGCUGUCGUGGAUGAAGGAGUCGUCAUGGCCAAGGCAACAGAGACGAGCCGUCGAGGCGUGGUGCUGGGAUGCACGCUCCUAUGUAGGGACAUCGUCGUUGUCACGCCCAAUAUGCGAUACUAUCCUAAAGAGACUCGAAGGUCCCACCAAGGAUUGAACCGCAUAUUGAAAUGCUUUUGCAAGGUGGAUAUCAUUACAUCAACAUUACAUAAUAGAUGGGGAUACAUACAAGAGGCAUACAAUGCCACACGAAUACAACAUCACAAAACAUAAGAGCAUCAUCCGACUAUGGAUGAAACACAAACAUAAACUCAAACGACAUCCACCCUGCUAGCCUAGGUUGCCGACCUGGAACCUAUCCCCUGAUCGAAGAAGAAUCAGAAGAAGAACUCCAAGACAAGCAAACAUCGCUCUCGCGUCAUGAUCAUCGCACAACCUAUACCUGCAACUGUUGUUGUAUUAAUCUGCGAGCCACGAGGACUCAGCAAUCCCAUUACCAUGGGUAUCAAGACUAGCAAAGCUUAAUGGGAAAGGAAGGAGUAAAGUGGUGAGGUUGCAGCAGCGACUAAGCAUGAUAUGGUAGCUAACAUACGCAAAUAAGAGCGAGAAGAGAGCAAACGGAACGGUCGUGAAGCUAGCAAUGAUCAAGAGUGAUCCUGAACUCCUACUUACGUCAAACAUAACCCAAAACCGUGUUCACUUCCCGGACUCCACCGAAAAGAGACCAUCACGGCUACACACACGGUUGAUGCGUUUUAAUUCGGAUCUGGUGUCAAGUUAUCUACAACCGGACAUUAACAAAUUCCCAUCUACCCAUAACCGCGGGCACGGCUUUCGAAAGUUUAAACGCUGCAGGGGUGUCCCAACUUAGCCCAUGAUAAGCUCUCGCGAUCAACGAAGGAUAUACCUUCUCCCAGGAAGACCCGAUCAGACUCGGAAUCCCGGUUUACAAGACAUUUCGACAAUGGUAAAAUAAGACCAGCAAAUCCGCCCGAUGCGCCGACAAUCCCGAUAGGAGCUGCACAUAUCUCGUUCUCAGGGCAACACCGAAUAAGUCAAGCUACGAGUAAAACCACACUUCGAGUUUCCCCGAGGUGGCCCCGCAGGCUGCUCGGUUCGGACCAACACUUAGACAAGCACUGGCCCGAGGGGGCUAAAAUAAAGAUGACCCUUGGAUUAAUUACUCCCAAGGGAAAUAUAGGUGGUGGUGAGGCAAAUGGUAAAACCAAUGUUGGGCCUUGCUGGAGGAUUUUAUUCAAAACGAACUGUCAAGGGGGUCCCAUAAAUCACCCAACCGCGUAAGGAACGCAAAAUCCAGGAACAUAACACCGGUAUGACGGAAACUAGGGCGGCAAGAGUCGAACAAAACACCAGGCAUAAGGCCGAGCCUUCCACCCUUUACUAAGUAUAUAGAUGCAUUAAUAAUAUAAGAGAUAUUGUGAUAUCCCAAUAUAAUCCUGUCCACCAUGGUGCAAUCUUCAACUUCACCUGCAACUAACAACGCUAUAAGAGGGGCUGAGCAGAAGCGGUAACAUAGCCAAGCAAUGGUUUGCUAGGAAGGGUGAAAAUGUUAGAGGCUGACAUGGCAAUUUGGGAGGCUUGAAGAGCAAAAGAUAGGUAGCGCAGCAAAGCGAUAGAAUGAAGCAACUAGCAUAACAAUGAUAAUAGUGAGAUCCAGGGUAGCGGUCAUCUUGCCUGAAAUCCCGCUAGGAAGAAGGACGAGUCCAUGAAGAAGAUGAAGCCACGAAGACGAACCAAGCGUAGACGAACGAAUCCUCACGAUCGCAACGAAACAGGAACUAUCGAGAGAAGCACACAACAUGGUAAACACACCACACAUGAACAUGACAUGAUGCACAAACAAGUAUGAUGCAAGACAAAGCUAGAAGAGGCUACUCAUGGCAAGAGAUGAUGCAAACAAGAGGAACACAUCAAGGCAAGUUUAAAUGAGGCCGGGAACGACAUAUAACAAUUUCGGUAAGUCCUCAUAUGCAAGUUUCGAAAUUGGUCCAGAUCUGAACAAACCUUAUGUUCAAGUUGUUAAACAGCAAGUUAAGAUGCACAGAGAUGAUCUACACGAAAUUCUAGUCAAAUUACAUAUAAAGUUCAUUUAGUUCGGAGCUACGGCCUAAAAGAUAUGAGCAAAACAAGUUAAACAUGGCAUAGAUGCAAAAUGCAUACAAACAUCAAGCAAACGCCUCAAAACAAGGAUACAACAUGAUAAUAUGAAACUACAUGCAAAAUCAAGCAAGUUUCAUAUAGAGCACCCUCAAAACGGAGCAACUGUUCAACACACAUGAAACAAGUUAUAGCAACAAUCUGUCCAAAACAGCAACUAGGCAUAUUGCAAGCAUCAAAACAACAUGCUACAGCACCCCAACAUGAGAAUAAAAGGCAUCGAUAUGAUGUACAAGUAAAUCAUAACAAAACAUGAACACUGAGCUAUCUCCAGAAAUCACUAGAACAUGCUCCAAAACACAUGACAAGAUUGCAAAUAAUAUCAGUUUCAGACUUGGCAGACAAUAACAUCAGGUUGCAAUGUUUAGAGCCAUCAAACAACAUGUUACAUGAACUUAUCAUGGCAAACAAAGGCAUGGAAUGAAUCUACUAAUUGCAUAGAACAAAAGUCCUUUACUGACCAUGAGCCAAAAAGGAUCAGAAAAUAUGAUGGCACCCAUGUAAACAUGACAAGUUAUAUGACAGAUUCAUACAUGGCAGGAACAACAAUAAGUAGGCAUGUUGGUGAGCUUGUACCACUCACCACAGAGCAAUAGAUGGCAAGACAAGGUAACCAACAAUAAGAAGACAUGUGUAUGAAGCUAAUCAUGGCAAGAGCAAGUUCAUAGGGUGCAUGGAUCACUAGCAAAGCGCAUGGAAAAACUGAACUUAAUGUUAACAGGCUGACAACAAUAUUAUUUAGCAAGUUUGGAGCAAGAUAACAACAAUCUACAGCAUGCCAUAAAUGCAACCAGGGGCAUGGAUGGAUAUAGAAUGACAUGUAUAACAAAACAUCCUUAGUGAACAUCUCCAGAUUAUGCAUAGAAUGACUUAUAGCAGCAGGUUUACAUAGCAUCACGAAAUAACAGAUUCAGCCUAGCAAAACAGUAACAGCAAGUACACUACUUCACGAGCUCGAUUCACUCACCACAAGUCAUUUCAUGACAAUAUAAGCAUAACAUCAGCAAUAAGACAUGUUUAUGAAACUAACCAAUGCAAGAACAAAUUCAUAGGAAGCAAGGACCAACUAUAACAACCUUGGCAAAAUUGAAUAACAUGUAAACAAUCUGCCAGGAAACAUUUUAUAGCAAAAGUAGAGCAAGCAAAUUACAUGCUAGGCUACUCCAUAAUUGCAAACAGGGGCAUGAAUGGAUAGGGCAUAACCAUAUGUUCAAAUCAUACUUACCGAAGUAUCUCAAAAUAUGCUUGGAUCUCUCUGUACCAUCAAGUUUACAUGGCAUAAAAAUAACAGCAGAACAGGGACUGAAAUCAGCAACAUCACGAAGCCUAGUUUGCAUGCUUGUUCUAGUCACCAAAUUGAUCACAAAACUACAUGGCAUACACCCCUGUAAAGAUGGAAUGAUGUAGCACAAAACACAUGUAGACAUCAACCUCAUAGGAUGUACAUAUCAAAUGCAACAAAAAUGACAAAUCACCAAGUUAUAACAGUUUCAGCAGAUUAACAUCAUAUGGCACUCUUGCAACGAUGAUUCAGGCAUCAAGAUGAGCUCAAAUGAACAUGGUGCAAUGGAAUGAAAUGUAGAGCAUCUCAUGAAGAACAUUUUGACAUAUUACACGCACAAAACGGAGCAGUAUGCAUGGAGUUAUGAUGCGAUGAACAGGAGACCAAAAUGCAAAAAUAUUCGGGACUUAGACGAAAAUUUUGGAGGUCAACCUUGGAUCCAGAUCUGGGCGCGGUUGACGAGGACGGCCGGGGUCAUCACCGGAGCACAACGGCGGCGGAGGCGCGAGGCCGGAUGGCGGCGCGGGCACGGCGGUUGGAGGAGACGCGGCGGCGGGGUCGGCGAGGGGCCGGGCGGCGCCCAGGAGNNNNNNNNNNNNNNNNNNNNNNNNNNNNNNNNNNNNNNNNNNNNNNNNNNNNNNNNNNNNNNNNNNNNNNNNNNNNNNNNNNNNNNNNNNNNNNNNNNNNNNNNNNNNNNNNNNNNNNNNNNNNNNNNNNNNNNNNNNNNNNNNNNNNNNNNNNNNNNNNNNNNNNNNNNNNNNNNNNNNNNNNNNNNNNNNNNNNNNNNNNNNNNNNNNNNNNNNNNNNNNNNNNNNNNNNNNNNNNNNNNNNNNNNNNNNNNNNNNNNNNNNNNNNNNNNNNNNNNNNNNNNNNNNNNNNNNNNNNNNNNNNNNNNNNNNNNNNNNNNNNNNNNNNNNNNNNNNNNNNNNNNNNNNNNNNNNNNNNNNNNNNNNNNNNNNNNNNNNNNNNNNNNNNNNNNNNNNNNNNNNNNNNNNNNNNNNNNNNNNNNNNNNNNNNNNNNNNNNNNNNNNNNNNNNNNNNNNNNNNNNNNNNNNNNNNNNNNNNNNNNNNNNNNNNNNNNNNNNNNNNNNNNNNNNNNNNNNNNNNNNNNNNNNNNNNNNNNNNNNNNNNNNNNNNNNNNNNNNNNNNNNNNNNNNNNNNNNNGCCGGCGCGGUGAGGAGGCGGCGGCGACACGUGGCGCGCGUCCAUUGGCUGCGGGCGGCGGCGGCGACACGUGGCGCGGGUCCAUUGGCUACGGGCGACGGCGCUGGGUGACGGGCGGACAUGUCCGGACGGCGGCUGGAUGCGUCCGGCGGCGCGGGGAAGAGAAGGCUAGGGUUUGACUGCGAAAAUGGACGGGGGAUGCCUUUUUAUAGGUAGAAGGAGCUAGGAGAGUCCAAAUGAGGAGCGGUUUUCGCCAACACGAUCGUGAUCGAACGACGAGAGCAUGGAGGGGAGUUUGCUGGGUUUUGGGCCACUUUGGAGGGGGUGCUGGGCUGCAAGAGAAAAGAGGGUUUCGGGCUACGCGGUUAACCGUUGGAGUAUCAAACAACCUCCAAAUGACACGAAACUUGACAGGCGGUCUAUCAGUGUUAUACCAAGGCCGCUUGUCAAACCUCGGGCCAUCCUGAUAAAGUUUAACACCCGCUCACGAAAACAAGGUCUGAGAGGGCGACGGGCACGCGGGAGAGGUCUGGACUCCGAACGGACAACGGAGAGAACCGGGAGAACCCGAAUGGAUGCAAGUUUUGAAAAACAUGCGGAUGAAAUGCAGAUGAUGACAUGGCAAAGUGCAACACGCAAGCAAAUGACAUGGCAACAACGACGAAUAACUGGGAGACACCUGGCGCAUCGAAUCCGGGCGUUACAGUCGUGAGGACUGUUCAAAAGAUGAGCGUCGAGUCAGAUGUUCCGGUGCAUCUAGCCAUGACCUGUUGGAGAUCCUCGAUGGCCGCAUGUGGUCUUGGACGCUGCCGACUUCCUGGCGCACCUCUGGUCUUUUGAGCAACGUCGCGUGGGGUAUCUCAGGCAUAGUGGAGCGGACGUAUGUGCAAGCGGCUAGCUCCCGACGGAGAGGUUGCAAGGUUAAGUCAUUCUGGUUACGUACAUAGGGAUAUUUGAUGUGCAUAUGUAUGUCCUUGACCUGCACAGAUUACAAUGUUAUUAGUAUGAAUUCUUUGAAUACCCCAAUUUUUGAUGAGAAUAUUUAUUAUGAUGAAAGCAUGCCUCCUAUUUGUGAUGAUUAUUGUGAUGAUACGUAUGCUAUAAAGAAUAAUGAUAACCAUGAAACUUGUCAUCAUGAUUUUAGUUUUCAAUUGGAUUAUGCCUCACAUGAUAGUUAUUUUGUUGAGUUUGCUCCCACUACUAUUGAUGAGAAUAAAUUUGCUUAUGUGGAGUGUAGUAAACUUUCUAUGCAAGUAGAUCAUGAAAAGAAUGCUUUAUGUGCUGGUUAUAUUGUUGAAUUCAUUCAUGAUGCUACUGAAAAUUAUUAUGAGGGAGGAACACAUGCUUGUAAGAAUUGCAAUAAUAUCAAGUUUCCUCUCUAUGUGCUUAAAAUUUUAAAGUUAUGCUUGUUUUGCCUUCCUAUGCUAGUUGAUUAUUGUUCCCAUAAGUUGUUUGCCCACAAAAUCCCUAUGCAUAGGAAGUGGGUUAGGCUUAAAUGUGCUAGUCAUAUUCUUCAUGAUGCUCUUUUUAUGUUUCAGUUCUUAUCUUUUAUGUGAGCAUCAUUGAAAUCAUCAUGCCUAGCUAGGGGUGCUAAACGACAUCGUUUGUUGGGAGGCAACCCAAUGUUAUUUUUGUUCCUUGCUUUUGAUCCUGUUUAGUAAUAAAUAAUUCAUCUAGCCUCUGGUUAGAUGUGGUUUUAUGUUUUAAUUAGUGUUUGUGCCAAGUAGAACCUUCGGGAAGAAUUGGAAAGUCAAUGUGAUCUUGCUGUAAAAAACAUAAACUUUAGUGCUCACGAGAUUAGCUUCCAUGUUUUACAGAAGAGUGCUUUUAGGUUGAUUCUUUUUGCAGAUGAUUAGUAGACAAAUUCCUCAGGUCCAGCAAUUUAUGUCAGAAUUUUUAGAGUUCCAGAAGUAUACGUUUGAUACAUAUUGCUACAGAUUGUUCUGUUUUUUGACAGAUUCUGUUUUCUAUGUGUUGUUUGCUUAUUUUGAUGAAUCUAUGAGUAGUAUCGGAGGGUAUGAACCAUAGAGAAGUUGGAAUACAGUAGAUAUUACACCAAUAUGAAUUUAGAAUGAGUUCACAACAGUACCUAAGUGGUGAUUUCUUUUCUUAUACUAACGGAGCUUACGAGUUUUGUUGAGUUUCGUGUUGUGAAGUUUUCAAGUUUUGGGGAAAGAUUCGAUGGACUAUGGAACAAGGAGUGGUAAGAGCCUAAGCUUGGGGAUGCCCAAGGCACCCCAAGUUAAUAUUCAAGGACAACCAAGAGCCCAAGCUUGGGGAUGCCCCGGAAGGCAUCCCCUCUUUCAUCUUCGUUCAUCGAUAACUUUACUUGGAGCUAUAUUUUUAUUUACCACAUGAUAUGUGUUUUGCUUGGAGAGUCAUUUUCUUUUGUUAGUAUUUGCUUGCUGUUAUUUAUAAUAAUGUUUUGCAUAUCUAUAGUUUCAAUAAAAAAUUCAAGGAUAGCCUUUACCAUGCUUAUUUUGCAAGUAUACAUGUUGCUGUUUCAAAACAGACAGUUUACCGCUGUUGCAAAAAUCCCUUGAAAAGUCAGAGAUUGAAUCUUUUUGCAUAUUGAGCUCUGAUAAAUAUUCUACAGCGUAGUAUAUUUCUUAUAAUUUUUGGAGUUAGGGAAGUAUGAUGAAUCUUGCAUUCUUUACAGACUAUAUUGUUUUGGCACAUUGCUGUUAUGUUUGCAUUGUUUGCAUAUGCUUGCUUGUUUAAUGAUUCUAUUUAAGGAUAGGAGUAUUAAAUAUGCAUAGGAAUCUAGUAUGCAAUGUUGAAUAAUAAUUUUAGUGAUUUGUUACAGUAGAGAAUGAUAAGGUUUUUGCAUUGUUUUAUACUAACUUAUCUCACUAGUUCUUGUUGAGUUUGGUGUGGAUGAAGUUUUUGAGAUUUAGGGAAACCGUGAUAUAAAAGGAAUUAAGGAGACACAAAAGCUCAAGCUUGGGGAUUCCCAAGGCACCCCAAGAUAAUAUUCUAAGAAGUCUCAAGCAUCCAAGCUUGGGGAUGCCCCGGUAGGCAUCCCACCUUUCUUCUUCAACAAUUAUCGGUUAGUAUCGGUUGAACCUAAAUUUUUGCUUCUUCACAUGAGUUGUGCUAUCCUUGCAAUGACAUUUUAAUUUGUUUUGCUUGCUGUUUGAAUAAAAUACCAAGAUCUGAAAUUCUUAAAAGGGGGAGAGUCUUCACAUAGCCACAAAAUUAUUUGACUACUCAUUGAUCUUCACUUAUAUCUUUUUGAAAUAGUUUGUCAUUUACUCUUGUGCUUCACUUAUAUCCUAUGAGUAAAUGGUUGAAUGAGUUGAAUGUCAUAAAUCUGAAAUUAUAUAUGUUUCAUAUGCUUACCCCGUUGGGAGUAAUGACUUCACAUCUAAUAAGUAGAGGUAGUAAAUUUAUUGAAGGUUAGCAAGCAUUGUAUUGGUCAGUUGAACAAUUCAUGAAAGAAUAUUGAAGGAAGAGAAAUUUCACAUAUAAAUAUACUAUCUUAGACAUCUUCUAUGAUUGUGAGCCCCAUUAAUUAUUUUCAAACCUGAGCACAUUAGUUGAAGUUGGACAAGGAAGACAACGUAAAGAGUUAUGCUGGGGUGUAUUUGUCUAGAAGUUAUAUUGUUAUAGAUCCUCCAACAUGUGGUGCUUGCUAUUUAGAAUCCUUUGCUAGCCUAAAUAUAUGUACUAAGCAGAAAUAUUGCUUGUGCAUCCAAAUUCCUUGAACCAAGUUUCUUCCAUGAGUGUCCACCAUAUCUACCUAUAUGCGGUAUUUACCUGCCAUUCCAAGUAAAUUUGCAUGUGCCAAACUCUAAACCUUCAAAUAAUAAUCUGUUUUGUAUGCCCGAAUCGCUCAUGUAGAGAUCAGGGGUUGUCAGUAUCUUCCAUGCUAGGUGGGUUAUUCUCACGAUGAGUGGACUCCGCUCAUCAUUCACGAGAAAAAUGGAUGGUAACUGGGAUGCCCAGUCCCAUGAUCAAAAGAUAAAAAUCAAAUCAAAAUAAUUGAGAACAAAAACUCCCUCAGGAUUGAUGUUAGUUGGAGACAUGCGUUGUUUUGGGCAAGCCAUGGAUUGAUGAUUGUUGGUGGAGGUGGAGUAAAAAUUUUACCAUUUUGUUUGGGAACCGCCUAUAAUGUAUGUAGUAUAGAAGAUAUUGGGAACUCUUGGUUGUUAGAUCAUACCUCUCAAAAUUAUUUAUCUAUAUUUCAAAAUCGAGCUCUGGCACCUCUGCAAAUCCCUGCUCCCCUCUGCGAAGGGCCUAUCUUUUACUUUUAUGCAAGAGUCAGUGGUAUUCCUUCUCAUUCCUACCUACUCUUUAGUUGGCAAGCAUCGUGUGUUGGGGAAAUAUCUAAUCAUAUAUGGCCAUGCAAAUAUAUUUGAUCAUGAAUUAUUAUUAUUGACAUAUAUCUAUAUGAUAAGUGAGUUGGGAGGCGAAACACUAAGCCCCUAUCUUUCUCUAUGUUAGAUGGAUGCUAUCUAUACCUACUAAUAAAGGGGCUAUUGCUUCUUACCACCGUAAAUUCGCCCGUCCUUGGUCAAACAGGUUUCGUCCGUCGUCCCCUUGGUAGACUGGGCGAGGCAUCGUAAUAGUUUCGUUAAAAGAAAAAAAAACGUGAUGUCAGCGGCCCAACUCAGCCGGCCCAUUAACUGAGUACCCAAAAAUUGUUUGCGAGUACGUAGAAUCGAACUCGCGCCCUCCGCACCAACUAAUUAGCUUGAUGCCAGCUGAGCUAGAAUGAUUCUGUUGCUUCUUGCUUGGAAGGUUUCGUCCCAUUCUAAAAUAGUACCACCUCGACUCCUUGUGUGCAAUCACACCAAUUUAUAUACGUGCAGAACCUGCACAUAUUCAGAAGCUGGCUGCUGGAUGAUUCUACCUAUAGAUGAUAAAAGAAAGCAUGUAGCAGAUUCUAUAUGAGAGAUACGAUGCAAGACCCGGCUGAUUAGAUAUACCGACGCAAGGGAGGUACAUUUAUACUUUAUUAUUAUUUCUUACCAUUAACCUGAUCAUACUUGAAAUCGGAGAGGGAGAUGACAUUGUGUAGACCUUGAGCUCCUGUAAAUAAGGUAUGCCAACAUCAUCGCCACCAUGAGCAAUUUCCCGAAACAUUCAUGAUCAGAUGCGAAGAUACCACCUUAUCAAACCCGAUGAAUAUUUGCAGUGCUAUUUCUCGAUAUCCCUUAUGAUGUAUUGUGUACAACUAUAUACAAAUAAUAUAUGGAGUUGUAAAAACAGGUGCUUUUUUUCUUUCAUGGUGUUGUAACGAAGGAGUCCAUGAGGUAUGAGCUAAGGACAUGAAAAGUUUUUUUCUCCCGUUGCAACGCAUGGGUAUGUUUCCUAGUUUGUUCUAAAAAUAUGCUUCGAGUGGUAGCAAUCAUGGAAGACUACUAUAUGAUAGUUGAGUAUGUGGAGUUUGCUAAAUCAAAGCUCUAACAUAGACCCUUCCUAAAAAUAAGAUGAAUUGUAAUUGUUAGAUGACUGAGAAUGAAGUUUGUUAGUUUUCAAGAAAGUUUAUAGUCUAUGCUUUAACAUGUGAAUAGCUUGUUACUUGAUCAUGAAAAGUUUUAUGAGAUGAGCUAUUGUUAUGACAUAUAAUGAUGCUAGAAAAGGUGAUUAAAAUUAUCAUUGAUCAAACUUGUGCACCUGCUAGCAUUCACACUUCAUAAAUUCUUUUAUCAUUUACCUACUCGAGCACGAGCAGGAAUUAAGCUUGGGGAUGCUGGUACAUCUUCAACGUAUCUAUAGUUUAUGAAGUAUUCAUGCUAUUAUAUUAUCUGUUUUAGUUGUUUAAUGGGCUUUACUAUGCACUUUUAUAUUAUUUUUGGGACUAACCUAUUAACCUAGAGCCCAGUGCCAGUUUUUGUUUUUUCCUUGUUUUUGAGUUUUACAGAAAAGGAAUACCAAACGGAGUCCAAUUGACGUGCCAAUUUUUGAUGAUUUUUAAUGGACCAAAAGAAGCCCCUGGAGUAAAAGAGUUGGGCCAGAAGAGUCCCGGGCUCUCCACGAGGGUGGGGGGCGCGCCCACCCCCAAUAGGCGUGGGCCCCUAUCACGUGGACGACUCGGGCACCUCCUUGACGUGAGACCUACGCCAAAAAAUCUUAUAAAUACAGAAACCUCCAUAAAAUAACCUAAAUCGGGAGUUCCUCCGCUGCAAGCCUCUGUAGCCACCAAAAGCCAAUCGGGACCCUGUUCCGGCACCCUGCCGGAGGGGGGAUCCCUCACCGGUGGCUAUCUUCAUCAUCCCGGUGCUCUCCAUGACGAGGAGGGAGUAGUUCACCCUCGGGGCUGAGGGUAUGUACCAGUAGCUAUGUGUUUGAUCUCUCUCUCUCUCUCUCUCUCUCUCUCUUCUCUCUCUCUCUCUCUCUCUCUCUCUCUUGUGUUCUUGAUUUGGCAUGAUCUUGAUGUAUAGCGAGGUUUGCUAUUAUAGUUGGAUCUUAUGAUUUUCUUCCCCUCUACUCUCUUGUAAUGGAUUGAGUUUUCCCUUUGAAGUUAUCUUAUCGGAUUGAGUCUUUCAGGAUGUGAGAACACUUGAGGUAUGUCUUGCCGUGCUUAUCUGUGGUGACAAUGAGAUAUUCACGUGAACUACUUGAUGUAUGUUUUGGUGAUCAACUUGCGGAUUAUGUGACCUUGGGAAUCUAUGCAUAGGGGUUGGCACACGUUUUCGUCUUGACUCUUUGGUAGAAACUUUGGGGCACUCUUUGAAGUACUUUGUGUGGUUGAACAGAUGAAUCUGAGAUUGUGUGAUGCAUAUCGUAUAAUCAUGCCCACGGAUACUUGAGGUCACAAUGGAGUAUCUAGGUGACAUUAGGGUUUUGGUUGACUUGUGUCUUAAGGUGUUAUUCUAGUAUGAACUCUAUGAUAGAUCGAACGGCAAGAAUAGCUCUAUGUUAUUUUACUAUGGACUCUUGAAUAGAUAGAUCAAAAAUGAUAGCUUUGAGGUGGUUUCGUACCCUACCAUAAUCUCUUUGUCUGUUCUCCGCUAUUAGUGACUUUGGAGUGACUCUUUGUUGCAUGUUGAGGGAUAUUUAUAUGAUCCAGUUAUGUUAUUCUUGUUGAGAGAACUUGCACUAGUGAAAGUAUGAACCCUGGGCCUUGUUUCCUAGCAUUGCAAUAACGUUUACGCUCACUUUCAUUAUUAGUUACCUUGCUGUUUUUAUAUUUUCAGAUUACAAAUACUCAUAUCUACCAUCCAUAGUGCACUUGUAUCACCAUCUCUUCGCCGAACUAGUGCACCUAUACAAUUUACCAUUGUAUUGGGUGUGUCGGGAACACAAGAGACUCUUUGUUAUUUGGUUGCAGGGUUGUUUGAGAGAGACCAUCUUCAUUCUACGCCUCCCAUGGAUUGAUAAAUCUUAGGUCAUCCACUUGAGGGAAAUUUGCUACUGUCCUGCAAACCUCUGCACUUGGAGGCCCAACAACGUCUACAAGGAGAAGAUUGCAUAGUAGACAUCAGGAGACAGUAGAGGACCUCGGGUGUGAGUCCAUCGGCAUAGGGGUGGCUGAAAAGACAGCCUUGGGAGUGUGAGGGCCAUCUCGAAGCACGACGGCGGCUUGAGGUGCGAUGAGCGAACCACGGCAGCCCGGCGCAGAGGCCAAACAAGGCGAGGAGGCCCCCAGCAAGGAGAGGCACUAUGGUAAGCCGGUAGAGGGCGGCGCUCGAAGCCGUAGUAAAGCCGAGAACGGAGGUGAGCGCAACGGUAGCUCGCAGGAAGCUUUCACUGGCGGGUCGGAGCACUGAUGGUGGCUCACGGCGGCUCGGGGACGUGCAGAGGGACGGGCCGAGGCCUGGGGAGGUGGGUGAGGCCAGACCGCGUGGUAAGGGCUUCCGGCUCUUCAGAGCAGAAGCAGAGGCGACUCAAACUGUCUUGAUUGGGUUGACAAGUCCACGCCUACCUCCUCCAGGUCGUGGGCCCCUUUUUUUUUCUUUUUUUGUCUCUUUGACCCCGAUUUGCUAACAGUGCGCGAUGACUGGGCCAGGAUCAAGCCCUCAGUUCAUUAUACUUCAAAUCAGUUUCGCCGCAGAUCGGAUCAAACCGAUGACUUUUAUUUUUCUUCCAUAGAUACGUUGGUUGAAUCCAUGGCGACUUAAUAAUCUUUCCUUGAUCUGAACCAAUGAGGUUAGAGUUGAUGCAAAUCCUUCCAUAUGAUGAUCCAGCGGAUAAAGCUUCUCGAUCCCUGGGAGGGAUCCCUCCAAGAACUCAACACCACCGUGCGCAGGCCCCACGGUGGGAGCCAACUGUCAUGGAAAUGUCGCGACAGAUGUCCUAGUGUGAGGACUUAGUCAUGAGGCCAACGCAUUUAUGUGGUAGCUUGAGAGGGGUUAAUUGGAACGAGAUAUGCGAAGCGGAUUAACACACAAGACAAGGAUUUAGACAGCUUCGGUCCCCGGGAAACAUCAUUCGGUAAUAGCCCUACAUGCUGUUUUUGGCUAGGUCUCAUUAUGCUCAUGAGGGAGACGUCAUAUAUCCGGCUCUCCUCUAGUUGUGUCUAGCCUUAAUGAUUAUUUACCUCCUCCCCCCUCUUGGGGUGCCCCGCCCCUUCUUAUAUAAGUUGAAGGGGCGGGUUACAUGUAGAGUCAAACUCGGAUUAGGACUUAACCUAUUUUGACGUCUUACCAUGGGCUUCUUACCAUGAGCUUCUUAACGUCCUGGGCUUCUUAAUGUAUGCCGGCUUACAAUUUGGCUUACAAUCUGACUUACAAUCUGGCUUAACUGUCUGGCUUAACUAUCUGACUUAACUGUCUGCUGGCUUAACUGUCUGCCAGCUUACAAUGCUUAACUAUCUGACUUAACUGUCUGCCGGCUUAAAAUGCUUAACUGUCUGACUUAACUGCCUGCCUUAACUGUCUGCAGACUUACAAUGCUUAACUGUCUUACUUAACUGUCUGCCGGCUUACAAUGCUUAACUAUCCGCGGGUUUACAAUCUGCCGGGUCACCAAUGAAAUUCCAAGUCCCAGCCAGUUCAUAUCUCCGGCCGGGUCACACCGCGGGGUAUAUCCCCGACACCUAUAGUGCAGACACUUUUGAAUGCAUGGUAUUGAGAGCCUACAUUGGGAAAUCUCCUGACCUCCAAUGACUCAAGUUGGACUGUGUAGAGGUAGGAAGGUGUAGGCAGGACCACCACAUGAUUAUACUCAGCAAAACCUUUUAUGGAUAUGUGCCCCACGUCCUUCUGUGGAUUCAGGGAGAAGAUUGUGCAGUUCGAUAGUUCUUCCCAGCACCAGUGAAGUAUCACCAUCGCGCUCGCUGUUCGUCUUCCAUAAGUGUGCAUUGCAGCCUGACAACGUGAGUAAACCAAGUCCACUACCCUUUUUGUUAUAACAGAGAUCUCAUGCUCUUUGGUGUAGUUCAGGUUUGCAGGCAAACGUGUCACAGUCAGGCUCUGCCUCUCGAUGUCAAACUCAAGGAUACUACUUGAGCAAGGAAGGGCGGCUGAAAGCCUCAAUCAGGCUCGUCGGCUUAUCAGAGCUAGAGAAGCCAGUAAAGAGCAUUCUAAACCAACAGGGAGUGCAUCUUCGAAAAACCCAUGGUGCGAGGACUGCCCAUAAAACACACUUUCGACUACAUGAUAUCGAUAGCCUACUUUGUGAAAUUUCUUGACCUCCAAUAGCUUAAGAUGGACUGUGUAGAGAUAGGUAGACGUAGACAGUGGCGGAGCCAUCAUUUUAAACUUGGGUGUACAUGUUUUCUCAAGUCAGCAAAUUCAGUUUCGCCUAUUACUCCGCUCCUCUUAAUGUAUAUAUAUUUUUAUACUAAAAUUUAUACUUACUAUACUAGUGUGUUAAGGAGUAUACUUUUUCAUUAGUUGUUUGACAUACUUUUUUUUGAACACACUUGUUUGGCACACUUAACAACAAAAUAAAGUUAAAUACUAGUUCUAUUAUUUAAUUAUUAAAUAUUUGUAAUGUGUGUCGUUUAAAAAAAUAAUGUGUUGCGCCAAAUUUUACUUUGUAAAAAAAUAUUUUAUUUUGAUACUUGUGUAAAUUAUAUCAUUUAUACAUAUUUAUAAAUGAUAUCCCUAAAACAUAUGGUUUAACAUACUCCCUCUGUCCCAAAAUAAGUGUCUCAAACUUAGUACACCUCUGUACUGAAAUUAGUAUAAAGUUGAGGCACUUAUUUGGGAACGGAGGGAGUCUAUUAAUAGUAGUUGUACUAUAUUAUUAGAAAAACAUAUCGAUAGAAAAUUCUAGAGUACAAAUUUAAUCAGAUGUGAGGAGGGACUGUUCUGAUAUAGUCGUUUUGGGAGCACCGAUGUACAAAAUUAAACAUAUUUACUAAACCAUAUGUUAUGGAUUACACAAUAUACCAAUUUAACCUUAUCUAUAAAUAUGCUAUGCUCCCUAAUUUUUAAGGCUUCACAAUCAAUUAAGGUUUCCAAUUUGAAAUUGGAUCAUUCGAUUUUGACCGGGUUGACAAUUUAUCAAGAAACUCUCUCAUUCAAUUCUUUUAAUUAACUAUGCUCCCAAUUUUGGAGCUUUUCUCAGUUGAGGUAUUCGAUUUUGAUUCGGCUCAAGAUUUUGACCGGGCCUGACUUUUAAAAUCAAUUGGGAGCAACGACCUAUAAGAACAUAUAAAUUCCGCACGCCUUCUCACUACCUAGAAAAAAGAAGAAGCAGCAACAUGUGAUAUUGUAGCACCAAAAUAAUACAUGCUGACAUCGAUGCAGAAAUUUUUUCCAGAUAAGUAGGAGUUGAUCAGCAGAUAACACGGAAUAACACCUCAAAAAGCCAAUGAAGACACCAUAUUGUAAAUAAAAUGAAAAACACGCUCCAUCAUCUCGGCCACUUGCCAAACAAAAUACUCCCUUAGAUCCAAAAUAUAUGGUGCGUUUGUUUUUUAGAAAGUCAAAUUUAUUUAACUUUGACCAAGUUCAGAGCCAAAAAAUAUUGACAUCCAAAAAUAUAAAUAGAUAAAAUACUAUGAAGAUUCACUUCAUCAUGAAUCUAUUGAUACCAAUUUCAUAUUGUGAAUAUUGAUAUAUUUCUCUUUAAAUUUGGUCAAACAUAAAGAAGUUUGACUUCUAAAAAACUAAUACACAUUAUAUUUUGAAACAAAAGGAGUAAAAACAUUAUGAGAACUCAACAACACAAAUGACACAGCAAAGCGCUCUCAACUCUUCUAGUAUUUAUUAAACUGUAUGGUUCAACGAUGUACAUAUAUACUCUUCUUUAAAAAAAUGCACCCAUGUAAUCAUCUAGCUCCGUCCAUGGAUGUAGACAGGAGGACCAGGUGGUUAUACUCAGCAAACCCUUCUAUGAAUAUGUGCCCCUUGUCCUUCCCUGGAUUCAGGGAGAGAAGAUUGUGCAGUUCAAUAGUUCUUGCCAGCAUCCAUGAAGGAUCACCAUCGUGCUCGAUGUUCCUCUUCCAUAAGUGUGUGUUGCAGCCUGACAACAUGAAUAAACCAAGUCCACCACUCCUUUCUGUUGUUAUCACAGAGAUCUCAUGGUCUUUGGUGUGGUGCAGGUCUGCUGGCACACGUUCCACGGUUAGACUCUACCUCUCCACGUCAAACUCAAGGAUACUGCUUGGACAAGGAGUGCGGCUGAAAGCCUCAGUUAGGCUCGUCAGCUUAUCAGAGAGAAGCCAGUAAAGGGAAUUCUCAACCAGCAAGGCGUGCAUCUUCGAAAAACUCAUGGGAGGAGAGCUUCCCACAAAAACCUUGGGUCGAAGAAAUGCUAAGACGAGAUUACCCCAGUCGCUAGUCUCUGACGAGUAGACGCAGGUGAUUGCUCGUGAACCCUGAACGGCCCCCAGGUCCACCUUGAAGUGGUCGCCAACUCUCGCAUCGCGAAGCACCGCUCCAUUAACCCAUGUUGACAGACUCAUAUGCUGGAGGGGGGUGAAUGCAGUGGCGGACGCCGGUGACCGGGUCCCACACCAGGAACUGGUACUAAUGGCCGAGGAAGAUGAGUACGAGGCCAUGGCGGCAGCUGAGCAUCUGGUCGACUCCCUUGCCCUUCAUGGAGAAGCGCUUGGUGGGGACGUGAUUGGGGGCACAGAGUACAAUGCAUUUUUUUUCCACAAAAUGUACUGAACAAACAAAGACGACAACCUUUGCUCAAAGUAAAUAAUUAAGAAAACAAUCGUGCCUCCCAUGUAAUAAUCGUUGAUAUCACCCUCGCAGCUUGCUGCUCCAGGCUUCGAAGGUCAUGAGUUCUACAAUAUCUGCCUUGAAAACAAGAGAUGUGAGACUACUUAUUAUCACUUUCUUAACAAGAAAGGAUGUGCACGGCAUUCCAACAACAAAUAAUGAGAAAUUAACUUUAUAUGCCACUCUAAAGUCAUGCUUUACAAUAUAUACACCAUACACUUUCAAAUGGAUAAUACUAGUAAGCAACACUACUAUAUCCAGGAAGCUUCUUGAACUGCAACGACUCGAGAUGGAUCAUGAUGAUGCCGAUUAUUGUGUACAGGAAUACUGCAUUAUUGUCCUUGGCAAACCCCAUUACCUUAACAACGUGCUCAUCUCUAUUUGGAUCUGAGGGGAUUUUAGUAGUUUGUCCAGUUCGAUAAUUUUUUUCCAUCACCCAUGAAGCAACAUCAUCAUAUUCGUUCUUCCGCUUCCAUAAUGGGGCAUAAGCCUGACAACAAGAGGAAACCCAACCCACCAUCUUUUGCUUGCGUAAUUGAGAACCAAUCAUUGCUCCAAAUCGCACUCCAAGCACACACACGCACCGUAAUUUAGUAAGUAGCGAUUCAAGCUACUUACUUAGGAUGGUGUUUGGCAAACUCUACCGCGCAAAAAGUAUCUAGGCCAAAAAGCGAUAUCCUAGGCAUAUUGGAAGCCUGGUGACUCGUAUUUUUGGGCUAGUCUGAUGGCGAUAAAGGAGCAAAAUUUUCACUUCGGAUCGUUCGUGAUAAAGGACGGCUCUGAGAUACAUUUCUGGGAGGACAAGUGGCUAGGAAACGUCACUCUUCACUAGUAGAAAACAGGGCAUUCGUCCCGAUUGGUGAGGGCCUUUUGUCCCGGUUAUUGAACCAGGACUAAAGUGUCGUUACUAAUGCCUCCCCCCUUUAGUCCCAGUUCUUACAUGAACCGGGACAGAUGGGCCUCCACGUGGCCACUACGAGCAGCCCAGGCAAGGGGGCCUUUGGUCCCGGUUGGUGACAUGAACCGGGACCAAAAGGCUUCCACGUGUCAGCAGCUGGCUGGAGCUGAGGUUUUUCUUUUUUUUAAAGAAAGUGGCUGGUUUAGGGGUUUUGGGGGGUUAAUUUUAGGUUGUUAUUAGCUAGCUAAUAGAGACAAGUGUCCUCUCUUAUAUCUUCGUCCUUGGUUUACCAACGCUACUGCUAUGUUCAUUUCACCCGCUGAUAUAUAAUAACUCAUGCAUGCUCGCAUCAUACAUCAUCAUAUAUAAUAACAAGUCCUACUAAUCAUGCAUCAUCAUACAACUUCUACUCGUUAGUAAUAACAAGUCAUACGAUCAUCAUCCUCAUAGUCAUCGAACCAAACCCUACAUAAUUGUUCUUAGCACAUGAUCAUCAGUAUCAGGUACGACCUAAACACCCUUAAGGUAAACACUACUGGAAUCAGCUACUUUGCCAUCUGCCAGCUCUUUGCCGUCAGCUAGCGAACGACAAAGAAGCUCUUUGCCAUCAGCUACCCAAAAGCAGACGGCAAAGAAAUGGCAGACGGCAAAGAAGCUCUUUGCUGUCCGCGGGCUUUUUGCCGUCUGCUGGCAGACGGCAAAGAAUCUUUGCCGUCAGCUAGCAGACGGCAAAGAAUCUUUGCCGUCAGCUAGCAGACGGCAAAGAGAGAGGUGGCCCCUACCCCCCGCCCGUUUGGAAAAAACUUAACGGCCCACCUCUUUGCCGUCUGUCAGCAGACGGCAAAGAGGCAAAAGGGCGGACGGCAAAGAUAGGCNNNNNNNNNNNNNNNNNNNNNNNNNNNNNNNNNNNNNNNNNNNNNNNNNNNNNNNNNNNNNNNNNNNNNNNNNNNNNNNNNNNNNNNNNNNNNNNNNNNNNNNNNNNNNNNNNNNNNNNNNNNNNNNNNNNNNNNNNNNNNNNNNNNNNNNNNNNNNNNNNNNNNNNNNNNNNNNNNNNNNNNNNNNNNNNNNNNNNNNNNNNNNNNNNNNNNNNNNNNNNNNNNNNNNNNNNNNNNNNNNNNNNNNNNNNNNNNNNNNNNNNNNNNNNNNNNNNNNNNNNNNNNNNNNNNNNNNNNNNNNNNNNNNNNNNNNNNNNNNNNNNNNNNNNNNNNNNNNNNNNNNNNNNNNNNNNNNNNNNNNNNNNNNNNNNNNNNNNNNNNNNNNNNNNNNNNNNNNNNNNNNNNNNNNNNNNNNNNNNNNNNNNNNNNNNNNNNNNNNNNNNNNNNNNNNNNNNNNNNNNNNNNNNNNNNNNNNNNNNNNNNNNNNNNNNNNNNNNNNNNNNNNNNNNNNNNNNNNNNNNNNNNNNNNNNNNNNNNNNNNNNNNNNNNNNNNNNNNNNNNNNNNNNNNNNNNNNNNNNNNNNNNNNNNNNNNNNNNNNNNNNNNNNNNNNNNNNNNNNNNNNNNNNNNNNNNNNNNNNNNNNNNNNNNNNNNNNNNNNNNNNNNNNNNNNNNNNNNNNNNNNNNNNNNNNNNNNNNNNNNNNNNNNNNNNNNNNNNNNNNNNNNNNNNNNNNNNNNNNNNNNNNNNNNNNNNNNNNNNNNNNNNNNNNNNNNNNNNNNNNNNNNNNNNNNNNNNNNNNNNNNNNNNNNNNNNNNNNNNNNNNNNNNNNNNNNNNNNNNNNNNNNNNNNNNNNNNNNNNNNNNNNNNNNNNNNNNNNNNNNNNNNNNNNNNNNNNNNNNNNNNNNNNNNNNNNNNNNNNNNNNNNNNNNNNNNNNNNNNNNNNNNNNNNNNNNNNNNNNNNNNNNNNNNNNNNNNNNNNNNNNNNNNNNNNNNNNNNNNNNNNNNNNNNNNNNNNNNNNNNNNNNNNNNNNNNNNNNNNNNNNNNNNNNNNNNNNNNNNNNNNNNNNNNNNNNNNNNNNNNNNNNNNNNNNNNNNNNNNNNNNNNNNNNNNNNNNNNNNNNNNNNNNNNNNNNNNNNNNNNNNNNNNNNNNNNNNNNNNNNNNNNNNNNNNNNNNNNNNNNNNNNNNNNNNNNNNNNNNNNNNNNNNNNNNNNNNNNNNNNNNNNNNNNNNNNNNNNNNNNNNNNNNNNNNNNNNNNNNNNNNNNNNNNNNNNNNNNNNNNNNNNNNNNNNNNNNNNNNNNNNNNNNNNNNNNNNNNNNNNNNNNNNNNNNNNNNNNNNNNNNNNNNNNNNNNNNNNNNNCACCCCGACACCGACACGGCACUACCCUGACAUCGACACGACCCCCCGACCCCCCGACCCCGAAACAGCACCCCGACACCGACAGGACACCCCGACCACCGACACCUCCCGAAAAUGUGUUCUUUGGCCUUCCAGAGGCCGACGAGGUCAUAUAUUUGUGAAUUAUUAGUUAGGUCAUAUAUUUUCCGAUUUUGUUAUGAAAAACAUCAUAUAUAAUUGUGUUGAUCGUGUAGUUUUAAAUGUGCAGUUGUUUCAUCGCUGCGAGGUUUGAUGAUGAUACACUUAAGUGAUACACAUAUUAUUAUUCAUGUCGGUCUUUUUUUAUGUUGUACUAAUUUCGUUUACUGUUUGUCAUGGCAGGUGUUGAAAGAUGGUGGGCGCUGGUCGGGAGCGUGGUCUGAGGUCUUCCAUUCCAAACGCACCUCUCCGUCGAGCGUUGCUGGAUAGUAUGGCCACACCGCCGGGCCCUUCUUCGUCGACCGCGGUGCCCAGCAGGGGACGAGGUAGGAAGAGAGGAGGUGGGGCACGUGGUCGUGGGAGAGGAGGUAGGGUGACUGCUACGGCGCCUUCCUCGCCGCCACCCCCAGCUGUUUCACCCGAGCACGUGACUGCUAGGGUGGACUCGUCCGAGGAGGAGGCUACACGGACUCCGGUCCACGAGCCUCCGGUCCACGGGUCUUGGGCCCACGAGCCUCGGGUCGACUGGCCUUCGGCCCACGAGAGUUCGGCCCACGUGACCCCGGAGGAGCACACGUCCGGAUGGGGUACCUGGCCGGAUCAGCCCGAGGAGCCGAGUGGCCAUGCUGAUCAUGGAGGGGAGCCGACUGAUCUUGAGGAGGAGGGGGGCACCGUCUACCAGCAUGGUGCUACACGGCUCCCGUCCGUGCCGGUGAGCCGCGAGCAGAGGUGGUUGAUUUUCCCUGAUGGGGAGAGGUACGUAAGUGCAUUUAAUAUUUUUGUACCUUGUGCAUUCAUGUUUUUUCAAAUAACUAAUGCGUUGGCCUUGUCAUGCUGUAGGGGUUGGGACCACCAUCAUAGUGUCCGCCGGCCCAACUCCGUCCUUGGAGUUCUUUGCCGGUAAAACUUCCCGGGGUUUGUCACGUUGCCUGGUGAGGGUCGGCUUCCAGAGCUUGGAUUAAGCUGGGAGCACUACGUGGCUGCCCCGGCCCCGCCGGAUGAGAUUAUCGACGGUGUCGUGUGCGACACGAGGGCAGACAUGGUGAUCAGAAAGUGCUGGGUAAUUUCUCCUUUACACAUUUAAAAAUCUUCAACUAGCUAGUUAUUAAUUGUACUAAUCAAUAUUGUCUCAUUUGAUUGCAGACAUUCUAUAGGUGUGAGGAGGGAUACGAGGAGGACGCGGCACAUGUUAUCGAGAACGUCUGCAAGCGCCUACUCUAGAACUUACGGCACGAGGCUCGGGUGCAGGCUGUUCGAGACUACUACGCCUUGCGUGGUAUCAAGAAGACCAAGCCGGCGUGCCGCGAUAAGUUCCUGAGUAAGGAGCAGUACAUGAAGGUAAUUCUUAAGGCCUUCUCUACUUAAGUUCCUUCAUUUAGUAAUUCCUAGCCGUAGCGCUCAAGUUUCUAUUUGCUAACUUAGGCGCCUCCGAGAUGGUGUGCGGAUCGGAUGGAUUGUUGAGAGGUGUUGGUCGAUGAGUGGUGCUCAAAACAUUGGCUAGCCCUCCACAACGAGGCCAAGGACAAACGUGCCCAAAUGGAAGGUGUGCCACACCAUCAAGGCAGCUCCAACUUAUAUCAGUUCAGGCGCAACUGGGUAUGUGGUUUGCUUCAUGAUUCAUGCAAUUCAUUCAUCAUGCUAGCUUGAGCCCUUUAAUUACUAAUUUUCAUUGUUUCUCUCUUUCAGGCACGCUACAAUAAGGCGGAUAAGGUGCCAGAGGUGUACGACCUGUAUGCCAUGGCCCACACUGCCUCUUUCAAGAAAUUCAAGGCUUUCUCUCAAUCUGACCUCGAUGAUGCAAACAACUUCACCAACAUCUCCUCCCACAACAAGCUCGUGAGAUAUAGAGAUGAGGGGAAGGCGAGGAAAGGGGAGGACUUUAACCCGAGCCAGGGUCCCAAUGAUCCAGAGCUGUUGAUGAUAUCUGGUGGCGGGAGGUCCCAUGGCUCCAUAGCCAUUGGAGAUGGACUUAUCCAUUGUCCUAGCACUCUCCCGGAGAUCAAGGCGCGCCAGUCGAGCUCCGCUCCUGAGAUAAGGCCUCGUGAACGGCCAGUGCAACUCGCCAUCAAGGUUAGUGAUGCGUACUCAGUUAUCUUUCUCCAUUACAUUGUGUGCGCUUCCAUCAAUGAUUACAAAUGGUCAUGUGAGUGGUGUUGCAGACUGCUAUACAGAGUGAGAGAGAUAGAACGGAGAAACUUCUGGCGGAGGUGGCGGAGAGGUCGCGGGAGUUGGAGGAGAGGACGACAAAGAUGAUGGAGGAGGAGAGGGCACGGAAUGACAUGCAGGCAAGGGCCAUGUACGAGCUCCUUGUGGUAAGUUUCUUCUGCAGAUUAGCCAAAACAUUCAUGUAGUGUUUGUCUCAUUACUAACUAGUAUGACUGAGUCGUCAAAACCAAAUGUGCAGUCUGUGUGCGAGAAGACGGGUCAGACCGCUCCGCCGAUGCCAGUGAUUGCUCCUGGGACCACGGUGAGUUUUAUUUGAAUGGACAUUACUUGGUAGUCUUAACAUUUGAGUGUCAUCAUGCUAACAAGACAUUGGAAAUGAUCUUUGGUGCAGCGUAACUCCAGACAAGCAUCGCACGAUCCUUCUCCAGCUAUCGACACGAGCCACCCCGCUCCUACACCUCCUGAAUCUUGGUAAAUUUAUCUAGUGUUUUGCUUAACACAUGCAUAAAGACCUAGACUUAGCUUUAUUUCCUCCAAUGCUUACCAUAAUGACCUAGACUUAGCUUCUUCUCCUCCAAAAUGACUUAAUAAGCUUGCUGACCUCUAAAACCAUCCAUUUUACCUAAGUUAGCUCUAAAACGAUCUGUACUUAGCUUACUUAUGUCAAAAAUUGCAUAAUUAGCUUAGUUAGCUCAUAGAAGAUCCAUUUUACCUAAGUUAGCUCUAAAAUGACCCAUUUUACCUAGGUUAGCUUAUAAAUGAUCCAGUUCAUCCAAGUUAGCUAAGAAAUGACCCAUUUUACCUAGAUUAGCUCCUAAAUGAUCCAUUUUACCUACGUUAGCUUUAAAAUGACCCAUUUCACCUAGGUUAACUCCAAAAUGACCCAUCUUACCUAGGUUAUCUCAUAAACGAUCCAUUUCAACUAAUUUAGCUCAUAAACGAUCCAUUUCACCAAGUUAGCUAAAAAGCGAUCCAUUUCACCUAAAUUAGCUCUUAAAUGAUCCAUUUCACCUAAGUUAGCUCAAAAAGAUCCAUUUCAACUAAAUUAGCUCAUAAAUGAUCAAUUUCACCCAAGUUAGCUCAAAAACGAUCCAUUUCAACUAAGUUAGCUCAUAAAUGAUCCAUUUCACCUAUGUUAGCUAAAAAACGAUCCAUUUCACCUUAGUUACCUCGAAAACGAUCCAUUUGACCUUAGUUAGCUCAUAAACGACCCAUUUCAACUAAGUUAGCUCAUAAAUGAUCCAUUUCACCUUAGCUAGCUCAUAAACGACCCAUUUCAACUUAGUUAGCUCAUAUAUGAUCCAUUUCACGUAAGUUAGCUCAUAAAUGAUAUACUCUUCUUGUUCUAGUCUUCUUCUUGUUCUACUCUUCUUGUUCUAGUCUUCUUCUUGUUCUACUCUUCUUCUUCUUCUACUCUUCUUGUUCUAACUUUCUUCUUUUUCAUUUUACAGAUUUCAUUCACUUGACGAAAGCUUGCAUAGAUGGAGUGCUCCUUAUCCCUUUCUCUGUUUCUUUUGUAUCGUUGAACUAUGCAUGUAUCGUUGGAUGAAACUGUUGUAAUAUAUAUGGUUGGAUGCCUCUAUGUUGAACUUGUUAUGUAUGACGGAACUAUGCGUGUAAUAUAUAUGGUUGGAUGAUGAAGUUAUGUGUUGGAUAUCUUAUAUGUUUGCUCUGUAAUGGCCUUUUGAAAUAUAUCUAUAUAUGUCAUAUAUAUUUGUGAUGAAAAUUGUUGGAUUUAAUAAAAAACAGAUAAAAGAGCCAAUAUGCAGGCUCUUUGCCGUCUGCCACCGACGGCAACGGGCUCUUUGCCGUCUGCCGCGGACGGCAAAGAAGACACGUGGCAUCUAACUGUGCUUCCUGGGAGCUGACCCAUUUGGUCACUUUGCCAUCAGUGGCAGACGGCAAAGAACCUGCCAUGUAGUGACGUGUAGAUGACAUCAUAUGACGGAUGGCAAAGACAUUAGGAAUUUUGCCGUCAGUGACGGACGGCAAAGUCCUGCCGUUAGCCACUUAACGGACUGACAGCGCAAUUAUGGCUGUCCGCUCUCUUUGCCGUCCGCCGCAGACGGCAAAGGGCCUUUGCCGUCAGCCGCCAGGAAGCAGACGACAAAGUAGCUGUUUACCGUAGCCUACUUUGCCGGAGCCUUUUGCCGUCUGUGGCUGACGGCAAAUGCCUUUGCCGUCCGCCGUUCAUGCCUUUGCCGUCCGCCGUGGCAGACGGCAAAGUAGCUGAUUCCUGUAGUGAAAAUAGCAUAAAACAAUAUAGACCCUGACUCUCCAUUAUGAAGAAUGGAGAUCAUCAUGUCUCCAAUUCUUACACUUUGCCUCCUUUUGCUUCCAGGAAGCUCCUUACGACUGUCCAUACAUUUUUUCCAUUCUUUGAUUGUCAUGUCUCCACUUCUUUUAGAAAUCUGGUAUGGAUAGUUGAUUUUCGUAGGACGACCUGGUUGUAUGUUCAAAACAUCAAGGCGACCGUGUGUAUACAUAAAAUGAGGCACGCAAUCAUUCGGGAUUAUCUGUUGAAAAACAUAGUAAUAACUUCGUAGUUAGCAAUGAUGUACUAGUUUUAGAAGUAUGCAAAACGAUGCAGGGAUGUCAUAAUAGUAAAAAAUCUUAUCAGGGUAUCUCCAUGGUAGUUACCGUAGUUCAACAUGUGCACUAGUGGCACGUAUUGACCAUAAUGUUGAGGAGUUCGAUUAUAGACAUUGUAAUUCUCAAGAUCAGUACAAAAUGCGAUCAGAUGAUUUUUCUCCUUAUAAGUUAAUUUGGAGCCAUCGGUGUAGUGGGUUUUGUCUUCCAUCUUCCGCACAUUCUUUGAAAAAUGAAAAUAAGCUGUCAAUGGAAAUAAGCUGUCAACUAUUUUGAAAUAAACAAUAUAAAUUACUUAAUAACUAUGUUAAGCUCACAUGGGGGAAGAAUUGGAGGUGUAUCCACAAGGACCCAAAUGUCCAUAUUGUCUUGCUUGAUUGUAGGAUCAUCAAGAUCCAUGGUGACAAGCAUACCCUCAUCAAAACCAUACAUCUUGCAAAGUGCUUCCCAAUUUUUGUAACCAAAAUGGGUUACACUCUCAGCAUUGUACAUCUUUACUUUAAAAUACACACCAUGAUGGGUCCUUAGGAGAUUUUUUUUGGUUUCCAUACUUUCAUGGUCUUCAAAACCCAUCCUCUCCAAGACAUAGCGUCUUGCAUAGCGUGGGAUAAGCUAGUAGAAUUGAAAAAGAUGAAAAAUACACGUUAAAAUAGUUGAAGUCGUGCUUAAUUACGAAAAAAAACUAUUAUUGUCGUUGCGUACCGUAUGAACAUCGAAGGUCUCCUCGAGCUUAAUGCUGAAGCGCCGAUCUUCGUCCAGCUCAAUGAACCUGUCGCACAUACCUCGGUCAUGGUGGCACUAGUCACACUGCCCCAGACGGUUUUCGUCGUCCGAGUACGACAUUUUCGGCCUAAGUUCAUAAUUCAAAUAUUAAACUUGUACAAUUAAAUAUAUGUACUAAAAAACCUAAAUUAGAUCAUUGUUAUUAAUCACGGGUUGACUAUCGGUGAUGGUACGUAGCUUCUCUUUUCAAUCCCGAGUGCAUUAUUACACCAAAUUAUCUAGCACACGGGAAUGAAGGAGAAGCUACCCAACGAUGGAGUGGAUGGUGGAGGGGGCUCCUAGAUUUCUGCAUAGAGUGCUCUUCAAUUUUAGCAUUCAAAGUAGGAGUAGUUUUCCAAUAUGAGCAUUCAAUAAGCAAAACCAAAUCGUAAAAUAAAGUAGUAUUCAAAUUAGCAUGCAUUCAAUUAUAACCAAAAGUACAUCAUCUCUAGUGUCCAUACAUCGUCGAAUAUUAUCACUAAUACUCCUCGAAUACUAUCAUACAUAUAGCAUCGCUAAUUAAUACAGCUAGAACCGUAGCGCCCGACGGGUAUCGUCGCGGGCGGUGGACACCCAAAGAUAAGGAACAACCACAUGAUCAUAGCUCCAGUGAGAUUCCUGAAGAACCUGCCAAGUAUUAUCGAACCUGCCCUCCAAUGUAACCAUGUAGAGACGGACGUGCUCGUCCUCCUCGCUGACAUGGUGAUGUACCACCUCCGCGGUGUCCGAAAGCCUCGGCACCGUCACUGGCCCACGCGACCGCCACCAAACAAGGAUCAGGUCAACAACGGGUUGCCUCCUCACCAACCUACAUCCCCUAGAAGGUAGCACCUCCCAAUACCAGCCCGACGGAGCCCGUCCCGAACAUGGCCCUGAUCAAGCAGGCCUCCACCGCCGAGUCGACGACAACGAGGAUGCGGGAUAGGCAUCGUCGACGUCAAUGCGGGAACUACUUCUAUAUAUAGUUAAAUAAAGUAGUUUUAUUAAUUAAAUCAACUAGUUCAACUACUACGCACUUACUAUAAAUAAAUAAAGUAGUACUUACUAGAAACAAGCUACUUCUAUAUAUAGUAAAAUAAAGUAGUUUAUUAAACCAACUAGCUAGUUCAACUAUAUAUGAAGCACUUACUAUAAAUAAAAUAAAGUAGUACUUACUAAAAAUAAACUAGUUUAACUAUAGUUCUAUUAUUUUUCUAACUAAUUAUAUUAAACACUUUCUCUUCUUAUUUUUUUCCUUUUUCCUCUACUCUAAAUAGAAACAUAUUCAUAAAUGACUUCUAUCAAUCAUAAUUUUCCUAUACAUACACAAUAUGAACAUAUAGAUAAAUUGACAAAGAAAAUACUAUGAACAAAAAAAUCAUUAAAAUUCUAUGAACAAAAUUACAACAAAAAAAUCAUAAAAAUUCUAUGAACAGAAAAAAAUCAAAAAAAAUUGACAUAUUCGAUCUUUGCAUAUAUAUGAACAUACAAACAUGCAUAUUCAACAAUAAUAUCACCAAAAAAAUCUAUUAACAGAAAAAAAUCUAACAAAAAAUCUAAAAAAAAAUCUAUGAACUACAAAAAAUCUAACAAAAAAAUCUAAAUUAAUUACAACUAUCAUCUAACAAAAAAAUCUAAAUUACUACACAUCUAACAAAAAAAUCUAUGAACUACAAAAAAAUCUAUAAAAAAAUCGAACAAAAUCUAACUCAAUUAACUACACAUCUAAAUUAUACUACACAUCUAAAUUAACUACUACUAACAUCAAAUUAAAUUAGCAAAAAUUUUGCUCAUGGCGACGGUGUCGGGGACGGUGACGGCGACGACGACGGGGAUGGCGAGGUGCGGCGUGGGCUGGGGCGGGGCGGGGCUGGCCGGGAUGGCACGGGGCGACGACGGUGAUGGCGAGGCGGAGACGGACGGGCAGCCUGGCGGCGUCGGGCGGCGGGGAAGAACGAACUGAACCAAAUUUUCGCGAGGCUGCUUAUAUAGGCAGAGCACUGGUCCCGGUUCAUGGCACCAACCGGGACCAAUGCACCCCUUUAUUCCCGGUUGGUGCCACCAACCGGGACCAAAGUCCUCUGCCGGGACCAAAGGCCGCCGCUUCCCGCCCUUUGGGCUGCUGAAAAGAGGACUNNNNNNNNNNNNNNNNNNNNNNNNNNNNNNNNNNNNNNNNNNNNNNNNNNNNNNNNNNNNNNNNNNNNNNNNNNNNNNNNNNNNNNNNNNNNNNNNNNNNNNNNNNNNNNNNNNNNNNNNNNNNNNNNNNNNNNNNNNNNNNNNNNNNNNNNNNNNNNNNNNNNNNNNNNNNNNNNNNNNNNNNNNNNNNNNNNNNNNNNNNNNNNNNNNNNNNNNNNNNNNNNNNNNNNNNNNNNNNNNNNNNNNNNNNNNNNNNNNNNNNNNNNNNNNNNNNNNNNNNNNNNNNNNNNNNNNNNNNNNNNNNNNNNNNNNNNNNNNNNNNNNNNNNNNNNNNNNNNNNNNNNNNNNNNNNNNNNNNNNNNNNNNNNNNNNNNNAAAGGGGGCAUUGGUCCCGGUUGGUGCCACGAACCGGGACUAAUGCACCCCUUUAGUCCCGGCUGGUGCCACCAACCGGGACCAAUGGGCCUUGCACAACGGCGUGGUGGUUGGAGUUUAGUCCCACCUCGCUAGCUGAGAGAGAACCGCACCUGUUUAUAAGGUGCGAUGCGCCGACCCUCUCGAGCACCUCUCUAAAGCAGGCUUUCGGGCCUAAUCUGUCUCUAUGUGCCCGUGGACCUACUGGGCUUACUACGGGCCUGAAUCAUGGCUCAUUGUUGGGUUUCUAGUCGUAUUCAGGCCGUGGGGGCCCAGUAGGAGGCACUUUUUUUGUUUUUUUGUUUUCUUUACUUAUUGUUGCUAUUUUUAUUUUUUUCCAGUUUUUUUGUUUUGUUUUCUGCAUUAUUUAUUUUCUUUUGUUUUUUGCUUUAUUUUUUAAUUCUUUUUUGCUUUUAGUUUUAGAAAAAUUAUAAACUUUCUGUUAGUGCCUUUAGUUUUUAAAUUUGAAAAAACUUUUUUUGUUUUUUUGUUUUCUUUCUUGCUUUAUUUAUUUUAUUUUGUUUCUACUUACAACAAAAUACUUAUUGUUACUAUUUUUAUUUUUUUUUCCAGUUUUUUUGUUUUGUUUUCUGCAUUAUUUAACCGUUGGUCCCAGUUCGAGCCACCAACCGGGAUCAAUGGUGGUGGGCCAGGAGAGAGGCCCAUUAGUCCCGGUUCGUCCCACCAACCGGGACCAAAAGGUCCAGAUGAAUCCGGACCAAUGGCCCACGUGGCCCGGCCGGCCCCCAGGGCUCACGAACCAGGUCCAAUGCCCCAUGGGUCCCGGUUCUGGAUUGAACCGGGACUAAUGGGAUGACCCGAAUAUCUAGCCUGGUACGACAUAGUAUGCGGUAAGAAUGAUACUCUUAUGCACGUUCUCACCUUUUCGCCACCGGAUGUAUCAUUCAGAAGGUAUUUGAUUGGCCCCUGCCUUGUGCCAUGGCAACAUCUACUAUCCCAUUUGAAUUUAAUUAACUUGAGACAAGGCGGGAUGUGUUUUGCUAGAAUCUAACUACAUCAGGGUUCUUCAUAGUUGACUCUAUGAACCGUGCCCUAUCGGACUCAGAGAUUCCAAUGGAUAAUCUACAUUCACUAAGCUCCCUGGGUUGGAUGGCCUCGGAAUCAACUGAGGCUUCAAUUUUGGACUUUGCAUUCCAAUUUUGACCUGGUCCUCUCAUGGGGUCGCAUGGGAGAGUUGAUCCUGGUGGUGAUGGGUCCCACGUAAAGUAUACCCGAUUGACCAGGAGACGAGCAGGCUCAUUCGCUGUUCUUCUCCUCCCCUCACGCUAAGAAAUGGUGGCGGCAGCUACUUUCCAGAGCGCUGUUGAAAUAUAUUGUUUGCCUUCCUCCAUCAGUUCGGACUUUUGGAUGAGUUGGCUGGAGCAUGAAUUCAAUAUGGUAUCCGAGCCAAGAGGUCUUGAGUUCAAGACCCUGCCAACGCAGUAUUAAAUAAAAACGAUUCUGCGGCCUACAUCGAUCACACGUCUACGAACUAAAAUAGUCUAGACGUGAGGGGGAGUGUUGAAAUAUAUUGCCUGACUCCCUCCAUCAGUUCGGACUAUUGGAUGAGUUGACUGGAGCAUGAAUUCAAUAAGCCCCAGGUGGUCCUCGACGGCGAUGGCCCUGGUUGCUCUCUACGGCUGAAACUCUUUCCCAGCGAUGUAGCUAGUCAUCUCUCUCCCGCCCCUUAGGUUAGGGUUUCGAGUCGCUGUCGCCGCUCCUCGCGCCCUUGCGCCACCUUGCUACCGCUCCUCGCGCCAGUGUUCUGCCGAUGCUCGCGCCAGUGCAUGGCCGCUGUUGCUCGUGCCCGUGCCCAACGGCUGCCUACUUCUUUUAUUGUUGCUACCUGCCGGAGGUCCUCAUGCUUACUUGCAUGGUUGUUUAGUGAUGCAGCCAGCAUAAUUGAGGCAGGCAUUGUCUUAUGACCAAAGUGGUAUGUGCUAUCCUACAAAUCUCAAAUAGAAAAUAUAAAUUUAGCGGUAUGUUACACCAAAUAUAAAUUUACAGUAUGUUACUCCAAAAAAUAUGCUAUGACUGUGAUUUGAUUUCAUAUAUUUGUUUGUUACAUCUCUAGAUUGUUGAGAUAGUAUAUAUUAUCUACAGUUAUAUUUUUCCCCUAUCGUCAUCCUUCUCUUAUGGUUUCCUUGUUGCUUGUGUUCAAACUAUUGUAUGUGCUUAACGUGCGAAACAAGAACCUGUCGCAAGUAGAUGCAUUGGUGGGAUGGUGUAGACAAUUCAUUCGAGGGAGUAAUGUCAUUGGAGUUUCUAUAGCUAAAUUAUUCAGCUUUGCAUGAUGUGUGCAUCAGCUCUCACAAUUCUGUACGCAUUAUUUCAAAUGACAGGAGCACCGUGUUUGGUAUUUUGGUAGAUUAUCUUCUUUGGUAGGGAGUGAUAUGUCUCUAAUGUAUCUAUAAUUUAUAAAGUAUUCAUGUCAGUUUUAUUAUAAUUUUGUAUAAUUUUGAUGCACUUUUAUAUUAAUUCUAUACGAUUUUCAUGGACUACCAUAUUGGCCUAGUGCCUGGUGCCAGUAGUUGUUUUCUGCUUGUUUUUGGUUUUCCAGAAAAUCCAUAUCAAAUGAAGUCCAAAUGAAGUGAAACUUUCUGACGAUUUUUUCUUAAAGGAAAGAGACCCAUGAAACUUUGGGGAGUACUAGAAGACACACAGGGGCCCCACAAGCCACCUGGGCACGCCCGGGUGCGUGGCCGCAUCCAGGUAGCUUGUGGGCCCCCUGUGGCACCCCUUGACGUGAGACCAACGCCAAAAAAUUCCUAUAAAAUUCAAAACCCACCAAAGUUAACCUCGAUGAGUUGUUCCGCCGUCACAAGCCUCUAUACCUUCGUGAUCUCAUCUAUAACUCUUUUUCGGCACCUUGCCGCAGGGGAAAAUCAUCAUCGGAGGCCAUCUUCACCGUCCUGGUGGUCUCCAUGACGAGGAGGGAGUAGUUCACCCUCGGGGCUGAUGGUAUGUACCAAUAGCUAUGUGUUUGAUCUCUCUCUCUCUCUCUCUCUCUCUCUCGUGUUUUUGAUUUGGCACAAUCUUGAUGUACCGCGAGCUUUGUAAUAUAGUUGGAUCAUAUGGUGUUUCUCUCUCUCUAUCUUGUUGUGAUGAAUUAAAUUUUUACCUUUGAGGUUUCACCAUUAUCGGAUUGAAUACUUGUUGGAUUUGAGAACACUUGAUGUAUGUCUUGCAUGUGAAUACCCGUGGUGAAAAUGGGGUAUUAUAUUGAUUCACUUGAUAUAUGUUUUGGCACUCAACUCGCAGAUUCCCGAGGUGACAUGGGGUAAUCUAUGCAUAGGGGUUGAUGCACGUUUUCAUCCUAUUUUCUUGAGUAGAAACUUUGAGGCACUCUUUGAAGUUCUUUGGGUUGGAUUAAAUAUUAUGAACCAGAAGUUGUUUGAUGCAUAUCGUAUAAUCAAUUCAGGGAUACUUGUGAUGCCAUUGAAGUAUCUAGGUGACAUUAGGGUUGGUUGAUGUGUAUCAUAUGCUGUUAUUUCAGUACGAACUCUAGGGUUGAUUGUGACACUUAAAGGAAUAGCUCAAUAGAAUGAUCCCAAAUGAUAACUUUAAGGUAGUUUCGUACCCUACAAAUAAUUUCAUCUGUUCUCCUCUUGAUAAGAACUUUGGGGUGAUUCUUUGUCAUACAUUGAGGUAUUAUUAUAUGAUUCAAUUAUGUUAGCACCAUUGAGAGAUUGCACUAGUAGUAAACUAAUAUAGAAAUUGAAGAUGACACUGAAAGUUAAGAUUUUCAUGUGGUAUCCUCGGAGAGGAUUUGUGCUAAUUAAAGACAAUAUUGCUAGACGCAACUAACAAGGAAGCAAGAAUUGUAGUUUUUGUAUUCAAAAUGAGACAAUAAAACACCUCUUUUUUUAAUGCAAGUUUGCGUGUUCUACAUGGUCCGUCAUCCAAAUAGCGCCCAAUUUGUAUCCGCUAACAAGUGUUGCCAAUAUAUAUGGUCACUGGCUUGAUGGAAUGCCAAAUACGAUUAGUACGCUAAUUCGGAUGGGAACAUCUGCCUUACAAUGGCCGGUUGGGCUAUGUAGAAAUGAUUGUGUUUUUAAUGGCAAAUAUCCUCUCCUAUGCAAGUUAUCUACUGUUGUACACAUUGGCUUCAUAUGUGGUCUGCGCUGCACUGAACGGAUUACUAGUUGUUGUUCAAGGUGGCGUGUAUGCGGUUGGAGCGGGUGGUUAGGGAGGUUUUUACCCAACAUGGGUGGCAGCAUAAUCUCCGGAUUGGUCCACCUCCUUCAUCGACAUAGGCAUAGUUUUGAUCUCAUAUGACUUUAUUGUUGCCGAAUUGCAUUUUUUACAUACUUUGUCAGACGGCUCUUUUUGCGGUUGUGUGCAUCUUAGUUAUGAAGGGGCCGGGUGUUGCUCAUCACGAUUUGUAUCCGCUUGAUGCUUCAUUUCUAGAUAAUAAAAGUGCACUUUAUCGAAAAAAAAUCAAGACCACCUAGAUGUGGUCAAAAUCUCCUGCAGCUCAAAGCACCACUCCAUUGAAGCGAUUCCUCGUGUCGAUCCCCUGCGGAAUGCCAGUGUUGUGCUGCUCACCAAUGACAGGGUCCCACACCAGAACAUGGUGCUUUAGCGGUUCGAGGUGCCCGACAUGGACCAGUACGAGGCCAUGGCGGCAUCCGAAGGUGGAGAAGUUUCGGUCUUCGCAUUGAAGCUGCAAGGACAAUCGCCCGGGUGGGAUACGAUCGGAGGCCUUUAGAGCAGGUACAAAGGAUAGGUUCAGAAGAUUUUGGUUGUAUAUAGAAACCAAUGACAGGAAGGUUGCAGCGGUGUCACCGCAAGUGGCGCAAGAAGCCUGGGUCGGAGAUGAGGAGGCGCCAACACCUGCAGAAGGCAGAGGCAUGAGCGAGGGACGACGGCUGCGAGGGCAGGCGAAGGAGGAUCUCCAAGAACAGGUUAUCAUCUUCGAGGGGCGCCACUACCGGCGAGUGGGGAUGCGGGUGGAUGGUACUACUCAUCUCACCAUCCUCACGGCCCACGAGGAUGCGGUGGAGUCUCGUACUUUUUCUUUUGACGUGAACAACUUGUGAUACCAGAGAACACCCCGCAUGUUGCUGCCGGAAUUGAUUGCAAUAUAUUUCGGUGAUUUGAUUGUAUGAAACUUCCAUCGUUGAAUUUAUAAUAUAUAAAUGAAAGCUAAAAAUAAAUAUUAUAUAUUUAUUUGAUUAUUGUGUAGUUAAUUUUUUUAAAUAUAAGUAGUGUAAUGUAAUGGAAAACUUUUUUUCAUGCAAUGUGAGUGGACCUGUGAUGAGGUGGCAUAUGUGGGUGGGUAAAAAGGUGUGCAUGAGAUCAACUAUUAAUGGAAAACUUUUUCUUAUGCAUGUAGUGGUUGGUCUUUGAUGAGGUGUCAUGUGUGCAUGUUGAGAUAAAUAGGAUAGUGAGGAUCAACUUCUUAUGUAUAUAGGAUAGAACUAGCGGGUAGUGCGCGGCGGCACGCCGCGUCACAUGGACUAAUUAGCUAUUUUGGUCUUUUUUUAAUAUUUGGUGAGUGGUCCCAAGAUUUUUUUGCCAAAGUAGUUCAUGUACAUUUAGUUGGGUGAUCGUGACAAAGUAGUGCAUACAAGAAAACAGUUCAUCUACGUAAGAGAUCUAAAUGAUACAUAGCAAUAUAGAUUGCCCGGCGGCUACAUAAGAGAUCUAUAUAAGAUAGAUAUCAAAUAUAGAUUGCCUGGCGUGCCACGCCUCGCUAACUCGUUUGAGAUUUUUUAGUUGUUGAAAAUCGAGUGUACCGUGCAGCUGUGUCUUUGUGGCGAUGUGACAGGAUUGAUUAUGUAUCUAACAGUUGUGCACUUUUUGUUUGUUGAUGAAAUUUAUACAUUGUGCCAAUGUGGAAACAAAUACACUUGGGAGUACGAUUAGACCUGCCGGUCGUGUUGGCUUAUUCAUUCUUUUUAAUGUAGCAUUCAGAGCUGGUUGUCGCGGUUGACUAUAGCAUUCAGAGUCAGUUCUUCCAUAUGGGUCUUCAAGGGUAUUAUAAUUUGGCUGAAAUCACUAUUUUGACUCUUUCAGCAAACUUUGUCAUAAAGUGAACUAGACAUGAAAGUAUUUCACGAUCUAACCCUUUUAGAAAUGCCAUAGCCCCCGGUGUUUCUGCCCAACAUACCAACGCCGAGGUAGCUAGCGCUUAUAUCCAACAAAGAAACGCCGAGGUAGCUCGCGUUUCGGACCAGAUGAGAAACGCCAUAGGCCUUGGUGUUUCUUCGCUAGCACCCAACCCACUCGCUGCCUCGUCAGGGUUUUCCUCCUCAGAUGCCAGAGACGUCGGGCCAGAAACGCCAAGGCUAGUGGCGUUUCCGGCCUUCUUAGAAACGCCAAGGUAAGAAACUACUCGAUAACCAGGGCCGCAACGCCAAGACAUAUGGUGUUUGUUUCUUGGUCAGAAACGCCAACGCCUAUGGCGUUUCUUACAUGGUCCAAAACGCGAGCUACCUCAACAUUUCUUUGUUGGACAGAAGCGCUAGCUACCUCGGCGUUGCUAUGUUGGGCAGAAACGCCGCGGGCUAUGGCGUUGCUAAAAAGGGUCAGAUCGUGAAAUACUUUCAUGUCGAGUUUAUUUUAUGACAAAGUUCGCUAAAAGAGUCAGAAUAGUGAAAAAGGCCUUAUAAUUUUCCACAUACGAUAUACAUAUUGAUAAGAUAAACGCUCUGCUCUACUACUUAAUUUGCGCUGUCCAUGAAUUUUGCUGAUCACCAUGCGCACAUGAAUGGGACAUUGUUGUUAGUAAUCUAACUAAACAACCAGCCAGAGUAAUCUAACUAAACAGCCAGCCACUUGGUACUUACGCCCAUCGGCCAGCGCAUUCUGGACAACCUGAAAAAUACAAACACACUGUCCUUUAUUAUAUACAGCAAUAAUUUUUUAACUUCCAAACCAAUUUCAUGAUGUGCAAAAUUAUUGACGACUAAAGAAUGUAAGAAUUCCGAUGGAUAGAGCGGAUCAGCAUCAGCAAGAUAAUCAGUUGAUGUAAUAUCACAGCUAACAAUUAUCUUGGAACAACCAGACAUAUACGGUUAUAAAGAGAUCCACUAAUAUCAUCAAGCAUUUUAUUAGUUCUGACGGUUAGCAUAAAUGAAGAAAAACGGAUCACGUGCUAUUAAUAGUAGCAGGUAUGUUAUAUCUUUAGGGGGGCAAAAUCACUAAAUUUUUAGAAUGCGCAGCCAUGAAGUAGAAGCUUUGAUCGGAGCUGAAAUUCGGUUUUGCCAACUGUAGAGUGAGUGCAGAUAUUGCUGUUGCCGAUGUCCUGUACCCACUGAGAAAAUUCAGAUAGUUUGGUACAGUGCAUGGCAUCCAUUGCACUUAGAUCAAUUAAAGGAAGGGAAAAAAAGUCAUGCCGUAAAACCGUAAACUAAUGCACACAAGCAUCUCAUUAUACUAUCAUAAUAUGUAAUUAUCAGCUAGAAUUGGCAUACAUGGCCAAACUUUUUCAGAUUGUGACAUCAUUUUUUUCGUGUACCCAAGACUGAAAACAACAGAAAAGGAACUUUCAAAAAGCUACUUACAGCAAUAACUUUGUUCUCUGAAAUGUUGGUUAGUACUAAAAACAAGAAGGCAUCGUUGUCAUUGUUUGUCUAGAACAGCAGUACAUAGGAGCUUAUCAAUCUGAAGCUUGUAUGCUAAACUCACCGAUUGCAAGGAAGAGGGAGAAGCUGAUGGAGGCAGGGCUGCAGGAAACUGCUGUUGCGCGGCACAGACAGGGAGAAUAAUGAUACGCACGGGUCUUGGACAGUGGACAUCUUUGCAGCAGAGCCGGGUGUUUGGCCGAUGAAGUAGUCGCUCAGCUGCAGAAGCAAUCUAUGUUAUUUCUAUACAAGAUGGGACAACAAUCUCUGAAAUGAUUAAUGAUUCGUUUCCCAUCUCUAGAAACUGUAUGGCCUAUUAGCAUGGGCCACAUAAAAAUCAAGAAGAAUAUGUACUAUAUAUUAUGCACAUAUGUCACUACAACCCAUACUGUAGUAGAAUAUAACAGGUUGAAUCCUCGGAACCAACUUAAACUGACAAUUUUCACUUCAUCGGACAUUCAAAUGAACACUCUUUCCUCUUUGCUCAUACUGUAUAGAACUGGCCACAGAUAUCACAAAAAUUCAUAGUUCAGUCAAAAAAUUGUACAAUUUAUCUUAUUUCUGUUAACUGGGGGAAAUAGUAGAAUCAAGAUACUCUACAGCCCAUAAAACUACCUCAUAUAUUAACUUGGAAAGGAAUUAACUAAGAAGUGGCCAAAAAUUAAGAGAUGUCUAAAAAGAUAGUGACAUUGUGAAAGCAAGUGAUAGAUCUCUAAAAUUAGGAUGGAAUGAAAGGAACCAAGUAGUGUGACAAUUAUAAGAUAUAUAAAAAGAUAACAGUUGAUAAGCAAAUGAGAGAUCUCUGAUAAUGAUUUAUUAGCAUGAAUAUCUUUUUGUCUAAUCCUGAAGAAAUCCCCCCUCUCCCUCGCUCGCUCCUCCCAGGUCGCCCCGCGUGCGACCGGGAGGAAACCCUAGCCGCCGCCGGUGGGGUCCCCCGCCCUUUCCUCCUCCACCUCCCCGCCGCCAGAGGGCACGGCUAGGCGAAGCCUGGUCGGCGCUGGCGGCGGCGGGGAGAUCUCGCCCCUCUGCUCAGAGGGCUCGGUGCGGGCCAAGGCGGCUGGGCCGGGGUGUCGCGCUAGCGGCUGGCGCGGCAGCGUGGUGGCGCGCUGGUUUUGAUCGACGACGGCGUGGCUGCGGCGUGGCGGGCGGCGUGCUGGGGGUGCAUGCCUGGGGGCUGGUUCCGGUCGCGGCUCCGCCAGAUCUGGCCCUCCGGAUGACGCAGGCCGGUGUCGGCGCUGGUCACGGGCGGCGGCCCCUGCCUCGCCUUCCAGCUGGUGGGGUGGCACCGUGACGGUGGUGGUCGACCCUCUCUCGCUUUCUGCUCAGCUGGGGGUGUUGGCGGACGGUGGCGACUUGUUGGUGGACGUUGGCGGCUCGGUGUGUGCCGUUGGCCAGCCGGUGGUGGUAGGGUGCACCCGGGAGGGAGGCAGAGGCCUCCUGGUCCCUGCCCCUGGUGGUGCGGUGCGGAGGCUGCGGCGAGGACGAGGCCGACGGCUGCGGCGUGGACGAGGCCGGCACAUGAGGAGAAGUCGAGGCCGGCGGCUGCGGCGAGGUCGAGGCCCGCGGCUGCUGGCAACCCUCUCCCCUUCCUGGAUCUGGCCAGCUGGGCCGUCUUCCCGCAAAGGGUUCGUUUUGGGGUGAAGGGAGUCCCCUUACCUCUCAUCAGUCGGUUCCAUCCCUUUGUUGUCGUGGUGGUUGCGGAGGGGUCAUGGAUGCCGGGGCGGCGGCCUCGUUGGUGGGUGUCACGCUGCUUGUGGGCGAGAUGCGCGACUCAGGUGUGGGUUGGUUGCUGUGGCCGCUCGGGCGGCGUGGCGGCCGGUGCUUCGGCGAGCGGUGGCGUUUCGAAGGUGGAGCGUGCGUGCCAGGGGCGAUCCCUUGCUCGGCUUCGGUGUGGCCGACGACGGCGGCGUCCGUGGGCGUCGUCUCCUUCCUAAAGGCGUCGUCGUGGCUACUCUCCCCCUUUGAAUGAUCCAGGUGAAAGCCAUGAUCCUUUGGAUCCGGCGGCGACGGCGCUCCGGUGUCGUUCCCCUUCUUGAAGGCGCCGUCUUGGAGGCCUACAUUCGCUGAGCUCAGCCUCGUCUCUCCGUGACAUUCUGUCAUGGUGGACUUCUCUGACUACUUCAAGCUCUGCCCUUGUUGCUCAUUUGUUGUAUGUUUGGAGUGUUGGGGUGUUGUGGCUGUUCCUGUACCUGCUGUAUCCAGCCUUGGGUGUGUUGUGUGGUGGUGUGGUGUGGUGUUGUGUGGUUAUCGUUGUCGGUUUUGGUGAUCGUUGCUUUAUAAUAUAAAGCGGGGUGAAACCCUUUUUUGGUAUUAGCAUGAAUCUCAUAACCACACACUCAUGUUUCCCUUACGUAGGCAGCAAAAGUCUAAAUGAUUAAGAUACUAUCCUCUUAACCUAUUAAAUUUGGAGUCACAAACAUUUUCCUACCAUCAAGUAACCUACAAAACCCACACAAAGAAGGAUCUGACAAACUAACUUUAUUUUUUCAAACAUUCAAAUAUACAAAUAAGCCAAAAGAGAGAUACAUUUUCAAAACUAACUUUAUCAUUCACUGAUAUACAACAAGUAGUCUAGAAAACCCAUACUUGAAUCAUUCUUAGCAAGAUAAACAUGUAGUACCUGAAGAACAUGCUACACAAAAUUCCUCUGGGACUCCAAGGUAAUGAAUCAAUCUUAUGGGUUGACUAAAGCAAUCCUUUUGAUUAAAGGCAUCCUGCAUGUGCAAAGCAAAAAAACAUAUCAUAAUGGGAUAUCAGCUUGAUGGAAAAAAAAUCAUACCAUGAAAUAUUUAUUUGCGAAAACGACUAUUGUACAAGAGAUAUCAGCUUGAUACGGAAUAUGAUGGAAUAAGGAUAGUAACUAUAGUGAUCCAAACACUCUGAUAUUUCUUUAAGAGGGGGUACAAAUUAAUGAUCUCAUAAGUGCGAGAGGGGAAAGAACAACACCUGAUCAUGUUGAAGUAUAAUAGUGAACUGUACAUUCACACCUCACUCAAUUUUCAGGUUUAGACAGCCCGAGCUUUAUAACUGAAACAAAAACAAGAUGGUAUUGAUCCUCCUUGGAUAAAUUCAAUUCGAAUAGAGAAGAAGUUCUACUUAUGAAUCUAUAAAAAUAAUUCAAUGUUGUUCUAGUAUUUAAACAAAUUCACCAUGGAAGCUACCUCAUUAUCAACCCAUACGCAGAUUACAUAAUCAGUGCAACAUCAAGAAAGCCGAAGAUCGUGCACAAAUUUGCAUCCACCUCUAAAUAUAGUAGAAGACCUGCAAGGAAGCGAUUACUAUUAGUAAUCUAGUAGAAAUUAUCAUCUUCCCCUACCACAAACCUGAUUAUAUAUAAGCUAUUUGUGUAACAUAUGCACACAAAUUAUCUGCGGAUACAUUUACAUUCUAUCUUGAAAGGAUUGUGAGAAAGGCUUUUAAGAUAAUAAACACACCAAAAAAAAAGUACAGUAGUUUUUUUUUGCAUGAACACGAAUCCUCAAUUUUGGGCUUUUGGCUGAAAUUACAGCAUUUUCCAGUGCAGAAGUUGUCAUUGUUAGGUUGAUCUCUCUCCCGUUCGAACCCAACGGGUCGAACGGGCCCCUGACUCGCGCCCUGAUCGGGGGCGCCCAACCAAACCAUGGUUGGUGGGCCCCUGUGACCCGUGCUAUAUAAACAGAGGUGGGGGCUGGGGCACGACUUACGAGGUUAAUCGCUGCCACAAUACCCACCGACACUCCCUUCCGAUCUAGGGUUAGCGCGGCACUCACGGGAAGCUCCACCACCGCCGCCAUCUCUCUGCCAUCACCGGCCCCUACUUCACCAUGGCCGGUGCUGGAUCGAGUUUGUCUGCACCAGCAGAAGGUAGGUGUACCGGAAAGAUCUAGCCUACACGAUCCAAAUGGGUCUAUCAAUGGUAUCAGGCCAUCUUGGUUAGAUGAUUUUCGGUAAAAAGAUAAAACAGAGAAGGAAAAAGAGAUCCCCUCCCCAAGAACCCUAACCAGAGGGCAAAGAAAUCUCAAAGAAAGUUGUGCCGCCGCUCCGGCCGCGCUGUUCCUCUCGAUCCCGAAUCGCAUCGGCACGCCGAGGAUCCGGGACGAAGAACACUACCCCGCAAGGGGCAAAGGGCACCACCACCGAACCGCUUGACGGCGGCGCGCUCUCCUUCGGGAGCUCGCGCACACCGGCAAGGGGGACGGGAGAGGCGCCGCUGUAUCGCACAGAAGAGCAGAGCAGGGCUCUGUUGGCAUCUCUGAUCCAUAUCUCUCACUGGUUUCGGUGUAUAGGGUGAAAGAAAAGAAGGGGAAGGGGAGAAGGAAUGGAGAGGGCUCGCGCGGCGCGGUGGUGGACGCCGUCACUGUCCCGCGGUUGCCGGUGAAGUCCCGUGCGGGACAGAGGUGAGCGGCGCGUGCGAGAACAGGGGAAAAGAGCGGGAGCAGCUGGGCCUCGUUCUCCCUGUCGCAGUAGGUGGAAAGAGAAAGGGGAAGGAAGAGGAGGUGUGUGCGGCGCGGUGGCUUCCGCACCCGCCGCCGGUGGCCGGACAGGGCGGCCGGGGCGCAGCCCCGUGCUCACGCCAAGGCGAGCGGCGAGAACGAGAAGAGCGGCGCGCGGGGGGAGGAAAUGACUAGGGUUCCCCUCGCCCCUCACCGCAUCAAUCGAUUUUGAUCAGGCGAAAACGACACUGGUCCGUCGGAUCGCGACGGACGGCGGCGAACAAAACCCUAAGCCGCACCGGGCUUUUUGGGCCGAAAGAGGAGCUAGGCGCAGCCGCAUGCUGGACCGCGGCCGGCAGCCGCGCAGGCGCUGGGCCAAGGCUGCAGCUGCGGGCGGCCCAGGCCAGGUCGAGGCAGCUCGACUCGCACGAGCGCGCGGGGGAGUAGGCCAUGGGCCGUUGCGGGCCUCCCGCGCCAGGCCGAGGCCGGCUGGCGCUGGCUAUUUUUUCUUUUAUAUAGUCUUUCUAUUCAAAUUAAUCCAAAGUUUUUUUUGUCCAGUAAAAGAAAAUGUUCAUGAAUUUUUUAUAAAGAAAAUAAUAGACUUCAUGAUUUUCUAUUCGGUCAAAGAAAAGUUUCUAUAGAGAUUAAAAAGAUCAUGAAUUUUUAUUCAUGUUUUUCCUCUGCGUAAAUAAUUAAUGCUCUUUUAUAAAGAAAAUAAAAGUUUACAUAGUAUUAAGUUUUUAAGAGCAUGUUAAAGUGAUUAUUAAAAUGAAUAUGAUUAUGUUAUUUUUAUGACCAACGUUGUAAAUACAUGAUCAUGUUUUAUUAUUGAAAUUUAAAGGUGCAUUUAUUUCUAAUAUUUUGCCCAACGGUAAUAUAGAUUUAAUUGCAUAAACAAUUGUAUGAUUUAAUUUGACCAACGUUAGAUUAUUGCAUAUGAUUGUUUUAUUGAUGUCACUUAAAUUGUGAUUUCAGGAGGCUUUCACUUGAUGAGUUGCCUAAAUGAAGUUCUGACACUCAGAGGUGACAACCACACUGAGUGGAGGAAGAAAGUUGAACUGGCAUUUGUUUGUGCUGAUCUUGACUGGGUUGUGGAGAAACCACAGCCGGUCAGACCCACAGAGCCAGUAAGAGAGGCCACUGAUGAUGAUGAUGCAUGGGCUAAAAAGAAGAGGGACUAUGCUCCUUUGGAGUAGUCCUACCUCAUAGAUAACCAAAAGUGGGUCAAUGCAAACAAAAAUUCAUGGCAUUUAUAAAGAAUACAAUUGAGAGCGCCAUUGUGGGCUCCAUUGCAGAGUGCACUUCCGCAGGGGAGUUGCUUACAAAGAUAAAGAGCCACUUCACUAGCUCUUCAAAGAUAUAUGCCACCCAAGUGUUAGAGCAACUGGUGACACAGCGCUACACGGGUGGUAGUCAUGGAAUAAGAGAGCACAUUCUGAGGAUGAGCAAUAUGGCAGCAAAGCUAAAGCCCAUGGAUGAGGAUCUGGAGAUCAAACCAACGCUCCUGGUCCACCUGGUCAUGGCUUCACUGCCAAAGCAGUUUGAAACUUUUGUUGUAAACUAUAAUAUGACCCCUGGAACAUGGGACAUUGAAAAGACAAUAGCAAUGUGUGUCUAAGAAGAGGAAAGACUCAAAGCCGCACAUGGUGGUUCACUCAACUAUGUGAAGGAUUACAAGAAAAAGAACUACAGUCAAAAAAACAAAAGUUCUCCUUCAACGCAUGGAAAAGCCCCCCAUCAGCAUCAUCAUCAGCAACAACCUUUCUCAGUGGACAAAGACACUUGUCUCCACUGCAAGCAGAAAGGGCAUUACAAGAAAGACUGCGCUGCUUGGCUGAAGUCAGUCAUGGCAAAAAGAGGUAACAAUAUAGUUUCAUUUGUAAAUGAAUCCUUGUAUACACAGUUUUCAAAAUCCACUUGGUGGAUUGAUUCAGGAGCAACUGUUCAUAUUGCAAAUUCUUUACAGGAAUUCCAUUCGACGCGAACUACGCUAAGAACCGAAAGACACAUUGAAGUGGCAAACGGAGUAGAAGCAGAAGUUGAAGCUAUUGGUAACAUCUCCUUGGAGUUAGCUGGCGGAUUCAAUCUUCUACUUAGAGAUGUUUUAUUUGUUCCAUCAUGUCAUAGAAACUUAAUUAGUGUUUCUUCUCUGGACAAAGAUAAUUAUGAAUGUUAUUUUGGACAUGGCAAGUGUGCCAUUUGGUAUAAUAAUGCUUAUGUGGGUGAUGCUUUACUACAUGAUGAGAUUUAUUUGUUAUCACUUCGUGAAAAAGUUUAUUCCGUUUGCAAUGUGAAAGAAAAUGUUUCCUCGUCAAAUAAAGAUCAAAAGAAAAGAAAAGGAACGUUUGACUCAUCAAAAUUAUGGCACUGUCGCUUGGGCCAUAUUUCGAAGGGGAGAAUAGAAAGAUUAGUCAAAAGUGAAAUUCUUCCUCCGUUAGAAUUUUCAGACUUAGAACAAUGCAUAGAUUGCGUUAAAGGAAAGUACGUAAAACAAAUCAAAAAAGGUGCAAUCCAUAGCACAGGCACACUAGAAAUCAUCCACACUGAUAUUUGUGGACCAUUUCCGGUGAAAAGUGUGGAUGGAUAUGACUCGUUCAUAACAUUCACAAAUGAUUACUCUCGCUACGGAUAUAUUUAUCCAAUCAAAGAAAGAUCUGAAGCGUUGGAUAAAUUUAAAAUAUUCAAAGCUGAAGUUGAAAAUCAGCAUGAUAAAAGAAUAAAGAUAGUUAGGUCCGACCGUGGGGGAGAGUACUACGGUCGGCACACUCCAUAUGGCCAAGUCCCUGGACCUUUUGCAAAGUUCUUGCAGGAGACUGGCAUAGUUGCCCAGUAUUCAAUGUCGGGCGAACCUCAGCAAAAUGGAGUAGCUGAAAGGCGCAACCGUACACUUAUGGAUAUGGUGCGCAGCAUGAUGAGUUAUUCCAACUUGCCAUUGGGAUUAUGGAUGGAGGCGCUUAAAACCGCCAUUCACAUUCUCAAUAAAGUACCAAGCAAGUCGGUGCCCAAAACACCAUACGAGCUAUGGACAGGAAGGGUGCCAUCCCUACAACACUUCAUGGUGUGGGGGUGCCCUGCUGAGGCCAAAAUGUUUAAUCCAAACAUUGGAAAGUUAGAUCCCAAAACAGUGAGUUGCCACUUCAUUGGCUAUCCAGACAGUUCAAAGGGUUUUCGUUUCUACUGCCCAGACAGAUAUACAAAGUUUGUAGAAACAAGACAUGCAGUCUUCUUAGAGGACGAAAUGAUGAGGGGGAGCUUGGUAGCUCAGAAAAUUGAUCUUGAGGAGAAGAGGGUGCAUGCACCUAAUCCGAUGAUCCAGGAGCCAUUUUUCUCACUACCAGUUGCAACUCCACCCGUGACAACUAUGGGGGCAGACCCGGAACCUGUCCGUCAGGAGCCGACUGAACCCGUUGUUGAGCAUGAAAGGGAGGUGCAGCAGCAAAUUUUAGAAGAAGUGCCAGAAGUUGAGGCACAGAAUGUGCCAGAAACUGAGGCUCUUAGAAGGUCUACAAGACCAAGAAAGUCAGCUAUUUCUACUGACUUUAAAGUUUAUAACACAGAAAUGGUUCAUAUGGAAAAAGAUCCCACCUCAUAUGAAGAAGCCAUGAGAAGCCCUCAUUCAUCGAUGUGGAUGAAGGCAAUGGAAGACGAGAUGAAAUCAAUGAGUUCCAAAGAUGUUUGGAACUUAGAGGAAAUUCCUAAAGGAGCCAAAUCAGUAGGCUGCAAAUGGGUCUACAAAAUUAAGUAUGACUCUAAAGGGAAUAUUGAAAAAUAUAAAUCACGACUCGUGGCAAAAGGAUUUGCACAAAGAGAAGGGAUAGAUUACAAAGAGACAUUUUCUCCGGUCUCAUGUAAGGAUUCCUUCAGAAUCAUAAUGGCAUUAGUUGCUCAUUUUGAUUUAGAGUUACAUCAAAUGGAUGUAAAGACGACAUUUCUCAACGGAGAUUUAAAAGAAAAUGUCUACAUGAAACAGCCCAAGGGUUUUAUCAUGGAAGGCAAGGAAAAUAUGGGAUGCCGCCUCAAGAAAUCCAUUUAUGGAUUAAAGCAAGCCUCUAGGCAGUGGUAUUUAAAGAUUAAUCAAACGAUUAAAAGUUUUGGAUUUAAAGAAAAUAUUGAGGAUAACUGCAUUUAUGCAAAGUUUAAAAAUGAGAAAUAUAUUUUCGUAAUCUUGUAUGUGGAUGACAUUCUGCUUGCUAGCAGUGAUGUUAGUCUACUACAAGAAACAAAGAAGUUCUUAUCCUCGAAUUUUGACAUAACAGAUCUUGGUGAAGCAUCAUAUGUUUUGGGCAUAGAAAUUCACCGAGAUAGAAACAAUGGAGUCUUAGGACUAUCGCAGAAAGCAUAUUUAGAAAAAGGUUCUUAAAAAGUAUAAUAUGCAUGCGAGUAAAGCCACACCUGCUCCUAUAGAUAAGGACGAUAGUUUUGGGAAAUUCCAAUGUCCCAAAAACCAGUACGAGAUCGAUCAAAUGAAAGGAGUACCAUAUGCUUCGGCAGUUGGCAGCUUGCAGUAUGCACAAGUGUGCACUCGCCCUGACUUAGUCUUUAUCACCAGGGUACUCGGUAGAUAUCAAGAAAAUCCAGGCAUAGAGCACUGGAAGAUGAUAAAGAAAGCAUUGUGUUAUGCGCAAGGCACGAAGGACUACAUGCUAACAUACAAGAGAUCUGAUUCCCUAGAGAUAAAAGGGUACUCAGACGCAAAUUUUGCAGGGGACAAAGAUGAUAGAAAAUCCAUGUCAGGAUACAUAUUCACCCUCGCUGGGGGAGCUAUUUCAUGGAAAAGCUCCAAACAGUCGACAGUUGCAACAUCCACGAUGUAUGUAGAAUUCAUAGCAUGCUUCGAAGCCACGGGGCAGGCGAUAUGGCUAAAGAAAUUUGUACCCGACUUGAAAGUGGUAGAUUGUAUUCACAAACCACUAAAGAUGUACUGCGACAAUCAGCCCGCGGUACUUUAUGCUCACAACAACAAGUCGAGUAAUGCUGCUAAAUCAAUAGAGAUAAAGUAUUUUGUUGUGAAAGAUAAAAUCCAGGAUCAAACAAUAAGUCUCGAGCAUAUAAAGACAAAAGAUAUGCUUGCGGAUCCGCUAACGAAAGGCUUACCACCCAAUGUGUUCAAGGAACACUUAGCGGCAUGGGUUUAAGGGAAAGCCUAAUGAUUCCUGGAUAGGCCUAAAAGGAACAGAAUUUGUUUCUGAACAAAACGUAUGUUGUAGCUGAAUGAUUCUAUCGGCAAUUGAGUUGUGACGAUGAAACUUGCUCUAUGUACCAAUAUGUGAUGAAACAAAUAAACUAGAAAGUACAAAGUUAAAAGUAAAGUUGAGAUCAAGGGGGAGAAUGUUAGGUUGAUCUCUCUCCCAUUCGAACCCAACGGGUCGAACGGGCCCCUGACUCACGCCCUGAUCGGGGCGCCCAACCAAACCAUGGUUGGUGGGCCCCUGUGACCCGCGCUAUAUAAACAGAGGUGGGGGCCGGAGCACGACUUACGAGGUUAAUCGCGGCCACAAUCCCCACCGACACUCCCUUCCGAUCUAGGGUUAGCGCGGCACUCACGGGAAGCUCCACCACCGCCGCCAUCUCUCUGCCAUCACCGACCCCUACUUCACCAUGGUCGGCGCUGGAUCGAGUUCGUCUGCACCACCAGAAGGUAGGUGUACCAGAAAGAUCUAGCCUACACGAUCCAAGUGGGUCUAUCAAUGGUAUCAGGCCAUCUUGGUUAUAUGAUUUUCGGUAAAAAGAUAAAACAGAGAAGGAAAAAGAGAUCCCCUCCCCAAGAACCCUAACCAGAGGGCAAAGAAAUCUCAAAGAAAGUUGUGCCCCCACUUCGGUCGCGCCGUUCCUCUCGAUCCCGAAUCGCAUCGGCACGCCGAGGAUCCGGGACAAAGAACACUACACCGCAAGGGGCAAAGGGCACCACCACCGAACCGCUUGACGGCGGCGCGCUCUCCUUCGGGAGCUCGUGCGCACCGGCAAGGGGGACGGGGGAGGCGCCGCUGUAUCGCACAGAAGAACAGGGCAGGGCUCUGUUGGCAUCUCUGAUCCAUCUCUCUCACUGGUUUCGGUGGAUGGGGCAAAAGAAAAGAAGGGGAAGGGGAGAAGGAAUGGAGAGGGCUCGCGCGGCGCGGUGGUGGACUCCGUCGCUAUCGCGCGGUUGCCGGCGAAGACCCUGCGGGACAGAGAUGAGCGGCGCGUGCGAGAACAGGGGAAAAGAGCGGGAGCAGCUGGGCCUCGUACUCCCUGCCGUAGUAAGUGGAAAGAGAAAGGGGAAGGAAGAGGAGGCACAUGCGGCGUGGUGGCUUCCGCCGGCGCCGCCGCCGGCCGGACAGGGCGGCCGGGGCGCAGCCCCGUGCUCACGCCAAGGCGAGCGGCGAGAACGAGCCAAGCGGCGCGCAAGGGGAGGAAAUGACUAGGGUUCCCCUCGCCCCUCACCGCAUCGAUCGAUUUUGAUCAGGUGAAAACGACGCUGGUCCGUCGGAUCGCGACGGACAGCGGCGAUCAAAACCCUAAGCCGCACCGGGGUUUUUGGGCCGAAAGAGGAGCUGGGCGCAGCCGCAUGCUGGAUCGCGGCCGGCAGCCGCGCAGGCGCUGGGCCAAGGCUGCAGCUGCGGGCGGCCCAGGCCAGGUCGAGGCGGCUCGGCUCGCGCGAGCGCGCGGGGGAGCAGGCCGUGGGCCGUUGCGGCCCCUACUUCACCAUGUCCGACGCUGAAUCGAGUUUGUCUGCACUAGUAGAAGGUAGGUGUACCGGAAAGAUCUAGCCUACACGAUCCAAGUUGGUCUAUCAGUCAUAUCUCUGAUCUAGAAGUGAUGUAUACGAAAAUAAGCACCAAGUAGCAAAACUAAGAAAUAUGAAAAGGAGAACCAAAGAUAUUGCUGGGUGGUACUCGCUAAUUCAUGUGAAGACGAAGACAUGGGUCUGGACGGGGAGCUCGAACUUGAGAUUGAAGUACUCGCUGAUUUCUGCUCCAUCUGAUCUCCAUGUCUAGCAGCCCCAGCCUGCUGUGAGCUAGUAACCUAGGCUCCAACGUGCAGCCAGUAACCGCGCUGCUCCCUCGGCGCAUGGCCCGGUGACGCGCCCCGGCGGUGACACCUCUAAGCUCUGACGCACGACGGAAUCGACCCGGCUUCAGCCCUUCCUCUAGGUGGAGGGAGCUUGAUCAAAAGGAGAGAAGGGAGUGGAGAGAUUAGCAGGAACCUACUCCAUUGAUGCUUGCUCUGUUCACAGAUCGGCCAUGCGGAGAGGAGAUGGAAGGACGGCGGGUGGAGAGGUGGGGGCCUGGCAGUGGUGCGGGGAGUCAUAGGCCAGCGGCGAAGUGGUUGUGUGCGCCGCCAGAUUUUGGAAGACAGGCUGACGGAGGGAUGACCUAGAAAGGCGAAGUGAAGACCCAUGCAGUAAGCUUGUCCUUUUAUAGCGCAAUAUGCGGUGGGCUGGUGGGCUAGCUGCGGACGGUGGGGGAAGUGAGUCCUCUAGAGAACUGGACACGCGGUGGGCAGCGGAGACACUAGUAGAAAAGGGGGCAAAGGUCCAGGCCAGGUCAGCCCAUUAGUCCCGGUUCAGUACAGAACCGGGACCCAUGGGGGCAUUGGACCCGGUUCGUGAGCCCCAGGGGCCGGCCGGGCCACCUGGGCCAUUGGUCCUGGUUCAUCUGGACCUUUUGGUCCCGGUUUGUGGGACGAACCGGGACCAAUGUGCCUCGCUCCUGGCCCACCACCAUUGGUGCCGGUUGGUGGCUCGAACCGGGACCAAAGGCUAAAUAAUGCAAAAUUCUUUUAUUUUCUUUUACGAUCAGUACUUAUUUUUUUUAUGACAAUUCUUUUUUUCUAUUAAAGUUUGUAACAAAAUUCUAAUUACUUAUUUAUUUUCUUUUAUGAUAAUUNNNNNNNNNNNNNNNNNNNNNNNNNNNNNNNNNNNNNNNNNNNNNNNNNNNNNNNNNNNNNNNNNNNNNNNNNNNNNNNNNNNNNNNNNNNNNNNNNNNNNNNNNNNNNNNNNNNNNNNNNNNNNNNNNNNNNNNNNNNNNNNNNNNNNNNNNNNNNNNNNNNNNNNNNNNNNNNNNNNNNNNNNNNNNNNNNNNNNNNNNNNNNNNNNNNNNNNNNNNNNNNNNNNNNNNNNNNNNNNNNNNNNNNNNNNNNNNNNNNNNNNNNNNNNNNNNNNNNNNNNNNNNNNNNNNNNNNNNNNNNNNNNNNNNNNNNNNNNNNNNNNNNNNNNNNNNNNNNNNNNNNNNNNNNNNNNNNNNNNNNNNNNNNNNNNNNNNNNNNNNNNNNNNNNNNNNNNNNNNNNNNNNNNNNNNNNNNNNNNNNNNNNNNNNNNNNNNNNNUAUGAUAAUUCUUUUUGCUUUUAAUGUUUUGAACUAAAUUCUAAUUACUUAUUUAUUUUCUUUUAUGAUAAUUAUUUUUGUUAUUAAAUUUUGCAACAAAAUUCUAUAUAAUUUUAGUUUCAAUAGUACUAGAGGUUUAUAAAAGCUUUUUAGUUGAUUCUUUUAGUACCAGUUCUAAGGCUGUUACAAAAGCAUUUUAUUUGGUACAGGUUUUAAGGCUGGGGUCCCACGAGCACCUUUUAGUACCGGUUCGUGGCAUAUGAACCGGUAAAAGAGUAUUUUAGUUGAUUCUUUUUGCAGCUGUUUUUAGUCCCACCUCGCCAAGCGAGAGGCACUCGCACCAGUUUAUAAGCCGUGAGUGUAGAGACGAUGAAGGGAGAAGCGCAGUGCUCACCUGCACGUUGGCCUGAAGCUAAGCAACGUGCAUGUGAGCAUUGUGCCUCUCUUUUAUUUUGGCAUGGUAUCAUCAUUUCAUCCACAUAGCAUAAGCAAAAAGAAUUAAAAAAUAAAGCAAAAAAUAAAAUAAAAUAAGUAAUGCAGAAAACAAAACAAAAAAAUUGGAAAAUAAAAAUAAAAAUAGCAACAAUAAGUAUUUUAUUGUAAGUAGAAACAAAAUAAAAUAAAUAAAGCAAGAAAUAAAAAAAAUGGUCAGGAUUGGAAGCAACAACAAUAAGUAAAGAAAACAAAAAAACAAAAAAAAUGCCUCCUACUAGGCCCCCACGGCCUGAAUACGACUAGAAAUCCUACCAUGGGCCAGGAUUCAGGCCCGUAGAAGGCCCAGCAGGACCACAUGCAAAGCAGUGUCAGAUUAGGCCCAUAGGCCUGCAGUUCAGAGGAGUUCGAGUGGGAAGAGGCAGCGGAGCUUAUAAACAGGUGUGGGGCGCUCUCAACUAGCGAGGUGGGACUAAACUCCCACCACCACGCCGCUGUGCAAGGCCAUUGGUCACGGUUGGUGCCAUGAACCGGGACCAAUGCCACCCUUUGGUCCCGGUUCGUGGCACCAACCGGGACCAUUGCCCCCCCUUUAAUUAGUCCCGGUUCGUGCCACCAACCGGGACCAAAGGUCGCCGCUUCCCGCCCUUUGGGCUGCUGAAAAGAGGACUUUGGUCCCGGUUGGUGGCACCAACCAGGACUAAAGGGUGUAUUAGUCCCGGUUGGUGCCACGAACCGGGACUAAAGGCUUUGUUAUAUAAGUUCACACUAGGGAAAUUUUCACUCUCAUCUCGCAGUUGCCGCCCCAACGAUGCCGCCGCCGCCAGGCUGCCCCUCCGCCGCCCGCCUCCCCCACCGUCGCCGUCGCCGUCACCCGUGCCCUCACCGUCGCCCGCGCCCUNNNNNNNNNNCGGUCGGCGCCCUCCCUAGCAUUUUUUUCAUAUAUAUGCUUGUUUUUUUCAUAUAUAUGCUUGUUUUUUUAUAUAUAUGAUGAUAUAUAUGCUUGUUAUCAUAAUUGUUUUUGUUCAUAUAUAUAUAUAUAUAUGUGAUGAUUUUUUUAUAGAAUAUGAUGUUUUUUCAUAGAUGAUCACAUAUAUGCUGUAUGCACGGAUGUGGAUGAAAUAUGAUGUUUUUUUGUUCAUAGAACAUGAUGUUUUUUUUAUUCAUAGAUUUUUUUGUUUAUGAGAGAGGCGGGGACGUCGAGCGAUCAUAGAUGUAUUUUUUCAGAAUUUUCUAUCGUGCAUAGACGAAGUUUAGACCAUGGGAGCACCCCCUCCCUAUCGUUGCAAAAGUUGCUAAGUGAUAUUAAGAAGGACGUGGAGGGUUGAUAUACCCCCUCCCCGAUAAUAUUAUUUUCAUGUAUGUAUGUCGUGUCGAUAUAAACUCCCGAUAACUUCAACACGUGGGGGGGUCGAUAUACCCCCUCUCGACAACUUCAACACGAGCGGGGGUCAAUAUACCCCUCCCGAUAACUUCAACACGUGGGGGGGGGGGGUCGAUAUACCCCCUCCCGAUAACUUCAACACGAGGGGGCCGGGGUCGAUAUACCCCCUCCCUAUAACUUCAACACGUGGGGGGGGGUCAAUAUACCCCCUCCCCGAUAAUAUUCAUAUGAACAAUGAAUUAGGCAAAACCUUUACUUUUUUUCUAAAGUUUCUAUUUGAACAUUAUUUUUUUUUAAACAAGCAAUACUACUUCAUGUAUUUUUAAGAAAGAAGAAGAAGAAAAAUAAUAAGAGGAAAAAGGAAAUAAGAAGAGGAAGAAGGGAGAAAUAAAUAAGAAGAAGAAAAAGUAAGAAAAGGAAGAGGAGAAGAAGAAAGGAAUAGAGGGGAUGAAGAAGAAAUAUAAAUUUUUCUAUUUUUUCUUCUUCUCCUCCAUUCCUUUCUUCUUCUUCUCUUUUUUUCUUCUUUUUUCUCUUCGAUCUUCUCCUCUAUUCCUUUCUUCUUCUCCUCUUUUUAUUUCUUCUUUGUUUUCUUAUGUUUUAUCGGGUCUGUCGUCGUCCAUAUACCCCUCCCGAUAACUUCAACACGAGGAGGGGGGUCGAUAUACCCCCACCCCGAUAAUAUUAUUUUCCCAUGUAUAUGUAUGUCGCGUCGUUGUCGAUAUAACCCCUCCCCGAUAACUUUGACAUGAGGGGCGGUCGAUAUAUAUACCCCCUCUUGACCGUGAUAACUUAUACCACGGCAGCACCCCCCUCGGCCCUCUCGCUCGACCGAAACUCUCGAGGACACCCAAACCCUAAAGAAAAAAUGAUGUUGGUCUCCUACCCCCUCCCGCCGCGCCCCUACCCGACAAACUCUCUCGAGGCCACCCAAAUUUACCAAGUUAAAAGAGCAUUGUCGUCGAGGCCACCCCAAACCCUUGAAGCGUUGUGUCGAGGCCACGCCAAACCCUUGAAGCGUUGUCGAGGCCACCCCAAACCCUAGAGAAGCAGCGUCGAGGCCACUAAUUAAUAUGAUUCCUUAUUGUGAUUAGCUAGCUAGUUCUAUGUUUGCCACUAAUAUAUCCAUAUCUGUCAUGUUUGAAUAAUAAUUGCCAUGUUGUAAAUAUUUGUAGAAAUUAUGGACACCCCCCGAGACGAAGCAAGAUAAGUGAUGUUGGAGGAGAUAAUCGCACAUGGAAGUGAUGCCGUCUUAUCGUUUCUGAACGACACCGAUGGUCUAGAAGGACAGGGUGAAGAAGCAGGCAAUUAUGAUGGCUCCUUUGACCCAAUGCUGGUGCAAGAAGGAGACCAUGAGGACGGCUCCGGUGACCCAAUGACGGUGCAAGAAGGAGACCGUAAUGACGGCUCCGGUGACCGAACCGAGUCUGGCCAGGUAUAUAUAUUAGUUAAGCCUGUGCUGACUAGCUAAUUGAUGCAUUCAUUGUUUUGGUAUAUGUACACAUAUUAAUUAACUCUCGUCUUUCUUCUUUUUUCUAGCCCUCCGGAUCGAGCACAACUUAGGUAAGGAGACGAGGCCCGAAGAAAAAGUUGAGCUUGGAUGAAAGGUUUGAGAUCACAGCAAUCACGCGCGACGGCAAACUGAUUGAACCCAUCCGGACAAAGAACGCAUUUGCUGCUCAGUGCGGGGUUCUUGUUAGGGACAAGAUCCCGAUCAGCAUCCACCAAUGGUAUAAGCCUAAGGAGGAAGACCCUCAGGUGUCUUAUGUCAAUGAUAUGCAGAAAGAUGAUCUUUGGACUGAGCUGAAGGCAAAUUUCACCCUACCGCCAGAGGAGGAUCCGGAGAGGCCAAUUAAAGAGCAAUUAAUCAAGUCUUGUGCUCUUAAGAAGAUGGCAGGCCUAUUCAGGAGGUGGAGGAAAGAGCUGAAAAAGUUUGUCGACAAAGAAGAGACACUAGAAUUCAUCAGCAAAUAUGAGAAGAUCAGAGAUCACUGGCCCACAUUUGUGGCCCACAUGACAUCGGAAAAGAGUAAGAAGAUGUCGGUGACAAACAAGCAAAAUGCUGCGAAGAAGAAGUUUCACCAUCGCACGGGGUCAGGUUGCUACCUCAAAGCCCGGCCUAAGUGGUCCAAGGCUGAGAAUGAUCUACUUGAUAAAGGGAUCAAACCAGAGAUAAUGAAAUGGUCAGACCAUUGCCGGACUUGGUUCUUCGGGGCUGGCGGAACCUUGGACCCUGUAUCAGGGAAGUGCCAUUGGACAGACGAGCAACUGAAAACACCAGUCAACAUGCUUCGGCACUAUAUCGAUGCAGCGCGGCAAGGGACAUUCGUUCCAGACAGGGAGAAGGACGAGCUCACAAUGGCCCUCGGGAAUCCUGAGCACCCUGGACGGACACGAGGCACACUAGGCUCCAUUCCGUGGAAGGUUGGUUUUCCGGACACAGGGGGUUACAAAACCCACGAGAGGAGGAAGAAACUGGAGCAGAGCCAACUGUAGGCGCUGCACGAAAGGGUACAAGGGCUAGAGGAACGAGAAGCAGAUCCCAGGAAAUGACCUGCUGAAGCUUCCCCUGAAGCUACCCCGCCAUCUCAGCAAAGAAGCAGCGUGGCUUCCACCGAGGUGCUUCAGCCGGAGCAUGUCUUGACGGCUCCUGCUAGCUACCUCGUGGAUUUUAUCACGGAGGCUCAAAAUUGCCAACUUAUGACGCAAUGGCAGAACUUAAAAGUCAAGGCGGCUGUCGGCCAAGUUUGACCUUCUGAACCCGGUACAACUUUUCACUGUCGUCCGAUUCCAUAAGGAUAUGCCAGGGUGACGGUGGACGAAAUAACGAAGGGAUUUGAGGACCUCCAGCUUGACCACCCUGCCGGUGAUGGGGAGACUCGGCUGGGUUCUGCUCUGAUGACUCCAUGCCUAUGGCGGAAGUAGUUCAUCAAGCUUCCGAAGUGGACGCGUCCUCCUCCUCCUCCGGCGAGUCAGGGCACUCCACCACCUCCACCGCCUCCUCCUCCGGCGAGUGACGAUGAGGGCACUUAGCCUCCUUCUCCGGCACGUGGCGGCACUCCGCCUCCUUCUCCGCCUGCGCCGGCGCGCCCGAGCAGCCAGCAGCCUCCUCCUUCUCCGCCUCGCCAGCAAGGGCGGAAGAGACCCGCCGCCGCCACGGCUGCUCCGGCGCGUCAUAGUCCUUCUCCUACGCAUCGUAAGCAAGCACGAAAGAAGACAGACGCCACAGCCGCUCCGUCUAGCAGUACAGCCAACAGAGGUGGGAGGCAAUACAGAUACGGUCCUUCUCUCAAGCCUCUAGAGAAGUUACCGUACGAGAGGACCAAGGAGGAAAACGCAAAGAUCAUGCAGGCCGAAGUGGACGACUUCUUUGAAGGGUUGAAAGCAAAGAGACAUCCACCUCCGGAGGAGAAGGUAGAUCCGGUGAAAGCAAAGCGCACUAUCGAUGCCCUGAGGAAACCACCAAAGUCUCCGCCGAGAACCAACUAUGAGCGCAUUACUGAACAGACAUAUCUCGAAGCGGAGCGGUCAAGAAGUACUGUCAGUGAUAAAAGGUUAAAAGAACGAGCAGCUGGGAAAAAAUUGCCCAGCUCGGCGAACAAGCAAAGCAAUCGUGCCCCCCUCUCAAUGUGUCUAGCGGCGACAUCGUCGCUAAUGCUCCGGGGACGGUGGCUGGUUAUGGCAAUCUUGGAGAUUACCUGCCUGACGAUCAACUUCCUGAUUUCUUGGAGGUGGACGAACACAGAUACGAGUACAGGAAGCCUCUCGUCAAAGAUGAAAAAUCUCUAACAACGAUGAUGCGAAGAUUCCAUAAUUGGUACAUGAAAACCUGCAGAGAGUCUGGGGGGACGAAUGCUUUGUAUCUGAAUAUUAAAGAGGAGCACGACCUCGUUGGAACUGAUCUGUUGACUGUUCCAUUUGUGGAGUUCUUCGAGUUCUUCAAUCAAAAGGCCCUCGAUAAAUUAACGGUCUUUUGCUACUAUCUAUAAGUACUAUUUCUGUCAUUAAGUCUCUAUAUAUAGCUCAGCUCUUUCAUUGCAUGUAUUUAUAAUUAAUUAUCCUCACUAUAUUAUGCAGAUUGAAGAUCGUCGAGUGCAAAAAACAAGAAAUGUAUGAUAUUGGGUUCAUUAACACAAAUAUCAUAGAUGAAAUUCAGGUUACAAAGCACGCCGAAGAGGCCGAGGCCAACUUGCUACAAUCGUUGAUCAAAAAUCAAAACAAAGAUUUAAUACUCUUUCCUUACAACUUCCAGUGAGUGUUACUGUCGUGUGCAUAUUUGGUUUCCCUUAUUACUCGAGUGAGGUUAUAGUAAUGUAAUUGAUGAGUUAUGCAUGCGUGCGCAGAUACCACUAUGUUCUUCUGGAGAUUAAACUUGAGCGGGGAGUAGUAAACGUCUUAGACUCGACACGAAAAGAUCCCCAAACCUAUGCGGACAUGACUAAUUUACUCAACAAGUAAGUUCAAUCGAUCAUUAUCGCACCAUAUCGGCAACUUUUUGUUCAUUUCCUAAUAUCUCAAGUAAUAAUAAUUAUUUUCUUUGUCUUGCAGGGUUUGGAAACAGUUCACCGCAGAAGUUCCGGGACUGCGGAAGGAGCUGCGAUAUACAUACCCGAAAGUAAGUACUACUAGCUAGCUAGUUGCGCGCAUCUCCCGUUGAUUCUAUAGCUGUACUUUUAUCAAUACCAUUUAUAAUGCUUCAUUAUCAGUUUGAUUGACCUUUAUUUCUCGUAAAGUGCUUGUGGCAGGAAUAAGGGAAUGAUUUCUGUGGAUACUACGUGUGCGAGUUCAUCUACAACGCGACUUUGAAAAAUAAGCGGGGCUACUCUAAAAGACAAUAUGAAGUGCAUAAGAAAUAAUAUUCACAAUUUCAUUUUGUUACACCAUCAUUUCUGUUGAGUUUCAUUCAUAUAUGUAUUAACCCCCUUCUUCAAAUUAGACGUGUCAGAUGCGGGAUGAACUCCUAGAACAAGAUUGCAUGAAAGCAAUUCAAGAGGAAUUGGCGGGAUUCUUUCUUGACCACGUCAUCAAUAAAGCCGGAGAAUACCAUGUGGAAGUUGAUUUCAAUUGCUAGGGGAUUGUAAGAUAUCUUACAUAUUGUAUAUGUAUGUAGCCAGUAGCGUCGGAUAGAUAAUACGAAAACUUGUUGUUCGACUAAUCUCUCGGAGAAGGAGAGGUCGAUCGAUUACUUCUCUCGGUAUGCAUGACGAACUUCUGCACUUAAUGGUUCCCUUCAUUUUCUUACUAGCUAGCGUGUCGAGGGACUCUCUAUGUACAGUACGUAGCGUCAACCAAGCACGGACAUAAGAGAGGACACUUCUCUCUAUUAAUUAGCUAGCUAACACAAUAUAUGAAACACCUAAAUUAACCCCCNNNNNNNNNNNNNNNNNNNNNNNNNNNNNNNNNNNNNNNNNNNNNNNNNNNNNNNNNNNNNNNNNNNNNNNNNNNNNNNNNNNNNNNNNNNNNNNNNNNNNNNNNNNNNNNNNNNNNNNNNNNNNNNNNNNNNNNNNNNNNNNNNNNNNNNNNNNNNNNNNNNNNNNNNNNNNNNNNNNNNNNNNNNNNNNNNNNNNNNNNNNNNNNNNNNNNNNNNNNNNNNNNNNNNNNNNNNNNNNNNNNNNNNNAAAACCCCCAGCCACUGAAAUGCUGACGUGUGGAUGCCUUUUGGUCCAGGUUGGUGCCACCAACCGGGACCAAAGGCCCUCCUGCCUGGGCUCGGCGCACCGGCCACGUGAAGGCCCAUCUGUCCCGGUUCGUGUUAGAACCGGGACUAAAGGGGGAGGCAUUAGUAACGACCCUUUAGUCCCGGUUCAAGAACCAGGACAAAAGGCCCUCACCAACCGGGACAAAUGCCAUGUUUUCUACUAGUGAGAAAUAGCAUGGUCAGGGUUUGAUUUCGAUGAUGACUCGUGGGCAGUUCCCCAAGGUACGUGUCCACCAUCGCUUUCCUUUUUUACUACCACGUCAGAAUGGUCUAGAAAAAAGGACAAGACCACAACCUUCACGUGCAAAUUUUACCUCUGCAGGCCCGUAGCAACAAGUGUAAUUUUCUAGAGGCCGUAAAAAAAUUCCAAAAAACCAGAGAAAUGAAUCCCUUACGGGCCUAGUAUUCUUAGUACUAGCCAUACCCGCGCGGCGGCACACCGCGCUCCACCGAUACAUGGUGUUUAUAGGUGAUGCAUUUGUUGUAUGCAUGUAAUUUCAAAUUAAAGUAACAAAACUGUGUGAAUAAUGUUGUAUUCUCAAAAAAGCAAUUAGUGCAUGUCACCAGAGGGUGGUGCCUCUUAGAUAACAGAAAGUACAUGCUAAUGCUUCUCUAGUAAGACUAAACGUCUUCCAUUUAUUUCUGGUCUACAUCAUUCUAGUUGAACCUCUUGCGAGAUUGGUGCAUGUGAUGAAGUGGUAGAGAGCCUUUGCAAAAUGUUGCAUGCAGCCCACAUGCAUGAGCAUUGGUUCCGCUGUAUGUAAUGAUUGGAUCAUCAGUAUGUGCACGCUGCGGAACAUGCACAAUGAUAUUGUGUGAGAACUCUAGUUUGCCAGGUGAACUCAUUUUGCUGGGAAGUAAUUCGCUCACGGGCCAUGUUAAAUUUCCAUUGUUUGGUAUAUGCCUUCUCAAAGGUUGCUUUUAUUUUGUGGCUUCGUGUGCAUGGUAGUUGUGGUCAUUGAUAGUGAUGUUGUAGUGAGGAAAAUGUAUUCCAACGAUACGUUUUCUUCGGCUAUGUCCAAUGUCUCAUCUAGCUCACCUGUUUGGUUCGGCUGUGGAUUUCUAAAAGCAGCUGUGAAAAAUCUGCUGUGAAAAAACAGCUGUGGAAAAUCUGAUGUGAAAAAGAUGUAGGUCAUUUGGCAAACCAGCUGAUACAGCUUUUUCAGAUUUUGGCCCGCAGCGGAAUCAGAUUUUGGAAAGCACGUCCUGGGCUGCUUCUCCUUUUGGUUCAGAUUUUGGCAGCGGAUUUCUGGAAUCGGAUUCUGCUGGGUUCGCCCUUUGGUUCAGAUUCUGCUGCGCGGCAGCGGAAUCCGUUGAUAAAAGCUGAACCAAACAGGGCCUAUGUGGCCUGCUUUGCGUCGAAGUCACCUAGUUGAUGUGGGAGUGUGAUGAUAAUACAUGCUUCUAUGUUGUCACUGUGUCCAGUUCCAGUGGUUGUAUUCUUGUAUCUCUAGCUUGGCAGUAAGGCAGAGUGCAUCAAGAAAGAUGUGCCGUGAUAUGCAGACCGCAAGUUCUUCCUUUUAUAUGUCGAUAUGCUAUUAUUAGUUGUUAAUGUGAACAGAAAGGUGCAAAAUGUAUGAGUUGUUGAAUAAGCAACAAUCGGGCACACGCCUGAUUCGGGUCUAUUGCCUUUGUUCCUAAGUUAGUUUCCCAUUUGAGACCUCCUUCGUAGGGUACUUUCUCGGUCUUGCCGUGUGCAUUAUUUUAAUUUGACUCCUAGUGAGGAUUGUAAAUUUGUAAUCACUUGUUUUAAAAUCAGUGGCCUAUCUUUAUUUUUCGGCAAAAGAAAACAUAUAGUUUAUCCCAAAGUUGCAUCCACCUGAUAAUAAAACAUGCGAAUAUUGGUAGUGCUAAUUACAGAAAAUACAAAAAGUCCCUAUAUCGACAGGCUCUUUAUUUGGGUAUUCUAUAGCUAUGUAGCCUAAAACUGGUUAAUAGCUAGGUGCAUGGCUUGUGUACUGGUGGGGACCUGAGGGUACCAUUCAUAGCAUACGUGUUGCGGGUUGGCGGGUUGCUCAUUCAGUUUCUGGAUCAACUAGAUGACCCGGUGCGCCAAUUGGCACAGAGACCCAUUUGAAACCAUGUUCGCGUUGAAAAUAUUUGCCUUUGUUAGUAACUUUAUGUUUGAUCAAGGAUAGAGACUAUGUCAAACCCGAAGGUUUGGUACUGAUUAGUUGCCUCUUGCAUGGAUCUGAUAGUAAAGUUGAAUUGUGAACAAAACCAUGGGUUAUAUAACCCAACACUGUUGCAAGGUGGUCAGCUAUAUGCAAAUCUUGAAACAAAUCUCCAAAAGCUAAAUACAUAAUACCAUCACACAAUGACAGAAACACGUAAGGAACAUAUGUUCUACAUACCUAAAUGAACGCAUGAAGAGAAAUGCAUUAACUUAUUUAUGAAAUUUAGGCCAUAAUUUCUCGGGAAGCAUAUUCUCCUAAGAAAGAAGGCAUGUCUAGCCACACCAAAAGUUUCAUCUGUGAGAAGCAUUUUCACAAACACGUGUUGUGCAACUUGUUCUACUAAUCAAAGAAAACCAACAAGCAGAGAGGAGAAACUCAGCAACCUGCAAGCUGAAGAUGAGCAGAAAUGGAUAGCACAUGGACACCCUCUGUCGUCCCUGCACUGCUGCCCCCUUUCUCGUCCAGCUUCCGGCGUCCAGCCACCCCCGUUGCUCCCAUGAUCUCUGCUGCCGGCUCCAUCUUCAUCCUCUGCUGCAAGGCCUUGUCAUUUCGUCAAAUACACACAACAUGAGCAGAAAUGGAUAGCACACGGACACCCUCUUCCGUCCCUGGAUAAGUAAUGUAUGAUCCAUUAUGUACAAAGUUCCUUCAAUACAAAAAAAAUUCCCAUAUAGCAUCAACAUUAGCUGACUAAUAUCACAGGGAUCAUCUCUGUUGCAAGCAGUUUUUAUUUUGCAAAAAGAUCAAGUGUAGUAUCAUGUUCCUAAAUAUACAGAAAAACAAAAGGAUUGAGGGCAGUAAUGUAUCAGUUCUCAUCUGCACCAUAAAUUCAGUAAAAAGAAUUGUAGGCAUCAACAUCGUAUCUAAAAUCCAGCAUGGCAAAAUGUAAAUGAAAUGCACCCGUUUCUAUCACAGGAAAAUGCAAACAAAAUGCACCACGGACGAUGCUAAUAUCCAUCUCUUUUAGUGGGGCAAAAUACUGUAAUUGACCUUUUGCCGGUACAAACUGUUAUAUUCCAUUUUCUUAGCAUUGCAUCUCACCACAAUUUAGGGAUUGUAACUAUGGAGUAAGACUUUAUGUUACUAUGGUAGCAUGACUAACUCACGGAAACUGUGUUCCCUCUUAACGAUACAGAACCAAAUUGUAGAGCUCACCUAAUUAUCCAAAUAGGUGAUGCGAUGGUAAGAAUUUUUUGCAUAAACAAAAUAUUGGACCGGAGGAGGCGUCCGCGGGCAACGCAGAUGAGAGCACGCACAACGGACCCGGACGAUGCAGAGGGUUGAGGGCUUGGGGCCACCUAAAUAUCUGGAGCAUGUCAAAUCAAAAUUUAGGUGCAUAGUACAUUGAAAUCUCCACCCGGAUCACGAAUAGAGAAAUCUGCUGAAAUAUGUUCCAUCUGAAAAUGUAUAUAACAUGACGUCAUUGAUAUGCCAUUAAAAGCUAAGCAUCUUGUGUCAUUUAUGACACUUGGAUCAACAUUUAAGGGAAUAAGAACAGAACUGUCAAGUGGGAAUGUUUUACUGAAUUUCAACUUAUUUGAUAAAAUUAUUAGGCAAGCUUUGAAAAUAAGUUUAUAAGCUUUCAGAAUCCUAUCCCCAAACACACGAAGAUAAUAGAAGAAAUUGACUUAAUUUCAUGAUCAAGAUAGGCAGAUAAGGGAAAUAAUUCUAGGGUGGAAGAACAUAAUAUACAAUUUUAUAUUUGUGCAUUAUAAGUAGUGAAGGUUAAAUAUCGCAAUGAUUUGUAUCUGGUUUUCAAAUAUUUCACAUAGAAAGAACAAAUAAUUAUGUAGUUUCAGUACAAAAAGGUAGCAUACGGUGAUGAGUCCUCAUGACGGAGCCAAUUAAUGACAGCACGGUCACGGCAUAACAUGCAUACGUUCCGUUGGUGAGAUCGUGCAUGGUGUUGGAAUAUUAGGCAAGUUCAUGAUUAAUUCCAGUAAAUAAUUCAUGACUAGAAGAUAUACUAGCAUGCAAUAAUCUAGCAAACUAGAAGAUCAGCAAGACAUGCAUAACAGCAGCAAGCACGUAACAAUAGCUGUAGAAACAGACAUGAACAAAGGAUGUUGGACGUACUGAUCGUUAGCUAUUAUGGGUGCGACAGUGUUGAUGACGAUGUUGGCGACGAUCUGCUGCUGACGGCGAUGAGUACGACGAUGAGUAGCACCACCCGACUUGGACGGAAGACGACCCGUGAUGACGAAUUUGAGCAGUCGCGCACAGCACUUCCCAAAAACCUAAUUCGUCCUUUCCCGGUGCAGGAUCGCAAAGACGAACGGUUCCGGAGACCUGCUCUCCCACGCGCCGAUGCACGCCGGCGUUUGGGAUGGAGUAGACUACGAUGGCGGCGCAAGUUGUGAGACGAGGCAAAACCCUAGGUGUUUUUCCGGUGUAUCUCUGGCCGCAGCCGGUAGCUAUAUAUAUAUUAGGACCAGAGGCGGUAUUGUGUCGCGACCACAAUCCGAAACCGACUUGGUUUCUAAUUCGUAUACUUACCGGACAAGAAAUCAAAACUUGUCUGCCAAGACAUAAAAAAUAAAACGGCAAAAGGAAGCUGCGCUCCUGCAAGGAGACGGACCGGAUUUCGGCGGACCAUUCACGCGCAUGUCGCAUGUACGCGCCGCCCCGCCCCGCCCAGGCCAGGCGAGGCGAGGCGAGCGAGCGCGCGCGUGUGGCUUUCCCUUUCUCUUCUCACACACCACUUAGAGUGGUGGAGAGAACCCACUAUAUAAAGAGGUCCAACUCUUCUUCAACUUCUAAGGUGGGACUAAACUUAGCACCACCACUUGCCAUUUUACACAUGGGCUUUGAGAUUUCAGAAAUUGCUAUGGGCCUAGCCCAUUAAUUCUAACAAUCCCCCACCAGAUCUCAAAUACCCAUUUAGAGAUUUGCCUUCUCUCACCACUUGUUUAAUAUACCAGUGUUUCAGCAGAGACUGUUAAGUUGAACUUCUGCCUAGAACUUUAAGCUAGAUCCAUUCACAACUUGACAAUGGACUAUGCCUUGAAUUGCUAGUUUUGUGUGAACAGGUUUCACUCAAAGUCUUAACCAGUACCUGACCGCCAGUAGGCUACCCCGCGGUUUGGAGCUUAUACGUCAUACUCCCUGGUCUCUUCGUGAGUUUACUAGAGAUCACCCAAAUCUCAUAGACUGCGACGUUUACAGUCAGAACUCAUAUAGGUGUGUUCUUUCAAGACUGCUCUGUAGGACAGCAUCUUUGCUAAUUAUAGCCAAUAGAACCACAUUAAGGCAUGUUGCCGACCUGCCUUACAGAUCUGAGCCUUACAGCUCUGAGAGUUUUGCAUCUUCACUUGGAGACGAUCAUAAGUUAUUACUCUCCUCAGUUAACCAAUAGCUUGUUCUUCCCAGAUCCUAAUUCACGGGAUCUCCGAUCACAAAGGUUGGGUUACUACUAUGGUGUAACAUCUAUGGGUCUCAUACCCAUCUCCCUCGAUGCAAUAUCUAUCACAUUUCGUGAUAGUCCCUUUGUAAAGGGAUCUGCCAGGUUUUUGUCUGUUUGUAUAUACGUAACAGUUAUUACUCCGGAGUUUCUCAACUUCCUGACAGACUUCAAACGUCUUUUCACGUGUCUUGAUGACUUUGCAUUAUCUUUAGAAUUGUUUACUUUAGCGAUAACCGUUUGGUUAUCACAAUUCAUAAGAAUAGCCGGUACAGGUUUUUCAACAACCGGCAAGUCCAUCAAGAGCUCACGCAGCCAUUCUGCCUCAACAGUAGCUGUGUCCAAAGCAAUUAAUUCUGCUUCCAUAGUUGACCUUGUCAAUAUGGUUUGCUUGCAAGACCUCCAUGACACUGCACCACCACCAUGAGUAAAUACAUACCCACUUGUUGCGUAAAGUACAUCAACAUCGGAGAUCCAAUUUGAAUCACUAUAUCCUUCUAGCACAGCAGGAUGCCCUGAAUAAGUAAUUCCGUAACUCAUAGUACCUCUCAGAUAGCGCAAGACCCUUUCUAGUGCAUGCCAAUGAUCAUCACCCGGGUUGGACAUGAACCUACUCAGUUUGCUCACAGCAAAAGAGAUAUCUGGUCUUGUAGCGCUAGCUAAGUACAUGAGUGAACCGACAAUUUGAGGGUAUCUUAAUUGAUCUCUCGUUUCUUUCUUGUUCUUUCUGAGUGUCACGCUGGGAUCAUAAGGUGUUGGAGAAGGCUUGCUAUCCAUAAAACCGAAUCGGUUCAAGACCUUCUCAACAUAGUGAGAUUGCGUUAAUGUAAUCCCACUCUCAUCCUUAAUAAGUUUGAUGUUUAGAAUUACAUCGGCUUCUCCCAGAUCUUUCAUGUCAAAACUUUUUGAUAGAAAAGACUUGACCUCAUUAAUUGCAUUAAUGUUUGUACCAAAGAUCAGUAUGUCGUCCACAUACAAACAUAAUAUGACACUAUUGCCCUCACCAUGGCGAUAGUAAACACACCUAUCAGCCUCGUUAAUGACAAAUCCUGCAGAAGUCAAAGUUCUUUCAAACUUCUCAUGCCAUUGCUUAGGUGCCUGUUUCAGACCAUACAAAGAUUUUAACAACUUGCACACCUUUCUCUCUUCACCCUUUACCACAAACCCGUCAGGCUGAUCCAUAUAGAUCUCCUCUUCCAACUCUCCUUUGAGAAAAGCUGUCUUUACAUCCAUUUGAUGAAUGAUAAGACCAUAAGAGGCAGCCAAGGAAAGUAACACUCGAAUGGUGGUCAUUCUAGCAACGGGUGAAUAGGUGUCAAAGUAAUCUUCGCCUUCUUUCUGAGUGUAGCCCUUGGCCACUAGCCGCGCCUUGUACUUAUCAAUAGUACCAUCAGGCUUUAGCUUCUUUUUGAACACCCACUUACAGCCCACAGGUUUACAACCAUAUGGUCUAUCAGUUAGUUCCCAAGUUCCAUUAGAAAGAAUUGAGUCCAUCUCAUUAUGAACAACUUCUUUCCAAUCAUCUACAUCUGGAGAUGCAUAUGCUUCUACAAUCGUCUUGGGUGUGUCGUCCACAAGGUAUACAAUGAAAUCAUCACCAAAGGAUUUUGCAAUCCUUUGUCUCUUGUUCCUUCUAGGAACUUCAUUGUUAUCCUUCUUAAGGACUUCCUCAUGUGAUUGUUCGAAAUAUUCAUCAGUUGUACUAGAUUCAGGAAUUAUCUCAGAAGAAAAUCUAGCAAUGCUAUGCAUAUCUUUCAUAGGAAAUAUGUUCUCAAAAAAUGUUGCAUCACGAGAUUCCAUUAUAGUAUCAACAUGCAUAUCAGGUACUUCAGAUUUUACCACUAAAAACCUAUAAGAAAUGCUCCGUUGAGCAUACCCUAGAAAGACACAAUCCACUGUCUUUGGUCCAAGUUUGCGUUUCUUAGGAAUAGAAAUAUUGACCUUUGCCAAACAUCCCCAAGUGCGCAAAUAAGAAAGUGAUGGUUUUCUCCCAACCCACUAUUCAUAAGGGGUUUUCUCUUUAUUAUUGUUGGGAACUCUAUUCAGGACAUGACAUGAAGUCAAUAGAGCCUCCCCCCACCAUGCCUUAGAUAAACCAGCAGUGUCUAACAUGGCAUUCACCAAGUCAGUCAAUGUGCGGUUUUUCCUCUCGGCCACUCCAUUUGAUUGAGGUGAAUAGGGAGGCGUCCUCUCAUGAAUAAUACCAUGUUCCUCACAAAAUUCAUCAAAAACUUUUGGAAAAUACUCUCCACCACGAUCGGACCUAAGACGCUUGAUCUUUCUCUCUAGUUGAUUUUCAACUUCAGCUUUAUAGAUUUUAAAGUAGUCUAAUGCUUCAUCUUUAGUUUGCAACAAAUAAACAUAGCAAAAUCUAGUCGCAUCAUCAAUCAAAGUCAUGAAAUAUCUCUUUCCACCUUUUGUCAACACACCAUUCAUCUCACAAAGAUCAGAAUGUAUGAGUUCUAGAGGUGCCAAGUUUCUCUCCUCGGCAGCCUUACGAGGCUUUCGAGGUUGCUUAGAUUGCACACAACUAUGGCACUUAGAACCUUUGGCAACUGUGAAGUUCGGAAUUAAACUCAUGCUGGAUAGCCGAGACAUUAAACCAAAAUUAAUAUGACAUAAACGAGAGUGCCAAAUACUUGCAUCAUCAUUAACAUUAGCACAAAUUUGGUUUAUUGACUUAUUGCAAAAAUCUGAAAGAGAAAAGCGGAACAAGCCUCCGCACUCAUAGCCUUUUCCUAUAAAUUGUCCAAAUCUUGACACGAUUACUUUAUUGGACUCUAAAACUACCUUAAAUCCAUCUCGACAUAGAAGGGAGCCGCUAACUAGAUUCUUGUUCAUAGUAGGGACAUGCUGCACGUUCCUUAGUUGCACGAUCUUUCCCGAAGUAAACUUCAGAUCCACCGUGCCAAUGCCACGAACAGAAGCAUGUGACCCAUUCCCCAUUAGGACGGAAGAAUCCCUUGCGACCUGAUAAGAAGUAAACAGGGAGAUGUCAGCACACACAUGAACGUUAGCACCCGAAUCAAUCCACCACGAAGAUGAUUGAAAUACUGAAAGCACAAUAGGUAGAUUACCAUACCCAUCAGUAUUGCUAGCGGUCACCAUGUUGACAGUCUUGGAGCUUGUUUUCCCUCUGCGGUCUGCACGUUCAGGGCAUUCCUUGGAAAAGUGUCCAGGCUUCCCACAGGCAUAGCACUCUAGCUCAGCCUUGUUGAACUUCUUCUUCUUGAAGGUAGUAGUCUUGGUAGGCUUGUUGACAACAGGUUUGUUCUUCCCUUUGUUCUUGUUCUGUGGGUACCUCUGCACCAUGUUAGCAGUAGGCUGAACCUCACCUCCUUUUUCAGUGGUAUCUUUAGCCCGAGCUUUUUCUUCAACAUCAAGAGAUGCAAUCAGAUUUUCAACUGAUAUCUCCUGUCUCUUAUGCUUCAGAGUUGUGGCGAAAUUCCUCCAUGAAGGAGGCAACUUUGCAAUCAUGCACCCAGCCACGAAUUUGUCGGGUAGAACACAUUUAAGGAGUUCAAGUUCCUUCACAAUGCACUGUAUCUAAUGAGCUUGUUCAACCACAGAACGGUUAUUCACCAUCUUGUAGUCAUGAAAACUCUCCAUGAUGUACAGUUCACUGCCUGCAUCUGUUGCACCCAAUUUUGCAUUCAGUGCAUCCCACAGAAUUUUUCCGUCGUUUAUGUGCAUGUACACAUCACACAGACGGUCAGCAAGAACACUCAGAAUGCAUCCCACAAACAUAGUAUUGGCUUCCUGGAAUUUUCUCCGAUCUUCGUCGGUCAUUCCCUCUGGAGCACCAACACUAGCGUGGAAAACUUUCAGAGCAGUAAGCCAGAGCGUGGUCUUCACCUGCCACCUCUUAAAGUGCACACCGGUAAACUUAUCCGGCAUCAGUGCAUCAGCGAAUCCAGCCAUAGUUAACUCAGGAAAUUGCCUACAAUUAGGUUUUUGGAUUGUUGGAAUAUUAGGCAAGUUCAUGAUUAAUUCCAGUAAAUAAUUCAUGACUAGAAGAUAUACUAGCAUGCAAUAAUCUAGCAAACUAGAAAAACAGCAAGACAUGCAUAACAGCAGCAAGCACGUAACAAUAGCUGUAGAAACAGACAUGAACAAAGGAUGUUGGACGUACUGAUCGUUAGCUAUUAUGGGUGCGACAGUGUUGAUGAUGAUGUUGGCGACGAUCUGCUGCUGACGGCGAUGAGUAGCACCGCCCGACUUGGACGGAAGACGACCCGUGAUGACGAAUUUGAGCAGUCGCGCACAGCGCUUCCCAAAAACCUAAUUCGUCCUCUCCCGGUGCAGGAUCGCAAAGACGAACGGUUCGGGAGACCUGCUCUCCCACGCGCCGACGUUUGGGAUGGAGUAGACUACGAUGGCGGCGCAAGUUGUGAGACGAGGCAAAACCCUAGGUGUUUUUCCGGUGUAUAUAAAAAAUCGCAUGUACGCGCCGCCCAGCCCAGCCCAGCCCAGCCCCCAGCCCAGCCCAGGCGAGGCGAGCGAGCGCGCGCGUGUGGCUUUCCCUUUCUCUUCUCACACACCACUUAGAGUGGUGGAGAGAACCCAGUAUAUAAAGAGGUCCAACUCUUCUUCAACUUCCAAGGUGGGACUAAACUUAGCACCACUACUUGCCAUUUUACACAUGGGCUUUGAGAUUUCAGAAAUUGCUAUGGGCCUAGCCCAUUAAUUCUAACACAUGGUUCCACUGAUGGCAAAGGGAUCGAUGGAAUCAGCCAUUUGAGCAUGAUCAAACUCAUCGGAAGUGGCAUGGUGAUUGAAGAGGGGGUGGGGCCUAGGAGACAAACUGACCUUUCUGUGAGACCAUAGAAUCAACACUGAAAAUUCAGAUUCAGACAGUCCAAAUGAUAUUCAGUAAAGAAAAUUGACAAGACAGUCCACAUGACCAUUCUGUGAGUACGCUUUAUGACUACAAUUCAAAAAGGGAGGAGAUUCAAUUCAAUACUUGAAUUACAUUUAUAGACACAAAGAAAGAUAAGUUCGACUGUGAAUACUAUCGGCCUUGUGUGAGGUGUAUUUGGCAUGGUUUUUCUUUUUCUGUUUCUGUGGGUGUAGGGCCAACAAGCAGCUGAAUUGUUUUAGGAAGUAUACAUGAAACGUGCAUGUGUGUGUGACUGCAAAAAAGAAGUUUCACAAAGUUUGAACAGAUUUGUUAAAGUAAAUAGAAAUUGAUCCCAAUGAUCUCACCCAAAAGCCAUAACUCACUCUAGUUGCCGCCGCAUUGACAGUGCAGUGCAGAACAUCUUUGUUUUGUGCAUGGCUGACAUAUACAGAUUUGGUAUAAUCAGCGCCUCGCAUUGAUCAGGGUUUGGGUUUCCCUGUUGGGAAAAAAGAAGGUUUCUCAAAUAGGAUUCAAAGGCGUUGGUCUGGGUAAUACAGAAUAUAGGUCCAAGCUAGCAAGUCAUUUAGAACAUCCCAACUAUCCCAACUGUUGGUGCAGAACCAGGAUACUGUCGCUGAUGGAUGGACAUGGACGUCCGUUGCCCAGCACCAUACAAACGUCGCCUCUUCCACGGUAAAUACGCAUUAAAUAAGUCAACAUAGACGACCGCACAUACCUCAUGCGUCCCAUAUCCCAAUGCAAAGCACCAUCUAUCGAUUCCGUGAUCAGGCGAGCUCGUCCACGCUAUGAAUAUUCGGUGUCUGCACCUAUUUCUUUCAAGUAAUUUUCCUGUCUUACUAUUGCAUACAUAUGUAGUGCAUGGUAUUGAUAUUUAUCACAGUGGCUCUACCUAUUUGUUUCAAGUAAUUUUCUUGUCUUACUACUGCAUACAUAUACAAUGCAUACUACUGAUAUUUAUCACAGUGGUUGUACCUAUUUCUUUCAAGUAAUUUUCUUGUCAUACUAAAUCUACAGAUCUGACAAAACUGCUCGAGUGUACUGAACCUGAAUAUACACAUGUGUGAUUUAACACUAACUUUACUAUGGAUUGAUUCAGUUCAUCAUCAUGAAUUUUGGUUGCCACCACACGCAGCAGCCGGACGAUCACCAGAUAUUACUAUGAUUAGCUUUAACAAAGGGACAAACCGUUUAAUUAGAGGUUAUCUUAACAAGAAUCUAAACAAUCCAUAGCAUUCAUCUCCUAAGACACAUCCAACAAUUGUGAAGAAACAGUUACAUCAUGGUGGGGAUUGGAACAAGGACAGAGAGGUGAGGAACAUAUCUAGUACAAAUCCAAUCUCAAUCCCUUAUUUCUGUUAGAAUAAAUCCGAGGCACUCCAUCGAUCAUCCGAGGACCAAGCAAUCACACGAGCACGACACCGAGAUUUGUUAACGAGGUUCACCGAUAUGGCUACAUCCCCGGGGCCUGACUACGGGCGCUCCUCCCCGUGACACCGUCACAAUACCGCACACCGGUCACCCGGGUGCCGGCACAAGCCGCCGGCUCCCCCUUGCGCACCUGUGCUAUUAUGUUGGCAUAGGUUACAUCGUGUGUCUACCCCCGCUAUAUAUGAGAGGCCUAGGAUACAAGUGUCCUAUUCGGACACGACUCUACAUCCUAUGUAAACACAAUACAACUCAUAGUCCAACUGUAACCUACCUUGUACACAAUAUUCGACACAACUCCAACAAACUCCACCUUGGCGAAUAUUCUCCACCACUUUGAACUUGUCAAUGCGUCAAACUUCCAUGUACAUUGGACUUGAGUCUAUCCCAUGAGCACCGCUGCUACUCCAAAGACUCCAUGUGACUCCACCUGUAACUUGUAGUCCCUUCUUUUCUUGACCACAGUCAACACUCGAGCAAAAUUAAGUUCCACAUUACUCUAGUUUGCGCUCCCAACUUCCAGAGUACCAGUCCAACGCCAUCACACACUGAUCGCUGACCUGCGUGAAAGUGAACAACUCACAUAUUGGGUGCCACACAUAAGAGUUACCUGAACUCAACAUCACCGCUCCUUUCUUGACCGCCUGUCUGAAACAUAAAGAAAUUUCACCGUUGCUUGUAGUCAUCCCGAGUCAAAUUCGCAGUUGUCUCACCACAUGUAUGACCACCAGAGCCCUGGCCCGUCUCCAUGCACCGUGCGUACCGCACGCCUCGCCGCAUUUACCGCGGCGAGCCUCCGCUGUCCCGGUAGAGUCUCAAGGUUCGUGAACCCACACCACUCAACCCCCACUGCAGAGUACCAUCGAUCAUCACCGACCGAUGACGAGUUUCACGCUUCCAUCAGACCACUUGGCUCCAGUCCGAACUACAUGGCACUCGCUUUUCCCGCUGAAUAGGCUUCAGCCCUGUCGACUUACGCCGUAACCCCUCAAUCCAGCUCCACCUUCAACAUGACUCCACGGUAGAUGAUCAAUCCACCCCUGUGCCUCAUCGACUUCAAGCUCCGUGUAUACACCACCUUGAAGCAAUCCCGCACCAUAGUCUUGUCGAAGCCACACAAGUCCUCGGGGCCUGUGCCACGUGUUUCCACGCCCCAGAAGUCGGUCACCAUCAGCAUCACGCUUCUAUGUCGUUGUCGUCGAUCCCACCACCAUCUUCUGUACCAACCGACUUGCGUCGGUCCGUCAGACUAUCUAGUCCGACCCAGCCGAAGUUCUUCGACUGCACGACACACUCUAGACUCCUCAAGCCGUCAUCGUGACCAUCGCCAUCCAUACACAAAUGUGCAUACCAACGAAGAAAACCAAAGCAAAGUCCAGAUAGCCUUCGUGUGUGAACAUACCAAAUCAGAUCAACAAAGCUAAUUAGCUAAAACUCCUGAUUCAUCACACGUUGUAGCCGGCCUUUCUUUUUCUUUUCUUUCUCCGUGACAACUUCACGAUCUGACUAAGCCCAUGUGUCGUUUUUUUUUCAAACAAAUCACGUGUUAGCUUCUGGUUUCCUUCGGUCUGUAACGCUCCAACGCUUCAACGCGUGGCACCAGCUAGCCCACCUGGACCAAACCGUGUCGUGCGUGCGCUUGGGCGCACCGACCGUCCUCCUGGCUACAGCCCUGCACUUGGGCUUCAGAUGCGCUCCACCUAGCUGGGCCGAUGCCCUGCACGACUGCCUCACGAGUAGACCACGUGGUGCACACCUUCCUAGCCUGUUCCGAGCCGCUCCUGCUGCAACUGUGCCACGACUCACCGAGAUCAAACCGAUCUGGUAAGCGCCGCCGCCUGCCGGACGCAUCUCGCCAGAAAACAAAUCCUGCUAGACGCAACGAUGUACUCCUGAUCGCUUCUUUCCAAUCUCGUCGAGAACCACACCGCAACCGGCUGCAUCUCAAACUUGAUUACUUCCUCUGAAUCAACAGAUCCGCAGCCUUUGAAUAACCUAGCUCAUCAUACCACUUGUUAGAAUAAAUCCGAGGCACUCCGUCGAUCAUCCGAUGACCAAGCAAUCACACGAGCACGACACCGAGAUUUGUUAACGAGGUUCACCGAUAUGGCUACAUCCCCGGGGCCUGACUACGGGCGCUCCUCCCCGUGACACCGUCACAAUACCGCACACCGGUCACCCGGGUGCCAACACAAGCCGCCGGCUCCCCCUUGCGCACCUGUGCUAUUAUGUUGGCAUAGGUUACAUCGUGUGUCUACCCCCGCUAUACAUGAGAGGCCUAGGAUACAAGUGUCCUAUUCGGACACGACUCUACAUCCUAUGUAAACACAAUACAACUCAUAGUCCAACUGUAACCUAUCUUGUACACAAUAUUCGACACAACUCCAACAAUUUCUCGUCGUUGAUUACCACCGUUGCCAUUACGAACACCUACAAAAUAUGUGUUCUCAACUCCUCAAUAUCCCACGAGAAAAGCAGCAAUAAAAAUGAUGAAACUGGACUUAAAUUCACAGAGAGAGAGAGAGAGAAAGAGAGCGCACCAUGUUCUUCACCAAGCUCUUUCUCAAGAUUCAUCCCCUUCUCUUUUUUUCUCAUAUAUCUGCACACAUAUGUUUAGAAAAUAAUAAAUUAAGGAGUAAAAACUAGGGAGGAAGAUGACUCGGCCGCAAAUGGGCAACCUGGGGACAUGUGACUACGGCCGGCACCGCCUGGAACUCUGACCUCGCUGCUCCUUCCCUCAUGCCCAUCGCCCUCAUCCUCCCCUGCUCCAUGCCCACCACAAAGACCACGCUGCCCUGCUCUCCUAUUGCGGUGACCUGCGCCCAAUCCAGACGCACGGCGCGCAGCAGCAGCGGAUCCAAAAAACAGCCACUCGAACUAACCUAAACAUCACAUCAAUUAGAAUUACUGCCAAGAAUUAGAGCAAAAAUGGGGCAAGGAAGAACAAGAAAAUGCAAAGAAGAAGUCACGUACGUGGCCGAGAGGGCUGAAGAUGUGCGAGUGCUCGGCAAAGGCGGCCAUGGCAUCCUUGUCCACGACACCUUCGCCCUCCCGUUCAUCAGCGCCGGAGCUCCCCCUCCGCCUCAUCAUGGCCUCCGCUGAAGCAGGCUUGGCCUUGGGCCCCCUCCCCCUUGGCUCCCUAUGCUGCUGCUGGUGGUGGCUGGUGAGGUGCGAGGAAGGACGGAUUGCGGGGCGAGGCCCAGCGAUGGCUGCUCCCGCGGUGGCAAGGAGAAGGCGAGGGAGCAGGAGUAGAAGCGGGGAGGCGGCGGGUUGGAAAGAGAGAAGACGAGGCGGCGGGGAUAUUUUCACCUUCCUGUGAUCUAUGUUUUCACCUUUCACGAUCCUAUCCUUUUGGUCAAAACUUCUGCUCACCAAGAAACAUGGCAACACCACAGUAUUAACCAGGCCCACAACCAACGAGCCAACGGACCAGCAGCUGCCAGCAUCAAAAGCCGUACGAAAGUAAAAAGAUCGAACGAGCCAGCCCGUUCAGCGCUCGCAAUUGCCCUCGUUAGGCGGGUAGGCUAGAGAGCUUUAUAUGUUCGAUACCAAGCGAACGAUCUGUCGGACGGUUGCCCCUGGAUUGUUGACAGUCAUGCAUGUAGUGGUUGGAGGAGAUCUUCAUGUGUGAUGUGACCACGCAAAUGGAUAAUUUUUUCUUGAAGUUUGGUUGGUGUAGGUUCUUCCAGAUUAUUUUUCAUGUCUGGUGUUAGUGCUUGCCGCUUGAUGUAAGCGGUUAUAUUUUGUCAUAUUUGGAUUGGUUCUAGACUCCGCUUAAUCUGCUGAUUACAAACUGACAUGUUCUGAUUGCGUGGGUGGGUACAGCGCCGCUUGUUGUGUUGUUGUUCGGCUGUUCCCUCACUUCUUUACUCGAUGUUUCUGCCGUUGCUGGCUCUCCAUAAAUGCAGCAAAUUUACACAGGAUUAUGUGGCAGCCCAUAAAAUCCACGGAAGCCAGCGCCGCAACCUGCAAGUGCUCACAUAUCGCCAACUCUUUCCUGUGGGCCUUUUGCUACCAGCAAAUCUCUUGUGUGUGUGUCUGUCGUGUGUAUCGACCAGUGUCUAGCCUGUGUACGUGCGUAUUUGUCUCCGGCAAACACUAGUAGAAAAGGAGACAUCAGUCCCGAUUCGUAAGGGCCUUGAACCGGGACUAAAGGGUCGUGACUAAUGCCUCCACCAUUUAGUCCCGGUUCUAACAUGAACCGGGACAGAUGGGCCUCCACGUGGCCAUUGCGAGCAGCCCAGGCAAGGGGGCCUUUGGUCCCGGUUUAGUGACAUGAACCGGGAUCAAAAGGCUUCCACGUGUCAGCAGCUGAGGUUUUUUUUUAAAAAAAAAAGCGGCUGGUUUAGGGGUUUUGAGGGUUAAUUUUAGGUUGUUAUUAGCUAGCUAAUAGAGAGAAGUGUCUUCUCGUAUACUGCUAUGCUCAUUUCAUCCGCUGAUAUAUAAUAACUAAUGCAUGCUUGCAUCAUACAUCAUUAUAUAUAAUAACAAGUCCUACUAAUCAUGCAUCAUCACACAACUUCUACUUGUUAUUAAUAACAAGUCAUACGAUCAUCCUUCUCAUAGUCAUCGAACCCAAACCUACAUAAUUGUUCUUAGCACAUGGUCAUCAGUAUCAGGUAGGACCUAAACACCCUUAAGGUAAAAUAGCAUAAAACAAUAUAGACCCUGACUCUUCAUUAUGAAGAAUGGAGAUCAUCCUGUCUCCAAUUCUUGCGCUUCGCCUCCUUUUGCUUGCAAGAAGCUCCUUACGACUGUCCAUAUAUUUUUUCCAUUCUUUGAUUGUCAUGUCUCCACUUUUUUUAGAAAUCCGGUAUGGACAAUUGAGAUUCGUAGGACGACCUAGUUGUAUGUUCAAAACAUCAAGGCGACCGUGCGUAUACAUCAGAUGAGGCACACAAUCAUUUGGGAUUGCCUGUUGAAAAACAUAGUAAUAACUUCGUAGUUAGCAAUGAUGUACUAGUUUUAGAAGUAUGCAAAACGAUGCAGGGAUGUCAUAAUAAUAAAAAAUCUUACCAGGGUAUCUCCAUGGUAGUUACCGUAGUUCAACACGUGCACUAGUGGCACGUAUUGACCAUAAUGUUCAGGAGUUUGAUUGUAGACAUUGUAACUCUCAAGAUCAGUACAAAAUGCGAUCAGAUGAUUUUUCUCCUUAUAAGUUAAUUCGGAGCCAGCGGUGUAGUGGGUUUUGUCUACCAUUUUUCAAAUAUUCUUUGAAGAAUGAAAAUAAGCUGUCAAUGAAAACAAGCUGUCAACUAUUUUGAAAUAAACAAUAUAAAUUACUUAAUAACUAUGUUAAGCUCACAUGGGGGAAGAAUUGGAGGUGUAUCCACAAGGACCCAAAUGCCCAUAUUGUCUUGCUGGAUUGUAGAAUCACCAAGAUCCAUGGUGCCAAGCAUACCUCAUCAAAAUCAUAAGUGCUUCCCAAUUUUUGCAACCAAAAUGGGUUACACUUUCAGCAUUGUACAGCUUUACUUGAAAAUCCACACCAUGAUGGGUCCUUAGGAGAAUUUUUUUUGGUUUCCAUACUUUCAUGGUCUUCAAAACCCAUCCUCUCCAAGACAUAGCGUCUUGCAUAGCAUGGCAUAAGCUAGUCGAAUUGGAAAAGAUGAAAAAUACACGUUAAAAUAGUUGAAGUCGUGCUUAAUUACGAAAAAAACUAUUUUCGUCGUUGUGUACCUUAUGAACAUCGAAGGUCUCCUCGAGCUUAAUGCUGAAGCGCCGAUCUUCGUCCAGCUCAAUGAACCUGUUGCACAUACCUCGGUCGUCGUGGCACCAGUCGCACUCCCCUGGGCAGUUUUCAUCGUCCGAGUACGACAUUUCCGGCCUAAGUUCAUAAUUCAAAUAUUAAAUAUAUGUACUAAAAAACCUAAAUUAGAUCAUUAUUAUUAAUCACGGGUUGACUAUCGGUGAUGGUACGUAGCUCCUCCUUUCAUUCCCGAGUGCAUUAUUACAACAAAUUGUCUAGCACACGGGAAUGAAGGAGAAGCUACCCCACGACGGCGUGGAUGAUGGAGGGGGCUCCUAGAUUUCUGCAUAGAGUGCUUUUCAAUUUUAGCAUUCAAAGUAGGAGUACUUUUCCAAUAUGAGCAUUCAAUAAGCAAAACCAAAUCGUUAAAUAAAAUAGUAUUCAAAUUAGCAUGCAUUCAAUUAUAACCAAAAGUACAUCAUCUCUUGUGUCCGUACAUCGUCGAAUACUAAUCGAAUACUAUCAUACGUAUAGCAUCACUAAUUAAUACAGCUAGAACCGUAGCGUCCGACGGGUAUCGUCGCUGGCGGUGGACACCCAAAGAUAAGGAAUGAUCAUAGGAUCAUAGCUCCAGUGAGAUCCCUGAAGAACCUGCCAGGUAUUGUCGAACCUGCCCUCCAACGCAACCAUGUAGCGACGGACGUGCUCGUCCUCCCCGCUGACACGGUGACGUACCACCUCCGUGGUGUCCGGAAGCUUCGGCACCGUCACUGGCCCACACGACCGCCACCGAACAAGGAUCGGGUCAACAACGGGCUGCCUCCUCACCAACCUACGUCCCCCAGAAGGUAGCACCUCCCAAUACCAGCCUGGCGGAGCCUAGUCCCGAACAUGGCCCUGAUCAAGCAGGCCUCCACCACCGCCGAGUCGACGACGACGAGGAUGCGGGAUAGGCAUCGCCGACGUCGAUGCGGGAACUACUUCUAUAUAUAGUUAAAUAAAAUAGUUUUAUUAAUUAAAUCAACUAGUUCAACUACUAAGCACAUACUAUAAAUAAAUAAAGUAGUACUUAUUAAAAAUAAAUUACUACUAUAUAUAGUAAAAUAAAUUGGUUUACUAAAUCAACUAGCUAGUUCAACUAUAUAUGAAGAACUUACCAUAAAUAAAAUAAAAUAGUUUAACUAUAGUUCUAUUAUUUUUCUAACUAAUUUUCCUAUACAUACACANNNNNNNNNNNNNNNNNNNNNNNNNNNNNNNNNNNNNNNNNNNNNNNNNNNNNNNNNNNNNNNNNNNNNNNNNNNNNNNNNNNNNNNNNNNNNNNNNNNNNNNNNNNNNNNNNNNNNNNNNNNNNNNNNNNNNNNNNNNNNNNNNNNNNNNNNNNNNNNNNNNNNNNNNNNNNNNNNNNNNNNNNNNNNNNNNNNNNNNNNNNNNNNNNNNNNNNNNNNNNNNNNNNNNNNNNNNNNNNNNNNNNNNNNNNNNNNNNNNNNNNNNNNNNNNNNNNNNNNNNNNNNNNNNNNNNNNNNNNNNNNNNNNNNNNNNNNNNNNNNNNNNNNNNNNNNNNNNNNNNNNNNNNNNNNNNNNNNNNNNNNNNNNNNNNNNNNNNNNNNNNNNNNNNNNNNNNNNNNNNNNNNNNNNNNNNNNNNNNNNNNNNNNNNNNNNNNNNNNNNNNNNNNNNNNNNNNNNNNNNNNNNNNNGCGUCGGCAUCGGCGUCGGGGCGGCGCAGGACGGCGCGGGGCAAAGACGGGCAGCCUAGCGGCGUCGGGGCGGGGAAAAACGAACUGAACGAGAUUUUGACGAGUGCCAGUUAUAUAGACGAUGCAUUGGUCCCGGUUCGUGAGACAAACCGGGACUAAUGCGACCUUUAGUCCUGGUUGGUGGCACCAACCUGGACCAAAGGCCUCUUUUCAGCAGCCCAAAGGGCGGGAAGCAGAGGCCUUUGGUCCCGGUUGGUCCGCAAGGCCUGAAUUCUGGCCCAUUGUUGGGUUUCUAGUCGUAUUCAGGCCGUGAUAGCCCUUUAGGUGGCACUUUUUUUUAUUUUGGUCCGCAACAGGCCCAAUCGUCCCACCAACCGGGGCCAAUGGGGAUGGGUCAGGAGCGAGGCACAUUGGUCCCGGUUCAUCCCACCAACCGGGAUCAAAAGGUCCAGACGAACCGGGACCAAUGGCUCACGUGGCCCGGCCGGCCCCCGGGGCUCACGAACCGGAUCCAAUGACACCAUUGGUCCCGGUUCUGGACUAAACCGGGACUAAUGGGCUGACCCGGCCUGAACCAUUGCCCCCUUUUCUACUAGUGGAAAGAAGCAGUCGCAAAAGCAAAAAAAACACUUAUGUAAUUUGGUUAACACACAAAUACCAACAACAACAAAAAAUCUGAAAUUCAGUUUACAAACAAAUGCAAAAAACUUCUAAAAUUCUGAAAAGUUUCAACCUUUGAUGCCCCCUGCCUUUUGCUGCACGUCCCCUUCCUGUCCACUUAGCUGGUCGCUAGCCAAAUUUCCACGCGCAACUCCAUCAAUGUUGCUCAGCUUGUGAUGUGCCUGCGCUGCGGCGUGGAGAAGAGAGACCGCAGAGUAGAGAGCGGCCUGUGGUUUGGAGUCUGUGUCGCGCGUCUGCAUACCCGUACCCGCGUGCCCAGCCCGCCUUCGGCCAUGUGCCCAGUCCGACCGUCAGCCGGUGCGAUGUGCGAAGUCCAUCGCCGGCCGCCGCUCUGUCGGUUGGUCGAGACGCAUCAACGACCCACAGGCCACCAGCGAAUCUACUCGGCCCACGAACAAAACUACCUAGUACCCCAUCCCACAACUACUCUCUCUCUCUCUGCUUCCCUCCCUUCUCUUCUUCCUAUCGACCAAAGCCAGAAGCUUGCGCCAGACGUCAUCACCAUCAAUACAAUCAUACAUACCUACGUAUUUUUCCUUGGUUCAAGGUAGCCGUCCCACCUUGCCAUACGGGGCCCUCCGCCGGUGCGUCCCACGCGACAGACGCAAUGGCAGUUCCCCACGACGGCGGGGCGGGACGGAGACAGUGGGGCACCGGCGGCCUGGGCCGGCGCGAAUAAGAUGUGGCAAGCAUGAGGUUGAGCUGCCGAGCCACCAGCACGGAAACACGCGCUCCAUCGGCUCCACGCCUCCACACACUCAUCGACGCCGUCAGCGGCUAGGUCGACGGCUCGACGCCGCCAGUCUCGCGCCCGAGCGCGCCGAGAUUUCUCAGGUCCGUGGGCUGCGAACACAAAGCCUAGACGUCGGCGGCCGGGAAUUGCAGUGGCGAGCCGAGCAACGAAUAAUCAAGAAAUUGAUGAUAGGAAGGAAAGGCCUACAAAUGCAUAUGCGAACCACGAAGGACCCCAUAUUUACAGGGAAGCCACGACUCCAGAAAAAUCGAAGCAUGGCCCUCGAGAAACACCUGGCGAUAUGGAUUUUAGCGGCACCGAGAACCAUCAUCGCAUGCAAAAGUAGAUGAAAACACGUAGCCAUAUCACGUGUCAGCCAAUCAACAUGCAGCAACUCAUUUUAAAAACAACCAAUCAAUCCAUCACGAUCUAGUCAACCAACCAUAUCCCAACUGCAAUUCCUAGGUUCACCCACUAUGUGUACCCUGUCAGAUCCCAAACAAAUAGCACGAUCCCUGAUUUACCGAUUUCUACUGCAAAAACAACUCUAAAUAUCCUCAAAAUUUAAACGGGUCUAGAUUUAGUAUAUGUAGUAUUAGCUGCCGGCUGAACAGCCUGGAACUCGAGAGUUUUUUAUUGAUAAAUAUCUGAAUCCCUAGUAGACAUUACAGCGUCGUGCAGCUCAUCAUAUAUGUAGUUGGACAUGACCAACUUCUUUGCAAGUAACGUGACUGUACUGAAGGCCGAUUCUAUCCCAUAGGAAACAAUCCGAACAAGGUUCAAACUGACACUUCUAUGACGGAAGCACUUGCACGUAUACAACCUGAACUCUGAUUCAAGCCUAGGAUACGGUUGAGUCCGACAUAACUCAUUGAACAUAUAAAGGAUGCCCCUGCGCCUAACUAGCGGCCAUGGCCACGUCUUCUUUUUUACGCCAUGAACAGUUCAUCAUGAGUUAUUGUAGCAGCAAGGAGAGAGAUAAGUCCCGAGCGCCCCAUCUCCCCUCCUCUCGCCCCCGCCAUCGCGUCCUCCCCUCUCCUCUCUCUCUCUCUCUCUCUCCCCUCUCCUCCCUCUCAACCCUAGCUGCCACCACCCACCCUCUACUGCUCCACCACGCACCCACCUCCCCUGAUCAGGUGCAGGCCGGCCGGUGCGCGCAGGCGGCGGCGCUCCACUCGAGGGCAAAGGGAGGCAACGGCGGCGGUGGCCGCCGUGGACACCGGCGGCUAUGGUGAGCCCCUGCGCCUCCGCCCUCUCUCCUCUCCUCCCCUACUCUCUCACCCAUCUCUCUCCCCCGCAGACGAACCCCGCCGCCAGGAGGCCAGGAGGCCGCCAUGGAGGCCCGUCCCGAGCUCGCCUCGCUGCUCCUCCGGUGACCCUCGUUGCGCCUGGAUCCGGGCGGAUCCGACGAUUCCCNNNNNNNNNNNNNNNNNNNNNNNNNNNNNNNNNNNNNNNNNNNNNNNNNNNNNNNNNNNNNNNNNNNNNNNNNNNNNNNNNNNNNNNNNNNNNNNNNNNNNNNNNNNNNNNNNNNNNNNNNNNNNNNNNNNNNNNNNNNNNNNNNNNNNNNNNNNNNNNNNNNNNNNNNNNNNNNNNNNNNNNNNNNNNNNNNNNNNNNNNNNNNNNNNNNNNNNNNNNNNNNNNNNNNNNNNNNNNNNNNNNNNNNNNNNNNNNNNNNNNNNNNNNNNNNNNNNNNNNNNNNNNNNNNNNNNNNNNNNNNNNNNNNNNNNNNNNNNNNNNNNNNNNNNNNNNNNNNNNNNNNNNNNNNNNAUAAAUUUCGACAGGAUAUGCAAACAAUCUGAUUGUGGAUAUGUCGUAUAUGGAAAUGAUGCUGUAAAUCUGCUUAUAAUAAUUUUGUGAUGCUCAGAUUUGUUCAGAUAGGCUCAUUUCAUUGCAGAAAUUUUGGGUUGCACAAUAAUAACCUUCAAAAUAGUAAUUUCCACUAUAGAGUCUUCUCAUGAUGAUUUCAGAUUAAUUAUUAAUAGCUGUUGUUUGGUCAUUUCAUAGAAUGCCUCUGGUAUUAAUCAUAUUGUCACUCGGAUUGAUUCAUUCAUUUUUAGGCAAUACUCAGCUGUUCAUGGCAAGAUACUUUUAGGAAUAAAUUCAGUCGUACUGCACACUUUUUGUAUUUCAUGUCUAUUGAGUAACACUAUGACAAUGAGCUAAUCUGGCACGGAAGGAACAUUUUUUUACUUUUGUUUUCGCUGCCCAGUUAAUGUUUAUGGAUAAAUCUUACCAAAUUAUUUUCUGAGAUUGCCAAAUGAAACAAAACCCCAAUAAUAUGCAUGUCUUUUCGCCGUGACAUAAUGUUCUGAUUAGCCUGUAGUUACCUGUUGCAUUCCCUUCUGUGAUAGAUAUCCCAUAUUUGCAAUGGUACAACUCAAGGCAUUUUAUAAUCUUGUGUUAUUCUAGAAUAUAACCAAGGUGAACUUUUUCGGUUUUAGACCAAAGAUCAACUUCAUCUCUUCUAGAGAAACAAGCUAUUUUGUUCAUAUAUAUAUAUGUUAGUGAUCUGCAUAAAUCUAUGUCUCUUUUUUUAAGUAUUUUCAUAUUUUGAUUCCUGCCAAUUUGAUGUAUCAACAAGUACUCUCAGCACAAAUCAGUAUACGCAUGACAUAAAUAGGUUUUAAAAACUUUCAAACUGAAUGAAGAAUGAAUGUGGAGCAACUCACCACGUUAACUCUAUAGGGUGGUGGGUUUGCCAUAGGAUAUGCGCUGGCCAGUGUGCGCAUGCCGGUGUACGCGCUCAUGAUGUACCUCAAGAUCUCAGUUCUCACUAUGACCACAGGUAUGCUCAAUGGUUUGGCCUGAACUUUAAAUUAGUCAUGUGCUGCAUUUGUGAUCAUGCAGAUGCAGCUAACAACAGAAAUCCAAUUGAUGACUGUUGAUUAUGCUAUUGCUUAUGGGGCCUUUCUUAAGAGUUGAGAAGGUAGUUAAAUUCCUUUUUUACUGAACCUAUGAUAAUUGGCUCUAGACAUCACACAGACUGGUUCUGAAGUGCUAUGUACAAAAGGCUAGAAUAGUUGUAUCCCAAUCUCCUUGAACUGUAACAAUACCUAAACAAAAGAGCUAGAAGUACGGUUGUACAAACAAUUGUCCUAUUUAUUCUGUUAUGUUCCUCCAUGGUACAAGUGGUGAGCAAAAUGUGAAGUUAAAGGAGGCAUUGACGGCUCUUUGUUACCAUGUUCAUUUAUGGUCUCAAUAAUUUCAAUGAUGGAUUCGCACCACUAGUAGAAAACGGAGCUUUAAAACCGGUUCGUAAGGNNNNNNNNNNNNNNNNNNNNNNNNNNNNNNNNNNNNNNNNNNNNNNNNNNNNNNNNNNNNNNNNNNNNNNNNNNNNNNNNNNNNNNNNNNNNNNNNNNNNNNNNNNNNNNNNNNNNNNNNNNNNNNNNNNNNNNNNNNNNNNNNNNNNNNNNNNNNNNNNNNNNNNNNNNNNNNNNNNNNNNNNNNNNNNNNNNNNNNNNNNNNNNNNNNNNNNNNNNNNNNNNNNNNNNNAUAUCUGGUGAUACGGUGCAUGAGAUGCUACGGUGAUACAAGACCAUGUGGGGCGUUGGAUCUGUACUGGAGGUACAGGAUUGAGCAGACUCAUUUGGCAUUGCAAUGUGCAAAAAAGACCCUGGUUUAUUCCAUAAUUCAGCGACGAUGUGCAUAUCCCUCUGCUCUGUUUGCUUCUUCAGUUACGAUUCGCACCGCCGCCGUUUAGGCCGUGUCUCCUACCGGCGCCGACCACCAUGGUAUGCCCCAUACACUUUUGCUAGCCUAAAUCCAGCACAACCUUAGGGAUCUCGCGCGCCUGUCGAUUCCUUAGCUCAGAUCCGGUCAGUUUCAUGGGAGCCGAGACCGACCUGUCCUCGCCGUCGCUGGAUCCGGGGACCCUAGGAAACGAAGAUCAGCUAAGGGGCAGCGCCUCCUUUGUUUUACACAUAUGUGCCUUUUUCUCGUGGUUGAUUUUUUUGAUUUCGUAAUACGCAUCUGGGCCAUUUGAUUUUAGGACUGGAUGUCCGCGAUGCGAGAGUCGGUGUGGUUCGGUCUAUUCCUAACCGAGUCACUCGAGUGGGAUACCACGCCCCCGACGGCAGCCCUUGUUAGUUCACCCUCUAAUAGUCUUGUGAAUUGCUAUCCACAAUGUAGGCCUUAAUGGUUGGAGAUCUGCCACGAUGUGGGUAAAAUUAUGAACUCAAGGCCAAUUGUCGCAACUGUAUGCGAACAAAUGAAAAAAUUAUGCAAAUGGGGCUACAUCUAAUGUUAGCUGUAGUUAUGAUCAUCUUGACAUUAGGGGAAUCAUGUGUGUUAGCAGUUGGCAUGAGUAAUGUAAUACUACAGGCAAUAUGUGCCUUUUGGUUUUAGGAGUAACACCCUGUUGAGUUUAGCACAUCAGAACUAUAAUUGUUGUUACAUAUAUGUGCAAUUUCCUGGCCAGCUUGCAUUGUGUUUUGUCAAUCUCAAAGAUCGUACUGCUGUUGUUUGCUUUAUUAGACAACAACAUGCUUUCUGAAGGCGUUACUAGUGUCGUGAAAUCUCCUUUGUUUCGCCAUGUCUUGUUCCUUAUAUUUGAGUUGAAUAAAACCAUCACGGUUAGUUUCACUUGUAGGAUUUUAUUUGCUUCACUUAAUAUCUAUUGUUGCCUGGUCUUGAUGUUUAUGGAUGUAUGUGGCAAAACGAGGAGGGAUGUUUGGAUGUAUGUGGCAAAACGAGGAGGGAUGUUUGUUCCACUAUAUAUUUCCUAAUUGUAGCAUAUGAUGCAUUUUGGGACUUAAAUAUUCAGUUGUAAGCACCCAGUCACUCAACAUGUAGGUUACCAGACUGUACUGUAGUCCAUGCUGGUCUUUAGAAAAAUUCAUCAUGCAUGCUGGUUUGAGAAACAGAGAACACAUGCUUCUUUUGAGGGGGAAGAUGCAAAUAUUACAGGGGCGCAUGUGUAAAUAGUUGACUGAAUUGAUCCAGUCCAUUCCCUGUAGAUCCAACGCCCCAUGAAGUGNNNNNNNNNNNNNNNNNNNNNNNNNNNNNNNNNNNNNNNNNNNNNNNNNNNNNNNNNNNNNNNNNNNNNNNNNNNNNNNNNNNNNNNNNNNNNNNNNNNNNNNNNNNNNNNNNNNNNNNNNNNNNNNNNNNNNNNNNNNNNNNNNNNNNNNNNNNNNNNNNNNNNNNNNNNNNNNNNNNNNNNNNNNNNNNNNUGGUGUGAGCUCGCGUCGUGGUAUGGGGGACCUUUAGUACCGGUUGAUGUUACCAACUGGUACUCAAGAUAUAUAUAUUUUUAUUUUUUUGAAAAUUUUGUAAAAAUAUUUUUUUUUAUUUUCAAUUUUCUGAAUUAUUUGAUGAUUUAGUCUCUAAUCACCCCUCUUAACUUCUCUUAACUGUUCAAGUAUGGAUCACUCAUUCCAAAUCGUCUAACUUCCCGGCCGGUCACCCAUCCUCUCACUCCCCCAGCCUGAGCACGCUUAACUUCGGAGUUCUAUUCCCCCUACUUUCCAAGUCUGCACUUGUUGUUUUCCUGACAAAUUUAAGCUGUCAAUCCUAUUAACCCUCAGCAGUUUAGCUUGAGCAUUAGGUCACACGUUUUACUGUUUGUGUUUGGAACUAUUAUUCUAAAAAACAGUUAGUAACACUAAUAUUUCUUGAAUAAGUUUGACCAUAGUUUGACCAGAUUUGACCAAAAUUGAAAAUUUUGAAAUAAUUAUUUAGUAACACUAAUAUUCUUGAAUAAUUAUGUAGCAACAUUAAUACUUUUUGAAUAAUUAGUUUGACCAGAUUUAACCAAAAUUAAAAAAAACUGAAAUUUGAGCAUAUCUUUUUUUCUUUUUGGAAUUUGAGGAUGCGGAUUUUCAUGCUGAGUUUUUUGAUAUAUUAUACGUUUUUUCCCGACAUCGUAUGCAAAAGUUAUAGCCGUUUUACAUUUUCCCUACACUUUUUGCAAAACAUGUCCAAAUUUAAGUUUUUUAAUUUUCCUAACUAGUAGAUGUAGUAAUAUAACUACAUCUCGAAGAAUUUUAUUUUUUGGAUUUUUUAUCAUUUUCUUUUGUAUUUUUCAAAACUGNNNNNNNNNNNNNNNNNNNNNNNNNNNNNNNNNNNNNNNNNNNNNNNNNNNNNNNNNNNNNNNNNNNNNNNNNNNNNNNNNNNNNNNNNNNNNNNNNNNNNNNNNNNNNNNNNNNNNNNNNNNNNNNNNNNNNNNNNNNNNNNNNNNNNNNNNNNNNNNNNNNNNNNNNNNNNNNNNNNNNNNNNNNNNNNNNCAACCGGGACUAUAGGUCAAACCCCUUUAAUACCGGUUUGUGCCACGAACCGGUACUAAAGGUGAUCGUGGGCCCCCGCCUGACGUCAGCCUGUCACCACCCCUUUAGUACCGGUUCGUGGCACGAACAGGUACUAAAGGGUCAAAACGAACUGCCAUUAAUACAUAGCCAUUUGAACCGGCACUAAUGGUACCAUUAGUACCGGGCCAAAAUUAAACGGGGACUAAUGUGUCUCACAUUAGGUCCUUUUUCUACUAGUGCACGUCUCAAUGUUUUCCUCUGACUUAGCAUGCAAUUCCAAUGUUAGAUACUUAUUUGUACAGAAGAUAAGCAUAUAAUCCUCUGUAGUGAAUAGGCAGAGCAACAACAAAGGCCUGCCGGUGUGAAUUUCUCAGAAUGGGAAUUGCUACAGUGGCGGCCAUGACACAUCAACAACGGCGGUGCAGCAGUAUGGUACCCUGCCUCCACCUUGCCACCAGCCUCCUCUACCUUGCGAUGGAGGCGUCUCCGACCUCCAACUCUGGUAACCCCAUCCUCCUCUGCGACCCAUGUGAUUUUUUUUCUUGCUACAACCCACAUUGUCUGCUACUUUUUACUCUUCAGCUAGGUUCUGCGCUUUUGUGGCUACCUGACCACCAAUUGUUAAAUUAGUAAUACUUGGAAACUGGUUCUUACAAUGAUAUUUACUAGAGUAGAUGAACAAGUUGUACCAACAUUGUUGUUCUGUGUAAGCCGCAUGAGUUUUGUUAGUUACAUAUUUUUUUUAUGCUAAUGUUAGGAAGUCCAAUGCUGACAAUAUUCCCCUUAGGGCCUUAACAUGAUCAUCUUAACAGAUAUCUAAAUAGAACGAUAUUUUUAUCGGCACGGAAAAGAAAAGGUUGAUUUCUGCAGUCAGCUAGCUUCUUUUUGUGAAGUUCCUUACCCAUGCUUCAUACGGCUCACUAUUUGCUUUCCGUUUUUGGAUAGACCAUCAAACAAGUUCAAAUAAGCAAAAACAUGUGCAAUGCGUUGAUGAAACUGAUAUUCACCUUUGUUGCUGUAGGCGUUCAAGACCUAGCAGGGCUGGGUCAACCGGCCCUUCGUGUUCAAGACCCGGCUCUGAUGAGCCUUGACAGCCGUGCUACCGGCUUGGCUAUUCAUCCUGAGUCGUGUCCGGAAUCAGACCAGUAGGGGCACCCUGAGCGAGCACUCGAGGCAUGCUGUCAAGUUGGACAAGUGCAACCAGGCCAGCUACCGUGUGUUCACGUUCAUACAGCAAGGUGUUCGCUCAUCUUGGGCCAGAACGAGNNNNNNNNNNNNNNNNNNNNNNNNNNNNNNNNNNNNNNNNNNNNNNNNNNNNNNNNNNNNNNNNNNNNNNNNNNNNNNNNNNNNNNNNNNNNNNNNNNNNNNNNNNNNNNNNNNNNNNNNNNNNNNNNNNNNNNNNNNNNNNNNNNNNNNNNNNNNNNNNNNNNNNNNNNNNNNNNNNNNNNNNNNNNNNNNNNNNNCUUCUCGAAUUAUGAAACCUCAAACAACACUAAGAUAUAACCGUUUUGUUCGUUUUGCAAUCAAAGCUUCCAUCGAAUAAUAUUUUAGAAUUAUGCUCCAUCUUAUUCAUAAAAUGUGGCUAUUUUGUAGAUUCAUACAAGAUACGGCUUUAUGUGCAUUGAAAUAGCAACAAGUUGGCCUCUCGGUCUCAUUUCUGUAUAUAUUUGACUCAUACACGCAGCCAGCGUGUCCAUGUGAUAUGGAUGAAUUUCUCUAUCCUGUUUUAUGUUGUGAUGUCUUUGAUUUUUGUCUCUUCCAGAUUUACAUAUAGAUGCCUCGGUGAAUACUCAAGAAUUUUGUGUUCUUUUCUAUUGGCGGCCUUUAGGUAAAAAUAAUUUAUAAUGAUUCUGAAACGAGGUCACUCCUACUAAUCUUGCGCUCCAGGCCUGGUGGCAGCAGGAUGCUUAGUCAAGAAUGCAAGGUGAGCAAAAGAAAACUCAGAACACUUUUAUCUCUCUGGUCAUCUAGAGCAUAUCGAGAGAGCAAGAUAGCGUGCUUUGACAGUGUCUUCACACCGUCCCAGAGAGGGUGCCACUAAGGGCUUUCUCAUGGAACACGGUGCAAUGUGGUUUUAUGCACGCCUAAGAGCAGGCUACCCUGCACGCUGGUCUUCUACUGCUUUCCUAGGCUAUUACUUCCCCUGAGAUACUUCCAAGGGUUCUAUUAUGCUCCAUUGUAUUUUUUUUCCUUUUUUGAUUGCUUUUCCUUCGCUGUUUCUUUUUUUAAUGCAAGGCCAUAAAUUUUUCCCAUGCAUCCUUGCUCACACAGAAAAUUACUUCAAAAUACACAUGCUUCUAAAAAUGCACAUCCUUUUCAAAACUAUGUAUAUCUUAUUAUCAAAGGUUAUAAGGCAGAAUGUGUUUGCCCACGACUAAAACAAGUAAUACAUUAUGCUUUUUUCAAAGCACACGCGGAAUUAGCGGGCUCCUUCAGGUAGUUUAAGGGAAAAAACAGAAUAUGUUUAACUAAUUUUUUAUAUUGCAUAUAUAUGCAUGUGUGACCAUAGCUUUCCACUUUAGCUCCUUUUAUUGUGUCACUUGUGUUUACUUUUUUUCAAUGCAAGUUUACAGCUACUCGGAGUUCCUAAUUGUAGACUCAACUAUCUUGGCCUACCGAUGAUCUAAUUUGUGGCAUUAUUAUCUCAAGAAAAUAUUUGCAUUUAAUUUCCUUUAUAUAUAAGGGGUAUAAGUUCUUACCAAAUGUACUCAAAUAUAUGGUUAUCGAAAAAAUGGAAAUAUUUUCAACAUGAACAUGGUUUUAAACGGGCCUUUGCGCCAUUUUUUUGAUAAACUUCUUCUCCUUUAUUCAUUCAAAAGUAAAGUAGCCUCGUUUACAAGUAAAGGGAUAACCUCAUCAGGGGCGUUAUCCAUCCAAACCCUCGGAGAAGAAAACCUAGCUAACCUUGCUCGUUCAUGAGCUACUCGAUUACGUUCCCUAUUAUAAUGAUCAUAAAUGACAUGGGAAAAACCUAAUGACAUGAAAUAACAGUCGUCUAUAAUGGAUGAAGCGACUGAAGAAGAGUAGCCUUGGCUCAACGCAUUCACCACCUCCACGCUAUCCGAAUUCACUUCAAUCUUACUACAUCUGACGGUAUUAGCAAGAUUCAAACCAAACCUCACUGCAAUUGCUUCUGCUGUGAACGAGUCGAAGCAAAUGUCCAUCUUUUCAUUAGCAGCCGCUAUAAAUUUCCCCCUAUGGUCCCGGAUAACUGCUCCAAAUGUUGCUGCGAGUGUGUCACUAUCAAAUCCCGCGUCAUCAUUUAAUUUCACGUAACCAUACUUUGGUUUCAACCAAGCAUCUGAACGGACGUGAGCCUUUGGGCUGUAAGAGAUGGUAUAAUUUGCUACUAAGCCUCUCACUGACAUAUUGAUUUGAUAUGUGCUUUGAGUUUCUUCGUCAUGUGUCAAUUUUCGCCUUUCAUACCACAAAUACCAAGCCGUCGUUGCCAUCGUUUCUCUGAACUUCGGCAAGCCCAACACUUGGAUUUGUUGUUCUGGAAGGCACAGAAGAUGUGCCAACACAAGCUCACCUGCCUUGUCAACUUUCAGUGCCUGUUUGAUAACAAGCUCAAGACCGAGCAUCUUCCACACGUCCAUUGCCAAUUUGCAUUCGAACAACAUAUGUCUUAUGUCAUCAGGCCCCUGGUUACAGGCUGGGCAACUCAGAUUUAUUUUCAAGUGCUUAUUAGCCAGGAUAAAUCGACAGGGAAUGGCACUCUGGAGCGCGCGCCACAUAAAUAUUUUUAUCUUUGCUGGGCAGACUAAGUUCCAUACCGAGUUCCAUGUAUAAGAUGGGUUUGAAGCUCCAGCCGUUGAUUCCAACUUGUGCCCAAAUUGAAAUUCCCAUUCUGUAUGGUAUGCGCAACUGGUCAUCUAGUAUUAUCAAACAUUCAAAGGGAUGCCUUAAAUAAGGGAAAUGAUUCAAGCGUGCGUCCAUUGCUUCCGUAGCCGUAGGAUCUGAUUCUAAUCAGACGGCUCAGGAGCAACGUAUUACGUACAGACUAAGUUUUGCAACUGAGUAAUUGUUCCAAUCUCCCCCACUGCAACGACUGGUGUGUUGCGGGAUCUGGAUCCCCGCCUCCCGUGCUGCUCCAGAGCUCCCCGCGAAGCUAAAGCCCCUACGCGCUGCUCCAAUUGCUGCCGCCAGCAAACACACCAACGAGGCCGCUGGCAAGCAUGAGUGCCGCCGCCGGCAAGCACGCCGACAAGCACGUUGAUGAGGCUGCAAGGAAGCAUGAGCAGUCGCCUCCCGUGUUCCUCCCGAGCUCCCCCCAAGCUGACGCCUCCCCACGCUGCUCCGACCGCCACCAUCGGCAAGCACGUUGACACAGUCGUCCCGGAGGUGCACAGACGUCCAUGGAUGUCGCAUCCUUGAGCUUCAGCCGCAACAACAUUUCCUGCAACAUUAUGUCCGUUGCAUAAAUUUCUGCAACUUGACCUUAUGUUGCAAACAAAUAUCUGCAAAUAUUUCUGCAAUAUCAUCUCUGUUGCAAGAAAUUCAACAACAAAUCUCUAUUGCAAAUGUUUCUGCAACAUGACUUAUGUUGCAGAAAUAGGGAAUGACGCUCGGCCACUAGAUUGAGCCAGAUCUGAUGGCUCGCGAGAUGGCGUUUUUUAAAAUAAUCCACUGGCCAACGCGUAGCAUGCCCCUUUAAAUGAUCCAGAUAUAAAUUUAGCCCGUCAAAAUCAAAAUGUAGUAAUACCACAAAAAUAAUCUAAAAUGGAGUAAAUUUGUAACUUUCCCAGUCACGAAUGGACUUGCCAUACGCGGGAACAAUAAUUACAAAUUGCCAUACUAGGUAAAGUUUGUAAUUUUCCGGAUUUCAAAAAUGAACAAUUACUUCAUAAAAUCCAUACCAUGUCCUUACUACGGAUUUUUUGUAGAUUAUUAGCAAUAUCGGGAGAGAUCGCUACAUCGUAUUGAAGAUAUUUAUCUACCGUUAAGCUUCCAAAUGUACUAGCUAGUACUAGUCUCUUUAAAAAAAACAAGUACUUACUGAGCUAUGUAUUUCACUCUUAGAUGGUCCAAGCUAGGUUUUCACGAUCCCAACGUUCAACUGUACUUGAUCCGUUCCUAAAUAUAAGAUGUUUUAGCUUUUGUCUAUUUUCUCAUAUUCAUAUGUAUCUAGACACGUUUUAGUGUGUAUUCACUCAUUUUAAUCCAUUUGCAGUCCAUAUUGUAAUAUCUAAAACAUCUUAUAAUUAGAAACGGAGGGGGUAGAUAUCUAUAUCUAUACCUACUAAUAAAGCUAAUAAUGGGAGGGAGAUUUCUUGGUCUCCUUCUAUCACCCCUUUCUUUUUCUAUCCGUUAAUUUUGUGUAAACCACAAAGAUUGACAGUUUGAGAUUUAAACGAAGGAUUGUUUCUUCAAUCUCCUUCCAUAAUCCCUUCGGACGGAAAAGAACAACCAUUUAACCGCUUUCAUCCUAAUUAAUUGCCCCUUCGUCUAAUCUUCCUCAUGCGAUUUCUCCGCUGAUCCCAGCGCACACCUUCAUGUUUCAAAUCAGGGGUCAUGUUUCCUCCAGAGUAGAUUUGAGGUGGAGGCGGCAGAGGCGCCAGUCUGAGAAGGAGGGGAGGGUUGCGGCGGAGGAGUCAGGGGUUGGAGACGAGGUGGCGCCAACGCACAGACAACGAAGGGACGGGGUAGGAACGACGACAGUGGAGGGACCUGAGGAGUAUCUUAGUGGGUAGGUCUUUCACUUCCAAUGGCCACGUCGACCGGNNNNNNNNNNNNNNNNNNNNNNNNNNNNNNNNNNNNNNNNNNNNNNNNNNNNNNNNNNNNNNNNNNNNNNNNNNNNNNNNNNNNNNNNNNNNNNNNNNNNNNNNNNNNNNNNNNNNNNNNNNNNNNNNNNNNNNNNNNNNNNNNNNNNNNNNNNNNNNNNNNNNNNNNNNNNNNNNNNNNNNNNNNNNNNNNNNNNNNNNNNNNNNNNNNNNNNNNNNNNNNNNNNNNNNNNNNNNNNNNNNNNNNNNNNNNNNNNNNNNNNNNNNNNNNNNNNNNNNNNNNNNNNNNNNNNNNNNNNNNNNNNNNNNNNNNNNNNNNNNNNNNNNNNNNNNNNNNNNNNNNNNNNNNNNNNNNNNNNNNNNNNNNNNNNNNNNNNNNNNAAUCUCCUCAUGACUCAUGAUGGAUGGGGAAAUGGUGGUGGGUGGAUUGGAAUCCGAUUUCCUCCUUCCUUUUGAGACAAUGGACUGGAGUCUGAUGGUAGCGGCGGCCACGAUGUGUGUGGAUGGAGUGAAGUGGACCGGUCGACCCAUACUGCUGAAAAUAAAAUUGAAGCCCAUGAGGUAAAAUGGAUCGGCUCAUGUAGUGGCAGCUCAUUAUUACAUGUAUUGAUUUGCCACCCAAAAUUGAUCUAAAAAAUGAUUUGCCACUUUAAACGAUAGAUAAUGGUGUACUCCCUCCGUUUUUGUAUAUAAGGCCACUUCACUUUUUGUGUUAAACUUUGACUUAAAAUUUUGAUCAACAAAAUAUGGAUUACUCCCUCCGUAAACUAAUAUAAGAGCGUUUAGAUCACUAAAAUAGUGAUCUAAACACUUAUAUUAGUUUACAGAGGGAGUAUAUGUCAUCAAAAAUAUAUCAUCAGAAAGUUCUUUGAAAUGUGCAUCCAAUGCCUUUUGUGGCAUAUAACCCACAUUUUAUUGCUAAAAUUAAUUGUCAAAGCUAGACAUAAAAAUAUGAAGUGACCUUGCAUAAAAAACAGAGGGAGUAUACUGAUUUAUGCUACAUUCAUCAUAUGGAAGCAUCGUGUGAAAAAUAAAUCAUGAGUAAUUCCUAGGUUAAUUAGUUUUUUAGGUACAGAAUUAGUUAAAACAAAUUGAUUUACAUGUCUCCUGUAUAGAUCACAUGCAAGUUUUUCCAGUUGUCAUGGAAGAAAAUUUCUCUGAGUUGAUUGGAACAUCUUUGCUACUCUGAGAAAAAAACUGAUGUUACAUUUAUUUCUGGUAUUUCCAAAUGAACGUCCUGAAGCCAAAUUUCAGUAUUGCUAUAAACAAAAUUUCGUUAUAUGGAAGCAUGAAUUAUCUGAAAUAUAAUUAGUCAUUUUCUUGGUUAUGAAAAUUUAAACAUUAUUUACUUGUUUGUUUCCAAAAAAUAUUACAUGCCAAGAGAUGUUUUUCUCCACAGAUACCUAACUUCCCCUGGCACUUACCGCCACUGAUCAUGACAUCAGUAAACAUGUCCUCAUUUUGUUUGAGAAUGAAUACGUGGCCAACUUUUAUUGAACACCAUGGCAAAUUUGGCUACAGGAGACUGCGGUCAUUUAAUUUGCUCGGCUACAUAUCAAAUUGCCCAGUAUUAAAUUGAUGUCGGUUUCCCCCUCAGAACUCCAGUGCCAUAUAAAGAACCUCCAGCACACUGCUGCUCAUAUACUUACAGAGUCUCAUCAGCCAGCACAACAGUUCUCUUCUUCAUUGUUCCUGAAGAAAAAGCCAUGGCUGGUAAGACGACGGACCAUGCAUCUUAAGCAAAAAAAUUAUGUGACUAUACCAGCAAGGCAUCAAUCAAUAACAAAUGACAUAGUUAAUUUGGCUGGAUCACAGCAGCCCAAUUUAUUUGACUUCACGAGGAAAAAAUGAGAACACAAAGACUUUCUUAAGCUAACUCGUAAGGAAUUAGAAUCGCCACACCUCAAAGAAGGAAUGAGAAGAAAUACAUGUCCUAGAUAGCAAAACAUAAUUGCAGCUGAAUCUCGAAUCAAACGUGUUCAUUCAUGUGUACUGGCAAAUCAAAGCUAAAACGCAUCCAAAUUAUUCAUCUUUUGUUUUUGCCAGGAAUGAAUGAGAUCUUCAGAUGCUGACUCCUUAUAUAUUUCAAAUGUUAGCCAACUCAUAAAAGAACUCCAAAUUUAGGCUACUCGUCCAGGCCUUGGCAGCAACCCAAAGAAGCCAAACAACACUGAAACCUGCCCUGAUUGUGAUCUAGACCGAACCUCGUGGCGAGAUCCGAUCCGUUGUUGCGGCCCGACCUUUCACGACACUCCACCUUCAGCAGUAGUAGCCUCUCGCCCAUGCACGCGAUGUACGUGAAGUAGAGGGAUUGAACCUUACGGUCCAGCACGAGAAAACCAAUCUCGACGAUGGUACUCACGCACAAAACAAUUUUCACGAAGAGAAAUCGCAACACAGAGGUUUUCUAAAGCUUCCUCCAAAACUUAGGGAUUUUUAGACAGCUUCCCCCAAAACUCAAUAUGGGUAUUUACCCUAAAAACACAUCGUGUCUAUUCAUAAAGUAUCACCUGCCUCUUUUUUACAUGACCGCACCCUCAUUAUCUAUAACCCACGUAUAGACUUGCAUAGUAAGACACCACCCUAUCUCUAGCUUCAAAUAAAUCCUGGACUCUCCUAAAAAUAUAAAAGUAUUUGCCUUUUACAUCUCGGCGGCUUUCUUUUAUUCUCAAACUAACAAACCGACCCAAACUUGACACACAUAAAAUUGAGGUUACCACCUCUUGGCCGUACGUGAGCUGCUGGUUUGGUGGACCCCAUCCUGUAGCACACAAGCACAACAUGUCCGUCGAUCGGCGCCUCCUGAUGAUUUGGCGUAUCUCUAGUGGUCGUAGCCUUCCAAAGUAGUAGCAAAAUACAUGAACUUCUUUCUGAUUCUUAUCUCCUAAUUGUAUGGGACAAAUAUUAUAAUUAGUAAACAAACUAAAUUCCCUGACAAGCUUCCAUUCGGAUGGACGUGAACAUGCAAAGUACUUCCUCCGUUCCUAAAUGUAAGUCUUUAUAGAGAUUCUACUAUAAACCGCAUACGGAUGUAUAUAGAUGCAUUUUAAGUUUAGAUUCAUUCAUUUUGCUCCGUAUGUAGUCCACCUAGUGGAAUCUCUACAAAUACUUAUAUUUAGGAAUGGAGGGAGUAGCAGUAAUUAUCAUUGUACGUGCUCUUUGCCCGCUUAGAUUUUCUCUCCACGUAAAUCUCUUCAUAUGCUUGAUUCUCCUUCCAUUUAUCCAUGCAAGCUAUGGAACGUACACACAUGAUGUGGUUAUUCUCAACUUUGCUAUUCUCUUCUUGAACAUGCAUCAAGCUAUACACAUCGGCUGCACAUGUAGCCGGAACAGUACCCAACGCUUGGACCUCCUUGUUCUCCACAUUAGAUACGGUUGUAUCAGAUUGAAUCACUGGCUAUGCAGUAGCAAAUAGCACCAGGAAAUCAGGUCCAAUUCAACAUUUAUUAGUCACAACUAAGCUUCUAAACAUUGAGCAAAUUGAGUGAUUAUUUCCUACAAGUCCAAUUCACGGCUGACCGGUGCAUGCCACAUAGAGGGACCAAGCCAAGCAUACAAAUUGGUAGAAUCUAGACUGAACAACUCAUUGCUGCAUCGCAACCACCGGAAAUAACUCUAGAUACCUAAAGCAAGUAAUACCAUCAGUCAAACAAAUUUGUACUAUUCAUUCAGGAAAACCUGUUGGGAGUAAUUCUUAUAACUUCUGUAUGUCUCAAACAAUAAACAUUAGCUUCACCAUUUGUGUAAUUGUGUCAAAAGCUGCAAAGUUAAAUCAUCUUCAGCAUCAUUAGACAAAACCAACAUUUGAAACAUAGAACAACAUUAAGCAACUUUUAGUUUAGUCACACACCUUCAACUUCUAAUACUAGCUCUCUCAAAAAAAACUUCUAGUACAAGAAAUAUUGGCUACAUCUGAUCUGAGUAGAGGUUAAUUAAAAGAACAGUGACACAUGAGGGGCUCAUGGGGUAGAAAAGCAGAAACAUUUGGUUUAGCAAUGUACAAGUUCGCUAAUCACUAAACAAUCGGCUUUGAUAAAGUUAAUACAUUAUAAAGGGAACCAUGGGCCUCCUCUCGUGGGCCUCAAGUUGAUCCAAAAAUAACAAUUCAUGCAGUAUAAGCCUCAACCAAGGGAUUGUGCAUAAUCUAAUUAAUUCACACUUCCAUUGGUCCAAAAUGACUGUCAUUCUUUUUACUCUCACAGUGUCAAGCAAUACUUUCACCAUGAGAGGCAGCCUGCCAUGAAAGGCAGCAUCAUAGGAGGUUGUCAGGUGCGCAUAAAGACUGAGCAAAGGGUUGCGGAAAAAAUCUUACAAUCUUUCUUGCAAUUUGGCACUUGAGAAAUGGUAGUAAAAAGAAAAGAAAAUAUAUUUUUUAACAGCAGUUCAGAUACCUCAACAUACAUACAGAAGAUAAGCUUAAGCUUACCUGCUUAACAAGUAGAGGUAUUGAGCAAAAGCUCACCUCGGUCCUGUCCACCAGCAACAGCUCCAUCAUGUCCACCACCAACACAUGUUUCUACAAGCAUAAUAAGUCAAAGCAAAAAAUGUGUCAUGUGGGGCAGAGGUUAUCUGGAUAUAUUCUUAAGCUUGUCCUACACCAUAUUGGAAGUAAAAUAAAAUAUACUCAUCAUACUAAUAAACCCUGGAAUAUAAGUGAUUGUGAUUUAGAUUUUUUUUUCAUGUAAUCAACUUUGAAAAGUUGUGCGUCUCAUCUUGAGAGAAAAAAAGAUACUGCAGCUAUGCAUUACACAAGUACAAAAACAGAAUGUUGCAGAAUAACAUUGCUAUAUGUUGACGAGAUCAUCAUGCAACCAAAGAAACAAGUGAUGCGACAAUACUUACAAUUGUUAGCUUAACAUGAAAGGAUGUGAACACAAUUCCAUCAACCAGCCAUUAAAAACUAACUUGAUUUGUUAUACCCGCAGUGCAAAGGCAUAUGAUUAUUUCAUUUUUUCUGAGAUGUGUAAAGGCAUGCUAUUACCUGCAACAAAGACACUUUCAAAUGGAAGAUAGUGGGCAAGCAUGCUGGGAUGGGGAAUUUUCUUGAACUGCAAUGACUCAAGAUGAAUCAGGAAGAGGCCGAUAACUGAUGUCCACAUGAACACCACAUUAUUCUCUUCAGCAAACCCUACUAUGUAUAAGUGCGCUCUCUUCUCUGGAUUCAGGGGAAGUAGCUUGUCCAAUUCAAUAGUUCUUUCUAGCUCCCAUGAACCAACACCAUGACAAUCGGUCUUUCUCCUCCAUGAUUGUGCGCAGAAGUCUAUCACGAUGAGGAAACCAAGGCCACCGCCCUUUGCCCGUACAACCGUCAAUUCAUGUCUGCCAUGGGAGGAAACCACACCCACUGGUGUCGGUAUCACGGCUACGCUCUGCUUCAACAAAUCAAACUCGAGAAUUCCAACUAAGCUCCCAAAAAGCAUCCAGUGAAGGGAAUUAUCAACCAACACAGCUUCCUUGGACGGAGAAACCAUGAGGGGCCGGCUGCCGAUAGGAACCUUGGGCGGAAGCGGCGCUGAGAUGAUAUCACCCCACACACCGGUCCUCGAGGAGUAAACGCAGGCCAGCAUUUGCCUAUCCUGCAUGUCAUAAUCGUCAUCUGCCACUACCAAAACCACCUGGAAAUGCUGGUCCUCUCCGGCAGCACGAAGCACCGCCCCGUGGACCAUGGUCCUGUUCAGAUGUCCCAUUAACCCAGGGGGGAGGGCGAUGAGGUGCUGGUCGGCGGUAACCGGAUCCCACACCAGGACCCGGCUCAACGAAAGGUGGAUGACGAACACGAGGCCGUGGCGGGAUCCGAGGGGCAUGAAUUGGUCGCCGUCCUCAAACUGCAAGCCGAAGCGUUCGGGCGGGACACGGUUGGGGGCAUCCACUGUAGGUACGAAGUAGAGGCUGCGAGGACCCAUGUCGAAGAAGCCGAUGAGGGGAGGGUUGCGGCGGUGGCGGCGGCGGAACCGACGGACGAAUCGUGGGUCGGAGAUGAGCCAGCGCCAUUGACGGCAGACGAGGGAGGCGCGCGGGAGGGAGGAAGGCUGCGGGGGGAGGCGGAGGAGGAUCUCGGUGAGCAGAUCCUCGUCUUCCAGCGGCUGCUCAUCUCUCGCCCUCGUUCCUCUCGUGAGGGUGUGAAGUAAAGUGGACCGGCCCACGAUAUCUAAUACUCCUCCCAAAUUUUUUUUGCCCUGCAGAGAUUUAAGCCCACGAUCACCUGAAAAAAGAUUUUAGGCCCACAAUAAUGUAUCCAUUCGCACCUACCACAUUCCAUUCCCUAUACCACCACUAAAAAAAGUAAAACAUUUCAAAAAAAAAACAGUAAAAAAACCACAUUACAUUCCCUAAAAAAAACACAUUCCAAACCCGACGUUCACCGGUAACCUUACCGUUGCCGUCGGUGCUGAUGCUGUUGUGUGCACAUGCUCCACCUCCGAAGAUUCGUCAUCAUCUCUCAUAUCCCUGACCUUCCACCCCCUCUCUUCACCGCUCCCUUUCCGCCGCCACACUCGUCUCGUUUCUCCAAAAUCUGGAUUCGCCGUUGAGGGCUACAUCGUCGAAACGUGCGGGCCCACCCAAGCCAUCAUCUCCAAGAUGCAGUACAACCUGCCUCUCUUUGGGUCCUCUAAGAACCUCUUUCGUCCGCACGAUAGACACAUAUAUCUUAUCAAAUUCAACCUCGAGAGGGUGGUGGACCCCAAUGUCGAGUUCUUGCGGCCGUCUGAGGCUAGGUGCUUGUGAUACUGCCAAGCUCUACUUUGUUGUGCCGAGGCUGCUCACACAAAACCGGAACACGUCAGGGUGACGGUCGCAUGCAUAGAAGGUGUUGGUGUGCCCCGUGGUUCUGUGAUGUCAAGUACGAGGAAGGAGAUGGUGGUGAAGAAGCAAGCGUCGGCCGUUGCCGCCCUGUGCAUGCUCCUCCUCCUCAUGUUGUCAAGGCCAUUCCAUCAGCAGUUCUCUUGUCACUCCUGCGACUCCUAUCGUGAGUGCUGCCCAAGGUGCAAACGUACCUUUCCGAUACUCUGCAAGGUCGAGUGUGGCGGCCGAUGCGAUAACACCGGCGACCGUGUUGGUGCCUGUUUGGAUGCAUGUGCCAUGGACACCGGCGACCGGCGACCGAGUAAUUAGGGAAAUAUAACUACACAUAUGAAUAUAUCUAGUGUAAGGCAGUUUGCUUACAUAUUUUCUUAGUAUAUCUCUCAUUGUGGGUCUAACUAUAUAUGUCAUUGGCCAUUGUCUAAUCCAAACUGCAUGUAGGUUUGCUUAGUCUAAUUUCUUCAAUUGCAGUAAUGGUAGAUGUUUAGCCCUUCAUAUUGAGCACAUGAUCAAAAUGGUAUGACUACAUUCACCACUAAUAUUGCUUUCAUCAUGAAUUCCGCUUUUUACAAACAUAAUACUACAUAUCAUUAAAUGUAGUGGUCAAAGUAUUGUUUUUUAUGUUGUGUAAGGGAAAAAAUGACAUCUUUGUGUUGGACUAAAGGAAAUCUAUCCAUUGAUAAGAUGAUGCACGAUCCCGUGUUUGAGGCUUCUACUUGCAUGAAUUGAAUUUAAUAUGAUUUUUCAAUAAGUUGCUAGCUGUGUUUUUUCUAUAGUAUCCGUCUACAAACCAAAUGUUUCUGCUUUCCUAAUCCAUGAACACAUCAUAUGCUCAUUGAUCUUUUAGCUUCUACUGGAACCAGAUGCUGCCAAAAACAGCCUAGUGAUAGAAGUUGAAGGCGUACCUCAAAUUACAUGUUGUUCUCUGCAGGUAAUGUCGACGGUUUGCCAUGAAUGCCUUGUAUAAAUUGGUUUGACUGACGCGGUGUGAUUUCCCUGCAGGUAUCUACAGUUACAUUCCGGUUGCUGAGAUGCAGAUGUGGCUUGUUAGCUUGCUUCGGUUAGUUAGUACCUUACAUUCAAUUAAUCUUGCUUGACUGCAUCAUUAUGCUUGUGUUCAUCUUUUCACCGUUUUCUUUUGUGUUCCAUGCUGUACCAUGUGGGCAGUAUUCCGCGUCAGGUUUCUACUUAUGUCCCAUUUUGUGUGUUUGCUUUUGGUGAAUGUUUAUCUGGUUCUGACCGAUGAAUUUUGAAUUAUUUUGCUUUUGUUGAGAUUCGUGCAGUGCUUGGAUUAGUUCGCUAAUAUUUGAAUUAUUUACACGUUAAGCUCUUAUGUUGCUUAAUCCUCGCAAAAAGAAGAUAAAGAAUUUUGCUGUUGUCAUCUAGACAGAGGAAGGUAAAAUCAAAAUUAGGAGGGAUUUUCCACAUUCAUCGAUAACCAUGUUUAUAUUAAGAUUCACAAAUUUUCUCACAAGUGUUGCACGGAAGCAAAACACAUUUUAUUGAUUGAUGCAGCAAUCACAGCUGCUCGACAUCAUAUGAUAGCAUGAUCGACCGGCCCUUAGGCUCUUCAAUGUUCCUUGUCUGGAUCGGGACCAGGGGCGCCCCACACAUUGUAGCACUCAUCGACACAAGCUUCGGGAUCUGCGAAAUGGCCCAAGAUCAUCAGAACAGAUGUUUCCUUUUUGCUUUGUGAAAAGAACACACAUUCAACCAGUGUACAUGAGAAUUCAUACAUAAACAGAGCAAACGCAUCCAAUAAAGUUUGUGUGAAAAGAAAACAUAUUCUAUCGUUCAUGUCUUACCGGCCAACGACGCUGGCAGGUCACAGAUGGAGUCCGUGUUGCAGGCGUUGAAACAGGUGCGAAGGGGGUCGAAGACGUCGUCGAAGAAGGGGCAGCUACAGGCGCACAUCACCUUGCAGAGCCACGGAGGGGUGCUGUUCUUGCACCCAGGGUAGCACUUCUGGUAGCACUCGCACUUGACCUCGGACAGCUGCUGAUGGGAUGGCUUUGGCAGGGUGAGCAGGAGGAGCAAGCACAGGGCGGCAACGGCGGCCGCUCUCUUCUUCGCCUCCAUCUCCUUGGCCUCACAAUCGUACAGGAGAAGAGAACUCCUGUGGUGAGUGGUGGGCUGGUUGAGUGAGGGCCCUUAUAUAUGGGAGUUCCGAGGGCAAUAUUGACAUUGACCCCGCCGCCCGCCUCCCGACUCCUCCUCCCGACCCCGUGCGGCCGCCGCCGGGCCGCACCGGGCGGCCACAUCCCGAUCUCCCCUCGACUCCCCGUGCACCCCCUCCCUCCGCUGCCGCCGGCAAUGUCGCUGGGCGAAGGCCCCGUGGCGCGGCGGCGGCGGACCUCCUCUGGCGUCCUGAGAUCUGAGGCGGCGGCGGCCUGAUUUGGAUCUCCCUCCCGACGAGGAUGGCAGGCAGCGGCGGCCGGGGCGUGACGGGGGGUUUGGCUGCACCCGGCGGGAGUAGUACGAGAUGGCGGCAGCGGUGGCCGGGGCGCGUCCCAGGCUGCCGUUACGUCCUCAAGCCGCUGCAUCUCAUCGGAUUCGGCGACGGCUCGCUGAAGCACUCCGGGUCUACAUCGCAUCACGAGGAUUAUGGCGGUGGUGGUCAUCUCCUACGCCGGAGGUGGUCGACCUGUGACUGGAUGAUCGGAUCUCGAGAUCUGUAAUCUAGUCCCGGCUACGAGUCGGGGAGACAUAGUUGCCGGUGAAAACCGAGCCGAUGGCGGACGAUGGCGGCGUUCUGCGCCGUUACCUUGAUGAAGGCAUCAUUCUGUAACUACUGUCAACCCACUCGUGCUGCUCCGGGGGAAACCCUAUGAUCUGGUUUUCCUGAUCGGACGAUAACGGCACUGCGGUGUCGUUUCUCUCUUGGGAGCAUCGUUUGUGGAGCAGCGCUGGAAGUCAGAGGUAGGAGGUGGAGCGGCUUCGUCUUGCACGGAGCUUCGGUGGAGAUGUCAAGUCAUGCCUGACCGACAGGUGCUACGCUUUGUCAUGCCUGGUCGGCAGGUACUACGCACGACAGAUCUUCCAAGGACUUCAAGCUGUGUCGGCUGGUGGUACUUGGCAGCAUGGCGCUGAGGUGUAUCAGUGGCGACCGCGACGUGCUCAGCUGUUUGCACGCAGGGAGGAGGUGCAGUUGGGCGCCGUGGUGGCGUCGAUGAUAGCUAGACCGAGCAAGGUUGAUGCUUCAGUACAGUUUUGAACAUGGAGCGGUGGCAGUUGGCGGCGGCGGCCUCUAAGAGCACGCCGGACCAGUGUGUGCCUUAGACCCGGCAAGUGGCUAGGUUGGGGUCUCAGGUCUUAGAUGUUAGGCUUGGCUGCGAUGUCUGUUUGGUAUUAGGCCCAGGCUAUCUGCGCCCCUUCAUCAGCUGGAUAGGUGUAGCGACAGUCUGUUGCUUAGACGGUGGCUUUAGUCUUACUGUUGUAUCACUUUGUAAGGUCUUGUGAGAAUAAUUAAUAAAGUGACCGUAUGCAUCGUCCAGAUGCAGAGGCCGGGGGUCAUCCUCCUUUUCUAAAACAAAUGGAGCCAAUAGCAUUUCACUAUUUUCCAGCAAAUCAAAUGACCGUAAUCUAAAGUUGGAGUGUCCUGUACCUGUACCCAAUUGUGCUAGUGGUGCUAGCUGCUCAACUUAAAGCUGCAAUGCUGCAUGUGUUGAUAUAGAAAGAAAACAGAAUGCAGUUCUGACUUAUAUACCAGUGUGCAAGUUAUGGCACAUUUAAUCACCUCUACACAUCUUGAUACAAGUUUCCGAAUGUAUCUCCAAUGGAACAGUUCAUGCCAGAAAAAUAACCUGAUUAGACAGUUACAUGAUGCUCAUCAUCUUUCUUUUGCCCAGACAACCCCUUGUGAAGCUGCCUGUGCUGAUGUAGAAAGAAAACCGAAUGCAGUUUUCAUACAAUACUGUUUAUAUGGGAUGGAACAUACCAGUAAAAACUAUUGUAUGUAUGUUUAAUUACCUGCUGUUUAGUACUAGUAAGGGACAAAUUGCAAUAUUAAGUGCCUGGAGAUGUGAAGUAUCUGCAUGGAAUGACAUCUCUUAUGUAUUGUUUGCAACUACGCACUUCUAUUACUCAAUAAAAUUUGCAUAUACUCAGUAGCAUAGCAAUGCAAUGCUACUGGGAUAGUUUCACUUUUUUUUGAGAUACGGUGAAGGCUUGGUGAGUUGGCUAAUGUUUGAACUUGAAUCCUUUCAUACACGGGCCUGUGUGCUUCAGUGUGUUGGGUGUGUGAUUAUCGUCCUUGUUAAAAGUCUAUGAACGAUGCAGGUACAUGUUGUGUUUAUUUUAUUUUGCGUGUGCUCAUUUUCACUGUUUUAUUUUGAUUGUGUCCCAUGUUGUAUGAGUAGGGGAAAUCCUACGUCGAAUUUCUGCUUUAUGUCCCAUUUUGUGUGUCUGACUGAUGAAUUUGUCUGGUUCUGACUGAUGAAUUUCAAAUUAUUUUGCCUUUGUGGGGAUUCACACAAGGCUUGGAUGACUUUGCUCAUGUUUGAAUUCUUUUACUUGUUAUAUGAACCUCAUAUAUCACUUCCACCUCACAAAAAGAAGAUAAGACAAUUUUGCUCGUGCAAUCUGGACAGGGGAAGCUAAAUGAAAGACACAUCAAAAUUAGCAGCUAUUUGCCAAAGGCGUCAUAACUGGCUUUAUUAUAACAUUCACAAAUUUUCUCACAAGUAGUGCACCGAACUGAGAUAUAUUUUAUUGCAUUGGUGCAGCAGUUCAACAUCAUAUGAUCCCAUGAUCGAGCGAUCCUGAUCUUCAAGGUUCCUUGGCGGGACCAUGGCCACCCCACAUCUUCUCGCAUGCAUGGAUACAAUCCGGAGUGCAAGCUGCAUAUGCAAAAUGGCAGUGCAAGCACAAGAUCAUGAGAACAAAAUAACAGAAAAAAGAGCACACAUAUUCCAUCAAUGUGCCUCUACCGACAGACCCACAAACUAGGGUGGUAGGUCCUCUACUCCUCUUACCGGACGGCGCUGGUGACAGGCCGCAGAUAGAGUCGGUGCAGCAGGCGACCAUGCAGGAGACGACAGGGUCCUUGUUGUCAUUGCAGCUGCCGCCACACACAACCUUGCAGAGCAUCGGGAAGGCGUUCUUGCACUCUAAGUAGCACUUUCGGUAGCAGUUGCAGGAGUGAUCCGAGAGCUGCUGACGACAUGGCCUUGACAGCAUGAGGAGCAGGAGCAUGCACAGGGCGGCAAUGGCCGCCGCUCUCUUCUUCACCACCAUCUCCCUCCUCGUGCAGGCAAUGAGAAGAGAAGAGAAAGAGAACUGCCGUGGUGAGUUGUGAAUGGUGACUGUUCAUUCAGCCAGUGUGAGCUCUUAUAUAUCAGAGAACUGCUGUGUGACUGUUCAUCUCAAUGGGGGCAAUCUCGACAUUUGACACGGAUAAUUUGUAUUGUAGCCGAGCAAAGUAUUUCAGUAUUCUACAGCAAACUAAAUGCGCCACAAUUUCAGGUUGAGUGUCCUGUACCCAGUUUUGCGAACGACAACUGAAUGCAUGCUGCCCACAUCUUUCUUUUGCCCCAGACAAGCUGCAUGCACUGAUGUAGAAAGAUAACUGAAAGCAGUUUCAUACAAUGCUGUUUAUAUGGGAAAUUACUAUAAACAACUAUUUUGUUUCUAACGCAGAAGAAGUUGAUCAAUGAGCUGAUUCAAGAAUUCGCAUUGAUGACAACUGGAAAUCUGUUCGACCAUUUGUGACAGAUGUUUCCGUUGCAACAUACUGAAAUUGAUUCGAUCGUUCAUGUCCAAUGUUUUUCACAGCAGCCAAAAGAUGAUUCCAACAAAACUAUAAUUUGUUUCAACCGAACAUGAAAAUAUUGCAGGGUUAAUAUUUGUUUCAGAUUAGAUGAGAUUUUGUCUUGAAAGGAAGAAGAGGGUUUACUUUCACCUAUGUACAACAAAAUGGCUAUAUAUUAAAACUGAUGCAGCUUGGUUUUUUAAGUGCAACACUAGAAUCAGGUCUUACUUGUCACUGAAUCUUACACCUCUGCUUGCAAAGAAUCCACCACUUUUUAGUUGAUCAACAUCGAGUGCUCCUACUGUGCCGCCAAUUUUUGCUUGAAGAAAAAUUACUUUUAUUUUGAUUCAUGCCCCCAUCUUUUCACCUGGAUAAGUCGCUUCAGCAAUCGAAUCCGCUUCCCUUCACCUGCAUUUCAACAAUUCAACACGCACCUGAUCAGGGCUCUUUGCCUCCUUUCUGUUGCUUCAAGCACACGAAAUCUCUUUUUCUUUUGGAAAUUUCCAACUUGUACAGCCUCGCAUUAGGAACAAAUGUGCACCAUUCACUAUUCAAGUAGUGUGUCUCAUAAUUUGAGGUACACAAAAUGUCUACUAUUCCUAUGUUUGAAAUUCUGCAAGAUUCUAUACUGCAUGACAACCCUUAUUUUGGUGUUCCAAAAGGAGCCCUGACAGUUUUUCUGUUGCCAAAAAAGAGGUAUCUACGGUGGUACAAGGAUGCCUAUCCUUUUAGCCCUCGGCGUCAUACAGAGAGUCGAAGAUGAUAUUAAGAACAUGUUGUAACCAUUUAUGUACUAAUGCAAUAUCUAACACACUUAAUACUCAUGUGUCUCUAAAAGACUAAGAUUUUAACUAAAAAAACAAGGUGAGGAAGAGAUGAAAUUAGUACAACUAAAGACCACUCUCCCUUUAAUGUUAGGACACCACCUCUUGGCUAAGGUAACACAGUCUUUCAUAUCUUCUAUCUAUAGUCUUAUGAAUAGAUGGUGAUAUAUGGUGGUCAUUAGUGUCUUGCUAAAACAAGUUUGGAACAAUUCACUGCUACAUAUGGAAUUGAUGUAGUCAGUCAUGAUAUGAUGAGCAAUUCAGGCAUUCACAUUUCAGUUGUUCCAUGUGCACUAGAUGCAAAACUGCAGAAGGGCCAUAAACUAGUAGCCGGAACCAAGUUGACCCUACCUUGGAACCAGAUCAUGUGAGUGAUCGAUCAUGAUUAGUCAUAACUGUUGUUGCACAAUUAAACAUGUCCAGUGGCAUUAGGCGCAUCCAUGGUGUUCACUUAACUAAACUAAUGGUUAAUCCAGUAACAUACUCCAAUGAAUGCUUCCAUUCAUUAUUAUAGUAAUAUAUAUCGUGCUUGCACGGAACUUGUUGUUUUGGCAUAACCAAGUAAAGGUAGGUGCUCCCACAGAAAUUAAUGAUUUGGGUAAACAAGUCCAAAGUCAAACACAACUCUCUAAAGGAAUCUCCACGUCAAAACAAUGGAUUUUGAUUUUGCUCCAGCUCCAUGUUCCAUGGGAAAAAUUAUGCUACUACCAUUUUAAUACUAUAUCAUUUUAUAAAAUCAUUGCUUAAAGUCAAUGAAGGCUUAUAUUGUGGUAUCAAGGACUAAAUGUCCCCUGCACAGAUUCGUUGUGUUAGUCCUGACUCCUCCUUGUCCUUCCUGUUUCCUGUCGAGAGAGCGAGAUUCAACCCUCCUGUCCACAGCAAUGGCUACUACUGCUGCACUGAUAUUUGCCGGGAAGUCGGUUGCGACCCCGGCCAUCUCAUUCAUCAUGAAGAAGGCAUUCGGCUAUCUCAGUGAGAGGUACCAGCCUAAGGAUCUAGAGCAGCUCAAGAAUAAUCUGUCACGGAAGCUCAAGCAGAUCCAAGCGGUGUAUGAUGCUGUUGAUCGUCAGGAGAUCAGCGAGCAGAGCGAUGCACUGGAUGAGUGGCUCUGGCGAUUCCGCGAUGCAUUCGAGGAGGCUGAGGAUGCACUUGAUGAGAUAGACUACUACAAGCUUGAAGAAGAGGCAGAAGCGCACAACCUAGAACAGGUGCGUAAUUCAGUCACAAAAUUCUACAAAGAAAAGGUUGUUGGCAAGUUUGCAAGGAUGAUUUCUGAGGGUAAGAUGGUAAAGAAGCUGAGGGAGGCCGUAGAGAAGUUAGACAGUGUUGCUCAAGAUGUGGGAAACUUCCUUCAGCUUUUAUGCCGUGUUGAUAAUCUUGUCCUGCAAGAUCAUGCUGAAAGUAGUGAACACCAGACUAGCUCCGCUUUGGUGCCUAAUGAGAUCUUUGGCCGUGACAGUGAGAAGAACCAGGUUAUGAGGUGGUUGACUGCUAAUAUAUGUAAUAAUCGAGUCCCGAUUUUUGCAAUAAUCUGAAUUGGAGGUAUAGGAAAGACAACCCUUGCUCAGAUUGUGUGCGAAGAAUUGAAAGGUUCAGCACACUUUGACUGUGUUUUGUGGGUACAUGUUUCUGGUAAUGUUUUCAGUUCAACAAGGAUAAUGAAAAAGAUCUUGGAGGCAGUUACAAAAGAGAAGCCUAAUGCUAAUACUUUGGAUGCAUUGCAACAGAUUCUCACGGACAAACUUGUCCUUAAGAAAGUUCUGCUUAUUUUGGAUGAUGUUUGGGAAGAUAACAAAAUGAGUGAAUGGGAAACAUUAAUGGCUCCUUCGUGGAGUAUGCAGAGAGGAAGCAAGAUCCUGGUGACAACCCGAAUGAGGUCUGUGGCAGAUAUGGUUGCAGGUGUGAUGAGAAGUAGAAAUGAUUAUUUGCACUUAGAUGGAUUAAAUGAAGAUGAAAAUUUUAUGCUCUUCAAGAAGUAUGCAUUUGAUGGUUUGAAUUUGGAAGAUUAUGCACACCUCUUGCCAAUUGCUGAAGAAAUAGCAGAAAAGUUUCAUGGCUGUCCUUUGGUGACAAAGAUUGCAGGUGGCCAUCUACAGAGCAAUGUAAGUGAUCAGCAUUGGAAGGACCUGCACAGACAAUUAGAACAUUUAGAAGGAAGCACUGAUGCUAUCGUCACAACUGUUCUUCGAUCGAGCUACCAUCAUCUACCUGAGCACUUACAGCUUUGUUUUAGAUACUGUAGCAUAUUUCCAAAAGGUCACAAGUUUAAGAAGGAAGACAUAGUGAAAAUGUGGAUGGGUUCAGGGCUGAUCCUGCGAACUGAAGGUGGGACCGAAAGGCUAGAAGACAUGGGAGGAAGAUACUUUGUGCAGUUGGCAAGAAAGUCAUUCUUUACUUUUGUGCCAACAGUAAAUCCUUACCAGAAAUACUGCACGGAGUACUAUGUCAUGCAUGAUUUAUUGCAUGAGUUGUCAUGUAAUGUUUCUAUUGGUGAAUGCCUAAGACUUGAAUCCGGUGGUUUCCUGCAUCAUAAGUGUACAGUUAGACACUUAUGGGUAGCAAACUUCAGCAAGUUAUCAUGUGAGGAGAUCAAGGCCAUUUCCUGCUUUAAGAGUUUGCGUACACUCGUCAUGGAAGACUCUUAUCAUGUCAGUGCUGAUCAUGUAGAUGCACUGCAGGAAGUCAUAAAAACUGUCAAGUGCUUGCGGUUAUUGAGCUUAAAAGGGAUAACCAAAUUCUAUUUCCCAAAUGAAGUUGCUAAUAAGCACCUUCGUUAUAUCUCUGUCUCUAGGAUGGAGGAAAUACAUGGACUUUCUAAGCUCUAUCAUUUACAAGUACUUACUGCAGCGAAAAGAAUAGGUACAACAUCAGAACAAGUGGAGAAUAUGGAAAACCUGUUUCAUCUGCGGUAUGUGUCCUAUGGUAGUAAUGGAUUUGGUGAGUUUCCUGUUGGCAGAUUAACUUCACUGCAAGAGUUGUAUAACUUCAAAAUUCAGUCAGUGGAAGGUUACCGAAUAAGUUCAUUAAAGAAUUUGACAAGCCUUUGCAAGCUACAAAUGUGCAACCUUGAGAAUGUUGGCAGUCAUGAAGAGGUUAUUGAGGCCAAGCUAAAUGAGAAAUCCUAUCUUGGGUCACUUUCACUUAACUGGUCUGAAACUAAUGAUGUUCCAAUCGAAGACAGCCUGGUCCUUGAUAAACUUGAGCCACAUGCUCGUCUUGAAAAUCUUGAAAUUGCAGGAUAUAGUGGUGUCCGAUUCCCAUCUUGGAUAAAUGAUCCCCCUCUGGUCAAUAUGGUGUCACUUGAGCUGAGACAGUGCAAAAAUUGGGUGUACCUCCCGUCUCUUGGAAAUCUACAGUUACUCAAGCAUCUCGAGUUGCAAAACCUUACUGGAUUGAAACAGAUUGGGCAAUCAUCUGCUGAUUCCUUUCCUCAAAAUCUGAAAACCCUAGUGGUGGAAGGAUGCCAGGGAUUAAGGAAACUACCACUUCUACCUCUGACUUUGAUGCAGCUAGAAAUAAGUAAUGUUGGAUUGGACAUCCUCCCGGGAAUUGUUGCCCACCAUGAUAACGUUGGUUCUGAGGCCAUGCCACCCAAGCUAGUAUCAGUCAUUAUCAGCAAUUGUUCAAAUUUGACUACGUUGGCAGAGAGCUUUCUAAUGCGCGAACACUAUAUCUGCACUCUUCGGAUCCUAAAGAUUGUUGACUGUAAAAAACUAAUCCAUGCUCCUUUAUCAUUUGGGAGCAUGAAUGAUCUUACAGAAUUUCGUAUUGGGUGCUGUUACUCAUUGAGAAUGAUGCAGAAGGUUGAUGGUGGACUACUCCCUUGCACGCUUAAGGAACUCUCUAUGGUGCAGUGUGGUGACCUCCAACUUCCUCUGCUGGAUUCACUGGUUGGUCUGACCAAUCUUACCUCACCGAGUUUGUGCAACUGCUCCAGGGUGAAGUCUCUUCCAUCAUCAGAGGUGUUCCGGAGUCUCACAGCACUGCGAGAGAUGGUUAUCACAAACUGCAUUUUCUUGUCAUCGUUGGGUGGGCUUGGAGCUCUUUCAUAUCUCAGUUGGCUAGAAAUUACAGACUGUCGCCAACUUCUGGUGGCAGCACAAUCAGGUGAAAUGAAUGGACAUUCAUUGGUUGAGAUCUCCUUGAAGGUCUACUCGCUCUGGAUCCAAACCCCUUCCAUGUUGCAUAUGGAGCCACUGAGUAGAUUGUGUAACACCAAAAACUUGAUUAUCUCUGUUGGCUGCGGCACAAUAUCUCGACAAUGGAUGAGACAAAAUAGGUACCUCGAGUCCCUAGAGAUAUUGAAGCCAGAGAUUAUGUUAUGGCUUGAACGGUUUUCCUCUCUCAAGAGACUGGAGUUCGAUGUAGUUCCCUGUCGCCUCCCGUUUCCUGGUCUGCCCUCUUCGCUGGAAUCUUUCAUUAUCAGAAAAUGUGAUCCAGAGGUGGCGGAAAGCUGGAAAAAGAAAGAGAGCUUUCAAUGGAACAAGAUUUCCCGCAUCGGUCAUGUAAGAAUAGGUAUUACCCCGCUUCUCAUCACUAAGUUCUUCCAUCUCAUCAUCACCUGCAAUCUAGUUGUCAGACCAAUAGAUGUAUUCCUAUCUUAGGUACUGUUUCCAUGUAUUAACCAGAAUUAUCUCCUGUCAGACUGUGAUCUGGGCAUCAGUUUAACUAUGUGUUAACUUUGCAGGAGACACAAACUACUCUUUGGGUCAGGAGAGACGUGUUACAAAUUUGGUGAACACAGCUACCCAUUUUGAUAGCUGUGGUUCCCUACGAGGAAAGAGAACUAAAAGGUACCCCACCAUUUGUUUGUAGUCAAUGGAGUACAUGUCAUUUCUUGCUUCGAUGUUAUAAGCCUAUGUCAUUGUGCUGUACAUAUAGGUGAAGUCCAAGCUGGUUAUCUCUGCUGCCUGGAGAUUCGAGAAACAAGUCACGGAAAGCGACGUCCUCUCAUUUUCACGCUGCAAGUGCAACUGGAGGGAGAAGAAGUAACCACAUCGUGCUGCUCUGUUCCACUGUUGGCCCCUCCCUUCUCAUCUCAGGCUAGCCGCUGGCGACAAGGUUGGUGUGGGUCUCGUACUCCCACGACUGUACAAAUGUAGUUGGGAUCUAGUACUUUCUAAUAGGUUUUCUUUUCCCGUGUUGUUUUGGGGUCGACCCCGUUGUAGAACUAGCUGACUGUCAUCCGACCGCCGUCUCUUGUAACAACCUAACGAGCCUCUAGGAUUUUGUCGAUAUUGAAAGUUAUAUGUGUGCUAUAAUAGCGGUAUAGAUAUCAUCAUACGUUUGUUCGAUAUGAGAUUUAUACAAUUGUAUAGCAGCAUAUAAGACUGGACAGAAAAAGUGAAAGCUCUGUAGACAUAAACACAAAUGCUUGGUCGGAACUUAGGCUUUCCGGGCAUUAUUCAAUUUCUCCCUGAUUGGGAAGUAUGGAUCAUUAAAAUAGAAAAUGGAAAUCCUUGUGCACAUAAACACAAACACCUGGUGGUCAGGAGUUUAGACUGCAAGGUGUUAUUCAGUUUAGGUUGGAUCAUAAGGCACAGAUCAACAAGAAACACUGGCUCUACUAUCAGGAUCACUCUUCGUUACCUGAUUUCCAGCAUUGUAUGGUUGAACGAUGUGCCCAGUGCGUGACCCAAAUUCCAGUAAGGCUCCUGCACCACUGCCAGCAAUCCCGCCUCUGUCCUCCACGGAAUGGUGCAGUGGGCGAGGAAGGGCGACGCCCGGCGCAUCGGGUUCGUGUUCCACGCGCCGAGAGAGGCUCGAUGGUGCCAGGAAUGUCGCGAGAUCUGAGAUGACCGGAUCAAAGAACCGGGUGGCGAGGGGGGAGGGGCUACUGGGGACUGUAGAGGGAGAGGCGACUGAAAGGGCGGGGAUUAAGAGUAUCUCCAGCCGUGCCUCCAACAGGUCCUCCCCAAACGUUUUUACCGCGCCGGCACCCAAAAAUCGGCCCAGUCGCGUCUCCAGUAACCCGUUUUUUGCCGGCUUGGACCGAAACUGGCGCCGACAAACCCAAACCAAACCCGGCACGCUCAGGGGCGCCUGGGGGCGCCGGCACAAGCGAAAAGGAGCAUGGGGCCGCUCUGUCGGCGAGUCGAGAGCCUCUUCCCGCCGUUUCUUCCCGCUUUUCUCUCCACUUCCCUCUCAUUCUUUUCAUUCCUCUCGCCAAUCUCCCUCCCGCUCGCCUCCCAGCUGGCCGCCAUGCCGCUGAAGAAGUACGUGAUCCCCCGCGCCGCGACAGCUGCGGCCGCCACCGUCGCCCAGUCAAAGCAGAGGAAGCCGAGGGCGCCGCCGUCCAAGCCACCGGGCCUGACCAACGCCGAAUGGAGGGCGGAAGUUCAGCGACGGGAGGCUGUCACCGCCGACCGGCGGAACAGGGCCAACGCAAAAAAGGCCCGGGACAGCGCGGCGCAUGCGGCUGCGGCUGUGGCGGAUCAAGCCGAGGCGUCUCGCGUGGGGAUGAUGAAUCCACCCGGCGGCCACGCCCAGCACGCGUCCUAGCGCCAGCAAAGCGUCGGCUCUCCGGCCGGCUUUUCAUCAUCGCCGCAACCAUGUGGAUGCACGCCGUCGCCGGGCUACGCCGACGGGGACGCGCACGGUGGGUUCAACCCCAACGUCACCUUCCCCCAUGGACACCUGGCCCAACGCACGCCCUCGCCCGCCUUGCGCUCGUCGAACUCGGCCUUGAUGCGCUCCCAGUAUGUCUCGAUGCUCUAGUUCGUGCCGGUUGUCGGGUCGAGGCAGACGACUUUCCACGCUUCGGCGAGACAUUCUUUCUCCUUGGACGCCCACUUGAUGCGCGGCUCGCCGACUCGGCCGCCCGCUUCUUCUUCUUGCUCCUUCUGCCUGAACAGUCACCGGUUCCUCCUCCUCCUCCUCGUCGUCCUCCUCCUCCUGCUCGUCCGGCUCCUCCUCGCCGUACUCGUGCUCGCCAUCCACGCCUCCGCUGAGGUCCAAGGAGAAAGAAUGGUGGCGCCGCUCUCCGGGCGAGCUGCGACCUCCUCGACGAUCCCAUGCCAUUUGUUGCACGCCGGUCUCCCACUUCUCUUCGCCGUGUGCGCCCGCCAACUGUUUGUUCAUCGGCGCAGCUGGUGCGCAUGUUCGUCAUGUAUCACCAGGACAACAGCGACCAAGGAUUCAGGUACCUCCAUGUCUUCAAGCGGAUCGACAAGUGCGAGAAGUGGGCGGAAGUCCGGCACACCCUCGCCAAGGCCAAGGAGACCUACAAGCCGGACACGCCGACGCCGGGCGCGUCAGAAGGGCGGCCGGACGGCAAUAAAGGGGCCAAGAAGGGGAAACACGCCGACGCGGCUACCGCGCGAGUGCAGGAGUCCAUCGAGAAUUGCCUCGCGGACGCACAGGCCCGGGCGGCCCUGCUUGAAGAGAAGACCGAGGCGCGGUGGUCGGCGUUGAUGACGAACAGUGCCGUUAAGCUCGACCUGCUCCGGACCAACGUCGCCGCGAAGAAGAGGAACACCGACCUGGCUUUUCUGAUGGGCGGGGCGGACAUGCUCCAGAGCAACGAUGAGAAGCUCAAGGCGUGGUACAUGGCGGAGCGCGGCCUCAUCCUGAAGCAGCUGCCGACGAGGGCGCCGCCAACUCCCGCGCCCACGCCCACGCCGCCGCCAAGCCCGAGUGAUGAUGCCUCCACAACGCCCAGCAACACCGAAGCCGUGCUGACGCCGCCUAGCACAGAAGCAGCGCCGACGCCGGAGGCCACCCCCGCCGAGUGAUGCACGUGUCCAGACUUGUGGCGUUCUUUUUUUUGUACCCCAAACUAUUUAUUAUCCGAUCGCCGAACUAUGGCCUACGAUCGCCGGACUGUGGUGGCCUAUGAUCGCCGGACUUGUGGCAUUUUUUGUGAUGAGCGGAAACGACCAAGUUUGAAAUUGCUGCGUCCUGGGGAUGGCGCUUUGGGGCAUGACUGGGAGCUAGGUCGCCCGCAAGGGCCAAUCUAGCGUCGGUUCGCCCCCAGUCCGCACUUUUUAGGCGCCCUGGGGGGCCGAACGGCUGGAGAUGCUCUAAUGGAUUAGAACGCCUCUAGCAGAUCCCCUAUAAUCUGGUACUGUAAAACGAUAUACAACUUUCGGUAAAAACGUCUUUUUAUACUAUGUUUUUACGAUAUGACAUGUGUUCCGGUAGAAUAGAUUCCAUAAUUGAACCAAUCUGUGGUUGGAUGGUUAGAUGAACAGUGGUAUCCCCAGCCUAUCAAGUUCAAAUUCUGGUGCUCGCAUUUAUCCUGGAUUUAUUUCAGGAUUUUCGGCGACACGCGUUCAGUGAAACGGGACGUUCCCGUCGACUACGAGGCUGCUAGGGUGACUUUGUAAAAUUUAGAGACGAUUUGCCGGCUCAUAGGAGUAGAGUGUGCAUGUAUGCUUUCAUAGGGAUGAGUGUAUGCGCGUAUAUAUGAGCGCGGCAGGGUGGGGUUCUUCAGGUUCGAGAACAAGGUCGCGGAGGGCGCCGAUAUCUGUGUGCUCACUCGCCGGCGAGGGAGAGCGCCAGAGUGGCUGACUCACCUGGGGCCGAGUCGGAGCGCGACGCGUUCGGACUCGUGUGCAGGCGCUAGCUCUGGAUCCAGAGCUCCGAGCGCCGCCGCCUACGCGCGUGUGCUGGUCAUCCAUGUUGUGCCACUUGGCAGCACACUUCCCGGGCAUUCUCGAGCUCAAUCUCUCCCCGUCGUCGUUCCACUCGUUCUACCCCAGUGUUAUCGACGAUGAUUUGGACGUCAUUGUAGGGGGUUUUGCAAUCUACGUCAGCAGCUCGCGGGCGGCAGCCGGAAGACCGUGGCGGGAGCCAAAAGUUUCUUCCUGUCAACGGUUUUUUGUUUUGCAGGUCCAUGUAAAAAGAUGGAGGGGUCCGAUAGAUAUAGCGGAAUAAGCUCAAACUAUGCAUGAUCCCGCAAGAAAAUUUAAUGGGUGAAUGAUUUUAUAGAGUCCCUUCGGGAUGGGAAAUCGGCCCCAUCCGCUAUAUCGGCGGUUAUUAUAACGGAUGAACCGGUUUCCGGGAUAUGGAGACAGCACUAGUGCAGAACCGGUCUUUAGUGCCAGUUCGUAACGGCCUUUAGUGCCGGUUCUCCAACCGGCACUAAAGAGUGGGGACUAAAGGUCCCCUCCCCCCUUUAGUACCGGUUCGUCACGAACAGGCGCUAAAGUGCGAACACGUGGCACGAGCCAGGCCCGGGUGCGCGUAGGGCUUUAGUACCGGUUGGUAACACCAACACCAACCGGUACUAAAUGUUUGGGUGUUUUUUUAAAAUUUUUGCUUUAGUUUUGUGUUUUCAAUUUAAUUUAGUGAUUGUUUUACAUUAUAAUGAGUUGUUAAAUCAUUAGGUGAAAGUACCGCGGAUUAGUUUCGACUGGAGGAUCUAGCUAGCUAUAUAUAGCUAGCUAUAGCUAAGUGAUCAAGUAUAUAUAUAUGCCAUAUCGAUAUUAUAUACUUGAUCACCUAAUUAGGUGAUCAAGUAUAAUAUAUAUGGAUAUGGCAUAUAUAUAGUUGAUCACUUAGGUAGGAUCCAUCCAGCUGAAACUAAUAUGUGGUUUCUUUCAUCAAAUGAUAUAAUAAUUACUCAUCAUAUCAUCAUAUUAUUAAUAUAAAAACUCUUGCAUCAUAUCAUCAACAUACUCUAGAGCUAGCUAGCUAAAAUCAUCGUAGUCGUCAUUAUCACUAUUUAAUUAUCAUAGUCAUUUCCGCUAUUUAAUCAUCACCAACAGUAGCUUAAAGAAGAAACAUUCACUUGUACCAGAAGCAAAAAUAUCAUCGAGUUCAACAUGAUUGUCAUGAUAUUAUAAGCGUUCAUACAUAACACCAUAAAAGCAAAUCACUUUUUGAGAUUAAGUUCAGAACGAAGAACACGGACAUGAACGGACAAGUACUAAGAGCAGCAUGCUAAAUCACUCCUGCUAGCUACUCUCUCUCUGAUAAAAUAGCAUAGAACAUGUAUAGUUCUCCUGAUUCAUCAUACUGGAGCAUGCAGAUGAACCUGUCUCCUAACCGUGGGCUGCGCUUCUCAUUGCUGCCCCCUAGUACUUCUCUGCGAUCGUUAACAAUUUUCCUCCAAUCUUUCACUAUUAAGCAUUCAUCGCUUGUAGAAAUCCUGAAUGCAUUCAUGUGCAAUGCAUGAUAUCUUGGCCGUAAGCUAACAAUUGACAUGCGACCUUUAGUCUCGAUCACCUGAGGCAUAACUGUCAUCGGGAGUCCCUGUUGAAGAACAUCGUAUAGUACUAAUUAAUAUACUUAGCAAUGAAAGUUUAGCAAAAAAAUUAUGUAUGCAAAAGAUGCACUGAGGACAAAUAGUAAAAAUCUUACCAUCGUUCCUAAAUAGAUGUAAUCGUAGUUCAAUACCAUCACUAUUGAUCGCACAUUUUGAGUACUAACAUUUCUAAGUGCAGAAAGAAAAUUUGUCUUGACAGUAUGAAGAUUCUCAAGCCAUGAAACAUAAUGACUUAUCUCCUCGCAGUUUAGUUCAGCUCUGGAACAGUAGUAGGUCCUGUCUACCAAGCGUCGGACAUGUUUGGUUGAAUGGAGAUAAGCUGUCGUUGUGACUUACUGUAUCGAAUUCGAAGGUCUCAUCCAGCUUGAUGCUGAAUCGCCUAUCAUCAACAAGGAAAUUUCUAUCGCACUAGCCGCGCUGGUCUUCACAGUAUUCACACAUAAUGAAUUUUUUCCGUCGUCAGACGACAUUUCCUAUGUUCAUAUAGGCGAAACAUUAAACACUUACUAAUUCAACUAAUUCAACUAAGCAUUUACUAACAAUAAACUAGUUGUAUUAAUUCAAACAACCUCAUAUACCUAAAUUUUAAUUAGUUCAAAUAAUUUCAUAUACCUAAAUUUUUUUGCUAAAAAUAAACUAGUUCUGUUAAUUCAACUAGUUCAACUAAGCNNNNNNNNNNNNNNNNNNNNNNNNNNNNNNNNNNNNNNNNNNNNNNNNNNNNNNNNNNNNNNNNNNNNNNNNNNNNNNNNNNNNNNNNNNNNNNNNNNNNNNNNNNNNNNNNNNNNNNNNNNNNNNNNNNNNNNNNNNNNNNNNNNNNNNNNNNNNNNNNNNNNNNNNNNNNNNNNNNNNNNNNNNNNNNNNNNNNNNNNNNNNNNNNNNNNNNNNNNNNNNNNNNNNNNNNNNNNNNNNNNNNNNNNNNNNNNNNNNNNNNNNNNNNNNNNNNNNNNNNNNNNNNNNNNNNNNNNNNNNNNNNNNNNNNNNNNNNNNNNNNNNNNNNNNNNNNNNNNNNNNNNNNNNNNNNNNNNNNNNNNNNNNNNNNNNNNNNNNNNNNNNNNNNNNNNNNNNNNNNNNNNNNNNNNNNNNNNNNNNNNNNNNNNNNNNNNNNNNNNNNNNNNNNNNNNNNNNNNNNNNNNNNNNNNNNNNNNNNNNNNNNNNNNNNNNNNNNNNNNNNNNNNNNNNNNNNNNNNNNNNNNNNNNNNNNNNNNNNNNNNNNNNNNNNNNNNNNNNNNNNNNNNNNNNNNNNNNNNNNNNNNNNNNNNNNNNNNNNNNNNNNNNNNNNNNNNNNNNNNNNNNNNNNNNNNNNNNNNNNNNNNNNNNNNNNNNNNNNNNNNNNNNNNNNNNNNNNNNNNNNNNNNNNNNNNNNNNNNNNNNNNNNNNNNNNNNNNNNNNNNNNNNNNNNNNNNNNNNNNNNNNNNNNNNNNNNNNNNNNNNNNNNNNNNNNNNNNNNNNNNNNNNNNNNNNNNNNNNNNNNNNNNNNNNNNNNNNNNNNNNNNNNNNNNNNNNNNNNNNNNNNNNNNNNNNNNNNNNNNNNNNNNNNNNNNNNNNNNNNNNNNNNNNNNNNNNNNNNNNNNNNNNNNNNNNNNNNNNNNNNNNNNNNNNNNNNNNNNNNNNNNNNNNNNNNNNNNNNNNNNNNNNNNNNNNNNNNNNNNNNNNNNNNNNNNNNNNNNNNNNNNNNNNNNNNNNNNNNNNNNNNNNNNNNNNNNNNNNNNNNNNNNNNNNNNNNNNNNNNNNNNNNNNNNNNNNNNNNNNNNNNNNNNNNNNNNNNNNNNNNNNNNNNNNNNNNNNNNNNNNNNNNNNNNNNNNNNNNNNNNNNNNNNNNNNNNNNNNNNNNNNNNNNNNNNNNNNNNNNNNNNNNNNNNNNNNNNNNNNNNNNNNNNNNNNNNNNNNNNNNNNNNNNNNNNNNNNNNNNNNNNNNNNNNNNNNNNNNNNNNNNNNNNNNNNNNNNNNNNNNNNNNNNNNNNNNNNNNNNNNNNNNNNNNNNNNNNNNNNNNNNNNNNNNNNNNNNNNNNNNNNNNNNNNNNNNNNNNNNNNNNNNNNNNNNNNNNNNNNNNNNNNNNNNNNNNNNNNNNNNNNNNNNNNNNNNNNNNNNNNNNNNNNNNNNNNNNNNNNNNNNNNNNNNNNNNNNNNNNNNNNNNNNNNNNNNNNNNNNNNNNNNNNNNNNNNNNNNNNNNNNNNNNNNNNNNNNNNNNNNNNNNNNNNNNNNNNNNNNNNNNNNNNNNNNCGGGGGCGGCGACGACGGACGGCGGGGGCGACGGUACGGCGGCGGCGGCGCGAUAGAUCGAUGCUGUCGCGCGAGAAAUUGAAGGAAAUAACUAUUUUUUCGUAAGUGUAGUAUAUAUAGGAUGGGCCGUUAGUACCGGUUGGUGGCUCCAACCGGUACUAAAGGCCAAUUUUGGCCAGCCCAAGCGGCGGGAAACGAGGGCCUUUAGUACCGGUUGGUGGCUCCAACCGAUACUAAAGGGCAACACAUUAGUACCGGUUGGAGCCACCAACCGGUAUUAAAGGCCGUGCGCUGCCACCCGCAGUGCGCUACUUUUAGUCCCACCUCGCUGAGCGAAGGGCAGCCGCACUGGUUUAUAAACCCAGCCGCGGCUGCCCUUUCGAACUCCUCUAUAUAGCAGGCUUCUGGGCCUAACUAGGGCGCGCUGCCCUGUGAGCCUGCUGGCCCUUCUGGGCCUAUAUUUGCACACCCUAGGUCUGGCACGCCCACUGGACAACGCCCCAACAUUUUUUUAUAAUUUUUUUCUUGCAUUAUUUAUUUUCUUCUAUUUAUUUUCGAGUAAUUUUUUAUAUAGUUUUUUCUUUUCCGCUUUAUUUUUUUUCUAUUUAUUUCUGAGUAGUUUUUUGCUGUAUUUAGUUUCUUUGUGNNNNNNNNNNNNNNNNNNNNNNNNNNNNNNNNNNNNNNNNNNNNNNNNNNNNNNNNNNNNNNNNNNNNNNNNNNNNNNNNNNNNNNNNNNNNNNNNNNNNNNNNNNNNNNNNNNNNNNNNNNNNNNNNNNNNNNNNNNNNNNNNNNNNNNNNNNNNNNNNNNNNNNNNNNNNNNNNNNNNNNNNNNNNNNNNNNNNNNNNNNNNNNNNNNNNNNNNNNNNNNNNNNNNNNNNNNNNNNNNNNNNNNNNNNNNNNNNNNNNNNNNNNNNNNNNNNNNNNNNNNNNNNNNNNNNNNNNNNNNNNNNNNNNNNNNNNNNNNNNNNNNNNNNNNNNNNNNNNNNNNNNNNNNNNNNNNNNNNNNNNNNNNNNNNNNNNNNNNNNNNNNNNNNNNNNNNNNNNNNNNNNNNNNNNNNNNNNNNNNNNNNNNNNNNNNNNNNNNNNNNNNNNNNNNNNNNNNNNNNNNNNNNNNNNNNNNNNNNNNNNNNNNNNNNNNNNNNNNNNNNNNNNNNNNNNNNNNNNNNNNNNNNNNNNNNNNNNNNNNNNNNNNNNNNNNNNNNNNNNNNNNNNNNNNNNNNNNNNNNNNNNNNNNNNNNNNNNNNNNNNNNNNNNNNNNNNNNNNNNNNNNNNNNNNNNNNNNNNNNNNNNNNNNNNNNNNNNNNNNNNNNNNNNNNNNNNNNNNNNNNNNNNNNNNNNNNNNNNNNNNNNNNNNNNNNNNNNNNNNNNNNNNNNNNNNNNNNNNNNNNNNNNNNNNNNNNNNNNNNNNNNNNNNNNNNNNNNNNNNNNNNNNNNNNNNNNNNNNNNNNNNNNNNNNNNNNNNNNNNNNNNNNNNNNNNNNNNNNNNNNNNNNNNNNNNNNNNNNNNNNNNNNNNNNNNNNNNNNNNNNNNNNNNNNNNNNNNNNNNNNNNNNNNNNNNNNNNNNNNNNNNNNNNNNNNNNNNNNNNNNNNNNNNNNNNNNNNNNNNNNNNNNNNNNNNNNNNNNNNNNNNNNNNNNNNNNNNNNNNNNNNNNNNNNNNNNNNNNNNNNNNNNNNNNNNNNNNNNNNNNNNNNNNNNNNNNNNNNNNNNNNNNNNNNNNNNNNNNNNNNNNNNNNNNNNNNNNNNNNNNNNNNNNNNNNNNNNNNNNNNNNNNNNNNNNNNNNNNNNNNNNNNNNNNNNNNNNNNNNNNNNNNNNNNNNNNNNNNNNNNNNNNNNNNNNNNNNNNNNNNNNNNNNNNNNNNNNNNNNNNNNNNNNNNNNNNNNNNNNNNNNNNNNNNNNNNNNNNNNNNNNNNNNNNNNNNNNNNNNNNNNNNNNNNNNNNNNNNNNNNNNNNNNNNNNNNNNNNNNNNNNNNNNNNNNNNNNNNNNNNNNNNNNNNNNNNNNNNNNNNNNNNNNNNNNNNNNNNNNNNNNNNNNNNNNNNNNNNNNNNNNNNNNNNNNNNNNNNNNNNNNNNNNNNNNNNNNNNNNNNNNNNNNNNNNNNNNNNNNNNNNNNNNNNNNNNNNNNNNNNNNNNNNNNNNNNNNNNNNNNNNNNNNNNNNNNNNNNNNNNNNNNNNNNNNNNNNNNNNNNNNNNNNNNNNNNNNNNNNNNNNNNNNNNNNNNNNNNNNNNNNNNNNNNNNNNNNNNNNNNNNNNNNNNNNNNNNNNNNNNNNNNNNNNNNNNNNNNNNNNNNNNNNNNNNNNNNNNNNNNNNNNNNNNNNNNNNNNNNNNNNNNNNNNNNNNNNNNNNNNNNNNNNNNNNNNNNNNNNNNNNNNNNNNNNNNNNNNNNNNNNNNNNNNNNNNNNNNNNNNNNNNNNNNNNNNNNNNNNNNNNNNNNNNNNNNNNNNNNNNNNNNNNNNNNNNNNNNNNNNNNNNNNNNNNNNNNNNCUGCUUCUUCUUCUUUAUAUAUGGUUUUUUCUUUUCCGCUUUAUUUGUUUUCUUCUAGUUAUUUUUGAGUAAUUUUUAUAUAGUUUUUUCUUUUUUGCCAUGACCCUCUCUACUCUUUCGCACAUGUUAUACUCCUAUGCGAGGUGGGACUAAAAAUAGCCCUGUCACAACCUCUUUAGUACCGGUUCGUGCUAGGGGAGCAAAUGAUGUCAGAAAGGGUUGAAAAUUGAUGACGUGGCUUAGAAUGGUGCGUACUGAACGCAAAAAAGUCUGAAGUUGUAAUAAGUUUAAAAAAUAAAGUGCCGGUGUAACAGAUGAGUUUUCAUCCGAACCGGCCCUGAUACUUCGAAAGAUAUUGUCCAGUUUGUACACGAAGUGCAUCCAAUUUUUGCCGUAACACAAGAAUUCUGGAGUUCUAAUAAGUUAUUAAAAAUAAAAAAAAACGCAAUGCUCGUUAGUUAGCUUCAAGCCUUUCGGAAUAGGGUAGACUACAUUGCACAUAGCUCCGUGCAAUCUAUUCUAUCCCGAAAGGCUUGAAGCUAAGCAAGCUACAGGUGAACAUUGCGCCUCUCCAUCGUCUCUGCACUCACGGCUUAUGAACAACUCCUACUGCCUCUCUCCUAGCGAGGUGGGACUAAAAAUCAGCUUAAUAAGAAACUCUAGUACCGGUUCAUGACAUGAACCGGUACUAAAGGAGUUCGUGGGGCCCAUGGCCUGACACAAGAUCAUUAGUACCGGUUCGUGGCAUGAACCGGUACUAAUUGUUGCCCACGAACCGGUACUAAUGAUGUCCGCCCGCCUAGCCGUUGGAACCGGCACUAAUGGACACAUUAGUGCCGGCUUAAAAUCAAACCGACACUAAUGUGUCUCAAAUUAGCCCCUUUUUCUACUAGUGCACUCUUAGGAUGUCGGCGUAUGAACGAUCGAACCGGGAGUUUGGGAAGUGAUGCAGGGGUGGAUUCACGAAAUGCAUAGCGACGAAGGGGGAAGAGAAGAGUCGAGAUGUUCUUGCCGGUGGUUCGAGGUAGCUGUGCGGCACAGACUCCCUGUGAAGCACGUGCACGUGCCAAAUCCAAAAAUGUACCUAUAUAACACGUGGAAGGAUCCAGUACAUCCUAGGAUUUGAUCUGAUGGCCAGCAGCUCUUGGCAGUCCGAUGUAGCACGCGGAUCCAUCCAACUUAAUCAUGAAAUUUAUUCAUAUGCUAUGCAUAGGGUACGGAUAUUGUAGACUAGAUACUCCCUCCGUCUCAUAAUACAAAAACGUUUUUUACGCUAGAAGAUUAGGGUACGGUGUUGUUGAGAUUUUAUUAAAAAAUGUUUUUUUUGCAGGAACAAAAGAUGAUGAGGUAUAUUUUUUUUAUAAUGCGGUAUUUUGAUCGAGUCAAUAUGGCCGCCGUGUGAGAGUCUGUCAAUGGGUACGAGAAGAGUUCCAGCAGGCCUGCAGAGCCUCAUCGGAUAUAUGUCGCCUACACGCGCUACACGUUGCAAUCCUGCAUGCAGCAUGCCGAUGGGUUUCACCAGAUCCACAGAAAUCCCGAGGCUUCUGAAAGCGCUAGCCUAAUCUCUACUCUUAUAAAAAGCAGAGUUUGUUAUGAUGGUGUGCCUGUCAUCCUACAAUAUAGACCGCCCGAUCUAUAUUUAACGGAUAGGAAAGAAACUAUGACAAUUUACCCGCACUCCUCUCCAUAUUUGCAGAUACGGCCUUCCCUCGUUUAUCCUUUUCUCCCACAAGAUAAACUACUCAUACAAAUGCAUCUUCAUGUUCCGUGUAACGCACUUCCGUGUAACGCAUGGGCAUCUUGCUAGUCUUCCAAAAAGACCGAGCUGGUUAGGCGUGCCAGUAGGAUCCAACAGCGUGGGAUCCUGAGCCACCAGACUGUCAUGCCUGACUUACGUGCCAUCUUACAUGGUACUCCUUCAUCCCCUUCGGCACAUCCUUGUCACUCAUGCUCUUGGCCGUGCCACGUCAUCAUACACUUGAAUAUGUGUACUUUUUUCAGAUUGCUCCAAUUUGUGUACUAGAUAAUAUAUGAGGCAUGGAUUGUGUUAUUUGCUGUAUCACACUCCAAUGUUUCCUCAAUUUUUGUAAUCUUGCAUAAGGAUGAGAACAUGUAUCUAUUUGAGGUAACAAGGGGCGUGCUAUGCGUCGGUCGACUGAUCUUUUUAAAAGAUUGGUCGAGUCGCAAGUUGUCGGAUAUGGCUUCAUCAUGCGGCCAAGCAGCAUCCUCCCUUAGUGCAACAGAGCUGCUGUUGCAGAAAUCUUUGCAAGAGAGAUCUUGUUGCAGAAUUUUUUUUUACAAUAGAAGUCUUUUUAUAAAAAAAAUUAGUCUUCACAUUGUUGAAACAUAUGUGACGUUGCAACAAAUUUUGAAAUGAAGAUGAUGUUUCAGAAGACGACGCUGCCGCCAUUCCCGACGCAUGUCGCAGCAACACCAUCACCAUUUGCAAUUCCGCCGUUGCAAUUGCAACAAGGAGGCAGACGGUGAUGGUCGGUGGCGGCUCGUCCACGACCCCAAGUUGCGAACGUCGUCGGGCAUCACUAUGGCUUACAAAUAGCCAUGCUCUGCUUGUAGCAGCGAGGGCGCGCGGCAGCCGACCUUGCACCACGGAGGGACACCAACUCACGUGAGGCACGCGUCGCAUGAGCGAAGCAGUGGACGGGAGACAACAAAUCAGUCGGAUGAUUUGAAUCACAUCCCUAUUUGUUUUCCUGAAGCGCUAUUGACUAGCAGAAAAAAGAUACUGUUGGUUAGCAAAUGGUGCAUCUGAUGUACUAAUCAGAAUCCUUGUCGCGGCUUCUUUUCUAUAUGAAGCGGAAGUAUUAAAUUGCAUCCAUUUCCGAGACAAGUAAUUCCGAACGAAGGGAGUAGAUUUUUGCCCGAUAUCUUUCUUUUUUUCUACCAUCUGCUGACUGUCCAACGAACCCACCCUGAAGCUGCUUCGCUGUUAAGCGUUCUCUUCUCUUUUCAGUUUGAAACCAAAUUAAAUUCCCUUGCUCUCUUCAGUUUGGAACCAAAUUGAAUCACAGCCCCCUUGCUCCGUCCAGUUUGACAAAUUAAAUCCUAACAUCUCGGCAUGAUUUGGAUCUUAACUUGAGUUAUGAGUUAUCCGAAAUACAAAUGAACCUAAAAAAUUCAUAAUUUUGACUGGGGACAUUCGUUACUGGCACACAAAAUAUAUCUAGGACUGAAUCUUAGUGUAUUAUUUCUGAAAAUAUUCAGUGUAUUAUUUCUGAAAAUACAGUGGCACAAAGAAUAUCUAGAACAGUGGCACACAAAAUAGAAGUAAAUCAUUUAAUCAUGGUGAGAAUGUGCCCUCAUCUAUAUCUUCAAGACUUAAACACUAGGACAUGUCAAAAGAUCGGUCAAACUUGUCAUGAAUUCGUAUCCUUGAGAGCCUACUUCAUUUGGUUCAAAUCCUUUUUUCUUCUUGCUGAAUAAUUAUGUGUUGGCGUGUUCUCUUUUUCUUUCUGCUAGCCAAGAAGGAGCCUACUUUUUUCUUUUCUUCCUGGAGAUGCAGAUGGUCUUUUCUUCUUUAUGUUGUGUUGCCUAUCAAGCCAAGUUAUUUUUAUUUUGGAGUUUUUGUUCCGAACCUCUUUUUUCUUUAUGCGUGCAUCACUCCAGAAUUCAUUUGAUGCUUUAAUCAAAAUGUUCUGAACCUCUUUUUUCUUUAUGCGUGCACCACUCCAGAAUUCAUUGUUCUGAACCUCUUUUGUUCUGAACCCCUGUCAAGUGCAUUUUCAAUGAAAAUGCAAUAUUCUUCAGAGCUUGUAUGUCUGUUGCACUAAUGCAAGUUCUCUUUUUUGUCAGAGCAGUGAGAAAACAAAUGAGAUUAAGGCAGACAUGCAAAGUUCCAAACUAUGCAAUUCCACAAGACCACAAGGUAUGGACUUAUAUAUCAGUUCUCGUUGUUUCUUUUAGGAUGAAAAACGUAAAACAGUUUAUAUACCAUUAUGGAGUCAUCAGUUUUCAAGUUAAACUGAUCACACAAGAAUUUUAUUCACUACCGAGGGUACCUUGAUGACAACAAGUACUCUGCUUCCAAGCUAUACUGCCGGCUUGUUUCUUCCAUGUUUGUACCCUCAAUCACUGGAUACUUCAGCACAUCUAUGUCAUGCAUCAUGAAGCUAUCAUGUGCGGCCCCAAGGCUCUCGAGUGUCAACUCCAGUUGCCUCAUGGUUGGCCGGUGGUCUCCUUCAAUCCUCACGCAUGCCACCGCCAAAAUAGCCACCUCUUCAACCUCCUUGCCGCCUUCUUCAACGACCUGAGGAUCUAGCACGCGAACCAGCUUGCUUGCUGCUAGCGAAGCGGUGAAAUAUGCGACAAGGGUUUCCUCCUCAGAUGACCGAUAUGAGCAUGGUUUUUCCCUUGUCAAAAGCUCCAUGAGAAGGACACCGAAGCUGUAAACGUCGCUUUUCUCGAUGAGCUGCCCCGAGUAGAAGUACAAGGGGUCUAGGUACCCAAAUGUCCCUUGGAUAGCGGUUGCGGUCUCUGUUUGAUCGACCGGAAUGCACCUCGAAGCUCCAAAGUCUGACACCUUUGCUAUGAGAGUGCCAUCUAAAAAAAUGUUUUGGGACUUGAUAUCCCUAUGGACUAUAGGGAAUGACACGGCCGAGUGAAGGUAGGCCAGAGCUCUUGCAGUCUCGGUUGCGAUCCUUAGCCGAUCUUCCCAUGUCAGGGAUGGCGCGGGUUCUUGGACAUGAAGAUGAUGGUAAAGGGUCCCAUUGGAGAUAAACUCGUACACCAGCAACGGCACCUCCAUCUCAAGGCAACACCCAAAGAGCUUCACCACGUUUCGAUGGUUGAUCUGCGAGAGGAUGGCUACCUCAUUUAUGAACUCAUCGAUUUCCCUCUGGAUCACGACCUUGGACUUCUUGAUCGCCACGACAUGCAGGUCUGACAUGAUCCCUUUGUAGACCGUGCCAUGCCCUCCUCCACCGAUCUCGCGAGCUUUGCCGAAAUUGUUUGUGGCCUCUUGUAGCUCCACCAAGGGGAUGAUCAUCCUCUCGGCGAUGUCCGCCUUCUGAGACACCAAUUGUUGCAACAGAUGCCCCCGAUUUUGCUUGAAGAAUUUCUUCUUGAGCAUUUUUGCCCUCCGUUGCUUCAUCUUUCGGGUCACAAAAAUAGCACCAAGCACCAUGAUUAGAAGGGCUGCUCCACUGCCAACUCCAAUGCCGACACUUAAUCCUGUGAUUAGAAUGUGCACAAAUAUUGUGUUUCUGUUGUUAAGGAAGAAUCUAUGAGAUAGUACAAAACAGAGCAUGAACCGAUGCUAUCUCUGGCGUGCAAUUUUAUUGGUUUUGUGCUCACCUAGAGAAGAUCUGAUGCAUCCAUUUCUUAUGCGUGGGUCGCCAUGGGCGCCACGCGGGCACCGGCAUAGGUGCCCUCCGGCCGUGUUGGUGCACUCGCCGAAGCACAAGCCCGGCAGCGUGCACUCGUCGACGUCCUGGCAUCCGCCGGCGAGGUAUGGAUUGCCCUGGUAACCGUCCAGGCACCGGCACACGUAGCCGCUGCGGUAGUUGCCGGAGACGUUGUGGCAGGAGGCAUGGCCACUCUGGCACGCGCUCCUCCGUGCGUCCACGGGGCAGCCCGACGUUGCCACUCCGGGCAGCACCACCGGCCUCGAAUCCACCGCAAACUCGAGGACGACGGGCACCGCCGGCCGGCGCGAGUGCGAGUACCCGGGCGAGUCGUUGAGGAGCGCGGCGGAGGCGCCGUCGAACCACCCUCUCUCGGCGAUGCGCACCGCGAUGGGCAGCCUGUCGGCGUGCUCGUUGCUCGAGUCCAGCGACUUGAUCUCCACGCGGUAGGAGGGGCGGCCGAUGGGGACGGGCGUCUCGCAGCAGCCGAUGCCGGAGCAUGUGGCAGUGGCGGCUCCGUCGCCGGUGGAGCUCGAGUUGGUCACGGCGCCGGUCCACUUGUCGUUGAUGGAGCAGAAGGAGGAGCAGCCGCUGAUGACGUUGCCGCCGCCGCCGUCCCCGACGAGCGUGACCUGCACGUUGCACCCCGUCACGACUAACUGGUUGCGCCACUCCGACAGCACGUACGGGCCGGCGACGCCGAGGCCGCCCCACGUGCCGCUGCCGUCGAGGCCUCCGGGCCCGGUGAAGUUGAGCUUGACCUGGCCCGCGCCGUCCACGACCCGCACCGUGGAGUUGGCCAGCGAGAUCCCCACGACCCGGAGGCCGCUGCCGACGAGCAGCCGCGGCUCUCCGGUGCGCGUCCGGUCGCAGGUGAGGUUGAAUCCCGGCCAGUGGCACCCGUCGCCGAUGCCGAACGGGUACGGCACGCGCACGGCGCCGCAGCUGGUUGGGCAGCGCGAGCCUGCACCUGGGGUAACCUGAGCCGCCGUCGCCGAGAGGCAGAGCUGCAGCAGCAACACCGUUAGCGCGGCAGCCGGAAUCAUCAUCGCGGCGGGCCGGUUGUUCCAUUAUUGUCUCUCCAAUCCAUUAUAAAGCUUUCUACAAGUUGAGCAAGUUGUAGGGAGAGCAGCCGCAACCUACCGUGACAGUGAGUGCUCGCUCGCUUGACCCUGUUAGAGCUAAACACGCCUCGUACAAGUGAGUCCGAGUAGUACUCGUACAAGUGAGUCCGAGUAGUACUCCAAAACAGUAGCCGAGUAGGUUAGCUCUUAUUAGUCUUGGCUGUUAUAUAUAUAGCCAUGUAAAACCUCCCUGUAAUCAACCAACGAAGAUCAAAAUCACCCAGGAGCUCACACGUACAUGCAAAGCUAGCUAGCUAGCAACCAAGCCAGGCAAGCUGCUGGAUCGUGUCUACCGGCGACUUGCGUAUCUACGUAUGCCUUGCCGUAGCUUCCGUACGUGAGCGAGCACUUCGGCGCCUUCGGCGGAACUCGUGCGUAACGUGGCAAUGGGAAAACACAGAUCGAUAUGAUGGCCACCGGACCUUGUCGGUCCUGUUGAAUACUUCUUUGUAUUGCUUUGAUCUUCGUUGGUGGUUUUGAUCUAGCAACGAUCAAAAGCCAACAAUUGGUAUCUAGAGUCUCGACAAUCUACGAUCUACGAUGACGGACAGCGACGCUGAGUCGGUCAAGUCCGGCAACGGCGGUUCCAAGGCGAACAAGAAAUGCGACAAUGUGAAGAAGGGCGGCAAGUCAACAACAAGUGGUGGCGGAACGGGCGGCGCCAACGUACAGGCGCAUCGCAACAUCCCCAUCCAGUACCCGAUGCUCACCGACGCCAACUACGGCGUGUGGGCGGUGAAGAUGAAGAUCAUUCUCCGAACUCUUCGAGUGUGGGAGGCCAUCACGGACGACGACGUCGACAAGGAGUGCGACGAAGGUGCCAUGGCCGCCAUAGCCCAGUCUGUGCCGAAUUCCGUGCUGAUGACAUUGGCGGAGUUCGAGACAGCAAGAGAGGCGUGGAACGCACUCAAAGAGUUGAGGAUCGGAGAAGAUCGCGUCACCAAGGCUCGGGCACAAGUGCUGAAGCGCCAAUUUCACAAGUUGCAAAUGGAGGAAACUGAAUCGGUGAAUGACUAUGCCAUGCGUUUGACUAGUUUAGUGGGAGAGAUCCGCGCACUUGGUGCAAAGCUCGAGGAGACCAAGAUUGUGGAGAAGUUUUUCAGUUUGGUCACUGAUAAAUUCACGUACAUCAUCGGCAUGCUCGAGCAGCUUUACGACAUCGACGACAUGACCAUAACGGAGGCGAUCGGACGCUUGCGGACAUGGGAAGAGAAUGCUCGUGGUUGUCGGAAAGGCAAAGGAGGAGGUGAUGACCAACUCAUGUACUCGCGCGCAGAUUGGGAGUCUCCAAGUAGCAAAGGAAGGCGCAAUGAUGGCGAAGGCUCAAGCAAUGCGAAGCGCGGCGGACAAACCGAAGAAGGCAAAGGAAAAGGCAAGCCACAAGGUCGUGGUAAGGCGGACCGAUCUAAAGAGCGGAAGCCACGGAACUUGGAUAUAUCCGAGGUCAAGUGCUAUAACUGCAACGAGAUGAGUCACUUUGCGAAGGAUUGUCCGGAGCCUAACAAGAGGGAGAUCAAGGCAAAUUUGGCGAAGCAGGAAGACGAACGUCCAGGUCUUCUGAUGGCCGAAGUUUGUGAUCUCGUGGAGCCUAACAAGCGGGAGAUCAAGGCAAAUUUGUCGAAGCAAGAAGACGAAUGUCCAGGUCCUCUGAUGGCCGAAGUUUGUGACCUCGUCCAAAUGGUGGUUGUGAAACCAAACCGGAAGGUGCUACUUCAUGAGAAAAAGGUAACACCAAAGUUAUCCGGGAGCCAGAACGUGUCGUGGUAUCUCGACACGGGUGCUAGUAACCACAUGACGGGGUGCAAGGAGAAGUUCCUCGAGCUAGAAUAUGAUGUUCAAGGCUCGGUCAAGUUCGGUGAUGGUUCAAAUGUGGAGAUUUGCGGGCAAGGUUCUGUCCUCUUCGAGGGUCUCACCGGAGAACAUCGCAUACUCACCGGAGUGUACUACAUCCCACGGCUUCGCAACAACAUCAUCUCUGUCGGGAAACUUGACGAGAAUGGAUGCAAGGUGGAUAUCGAGAACGGAGUGAUGACGAUCUUCGACAACCUCCGAAACGUGCUAGCGCGUGUGAAUCGCACGCGGAACAGGCUCUAUAUUCUCAACCUUGAUCAAUCUCAACCGGAGUGUUGGCUCGCCAAGAGUGAUGAUGAUUCGUGGUUAUGGCAUUCUAGAUUUGGACACGUUAACUUCUACGCCUUGAAGAAGAUGUCGAAGAUGGAGAUGGUAUCUGGGAUGUCGUUCAUCGACCAUGUUGAUCGAGUAUGUGAUGGGUGCUUGGUUGGAAAACAGCACCGCAGGCCAUUCCCUGCUCAAUCUACCUAUCGUGCAAGUGAUGCACUCGAGCUGCUCCAUGGUGAUCUAUGUGGCCCUAUCACCCCAGAAACUCACGGAGGAAAGAAGUACUUCUUCCUUGUGAUAGAUGACUACUCGAGAUACAUGUGGGUCGUUCUCCUACGAUCUAAAGAUGAGGCGUUUGAAGCGUUCAAGAAGCUGAAGGCUGCAACGGAGAUGGAAUACAAGCUGAAGGUUCGCGCUCUACGGACAGAUCGCGGCAGAGAGUUUACAUCGAACGAGUUCAACGACUACUGCGAGAAGAUUGGCAUAAAAAGGUUCCUCACGGCACCUUAUACGCCACAGCAGAACGGGGUUGUUGAAAGGCGCAAUCGAACCGUCGUUGACAUCGCGAGAAGUUUACUCAAGAGCAAGAACUUGCCGGGGACAUUUUGGGGAGAAGCUGUCUCGACAGCGGUCUAUCUUCUCAAUCGGGCUCCAAUGAAAGCGGUGAUCGGCAAGACUCCGUACGAAGCAAUUUACGGACGAAAGCCGAAUGUGUCUCAUCUACGGACGUUUGGGUGUGUGGCGCAUGUGAAGACGACGGAGCCGCAUCUCUCAAAGAUUGCCGAUCGUAGCACCAAGAUGGUGUUCAUUGGAUACGAGAGGAGUUCCGGCACCAAGGCAUACCGCUUCUACGAUCCACGAACCAAGCGUCUACGAAUUUCACGCGAUGUUGUGUUUGAAGAAAAUCAAGCGUGGAAUUGGAGCGCAGCAGACGAUGCUCCAAACGGUAACAUAUUCACAGUUGAAUUUCCAACUAAUGAUGAUGCAAGGGAGGAUGUCCAGGUGGUUGGCAAGACACCCAACCAAGGUGACCACAAUGGAAGUGAUCAUCAUGGUGCCGACACCGACGAUGACGUGCAUGGGUCGCAAGGUGAUAGCGACAACGACACGCACGACACGGGCGGAGAUCUCGACAAUGAGGCGCAUAGUGAUGAUGACAAUCAAGAUGAUCACGACGACUACGCCGACGACGAGGAUGCCAACGACCCGGCAUCUACCGCGCCCGAGACUCAACCGUCUUCCUCAAGUGCAUCGACGCCGACACAAUUUGUGUCGCCCCCUUCGCAAGCCACGACGGAUUCUUCCGGGCCUCGUCGCUACAAGCCCCUCAAGAAAGUCUACAAGUACGCAAAGCCAGUUACACUCGAGUACUCCGAUUUGUGUUUACUCGGAGUUGAGGAGCCGGCGAACUUCGUAGAAGCAAGCAAAAGUUCAAGUUGGAUGCACGCCAUGGAUGAGGAGAUGAAGGCGAUCGAGAGCAAUGGCACAUGGACUUUGGUAACCCGACCUCCGAACCAAAAAGCCAUAGGUUUGAAGUGGGUUUACAAGUUGAAGAAGGACACGAAGGGUGCCAUUGUGAAGCACAAGGAAAGACUCGUCGCAAAGGGCUACGUACAACGUCAAGGAGUUGACUAUGAGGAGGUGUUUGCACCGGUUGCUCGAAUCGAGACGGUGAGAGUGCUCCUAGCUUUGGCAGCACAAGAGGAUUGGAAGGUUCAUCAUAUGGAUGUGAAAUCCGCUUUUCUCAACGGCGACCUCAAAGAAGAAGUGUACGUGGAACAACCCCUCGGCUACGAGAAGAAAGGAGAAGAAGGAAAAAUUUACAAGCUCAAGAAGGCACUUAACGGGUUGAAGCAAGUGCCAAGAGCUUGGAACUCAAAGUUAGACCGAAGAUUGGUCUCACACGAGUUCAUAAGAUGUUCCCUCGACUAUUCGAAAGACAGUCUAUCAAGCACCGAAGAACAGGUGAAGGUUGAAGACGCGACCAAGGAGGAGCGCUGGCGUCAAGCUACAAACGAGCCGACGGCAGUAAAGUGAGUCCCUGGAAUGCUACGGAGAACGGCAAAAUCAAUGCCAAGGAUAUUGCCUAUGAGUAGUAGUCAUCGCAUUUGGGAUCCAGGUCGCAGCGAGGACGUCGUGUUUAGGGGGGUGAAUGUUAGAGCUAAACACGCCUCGUACAAGUGAGUCCGAGUAGUACUCGUACAAGUGAGUCCGAGUAGUACUCCAAAACAGUAGCCGAGUAGGUUAGCUCUUAUUAGUCUUGGCUGUUAUAUAUAUAGCCAUGUAAAACCUCCCUGUAAUCAACCAACGAAGAUCAAAGCAAUACAAAGAAGUAUUCAACAGGACCGACAAGGUCCUGUGGCCAUCAUAUCGAUCUGUGUUUUCCCAUUGCCACGUUACGCACGAGUUCCGCUGAAGGCGCUGAAGUGCUCGCUCACGUACGGAAGCUACGGCAAGGAAUACGUAGAUACGCAAGUCGCCGGCUAGACACGAUCCAGCAGCUUGCCUGGCUUGGUUGCUAGCUAGCUAGCUUUGCAUGUACAUGUGAGCUCCUGGGUGAUUUUGAUCUAGCAACGAUCAAAAGCCAACAGACCCAACACGCGUGCAUGUGCAUGCAUGUGCGCGUUGACGGACCUGCUCUAGGCUGCACCGUGAUGACAAAGACAUCGAGAUAUUGUUUUCUUUUCACAUCUGUAUCCACAUUCUCACGGUUUCUUCUUUCUCGAUCUCAUGUAUUUUCUAUGCGACUGGAAACGAAAGGAAAGCGAUCAGAAAGAUCAUGAUUGGGGCAAAAAAUGCAAUAGUUUUUUUGGCAGACAAACAUCUAAUCUAUUAAUCUUCAAUCAUGGCAUUACAAUGAACACCGAAAAUAAGGCGCGCCACACUUGAGAGCAAAACCCAAAAUGACAUAACCAAAUGAUUGUUUAGUCGAUGAUGGAUUUCACACUACGGAAUGAAUCAAAGAACUGAGGACGAUGUACGAAUUUAGGGCACGUAGAGUGAUUCUUGAUCGUAUCGCACAUGUACAGAUGAGGACCGGUUCGGCUAAACCAGCUCAACUAUAAACCAGGUUGCUGUCGUGAAGAUGAGGACGAACAAGUGGGUGAAGAUGAGAAGACGUCAACGAGAGCAUAAGAAGCCAAGAUUGAUUGGGGGGCAUCUUUGAGCUGGCCUAUGGUACGUUCUUUACUUUUUGGUCGAUGGCUGCAUCGCAAAGAACAUGUUUCUUGUCAUUCAAAAACAAAUAUUUCCUGCAUGUGGUAGUAGAACAAGGCUCCUUUUGCGAUGUGAUGUCCAUGUCCAUCCAUGAUCAUGCUGAUUGACGACGUCGUCCAACCUGCUGUAGGAUGCCAUGAUUCAUAUGUCAACAAUAAUCAAGACUUGAUUGUUCACUUUCCAUAUACUUCAGAACUAAUCUUCGGAUGAUACAGUUGCACCAACUAUAAUUCCAAAGCUGGGAAAUGGUAGAAAGUGUUCAUCACCACUACUGACUCCAAGGCCAAGGCCAAUGUUGGUCAACAUUUGGUGCUAAGGAAUUUUAGCAUCGAUUUUAAUGGGUGCUGAACAUUUUGUGGAGUGAAGUGCUAAGGAAAGAAAAGAAAAAAGCGGGAACCUGUUCUAGAGCUAGAAUCAGGUACUAAAGAAAGUUGACUUUUUGUGGAGCUCAAACUGGCUCAAAUUGUGAGAGCGAAGUAAAUGAUAAUAAAUAUAAUAUUAUAACAUGUCACUAAUAGAAAAAGGCUCAUUUGUCCCGGUUCAUAACGCCCAUUUGUCCUGGUUCCCGAACCGGGACUAAAGAGUUGGUCCUAAAGCCCAAUAUCUUUAGUCCCGGUUCGCCUAUGAACCAGGACAGAUGGGGCUCCACGUGGUCGCUGCGACUUGCCCAGGCAGGAGGGCCUUUUGCCUCGGUUGGUAGCACCAACCGGGACCAAAAGGCAUCCACGCGUCAACAGUUCAGGGGCUAGGUUUUUUUUGUUUUGUCUUGAAGGGGGUGGGGGUGGGGGUUGGGGGUUUUGUAGGGUUAAUUUAGAGGUUUCAUAUAUUGUGUUAGCUAGCUAAUAGAGAGAAGUUUCCUCUCUUAUCUCCGUGCUUGGUCGACGCUACGUACUAUACGUAUAGAGAGGACUCGACACGCUAGCUAGCUAGUAAGAAAAUGAAGGAAACCAUUAAGUACAGAAGAUCAUCAUGAACAUAUACAGAGAGUAGUGAUCGACCUCUCCUUCUCCAAGAGAUUGAUCGAACAACAAGUUUUCGUAUAUCUAUCCGAUGCUACUGGCUACAUAUAUACAAUAUAAGAUCUCUUACAAUCACCUAACAUUUGAACUCAAGUUCCACAUGGUAUUCGCCGUCUUUAUCAAUGACAUGGUCAAGAAAGAAUCCCGCCAAUUUCUCUUGAAUUGCUCGUAUGCAAUCUUGUGGUAGGAGUUCAUCCCGCAUUUGAAACAUCUAAUUUGAAGAAGGGGGUCAAUACAUAUAUAUGAAUGAAACUCAACACAAAUGAUGGUAAUAAAAUAAAAUUAUGAAUAUUAUUGCUUACGCACUUCAUAUUGUUUAUAGAGUAACCCGCUCACAGGUCGUGUGGUGGAUGAACUCGCAAAUGUAGUAUCCACAGUAAUUAUUCCCGGGUUCCUACCACAACCACUUUACAAGAAACAGAGGUCAAUCAAACUAAUAAGCAAGCAUGCCAAAUGGUAUUGAUGAAACUAGCUAGAAUCAAUGGAAGAUGCGCCGAACUAGCUAGUAGAACUUACUUUCGGGUGUUUAAAUCGCAGCUCCCCCAGCAGUCCCGGAGCUUGUGCGGUGAACUUUUUCCAAACCCUGCCAGACAAAGAAAAUAAUUACUUGAUAUCAGGAAAUGAACAAAGUUGCCGAUAUGGUGUGAUAAUGAUCGAUUGAACUUACUUCUCGAGCAUUUUAGUCAUGGCCGCAUACUCCUCGGGAUCUUUUCGUCUCGAGUCUAUGACAGUUACUAGUCCCUGCUCAAGCUUAAUCUCUAGUAGAAUAAAGUGGAAGCUGCGCACACAUGCAUAACUCAUCAAUUACAUUACUAUAACCUCGAGUAAUAAGGGAAACUGAAUAUGCACAAGACAGUAACACUCACUUGAAUUCGUAAAGAAAGAGCAUUAUAUCUCUGUUUUGAUUUUGAAGUAACGAUCAUAGCAAGUUGGCCUCGAUUUGUUUGGCAUCAUGUUUAACAUUCCAUUCAUCUAUGAGAUUUGUGUUAAUGAACCCAAUAUCACCAAUUUGUCUUUUCUUGCAUUCGGCGAUCUUCAAUCUGCAUAAUAUAUUGAGGAUAAUUAUAUAUACAUGCAUUGAAAGAGCUGAGCUAUAUAUAGAGACUUAAUUACAGAAGUAGUACUUACAGACAGUAGCAAGUGAUGAUUACUUUGUCGAGGGCCUUUUGAUUGAAAAACUGGAAGAACUCCUCAUAUGGAACAGACAACAAAUCAAUUCCAACGAGGUCGUGCUCCUCUUUAACUCUCAACGUCAAAGUAUCCUUCCCAGACUUGCUGCAGAUGUCCAUGUACCCAUCAUGGAAUCUUCACAUCAUCGUUGUUAGAGGAUGAUGACCAGGUUUGACGAGAGGCUUCCCGUGCCGGUAUUUGAAUUUGUCCACCUCCAUUGUAUCAAAAUGUGCAUCGUUGGGUAGGUAAUCUCCAGGAUUGGUAUCGGGCACCAUCCCCGGAUGAUUAGCGACGAUAUCGCUAGACACCUUGAGUGGGGGCACGAUUGCUUCGCUUGUUCACCAAGCUGGGGAAUUUUUUCCCACUUCUUCGUUCUGCUAACCUUCGAUCACUGCAAGUACUUGCCGACCACUCCACUUCCUUAUAUAUCCUUUGAAUAAUGCGCUCAUAGUUGGUUUGCGUCGGAGGCCGUGGUGCUCGCUUCAGGGCAUCCAAAGUGCGCUUCGCUUUCACCGGAUCUAUCUUCUCCUCCGGAGGUGGAUGUUUCAUAGCUCUUUUCGUUUCAAAGAAGUCCUUCACUUGGGUUUGAAUGACCUGCUCGUUUUCCUCCACGGUCAUCUUGUAUGAUAACUUCUCUACAGGCUUGAGAGAUGGACCGAAUCUGUAUUGCAUCCCGCCUCUAGCUGUACUGCUAGACGUCGGAGCUGCCGGAUCGGCUGCAACUGUCUUCUUUCGUUGCUUACGAGGUGGAGAAGAAGGAGGCAGAGUGCUACGACGCGGCGGAGCAGCCGGAGCGACGGCGUCUGUGUUCCGACGUCGCCGACGAGGUAAAGGAGAAGCGGGCUGCUCGGACGCGCCGGAGCAGGUGGAGAAGGAGGCAGAGUACUGCCGCCCUCACGCGCCGGAGCAUGAGGCGGAGUGCCUUGAUCACUCGCUGAAGGAGGAGGAGGAGGAGGAGGCGAAGGCAUGAAGUUCAGAAGCUUGAUGUGCUCCUUCCACCAUAGACAUGGAGUCUUCGGAGCAAGACCCAACACUAGUAGAAAAGAGGGCUUUGGUCCAGGCCGGGUUAGCCCAUUAGUCCCAGUUCAAUCCAGAACCGGGACUGAUUGGGGGCAUUAGUCCCGGUUCGUGAGCCCAAGGGGCCGGCCGGGCCAUGUGGGCCAUUUGUCCCGGUUUGUCUGGACCUUUUAGUCCCGGUUGGUGCCACGAACCGGGACUAAAGGGUGCGAUGCCCAUUAGUACCGGUUCGUGGCACCAACCGGGACUAAAAGGUGAGACCUUUAGUCCCGGUUCGUGCCACGAACCGGUACUAAUGGGGUUUGAAGCAUUAGUACCGGUUCAUGGCACGAACCGGUACUAAAGGUCCCAUUUUCAAACUCUACCCCCCCUGUGGAUCGCCUUUUCGGUUUUCAAAAAAAUAAAAGAAAAUGAUGAAUAUGUCAAAAAAAUAAAAGAAAAUAAGUUUCCCAUGUGAUAUGUGGUCUAGUUGUUGGGAAAAUUUGCAAAUGUGAAUUUCGACUUUAUUUGCAAAAUCUCUCUAGAAUUUAGUAAAAUGGGCAUAACUUUUGCAUACUAACUCGGAUGAAAAAAAUUAUAUGAAAAAUCAUCUACUCAAAAAGUUACAUCCAAAUUUAACGGGGGAUCCCCGUUAAACAUUUUUAAAAUCCUCAAAAACUAAUAGAAAAAAAGUUACGGGGCUUUUAAGAUCUAGAGUGGAAAAAAUCGAAAAAAUUUCAAACUGUGUGGUCAAACUGUGGUCAAACAAUGGUAUAACUAAUUAUUCUAGAAUAUUAGUGUUACUACAUAAUUAUUUUAGUUAUUUUGAAUUUUGGUCAAAUCUGGUCAAACUAUGGUCAAACAAUGGUCAAACUAAUUAUUCAAGAAAUAUUAGUGUUACUAAAUAAUUAUUGUUUUUUAAAACAAUAGUUUCAAACUCAAACAGUGAAAUGUGUCACUUCAUGCUCACGCAAAAUUCCUGAGGGUUAAUAGGAUUGACAUCUUACUAUUGUCAGGAAAACAACAAGUGCAGACUUGGAAACGAGGGAGAAUAGAACCCGGAAGUUAAGCGUGCUCAGGCUGGGGGAGUGGGAGGAUGGGUGACCGUUCGGGAAGUUAGAUGAUUAGGAAUGAAGAGGGGUGAUUAGAGAUUAGAGGAUAAAUUGAGCAGUGAUGAGGGGUGGUGAUUAGAGAUUAGAGGUUAAAAAAAUUCAGAAAUUUGAAAAUAAAAAAAUUCAAAAAAAAAUCAAAAAAGAAAAAUCAUAAAAUUUCCUUUAGUCCCGGUUGGUGUUACCAACCGGGACUAAAGGUGGAGCUCCACGUGGCCGCGACCUUUAGUCCCGGUUCCAGUUUGAACCGGGACUAAAGGGGGGAGGCAUUAGUAAUGACCCUUUAGUACCGGUUCAAGAACCGGGACUAAAGACCCUUACGAACCGGGACUAAUGCCCCCUUUUCUACUAGUGCAACUGAGUCACCCCUUCACCUGUAGGGUGAUCAAGCUGGAGCUCCUCAAAUCCCUCCGUUAUUUCAUCCACCAUCACAACAUCAUAGCCUUGUGGAAUCGGAAGGCAGUGAAAAGUUGUGUCGGGUUCAGGAGGGAACACAGAGCCGACAACCGCCUUGACUUUGAGGUUCGUCCAUUGCAUCAUAAACUGGCACUGGUGUGACUCUGUGAUAGCAUCCAUGGGGUAGCUAGGACCCGUGAAGUCAGGCUGCUGAACGAGCUUGGUGGAAGCUACGCUGCUUCUCCGUUGAGAUGGCGGGAUAGCUUCUGGGGUAGCUUGGCCAGGAUCUCGCUGGUUCUCAAUAGCUUGUCGUUCCUCUAGCUUUCGUACCCUUUCCUGAAGCUUCUGCAGUUCGCUCAGCUCCACUUUCCUCCUUCUCUCUUGGGUUUUGUAACCGCGUGCGUUGGGAAACCCAACCUUCCAUGCAACAGAGUCUGGCGUGCCUCGUGUUCGUCCAGGGUGCUCAGUAUUCCCAAGGUCAUGUGAAAGCUCGUCGUUCUCUCUGUCAGGAACGAACAUCCCUUCCCGCGCUACCUUCAUUGAUGCCUGAAGCUUCGUGAUGAGUGUUGCAAGUUGCUCGUCCGUCUUCCCUGUUUCAGAGUCCAAAGUUUUCCCAACCCCGAAGAACCAAGUCCUUGAACGGUCUGGCCAGUUCAAUGUCUCUUGUUCGACCCCUUUAUCAAUCAGGUAACUCUCAGCCUUGUCCCACAACGGCCGAGUUUUGAGGUAGCCACCUGACCCCGCACUACUAGGGAAAAGGCUAGCAGCAGCGCGGGUUUUAGGUGUAUCAGUAGCGCGGGCAGGCGCGCUACUAAUAAGGCGCUACAGCUAUUACUUAGCAGUAGCGCGGGCCCGCAUGCACUACUGCUAGGACAAAUAGCUGCAACGUUUGUUCAAGCCCACGCUACUGCUAAUGUAACUACUGGCAGCGUGUUUUCCGUCCAUCGCUACUAGUAUUCAUUUUUUUAUUUUUUUAUUUUUAGUGUAUUUAUGUGCCGUCGUACAAAUAUUGGUACAAUACCAGGUAUGAGGUUUACAUCAUUAUGUCCAUAACAGUGUGUCAAAUGAAGCUGGAUUAGGUUCGAGUGGAGGCAAUAUGUGGUGCAUGUCAAAAGUAUACUACUAAUCCCAACUUGAUCUAGUUUGGACUAGUAGUACUUUCGAUGUGCACCACAUGUUGUCUCCACUUGAAUCUAAUCCGCCAGCACAAGCUAUUUAAUCAUCAUCAUAGUCAUUACCACCAACAGUAUUUAUUUAAUCACCACUAACACUAGCUAAUAAUAAUCAUCAUAGUCAUUACCACCAACACUAGCUAUUUUAUCAUCAUAGUAAUAGUGUAGCACAUCAUCAUCCUCAAACUCAUUUCUAGCUAGCUAAUCACUCCUGCUGCUCUCUCUUAGGUAAAAUAACAUAAAACAUGUAUAGCUCUCCUCCUUGAUCAAGUUGGAGCAUGCAGAUGAACAUGUCUCCUAAUCAUGGGUAGCGCAUCUGUUUGCUGCCCCCCUAGUACUUCUCUGCGCUCCCCCAUCACAUAUUUGGUCCAGUCUUGCACUAUUAAGCAUACAUCGCUAAUCUUGAAUGCACUAAAGUAAUCUGUAGGAUAUCUUGGCCGUAAGCUCAUAAUACUCAUGGUACCUUUAGUCUCGAUCCCACAAGGCACAACAUUCAUCGGGAGUCCCUGUUGAAGAACAUUGUAUGAUAACAUACUUAGCAAUGAAGUUUAGCUUCAAAAAUAAAGUAUGGAAAAGAUGCACUGAGGAUAAAUAGUAAGAAUCUUACCAUCCUUCCUAAAUAGAUGUGACCGUAGUUCAUUACGAACACUAUUGGUCGCACAUUUUCAGUACUAACAUUUCUAAAUGCAGGAAGAAAAUUUGUCUUGACAGUAUCAAGAUCCUCAAGCCAUGAAACAUAAUGACUGAGCUCCUCGCAGUUGAGUUCAGCCCCAGGACAGUAUACGGUCCUGUCUACCAAGUGCUGGACAUGUUUGCUUGCACCUAAAUAAGCUGACAAUACAAAUUAGUUGCCAACUAUUUUUGAAUAAACAAUAUCAAAGACAUAAAUAUGGUUGAGAAACUUACAUAAUGGUAUAACUGGAGGCGUCUGCACAUCAACCCAGAUGUCGGUAUUACCUUCAAUAUCAUCUUCCGGACGAAUAUCAAAGGUGAUAACCAUAUCAGGCUCAAAUGCAUAAGUCUUGCAUAGUGCUCGCCAUGUUUUGCAUCCAAAAUAGGUGUAGUCAUCUGAAUUGUAUAAUUUUGCAUAGAAAAUAUAACCAUGCUCGGUCUUCAAGUAAACUUUCUUUUCCUCCCUAGUAUGACUGAAACCUAUCUUAUACAAUACAAAAACUCUUGCAUGGCAGGGGAUACGCUAGUAGAAUAGUAAAAAAAAUAAGUUGAAGCAAAUGAAGCAGAUGUCAAGCUUAAUUACGAAAAAGACUUGUCGUUGUGACUUACUGUAUCCACUUCGAAGUUCUCUUCCAGCUUGAUGCUGAAGCGCCUGUCAUCAUCUAGGAAGAUUCCGUUGCACAGGCUGCGCUCGUCUUCGCAGUAUUUGCAAAUACCGAAAUCCUUUUCGUCGCCAGACAUUUCCUAUGUUCAUAGUUAAAACAUUAAUUGAAAAUCGAUCCAAGACAACUACCAGGAUACUCAACACACAAAUCCGGGGCACUCGAUAUUUCCUACAUAUUCUGGCACUAGUCAUGCCAAAAUUCACGAAAAAAUCCGGCAUGACCUUUGCUAAAAUAGGACAUAUCGAGCGCCUGAAAUUUGCCGGAAUGGAAAUGAAUCAACACUCCGGCAAAACAUAGGCCACUCGGAGGUGUAACCUUCAAACAUGACCGGCCACUUGGAUAUUGAGCAACACAAGAUAUACAUUUCAAAAUAUCUUAUAGGACUCAAAUUAGCAUGCAUUCAAUAAGCAAAAGUAAAUCAUCUCAUGUGUCCGUACAUCGUCGAAUAUUAUCACUAAUACAUCACGAAUAGUGUCAUACAUAUAGCAUCACUAAUACAACUAAAACCCUAGCACACGACGGGUAUCGGCGCGGGCGGUGGACACCCACAGAGAAGGAACCAUCACGGGAUCAUAGCUCCAGUGAGAUCCCUGGAGAACCUGCCAGGUAUUGGUGAACGACCUGUGCUCCAACGCAAACAAGUAGCGAUGGACGUGCGCGUCCUCCUCACUGACACGGUGACGCACCACCUCCGUGGAGUCCUCGAGCCUCUGGACCAUCACUGGCCCACGCGACCGCCACCAAAGAAGGUUUGGGUCAAUGACAGGCUGGCUCCUCACCAACCUGCGCCCCCCGGUAGGUAGAGCCUCCCAGUACCACCCUAGCGGAGCCCAGUCCCGGACAUGGCCGAUCUGGUCAAGCAGGUGUCGUCCUCCGCCGACUCGACGACGAGGAUGCGGGAUAGGCAUCGUCCACGUCGAGGCGGGAAAAAUUGCUUUAACUAAAAAAUAGCAACAAGUUCUUACUAACUAGUUCUAUUAAUUCAACUAGUUCUUACUAAAAAUAAACUUACUAUAAAUAAAAAUAUUCUAGUACCUAAUUAGUACCUAGUUCUUACUAACUACUCUCUCCAUUCCGAUUUACUCGUCAUGGUUUUAGUUCAAAUUUGAACUAAAACCAUGAUGAGUAAAUCGGAACGGAGGGAGUAAUUAGUACCUAGGAACUACUGCCCUAAUUACCAUAUAAGUAUCCAUUUUUAACUAGGGUUCGUACUACCUAAUUAAAUAGGGUUAAUACUAAUUGUAAUUAACUAACUAGCACUAAAAAUAGCCUAGGGUUCAUACUAACUAGCACUAAAUAGCUAGGGUUCAUACUAAGAAAACAAGAGGGGUCGAAAGGGGAGAGUGCUUACAGAGGGCGGGGAGAGAGAUGGGGUCCGGGGAGACGACGGCACCUAGGCGCGGCGAGGCAGGGUCGGGGGAGACGGCGGCGAGGAAGGGUCGNNNNNNNNNNNNNNNNNNNNNNNNNNNNNNNNNNNNNNNNNNNNNNNNNNNNNNNNNNNNNNNNNNNNNNNNNNNNNNNNNNNNNNNNNNNNNNNNNNNNNNNNNNNNNNNNNNNNNNNNNNNNNNNNNNNNNNNNNNNNNNNNNNNNNNNNNNNNNNNNNNNNNNNNNNNNNNNNNNNNNNNNNNNNNNNNNNNNNNNNNNNNNNNNNNNNNNNNNNNNNNNNNNNNNNNNNNNNNNNNNNNNNNNNNNNNGAGGCGGGGUCGGGGGAGACGGUGGAGAGGCGGAGGCGACGAGGGGGAGAAGAGAGAGUGGGGAAUUGGGGGAGGAGGCAGAUUAGGAGAGGAAAUCAUGCCACGCGGGGGGUUAGGUGAAAAUAGCUAUAACAGUAGCGUGGGGUCUCAAAAUGCGUUGCUGCUAAAAUCCGUAGUACUAGCGCUGUUUCUAGAAGGGCGCUACUACUGUACCUAGCACGUCGGGAACGGUGUGGCAAUUAUAGUAGUAGAGCGUUCUGCCCCUGCCGCGCUACUGCUAAGCGUGUAACAGUAGCACCAUUUUAUCAGAAGCGCUACUGCUAAGUAGCAGUAGCGCCUCAUUUUAACAAACGCUACUAGUAAGAUUCUAUGUAUAAGGUUUUCCCUAGUAGUGUCGUGCGAUGGUGAUGCUCCUUCUUUGCAUUAUCUAUCUUGUUUGUCGCUGACAUCUUCUUACUCUUCUCCGAUGUCUUGUGGGCCACAAAUGUGGCCCAGUGAUCUCUUAUCUUCUCAAAUCGGCUGGUGAAUUCUGGAGUCUUGUUUUUGUCGACAUAUGUUUAUUUCAACUCAUUCUUCCACCUUCUGAAUAGAUCUGCCAUCUUCUUGAGAGCAUGAGCCUUGACCAAUGGCUCUAUAACUGGCUUAUCCGAAUUCUCCUCUGUCGAUAGGGUGAAAUUUUCCUUUAGCGCGGUCCGAAGAUCAUCUUUCUGUCUAUCUUCGACAUAAGAAACUUGAGGGCCUUCGUUCUUAGGCUUAUACCAUUGGUGGAUGCUGAUCGGGAUCAUGUCCCUAACAAGAACCCCACACUGAGCAGAAAAUGCUUCCUUGGUCCGGAGGGGUUCAAUCGGUUGGCCAUCGCCCACGAUUUUUGUGAUCGUGAACCUUUCAUCCUGGCGCAACCUUUUCUUCUGGCCUCGUCUCGUUACCGAAGUUUGGCUCGAUCCGGAGGGCUAUAAAAGAAGAAAGAAGAGUUAAUAUAUGUACAUACCAAAACAAUUAAUGCAUCAAUUAGCUAGUCAGCACAGGCUCGUCGGACUUUGCAACAGCUGAUCCCGACUCUGUUCAGUCAUCGGAGCCGUCAUCCCGGUCGCCGGAGCCAUCAUGAUCAUGACUUUCCUCCUCCAUUGUUCGAUCACCGUAGCCUGCUUCCUCUCCUUCUAGACCAUCAGUUUCAUUGAGAAAUAACGACAAGACAUCACGUCUGUCACGGAUUAUGUCCCCCAAUAUCUCUUCUUGUUCGAAGUCUCUUUGUUGAUCCAUAGUUUCUGCAAAUAUUACAACAUGGCAAUUAAUAUACAAACAUGAGAGAUGGAUAUAUUAAUAGUGACAAACAUAGACCUAGCGAGCUAAUCACAACACUUCUAGGGUUUGGGUUGGCCUCGACAACCCUCUUUUAACUUGGUAAAUUUGGGUGGCCUCGACGCUUCUAGGGUUUGGGGUGGCCUCGACAGCGCUUCUAGGGUUUGGCCCGGACCGCCUCUCUCAUGAAUGUCCGACGUCCGGACCGCCUCUCUCAUGAAUGUCAAACAAGGGAUUUAACAAGAUGGCGCCAUUCUGGAUGUGCAGAAAAUAAUGGUCCCUAUUUUUCCUGAUCUCAUCUACCCUUCUAUAUGUCACAUUGUCUAGUGUCAAAGGAUUCAAUACUUUGACACAAGAGAACGUGUGCACCUAUAGAAUGGUAGAUGAGAUUAGAAAAAAAUAGGGAUCAACUUAAUUAUGCACAUCCUUAAUGGGGGAAUUCUUGAUAAAUCUCUUAUAAAUCUCGAGAGAGUUUGUCGGGUAGGGGCGGGAGGGGGUACGAGGUCGACAACGUUUUUUCUAUGGUUUGGGUGUCCUCGAGAGUUGGUCGAGCGAGAGGGGGUUGAUCGAUGUCCCCCUGUCGACCCUUCGGCGAUCCUUGACCUUCGACCCCCUAGACGACCCUCGAUCCUCAUCCCCUCGGCGACCCUUGACCCUCUACCCUAGUUCUGAUCCUCGACCGCUUGGAUUCUCUUAACCUUUAAGGGAUUUAACAAGAUGGCGUUAUUCUGGAUGUGCAGAAAAUGGUCCAUAUUUUUCUUGAUCUCAUCUACCCUUCUAUAUGUCACGUUGUGUAGUGUCAAAGGAUUCAAGAAAACCAUUGCUUCAUCAUUUGCCGAAAGUAACUGGCGCAUAAUGGUACGAAGUUGUCCAAAAUUGUUUUGAAACGGAGUCCCGGAUAGGAUAAUUACCUUUUUGGUAUGAAGUUCAGCAAGAGUCUUCCGAUUAUCGCUAUUUGGAAGGCCUUUGCUGAAAUUCGUACCAAAAAGCGACUCAUUCUAUCAGUAACUCCGUUCCAAUACAACUUUGAAGAGCUUCGUAGCGCCAUACGCCUGUUACUUCCAGCAAAUGAUGUAGCCAUGGAUUUCUUCACUACUUUGACAGACAACGUGUCAUAUAGAAGAAUAUACAUAUAGAUGAGAUCAGAAAAAAAUGGAUCAACUUGUGCACAUCCAUAAUGGGGGCAUUCUUGUUAAACGGAGACACUCGACCCUCGGUGAUCCUCGACCCCUCGACCCCUCGACGACCCUUGACCCUCGACGACCCUCGACCCUCGACCCUCGACCCCUCGACGACCCUCGACCCCUCGGCGACCCUCGACCCUCUACCCUAGUUUCCGACACCCUAGUUCUCGACACCCUCGUUCCCAAUAAAAAGUAAGAAGAGGAAGAAGAAGAAAAAAUAGAGGAGAAGAAGACGAAGAAAAAAUAGAAGGAAAAAAAGAAGGAAAAAAAAGAGGAGAAGAAGAAGGAAUAGAGGAGAAGAAGAAAAAAUAAAAAAAAUUCUAUUUUUUCUUCUUCUCCUCUUUUUUUUGUUCUUUGUCAUCUUCUUAUUUAUUUCUCCUCUUCUUCCUCUCCUCUUCUUCUCCUUCUUCUUCUCCUUCUUCCUCUUCUUAACAUUUUCCUUUUUCCUCUCCUUCUUUUUCUUCUAAAUAUGAAAAUACACAUAAAUGACUUUGAUCAUACACAAUUUGCCAAUACAUACACACUAUGAACAUAUACAUAAAUUGGCAAAGAGAAUUCUAUGAACAAAAAAAUCAUAAAAAUUUUAUGAACAGAAUUACAACAGAAAAAAUUACAACAUCUAAAUUAAUAUAACUACACAUCAAAAUGAACUCUAGAUAAAUUAUAAAGACAAAAUAUUGACCAAGUUAAUUACUACAGAAAAAUCAUCAUCAUUAUCAUCUAUCACAAAAUCAAAGAACAUCUAUAUACAUAUCAUAAUCAUCAUCAUCAUCAUCUACAGAGGGCGGCCGGAGACGAGGAGAAUGAGCUCACUUGGGGCAGUGAGCUCACUAGGGGCGGCGACGAGGAGGCAGGGCACGACGACGGCGAGGACGGUGCAGGGCACGACAACGAGGAGGCAGGGCGCGGCAAUGGCGACGAGGAGGCGUACGGGGCAGGGUCGCGGCAGCGCGCCGGGUCAGGGCAGAGGGGCGCGAGGAGCGGUGGUGUCGGGGGCAGGGCGCGGCGAGGGCGUCGACAACGGCUAGCUCGGGCAGCCUGCCGGCGUCGUGGAUGGAUUCGCCGCCGUCGGGGGAAGAGGAGGAGGAGAGAUCGAAGUGGGGAUGGAAGGUUCUGAAAAUUCCUAAGAGCUAUUUAUAUACCCAGAGUAUUGGUCCUGGUUCGUGGAACAAACCGGUACAAAUGACCCCUUUAGUCCCGGUUGGUGCCACCAACCGGGACCAAAGGUCUCUUUUCAGCAGCNNNNNNNNNNNNNNNNNNNNNNNNNNNNNNNNNNNNNNNNNNNNNNNNNNNNNNNNNNNNNNNNNNNNNNNNNNNNNNNNNNNNNNNNNNNNNNNNNNNNNNNNNNNNNNNNNNNNNNNNNNNNNNNNNNNNNNNNNNNNNNNNNNNNNNNNNNNNNNNNNNNNNNNNNNNNNNNNNNUUUGGUCCCGGUUGGUGGCACCAACCAGGACGAAAGGUGGGCAUUGGUCCCGGUUGGUGCCACCAACCGGGACGAAAGGGUGGCACAGUGGUGGUGUGGUGGGAGUUUAGUCCCACCUCGCUAGCUGAGAGAGCUCAGCGCCUGUUUAUAAGUUGCGUUGCGGCAUAGUUGCUGAUCUCCUCUCUAAUUUGCAAGCAGUACUUGCCUACCCUUGUCACUGCCUUGUUGGGCCUAUUGGGUCUGCGGGUCUCCAUCCUGGCCCACGUACAGGUUGGUUUCUACUUGUAUGCAGGCCGUGUGGCCAAGUAGGCGGCAUUUUUUUUUAUUUUUCCCAGUAUUUUUGUUUUGUUUUUUGCAUUAUUUAUUUUCUUUUGUUUUGCUUUACUUUUUAAAUUCCUUUUGCUUUUAGGUAAUAAAAGUUAUAAACUUUCUGUUAGUGCCAUUUGUUUUCCAAUUUGAAUAGUUUAAUUUUGAAUUUUUUGAAAUUUGUGUGAAUCACUAGUUUUUGAAUAACUUUACUAUAAAAAUAGAUUUUCAAGUGAUUCUUUUUCCUGCUAUUUAAUAUUAUUGUGUUUUAUUAUUAUAUUCAAAAACAUAUUUUGUUAUUUUAGUUUCUAAAAGAAAUUCUUCAUGAUAAUUCUUUUUGCUAUUAAAGUUUCUAACAAACAAAAUUCUUUAUGAAAAUUCUUUUUGCUUUUAAUGUUUCGAAUACAAAAUACUUUAAUAAUUUUGGUUGCAUAAAUUUUAUAUAAUUUUAGUUUCAAUAAUAUUAGAGGUUUAUAUAAGUUUUUUGAGUUGAUUCCUUUUGCUAUUUGAGUUUUAUAAAAGCUUUUUAGUUGAUUCUUUUUGCUAUUGAAGGAUAUUAUAGUUUUUUUAAGUUGAUCAUAACAGAAUAUUUUAAUUGAUUAUUUUUUGUUCAUUCUUUUUGCUAUUAGUUAAUAUUUUGAGCCAAAUGACCCUUAAAUUGAAAAGCACUACAAAUGAACUAUGAAAAGGUUGAAAGUUGGCAUGGUAUCAUCAUUUCACCCACAUAACAUGUGCUAAAAAGUUGAGAGGGUUACGACAAAAACUGGAUGAACUUCGUGUACAAAACAGACAAUCUGUUUGGAAGUUUCAGGGUUUCGGACGAAAACUCAUAUAUUACAAAGGGAUUUCAUUUGUUCACAUGUAAGUGAAGUGAUAUUCUAGAUCAAAGGCAUCAUCAUAACAGUUGUGGAUAGAAAGUCUUCACUUUUUCUUCGCUUGUGUGAUUUGCAUAUUGCGCUGUAACCAUGGAUAAUUUUCAUUGUUUAACAGGGUGCUUGGGUCAGCCUUGACUUUGAAGGGAGGAAUUUCAUGAAACUUUUCAUUAUCUUCAGACAUGUCUGUCUUGCCCUCCAAUCCCAUGAUGUCUCUUUUUUCAGAAAGAACUAUGUGGCGCUUUGGCUCAUCGUAUGAUGUAUCCGCUUCCUUAUCUUUUCUUUUUCUCGGUUUGGUAGAUAUGUCCUUCACAUAGAAAACCCGCGCCACAUCAUUGGCUAGGACGAAUGAUUCGUCUGUAUACCCUAGAUUGUUCAGAUCCACUAUUGUCAUUUCGUACUGUGGGUCUACCUGUACCCCGCCUCCUGACAGAUUGACCCAUUUGCACUUAAACAAAGGGACCUUAAAAUCAUGUCCAUAGUCAAGUUCCCAUAUGUCCACUAGGUAAGCAUAAUAUGUGUCCUUUCCCCUCUUGGUUGCUGCAUCAAAGCGGACACCACUUUUUUGGUUGGUGCUCUUUUGAUCUUGGGUGAUCGUGUAAAAUGUAUUCUCAUUUAUCUCGUACCCUUUGUAAGUCACAGUCGAAGAUGGUUCCCUCGCCAACGAGUACAGCUCAUCAGAAACAGUAUUGUCACCCCUGAGACGUGUUUUCAACCAACUGCUAAAACUCCUGAUGUGUUCACAUGUAAUCCAGUCGUCACACUGGUCUGGGUGUUUGGAGCGCAGAAUGUUCUUGUAUUCAUCGACAUACGGGGCCACCAAGGUAGAAUUUUGUAGAACUGUGUAGUGUGCUUGAGACCAAGAAUGUCCAUCCCUGCAUAUUAUUGAGUCCCCUCCUAGCAUGCCUUUUCCAUUCAGUCUCUCCUCAUACCGUGAUUGAGGGAGACCUAUCUUUUUAAGGUCAGGAAUGAAGUCAACACAAAACCCAAUGACAUCCUCUGUUUGAUGGCCCAUGGAGAUGUGGCCUAGCGCAGUUACGGACAUAUUUCUUUAGGACUCCCAUGAAACUCUCAAAGGGGAACAUAUUGUGUAGAAAUACAGGGCCCAGAAUGACAAUCUUGUUGACUAGAUGAACUAGGACGUGCGUCAUGAUAUUGAAGAAGGAUGGUGGGAACACCAGCUCGAAACUAACAAGACAUUGCGCCACAUCACUCCUUAACCUUGGUAGGAUUUUUGGAUCGAUCACCUUCUGGGAUAUUGCAUUGAGGAAUGAACAUAGCUUCACAAUGGCUAAUCGAACGUUUUUCGGUAGAAGCCUGCUACGUCUUGAGCUUGCGUUGGUUUUCCUUAAAGAGGAAAGGGUGAUGCAGCAGAGUAGCGUAAGUAUUUCCCUCAGUUUUUGAGAACCAAUGUAUCAAUCCAGUAGGAGGCUCCUCAGAAGUCCCACACACCUACACAAACAAACAAAGAACUCGCAACCAACGCAAUAAAGGAGUUGUCAAUCCCUUCACGGCCACUUGCGAAAGUGAGAUCUGAUAGAGAUAUUAUGAUAAGAUAAAUAUAUUUUGGUAUUUUAUAAUAUAGAUGCAAAAAGUAAAGAUGAAAAUAAAAGUAGAUUGAAAGCUUAUAUGAUAAAAGAUAGACCUGGGGGCCAUAGGUUUCACUAGUGGCUUCUCUCAAGAUAGCAUAAGUAUUAUGGUGGGUGAACAAAUUACUGUCGAGCAAUUGAUAGAAAAGCAAAUAAUUAUGAGAUUAUAUAAGCAUGAUCAUGUAUAUAGGCAUCACGUCCAUGACAAGUAGACCGUCUCCUGCCUGCAUCUACUACUAUUACUCCACACAUCGAACGACUCCUGCCUGCAUCUAGAGUAUUAAGUUCAUAAAGAACAGAGUAACACAUUAAGAAAGAUGACAUGAUGUAGAGGGAUAAACUCAAGAAAUAUUAUAUAAACCCCAUAUUUUUAUCCUCGAUGGCAACAGUACAAUACGUGCCUUGCUGCCCCUGCUGUCACUGGGAAAGGACACCGCAAGAUUGAACCCAAAGCUAAGCACUUCUCCCAUGGCAAGAAAGAUCAAUCUAGUAGGCCAAACCAAACUGAUAAUUCGAAGAGACUUGCAAAGAUAACUCAAUCAUACAUAAAAGAAUUUAGAGAAGAUUCAAAUAUUUCUCAUAGAUAAACUUGAUCAUAAACCCACAAUUCAUCGGAUCUCGACAAACACACCGCAAAAAGAGUUUACAUCGAAUAGGUCUCCAUAAGAGAGGGGGAGAACAUUGUAUUGAGAUCCAAAAAGAGAGAAGAAGCCAUCUAGAUAAUAACUAUGGACCCGAAGGUCUGUGGUAAACUACUCACAACUCAUCGAAGGGGCUAUGGUGUUGAUGUAGAAACCCUCCGUGGCCGAUUCCCCCUCCGGCGGAGCGCUGGCGAAGGCUCCAAGAUGGGAUCUCGCCGAUACAGAAGGUUUCGGCGGUGGAAAUUGUUUUUCAUUGGCUCCCUGGAUGUUUUCGGGGUACGUAGGUGUAUAUAGGAGGAAGGAGUACGUCGGUGGCCGCCUGUGGGGCCCAGUAGACAGGGGCGCACCCAGGAGGGGUGGGCGCGCCCUCCUGAUACCUCUCCAACGUAUCUAUAAUUUUUGAUUGCUCCAUGCUACUUUAUCUACUGUUUUAGGCAAUAUUGGGCUUUAUUAUCCACUUUAUAUUAUUUUUGGGACAAACCUAUUAACCGGAGGCGCAGCCCAGAUUUGCUGUUUUAUGCCUAUUUCAGUGUUUCGAGGAAAAGGAAUAUCAGACGGAGUCAAAACGGAACGAAAUCAACUAGAGAAGUUAAUUUUGGAAGGAAACCAACCUGAUGGGAUUGGAGUGCACGUCAGGGGAGUCCCAGGCUGCCCACGAGGAUGGGGGGCGCCCCCUACCUCGUGAGCACACUGGAGGUCCACCGACGUACCCCCUGCACCCAUAUAUACCUACGUACCCUAAAACUUCCAGAAUAGAAGAUAGAUCGGAAGCUCCGCCGCCGCAAGCCUCUGUAGCGACCAAAAACCAAUCGGGACCCUGUUCCGGCACCCUGCCGGAGGGGAAUCCCAUCAGUGGAGGCCAUCUUCAUCAUCCCGGUGCUAUCCAUGACGAGGAGGGAGUAGUUCACCCUCGGGGCUGAGGGUAUGUACCAGUAGCUAUGUGUUUGAUCUCUCUCUCUCGUGUUCUCUCUCGUGUUCCCUCUAUGGCACGAUCUUGAUGUAUCCCGAGCUUUGCUAUUGUAGUUGGAUCUUAUGAUGUUUCUCCCCCUCUACUCUCUUGUCAUGAAUUGAGUUUCCCCUUUGAAGUUAUUUUAUCGGAUUGAGUCUUUUUAUGAACACUAGAUGUAUGUCUUGCCGUGAUUAUCUGUGGUGACAAUGGGAUAUCAUGUGCCACUUGAUGUAUGUUUUGGUGACCAACUUGCUGGUUCCACCCAUGAACCAAUGCCUAGGGGUUGGAACGCGUUCUUGACUCUCCGGUAGUAGCUUUGGGGCACUCUUUGAAGUACUUUUAUGUUGGUUGGAUGAAUCUGAGAUUGUGCGAUGCAUAUCGUAUAAUAAUGCCCACGGAUAAUUGAGGUGACAAUGGAGUAUCUAGGUGACAUUAGGGUUUUGGUUGAUUUGUGUCUUAAGGUAUUAUUCUAGUACGAACUCUUUUAUAGAUCGAUCUGAAAGAAUAACUUUGUGGUGGUUUCGUACCCGACCAUAAUAUCUACAUUUGUUCUCCGCUAUUAGUGGCUUUGGAGUGACUCUUUGUUGCAUGUUGAGGGCUUGUCAUAUGUUCUAUCUAUGUUAUUAUUGUUGAGAGAACUUACACUAGUGAAAGUAUGAACCCUAGGCCUUGUUUCCUACCAUUGCAAUACCGUUUACGCUCACUUUUACCGCUCGCUACCUUGCUGUUUUUAUUAUUUCAGAUUACAAAAACCCAUAUCUACUAUCUAUUUUGCACUUGUAUCACCAUCUCUUCGCCGAACUAGUGCACCUAUACAAUUUACCAUUGUAUUGGGUGUGUUGGGGACACAAGAGACUUUUUGUUAUUUGGUUGCAGGGUUGUUUGAGAGAGACCAUCUUCAUCCUACGCCUCGUACGGAUUGAUAAACCUUAGGUCAUCCACUUGAGGGAAAUUUGCUACUGUCCUACAAACCUGUGCACUUGUAGGCCCAACAACGUCUACAAGAAGAAGGUUGUGUAGUAGACAUCAAGCUCUUUUCUGGCACCGUUGCCGGGGAGGUGAGUGCUUGAAGGUAUAUCUUUAGAUCUUGCAAUCGAAUCUUUUUGUCUUGUUUUAGCACUAGUCUAGUUUAUAAAAGAAAACUACAAAAAAAUGGAGUUGAGUUUGUCUCAUAUGCUUCACCUUUUUAAUAUCUUUCGUGAGUAUGAUGGAAAGGAUAAUUGUGCUCAAGUGCUAGAAGAAGAAAUCUCUAAAAUGUUUGGCACUAAAUCUGUGAAUGAUGAGCAUGAUUGCAAUGUUGUUAGUAUGAAUUCUUUGAAUAUCCAUGAUGAUAAUGAUAUGCUAAGCCACAAGCUUGGGGAAGCUAUGUUUGAUGAAGAUGAUAUUUUUUGUCCCCCAAGCUUUGAUGAGCGAAUUUACUAUGAUGAAAGCAUGCCUCCUAUCUAUGAUGAUUAUUGUGAUAAUAUGUAUGCUAUAAAGAAGAAGUUUGCUUAUGUGGAGAGUAGAAAAUUUUCUAUGCUUGUAGAUCAUGAAAAGAAUGCUUUAGGUGCUGGUUAUAUUGUUGAAUUCAUUCAUGAUGCUACUGAAAAUUAUUAUGAGGGAGGAACAUAUGCUUGUAGGAAUUGCAAUAAUGUCAAGUUUCCUCCCUAUGUGCUUAAAUUCUUGAAGCUAUGCUUGUGUUACCUUCCUAUGCUAGUUGAUUAUUGUUCCCAUAAGUUGUUUGCUCACAAAAUCCAUAUGCAUAGGAAGUGUGUUAGGCUUAAAUGUGCUAGUCAUAUGCUUCAUGAUGCUCCCGUUAUGCUUUAAUUCUUAUCUUUUUUGUGAGCAUCAUUGUCAUCAUCAUGCCUAGCUAGAAAGGCAUUAAAGAAAAGCGCUUGUUGGGAGACAACCCAAUAUUUAUCCUUACUGUUUUUGUGUGUCCACAUGAUUAUGCUACUGUAAUAAUCAUAUUUUAUAGCUUUUGUUUCAAUAAAGUGCCAAGUAGAACCUUUGGGAAGACUUGGGUGAAGUUUAUGUGAUCUUGCUGUGAAAAACAGAAACUUUAGCGCUCACGAGAAUAGCUGCCAUUUUUUACUGGAGAGUGCUUUUAUGUUGAUUCUUUUUUCAGAUGAUUAAUAGACACAUUUCUCAGGUCCAUCAAUUUAUUUCAUAAUUUUGGGGGUUUCAGAAGUAUACGUUUGAUACAGAUUACUACAGACUGUUCUGUUUUUGACAGAUUCUGUUUUCUAUGUGUUGUUUGCUUAUUUUGAUGCAUCUAUGGCUAGUAUUAAGUGGUAUGAACCAUAGAUAAGUUAGAAUACAGUAGAUAUUACACCAAUAUGAAUUUAUAAUGAGUUCAUUACAGUACCUAAGUGGUGGUUUUAUUUUCUUAUACUAACGGAGCUUACGAGUUUUGUUUUGAGUUUUGUGUGGUUGAAGUUUUCAAGUUUUGGGUAAAGAUUCGAUAGAUUAUGGAAUAAGGAGUGGCAAGAGCCUAAGCUUGGGGAUUCCCAAGGCACCCCAAGGUAAUAUUCAAAGACAUCCAAGCAACUAAGCUUGGGGAUGCUCCGGAAGGCAUCCCCUCUUUCGUCUUCGUUCAUCGGUAACUUUACUUGGAGCUAUAUUUUUAUUCACCACAUGAUAUGUGUUUUGCUUGGAGCGUCAAUUUAUUUUGUUAGUUUUUGCUUUAGAAUAAUGUUUUUCAUCUUUAGUUUCAAUAAAGAAUUCAAGGAUAGCCUUUGCCAUGCUUAUUUUGCUAGUUUGCAUGUUGCUGUUUGAAAACAGAAAGUUCACCGCUGUUGCAAAAAUUCCCUAGAAAAGUCAGAGCAUGGUCUAACGUUGAAUAUUUUUGCAUAUUGAGAUCUGAUAAAUUUAUUACAGUGGGAAUUUUAGUUCAUAAUUUUUGGAGUCAGGGAAGUAUUGAUACUCUUGCAUUCUUUACAGACUGUACUGUUUUGGCAGAUUGCUGUUAUGUUUGCAUUGUUUGCAUAUGUUUGCUUGUUUAAUGAUUCUAUUUGAUGAUAGGAGUAUUAAAUAUGCAGAGGCAUUUAGUAUGCAAUGUUAAAUAAUAAUUUAAGUGAUUUGUUACAGUCGAAUACGAUAAGGUUUUGCAUUGGUUUAUACUAACCUAUCUCACGAGUUCUUGUUGAGUUUGUUGUGAAUGAAGCUUUUGAUAAAAAUAGAAACCAUGAUAUGAGAGGAAUUAAGGAGACACAAAAGUUCAAGCUUGGGGAUGCCCAAGGCACCCGAAGAUAAUAUUUCAAGAAGUAUCACCUCCUAUCUCCUAGAGGCCUCGUCUGCUUCUUGACUUGCACUCCAAGUUCUUCGGAUCACGUUCGUUCCAAAAAUCACGCUCCCGAAGGUUUCAUUCCGUUUGGACUCCAUUUGAUAUUCCUUUUAUUCGAAAUACUGAAAUAGGCAAAAAACAGAAAUACGAGUUGGGCCUCCGGUUAGUAGGUUAGUCCCAAAAAUGAUAUAAAUGUGUAAAAUAAAGCCCAUAAACAUCCAAAAGGGGUAAUAUAAUAGCAUGGAACAAUAAAAAACUAUAGAUACGUUGGAGACGUAUCAAGCAUCCCCAAGCUUAAUUCCUGCUCGUCCUCGAGUAGGUAAAUAAUAAAAAACAUAAUUUUUGAUGUGGAAUGCUACCUAGCAUAAUUCUCAAUGUAUUUUCCUUUCUUGUGGCAUGAAUGUUCAUAUCCAAAUGAUUCAAAAUAAAAAUUCAUAUUGACAUAAGAAAUAGUAAUACUUCAAGCAUACCAAUCAAAGCAAUCAUGUCUUCUCAAAAUAACAUGGCUAAAGAAAGUUAUCCCUACAAAAUCAUAUAGUCUGGCUGUUGCUCUAUCUUCAUCACACAAAGUAUUUAAUCAUGCACAACCCCUAUGACAAGCCAAGCAAUUGUUUCAUACUUUAGUAAUCGCAAACUUUUUCAACUUUCACGCAAUACAUGAGCGUGAGCCAUGGACAUAGCACUAUAUAUGGAAUAGAAUGGUGGUUGUGGAGAAGACAAAAAGGGAGAAGAUAGUCUCACAUCAACUAGGCGUAUCAACGGGCCAUGGAGAUGCCCAUUAAUAGAUAUCAAUGUGAGUGAGUAGGGAUUGCCAUGCAACGGAUGCACUAGAGAUAUAAAUGUAUGAAAGCUCAACAAAAGGAACUAAGUGGGUGUGCAUCCAACUCGCCUGCUCAUGAAGACCUAGGGCCUUUUGAGGAAGCCCAUCAUUGGAAUAUACAAGCCAAGUUCUAUAAUGAAAAAUUCCCACUAGUAUUUGAAAGUGACAACAUAGGAGACUCUCUAUCAUGAAGAUCAUGGUGCUACUUUGAAGCACAAGUGUGGUAAAAGGAUAGUAGCAUUGUCCCUUCUCUCUUUUUCUCUCAUUUUUUCUCUCUUUUUUUUUCUUUUUUUCUCUUUUUUUUUCUUUGGCCUUUCUUUUUUUUCUUUUGGCCUUUCUCAUUUUUUUCUUUUUUCUUUUGUAAAGUCCGAAGUCUCAUCCCGACUUGUGGGGGAAUCAAAGUCUCCAUCAUCCUUUCCUCACUGGGACAAUGCUCUAAUAAUGAAGAUCAUCACACUUUUGUUGAUUUACAACUCAAGACUAGAACAAAAUAUGACUUUAUAUGAAUGCCUCCGGAGGUGUACCGGGAUAUGCAAUGAAUGAAGAGUGACAUGUAUGAAAAUUAUGAAGGUGGCCUUGCCACAAAUACGAUGUCAACUACAUGAUCAUGCAAAGAGCAAUAUGACAAUGAUGAUGCGUGUCAUAUAAACGGAACGGUGGAAAAUUGCAUGGCAAUAUAUCUCGGAAUGGCUAUGGAAAUGCAAUAAUAGGUAGGUAUGGUGGCUGUUUUGAGGAAGGUAUAUGGUGGGUGUAUGUUACCGGUGAAAGUUGUGCGGUACAAGAGAGGCUAGCAAUGGUGGAAGGGUGAGAGUGCGUAUAAUCCAUGGACUCAACAUUAGUCAAAAGAACUCAUAUACUUAUUGCAAAAAUCUACAAGUCAUCAAAAACAAAGUAUUACGCGCAUGCUCCUAGGGGGAUAGAUUGGUAGGAAAAGACCAUCGCUCGUCCCCGACCGCCACUCAUAAGGAAGACAAUCCAUAAAUAAAAUUGUGUCCAACUUCAUCACAAAGCGGUUCACCAUACGUGCAUGCUACGGGAAUCACAAGCUUCAACACAAGCAUUAUUUAACUUCAUAAUCACCCAACUAGCAUGACUUUAAUAUCACUACCUCCAUAUCUCAAAACAAUUAUCAAGUAUCAAAUUGAUCAUAGCAUCCAAUUCACUUCCUAUGAUAGUUUUUAUUAUACCCAACUUGGAUGCCUACCAUUCUAGGACCAAUUUUAUAACCAUAGCAAAUACUAUGCUGUUCUAAAAGACUCUCAAAAUAAUAUAAGUGAAUCAUGAGAGACUACUAAUUUCUACAAAAUUAAGCCACCACCGUGCUCUAAAAGAUAUAAGUGAAGUACUCGAGCAAAAACUAUCAAGCUCAAAAGAUAUAAGUGAAGCACAAAGCAUAUUCUAAUAAAUUCAAUCAAGUAGGCUUCUCACGAAAGGUGUGUAGAGCAAGGAUGAUUGUGGCAAACUAAAAAGCAAAUACUAAUAUAAUACACGACUCUCCAAGCAAAACACAUAUCAUGUGGCGAAUAAAAAUAUAGCUCCAGGAAAAGUUACCAAUGAACGAAGACGAAAGAGGGGAUGCCUUCCCGGGGCAUCCCCAAUCUUAGGCUUUUGGCUAUUCUUGAAUAUCUUGGGGUGCCAUGGGCAUACCCAAGCUUAGGCUUUUGCCUGUCCUUAUUCCAUAGUCCAUCAAAGCUUUACCCAAAACUUGAAAACUUCACAACACAAAACUCAACAGGAAAUCUUAUAAGCUCCGUUAGUGAAAGAAAACAAAACCACCACAUAAUGAACUCAUUAUUUAUUUUAUUUUGGUGUUAAACCUACUGUAUUCCAACUUCUCUGUGGUUUAUAAACUAUUUUACUAGCCAUAGAUGCAUCAAAAUAAGCAAAUAACACACGAAAAACAGAAUCUGUCAAAAACAGAACAGUCUGUAGCAAUCUGUAACUAACACAAACUUUUGGAACUCUAACAAUCCUACCAAAAUAGGAAGUCCUGGAAAUUUUAUCUAUUGAUCAGCAGGAAAAAGAAUCAACGCAAAAGCACGUUUCUGUGAUUUAACAAAAUUAAAUUUGUGCACGCAAAGUUUCUGUUUUUCAGCAGAAUCAAAUUAACUAUCAUCAUAGGUUAUCCUAUAGGUUCUACUUGGCACAAACACUAAUUAAAAGAUAAAAACACAUCUAAACAUAAGGUAUAUGCAAAUGUUAUUAAAUAACAGCAACGAAAAAUAUUGGGUUGUCUCCCAACAAGCGCUUUUCUUUAAAGCCUUUUUAGCUAGGCAUUGAGAUUUCAAUGAUGCUCACAAGAAAGACAAGGAUUGAGGCACAAAGAGAGAAUCAUAAAACAUGUGACAAACACACUUAUAUCUAACAUACUUCCUAUGCAUAGGUAUCUUAUAAGCAAACAAAUUAUCAAGGCAAGCAAAAACUAGCAUAUGCAAGGAAGAACAAAGAGAUGAUAGCAAUCUCAACAUGAAGAGAGGUAAUUUAGUAACAUGAAAAUUUCUACAACCAUAUUUUCCUCUCUCAUAAUAAUUACAUGUGGGAUCAUAAGCAAAUUCAACAAAAUAGCUAUCCUAUAAAGUAUUUUCAACACGAUCCACAUGUAUGCAAUGUUGACACUCUUCCAAAAUAGUGGGAUUAACAUUAACUAAAGUCAUGAGCUCUCCAAACCCACUUUUAAUAAUAUUGCAAACACUAUUAUCAAUCUCAUAUUCAUCAUGGGGCUUAAAUAAAUUCUCAAGAUCAUAACAAGAAUCACCCCAAUCAUGAUUAUUGCAACAAGUAGUAGACAUAGAAAAACUAGCAUCCCCAAUCUUAGGGUUUUGCAUAUUAUUAGCACCAUUGACAUCAAGAGAAUUUAUAGUAAGAUCAUUGCAAUCAUGCUUUUUAUUCAAAGAGUUAUCAUGAAUCUCUUCAUAAAUUUCUUCAUCAUAAUUUUCAGAUUCACAAAUUUCAGGCAAAGCUUUAUAAAGAUAAUCUAGUGCACAAAACUCACUAGCAAUUGGUUCAUCAUAAUUGGAUCUCUUCAAAAGAUUAGCAAGCGGAUGAGGAUCCAUAGAUCUUAGGUUCUGUUUAGCAAUAAAUAAGCAUCUAUUCCAACCAAACGAGCAAACGAAAGGGAAAGCAAAAAAGAGAGGAGAAGAUUGGGAAAGAGAGGGCGAAUAAAACGACAAGGGUGAAGUGGGGGAGAGGAAAACGGGAGGCAAAUGGCAAAUAAUGUAAAUGCGAGGGAGAUGAGUUUGUGAUGGGUACUUGGUAUGUCUUGACUUGAGCGAAGACCUCCCCGGCAACGGUGCCAGAAAUCCUUCUUGCUACGUCUUGACCUUGCGUUGGUUUUCCUUGAAGAGGAAAGGGUGAUGCAGCACAGUAGCGUAAGUAUUUCCCUCUGUUUUUGAGAACCAAGGUAUCAAUCCAGUAGGAGGAUCCUCAAAAGUCCCACGCACCUACACAAACAAACAAAGAACUCGCAACCAACGCAAUAAAGGGGUUGUCAAUCCCUUCACGGCCACUUGUCAAUCCCUUCUUGCACGUAUUUUAUAAUAUAGAUGCAAAAAGUAAAGAUGCAAAUAAAACUAGAUUGAAAGCUUAUAUGAUAAAAGAUAGACCCGGGGGCCAUAGGUUUCACUAGUGGCUUCUCUCAAGAUAGCAUAAGUAUUACGGUGGGUGAACAAAUUACUAUCGAGCAAUUGAUAGAAAAACGAAUAAUUAUGAGAUUAUCUAGGCAUGAUCAUGUAUAUAGGCAUCACGUCCAUGACAAGUAGACCGUCUCCUGCCUGCAUCUACUACUAUUACUCCACACAUCGACCGACUCCUGCUUGCAUCUAGAGUAUUAAGUUCAUAAAGAACAGAGUAACACAUUAAGAAAGAUGACAUGAUGUAGAGGGAUAAACUCAAGCAAUAUGAUAUAAACCCCAUCUUUUUAUCCUCGAUGGCAACAAUACAAUACGUGCCUUGCUGCCCCUGCUGUCACUGGGAAAGGACACUGCAAGAUUGAACCCAAAGCUAAGCACUUCUCCCAUGGCAAGAAAGAUCAAUCUAGUAGGCCAAACCAAACUAAUAAUUCAAAGAGACUUGCAAAGAUAACUCAAUCAUACAUAAAAGAAUUCAGAGAAGAUUCAAAUAUUUCUCAUAGAUAAACUUGAUCAUAAACCCACAAUUCAUCGAAUCUCGACAAACACACCGCAAGAAGAGUUUACAUCGAAUAGAUCUCCACAAGAGAGGGGGAGAACAUUGUAUUGAGAUCCAAAAAGUGAGAAGAAGCCAUCUAGCUAAUAAUUAUGUACCCGAAGGUCUGUGGUAAACUACUCACAACUCAUCGAAGGGGCUAUGAUGUUGAUGUAGAAGCCCUCCAUGGUUGAUUCCCCCUCUGAUGGAGCACCGGCGAAGGCUCCAAGAUGGCAUCUCGCGGAUACAGAAGGUUACAACGGUGGAAAUUGUAUGUCCUGAAAGGUUACUGAGAGCAGUCCAAUCAUUGAUGGUUACAAACAUCAACGCAUGUAGGUCAAAUUCCUCUUGUUUGUGCUCAUCCCACACACGCACACCGUUUCCAAUCCACAGUUGUAGAAGUCCUUAAACUAAUGGCCUUAGGUACACAUCAAUGUCGUUGUCGGGUUGCUUAGGGCCUUGGAUGAGAACUGGCAUCAUAAUGAACUUCCACUUCAUGCACAACCAAGGAGGAAGGUUAUAGAUAUAUAGAGUCAUGGACCUGGUGCUGUGAUUGCUGCUCUGCUCCCCAAAAGGAUUAAUGCCAUCCACGCUUAAACAAAACCAUACGUUCCUUGCGUCACCUGCAAGCUCCUCCCUGUACAUUCUCUCGAUUUUUCUCCACUGCGACCCGUCAGCGGGUGCUCUUAACUUCCCGUCUUUCUUACGAUCCUCUUUGUGCCAUCGCAUCAAGUUGGCAUGCUCUUUGUUUCUGAACAGGCGUUUCAACCGUGGUAUUAUAGGAGCAUACCACAUCACCUUGGCAGGAACCCUCUUCCUGGGGCGCUCGCCGUCAACAUCACCAGGGUCAUCUUGUCUGAUCUUAUAUCGCUAUGCACCGCAUACCGGGCAUGCGGUCAAAUCCUCGUAUGCACCGCGGUAGAGGAUGUAGUCAUUAGGGCAUGCAUGUAUCUUCUGCACCUCCAAUCCUAGAGGGCAUACAACCUUCUUUGCUGCAUACGUACUGUCGGGCAAUUCGUUAUCCUUUGGAAGCUUCUUCUUCAAUAUUUUCAGUAGCUUCUCAAAUCCUUUGUCAGGCACACCAUUCUCUGCCUUCCACUGCAGCAAUUCCAGUACGGUACCGAGAUUUGUGUUGCCAUCUUCACAAUUGGGGUACAACAAUUUUUUAUGAUCCUCUAACAUGCGAUCGAACUUCAGCUUCUCCUUUUCACUUUCGCACUGUCUCUUUGCAUCAACAAUGACCCGGCCAAGAUCAUCAUCGGGCACAUCGUCUGGUUCCUCUUGAUCUUCAGCUUCCCCCGUUGCAACAUCUUCAGCUUCCCCCGUUGCAGCAUCACCGUAUUCAGGGGGCACAUAGUUGUCAUCUUCUUCUUCUUUGUUGUCUUCCAUCAUAACCCCUCUUUCUCCGUGCUUGGUCCAAACAUUAUAGUGUGGCAUGAAACCCUUAUAAAGAAGGUGGGUGUGAAUGGUUUUUGAGUCAUAGUAGGACCUCGUAUUCCCACAUAUAGGGCAUGGAAAACACAUAAAAUCAUUCUGCUUGUUUGCCUCAGCCACUGCGAGAAAAUUAUUCAUGCCCUUAGGGUGUGUUUGGUUGUGGAACCAAGUGGAAUGGAACGUAAUGGUUCCAUGACAUUCCAUUCCACUAGAAUGGGUCAAUUCCAUUCGUAUGUUUAGUUGACACAGUAGAUGGAAUGGAAUGGUUACAUUUGAGCGUUUGGUUGGUGAGACAGAAUAAAACGAAUUUGGUUCAUUUUGAUAAUAUACAUACACAAGCAUGGCAGAUACACAAUAUAUCAAACAUAUCUUAUGACAAUUCCUCUUGCAUCAAUACAUUUCUAAGAAAAAAGAAGGAAUUUACACAGAAGAACCACGAAUAUAUGAAAGCUACGAUCUACUACCACUCCUCUGCCUCCAGCAAGAAAAAUCAUCGCUAACUCAAGACGAAGCAAUUCAUAGAGAAGAUGCUAUCCCAGUCCCCAGCAGGCCUGGUCGCCGUAGCCCCCUAGCACCAGGCAGCAGCGUACCAGCAUAUCAGACCGCCGGUGCUGCUCCCAGUAGAUAAGGCCGCCGCGCACCAACAUAUCAAGCUAUCGGCGCCACCCCCCCUCCCCCUAGCAGAUCAGGCUGCCGGUGAUGCCCUCCCCCAGAUCAGGCCGCAGCCGCCGUAGGAACGGGUCCUAGGAACGCCCCCGUAGGUUAGGCCAUCGCCCUCCAGUCGCCCGGCGCCGGACCUGCUCCUCUUCAGAUCGAGAGAGGGAGAUACGAGAGAGAGGUGAGAUGCAAGAUGGAGUGAGGGGUUAGAGCGAGACCCAGACCGGUUCCGCGUGAUUCCUCCGAUUUUGAGGUAUCGGCGCAUUCCGAAUAUGGGCCAAAUAUUCCAUCGGUGGGAACGACUUGGUUCUUGUUCCACUUACGUACCAAACACAGGAACUAGGCCUUGGGAUGGGUCCAACCCAUGCCAUUCUAGUUGGUGACUGAAACCAAACACACCAUUAAUGUACUCGGAGGUGCGUCUGUUACCGUACAUCCAUUGUCGGUUCAUCUCUGCGUACAUCAUGAAUAGAUAAGCGACCAAAUUAAUAGAAGUUUAUUAUCACAUUAAACCCAAAGUACAUACAUAGUUCUCACUGAACAACAUAUAGCUCUCCAGAGCAUCUAAUUAAACCAUACAUUGAAACUAUGUAAGACAUUUCAAUGCAACAACAAAUGCGAUCAAAACCGCAACCAAGGUAACAAUUGAUCCAACGGCAUAAUGAUAGCAAGCCUCAGUAUGAAUGACAUAUAUUCUAAUCUUUCUAAUCUUCAAGCGCAUUGCAUCCAUCUUGAUCUUAUGAUCAUCGACGACAUCCGCAACAUGCAACUCCAAUAUCAUCUUCUCCUCCUCAAUUUUUUUUAAUUUUUCCUUCAAGUAAUUGUUUUCUUCUUCAACUAAAUUUAACCUCUCGACAAUAUGGUCGGUUGGAAUUUCCGGUUCACAUACCUCCUAAAUAAAAAAAAUCUAUGUCACGUUGCUCGGCAUAAUUGUCAUAAACACUAAAUGAAACUAAUAGUAAUAAAAGAAAAUAUAUAUACCACAUCUGAAUGAUAGACAGGACGAGGGCCAACAGAGGCGGAUACCAAAGCCAUCGCACUAUAUAAUAAAAAACAAUAAUAAGUAAGAAAACUACACAAGUAUCUAUCUAAAUCAUACAAGUAAGAUUUUUUUUUCUUUUAGAAAGAAUAUAAGAUCAAGAGGCUCACCACGGUGGUGUAGGCAACGAGAUCGGCGCGGGCGAUCAACAACGGUGAAGACGGGGACGGGACAGGACGGACCGCCAAACCUAGACAAAUCUCGAGGAAAAUGGAGCUUGGACAAGGAGCUUCAAGAGGAGAAAGCUUAAGUGUGGCUUGGGCAUUUCAUCGAACACCUCAUGUGCAUAGGAGGUAAGCUAGAGCACAACUCACCUCUCACACACCUCUCCCAAAAAAACAGAGCACUCCACUGCUCUGCUCGUGGGCAAGGAGUAUAUAUAGGCAUAUCAUGGUCCCGGUUCGUGGCUAGAACCGGGACUAAAGGACACCCUUUGGUCCCGGUUCAAGCCACCAACCGGGACCAAUGGUGGUGGGCCAGGAGCGAGGCACAUUGGUCCCGAUUCGAGCCUCGAACCGGGACCAAUGGUGCCAGAUGAGCCGGGAACAAUGCCCCAUGAUAGCCCGGCCGCCCCCCUGGCCUCACGAACCGGGACCUAUGCCUCCAUGGGUUCCGGUUCUGGGCUGAACCGGGACUAAUGGGCUGGCGCGGCCUGAACCAAAGCCCUGUUUUCUACUAGUGUGUGGAUCUAAAGUACUACCUCCGUCCUGGUUUAUUGAUCCCCUUUAUAAUUUCUGCCAAAUUUUGACCAUAGAUUUAACUAACAAAAUGUUAAUGCAUGUCAAUAAAAAUUAUAUCGUUGGAUUUAUAAUUAAACAUAGUUUUCAGUGCAUUCAUAGUUGAACAUAGUUUUUAACGAUAUAAUUUUUAUGACAUGCAUGAACAUUUUAUUAGUUAAAUAUAUGGUCAAAAUUUGGCACGAAAUAUAAUGGGGACCAAUAAAUCAGGACGGAGGUAGUAGGUGCGAUAGAACAUAAUAAUAGCUUUUCACAGAACUAAGUUGUAGUAUUUUUCUUUGAACCAACAACAUAGUUGAUGCUCCACUCUAGAGUCAUGCAGCACAAAGUGUACUCACUACUAUCUGCUGCUGACUAUCAAUAUCAAGAUUAUAGAAGAAAAAACUAUCAACGUAAGUAAACACUCCUGGACCUGCACUUUCCUCUCCAAGUCCAACGCCCCACACUCAUGUCAGAAAUGGAGAUGACUUUCGAUUCUCCGCCCUCUUUUCAUCCUAGCAGACUGCAACAAUGGAGAUGGCCAUGUCCUGCUCAUCGCCUUCCAGGGGCCACAAUAACCCGAUGUUGCAGCUCGGCAGGCCGGGUGAAAUGGGAUCGUAUAAUUUUCAGACCGAAUCCAGUUUCAAAUGGACGGAUAUGGGAAGAGAAAGGUGGUCGGAUAAAUUCGAAAACAAAUACAGUUAGACGGUUAUGGGAAGGGAAAGGCAGAUAUAGAAACGAAUACCUACAUUUGAUCCGGUACAUCCAUAUCCACCGAGUACCGCAUUAUUCAGAAUUACAAUCGGAUUAUUUGUUCUAAAUAUUUGGAUUAUCCUAUUUGAAGUCAGGACAACCGUGCAACCAGCCCAAAAAUGUCCCGCAGCUCGAAAGUCCCCUUCUACUCCAGAGCUCAUUUGAGCUCCGGAUGAACAGUAAAUCCCACAAAAUUUAUUAAAAAUACGAAAAAUUCUGAUUUUUUUGGCGAAACUUUGACAAAUGUUCUCAGUGCUUGAAAUUUGUCAUUCCGAAAGAAGAUUCAUGGAAGUCAUAGCAAAAAAAAACAACACUCCAAAAUCCUUUAAGAAGUGUCAAUCUUGUUUCUUAUCACAACUUCCAUGAAUGUUAUUUCGGGAGGAAAAUUUCCAAUCACUGAGAACAUUUGUCAAAGUUUGCACAAAAAAAUCAGAAUAUUUUGAAUGUUUUUAGUAUUUCUUUAUAUUGUUAUUCAUUAGGGAGAAUAUGAGCUCGGGACUAGAUACUCCGCCUCCCCCACAGCUAGCCCUUUUUUUUUCUGAAAAAGACAAGAGGCUCUCAACCUGCAACAUGAGUGCACAACUCGCUGCAUUUCCUAGCCCGACUUGCCCCUUCCAGUCUCUUUUAUAGCAACCACUGCUCAUCCGUGAACACACACGAAUGAAGACCGAAUCCGAGUGGAGAGUAGCGAGCAAUCAGAGGCAUCAUUGGUCGCUCGAGGAGACGAGAAGGCAAGGGCAAGGGAGAUAACGAGGGACAAGGGUGGUCGUUGGCCGCUCGGUCGGUCGCUGAAUGAGCCUUGCAUUAUAAUCUCAACAUUGACCCGUAUGCACACAUACCUCGAUCGAGGCACCAAACUUUGGGCGUGUUGUACUGCUGCACCUCCCGCACUUGCGCAACGUCAGACAUUGAGCCAAAAAAAUCCACCCUUUCGCAAAAAUUAAAUAUAGAUUUUUUUUUUGAGACAAUCAUACGAAGCUUUAUUAUGUCGUCACCAAACUUACAGGGACGGAGGGAAGGUUCCCCGGGUGACCUAGCCAAACAUGACGGCCAGGCCCCAAGCUUAAAGCAUGCUUCGCAAGACUGUGAGCCUCGAAAUUCGAGCUCCUACUUUCAAAAACUAUAUUACAUGAAAUAAAAGAAUUAACUCCUAACUUGAUCUCUUCAAUAAUGGCGCCGUAGACUGAUCUGCUUCCUUCCUGAAUCUCACGAACGACGUUCUAGCAAUCCGAGGCAAUGUGUAUUCUGUGGUUGUUGAGAUCCAGCGCGAGAGCAAGACCCUCUCUGAUCGCCAUGGCCUCCAACGUAGGCGGGUCGCUCACCGUAGGGUAGACCACCAUUGACGCUCCUUCAAAAAUGCCAUCGCUAUUCCGGCUGAUCGCUGCGACUGCUCCAUACAUGCCGUUGCGAUUAACAGCAGCAUCCACGUUAAGUUUUGCAUGGUUCUCCGGUGGUGACUUCCAAGCCCUAGGAAUUGUUGGGACUCGACCCGCGCUCGUGGCACAGGUGGUGUGAUCUGAGGCUGUAGCUCUGCCAAGUACGAGUUGAUGAAUCCAUUGAUCGCAUGCGGGCUCUGGAAGAUGCCUUCGUGGAUCGCCUUCCUCCGGGCGCUCCAAAUGGCCCAUAGUGAAACAGAUAGUUGCGUGAAUUCAUCCUUGCACAAACGGUCACUCAUGGUGAGGAUCCAGCUCCUUGCGUUCUCCUCUUGGUUCACAUUAACCUGCUCGAGCACUGGAUCAGACGACAAAGCCCAAGUGCAGCGCGACAUAGGACAACUCAACAGGGCAUGACGCCAGUUGUCAUGUGCUCCGCAUAAAAUACAUGCCGGGGUCGUGGCCAUGUUCCUGUUAUGAAGUAGCUCCUGCGACGGGAUCGAGUGUUGAGCCAAACGCCACAGGAAAAUUUUCAGUUCAGUCGGGACAUGCAAACUCCAUAUUUCCUUCCAGAUUUCCGAGUUCACCGAGUUAUGGGGUGUUCCCUCCCUCUCUUCCAGCUAUCCUUCCCUCUCCGUCUUGAUUCUUACUAUCAUUCUGUAUGCCGAACGUACAGAAAAUAUGCCUCGCUUCUCCUCAUUCCAAGCCCAGAAAUCAUGUAUCCUUCUGUUACAGAGAGGAAUUCGAAAGAUAGCUUCUGCAUCGAACGGUGUAAAAACACUUCUCACAAUAUCUGCUCUCCAACUUGCAGUACUACUGUCAAUGAGCUCCGCUACUCGCAUCGGUGGAUUUUGGAUCAAAGACGCAAUGGGGCGCUUGACACCAUCACGAUGGAUCCAGUUUUGCUCCCAGAUCAAUGUUGUCCCACCGUCACCGAUCCUUCUGAUAAUCCCUUGGGCCAGGAUAUCCCGCCCAUCUAGAAUGGCUCGCCAAAUCUGAGACGGAUGUGAACCCAAUCUGGCCUCCAGAAUGCAGCAAUCUGGAAAAUAAGCAGCUUUCAAAACUUCGGCACUUAAAGAAUUGGGAUCAUUGAGUACUCUCCACGCCUGCCUUGCUAGCAAUGCCAAGUUGAAAAUCUCAAUAUCUCUGAAUCCUAAACCUCCAACGUGCUUUGGCCGGACCAUCACAUCCCAUGCAACCCAUGCCGGUUUUCUCUUACCCCGUUUACUGCCCCACCAAAACUGUCAUAUGAUAGAGGUGAUUUUAUCACAAAGUCCUCGAGGUAGCCUGAAGCAUGACAUGGAAUAUACUGGGAUGGCCUGUGCAACUGCUUUGAUCAGAACUUCUUUGCCUCCUACUGAUAGGGUUUUCUCCAUCCAUCCCUUUACCUUCUCCCAAACCCUGUCCACAAGAUAUUUGAAGGUACCAUUUUUUGAAUGACCCACAUCCGUCGGCAUCCCCAAGUACCUGUCAGUCAAAGACUCAUUCUGAACCUGAAGAAUAUUUUUUAUGCUUUCUCUCAAUUGCUCGCCGCACCCUUUACUGAAGAAAAUUGAGGAUUUCUCAUUAUUAAUCCUUUGGCCAGAAGCACUACAGUAAGAUCCCAGUAGGUUUAAAUAUAGAUGAUGUACGGUGUGUGCGCUUGAAUGGGCCGGCAGUGUGAUGAUCGCUGGCAUAAAAAAAAUCAGGGGCGUGAUGUAUUGCUCGUCUUGAUAUAGCCUGGCGAAUGAAUCUCGCACAAUAGUCUUUUCUUUUGACUGGUACAGUAGAUAUCCAAAAUUGUAUCUAACAUGUAAAUGCACAUAUGAAUCACUAUUUUGCAGGGAAAACUAAACUUUUCAUGUUCCCGCUUAUUGCAGGGAAUAGAGUCACCACCCACAUAUUUAACUAGAUGAUUCCCCGCGCGUUGUUGCGGUAAUCUUGUUUAAAACAAAUGCAUAAUUAGGUUCUGCAUAAACAACUAAAAGUAAUAGAAACAAAAUAUAAGUGUAUUUCUUGAUACACCCUUUAAAAACAUUAAAAGAAUAUGAAGCGUAUAUUAUAAACCUGUAUAAAAGAAAAAAAUAGACUGCGGUUAAAAGAGUGUCAUUCUAAGAUAAGUAAAAGAUCAACUAUAUAGGUAUAGCUUAGCUCCAAGCACCCAACACAUAUAUCGUGUCCAUGAGAGCACACUUAGUGCAAGAAAAAUUAACUGAUAACUUGCAUGCAUGAACAUGUGAUAUGGCUUGGCAGCCUUGCAUGGGCAUACUAAUGCAAACAUGUAAAGUAUAACUUACAUAUGUGGCUUGCUGAUGUGGGAAGAAUGUAUGUAAGAAAAAAAAGUAGUAUGUUGUAGCUAUUUAGAAAUAGAGAAAAAGGGUGUUGUUUAUAUACAAAAAAGUGAAAGAUCAGCUAUAUAUGUAUGCUCCAAGCGCCCAAUACAUGUACCAUGUCUAUGAGCGCACAAAACGUAGUGCCAAAAAUUAACCGACGACUUAUACAUACCUGAACUGAUGAUGUGGCAAUGCUGCAUGGAUAUGCUAAUGCAAAAAAUGUAACUUAUAAACUUACAUACAUGACAUGAUGAUGUGGCACGGUUGCAUGGCUAGAAAAAAUAGUUAGUGGGUUGUAUCACAAUUAAGUCUAAUGCGAUUUAAACCCACUUAGAAUUCACUAAUGCAUGUUGCAUAGUGGAGGAUUUCAUGCAUGGAUCAGACGGAUGCUAGUGCAUCUAGAUAGUAAUUUAACGGCUAUAACAAUUUUUAUGAUGUGAAGCAUGUGUGUUGAUAUAAUUAGAAGUAGUGGGAAUCACUCUCUUAGAUAUAUAGGAUGUGUUAAACCAAGCACGUAAGUUGAGCGUAUUUGUUUUCCUCUUUGCUCCUUGUUUCUUUUUUUCUUUUCUUUCUCUACUUAUCUUUUUCUGUUUUUUGUUUUUUUCUAUUUCCCUUCUUUUCACCGUUCCAACUUUCUAUUAUUAUUUACUUGUGGCAUAUUUAUUACUUUGCAUUUUCUCCCAUUUUCCCUUUCUAACUAUAAUUUUAGUUUGUUUCUUACUUUUUAGAAUACUUGAAAUUUUCUUAUUUAUUCUUUUAUGCUGGUUACACGAAUAUUUUGUUGACAAACAUUGGUGUAUUUUUUAAAUACGUUUAAUUUUAUAUCAGCAUAUGAACACAUUUCUUUGGUAGUCAUUAUAUGGAAAUUUUAUUAAGUGAUAAGAUAAAAACAAUAAGAUGUUUAUAAAUGAAACAAGAAAAAAUUUCACAUGUAAGAUCAACAUGUUAUUUAAUGAGGAUGAACAUUUCCUCUUUGUGAUAAAUACAUAAACAAUUGUUGUUAGGUACAUGUACAUAUUUUUCAAGUCAUGUUUCUUUUUUCCACUUUUUUCCUCUUAGUUAUAUAUUAUUUUUUUGCUUAGGUUGUUUAUAUAUGUCUAUAUUUACUUAUUUAUUUGAAUUAUUUUGCUAAGAACAUAAAAAACUAAAGGAAAAUAAAGUAAAAUAAAUAAUCAGAAAGGAUAAUCAGAAAGGAAGCGAAUAGAAGAACGAAAAUAGAGAGAAAGAAACAUGAAAGAAGAAGAAUAAGAUUGUGAAGCUACCUGGGUCGUCCCAAGUAGUAGCUGGUGUGGGCUCAGUACAAUUUCCCCACAAAAUAAAUGGUUUUGGGCUUCAACAUCAUUGCAAGCCCAAAACGCAGCGUGAGUUUCCCCGAGAUAAGGCGUCAGCUACUUCAACUCCAACACGAGCUCCAAGCAGGGAGAGAUGUCAUGUGUGCGUUUAUAGGGGUGAGUGUAUGCACGUGUAUAUGGCCUUUGCCUCGUACUCGUCCUUCUCUAUGGGCAGAAGCAUAACCAGGUCAUUGUUUGGGACUCGUCUCCGAUGACCAACACCACAUUGUUGUCCCCCAACGGUUUGGCAUGGGCGCGAUCAGCGGGGCGGUGGUUCGCGCCGCCGGGCUCGUCCAUCACUUCCAAGUGGUCUCGGUAGGACGCGACAAGAAACGACGGUGGCUCGCAUGCGUUUUCUCGUCCAAAACUGGCACGUGGGGUAAGUUAAUCUCAACACUGUCGGUUCACCAAUGGUGGGUCGUGAGUUGCCCUCUGUGCUGGUUGGGAAUUCUCGCUACUUUCAAAAAGGAUCCUGAAGUUUGAUUUGGAUAGGCAAGGCCUAACAAUGAUAACUCUGCCCCCACUCAGUUUCCACGACAGGCGUAACAAUACUCACUUCAGGGUUAUGCGAGCAGAGGGUGGUGGUCUUGGUUUUCUCUUCCUGUCAGGUUUCACUGCCGAAUUGUGGAGGAGGUUGAUCGAUUUUGAUAGUGUUGCUUCAUGGAUGUUGGAAAGAACUAUUGAACUGGAUAAGGUACUUCUCCCGAGUUCAGUGGGAAAUCACCUAUGGAUGCUAGGAUUAGCUGAGAACAACAAUGGGUUCCUCUUGAUGGCGAUUGGUGGCCUUUUCAUGGUUCACCUUCAGUCAUUGCAGUUAGAACAUCUUCAUGGCUACAAAUUACAACAAUAUCUCCCAUUCGAAAGUGUCUACACUGCAAGUAAUACACGGCGUGUAUAAAAUAGCUGGUACGUUAUUUUUGGACAUCAACUGGUUAAUGAAAUGUUGUUCACAACCUUCAUUGUUGAGCUAACUAUUUUUAAGUGGUGUUGUAUCGAUUAUUUAUUUUGAUGCUUGAUGAUCUCUUUAACUUGUAGUGAUGUUGUUUCGUCCGGAUGUCUCUUGGUGGUAUUUUAUGUAGGAAACAAAAUUAGUUGGUGUAGUUUAGUUUAGGUCCCCAGUUCUGCUUCUGUACCCAAUGGCUAUCACCGCUCUAAUGUAUUGUGGUUUCCGUGAUUGGAGCAGAUAAAGGAUCGGCGGGUAGUGAUAUUGUUUUAAUACACAACUUACAUUUAUUUGAUGCUUGAUGAUCUCUUUACCGUAUUCUGAUGUUGUUCUGUUCGGAAGGCUUUUGGUGGUAUUUAUGUAAUCAUUAUGAUCUGGAAUAAUAUCUCUUAGCGGCAUCGGUUCCUUGUUUAGUUUAGCUCAGCGAUGUUGUUUUCAAUAACAUUAUUUUGGGAUCUCAUAUCUACCAAACUGUCUCCAGUAGAUGAGUACACAUAUGAAUAUACAUACAAAUAAUAUAGACCAAGAUUGACAAAUUCUUAAUAGAAAAAUUAGUGAGUUGUAUAAUGGUAUUGCUAGUGCAUAGUUACAGUGCAGGUUUUUUCUCUCAAGAUGAGGUACUCCCUUUGUAAACAAAUCUAAGGCCCGGUUCUUUUGCUAGAAUCUGAGGAUUCUCCCAGAAUCCGACCCCUACCCAGCUUCUCCCAGAAUCUUUGAGCUCCAUUUGUUUUACAAUCCUAUCUAGUUAGGCUCUAAUUAGACAGGAUUGUAAAACAAAUGGGGCUCAAAGAUUCUGGGAGAAGCUUGGUAGGGGUCAGAUUCUGGGAGAAUCCCCAGAUUCUGGCAAAAGAACUGGGCCUAAGACAUUUUAGGUCCUAAAAUGUCUUAUAUUUGUUUACAACUAUCUCUAUACAUACUCUUGGAAGCUUAAAGUUAACUGCUGACAUUCAAUUUUAUUAUGUCUGCUGAUCUUGCUAAUAAUAGUGAAUCCAUAUAUACGAAGGACUUGGUUUAAACUUUAUAAAACAGUUUUCAAUUUCACCACUUGUAGAACAAUCCUUUUGCGAGUGACAAGUCUAUUUCUACGUGUAUUUAAAUGUGCAAUUUCUUCACUUUAUGAUUUAGGUUGAUAUAUUGUUAUAUAUUGCUUGGGGGAUUUUUUCCAUUUUGUAUAACAGGCGUGGUUUUGUGUAUCUAAUUCCAAUGGUGUAUCAAACAUGAGCUGUUUUUCUGAAUUUCACCUAUGACUUUAUCUAAAUAUGUUCUUGAAGCCUUCUUGUACCUAGUGAACUAAUGAACAAUAACAUACGUUUGUUUUUUCUUGGAGCCAUUGUAGUUUUGUGGACGAUUAUUCUAGGAUUAGGCUGCUUCCUCACAUAUUUUCUCAGCAUAUCUCUCAUUGUCAGCCUAAUUAAGUUGCAUAUGUCAUUGGCCAUUGUCUAGUCCAAACUGUAUGUAGCUUUGCUUUUUGGCGAUCUAAUUUAUACAAUUUGGUCAUGGUAGGUGUUUAACGCUUUCUAUUAAAGAACAUGAUCGAACUAGUACGACUAGAUUCACCAUUAAUAUUGCUUUGAUCACAAAUUGCACUUUUUACAAACAUAUUAGAUAUCAUUAGAAGUAGUAGGCAAAGUAUUGUUUUUUAUGGAUAUCUGGUUUGGACUAAAGGAAGCUUACCUAUUAAUAAGUUGAUGCACGAUCCUGAGGUUUCUACUAGCAUGAAUUGAAUUAAAUUUGAUUUAUCAAUAACUUGCUAGCUUGUGUAUUUCUGAAAGUACCAUAUGAGCUAGAAGCCAGAUGUUUCUGCGUCCCUACUUCAUGAACCCCUUAGAUACCCUUUAAUUUUAACUUCUCAGACUAAUGAUAGAAGUUGAAGGGGUGCCUCUACACUACAAACUACAUGUUCUGUGUGUCUAAUGUCUAUUUUUUUAAAUAAUUCUUAGGUGAUUCAACGUUGGAGCUUUUGGUACAAUCCAAGAUGUUGAAGCUAAUGUUUACUAUUUGAGUCAUGCAAAAUCGUGCCAUGAAUGUCUUGUACAAAUUGGGUUCACUAAUGCCAGUGGCUGAGAUGCAUAAGUGGCUUGUUUGCUAUGAUCCACAUGUAAAUUUACCCUCCAUGUAGGAUGCACCAGUUAUCUAUGUUGUGGACUUGGAGGGAUUAAUAGCUGAAUUUUUUCACUCCCGCCUAUAGUCGAAUUUCAGUAGACAAUUAAGCAAUAAAGAUACAACGACUUGGUAUGUUAAUUAGUACUUGUCAAAUGGUCUCUCUCUCAUUUUGUAUGCGCUCAUAUUUUCACUGUUUUCUUUUGAUUGCUUCCAAGGCAACGGUCAUGUGAGCAUCAUAAUUAUCUAUAGAUUCAUGCGCAUCAUUAUUUUCUUCCAAGGAAACAGUCAUUCUCACAAUAAAUUCCUUAAAAUAGGCAUUAUGAGCAUAGUUUUCAUAGCAAUAUGUAGGUCUGUCAGAAUUUUCAGAUUUGUUGAGAGUAAUAUCAUACUUUUCAAUCAAAGAAGCAACUUCAUGAGCACCCUUAAAAGGAACAAAUUCUUCAAUUUGUUCGAUAUCAUAAUAACUAUAAACACCCUUUUCAUACGAAGAUAAUAUUUCGUAUCGUUAAACUCACAUAGGUAGGGAAGGUGUUUUUUAGGGUUCUUAGAGCAACAAGUAAAAUCAUAAUUUUCACAAAGAUUACAAGCAUAACACAUCAAACUGUUUAUUUGAUUCCAUAAGAGUCUCCUUUUUUCAGACAAGCAGUGACGCACAAAAUGAGCAUGCUCAUCUAAAGAUUUUCCCUCAACUAAACUAGUUGGGGUUAGCACAUAUAGAUCGAAGAUGAUCCAAGUAGAACACUUUAAGUGGAUCCAUAUCACUAGAUUUUUAGCAAGCAAAGAUGAAAGCAAAUAGAAGUCACAUGCAAACACAAACAAAAAGACAUACGGAAAGAAGGCGAAGAAAAGGGCGAAUCUUUUCGAAAAUUGUUUUAGAAGUGGGGGAGAGGAAAACGAGAGGCGAAUGGCGAAUAAUGUAAUGCAAGAGAUGAGAGUUUUUAUGGAUACUUGGUAUGUCUUGACUUGGCAUAGAUCUCCCCGGAAACGGCGCCAGAAAUUCUUUUUGCUACUUCUUGAGCUUGCGUUGGUUUUUUCCUUGAAGAGGAAAGGGUGAUGCAGCAAAGUAGAGAUAAGUAUUUCCCUCAGUUAGAGAACCAAGGUAUCAAUCCAGUAGGAGAAAACACACAAAUCACCAAGACAUGCACAAACAAUCAAACAAACUGGCACCCAAUGCGAUCAAUCCCUUCACGGUUACUUGCAAAACUGAGAUCUGAUAAAGAUAGAUAAACGAUAAAGUAAAUAUUUUAGGUAUUUUUGGUUUAUAGAUAUUGAAAGUAAAAUAUUGCAAGAUAGUAAAUCGGAAACUUAUAUGAUGGAAAAUAGAUCCGAGGGCCAUAGGUUUGACUAGAGGCUUCUUUCAAGAUAGCCAAUAAUACGAUGGGUGAACAAAUUAUUGUCGAGCAAUUGAAAGAAAAGCACAAAGUUAUGACAAUAUCUAAGGCAAUGAUUAUGAACUAUAGGCAUCACGUCCGUGUCAAGUAGACAUAAUCUUGUAUGCAUCUACUACUAUUACUCCACACAUUGACUGACUCCUGCCUGCAUCUAGAGUAUUAAGUUCAUGAAGAACAAAGUAACACAUUAAGUAAGAUGACAUGAUGUAGAGGGAUAAACUCAAGCAAUGUGAUGUGAACCCCAUAUUUUUAUCCUCGAUGGCAACAAUACAAUAUGUGCCUUGUUGCCCCUACUUUCACUGGGAAAGAACACUGCAAGAUUGAACCCAAAGCUAAGCACUUCUCCCAUUGCAAGAAAAACCAAUCUAGUUGGCCAAACCAAACUGAUAAUUCAAAGAUACUUGCAGAGAUAUCAAAUCAUGCAUAUAAGAAUUCAGAGAGAUUCAAAUAAUAUUCAUAGAUAAGCUGAUCAUAAAUGCACAAUUCAUUGGAUCUCGACAAACACACCGCAAAAUAAGAUUACAUCGGAUAGAUCUCCAAGAACAUCAAGGAGAACAUGGUAUUCGGAAGCAAAGAGAGAGAAGAAGCCAUCUAGCUACUAGCUAUGGACCCGUAGGUCUGAGGUAAACUACUCACGCUUCAUCGGAAGGGCAAUAGAUUUGAUGUAGAAGCCCUCCAUGAUUGAAUCACCCUCCGGCAGGGUGCCGGAAAAGGUCCCUAGAUGGGAUCUCACGGGUACAAAAGGUUGCGGCGGCGAAAAAGUGUUUUCGUGGAUGCUUCUUGUGGUUUCGGGAUAUAUGGGAAUAUAUACGCAAAAGAAUUAGGUCAGGAGGGUCUUUGGGGCCCACAAGGGUGGGGGGCGUUGCACCCUACCCCCUGGGCACGCCCUCUAUUCUUUUGGCCGCCUCGUGGCUCCUCCGACUUCAUCUCCAAGUCUCCACUACAAGAAAUAUGUCAACUACUGACCUUUUGUCAGUGACCCUGUAAGAAUUGGUCAUAGAUCUAUGACCAUUUCAGACCAAUUGGUCAAAAGCUGUUCGGGGGGCUCCGAACCCUAAACCAUUGCGACCAUUUUGGUCAGAAAGGUCAUAAUUUCCUUACACGAAAUGGUCACAAAGCAAAUAGUGCUUGUCUGCUGCCUUAUUUCUAGUUGUUAAUGACCAAUAUAGAUGGUCAUAGCCUUGUAGAUUGUGGUGGGUUGUGAUGACUAGGCGCCAUCUCAUCAGUUUUGCCAAUGUGUCUUGUCCAUGUGGCAGUUUUUGCCCUAGGUUGUGAAGCAACCUAUAUUUCUGUUAUUCCAAAAAUUCCCAAAAAAUUCUCAUAAAUGUUUUGGAUCAUAUCUUCAUCAAAUAUGUCAAAAACAUUCCUUGCCUAGUUCAAAAAUAAUUCGAAAAUAUUCAUUUUCCUAUUCUGUUCAGAGCAGCACUUUGUGAAGGAAGUACCACUUUGGCAUGUCCAAAUGGUAUCUGAUGGGGUCAUGUACCCAGGGUAGGGUCACAGACAUGAUCUAAGUACCCUGCCCAAGGACACCCUUAGAAGAGGUCACCUUCCAGUCGACCAACGAGGGACUCACUCGACUGACUUGAAGGACUCGACCACGAAGACUCACUCGACUACCAGGAGGUCAAAAGGACUCACUCGACUGACUUGACUGACUUGAAGUCGACCAACGAGGGACUCACUCGACUGACUUGAAGGACUCGACCACGAAGACUCACUCGACUACCAGGAGGUCAAAAGGCACUCUGCACUGCAACGGCCUGUAGUUAAGUAGACUUUAUGAUAGUUAAGACACUUUAUGUGGGACGUUACCAGUAAUGCCCCGGACUAAAUACACCUUAAACCCUUCAUUAUGUGGGCUGGCUGGGGUCCUGGCGCACUCUAUAUAAGCCACCCCCCUCCACAGGCAGAAGGGUUCGGCAUCCUGUAAUUCAUAUACACAUAAUCCACUCGACCGCCUCCGGGCUCCGAGACGUAGGGCUUUUACUUCCUCCGAGAAGGGCCUGAACUCGUACAUCUCUUGUGUUACAACCUCUCGAUAGCUAGGACCUUGCCUCUCCAUACCUACCCCCCACUCUACUGUCAGACUUAGAACCACGACAGUUGGCGCCCACCGUGGGGCAGGUGUUUUAGCGAUUUUGUGGAGAAGUUGCGAUUCUUCCGAGUACUUUCAUCAUGGUGGCUGCUGGAGUUUUGGUCGAGGGUCGAGAGAUCAGUCUUGGCGCUCUCACCUUCAUCGCCGACGACUCCGCCUGGCUCCAGGAUGCUCCACUCGACGUUGAUGCGCUCCCCGUCCGCGGUGCAACCCAUUUUCGCGCAUGUGUCCGCGGCGUUCUGCUGCGGCAACCGUCGACCCCGUAUCGGUCGACUCCCCCAUCGGCCACCCUCUCGGUCUUCCGCCAGCGCAAGCGCUCGGGCCGGUCGAGGAUUCAGCGGUGGGUGAGGCACGCGGUGGCUCGCCAGACGGCCACCACCCAAGUUGCGGCAAUCGAGCCCGACGAAUCUCUCUACGGCCUGUUCGAUCUGUCGACUGGCUCCGUAGAGACCGCAUCCGAGUGCGAUAGCAGUGAUCCAGCGGCGGAAAUCCUGAUGGUCGACGGGCCCCGCAGUCCCCCUGGCUUCGCCCGUGAUGGUGGAGCAGGCGACGGAGGCGACCCCGCACGAGACCACGAAGAGUACCAGCCCGAGCCACUCGACUCUCUGCAAGGAGAGGAACUGCGCCGCAGGAACGUGGAUGCCCUGCGUACUCCCAUCGCAGGAGAAACCCCCGAGGCUCGCGCCUUGGAGGAGGCACGUUUGGCCAAUUUGGCCGAACGCACUCGACUGGAGAAUCUUCAGCGAGCACUCGACGAGCGCGCGCGGCAACGAGUUCCCGACACCAGUCGACGUCAACUCUUCCCGCCGACUCAGGUAUAUCGAACCCCAAUUCAGAAUUUAGCAGCUGCGACCCGUAUAGCAGAGUCCAUCCAGCCCUCUCAGUCGGAAGCUCGCAGAGGCUUGAUGCAGAUCAGGGAUCUGCUCCGGGCAGCAGGAGAUCAGAAUUCGGCCGUGUCGCAGUCGCGCAACAGAAUUCACAGUCGAUCCGUCGCUGCGAAUACGGUUCAGUCGGCUCACAGCCCCAGAUCGCCUCCGCGGCGUGAAGGGCGCGAGAAUCAGCGAGACCAAUAUGGUGACCGACUCGACCGAGACGAUAGGCGUCGAGUGCCCAAUUCCCCUCCGAGGGGUGGGUCUUACGCUCCUCGGCAACAAGAUGACAGACGUCAGCUCAGUGUGGGGCGAAGAGUUCCAGUCGACCCCAGAGAAACAUGUUUUGAUGCGCGAUCCAUUAUCGUGCAAGGCUUAGUCGACCGGAACAGAGCCCAUCGAGGUGGACUCGACAGAGAUGCACCCACAAGCAGUCGAGUGCAUGUUUCUGGUCCUGAAUGUUUCAGUAGAGCUAUCAGAGCCGCAGUUAUCCCUCCCAAUUUCAGGUUGGCAACAGGAGUCAGCAAGUUCACUGGUGAGUCUAAGCCUGAAACUUGGCUUGAAGACUACCGAGUGGCGGUUCAGAUUGGUGGUGGGAACGACGAGGUGGCCAUGAAGCAUUUGCCCCUCAUGCUGGAAGGUUCUGCCAGGGCAUGGUUGACUCAAUUACCUCCUAGCAGCAUUUACACUUGGGAAGAUCUGUCCCGAGUGUUCAUCAGAACGUUUGAAGGAACUUGCAAGCGACCGGCUGGAUUGACGGAGCUGCAAGUCUGCGUGCAGAAGAACAAUGAGACUCUCAGGGAGUAUAUUCAGAGAUGGAUCACUUUGCACCAUACUGUGGAGAAUGUGUCUGAUCAUCAGGCAGUCUGCGCCUUUAAGGAUGGUGUCAAGAAUAGAGAAUUGAGUUUGAAAUUUGGUCGAACCGGUGACAUGACCUUGAGUCGGAUGAUGGAGAUUGCUACCAAGUACGCCAACGGCGAAGAAGAAGACCGACUCCGAAGCGGCAAGCACAAGCCGAGUCAGUCGGAAAAGGGAAACACCAGUCGGAAACAGAAGCGGAAGGCUGAACCGGCAGCUCCUGGAGAGGCUCUGGCCGUGACUCAGGGAAAGUUUAAAGGGAAACCAAAAGGAUCCUGGAACCCUAAGAAGGUGAAGGAUAAAGAAGGGAACGACGUGAUGGAUAUGCCGUGUCACAUCCACACGAAGAAAGACGAAGAGGGGAAUAUCAUCUACCCGAAGCAUACCACUCGCAAAUGUCGACUCCUGAUCCAGCAGUUUCAGGGAAAACAGUUUAAGGACAAGGAGAAGGAGUCGGACAAGGCCGAAGACAAAGAGGAUAGUGAGGAAGGAUAUCCACAUAUCAACUCCACUCUGAUGAUCUUUGCAUAUGUGGAAAGCAAGAGUCGACUGAAAGUCAUUAACCGAGAGGUGAACAUGGCCGCCCCAGCAAAAGCAAAUUAUCUGAGAUGGUCCCAAAAACCCAUCACAUUCGACCAAUAUGAUCACCCGACUCAUAUUGCCACCCCUGGGAGGCAAGCUUUGGUGGUCGAUCCAGUUGUCGAAGGCACUCGACUGACAAAAGUGCUGAUGGACUGUGGUAGUGGGCUGAAUUUGUUGUAUGCAGACACGCUGAAAGGAAUGGGCAUUCCGAUGUCCCGACUGAGCACCGGUAACAUGAGCUUUCAUGGAGUUAUACCAGGGAAGAAAGCCGAGUCACUCGGCCAAAUAGCUCUGGACGUGGUGUUUGGUGAUUCGAAACAUUUUCGCAAAGAGAAGUUGACGUUUGAGGUCGUGGAUUUUCAGAGUGCAUAUCAUGCCAUUUUGGGGAGACCGGCUUAUGCACGGUUCAUGGCUCGACCAUGUUACGUGUACCUCAAAUUGAAGAUGCCCGGCCCCAAAGGAGUGAUCACUGUCACCGGUGAUCGGAAAAAGGCAGAAGAGUGCUUUUAGAAAGGCUCAAAGAUUGCUGAUUCCUAGGUGACAGCGGUCGAGUUUGAAGAAUACAAGCAAAACGCAGAUCCGAGUGACUUGCUGCGAUCCAAGAAACCCGCCACAUAGUCUGCAUUCCAGUCGUCCGGUGAGACGAAGCCUGUUCACAUUCACCCGACCGACCCCGAUGCAGCUCCGACCCACAUCUCCACAACACUCGACCCGAAAUAGGAAGAAGCGCUCAUCCAGUUCCUCCGUGAGAACUGGGACAUUUUUGCAUGGAAGCCCGCUGACAUGCCAGGUGUUCCCAGGGGACUGGCUGAGCAUCGCCUAAGAGUCGACUCAUCUGCAAAACCAGUCAAAGAGCAUCUUCGGCGGUCCGCCGUCCAGAAGAGAUAUACCACUCCGAGUGGCUCGCUAAUGUCGUCAUGGUUCCUAAGAAGGACAAAUCACUCCGAAUGUGUAUUGAUUUCAAGCACAUCAACCGGGCCUGCCCGAAAGAUCAUUUUCCUCUCCCUCGCAUAGAUCAAAUUGUUGACUCGACCGCGGGAUGCGAGAGAUUGUCUUUUCUAGACGCCUACUCCGGGUACCACCAGAUCCGUCUGUACGGACCCAAUGAGGUAAAAACAGCUUUCAUCACUCCAUUCGGGUGCUUCUGCUAUAUCACCAUGCCAUUCGGCCUCAAGAAUGCCGGAGCCACAUUUAUGCGAAUGAUUCAGAAGUGUCUACUCACUCAAAUCAGUCGGAAUGUGGAAGCGUAUAUGGAUGAUAUCGUCGUCAAGUCACGAAAAGGUUCCGACCUGCUCGCUGACCUCGCCGAAACAUUUGCCAACCUCAGAAGGUAUGAUAUCAAGCUCAAUCCAUCAAAGUGCACAUUCGGAGUUCCUGGUGGCAAGUUACUCGGUUUUCUCGUUUCUGAACGAGGAAUCGACGCUAAUCCAGAGAAGAUUGGCACUAUUCUCUGAAUGAAACGCCCUGUGCGACUGCACGAUGUCCAGAAGCUUACUGGAUGCUUGGCCGCAUUAAGUCGAUUCAUCUCACGACUCGGUGAAAAGGCAUUGCCUCUUUACCGACUGAUGAAGAAGGCAGACAAGUUCGAGUGGACUCCAGAAGCUGAUGCAGCGUUUGCCGAGCUAAAAGCUCUACUCUCCACCCAGCCGGUGCUUGCUGCUCCAAUCAGCAAAGAGCCUCUGUUGCUCUAUAUCGCAGCCACAGGACAAGUCGUCAGUACUGUGCUUACGGUCGAGUGGGAAGAAGAAGGAAAAGCUCUCAAAGUUCAGCGCCCAGUGUAUUAUUUGUCUGAAGUCUUGACUCCAUCCAAGCAGAGAUAUCCUCAUUAUCAGAAGCUUGUGUAUGGAAUAUACAUGACCACAGAGAAGGUUGCUCAUUAUUUCUCUGAUCAUUCCAUCACAGUCGUCAGCGACGCUCCACUAUCAGAGAUUUUGCACAACAGAGAUGCAACUGGUCGAGUGGCUAAAUGGGCGAUUGAACUUCUUCCCCUUGAUAUCAAGUUUGAGGCAAAGAAAGCCAUUAAGUCCCAGGCAAUAGCAGAUUUCCUCGCCGAGUGGAUUGAACAACAGCAGCCGACUGAAGUUCACUCGGAGCAUUGGACCAUGUUCUUUGAUGGCUCUAAGAUGUUGAAUGGUUCCGGUGCUGGGGUUGUCCUGGUUUCCCCCAGAGGAGAUAAGCUCAGAUAUGUGCUCCAGAUUCACUUUGAUUCCUCCAACAAUGAGGCAGAAUAUGAGGCCCUCUUAUAUGGGUUGCGCAUGGCCAUUUCACUCGGCGUCCGUCGCCUAAUGGUUUAUGGCGACUCGGAUUUAGUGGUCAACCAAGUGAUGAAGGAGUGGGACGUGAGAAGCCCAGCCAUGACUGGAUACUGCAGUGCAGUGAGGAAGCUGGAAAAGAAGUUCGAGGGGUUGGAGCUCCAUCAUAUACCCCGACUGAAAAAUCAAGCAGCUGAUGAUCUAGCAAAGAUAGGUUCCAAGAGAGAAGCCAUUCCGAGUGGUGUGUUCUUGGAGCAUAUACACACUCCGUCAGUCAAAGAAGAUCCUUUCACCGAAGAAGCUCCACAACCCAAGAGUGCCACAGAUCCGACUGAGGUUGAAGUCCCAGCGGUGGUCGACUUGAUCAUGAGGUCUUGGUGGUCAUUCCCGACUGGACAGUUCCAUAUAUCGCGUAUAUCCUGAGAAAAGAGCUUCCGGAGGAUGAGGAAGAGGCUUGACAGAUCGUCCGUCGAUCUAAGGCCUUUACCGUAAUCAAAGGACAAUUAUACAGAGAAAGCGCGACUGGAGUUGGUCAGAAGUGCAUAACACCAGAAGAAGGUCGACUCAUCCUUAAUGAUAUCCACUCGGGGACCUGUGGCCAUCAUGCGUCCUCUCGGACCAUCGUGGCCAAAGCAUACCGAGCCGGAUUUUACUGGCCAAAGGCGAAUGAGAUGGCAAAGGAGAUAGUGGAUAAGUGCGAGGAAUGUCAGUUCUACUCGAAUAUGUCGCACAAGCCUGCAUCAGCCCUAAAGACCAUUCCACUCGUCUGGCCUUUCGCAGUAUGGGGGUUGUACAUGGUCGGUCCUUUGAGAACAGGGCGAAGUGGCUUCACGCAUGUACUGGUGGCAGUCGACAAGUUCACCAAGUGGAUCGAGGCUAAACCAAUCAAGAACCUUGACGCCGGUGCUGCUAUUAGCUUCAUCAGAGAACUAAUAUUCAGAUAUGGAGUCCCGCACAGCAUCAUUACGGAUAAUGGGUCGAACUUUGACUCGGAGGAAUUCAGAGAUUUCUGUAACUCUCAAGGCACAUGAGUCGACUAUGCUUCAGUCGCUCAUCCGCAGAGCCAAUGGCCUGAUUCUCAAGGGACUGAAACCCCGACUGAUGCGUGAUCUCAAGCAUGCAGCUGGAGCUUGGGUCGACGAACUUCCCUCGGUGCUUUGGGGACUGAGGACCACACCUAAUCGGUCGACCGGAAGAACUCCAUUCUUCUUGGUCUACGGAGCUGAAGCAGUCUUGCCGAGUGAUCUUCUCCACAAUGCUCCUCAAGUUGAAAUCUACAACGAAGCAGAAGCUGAACAAGCGCGGCAGGACGCAGUCGACCUUUUAGAGGAAGAAAGGGAGAUGGCUCUGAUCCGGUCGACCAUCUACCAACAAGAUUUGCGUCGUUUCCACGCCAGAAAUGUGAGAGGUCGAGCCUUCCAAGAAGAAGAUUUAGUUCUCCGAGUGGAUCAGAAGAAACAACACAAGAUUGCUCCUUCUUGGGAAGGACCCUUCAUCGUCACCAAAGUUCUCCACAACGGGGCGUACCGUCUCUACAACGUCGAGCAUAAUAUCGACGAGCCCCGAGCUUGGAACGCGGAACUACUCCGCCCAUUUUACACUUAAGUUUUAUCACUCGGAUUAGUUGCAAUAAAGUACUUCUGUAGUUCAUGGACCUCAAAAUAAUAGUGUCAUAGUUCCUCCAUAAUUUUUGUCACUUUUUAUUUUGUACAAUGAAAUUUCCCCCCAGUGGGUGACUUAGCCGCGAAUCCGUUUCGCCUAAGUUUGUAAAAAUCCUCCGAGUGGUGAGUCAGACUCUCACUCGGAGGCUUAGCUGCGAAUCCGUUUCGCCUAAGAUUAAAUAAAAUCCUAUCGAGUGGUAAGCCAGACUUCCACUCGGAGGCUUAGCUGCAGCCCAGCGCUCGCCUAAGUUGUCAAAAAUCCUACCGAGUGAAGAACAAACCUCUCACUCGGAGGCUUAGCUGCAGUCCAAGUACUCGCCUAAGUUAUCAGAAAUCCUACCGAGUGAAGAGCAAACCUCUCACUCGGAGGCUUAGCUGCAGCCUAGUGCUCGCCUAAGUUGUCAAAAAUCCUACCGAGUGAAGAGCAAACCUCUCACUCGGGGGCUUAGCUGCAGCCCAGCGCUCGUCUAAGUUAUCAGAAAUCCUACCGAGUGANNNNNNNNNNNNNNNNNNNNNNNNNNNNNNNNNNNNNNNNNNNNNNNNNNNNNNNNNNNNNNNNNNNNNNNNNNNNNNNNNNNNNNNNNNNNNNNNNNNNNNNNNNNNNNNNNNNNNNNNNNNNNNNNNNNNNNNNNNNNNNNNNNNNNNNNNNNNNNNNNNNNNNNNNNNNNNNNNNNNNNNNNNNNNNNNNNNNNNNNNNNNNNNNNNNNNNNNNNNNNNNNNNNNNNNNNNNNNNNNNNNNNNNNNNNNNNNNNNNNNNNNNNNNNNNNNNNNNNNNNNNNNNNNNNNNNNNNNNNNNNNNNNNNNNNNNNNNNNNNNNNNNNNNNNNNNNNNNNNNNNNNNNNNNNNNNNNNNNNNNNNNNNNNNNNNNNNNNNNNNNNNNNNNNNNNNNNNNNNNNNNNNNNNNNNNNNNNNNNNNNNNNNNNNNNNNNNNNNNNNNNNNNNNNNNNNNNNNNNNNNNNNNNNNNNNNNNNNNNNNNNNNNNNNNNNNNNNNNNNNNNNNNNNNNNNNNNNNNNNNNNNNNNNNNNNNNNNNNNNNNNNNNNNNNNNNNNNNNNNNNNNNNNNNNNNNNNNNNNNNNNNNNNNNNNNNNNNNNNNNNNNNNNNNNNNNNNNNNNNNNNNNNNNNNNNNNNNNNNNNNNNNNNNNNNNNNNNNNNNNNNNNNNNNNNNNNNNNNNNNNNNNNNNNNNNNNNNNNNNNNNNNNNNNNNNNNNNNNNNNNNNNNNNNNNNNNNNNNNNNNNNNNNNNNNNNNNNNNNNNNNNNNNNNNNNNNNNNNNNNNNNNNNNNNNNNNNNNNNNNNNNNNNNNNNNNNNNNNNNNNNNNNNNNNNNNNNNNNNNNNNNNNNNNNNNNNNNNNNNNNNNNNNNNNNNNNNNNNNNNNNNNNNNNNNNNNNNNNNNNNNNNNNNNNNNNNNNNNNNNNNNNNNNNNNNNNNNNAGUCCAAGUACUCGCCUAAGUUAUGAAAAUCCUACCGAGUGAUAAGCCAAACUUCCACUCGGAGGCUUAGCUGCAGCCCAGUGCUCGCCUAAGUUAUCAAAAAUCCUACCGAGUGAAGAGCAAACCUCUCACUCGGAGGCUUAGCUGCGGUCCAAGUGCUCGCCCAAGUUAUCGAAAUCCUACCGAGUGAAGGGCAAACCUCUCACUCGGGGGCUUAGCUGCAGCCCAGUGCUCGCCUAAGAUAUAAAAAUCCUACCGAGUGAAGAGCAAACCUCUCACUCGGGGGCUUAGCUGCAGCCNNNNNNNNNNNNNNNNNNNNNNNNNNNNNNNNNNNNNNNNNNNNNNNNNNNNNNNNNNNNNNNNNNNNNNNNNNNNNNNNNNNNNNNNNNNNNNNNNNNNNNNNNNNNNNNNNNNNNNNNNNNNNNNNNNNNNNNNNNNNNNNNNNNNNNNNNNNNNNNNNNNNNNNNNNNNNNNNNNNNNNNNNNNNNNNNNNNNNNNNNNNNNNNNNNNNNNNNNNNNNNNNNNNNNNNNNNNNNNNNNNNNNNNNNNNNNNNNNNNNNNNNNNNNNNNNNNNNNNNNNNNNNNNNNACCUCUCACUCGGAGGCUUAGCUACAGUCCAAGUACUCGCCUAAGUUACCGAAAUCCUACCGAGUGAAGAGCAAACCUCUCACUCGGGGGCUUAGCUGUAGCCCAGUGCUCGCCUAAGUUAUGAAAAUCCUACCGAGUGAAGAGCAAACCUCUCACUCGGGGGCUUAGCUGCAGCCCAGUACUCGCCUAAGAUAUAGAAAUCCUACCGAGUGAAGAGCAAACCUCUCACUCGGGGGCUUAGCUGCAGCCCAGUGCUCGCCUAAGAUAUAAAAACCCUACCGAGUGAAGAGCAAACCUCUCACUCGGGGGCUUAGCUGCAGCCCAACGCUCACCUAAGUGGACUAAGGAAUAAGUCGAUUGCAGUAAGCGUCCUGCUUUGAACUUGCAAAAGACAUUUCGAGCCAAAAGCAAUCAUAUUCAAACGACAAAUUCAAGUUCGGAUCGAUACCUAAAGGAACCGGAAGUGCUCAGGCGCUAAGCCCGUUAAGGUUUAUCGGUUACAAUUCCACUCGGCAUACCGAGGCAAAUUUAAAGCGUCGAGCUUAGAAGAAGCUUUUUACCCCUCCUGUGGAGGGCUGGAAGGUGCAACAAACUCAUCAAGAUCAAUUCCAUCUGCGAUCCGAGUGGCAGCCGCAAGGAAAGUUUCCAUAAAGGACCUGAAGUCGUGUUUCUUGGUGUUGGCCACCCGGAGGGCCGCCAGCUUGUCUUCUUGCGCAUCUUUGCAGUGGUCUCGGGCCAGACACAGAGCAACAUCUGCGCCGCACCGAGCCGAUGACUUUUUCCACUCCUGCACUCGACCAGGGAUUGUGUUCAAGCGAGCCAUCAGCGACUCGAGGUCGUUCUGAAGUGUCUCACCGGGCCAGAGCGUCGAGUCAAUGCAAGAUGUGGCGACCUUCAGCCUUGCAAGAUAGUCCACGACAGCUGCAACACGGGACUCCAGUCGGAAAACAUUCAUGGCAACUUCGUCAUCCAUCGGAGAAUUGACGGGGUCAAGGUUUGGUUCCAGCCGGCUAGUUUCUUCUUCAAAGUUUUGACAAAAUUCUGCAAGGACGAUCACCGAGUCAAGGCGAUGGUCGAAUGGAAAAACCACGGUUGGAAAUGAUCACCGAGCAUAGAGAUUUACCUUCAAGCAUAAGAAACAGCUUCUUGGCAAGACCAUUCAGGAAGACCUCCAGAUCUUUUUUCUUCCCAAGAGCAGCUUUCAGAUUGGCAUUUUCUUGCUCAAGCUUGGCGACUGAAGCUAACUUCUCGUCAACAAGCUUGAUCUUCUUAGCUAGUUCAAGGUCCUUCUUCCGUUCGGCCUCCCUCACCUUACCUGCAAGUUACAGCAAGAUCAGAUUUUGAAACAAAUAAAGGGAAAAAGCAGUCGUCAAGGUCUCACCAAACAUACCUUCGGUCUCCUCCUUUGCCUUCGUCAGAUUCUCCUGAACCAGCUUCAAAUUCAGCUCGAGCUGAAUGUGCUUGUUUUCCAGCUCAGAGUAGCGAGCCACAAGAUCACAGGAGUUCUGCGAAGAACCAAUCGACUAAAAUGUCAAAUAUAAUUCACUUCCGAGUGAAAAAGGAAAAAUCACGCGUUUCUAAGACUACAGCCGAAUACGAGCAUUCGACCGUAGUCUCGGGGACUACACCCAGUGGGUGCACUCAGCGUGCCCCCACUAAUCGACCAGUCGAAGACAGAGUCGACCAGUCGACCGGUUUGUGAAAUCCAGUCGCCUUAGUCGAAUGACGGAAAGGCUGAAAUUAUAAAGCCUAAGGCCGACUGCCCGCAGUCGACCUUAGCCUUGGGGACUACACCCACUGGGUGCACUCAGCGUGCCCCCACUAAUCCUAUUUGAAGACAGAGUCGACCAGUCGACCUCAAAAAAAAACAAGAUGUAUUCUUUAAGACUGUAACCGACUGCCAGCAGUCGACCACAGUCUCGGGGACUACACCCAGUGGGUGCACUCAGCGUGCCCCCACCGGUUUGCGAAAUCCAUUCGCCGUAGUCGAAUGACGGAGAGACUGAAAUUAUAAAGCCUAAGGCCGACUGCCAGCAGUCGACCUUAGCCUUGGGGACUACACCCAGCGGGUGCACUCAGCGUGCCCCCGCUAACACGGAGUUUAAAUCGACACACCCAGUGGGUGACUACUAUAAAUUCUGGAAAGAAAAGUUUUUUGAUAGCAUAUCCUAACAGAACAAGUGGUGGUCGACUGACCUGAACAUUCCUUUGAAGGGCGGAACUGGCGUCGUAAGCUGCCUGGCUCGCAUCCCGGAUGGUCUUCAAUUGCUCCAUCAUGAUCCCUGCCUGGCGUAUCGCCUCCUUCGCGGUGCCAGCUUGGUCCUCUGGGACGUGGUGCGUCGUGAAGAGGGAGGGCUGCGGAGCACUCGUCAGCGGAUCUGCGAAGGACACAGUGUGUCGAGUGGUGUUCUCCUCCUCUGCGACCAGAGUCUCAGGCACAGUCACAUCCUGGGGCACCCUGCUGGCAGACGCUUUCCUUCUCAUUCUGUGCUUUAGUGGUUCCUCGUCUUCAUCAUCAUCAGGGAGAGUGAUAACAACAUUGGAUGGAGCUACAGAAAAGAAUCAGAAUUAGAGAUCAUGAGUCAGUCGACUAGAAACGGUGUUAAGAGUAUAAUACCAGGUUUUGAGGUUGCUGCGUCCUCCAUCGCAUGGUUGUCAGCCCGGGCUGAGGUCUCGGAAGUAGCAGCACUGCAACUCCAAAGAGUCAGUCGACUAACUCCAGCGCCAACCAGAGACAAAGUUCACACAAAACAAGAAGACUUAAGCAACAUGAUUACCCUGGUAUGGUGGGGAUGGACACCUUCAUCUUCGGCAGGUGCUUGGUCGGCUUCGACGGGGCCGCCCUGGGCUGCUUCGACGCCUUUUCAGUUGGCGCCGGAGAGGUGGUCCGAGGGCGCUUGGUCGACUGUGUAGCAGUCGCAACCCCUUCGCCGCGUUCAGUCGCAGGGUCAUGGACAAGUUUCGACCGCCUUUCCGAGCGCGGUGGUGCGACCUCCUCCUCCUCCUCCUCUUCCCCGUCCUCAUCGUCGUCAUCAUCAUCGUCAUCGUCAUCAUCAUCGGCCUCGGCGGCAUCCGAGUCCCACUCCUCCUCCUGGCUCUCGCCCCCGCUCGCUUGUCCCUCCUCAGUCGGAGCCUGCGCUCCGUUGGGCAUCGAGUACAGUUUAGUGAGGGCCUAAGGGACAACAAGACAAAGAUCAGUCGACCGAUCAGCAGAGAAAGCAGAAAUAAAAUAUGAUGAGAAUACAACGGGAAGUGGGGCAGACAUGCCUUGUUUGGAUCACUGUGGCAGUCGAGUUGAGGAAUCCUUCUGGCCCCACGAGGGUUGUCCUUGUUGCCAGUAAUAGCGGCCAUCCACCUUUCCAGAGUGGCAUCGUCGACUGCUUCUGGAUUGACCCGAGUCACAUCCUCAGUCCCACAGUACAACCACAUGCAGUGGCUUCGGAACUGAAGAGGCUGGAUUCGGCGCCUAAGGAAAACUUCCAGGAGAUCCAUGCCCGUCACUCCCUGCCGAACCAACUGAACUACGCGCUCCAUCAACAUCUUCACGUCAGCUUUCUCCUCCGGAAUCAGCUUCAGGGAGGAGGGCUUGUUCACUCGGUCCAUGGUAAAUGGAGGGAGCCCACUCGACUGCCCCGGUGUCAACUCAUCCUGGCAGUAGAACCAGGUCGACUGCCAGCCUCUGACUGACUCGGGAAAUGUCAUGGCUGGGAAGGUGCUCUUGUUUCUCACCUGGAUCCCCAGACCUCCACACAUUUGGACCACUCGGGUUCUUUCGUCGCCUGGACUCGCCUUCUUCACAGUUUGAGAGCGACAUGUGAAUAUGUGCUUGAAGAAGCCCCAGUGCGGUCGACAGCCCAGAAAACUCUCACACAUGGACACAAACGCGGCAAGAUAGGCGAUAGAAUUCGGGGUGAAGUGGUGGAGUUGCGCUCCAAAAAAGUUCAAGAAACCACGGAAGAAAAUGCUCGGCGGCAAAGAGAAUCCGCGGUCGACAUGGGUAGCCAGAAGCACGCACUCACCCUCUUCCGGCUGGGGCUGCCACUCUUUCCCCGGAAGCCUCGCAGCUCCAUGGGGGAUCAGGCCCUCGUUGGCCAUGUCGAGGAGAUCCUUCUCCGUGAUGGUCGACUGGAUCCAAUCUCCCUGGACCCAGCCUUUCGGCAGGCGGGAUCUGGACGAAGACCCACCGCGGCUGGUGGAUCUCCCCUUCGCCUUCUCCGUCGCCGACGCCUUCUUCGCGCGCUCCAGCGCCGCCGUCUUCUCCUUGACCAUGGCUUCCGGCGGGGCGCGUGAGGAGAAGUGGUGUGGAGGCGAGAGCGAGCGCGUUGGGCGGAGACGAAGGAGGCAGAGAGAGAAUGCUGAGGCACUGUUCAAAAAACCCUCGCCGGGCGCAUUUAUAAGAUCCCUUCCGAGUGGAUGACAGGUGGACCCGGCAGAUCUAAUCAUAUCCUGGAACUGUUACGCGGGCGGGAUACGUGGCGAAGAAAGCGGCGCGGGGAUCGAGGCGUCUAUGUCCUGUCCCAUCCGAACGCCGCGGUCCGCUCCGCUUCGCGCGUUUCCCCAAAUUUCGCAUCCCGCGGAAUCCGCGAACGGCAGAUCAGUCUGUCAGGCGCGGGAUUUCCUGCGAUCUGUCGCUCGGAAAUCGACGAAGCCCGAAAGAUCACUCGACGAAAGAAAAGAAUGGAUCGAGUCUACUGAAGACAAGUUGCUCACUAUCAACGAAGAGAUUCUCUGGUUCAGAACAACGCACGACCAGUGUGCAAAGGUUAAUCGGAAACAGCAUCAACUCCUCCGUCACUCAAAGCCUCAAUCCAUUCGGGGGCUAAUGAUGGGGUCAUGUACCCAGGGUAGGGUCACAGACAUGAUCUAAGUACCCUGCCCAAGGACACCCUUAGAAGAGGUCACCUUCCAGUCGACCAACGAGGGACUCACUCGACUGACUUGAAGGACUCGACCACGAAGACUCACUCGACUACCAGGAGGUCAAAAGUCACUCUGCACUGCAACGGCCUGUAGUUAAGUAGACUUUAUGAUAGUUAAGACACUUUAUGUGGGACGUUACCAGUAACACCCCGGACUAAAUACACCUUAAACCCUUCAUUACGUGGGCUGGCUGGGGUCCUGGUGCACUCUAUAUAAGCCACCCCCCUCCACAGGCAGAAGGGUUCGGCAUCCUGUAAUUCAUAUACACAUAAUCCACUCGACCGCCUCCGGGCUCCGAGACGUAGGGCUUUUACUUCCUCCGAGAAGGGCCUGAACUCGUACAUCUCUUGUGUUACAACCUCUCCAUAGCUACGACCUUGCCUCUCCAUACCUACCCCCCACUCUACUGUCAGACUUAGAACCACGACAGUAUCCAUUUUCUACAGUGCUUUCCUAUGCCCAAAUAACCAUCCUCCACCAAAUGCCAGCUCAAUCCAUUCAUUAUUUUGAGCCCAGCUUCAAAAUUCGCAUUUAUGUCCAGUGUGGUACUUUGUAAAGCAAGUACCACCUAGGCUCCUCCUUUUGAGGUGAAAAUUUGUGAAGACGGUCUUCUUAGUAACUGAUCAUCCUCAGCGAAAACCCACACCCAUUAGCCAUGUGCAUUUCCCGUACCGCAAAUCAAACACUUGGCUGCUUAUUCAUGUUUGAGCAUCGAUCGGUCUCCUCGUGAGAAUCUUAUGUUGUGAUUUUCUUCCUAGCACGUACCUGGGGAGUGCCCAACCCACUAGACAUGCCUAGGCCGCCCAGAACACAUGGCAACGCCACAGUCAUGUGGUGACCACACGGCGGGCAUGCGAGCUUACGCACUCCAAACCUUGAUGUCUCGCCAUCAAACCAUGUAUUUCUGAUUAAAUAGAUACUUAUUUACCUAGAAAUGAUUUUUGGAACAAAAUAAAGAGCAAACUAUGAGGCAGCUGCAGUUCAAAUUUGACCCGUUUCCAGCUGAAUCGACGACAAUUUGGCUUUUUCACCAGAGGUGGUUCAAAACUUUUUUCACCCAACCAUUUUGUCAAUUGUGCAUUAUAUAUGGCCUAGUAUUUUAUAAAAUUGAUUUGGUCCAUUUUUGCAACAAUUAUUUGGUAGUUCCUUCACACAAAAAAAAUCCUUUUAGGCACUCGAAAAAUGAAAAAUGAAUUUUCCGUGCAAAGAAAAUGACAACUUCCUUAGGCAACAUUGUUUGGAAUUCCAAGAUGUACCCUUGUGCACAAUAUGAGAUCAUCUGAACAAAACUAUGGCAUGAAUGUGGCCAUAAGAUUGAUUAUUUGGCUUGAAAGCCAUGAAUCUUCACGCAUGAUAGCUCAUUUCUGGGAACACUUUUUUAAAACAAUUACCGUAAUACAAGUUUAUUAUUUUUCCUGGAAACUUGGUCACAUAUAAUGAAACAAUGCGAAGGUUUUCCAAUUUUUUGAUUUUUUUUAAAUUUUUUAUGCCCGUUUCAAAAUGCGGUCAAAACGGCGGGCUUGACCGUUCCUAGCUAGUGGUUGAAUCUUGGAAUUUUUUUGGUGUUUCUAUGAUUAAAUAGAUACUUAUGUACCAAGAAAUGAUUUUUGUAAAAAAUAAAGAGCAAACUAUGAGGCAGCUACAGUUCAAAUUUGACUCGUUUCCAACUGAAUCGAUGGCAAUUUGUCUUUUUCACCAGAGGUGGAUCAAAACUUUUUUCACCCAACCAUUUGUCAAUUGUGCAUUAUAUAUGGCCUAGUAUUUUAUAAAAUUGAUUUGGUCCAUUUUUGCAACAAUUAUUUGGUAGUUCCUUCACAAAAAAACCUCCUUUUGGGCACUCGGAAAAUGAAAAAUGAAUUUUUCGUCCAAAGAAAAUGAAAACUUCCUUAGGCAACAUUGUUUGGAAUUCCAAUAUGUACCCUUGUGCACAAUAUGAGAUCAUUUGAACAAACUAUGCCAUGAAUGUGGCCAUCAGAUUGAUCAUUUGGCUUGAAAGCCAUUGAUCUCCACACGUGAUAGCUCGUUUCUGAGAACACUUUUUUAAAAUAAUUGCCGUAUUAGAAGUUUGUUAUUUUUCCUAGGAACGUGGCCACAUAUAAUGACACAAUGCGAAGGUUUUCCAUUUUUUUGAUUAUUUUUGAAUUUUUGAUGCCCGUUUCAAAAUGCGGUCAAAACGGCGGGCUUGACCGUUCCUAGCUAGUGGUUGAAUUUUGGAAAACUUUUGGUGUUUCUAUGAUAAAAUAGAUACUUAUGUACCUAGAAAUUAUUUUUGGAAAAAAUAAAUAGCAAACUAUGAGGCAGCUGCAGUUCAAAUUUGACCCGCUCCAACUGAAUCAGCGGCAAUUUGUCUUUUUCACCAGAGGUGGAUCAAAACUUUUUACACCCAACCACUUUGUCAAUUGUGCAUUAAAUAUGUCCUAGUAUUUUAGAAAAUUAAUUUGGUCCAAUUUUGCAACAAUUAUUUGGUAGGUCCUUCACAAAAAAACCUCCUUUCGGGCACUCGAAAAAUGGAAAAUGGUUUUUUCGUCCAAAAAAAAUGAAAACUUCCUUAGGCAACAUUGUUUGCCAUUCCAAUAUGCACCCUUGUGCACAAUAUGAGAUCAAUUGAACAAACUAUGCCAUGAAUGUGGCCAUAAGAUUGAUCAUUUGGCUUGAAAGCCAUUGAUCUCCACACGUGAUAGCUCGUUUCAGAGAAUACUUUUUUAAAAUAAUUGCCAUAUUACAAGUUUGUUAUUUUUCCUAGGAACUUGGCCACAUAUAAUGACACAAUGCGAAGGUUUCCCAAUUUUUUGAAUUUUUUUGAAUUUUUGAUGCCCGUUUCAAAAUGCGGUCAAAACGGCGGGAAUGACCGUUCCUAGCUAGUGGUUGAAUCUCGGAAUUUUUUUGGUGUUUCUCUGAAUAAGUAGGUACUUAUGUACGUGGAAAUGAUUUUUGAAAAAAAUAAAUAGCAAACUAUGAGGCAGCUGCAGUUCAAAUUUGACCCGUUUCCAACUGAAUCGGCGGAAAUUUGUCUUUUUUACGAGAGGUGGAUCAAAACUUUUUAGACCCAACCAUUUGGUCAAUUGUGCAUGAAAUAUGGCCUAGUGUUUUAGAAAAAUGAUUUGGUCCAAUUUUGUAACAAUUAUUUGGUAGAUUCUUCACAAAAAACCUCCUUUUGGGCACUCGAAAAAUGAUUAAAAAUAACUAGAAAGAUUAGAAAUGCAUACAAAUUGGUACUUAUCCAUAAAAUGUGGUCUAACUCUAGUGAAAAUUUGUGGGGUGACCUUUUGCAAAAUAUUUUUGAUAGCUACUUCACAAAAUCCCUCUAUUUUUUAGUACUUGGAAACUAUUUAAAUCACUGGUUUUCCGAACCAAUCGGAACUCUUCCCACGGAUCGAUGACAUGGCGCCCAUCCAUCCAUCCAUCUCUCCAUCCCACAUCCAUCCAUCCAUUUAUCAACAAAAAAAAUAAAAAAUGGAAAAGAGAUACCCCACCCGCAGCCCAAACCCUUGCUCAGAUCCCCCUUCCUCCGUCUCAUUCCCCUCGUCCCUGGCGGCGGCGCACCACUCGUAUCUUCCUCUCUCCUCCAAACCCUACCCACCAACGCGAGCUUCUCUCCCCCGCACCACUCCUCGCCGCCGCCACCACCACCACCUACGGCGCCCGAUCCCACCCUCCGGUGACGCCGAGCUCACCAUGGUGACCCCAUCCCUCCGCUCCUUCCUCUCAUCGGGCCAGAUCCACCCCGUCCAUAUGAGGCCAAGCGUGACCCCCGAUUCAGUCGAGGCCGCCGCCCGCACCCGCGCGCCACCACCCGCUCCUCCUCGCCUCUAUUCCUCCGCCCGCCGAACCACCCCGUACCUGAUGCCUCACUCGGCGCCUUCCGCCGUAGGGCCAUCGCGAUCGCAACACCCUCGGCGCCGCACCUCCACCGCCACCUCUGCUGGCUCUUUGCCGAUGCCCCCGCCUCGUGCACGAGCGGCCGGAGCACGCCGUCCACCUCGCGCACGCGGCGCUCGACGUGCUCGAUGUCUUCGGUAAUGGAAGCGCCCGGAUCCCUCGGUUUCCUUCUUUGGUUUUUUUCCUCCAUUGAUUGGCUUAGCUUCACUGACUGACGGGGAACUGAUUUGGGCGUCUGCAGAUACGGUGCAGGACAUCAAGGACCUGGAGCACCCCUACUCGCUGGAGCAGAUACGCUGUGUGCUCUCCCAGUAGUCCGUCUCCGUCUCCCACUAGUCCGUCUCCAUCUCCCAGUAGUCCAUCUCCGUCUCCAUAUCUGGUACGUAUACCUGCAAGAUUGUGCUGCUCAUGGUUUUCUAGUGAUUAUUCUCAUCCUAUAUUAUUCUUAUUGCAAGCCCGAGGUGUCUCCUCUUCAUUUACAACAAAGGAUCCCCAUUGCCCACCACCAGCCUGUAGCAGAGGAUCCCCACUCUGUUGAGCACAACACGAACACCCAAAACAGGUAAACAAUUGGUAGCAUGUCCAGCAUCAUCUCCUAUCUGCACUGUGCUCUGUCAAUUUCUUCAGUCUGUAUGUAAUAUAACUGCAUAACACAUCUGGAACUUUGUAUCCUAUCUGCACUGGAGCCGCUGUCAGUUUCCCAGUAAUUUUACCGACAUUUAGCAGACUAAAUUAAUAAAACAAGAAUGUUGGUUUGUACUUGGUAACCCCAUCUCCUGUCUCAUUUUGGGGAGGAAUUUCAGUAAUAGCUGACAAAGUUCUGUUGUGCCGUAACAGAUCAUCAGCAUACACAACAAGUGGAACUGCUACAAAGCACCAGAAGAAGGCGAAGAAAAGAGGGAAAGAUCACAACAGCUCUUCUCGGUGAGGAAAUGCUCGGUCCUGUAGAACAACCGUGAAGCAGAAGUUAACUACGUGCUCGUUUGGGGGGUGCUUCUGGUGGUCUCGCUCUUCAAGCACUUCUGGAGGCUGCUCAAGUGGUUCGCCGUGGUGCACCAUGGACGUCAACAUACUCAUGCUCAUCGCAGGUACGACCAACACUUGCCACCUUCUGAACUAUUCUGAUGUUGAUGUUCAUUAUGGGCUGUACUAAAGUUUCCACACGCACGCACGCAUCAUGCGUUUCAUGUGACUUAGGCUUUGCCUUUUUUCUGACUAGAUUCAUAGUGUGCGAUCAAUAUAUCAAUAUUAUGCAGCCAUGGUGUUUAUCCUUAAAUCCAUGAAUCUUUUGGGUCACCCACUAGCAUGGUUACUUGCAAAGGAAGCCAAGAAUAAUAAAUCUCAUCCAUUUUCUAAAUAUAAAUAAACAAAAAAAUGUCGUGCUAGGUGCAGAGCAUAAGGUGCCUUGCUUGGCUCGUGUUGAAUCUAGUUAGGCAGAGGAAUCCUUGCUAAUUCUGGCAAAUUUUUUUGCUUUCACACCCGAGUUAAAGAAAACUGGAAUUGAUCUUAGAAGUGGCUCAAAACGUAAGACUGCCUGAUUCCAUUUUAAGAUUGUCACUAACCAUUUACCUCUUAUUGCAGACCAGGAAAUGAAAGAUCGCUCGACAAACGGCCGCUUCCAGUCAGUUGGAUCUGAUCUUAUACCCGCACACGAGAGCUAUCGGAGCAGCAACAGAUUAACAAGGACCCAAGCUGGACUCCCAAGUUCUUCGGUGAGCUGGCUCCAUCUCCUACCCCUAGCUCCCUCUUUUCUGCUCCUAUAGCAUGCUUUGUUGGACUCAUGCUCUGCUCCUACACAAGCUGGACUCAUGCUUUGUUAUACACUCACCCCGUUGUGUUUCAUCUUGUCCAUGCACGCAGCCAUCUAUUGUUAUUAUUUAGAACAAAAUAGAUGUACAUCUCAUUGUAAAAGUACACAGCAUAGUGAGCUCACUUGGGCUUUGAUUGGCAUGCAGGUACCUUCCCCUGAUGGAGGGCGCGUUGUGCCUGCUGGCGGCGACGGCCUUCACGGCGGAGCUGCUGCUCCUCUACUUCCACUCGACCACCCACCAGGGGCUGGAGGGGUACUACCACUACCUCCUAGUGGUGCUCGUCGGGCUCUGCGUCGCCUCCAACGUCCUCGGCGCGCUCCUCCCGGCGAGCUUCCCCGCUAACCUCGCUAGCGGCCUGCUCAUCACCCUGCAGGGCCUGUGGUUCUACCAGACGGCCUGCAUCACCUGGUGAGACUAAUAUCCGUCUCUCUGUCCACCCUCGAUUAGGAUUUGUAGUUGCUUUGUUUGGUGAUGAAACGAGGAACUCAGAGAGGGAGGGGCUCCUACCCCUGCACCCCGUUAUUUGUACUUGCAUUUCAGAGAGUAUUCAUUUGUAAUGCUGGUACAUGAGAGCAUCGUAUUUUUGCCAAGGUACCUGAGGGCGUCAUAUUUUUGCCUAUUAAUGUGUGUGCGGGGAUCAUGCCUGCUUGUCCAGCUAAGACUUCAAUUUUAGAGGCUGCUAAUGCUAUCCUCUGUUCUUUGUGGACCUAAAUUUGUUGUAAUAGGCCUUGUGCUUUGGUGACUUGCUUGUCAGCUGUUCCUUAUUAUAUACAGAUCCUUAUAAGUUUCUAGUGUUGCAAACUGAAAUCCUACUGCUUUGUCUUGUGCAAUACAAAAUCUGAAGCGAAUUUUAAGGCAGCAUAGAGAAAUCAUUCACCUUUGGUGAUUUCUAUAGUAAAAGUGUUGCAAAUUAGCUUUGGAAGUCUGUUAGUAACCUCACUAUCUUGUGCUUAUGCUUAUAUGUUGUGCGGCAUGCUUCCUGUGGCAACAAUAGAAAAUGCGUGACCAUAACUGUCUGUUGUCAACACAGACGGCAGUUCCUUGUUAUGUACAUACUCUUCUUUUUUUCCAUUUUUGGAGUGUCAUUUCCUUUGUAUGUACUCGCAUCUUCUUGUUAUGGAUAACUCUGUUUUUUAUUACUCUGCACGUCCCCUGUUCCGAGCGAGUGUUGUUUAGUGUUUACUGCUUAUAACAGUAAAGUAAUAUGAGCUUCUACUACAUACUGGUUAGUGUUAGUCAUACUAUUUAUGUACAUCUCAUUUGCUGUCAAUUCUUUCUUAUAAGUUAUUGGAUCCCUCAUUGGCUACUGUUUGAUGUUUCGUACACAUUCUUAUUCUUAUAUGAUCAUUCUUUUUUUUGCACAGGUGAAGUGCGAAUCCAAGUUCUAAGUUGUGAAGCAUAUCAACAAAGACUAGCAUAUUAUGUGUUGUAAAUGUAGGCAGUAGUAGGCUUAUCUGGGCUGUAGUAUACUGUAACAUUUGUAAUAGACCAAUGCCAUGUUGUUUUGGAUGAAUUUCAUUUGCUAUUUGCAUUGUUUGAAAUAAUGAUUGUGUAUGUGAUUUGAAUACCCGUCAAAUGGAAACCUGACAAGGGGGUCCAAGUUAUAAUGGUUGUUUGACAGAUUUUGAAAAUUUUGAUGUGUGGGAUCAAUUUUGUGAUAAGCAUGACAAGUGGGACCAAUCUGAUUGGUGGGACCAGUGGCAAAAAAAGGACGAAAAUAAAAAAUCAGUAGACUGUAAAAGGCUGCAUCUUAGAAAAAAGGCCGAAUUAAUGGCCCAAGCCCAUGUAGCUACCAAAAAUUAACAAGAAAAAAUACAUUAAAAGGCCGAAUUGUUGGGCUAGGCCCAUGUAGAAAAUCGAAUUGGACCGGGCUGAAUCUUGUGCCACAUCAGAUUGCCACGCUGGAUGCCUACGUGGCCUGGGGAGGUUGCUAGUGACCAAAACGCCACAGUAGACGUAUUUUGGUCAUAAACGUCUACGACCAAUCCAGAAGAAAGGUCGCUAUAGUCAGUUUACGACCGCCAACUUUUGACCUUAUGUUUUUGGUCACAAAAAGGUCACAAAUUGAAAACAGUGACCAUUCAGUGACCAAUAGUACUGGUCACAAGUUGACAUAUUUCUUGUAGUGCUCCUGGUUGUCUUCUGGUCCAAGAAAAAUCAUUGCAAAGGUUUCAUUCCGUCCGGACUCCGUUCGAUAUUCCUUUUCUGCGAAGCUCAAAAACAAGGAAAAAACAGAAACUGGCACUGGACUCUAGGUUAAUAGGUUAGUCCCAAAAAUAAUAUAAAAUAGCAUGUUAAUGCAUAUAAAACAUCCAAAACAGAUAAUAUAAUAGCAUUGAACUAUAAAAAAUUAUAGAUACGUUGGAGACGUUUCAAGCAUCCCCAAGCUUAAUUCUUCCUCGUCCUCGAGUUGGUAAAUGAUAAAAAUAGAAUUUUUGAUGUGGACUGGUACUUAACAUAUUUAUUCAUGUAAUUUUGUUUAUUGUGGCAUGAAUGUUUAGGUCCAUAAGAUUCAAAAAAAGUUUAAUAUUGACAUGGAAACAACAAUACUUCAAGCAUACUAACAAGGCAAUUAUGUCUUCUCAAAAUAACAUGGCCAAAGAAAGCUUAUCCCUACAAAAUCAUAUAGUCUGGCUAUGCUCCAUCUUCAUCACACAAAAUAUUCAAGUCAUGCACAACCCCGGUUUCAGCCAAGCAAUUGUUUCAUACUUUAGUAUUCUCAAACUUUUUCAACUUUCACGCAAUACAUGAGCGUGAGUGAUACGUCUCCAACGUAUUUAUAAUUUUUGAUUGUUCCAUGCUAUUAUAUUAUUUGUUUUGGAUGUUUAAUGGGCUUUAAUAUGCUCUUUUAUAUUAUUUUUGGGACUAACCUAUUAACCGGAGGCCCAGUGCCAGUUUCUGUUUUUUUUGCCUAUUUUAGUGUUUUACAGAAAAGGAAUACCAAACGGAAUGAAACCGUCGCGAGAAUCUUUCUUGGACCGAAAGCUAUCCAGAAGACAUGGAGUUGAAGUCUAGGACUCUACGAGAAGGCCACGAGGCAGGAGGGCACGUCCGAGGGGGGAGGCGCGCCCCCACCCUCGUGGGCCCCUCGUAGCUCCACCGACGUACUUCUUUCGCAUAUAUGUACUCUUAUACCAUAGAAACAUCGGGGGGAGCCACGAAACCACUUUUCCACUACCGCAACCUUCUGUACCUGUGAGAUCCCAUCUUGGGGCCUUUUCCGGUGUCCUGCCGGAGGGGGAAUCGAUCACGGAGGGCUUCUACAUAAACACCAUUACCUCUCCCAUGAAGCAUGAGUAGUUUACCACAGACCUUCGGGUCCAUAGUUAUUAGCUAGAUGGCUUUUUCUCUCUCUUCGAUUCUCAAUACAAAUUUCUCCUCGAUGUUCUUGGAGAUCUAUUCGAUGUAAUAUUCUUUUGCGGUGUGUUUGCCGAGAUCUGAUGAAUUGUGGAUUUAUGAACAAGAUUAUCUAUGAAUAUAAUUUGGUUCUUCUCUGAAUUCUUAUAUGCAUGAUUUGAUAUCUUUGCAAGUCUAUUUGAAUUAUCGGUUUAGGUUGACCUACUAGAUUGAUCUUUCUUGCAAUAGGAGAAGUGCUUAACUUUCUGUUCAAUCUUGCGGUGUCCUUUCCCAGUGACAGUAGGGGCAGCAAGGCACGUAUUGUAUUGUUGCCAUCGAGGAUAAAAAGAUGGGGUUUAUAUCAUAUUGCUUGAGUUUAUCCCUCUACAUCAUGUCAUCUUGCUUAAUGCGCGUUACUCCUUUCUUAUGAACUUAGUACUCUAGAUGCAUGCUGGAUAGCGGUCGAUGUGUGGAGUAAUAAUAGUAGAUGCAGAAUCGUUUCGCUCUACUUGACACAGACGUGAGGCCUAUGUUCAUGAUCAUUGCCUUAGAUGUCUUGAUAAUUAUGCGCUAUUCUAUCAAUUGCUCGACAGUAAUAUGUUCACCCACUGUAAUAUAUGCUAUCUUGAGAGAAGCCACUAGUGAAACCUAUGGCCCCUGGGCCUCUUUUCUAUUAUAUUACAUCUCUUUUUUUACAUCGCAUCUCGUUUACUAUUUUGCAAUCUUUACUUUCCAAUAUAUACAAUAAAAAUACCAAAAAUAUUUACUUUAUUAUCUCUAUUAGAUCUCACUUUUGCGAGUGACCGUGAAGGGAUUGACAUCCCCUUUAUCAUGUUGGUUGCAAGGUUCUUGAUUGUUUGUGUACGUACUAGGUGACUUGUGUGUUGUCUCCUACUGGAUUGAUACCUUGGUUCUCAAACCUGAGGGAAAUGCUUAUGCUACUUUGCUGCAUCACCCUUUCCUCUUCAAGGGAAAACCAACGCAUGCUCAAGAGGUAGCAAGAAGGUUUUCUGGCGCCGUUGCUGGGGAGAUCUACGCCAAGUCAAGACAUACCAAGUACCCAUCAUAAACUCUUCUCCCUCACAGUACAUUAUUUGCCAUUCGCCUCUCAUUUUCCUCUCCCCCACUUCUAAAACUAUUUUCGAAAACCUUUGCCCUUCUUUCGUUCGAUCUUAUGAUUGCUUGUGCCUCCAUGUGCCUUCUAUGUGCGUUCAUGUUUGCUUGCUAAACAUAUAUUGAUAUGAAUCCACUUAAAGUGUUCUACUUGUAUCAUCUUUGAUCUAUAUGUGCUCGUGCUGAAACCCCAACUAGUUUAGUUGAGGGAAAAUCUUUAAAUGAGCAUGCGCAUUUUGUGCAUCACCGUUUGUUUGUAAAAGGGAGACCCUUAUGGGAUCAAAUAAACAGGUUGUUAUGCUAUGCUUGGAAUCUUUGAGAAAUUUAUGAUUUUACUUGUUGCUCUAAGAACCCUAAAAGACACCUUCCCUUUCUAUGUGAGUUUAAUGAUAAUGAAAUCCUAUCUUCUUAUGCCAAAGGUGUUUAUAGUUACUAUGAUAUCAACCAAAUUGAAGAAUUUGUCGCUCUUAAGGGUGCUUAUGAAGUUGCUUCUUUGAUUGAAAAGUAUGAUGUUUCUCUCCACGAAUCUAAAAAAUUUGACAUACUUAAAUAUUUCUAUGAAAACUAUGCUCAUAAUGUCUAUGUCAAAGAAUUUAUUGAAAGAAUGACCGUUGCUUUGGAAGAAAAUAAUGAUAUGCAUGAGUCUAUAGAUAAUUAUGAUUCUGAUGAUUUGAUUGAAAUAUCCCUUGAUGAACAUGAUGCUUGCUAUUCUUGUGGCCAUGAUGCCAAUAUUUAUGAAGACGAAUUUGCUAUGGUUCCUAUGUUAAACAUGAGAUUGUUGCUAUUGCACCCAUACUUGAUAGUUCCUUGGAUGAAAAGCAUGAUUGCAAUGACGUUACUAUAAAUUCUAUUAAUGUCAAUUGUGCUAGUAAUAUGAAAAACCCUAAGCUUGGGGAUGCUUGUUUUGCUAUGUCUACUAUUUGUUGCAAUGAUCAUGAUUGGGGUGAUUCACUAGUAGAAAAAGGGUCAUUCGACCCGGUUCGUGAGGGCCAUUUGAGCGGGAACCGGGACAGAUGGGGCUCCAUGUGGCCGGAGCGGCUUGCCCAGGCAGGGAGACCUUUUGUCCUGGUUGGUGCCACCAACUAGGACUAAAAGGAUUCCACACGUCAGCAGUUCAGGCGCUGGGUAUUUUUUUUGAAAGGGGGGGUCGGGUUUUUUGGGAGUUUUGUAGGGUUAAUUUAGGGGUUUCAUAUAUUGUGUUAGCUAGCUAAUAGAGAGGAGUGUCCUCUCUUAUCUCCGUGCUUGGUCGACGCUACAUAUAGAGAGGACUCGACACGCUAGCUAGCUACUAAGCAAAUGAAGGAAACCAUUAAGUACAUAAGAUCGUCAUGAACAUGUACACAGAGAGAAGUGAUCGACCUCUCCUUAUCCAAUAGAUUGGUCGAACAACAAGUUUUUGUAUAUCUAUCCGACGCUACUGGCUACAUAUAUAUAUAUACAAUAUAAGAUCUCUUACGUCCCUUAACAUCUGAACUCAACUUCCACAUGGUAUUCUCCGUGUUUGUCGAUGAUGUGGUCAAGAAAGAAUCCCGCCAAUUCCUCUUGAAUUGCUCGUAUGCAAUCUUGUGGUAGGAGUUCAUCCCGCAUCUGCCACAUCUAAUUUAAGAAAGGGGUCAAUACAUAUAUAUGAAUGAAUCUCAACACAAAUGAUGGUAACAAAAUAAAAUUGUGAAUAUUAUUGCUUACACACUUCAUAUUGUUGUUUAGAGUAGCCCCGCUCACAGGUCGUGUGGCGGAUGAACUCGUAAAUGUAGUAUCCACAGUAAUCAUUCCCGGGUUCCUGCUACAACCACUUUACAAGAAAUAGAGGUCAAUCAAACUGAUAAGAAAACAUGCUAAAUGGUAUUGAUGAAACUAUCUAGAAUCAAUGGGAGAUGCGCGAAACUAGCUAGUAGCUAGUACUUACUUUCGGGUGGUUAAAUCGCAGUUGCGCCAGCAGUCCCCGAGCUUGUGUGGUGAACUUUUUCCAAACCUUGCCAGACAAAGAAAACAAUUACUUGAUAUCAGGAAAUGAACAAAGUUGCCGAUAUGGUUUGAUAAUGAUCGAUUUAACUUACUUCUCGAGCAUUUUGGUCAUGGUCGCAUACUCCUACGGAUUUUUUUCGUUUGUAGUCUAUGACGGUUACUAGUCCCUGCUCAAGCUUAAUCUCUAGCAGAAUAAAGUGGAAGCUGCGCAUGCACGCAUAACUCAUCAAUUACAUUACUAUAACCUCGAGUAAUAAGGGAAACCAAAUAUUCACAAGACAGUAACACUCACUUGUAUUUGUAAGGAAAGAGUAUUGUAGCUUUGUUUUGAUUUCAAUGUAACGAUGCGAGAAACUUGGCCUCGGUUUGUCUGGCAUUAUGUUUAACACUCCAUUCAUCCAUGAGAUUUAUGUUAAUGAACCCAAUAUCACAUACUUGUCUUUUCUUCAAUUCAGCAAUCUUCAAUCUGCAUAAUAUAGUGAGGAUAAUUAUAUAUACAUGCAAUGAAAGAGCUGAGCUAUAUAUAGAGACUUAACUAAUACAGAGAAGUAGUACUUACAGACAGUAGCAAGUGAUGAUUGUUUUAUCGAGGGACUUUUGAUUGAAAAAAUGGAAGAACUCCUCAUAUGGAACUAACGACAGAUCAACUCCAUCGAGGUCGUGCUCCAAUUUAACCGAUAGCAACAAAGUAUUUUUCCCAGACUUCCUGCAGAUGUCCAUGUACCAAUCAUGGAAUCUUCGCAUCAUCGUUGUUAGGGAAGUACCAGGUCUGACGAGAGGCUUCCCGUGCUUGAAUCUUAAUGUGUACACCUCCUUUGUUCCAAAUAUUAUUGCAUCAUCGUCGGUCAUGUAAUCUCCAGGAUUGGUACCGAGCAGCAUCCCCGGAAGAUUAGCGAUGAUAUCGCUAGACACAUUGAGCGGGGGGCACGAUUUCUUUGCUUGUUCACCAAGCAGGGGAAUUUGUUUCCCUUUUCUUUGUUCUGCUAGCCUUUGAUCUAUGCAAGUACUUCCCGACUGCUCCGCUUCCUUAUAUAUCCUUUCAAUGAUGCGGUCAUAGUUGGAUUGCGGCAGAGGCGGUGAUGGUCGCUGCAGGGCAUCCAAAGUGUGCUUUGCUUUCACCGGAUCUAUCUUCUUGGCCGGAGGUGGAUGUUUCUUAGCUUUUACCAAUUCAAAGAAGUCAUUCACUUGGCCUUCACAGAUCUUUUGGUUUCCUCGCUCCUCUCAUACGGUAACUUCUAUAGAGGCUUGAGAGAUGAUGGACCGUAUCUGUAUUGCCUCCCGCCUCUAGCAGUACUGCUAGACGCCGGAGCAGCCAGAGCGGCUGGGGCUGUCUUCUUUGGUUGCUUAAGAGGCGGAGCAGCCAGAGGCGGACUGCUACGACGCGCCGGAGCAUCCAGAGCGGCGUCUGUGUUCCGCCGUUGCUUACGAGGCGGCGAAGGAGGAGGAGGCUGCUCGGACGCGCCGGGGCAGGUGGAGAAGGAGGCAGAGUACUCCCGCCCUCACGCGCCGGAGCAGGAGGUGGAGUGCCCUGAUCACUCGCCGGAGGAGGAGGAGGAGGCGGAGUGCCCAACUGACUAGUAGGAUUCGUGAAGUUCAGAAGCUUGAUGUGCUCGACACGGAGUAUGCAUAGCAAAACCCAGCUGCGGUCAAGCUGGAGCUCCACAAAUCCCUCCGUUAUUUCGUCCACCAUCACAAUAGCAUAGCCUCGUGGAAUCGGACGGCAGUGAAAAGUUGAUCCGGGUGAAGGAAGGAACACAGAGCCGACAACCACCUUGACUUUGAGCUGAUCCCAUUGCGUCAUAAGGUGGCACUGGUGUGAGUCCGUGAUAAAAUCCACGGGGUAGCUAGGAGCCAUCAAGUCAGGCUGCUGAACGAGCUCGGUGGAAGCCAUGUUGCUUCUCCGCUGAGAUGGCAGGGUAGCUUCUGGGGUAGCAUCUUGGGCAGGAUCUCGCAGCUACUAGUUCUCAACAUCUCGUUCCUCAAGCUUUCUUACCCUUGCCUUAAGCUCCUGCAGUUCGCUUUGCUCCACUUUCCUCCUCCUCCCUUGGGUCCUGUUACCGCUUGCGUCGGGAAACCAAAACUUCCACGCAACAGAGCCUAGCGUGCCUCGUGUUCGUCCAGGGUGCUCAGGAUUCCUAAGGGCUCUUGUGAGCUUGUCAUUCUCUCUGUCGGGAACGAACUCCCUUCCCGCAGUUAGUUGAUUGCUUUCCGAAGCUUCGUGACGGGUGUUGCACGUUGCUCGUCCGUACAGCAGCACUUCCCUAUUUCAGGGUCCAAUGUUCCACCAGCCCUGAAGAACCAAGUCCUACCACGGUCUGGCCAGUGCAAUGUCUCUGGUUCGACCCCUUUAGCAAUCAGGUCCUGCUCAGCCUUGUCCCACAACGGCCGGGCUUUGAGGUAGCCACCUGACCCCAUGCGAUGGUAAUGUUCCUUCUUUGCAACAUUUAUCUUGUUAGUCAUUGACAUCUUCUUACUCCUCUCUGAUGUCUUGUUGGCCACAAAUGCGGGCCAGUGGUCUCUUAUCUUCUCAAAUCAUCUGGUGAAUUCUGGAGUCUUGUCUUGGUCGACAUAUGUUGUUUUCAACUCAUUCUUCCACCUCCUUAAUAGAUCUGCCAUCUUCUUGAGAGCAUAGGACUUGAUCAAUGGCUCUAUAACUAGAUUCUCCGGAUCCUCCUCUUCCGGUAGGGUGAAAUUUACCUUCAGUGCUUUCCAAAGAUCUUCUUUCUGUCUAUCUUCGACAAAAGAAACUUGACGAAGAUCUUCCUUCUUAGCCUCAUUCCAUAGCUCGACGCUGAUUGGGAUCAUGUCCCUAACAAGAACCCCGCACUAAGCAGAAAAUGCUUCCUUGGUCCGGAGGGGUUUAAUCGGUUAGCCAUCGCGCGCGAUUUCUGUGCUCGUGAACCUUUCAUCCGGGCGCAACGUUUUCUUCAGGCCUCGUUUCUUUACUAAAGUAUUGCUUGAUCCGAAGGGCUAUAUAAAAGAAGAAAAAAGAGUUAAUAUAUGUACAUAGCAAAACAAUUAAUGCAUAAAUUAGCUAGUCAGCACAUGCUUAAUUAAUAUAUAUGUACCUCGCCGGACUUUGCAACAGCUGAUCCCGACUCCGUUUGGUCACCGGAGCUGUCAUCACGGUAGCCAGAGCCACCAUCACGAUCAUGACCCUCCUCCAUUGUUUGAUCACCGCAGCCUGCUUCCUAUCAUGCAGACCUUCUUCAUGUCGUUGAGAAACGACAAGACUACAUCACCUCCGUCGCGGAUUAUGUCCCCCAAUAUCUCUUCUUGAUUGAAGUCUCUUUGAUGAUCCAUAGUUUAUGCAAAUAUUACAACAUGGCAAUUAAUAUACAAACAUGAGUGAUGGAUAUAUCGAAGUUAUCGGGUAGGGGGUACAUCGACAACAACGACAUAUACAUAGAAAAACAUGUUAUCAUGGAGGGGGUAUAUAUAUCGACCCCCCCUCAUGUCGAAGUUAUCAGAGAGGGGGUAUAUAUAUCGGCCCCCCUCAUGUCGAAGUUAUCGAAGAGGGGGUAUAUCGACAACGAUGACAUAUACAUAGAAAAAAAUGUUAUCGGGGAGGGGGUAUAUCCCCCCCCCUCAUGUUGAAGUUAUCGGAGAGGGGGUAUAUCGAUAGCCUCUCUCAUGAUUGUCCGACGUUUGUCUAGUGUGAAAGGAUUCAACAAAACCAUGUCUUCAUCAUUAGGCGAAAGUAACAGGCGCAUGAUACUACGAAGCUCUCCAAAGUUGUUUUAGAACGGAGUCCCAAAUAGGAUAAUUCGCUUUUUGGUACAAAGUUCAGCAAGAGCCUUAAUAAUAUCGCUAUUUGGAAGGCCUUUGCUAAAAUUCAUAGCAAAAGGCGGAUUAUCCUAUCCGGGACUUCGUUCCAGAACAACUUUGGAGAACUUUGUACCAUCAUGCCCCGGUUACUUCUGGCUAAUGAUGGAGCCAUGGAUUUCUUAAAUACUUUGACACUAGGCAACCUCUCGACCCCACUAGUAGAAAAACGACUUUUAGUACCGGUUUGUAAGGACCUUUAGUACCAGUUCUGGAACCGGUACUAAAGAGUGGGGACUAAAGGACCCCCCUUUAGUCCCGGUUCAACGCGAACUGGGACCAAAGGCCCACCACGUGGCACGAGGCGCACCGUGGUUUGGGGAACCUUUAGUCCCGGUUGGUAACAAUUUUUUUAUUUUUAUUUUUGAAAUAAAGCAAAAACAGCCCGCCUACUGGGUCGGCACAGCCUGCAUACGACUAGAAACCCAAUCUCUAGUAGGGCCAGGAUGCAGGCCCAUAUGGCCCGGUAGGCCCCACAGGGCAGAAGACUUGCAAUAGGCCCACAAAGGCCUGUUUAGAGAGGAGCUCGACAUGGUAGCCGCGGCGGGGCUUAUAAACCGGUGCGAGCUCCUCUCAACUAGAGAGGUGGAACUAAACAUUGUGGACUGCGGGUGGCAGCGCACCACCUUUAGUACGGGUUGGUGGCUGCAACGGUACUAAAGGGGGGGGGGUCUUUAGUACCGGUUGUAGCCACCAACCCGUACUAAAGGCCACCACCUUUAGUACCGGUUGGUGGCUCCAACCGGUACUAAAGACCCCCCCCCUUUAGUACUGGUUGGAGCCACCAACCCAUACUAAAGGCCACCACCUCUUUAGUACCGGUUCGUGGCAUGAACCGGUAUUAAAGGUUCGCCAUGAACCGGUACUAAUGAGCGCCGCCCGUCUGCCAUUGGAACCGGCACUAAUGGUCACAUUAGUGCCGGUUCAAUUGCAAACCGGGACUAAUGAGUUUCACAUUAGACCCUUUUUCUACUAGUGCCCCUGGGCGAUCCUCGACCCUCGACCGUAGCUAGUUCACGACCCUCGACCGCUCGGCGAUCCACAACCCUCUACCCUAGUUCCUGACCCUCGACCCCCUCAUGUCACGUCUGUAUAGUGUCAAAGGAUUCAACAAAACCAUGUCUUCAUCAUUAGGCGAAAGUAACAGACGCAUGAUGCUACGAAGCUCUCCAAAGUUGUUUUGGAACGGAAUCCCAGAUAGGAUAAUUCGCUUUUUGGUACAAUGUACAACAAGAGCCUACCGAAUAUCGCUAUUUGGAAGGCCUUUGCUGAAAUUCGUACCAAAAGGGCCGAUUAUCCUAUCCGGGACUCCGUUCUUAAAACAACUUUGGAGAACUUCGUACCAUCAUGCCCCGGUUACUUCCGGCUAAUGAUGAAGUGCUACCUCUUGAGCACUGCGUUGGAUUUCCCCGAAGAGGAGAGGAUGAUGCAGCAAAGUAGCGUAAGUAUUUUCCUCAUCUUUUGAGAACCAAGGUAUCAAUCCAGUACGAGGCCACACACAAGUCCCUCGUACCUGCACAAAAUGAUAGCUAUUCGCAACCAACGCGAUUAGGGAUUGUCAAUCCCUUCACAGUCACUUACGAGAGUGAGAUCUGAUAGAGAUGAUAAAUAAUAUUUUCGAUAUUUUUGAUGCAAAGUGAAAAGUAAAAGGCAAAGUAAAAACAAAGCAAGUAUUAAAGUAAUGGAGAUUGAUAUGAUGAAAAUAGACCCGGGGGCCAUAGGUUUCACUAGUGGCUUCUCUCAAGAGCAUAAGUAUUCUACGAUGGGUGAACAAAUUGCUGUUGAGCAAUUGACAGAAUUGAGCAUAGUUAUGAGUAUAUCUAGGUAUGCUCAUGUAUAUAGGCAUCACGUCCAACACAAGUAAACCGAAACGAUUCUGCAUCUACUACUAUUACUCCACUCAUCGACCGCUAUCCAGCAUGCAUCUAGAGUAUUAAGUUAAAAACAGAGUAAUGCCUUAAGCAAGAUGACAUGAUGUAGAGGGAUAAACUCAUGCAAUAUGAUAAAAAUCCCAUCUUGUUAUCCUCGAUGGCAACAAUCCAAUACGUGCCUUGCUGCCCCUUCUAUCACUGGGAAAGGACACCGCAAGAUUGAACCCAAAGCUAAGCACCUCUCCCAUUGCAAGAACUACCAAUCUAGUUAGCCAAACAUAACGGAUAAUUUGAAGAGACUUGCAAAGAUAACUCAAUCAUACAUAAAAGAAUUCAGAGAAGAUUCAAAUAUUAUUCAUAGAUAAGCUGGAUCAUAAACCCACAAUUCGUCGGUCUCAACAAACACACCGCAAAAAGAAGAUUACAUCGAAUAGAUCUCCACAAGAGAGGGGGAGAACAUUGUAUUGAGAUCCAAAAAGAGAGAAGAAGCCAACUAGCUACUAGCUAUGGACCCGAAGGUCUGAGGUAAACUACUCACACUUCAUCAGAGGGGCUAUGGUGUUGAUGUAGAAGCCCUCCAUGGUGGAUGCCCCCUCCGGCGGAGCUCCGGAACAGGCCCCAAGAUGGGAUCUCGUGGAUACAGAAAGUUGCGGCGGUGGAAUUAGGUUUUUGGCUCCGUAUUUGAUCUGGCAGGGGUACGUAGGUAUAUAUAGGAGGAAGGAGUACGUUGGUGGAGCAACAGGGGGGCCACGAGGUUGGGGGGCACCCUCGUGACCGCCUCUUUUGUUCCUUGGAGCAGGGUCCAAGUCUCCUGGAUCACGUUCGCUGAGGAAAUCACGUUCCCGAAGGUUUCAUUCCGUUUGGACUCCGUUUGAUAUUCUGUUUCUUCGAAACACUGAAAUAGGCAAAAAAAAUAGCAAUUCUGGGCUGGGCCUCCGGUUAAUAGGUUAGUCCCAAAAAUAAUAUAAAAGUGGAAAAUAAAGCCCAAUAUAGUCCAAAACAGUAGAUAAAGUAGCAUGGAGCAAUCAUAAAUUAUAGAUACGUUGGAGACGUAUCAGGCAUCCCCAAGCUUAAUUCCUGCUCGUCCUCGAGUAGGUAAAUGAUAAAAAGAGAAUUUUUGAUGCGGAGUGAUACUUUGGCAUAGUUUCAAUGUAAAUCUUCUUAAUUGUGGCAUGAAUAUUCAGAUCUGAAAGAUUCAAGACAAAAUUUCAUAUUGACAUAAAAAUAAUAAUACUUCAAGCAUACUAAUCAAAGCAAUCAUUUCUUCUCAAAAUAACAUGGCUAAAGAGAGUUAUCCCUACAAAAUCAUAUAGUCUGGUUGUUGCUCUAUCUUCAUCACACAAAGUAUUUAAUCAUGCACAACCCCGAUGACAAGCCAAGCAAUUGUUUCAUACUUUAAUAAUCUCAAACUCUUUCAACUUUCACGCAAUACAUGAGCGUGAGCCAUAGACAUAGCACUAUAUGUGGAAUAGAAUGGUGGUUGUGGAGAAGACAAAAAAAGAGAAGAUAGUCUCACAUCAACUAGGCGUAUCAACGGGCUAUGGAGAUGCCCAUUAAUAGAUAUCAUUGUGAGUGAGUAGGGAUUGCCAUGCAACGGAUGCACUGGAGCUAUAAAUAUAUGAAAGCUCAACAAAAGAAACUAAGUGGGUGUGCAUCCAACUUGCUUGCUCAUGAAGACCUAGGGCAAUUUUGACGAAGCCCAUCAUUGGAAUAUACAAGCCAGGUUCUAUAAUGAAAAAUUCCCACUAGUAUAUGAAAGUGACAACAUAUGAGACUCUCUAUCAUGAAGAUCACGGUGCUACUUUGAAGCACACGUGUGGAAAAAGGAUAGUAGCAUUGUCCCUUCUCUCUUUUUCUCUCAUUUUUUCUUUCUUUUUCUUUUGUUUCUUUGGCCUUUUCUUUUUUUUGGCCUUUAUCUUCUUUUUUGUAAAGUCCGAAGUCUCAUCCCGACUUGUGGGGGAAUUAUAGCCUCCGUCAUCCUUUCCUCAAUGGGACAAUGCUCUAAUAAUGAUGAUCAUCACACUUUUAUUUUUCUUACAACUCAACAAUUACAACUCGAUUCUUAGAACAAACUAUGACUCUAUAUGAAUGCCUCCGGCGGUGUACCGGGAUAUGCAAUGAAUCAAGAGCGACAUGUAUGAAAAUUAUGAAGGUGGCCUUGCCACAAAUACAAUGUCAACUACAUGUUCAUGAUAAAAGCAAUAUGACAAAAGUAAUGUGUGUCAUAUGAAUGGAACGGUGGAAAGUUGCAUGGCAAUAUAUCUCGGAAUGGCUAUGGUAAUGCCAUAAUAGGUAGGUAUGGUGGCUGUUUUGAGGUAGGUAUAUGGUGGGUGUAUGGUACCGGCGAAAGUUGCGCGGCACAAGAGAGGCUAGCAAUAAUGGAAGGGUGAAAGGGUGCGUAUAAUCCAUGGACUCAACAUUAAUCAAAAGAACUCAUGCACUUGUUGCAAAAAUUUAGAAGUCAUCAAAAACCAAAGCACUACGCGCAUGCUCCUAGGGGGAUAGAUUGGUAGGGAAAUACCAUCGCUCGUCCCCGACUGCGACUCAUAAGGAAGACAAUCAAUAAAUAAAAUUGUGCUUCAACUUCAUCACAAAGCGGUUCACCAUACGUGCAUGCUACGGGAAUCACAAACUUCAACACAAGCAUUCUUUAAAUUCAUAAUCACCCAACUAGCAUCACUUUGAGAUUAUCACCUCCAUAACCCAAAACAAUUAUUGAGCAUCAAACUUUAGAAUUGAGCAUAGUUAUGAGUAUAUCUAGGAUGAUCAUGUAUAUAGGCAUCACGUCUGAGACAAGUAAACCAAAAUGAUUCUGCAUCUACUACUAUUACUCCACUCAUCGACCGUUAUCCAGCAUGCAUCUAGAGUAUUAAGUUAAAACAGAGUAACGCCUUAAGCAAGAUGACAUGAUGUACAGGGAUAAACUCAUGCAAUAUGAUAAAAAACCCAUCUUGUUAUCCUCAAUGGCAACAAUCCAAUACGUGCCUUGCUGCCCCUUCUGUCACUGGGGAAGGACACCGCAAGAUUGAACCCAAAGCUAAGCACCUCUCCCAUUGCAAGAACUACCAAUCUAGUUGGCCAAACCAAACGGAUAAUUAGAAGAGACUUGCAAAGAUAACACAAUCAUACAUAAAAGAAUUCAGAGAAGAUUCAAAUAUUAUUCAUAGAUAAGCUGGAUCAUAAACCCACAAUUCAUCGGUCUCAACAAACACACCGCAAAAAGAAGAUUACAUCGAAUAGAUCUCCACAAGAGAGGGGGAGAACAUUGUAUUGAGAUCCAAAAAGAGAGAAGAAGCCAUCUAGCUACUAGCUAUGGACCCGAAGGUCUGAGGUAAACUACUCACACUUCAUCAAAGGGGCUAUGGUGUUGAUGUAGAAGCCCUCCGUGGUGGAUGCCCCCUCUGGCGGAGCUCCCGAACAGGCCCCAAGAUGGGAUCUCGUGGAUACGGAAAGUUGCGGCGGUGGAAUUAGGUUUUUGGCUCCGUAUUUGAUCUGUCGGGGGUACGUAGGUAUAUAUACGAGGAAGGAGUACGUCGGUGGAGCAACGGGGGGCCCACGACGUAGGGUGCGCGCCCAGGGGGGCGACCCCCACCCUCGUGACCACCUCUUUUGUUCCUUGGAGCAGGGUCCAUCUCUCCUGGAUCACGUUCGGUGAGAAAAUCACGUUCCCGAAGGUUUCAUUCCGUUUGGACUCCGUUUGAUAUUCGGUUUCGUCGAAACACUGAAAUAGGCAAAAAACAGCAAUUCUAGGUUGGGCCUCCGGUUAAUAGGUUAGUCCCAAAAAUAAUAGAAAAGUGGAAAAUAAAGCCCAAUAUAGUCCAAAACGGUAGAUAAAGUAGCAUGGAGCAAUCAAAAAUUAUAGAUACGUUGGAGACAUAUCAUGAAGCCAUGGAUUUCUUCAAUACUUUGACACUAGGCAAUCUCUCGACCCCUCGGCGAUCCUCGACCCUCGAUGACCCUCGACCCUCGACCCCUCGGCAACCCUUGAACCCUCGGCCCCUCGACGACCCUUGAACCCUCGACCCUCGAACCCUAGAACCCUAGAACCCUCAAACCCUCGACCCUCAAACUCUUGACCCUCGACCGGCCUCGACGACCCUCGACCCCUCUGUGACCCUCACAACCCUCUAGCCUAGUUUCCGACCCUCGACCCCUUGGAGAUCCUUGACACCCUCGUUCCCGAUAAAAAGAAGAAGAAGAAGAAGAAGAAAAGAGGAGAAGAAGAAAAAAAUAGAAGAAGAAGAAAAAAUAGAAGAAAAAAAGAGGAUAAGAAGAAGGAAAAGAGGAGAAGAAGAAAAAAUUUCUAUUUCUUCUUCUUCUCCUCUAUUCCUUCUUCUUCUCCUUUUUUUCUUCUACCUCCUCUUUUUUUCUCCUCUUCUUCUCCUUCUUCCUUCUUCCUCUUUUAUUCCUUUUCCUUAUUUUCCUUCUUCCUCGAUGACCCUAACCCUAAAUAGUAUUACUUCCUCGACGUCCCCGGCCGCCUCUCUCAUGAACAAAAAAAAUCUGUGAAUAAAAAAACAUCAUAUUCUAUGAACAAAAAAACAUCAUAUUCCAUCCACAUCCAUGCAUACAUCAUGUAUAUGAUCAUCUAUGAACAAAAAAAAUCAUAUGAUCAUCUAUGAAAAAAACAUCAUAUAUAUAUAUAUAUAUGUAGAAAAAAACAUUACAUCAACAUAUAUGCAAAAAAACAUCAUACAUAUAUACCCAUACAUCAACAUAUAUACAUGAACAUAUAUUAAAAAAAAGCAUCACAUCCAUGAAAAAAACAUCAUAUGGCGACGGCGGCAGCAGGAGGGCAGGGCAGGGGCACGAGGGCUCACUGUGGGCGGCGUCGGCGACGGCGAGGUCGGGACCGGCCUGAGGAAGAGGCGGUGGCGCAUGGGGCAGGGGACGGCGUCGGGGCAACGCGGGGCAGCGGUGGCGUCGAGGCCGCGAGGUCAGGGCAGCGGUGGCGCGCGGCGGCGACGNNNNNNNNNNGGCGACGGCGGCGACGGGCGUGGGCGACAGUGGCGUCGGCGGCGGGAGAAUGAGGAACUGAAUGAAAUUCCUGGUUAUAUACCGGAGCUUUGGUCCCGGUUGGUGGCACCAACCGGGACCAAUGCCCCUGCUGAAAAGAGACCUUUGGUCCCGGUUGGUGGCACCAACCGGGACUAAAGGGGGGCAUUGGUCCCGGUUGGUGCCACCAACCGGUACCAAUCCCCCCUUUGGUACUGGUUGGUGCCACCAACCGGGACCAAAGGCCUCGUGCUGCCCGUGGCCAAAACUUUAAUCCCACCUCGCUAGUUGAGAGGGGCGCGCAGUGGUUUAUAAGCCCCACUGCCGCACCCCUCUAGAGCUCCUCUCGAUUAUAGGCUUACGGGCCUAAUUGUAACUCCUAUGCCUGAUGGGCCUACUGGCCUUCUGUGGCCCUGAAUCCUGGCCCAUGGUAGGGUUUAUAGUCGUAUUCAGGCCGUAGUGGCCCAGUAGGUGGCAUUUUUUUCCUAGUUUUUCUUUCUGUUUUUUGCAUUAUUUAUUUUAUUUUGUUUUUUGCUUUAUUUUUUAGUUCCUUUUCCUUUUAGGUAAUAAAACAAUAUAAACUUUCUGUUAGUGCCAUUUGUUUUCCAAUUUGAAUAGUUUAGAUUUGAAUUUUAUGAAAUUUGUGUGAGUCACUAGUUUUUGAAUAACUUUACUAUAAACAUAGAUUUUUGAGUGAUUCUUUUUCCUGCUAUUUAAUAUUACAGUGUUUUAUCAUUAUAUUCAAAAACAGAUUUUGUUAUUUUAGUUUCUAAGACAAAAAUUCUUUAUGAUAAUUCUUUUUACUAUUAAAGUUUCUAACAAAAAAAUCUUUAUGAAAAUUCUUUUUGCUUUUAAUGUUUUGAACAGAAAAUACUUUGAUAAUUUUGGUUGCAUAAAUUUUAUAUAAUUUUAGUUUCAAUAAUACUAGAGGUUUAUAAAAGUUUUUUGAGUUGAUUCCUUUUGCUAUAUGAGUUUUAUAAAAGUUUUUUAGUUGAUUAUUUUUGCUAUUGAAGGAUAUUUUUUGUUUUAGUUGAUCAUAACAGAAUAUUUUAAUUGAUUAUUUUUAGUUCAUUCUUUUUGCUAUUAGUUCAUUCUUUUUGCUAUUAGUUCAUUAUUUGAGAUAAAUGAACCUUCAAUUGAAAAGCACUACAAAUGAACUCUGAAAAGGUUGAAAGUUGGCGUGGUAUCAUCAUUUCACCCACAUAGCAUGUGCUAAAAAGUUGAGAGGGUUACGACAAAAACUGGAUGCACUUCAUGUGCAAAAUGGACAAUCUCUUUCGAAGUAUCAGGGUUUCGGACGGAAACUCAUCUGUUACAAAGGGAUUCCAUUAUUUUGAACUUAUUUGAACUCCAGACAUUUUGUGUGUUCAAAAUGCACCAUUCAAAGCCACAUCAUCAAUUUUCAACUAUCUCUGACUUCAUUUGGUAUCUUUCAUGCUUGUACUGGUUUUUUUAGCUAAGUGACCCUUAAAUUGAAAAGCACUACAAAUGAACUCCGAAAAGGUUGAAAGUUGGCAUGGUUUCAUCACUUCACCCACAUAGCAUGUGCUAAAAAUUAGAGAGGGUUACGACAAAAACUGGAUGCACUUCGUGUACAAAACAGACAAUCUCUUUGGAAGUAUCAUGUUUUCGGACGAAAACACAUCUGUUACAAAGGAAUUUCAUUUGUUCAAAUGUAACUGCAAUGAUAUUCUACAUCAAAGGCAUCACCAUAAUAGUUGUUGAUAGAAAGUCUUCACUUUUUCUUCGCUUGUGUCCUUUGCUUAUUGCGCCGUAACCAUGGAUAAUCUUCAUCGUUUAACAGGAUGCUUGGGUCAGCCUUGACUUUGAAGGGAGGAAUUUCAUGAAACUUUUCAUAAUCUUCACUUUUCAAAGGGAUUUCAUUUGUUCACAUGUAAGUGAAGUGAUAUUCUAGAUCAAAGGCAUCAUCAUAAUAGUUGUGGAUAGAAAGUCUUCACUUUUUCUUCGCUUGUGUGAUUUGCAUAUUGCGCUGUAACCAUGGAUAAUUUUCAUUGUUUAACAGGGUGCUUGGGUCAGCCUUGACUUUGAAGGGAGGAAUUUCAUGAAACUUUUCAUUAUCUUCAGACAUGUCUGUCUUGCCCUCCAAUCCCAUGAUGUCUCUUUUUCAGAAAGAACUAUGUGGCGCUUUGGCUCAUCGUAUGAUGUAUCCGCUUCCUUAUCUUUUCUUUUUCUUGAUUUGGUAGAUAUGUCCUUCACAUAGAAAACCCGCGCCACAUCAUUGGCUAGGACGAAUGAUUCGUCUGUAUACCCCCAGAUUGUUCAGAUCCACUAUUGUCAUUUCGUACUGUGGGUCUACCUGUACCCCGCCUCCUGACAGAUUGACCCAUUUGCACUUAAACAAAGGGACCUUAAAAUCAUGUCCAUAGUCAAGUUCCCAUAUGUCCACUAGGUAAGCAUAAUAUGUGUCCUUUCCCCUCUUGGUUGCUGCAUCAAAGCGGACACCACUAUUUUGGUUAGUGCUCUUUUGAUCUUGAGCGAUCGUGUAAAAUGUAUUCCCAUUUAUCUCGUACCCUUUGUAGGUCAUUACAGUCGAAGAUGGUUCGCUCGCCAACGAGUACAGGUCAUCAGAAACAGUGUUGUCACACCUGAGACGUGUUUGGAACCAACUCCCAAAACUCCUGAUGUGUUCACAUGUAGUCCAGUCCUCACACUGGUUCGGGUGUUUGGAGCGCAGAAUGUUCUUAUGUUCAUCGACAUACGGGGUCAUGGAGUCAAAACAAAACCCAAUGACAUCCUAUAUUUGAUGGCCCAUGGAGAUGCUUCCUUCUGGCCUAGCGCGCGGUUACGGACAUAUUUCUUUAGGACUCCCAUGAACCUCUCAAAGGGGAACAUAUUGUGUAGAAAUACAAGGCCCAGAAUGACAAUCUCGUCGACUAGAUGAACUAGGACGUGCGCCAUGAUAUUCAAGAAGGAUGGUGGGAACACCAGCUCGAAACUGACAAGACAUUGCGCCACAUCACUCCUUAACCUUGUUAGCAUUUCUGGAUCGAUAACCUUAUGAGAGAUUACAUUGAGGAAUUAACAUAGCUUCACAAUGGCUAAUCGAACAUUUUCCGGUAGAAGUCCCAUCAAUGCAACCAGAAGCAGUUGCAUCAUAAUCACGUGGCAGUCAUGAGACUUUAGGUUCUGAAACUUUUUCUCUGGCAUAUUUAUUAUUCCCUUUAUAUUCAACAAGUAGCCAGACGGGACCUUCAUACUGAGCAGGCAUUCAAAGAAGAUUUCCUUCUCUUAUUUGGUAAGGGCGUAGCUGGCCGGACCUUCAUACUGCUUUGGAGGCAUGCCGUAUUUUUCGUGCAAACAUUGCAGGUCCUCCCGUGCCUCCGCUGUAUCUUUUGUCUUCCCAUACAUGCCCAAGAAGCCUAGAAGGUUCACGCAAAGGUUCUUCAUCACGUGCAUCACGUCAAUUGAAGAGCAGACCUCUAGGUCUUUCCAGUAGGGUAGGUCCCAAAAUAUAGAUUUCUUCUUGCACAUCAAUGUCGUUGUCGGGUUGCUUAGGGCCUUGGAUGAGAACUGGCAUCAUAAUGAACUUCCGCUUCAUGCACAGCCAAGGAGGAAGGUUAUAAAUACAUAGAGUCACGGGCCAGGUGCUCUGAUUGCUACUCUGCUCCUCGAAAAGAUUAAUGCCAUCUGCACUUAAACCAAACCAUAUGUUCCUUGCGUCACCUGCAAACUCCUCCCAGUACUUUCUCUCAAUUUUCUCCACUAUGACCCAUCAGCGGGUGCUCUCAACUUCCGGUCUUUCUUAUGGUCAUCACUGUGCCAUCGCAUCAACUUGGCAUGCUCUUUCUUUCUGAACAGGCGUUUCAACUGUGGUAUUAUAGGAGCAUACCACAUCACCUUGGCAGGAACCCUCUUCCGGGGGCGCUCGCCGUCAACAUCACCAGGGUCAUCUCGUCUGAUUUUAUACCGCAAUGCACCGCAUACUGGGCAUGUGUUCAAAUCCUCGUACGCACCAUGGUACAGGAUGGAGUCAUUAGGGCAUGCAUGUAUCUUCUGCACCACCAAUCCUAGAGGGCAAACAACCUUCUUUGCUGCAUACGUACUGUCGGGCAAUUCGUUACCCUUUAGAAGCUUCUUCUUCAAUAUUUUAGUAGCUUCACAAAUCCUUUGUCAGGCACAACAUUCUCUACCUUCCACUGCACCAAUUCCAGUAUGGUACCAAGCUUUGUGUUGCCAUCUUCGCAAUUGGGGUACAAACCAUUUUUGUGAUCCUCUAGCAUGCGAUCGAACUUCACCUUCUCCUUUUGACUUUCGCACUGACUCCUUGCAUCAAAAAUGACCCGGCGGAGAUCAUGAUCGGGCACAUCGUCUGGUUCCUCUUGAUCUUCAACAGCUUCCCCUGUUGCACCAUCACCAUAUUCGGGGGGCACAUAGUUCUCAUUGUCCUCUUCUUCUUUGGUGUCUUCCAUCAUAACCCCUAUUUCUCCGUGCUUGGUCUAAACAUUAUAGUGUGGCAUGAAACCCUUAUAAAGCAGGUGGGUGUGAAUGAUUUUUGAGUCAGAGUAAGACUUCGUAUUCCCACAUAUAGGGCAUGGACAACACAUAAAACUAUUCUGCUUGUUUGCCUCAGCCACUUCGAGAAAAUUAUGCACGCCCUUAAUGUACUCGGAGGUGUGUUUGUCACCAUACAUCCAUUGCCGGUUCAUCUGCAUGCAUUAUAUAUAAUUAAGUGUGUCAAAAACCAUUACAGAACAUCAUGAGUAGAUAAUUAAGUGAACAAAUUAGUAGAAGUUCAUCAUCACAUUAAAACCAAAGUACAUAGAUAGUUGUCAUCUAACAACAUAUAGCUCUCCAGAGCAUCAAAUUAAUUAAACCAUACAUUGAAACUAUGUAAAACAUUUCAAUCCGAAAACAAAUGUGAUCAUAAUCGCAACCAAGGUAACAAUUGAUCCAACGGUAUAAUGAUACCAAGCGUCGGUAUGAAUGGCAUAUUUUCUAAUCUUUAUAAUCUUCAAGCGCAUUGCAUCCAUCUUGAUAUUUUGAUCAUCAACGACAUCCGCGACAUGCAACUCCAAUAUCAUCUUCUCCUCCUCAAUUUUUUUAUUUUUUCCUUCAAGAAAUUGUUUUCUUCUUCAACUAAAUUUAACCUCUCGACAAUAGGGUCGGUUGGAAUUUCUGAUUCACAUACCUCCUAGAUAAAUAAAAUCUAUGUCACGUUGGUCGGCAUAAUUGUCAUAAACAAUAAAUGAACCAAAUAGUUAUAAAGAUAAUAUAUACCACAUCUUAAUCAUAGACAGGACGAGGGCCGAUGGGGGCAGAUACCAAAACCAUCACACUAAAUACUAACAAGCAAUAAUAAAAGUAACAAAAUUAUACAAGUAUCUAUAUAAACAUACAAGUAAGAAUUUUUCCUUUCGGAAAGAAGAUAAGAACAAGAGGCUCACCACGGUGGUGCCGGCGACGAGAUCGGCGCGGGCGAUCGAUGGCGGUGAAGACGGGGACGGGACGGGACGGACCGCUAAACCUAGACAAAUAUUGAGGAAAAUGGAGCUUGGUGGUCGAGCUUCGAGAGGAGAAAGCUUAAGUAGUGUGGCUUGGGCAUUCCAUCGAACACCUCAUGUGCAUAGGAGGUGAACUAGAGCACCACAAAGCUCUCCAACGGCCGGCCAGAAAAACAGAGCAGUGGAGUGCUCUACUCGCGGGCGAGGGGUAUAUAUAGGCAACUCAUUGGUCCCGGUUCGUGGCAUGAACCGGGACUAAAGGGCAGCCUUUGGUCCCGGUUCAAGCCACCAACCAGGACCAAUGAUGGUGGGCCAGGAGUGAGGCCCAUUGGUCCCGGUUCGUCAUACCAACCAGGACCAAAGGGGCCACACGAAUCAGGACCAAUGCCCCCACGAGGCCCGGCAGGCCCCUGGCCUCAUGAACCGGGACCAAUGGGCCCAUGGGUCCUAGUUCGUGACUGAACCGGGACUAAUGGGCUUAUCUAGCCUGAAUGUAUGCCCUGUUUUCAACUAGUGAUUCUUUUUAUGAUCUUGAAAAUUUAUUUAAGCCUGAUGAUGAAUAUGAGAUUGAUAAUAGUGUUUGCAAUAUUAUUGAAAGUGGGAAUGGAAAAGUGUCAACUUUAGAUCCCACAUAUUUGGAGAAUGUUCAAUCUUAUGAAAUUUUUGAGAAAGGUGGGUUUGGAGACGUCAUGACUUUAGUUAAUGUUAAUCCCACUAUUUUGGAAGAGUGUCAACAUUGCAUGCAUGUGGAUCGUGUUGAAAAUAUUUUAUGUGAUAGCUAUUUUGUUGAAUUUGCUCAUGAGCCCACAUGUAAUUAUUAUGAGGGAGGAAAAUAUGGUUGUAGAAAUUUUCAUGUUACUAAAUCACCUCUCAUUAUGUUGAGAUUGCUAUUGUUUCUUUCCGCUUCCUUGCAUAUGCUAGUUUUUGCUUGCUAUGAUAAUUUGUUUGCCUAUAAGAUGCCUAUGCAUAGGAAGUAUGUUAGACUUAGAUGUGUUUGUCACGUGUUCUAUUAUGCUCUCUUGAUGCUUCAGUUCUUGUCUUUCAUGUGAGCAUCAUCGAAAUCUCAAUGCCUAGCUAGGGGCGUUAAACGAUAGCGCUUGUUGGGAGGCAACCCAAUUUUAUUUUUGUUUUUUGCUUUUUACUCCUAUUUAGUAAUAAAUAAUUCAUCUAGCCUAUGGUUAGAUGUGGUAUUAUAUUUGAAUUAGCGUUUGUGCCAAGUAGAACCUUUGGGAAGACUUGGGUGAAGUCUUUGCAAUCUUGCGGUAAAAAACAGAAACUUUUGCCCUCACGAGAAUAGCUGUAAUUUUUUAAUGGAGAGUGAUUUUAGGUUGAUUAUUUUUGCAGAUAAUUAAUAUACAAAUUCCUCACGUCCACCAAUUUAUUUCAGAAUUUUUAGAGUUACAGAAGUACUCGAAAGUUACAUAUUGCUACAUACUGUUCUGUUUUUGACAUAUUCUGUUUUUCGUGUGUUGUUUGCUUAUUUUGAUGAAUCUAUGAGUAGUAUCGGGGGGUAUGAACCAUACAGAAGUUGUAAUACAGUAGGUUUAACACCAAUAUAAAUAAAUAAUAAGUUCAUUACAGUACCUUAAAGUGGUGGUUGAUUUUCUUAUACUAACGGAGCUCAUGAGAUUUUCUGUUGAGUUUUGUGCUGUGAAGUUUUCAAGUUUCUGGGUAAAGAUUUGAUGGAUUUUGGAAUAAGGAGUGCCAAGAGCCUAAGCUUGGGGAUGCCCAAGGCACCCCAUGGUAAUUCAAGGACAACCAAAAGUCUAAGCUUGGGGAUGCCCCGAAAGGCAUCCCCUCUUCCGUCGUCAUCUAUCGGUAACUUUAAUUGAGGCUAUAUUUUUAUUCACCACAUGAUAUGUGUUUUGCUUGGAGCGUAUUUUAUGAUUUGAGUCUUUGCUUUUUAGUUUACCACAAUCAUCGUUGCUGUAAACACCUCUUGGGAGAGACACGCAUGAAUCAGAAUUUAUUAGAAUACUCUAUGUGCUUCACUUAUAUCUUUUGAGCUAGACAAUAUUGCUCUAGUGCUUCACUUAUAUCUUUUUAGAGCACGGUGGUGGUUUUAUUUUAUAUAAAUUAUUGAUCUCUCAUGCUUCAAAUAUAUUAUUUUGAGUGUCUUGUAGAACAACAUGGUAAUUUGCUUUGGUUAUAAAAUUAGUCCUAAUAUGAUGGGCAUCCAAGAUGGGUAUAAUAAAAACUUUCAUAUAAAGUGCAUUGAAUACUAUGAGAAGUUUGAUUCUUUAUGAUUGUUUUGAGAUAUGAAGAUGGUGAUAUUAGAGUCAUGAUAGUUGAGUAGUUGUGAAUUUUAAGAAUACUUGUGUUAAAGUUUGUGAUUCCUGUAGCAUGCACGUAUGGUGAACCGUUAUGUGAUGAAGUUGGAGCAUGAUUUAUUUAUUGAUUGUCUUCCUUAUGAGUGGCGGUCGGGGACGAGCGAUGGUAUUUUCCUAGCAAUCUAUCCCCCUAGGAGCAUGAGCGUAGUACUUCGUUUCAAUAACUAAUAAAUUUUUGCAAUAAGUAUGUGAGUUAUUUAUGACUAAUGUUGAGUCCAUGGAUUAUACGCACUCUCACCCUUCCACCAUUGCUAGCCUCUCUAGUACCGCGCAACAUUCACCGGUACCAUGCACCCACCAUAUACCUUCCUCAAAACAGCCACCAUACCUACCUAUUAUGGCAUUUCCAUAGCCAUUCCGAGAUAUAUUGCCAUGCAACUUUCCACCGUUCCGUUUAUUAUGACACGCUCCAUCAUUAUCAUAUUGCCUAGCAUGAUCAUGUAGUUGACAUCGUAUUUGUGGCAAAGCCAUCGUUCAUAAAUUUUUUCAUACGUGUCACUCUUGAAUCAUUGCACAUCCCGGUACACCGCCGGAGGCAUUCACAUAGAGUCAUAUUUUGUUCUAAGUAUCGAGUUGUAAUUAUUGAGUUGUAAGUAAAUAAAAGUGUGAUGACCUUCAUUAUUAGAGCAUUGUCCCAGUGAGGAAAGGAUGAUGGAGACUAUGAUUCCCCCACAAGUCGGGAUGAGACUCCGGACUAAAUAAAAAAAGGCCAUAAAGAAAAGAGAAAGGCCCAAAUAAAAAAAAUGAAAGAAAAAGAGAGAAGGGACAAUGCUAAUAUCCUUUUACCACACUUGUGCUUCAAAGUAGCACCAUGAUCUUCAUGAUAGAGAGUCUCCUAUAUUGUCACUUUCAUAUACUAGUGGGAAUUUUUCAUUAUAGAACUUGGCUUGUAUAUUCCAAUGAUGGGCUUCUUCAGUGCCCUAGGUCUUCGUGAGCAAGCAAGUUGUAUGCACAUCCACUUAGUUUUCUUGUUGAGGUUUCAUAAACUUAUAGCUCUAGUGCACCCGUUGCAUGGCAAUCCCUACUCAAUCACAUUGAUAUCAAUUGAUGGACAUCUCCAUAGCCCGUUGAUACGCCUAGUUGAUGUGAGACUGUCUUCUCCUUUUGGUCUUCUCCACAACCACCAUUCUAUUCCACCUAUGGUGCUAUGUCCAUGGCUCACGCUCAUGUAUUGCGUGAAGAUUGAAAAAGUUUGAGAACAUCAAAAGUAUGAAACAAUUGCUUGGCUUGUCAUCGGGGUUGUGCAUGAUUAAAUACUUUGUGUGAUGAAGAUAGAGCAUAACCAGACUAUAUAAUUUUGUAGGGAUAGCUUUCUUUGGCCAUGUUAUUUUGAGAAGACACGAUUUCUUUGUUAGUAUGCUUGAAGUAUUAUUAUUUUUAUGCCAAUGUUAAACUUUCGUCUAGAAUCUUUCGGAUCUGAAUAUUCAUGCCACAAUAAACAAGAUUACAUUGAUAAAUAUGCUAGGUAGCAUUCCACAUCAAAAAUUCUGUUUUUAUCAUUUACCUACUCGAGGACAAGCAGGAAUUAAGCUUGGGGAUGCUUGAUAUGUCUCCAACGUAUCUAUAAUUUUUGAUUGUUCCAUGCUAUUAUAUUAUCUGUUUUGGAUGUUUAAUGGGCUUUAAUAUGCUCUUUUAUAUAUUUUUGGGACUAACCUAUUAACCGGAGGCCCAGUGCCAGUUUCUGUUUUUUGUGUGCCUAUUUUAGUGUUUUACGGAAAAUGAAUACCAAACGGAGUCCAAAACAGAAUAAAACCUUCGCGAGCAUCUUUCUUGCACCGAAAGCAAUCUAGAAGACUUGGAGUUGAAGUCUAGGAUUCUACGAGGAGGCCGCGAAGUAGGAGGGCGCAGCCAGGGGGUAGGCGUUCCCCCCACCCUCGUGGGCCCCCCGUAGCUCCACCGACAUACUUCUUUCGCCUAUAUAUACUCUUAUACCCUAGAAACGUCAGGGGGGGCCACGAAACCACUUUUCAACUGUCGUAACCUUCUGUACCCGUGAGAUCCCAUCUUGGGGCCUUUUCCGGCGUCCUGUCGGAGGGGAAUCGAUCACGGAAGGCUUCUACAUCAACACCAUAACCUCUCCGAUGAAGCGUGAGUAGUUUACCACAGACCUUCGGGUCCAUAGUUAUUAGCUAGAUGCCUUUCUCUCUUUGAUUCUCAAUACAAAGUUCUCCUCGAUGUUCUUGGAGAUCUAUUCAAUGUAAUAUUAUUUUGCGGUGUGUUUGCCAAGAUCCAAUGAAUUGUGGAUUUAUGAACAAGAUUAUCUAUGAAUAUUGUUUGGUUCUUCUCUGAAUUCUUAUAUGCAUGAUUUGAUAUCUUUGCAAGUCUCUUCGAAUUAUCGGUUUAGUUUGGCCUACUAGAUUGAUAUUUCUUGCAAUAGGAGAAGUGCUUACCUUUGGGUUCAAUCUUGCGGUGUCCUUUCCCAUCGACGGUAGGGCAGCAAGGCAUGUAUUGUAUUGUUGCCAUCGAGGAUAAAAAGAUGGGGUUUAUAUCAUAUUGCUUGAGUUUAUCCCUCUACAUCAUGUCAUCUUGCUUAAUGCGUUACUCCGUUCUUAUGAACUUAAUACUCUAUAUGCAUGCUGGAUAGCGGUUAAUGUGUGGAGUAAUAGUAGUAGAUGCAGAAUCGUUUCGCUCUACUUGACACGGACGUGAUGCCUAUGUUCAUGAUCAUUGCCUUAGAUGUCUUCAUAAUUAUGCGCUAUUCUAUCAAUCGCUCGACAGUAAUUUUUUCACCCACCGUAAUACAUGCUAUCUUGAGAGAAGCCACUAGUGAAACCUAUGGCCCGGGGGUCUCUUUUCUAUUAUAUUACAUCUCUUUUCUUUACAUCGCAUCUCGUUUACUAUUUUGCAAUCUUUACUUUCCAAUCUAUACAAUAAAAAUACCAAAAAUAUUUAGUUUAUUAUCUCUAUUAGGUCUCACUUUUGCGAGUGACCGUGAAGGGAUUGACAACCCCUUUAUCGCGUUGGUUGCAAGGUUCUUGAUUGUUUGUGCAGGUACUAGGUGACUUGUGUGUCGUCUCCUACUAGAUUGAUACCUUGGUUCUUAAAACUUAGGGAAAUACUUAUGCUACUUUGCUGCAUCACCCUUUCCUCUUCAAGGGAAAACCAACGCAUGCUCAAGAGGUAGCAGUGAGCCAUGGACAUAGCACUAUAGGUGGAACAGAAUAUGGUGGUUGUGGAGAAGACAAAAAAGGGAGAUAGUCUCACAUCAACUAGGCAUAUCACCGGGCUAUGGAGUUGCCCAUCAAUAGAUAUCAAUGUGAGUGAGUAGGGAUUGCCAUGCAAGUGAUGCACUAGAGCUAUAAGUUUAUGAAAUCUCAAAAAAAACUAAGUGGGUGUGUAUCCAACUUACUUGCUCAUGAAGACCUAGGGCAAUUUGAGGAAGCCCAUCGUUGGAAUAUAAAAGCCAAGUUCUAUAAUAAAAAAUUCCCAGUAGUAUAUGAAAGUGACAAAAUAGGGGACUUUCUAUCAUGAAUACCAUGGUGCUACUUUGAAGCACAAGUGCGGAAAAAGGAUAGUAACCCCCUUCUCUCUUUUUCUCUUAUUUUCCCCUUUUUUCUCUUUUUUCUCUUUUUUCUUUUUGUUUGGCUUCUUCACAUGGGACAAUGCUCUAAUAAUGAUGAUCAUCACACUUCUAUUUACUAACAACUCAAAAAUUACAACUAGAUACUUAGAACAAAAAUAUGACUCUAUAUGAAUGCGUCUGGCGGUGUACCGGGAUGUGCAAUGAAUCAAGAGUGACAUGUAUGAAAGAAUUAUGAAAGGUGUCUUUGCCACAAAUACGAUGUCAACUACAUGAUCAUGCAAAGCAAUAUGACAAUAAUGAAGCGUGUCAUAAUAAAUGGAACGGUGGAAAGUUGCAUGGCAAUAUAUCGGCUAUGGAAAUGCCAUAAUAGGUAGGUAUGGUGGCUAUUUUGAGGAAGGUAUAUGGUGGGUGUAUGGUACUGACGAAAGUUGCACGGCACAAGAGAGGCUAGCAAUGGUUGAAGGGUGAGAGUGCGUAUAAUCCAUGGACUCAACAUUAGUCAUAAAGAACUCACAUACUAAUUGCAAAAAUCUAUUAGUCAUUUUAAAAAAAAGUACUACGUGCAUGCUCCUAGGGGGGGUAGAUUGGUAGGAAAAGACCAUCGCUCGUCCCCGACCGCCACUCAUAAGGAAGACAAUCAAUAAAUAAAUUAUGCUCUGACUUCAUCACAAAGCGGUUCACCAUACGUGCAUGCUACGGGAAUCACAAACUUCAACACAAGUAUUCCUCAAAUUCAUAAUUAUUCCACUAGCAUGACUCUAAUAUCACCAUCCUCAUGUCUCAAAACAAUUAUCAAGCAUCAAAUUGAUCAUAGCAUCCAAUUCACUUUCUAUGAUAGUUUUUAUUAUACCCAACUUGGAUGCCCAUCAUUCUAGGACCAAUUUUAUAACCAUAGGAAAUACCAUGCUGUUCUAAAAGACUCUCAAAAUAAUAUAAGUGAAGCAUGAGAUAUCAAAACUUUCUACAAAAUAAAACCACCGCUGUGCUCUAAAAAGUAUAAGUGAAGCACUAGAGCAAAACUAUCUAGCUCAAAAGAUAUAAGUGAAGCACAUAGAGUAUUCUAAUAAAUUCCAAUUCUUGUGUGUCUCUCCCAAAAGGUGUGUACAGCAAGGAUGAUUGUGGUAAACUAAAAAUCAAAGCCUAAUAUCAUACAAGGCGCUCCAAGCAAAACACAUAUCAUGUGAUGAAUAAAAAUAUAGCUCCAAGUAAAGUUAUCAAUAAACGAAGAAGAAAGAGGGGAUGCCUUCCGGGGCAUCCCCAAGCUUAGGGCUUUGGUUGUCCUUGGAUAUCUUGGGGUGCCAUGGGCAUCCCCAAGCUUAGGAUCUUCCAACUCCUUAUUCCGUUGUCCAUCAAAUCUUUACCCAAAACUUGAAAACUUCACAACACAAAGCUUAACAAGAAAUGUCAUGAGCUCCGUUAGUGCAAGAAAGAAAAACCACCACAUAAUGUACUGUAAUGAACUCAUUAUUUAUUUAUAUUGGCGUUAAACCUACUGUAUUCCAACUUCCCUAUGGUUCAUACCCCCCGCUACUAGCCAUAGAUGCAUCAAAAUAAGCAAACAACACAUGAAAAACAGAAUCUGUCAAAAACAGAACAGUCUGUAGCAAUCUGUAACUUUCGAAUACUUCUGGAACUCCAAAAAAUCUAAAAUAAAUUGGUGGACGAUAAAUUUGUCUAUUAAUCAUCUGCAAAAAGAAUCAACUAAAAAGCACACUCCAGCAAAACAUGGCAGCUAAUCUCGUGAGUGCUAAAGUUUCUGUUUUUUACAGCAAGAUCAUAUAAACUUCACCCAAGUCUUCCCAAAGGUUCUACUUGGAACAAACACUAAUUAAAACAUAAAACCACAUCUAAAUAGAAGCCAGAUGAAUUAUUUAUUACUAAACAGAAGCAAAAAGUAAGAAACAAAAAUAAAAUCGGGUUGCCUCCCAACAAGCGCUAUCAUUUAACGCCCCUAGCUAGGCAUAAAAGCGAGAAUAGAUCUAAGUAGUGCCAUCUUUGGCAUUCAAUUCUUCAAUAGAGCACUUACAAUCCUUAGGAGUUUCUUUCUUUUUAGCAAUGAUUAAACUCCUAGGCAAGAAAUCAAGAAGUUCGUGUGUAGCAAAAGGUUCCUUAAUGAUAGCGAGAAAAUUGGGAUGAACACUUAUUGAUUUGAGAUCGACACUUUCCUUACUAGAAGGUUCACCCUUAUUUUUAGGAACAUAAAUAACCUUGGCAAUUUUUGUAGGAGGAGUUGGGGUAUUUUUCACAGAUGAAAAUCCAGACCCUAAGUUAGUGAUAAUGUCCUCCAGUUUACCAAUUCUUAUAGAAUCUAGAUCUAUUCUUUCAUUAACUAUAGUUUCUUUUUCUUCAAAAAAAUUCAAAGUAACUCCAACCCUAGAUCCAUAUUGGGUAAUUUGAUUGUGGAUCUUUUUAUCCAAAUUUUUAAUUAACUCAACAGUGGCAACUUUAUUUCAAUAAUUUCAAGCCUUUGCAUCACAUGUUCCAAAGUUAAAAUAGUUCCCUUAACCAAAAGAGGGGGUGGACCAAACAAAUCUAACAUGGCCUUAUAAGCAUCAAAAGUAUGGAUACCCAAGAAAUUCCCUCCGGUAAUGGUAUCAAGAAUAUAUCCAUUCCAAUGAGUAAUGCCUACAUAAAAAUUGCGAAGAUGAACGGAAGUAGAUUGCUUCCUAGCAGAUCUAUUUUGAGCAUUGCAAAUUCUAUGACAAGCAUCUUUUAGAUUUUCUCCCUCCCUUUGUUUAAAAUUAAGAACUUCAUGAUCGGGAGUACUAACAAUGAUAGGAGGACUAGCCAUGAGAACGAAGAUAAACUGGCACACAAGCACACAAGAGGCAAGCGAAAAAAGAGAGGUGAACGGAAAAGAGAGGGCGAAUAAAACGGCAAGGGUGAAGUGGGGGAGAGGAAAAUGAGAGGCAAAUGGCAAAUAAUGUAAUGCGAGGGAGAUGAGUUCGUGAUGGAUACUUGGUAUUUCUUGACUUGUGAGAAGACCUCCCCGGCAACGGUGCCAGAAAUCCUUCUUGCUACCUCUUGAGCAUGCGUUGGUUUUUUCUUUGAAGAGGAAAGGUUUAUGCAGCAAAGUAGCGUAAGUAUUUCCCUCAGUUUUUGAGAACCAAGGUAUCAAUCCAGUAGGAGGCUCCUCAAAAGUCCCACGCACCUACACAAACAAACAAGAACCUCGCAACCAACGCGAUAAAGGGGUUGUCAAUCCCUUCAUGGUAACUUGCAAAAGUGAGAUCUGAUAGAGAUAAUAUAAUAAGAUAAAUAUUUUUGGUAUUUUUAUGAUAUAGACUGGAAAAUAAACAUGCAAAUAAAAGUAGAUGGAAAACUUAUAUGAUAAAAGAUAGACCCGGGGGCCAUAGGUUUCACUAGUGGCUUCUCUCAAUAUAGCAUAAGUAUUACGGUGGGUGAAAAAAUUACUGACGAGCAAUUGAUAGAAAAGCGCAUAGUUAUGAGAUUAUCUAGGCAUGAUCAUGUAUAUAGGCAUCACGUACGUGACAAGUAGACCGACUCCUGCCUACAUCUACUACUAUUACUCCACACAUCGACCGACUCCUGCCUGCAUAUAGAGUAUUAAGUUCAUGAAGAACAGAGUAACUCAUUAAGAAAGAUGAAAUGAUGUAGAGGGAUAAACUCAUGCAAUAUGACAUAAACCCUAUCAUUUUAUCCUCGAUGUCAACAAUACAAUACGUGCCUUGCUGCCCCUGCUGUCACUGGGAAAGACACCGCAAGAUUGAACCCAAAGCUAAGCACUUCUCCCAUUGCAAGAAAGAUCAAUCUAGUAGGCCAAACCAAACUGAUAAUUCGAAGAGACUUGCAAAGAUAACCAAUCAUACAUAAAAGAAUACAGAAGAGAUUCAAAUAUUUCUCAUAGAUAAACUUGAUUAUAAACCCACAAUUCAUCGAAUCUCGACAAACACACUGCAAAAGGAGUUACAUCAAAUAGAUCUCCAAGAAGAUCGAGGAGAACUUUGUAUUGAGAUUCAAAUAGAGAGAAGAAGCCAUCUAGCUAAUAACUAUGGACCCGAAGGUCUAUGGUAAACUACUCACAACUCAUCGGAGAGGCCUUGGAGAUGAUGUAGUGGCCCUCCAUGGUCGAUUCCCCCUCCGGCGGAGAGCCGGCGAAGGCUUCAAGAUGUGAUCUCGCGGAUACAGAAGGUUGCGGCGGUGGAAAUAGUUUUUCAUGGUGCUCCUGGAUGUUUUUGGGGUACGUGCAUAUAUAUAGGAGGAAGAAGUAGGUCGGUUGACGCUCGAGUGGCCCACGAGGGUGGGGGCGCGCCGGGCACCCUCGUAGCCGACUCGUUUGUUGCUUGACGUCCACUCCAAGUCCCCUGAAUUGCGUUUGUUCCAAAAAUAUCGCUCCUGAAGGUUUCAUUCCGUUUGGACUCCAUUUGAUAUUCCUUUUCUUUGAAACACUGAAAUAGGCAAAAAAACAGCAAUUCGGGUCGGGCCUCCAGUUAGUAGGUUAGUACCAAAAAUGAUAUAAAAGUGUAAAGUAAAGGCCAUAAACAUCCAAAACGGGUAAUAUAAUAGCAUGGAACAAUAAAAAAAUUAUAGAUACGUUGGAGACGUAUCACCGGGCAUGUGCUUCGGUGAGUGCACCAACACGGUCGGAGGGCACCUAUACCGGUGCCCGCGUGGCGCCCAAGGCGACCCGCACAUAAGAAAUGGUUGCAUCAGAUCUUCCGUAUGUGAGCAAAAACAAAUAAAAUUAGGAAAAAACUAACGCCCACACGUGUGACAUCUUGCACAUCGCCCACACGCCUCCUUUUGCACUUAUUUUGCCACGUGUGAACAGAUGACAUCAGCAGGAAUCUUUUUGGUUUUCGGCUUAAUUUUUUUAUUUUCUUAAUUAAAAAAUCAAAUUAAAAAUCUGUUUUCACCAUUAAAUUCGUCUCGACGAGAUCUUCAAAAUUAGACAACAUGUUGAUAUGUUUCGAUGAAAUUUUUUGCCCAAAAGUUGGCAUGAUGUUUAUACUGUAGUUGCCAUAGUGCUUAAACUAAAGUUGCCAGAUGGUAAUUUCGGUUUGUAGACCAUGGCAAUUUUAGUAUUUUGAUGAUGGCAACUCCAGUACUUUGACCAUGAAAAUUAUUUUUUGUAUGAACCAUGGCAAUUUUAAAUGCAUGUAUCAUGGCAAUUUUAGUUUAUGGUUCAUGACAAGUCUAGUUUCUUAAUUCCCUGUUUUAUAAUACAUCAAAAUUUACUUUUAUAUGUAGCAGAAAAUAGCUGAAACAUAUCAUGACAACUUCAAUGUAAACACAAUGGCAAUUCAUGUGCAAUAGACAUGGCAACUUUUAACCCAAAAGAAAUUCGUCGAAAUAUAUUGAUAUGAGAUCUAUUUUCGAAGAUCUCGUCGUGAGGGAUUUAGUGGUAAAAAUGGAUCUUCAAUCGGAUUUUUCAUAUAAGAGAUAAAACGUUAUAAAAACUGAAAAUCCAAAAAAAUUCCCACAUGCAUGCAUGCGGUGACGUGGCGUAAUCUUUGUGUUAUAGGGCAUGUGGGCUGGUUUCGCCCCCACCACACAUGUGGGCGUUAAGGUUGGCCUAAAAUUAUGAGUCAGAGAUUGCAUGGGUCAUCAUGCUCUGCUUUGUAUCUAGAGAUUCUUCCUUAACAACAAAGACGCAUUAUUUGUGCUCAUUCUACAGGUUUAAGUGUCGGCAUUGGAGUUGGCAGUGGAGCAGCCCUUCUAAUCAUGGUACUUGGUGCUAUUUUGAUGACCCGAAAGAUGAAGCAAUGGAGGGGGGAAAUGCUCAAAAAGAAAUUCUUCAAGCAAAAUCAAGGGCAUCUGCUGCAACAAUUGGUGUCUCAGAAGGUGGACAUAGCCGAGAGGAUGAUCAUCCCUUGGUGGAGCUACAAAAGGCAACAAACAAUUUCGACAAAGCUCGCGAGAUCAGUGGAGGAGGGCACGACACGGUCUACAAAGGGAUCAUGUCAGACCUGCAUGUCGUGGCGAUCAAGAAGUCCAAGGUCGCGAUCCAGAGGGAGAUCGACGAGUUUAUAAAUGAGGUAGCCAUCCUCUCGCAGAUCAACCAUCGAAACAUGGUGAAGCUCUUUGGGUGUUGCCUUGAGACGGAGGUGCCUUUGCUGGUGUACGAGUUCAUCUCCAAUGGGACCCUUUACCAUCAUCUUCAUGUCCAUGAACCCACGCCAUCCCUGACAUGGGAAGAUCGGCUAAGGAUCGCAACCGAAACUGCGAGAGCUUUGGCCUACCUUCACUCGGCCGUGUCGUUCCCUGUAGUCCACAGGGAUAUCAAGUCCCAAAACAUUCUGUUAGAUGGCACUCUCAUAGCAAAGGUGUCAGGCUUUGGAGCUUCGAGGUGCGUUCCGGUCAAUCAAACAGAGACCGCAACCACUAUCCAAGGGACAUUUGGGUACCUAGACCCCUUGUACUUCUACUCAGGACAGCUCACCGAGAAGAGCGACGUUUACAGCUUCUGUGUCCUUCUCAUGGAGCUUUUGACAAGGAAUAAACCAUGCUCAUAUCAGUCAUCCGAGGAGGAAACCCUUGUCGCAUAUUUCACCACUUCGCUAGCAGCAGGCAAGCUGGUUCGCGUGCUAGAUCCUCAGGUCGUUGAAGAAGGCGGCAAGGAGGUUGAAGAGGUGGCUGUGCUGGCGGUGGCAUGCGUGAGGAUUGAAGGAGACCACCGGCCAAGCAUGAGGCAACUGGAGUUGACACUUGAGAGCCUUGGGGCCUCACAUGAUAGCUUUGUGAUGCAUGCCAUGGAUGUGCUGAAGUAUCCAGUGAUUGAGGGUACAAACAUGGAAGAAACAAGCCGGCAGUAUAGCUUGGAAGCAGAGUACUUGUUGUCAUCAAGGUACCCUCGGUAGUGAAUAAAAUUCUUGUGUGAUCAGUUUAACUUGAAAACUGAUGACUCCAUAAUGGUAUAUAAACUGUUUUACGUUUUUCAUCCUAAAAGAAACAACGAGAACUGAUAUAUAAGUCCAUACCUUGUGGUCUUGUGGAAUUGCAUAGUUUGGAACUUUGCAUGUCUGCCUUAAUCUCAUUUGUUUUCUCACUGCUCUGACAAAAAAGAGAACUUGCAUUAGUGCAACAGACAUACAAGCUCUGAAGAAUAUUGCAUUUUCAUUGAAAAUGCACUUGACAGGGGUUCAGAACAAAAGAGGUUCAGAACAAUGAAUUCUGGAGUGGUGCACGCAUAAAGAAAAAAGAGGUUCAGAACAUUUUGAUUAAAGCAUCAAAUGAAUUCUGGAGUGAUGCACGCAUAAAGAAAAAAGAGGUUCGGAACAAAAACUCCAAAAUAAAAAUAACUUGGCUUGAUAGGCAACACAACAUAAAGAAGAAAAGACCAUCUGCAUCUCCAGGAAGAAAAGAAAAAAGUAGGCUCCUUCUUGGCUAGCAGAAAGAAAAAGAGAACACGCCAACACAUAAUUAUUCAGCAAGAAGAAAAAAGGAUUUGAACCAAAUGAAGUAGGCUCUCAAGGAUACGAAUUCAUGACAAGUUUGACCGAUCUUUUGACAUGUCCUAGUGUUUAAGUCUUGAAGAUAUAGAUGAGGGCACAUUCUCACCAUGAUUAAAUGAUUUACUUCUAUUUUGUGUGCCACUGUUCUAGAUAUUCUUUGUGCCACUGUAUUUUCAGAAAUAAUACACUGAAUAUUUUCAGAAAUAAUACACUAAGAUUCAGUCCUAGAUAUAUUUUGUGUGCCAGUAACGAAUGUCCCCAGUCAAAAUUAUGAAUUUUUUAGGUUCAUUUGUAUUUCGGAUAACUCAUAACUCAAGUUAAGAUCCAAAUCAUGCCGAGAUGUUAGGAUUUAAUUUGUCAAACUGGACGGAGCAAGGGGGCUGUGAUUCAAUUUGGUUCCAAACUGAAGAGAGCAAGGGAAUUUAAUUUGGUUUCAAACUGAAAAGAGAAGAGAACGCUUAACAGCGAAGCAGCUUCAGGGUGGGUUCGUUGGACAGUCAGCAGAUGGUAGAAAAAAAGAAAGAUAUCAGGCAAAAAUCUACUCCCUUCGUUCGGAAUUACUUGUCUCGGAAAUGGAUGCAAUUUAAUACUUCCGCUUCAUAUAGAAAAGAAGCCGCGACAAGGAUUCUGAUUAGUACAUCAGAUGCACCAUUUGCUAACCAACAGUAUCUUUUUUCUGCUAGUCAAUAGCGCUUCAGGAAAACAAAUAGGGAUGUGAUUCAAAUCAUCCGACUGAUUUGUUGUCUCCCGUCCACUGCUUCGCUCAUGCGACGCGUGCCUCACGUGAGUUGGUGUCCCUCCGUGGUGCAAGGUCGGCUGCCGCGCGCCCUCGCUGCUACAAGCAGAGCAUGGCUAUUUGUAAGCCAUAGUGAUGCCCGACGACGUUCGCAACUUGGGGUCGUGGACGAGCCGCCACCGACCAUCACCGUCUGCCUCCUUGUUGCAAUUGCAACGGCGGAAUUGCAAAUGGUGAUGGUGUUGCUGCGACAUGCGUCGGGAAUGGCGGCAGCGUCGUCUUCUGAAACAUCAUCUUCAUUUCAAAAUUUGUUGCAACGUCACAUAUGUUUCAACAAUGUGAAGACUAAUUUUUUUUAUAAAAAGACUUCUAUUGUAAAAAAAAAUUCUGCAACAAGAUCUCUCUUGCAAAGAUUUCUGCAACAGCAGCUCUGUUGCACUAAGGGAGGAUGCUGCUUGGCCGCAUGAUGAAGCCAUAUCCGACAACUUGCGACUCGACCAAUCUUUUAAAAAGAUCAGUCGACCGACGCAUAGCACGCCCCUUGUUACCUCAAAUAGAUACAUGUUCUCAUCCUUGUGCAAGAUUACAAAAAUUGAGGAAACAUUGGAGUGUGAUACAGCAAAUAACACAAUCCAUGCCUCAUAUAUUAUCUAGUACACAAAUUCGAGCAAUCUGAAAAAAGUACACAUAUUCAAGUGUAUGAUGAUGUGGCACGGCCAAGAGCAUGAGUGACAAGGAUGUGCCGAAGGGGAUGAAGGAGUACCAUGUAAGAUGGCACGUAAGUCAGGCAUGACAGUCUGGUGGCUCAGGAUCCCACGCUGUUGGAUCCUACUGGCACGCCUAACCAGCUCGGUCUUUUUGGAAGACUAGCAAGAUGCCCAUGCGUUACACGGAAGUGCGUUACACGGAACAUGAAGAUGCAUUUGUAUGAGUAGUUUAUCUUGUGGGAGAAAAGGAUAAACGAGGGAAGGCCGUAUCUGCAAAUAUGGAGAGGAGUGCGGGUAAAUUGUCAUAGUUUCUUUCCUAUCCGUUAAAUAUAGAUCGGGCGGUCUAUAUUGCAGGAUGACAGACACACCAUUAUAACGAACUCUGCUUUUUAUAAUAGUAGAGAUUAGGCUAGCGCUUUCAGAAGCCUCGGGAUUUCUGUGGAUCUGGUGAAACCCAUCGGCAUGCCGCAUGCAGGAUUGCAACGUGCACAUGCACAAAGACGACAUGUUCUUGGUUAGCCUAUUAGAGGGCAUUUCGGCUGCAGUGUCCCGGCGGUGUUGACGAGUGAUCUAUGCACGACAAACAUCUACCCCAAAUCAGCAUACCUCACAUAUCUGUUCACAUGUUCAGAUCUUCGCCCGACCAAAAUGACGCACGAGACAAAAAGAGGUUGCAAGUGUCAAAACCCAAGACAGAGUGUACGUUUAGCAAAGGGGUCAGGCCGUGGUUCCACUGGUUCCAAAAAACAAGCGGUGCUCAUCAGGAAGUAAUGCCUAGCGCGUGUAGGCGACAUAUAUCCGAUGAGGCUCUGCAGGCCUGCUGGAACUCUUCUCGUACCCAUUGACAGACUCUCACACGGCGGCCAUAUUGACUCGAUCAAAAUACCGCAUCAUAAAAAAAAAAUACUUCAUCAUCUUUUGUUCCUGCAAAAAAAACAUUUUUUAAUAAAAUCUCAACAACACCGUACCCUAAUCUUCUAGCGUAAAAAAUGUUUCUGUAUUAUGGGACGGAGGGAGUAUCUAGUCUACAAUAUCCGUACCCUAUGCAUAGCAUAUGAAUAAAUUUCAUGAUUAAGUUGGAUGGAUCCGCGUGCUACAUCGGACUGCCAAGAGCUGCUGGCCAUCAGAUCAAAUCCUAGGAUGUACUGGAUCCUUCCACGUGUAAUAUAGGUACAUUUUUGGAUUUGGCACGUGCACGUGCUUCACAGGGAGUCUGUGCCGCGCAGCUACCUCGAACCACCGGCAAGAACAUCUCGACUCUUCUCUUCCCCCUUCGUCGCUAUGCAUUUCGUGAAUCCACCCCUGCAUCACUUUGCAGACUGUCGGUUCGAUCGUACAUACGCCGACAUCCUAAGAGUGUCUCCAUAUCCUGGAAACCGGUUCAUCCAUUAUAAUAACCGCCGAUAUAGCGGAUGGGGCCGAUUUCCCAUCCCGAACGGACUCUAUAAAAUCAUUCACCCAUUAAAUUUUCUUGCGGGAUCAUGCAUAGUUUGGGCCUAUUCCGCUAUAUCUAUCGGACCCCUCCAUCUUUUUACAUGGACCUGCAAAACAAAAAACGGUUGACGGGAAGAAACUUUCGGCUCCCGCCACGGUCUUCCGGCCGCCGCCCGCGAGCUGCCGACGUAGAUUGCGAAACGCCAAAACCCCCUGCAAUGACGUCCAAAUCAUCGUCGAUAACACUGGGGUAGAACGAGUGGAACGACGACGGGGAGAGACUGAGCUCGAGAAUGCCCGGGAAGUGUGCUGCCAGGCGGCACAACAUGGACGGACCGGCACACGCGCGUAGGCGGCGGCGCUCGGAGCUCUGGAUCCAGAGCUAGCGCCUGCACACGAGCCUGAACGCGUUGCGCUCCGACUCGGCCCUAGGUGAGUCAGCCACUCUGGUGCUCUCCCUCGCUGGCGAGUGAGCACACAGAUGCCGGCGCCCUCCACGACCUUGUUCUCGAACCUGAAGAACCCCACCCUGCCGCGCUCAUAUAUACGCGCAUACAUUCAUCCCUAUGAAAGCAUACAUGCACACUCUACUCCUAUGAGCAUCUCCGAGAGAUUGAGCCGGCAAAUCGUCUUUAAAUUUUACAAAGUCACCCUAGCAGCCUCGUAGUCAACGGGAACGUCCCGUUUCACUGAACGCGUGUCGCCGAAAAUCCUGAAAUAAAUCCAGGAUAAAUGCGAGCACCAGAAUUUGAACUUGAUAGGCUGGGGAUACCACUGUUCAUCUAAUCCAACCACAGAUUGGUUCAAUUAUGGAAUCUAUUCUACCGGAACACAUGUCAUAUCGUAAAAAUGUAGUAUAAAAAGACGUUUUACCGGAAGUUGUAUAUCGUUUUACAGUACGAGAUUAUAGGGGAUCUGCUAGAGGCGUUCUAAUCCAUUAGAGCAUCUCCAGCCGUUCGGCCCCCAGGGCGCCUAAAAAGAGUGGCCUGGGGGCGAACCGAUGCUAGAUUGGCCCUUGCGGGCGACCUAGCUCCCAGUCACGCCCCCAGGCGCCAUCCCCAGGACGCGGCAGUUUCGAACUUGGUCGUUUCUGCUCAUCACAAAAGAUAUUGCAAGUCCGGCGAUCAUAGGCCACCACAAUCCGGCGAUCGUAAGCCAUAGUUCGGCGAUCGGAUAAUAAAUGGUCCGACGUACAAAAAAAGAACGCCACAAGUCUGGACGCGUACAUCACUCGGCGGGGGCGGCCUCCGGCAUUGGCGUUGCUUCUGUGCUGGGCGGCGUCGGCGCGGCUUCGAUACUACUGGGCGUCGUGGAGGCAUCAUCACUCGGGCUUGGCGGCGGCGUGGGCGUGGGCGCGGGAGUUGGCGGCGCCCUCGUCGGCAGCUGGUUCAGGAUGAGGCCGCGCUCCGCCAUGUACCACGCCUUGAGCUUCUUGUCGUUGCUCUGGAGCAUGUCCGCACCGCCCAUCAGAAAAGCCAGGUUGGUGUUCCUCUUCUUCGCGGCGACGUUGCUCCGGAGCAGGUCGAGCUUAACGGCGCUGUUCUUCAUCAACGCCGACCACCGCUCCUCGGUCUUCUCUUCACGCAGGGCCGCCCGGGCCUGUGCGUCCGCGAGGCAAUUCUCGAUGGACUCCUGCACUCGCGCGGUAGCCGCGUCGGCGUGUUUCCCCUUCUUGGCCCCUUUGUUGCUGUCCGGCCGCCCUUCUGACGCGCCCGACGUCGGCGUGUCCGGCUUGUAGGUCUCCUUGUCCUUGGCGAGGGUGUGCCGGACUUCCGCCCACUUCUCGCACUUGUCGAUCCGCUUGAAGACAUGGAGGUACUUGAAUCCUUGGUCGCUGUUGUCCUGGUGAUACAUGACGAACAUGUGCACCAGCUGCGGCGAUGAACAAACAGUUGGCGGGCGCACACGGCGAAGAGAAGCGGGAGACCGGCGUGCAACAAAUGGCAUGGGAUCUUCGAGGAGGUCGCAGCUCGCCCGGAGAGCGGUGCCACCAUUCUUUCUCCUUGGACCUCAGCGGAGGCGUGGACGGCGAGCACGAGUACAGCGAGGAGGAGCCAGACGAGCAGGAGGAGGAGGACGAGGAGGAGGAGGAGGAGGAGGAACCGGUGACUGUUCCGGCAGGAGGAGCAAGAAGAAGAAGCGGGCGGCCAGGACCGGUGAGCCGCACAUCAAGUGGGCGUCCAAGGAGAAAGAAUGUCUCGCCGAAGCAUGGAAAGUCGUCUGCCUCGACCCGACAACCGGCACGAACUAGAGCAUUGAGACGUACUGGGAGCGCAUUAGGCCGAGUUCGACGAGCGCAAGGCGGGCGAGAGCGUGCGCUGGGCCGGGUGUCCAUGGGGGAAGGUGACGUUGGGGUUGAACCCACCGUGCGCGUUCCCGUCGGCGUAGCCCGACGACAGCGUGCAUCCACAUGGUUGCGGCGACGAUGAAAAGCCGGCCGGAGAGCCGACGCUUUGCUGGCUCCAGGACGCGUGCUGGGCGUGGCCGCCGGGUGGAUUCAUCAUCCCCUCACGAGACGCCUCGGCUUGAUCCGCCGCAGCCGCACGCGCCGCGCUGUCCCGGGCCUUUUUUGCGCUGGCCCUGUUCCGCCGGUCGGCGGUGACAGCCUCCCGUCGCUGAACUUCUGCCCUCCAGUCGGCGUUGGUCAGGCCCAGUGGCUUGGACGGCGGCGCCCUCGGCUUCCUCUGCUUCGGCUGGGCGACGGUGGCGGCCGCAGCUAUCGCGGCACGGGGGAUCACGUACUUCUUCAGCGGCAUGGCGGCCGGCUGGGAGGCGAGCGGGAGGGAGAUUGGCGAGAGGAAUGAAAAGAAUAAGAGGAAAGUGGGGGAGAAAAGCGGGAAGAAAUGGCGGGAAGAGGCUCUCGACUCGCCGACAGAGCGGCCCCACGCUCCUUUUCGCUUGUGCCGGCGCCCCAGGCGCCCCCCAGCGCGCCGGGUUUAGUUUGGGUUUGUCGGCACCAGUUUCGUCCUAAGCCGGCAAAAAACGGGUUACUGGGGACAAGGCCGAUUUUUGGGCGCCGACGUGGCAAAAACGUUUUGGGGAGGACCUGUUGGAGGCGCGCCUGGAGAUACUCUUAAUCCCCGCCCUUUCAGUCGCCUCUCCCUCUACAGUCCCCAGUAGCCCCUCCCCCCUCGCCACCCGGUUCUUUGAUCCGGUCAUCUCAGAUCUCGCGACAUUCCUGGCACCAUCGAGCCUCUCUCGGCGCGUGGAACACGAACCCGAUGCGCCGGGCGUCGCCCUUCCUCGCCCACUGCACCAUUCUGUGGAGGACAGAGGCGGGAUUGCUGGCAGUGGUGCAGGAGCCUUACUGGAAUUUGGGUCACGCACUGGGCACAUCGUUCAACCAUACAAUGCUGGAAAUCAGGUAACGAAGAGUGAUCCUGAUAGUAGAGCCAGUGUUUCUUGUUGAUCUGUGCCUUAUGAUCCAACCUAAACUGAAUAACACCUUGCAGUCUAAACUCCUGACCACCAGGUGUUUGUGUUUAUGUGCACAAGGAUUUCCAUUUUCUAUUUUAAUGAUCCAUACUUCCCAAUCAGGGAGAAAUUGAAUAAUGCCCGGAAAGCCUAAGUUCCGACCAAGCAUUUGUGUUUAUGUCUACAGAGCUUUCACUUUUUCUGUCCAGUCUUAUAUGCUGCUAUACAAUUGUAUAAAUCUCAUAUCGAACAAACGUAUGAUGAUAUCUAUACCGCUAUUAUAGCACACAUAUAACUUUCAAUAUCGACAAAAUCCUAGAGGCUCGUUAGGUUGUUACAAGAGACGGCGGUCGGAUGACAGUCAGCUAGUUCUACAACGGGGUCGACCCCAAAACAACACGGGAAAAGAAAACCUAUUAGAAAGUACUAGAUCCCAACUACAUUUGUACAGUCGUGGGAGUACGAGACCCACACCAACCUUGUCGCCAGCGGCUAGCCUGAGAUGAGAAGGGAGGGGCCAACAGUGGAACAGAGCAGCACGAUGUGGUUACUUCUUCUCCCUCCAGUUGCACUUGCAGCGUGAAAAUGAGAGGACGUCGCUUUCCGUGACUUGUUUCUCGAAUCUCCAGGCAGCAGAGAUAACCAGCUUGGACUUCACCUAUAUGUACAGCACAAUGACAUAGGCUUAUAACAUCGAAGCAAGAAAUGACAUGUACUCCAUUGACUACAAACAAAUGGUGGGGUACCUUUUAGUUCUCUUUCCUCGUAGGGAACCACAGCUAUCAAAAUGGGUAGCUGUGUUCACCAAAUUUGUAACACGUCUCUCCUGACCCAAAGAGUAGUUUGUGUCUCCUGCAAAGUUAACACAUAGUUAAACUGAUGCCCAGAUCACAGUCUGACAGGAGAUAAUUCUGGUUAAUACAUGGAAACAGUACCUAAGAUAGGAAUACAUCUAUUGGUCUGACAACUAGAUUGCAGGUGAUGAUGAGAUGGAAGAACUUAGUGAUGAGAAGCGGGGUAAUACCUAUUCUUACAUGACCGAUGCGGGAAAUCUUGUUCCAUUGAAAGCUCUCUUUCUUUUUCCAGCUUUCCGCCACCUCUGGAUCACAUUUUCUGAUAAUGAAAGAUUCCAGCGAAGAGGGCAGACCAGGAAACGGGAGGCGACAGGGAACUACAUCGAACUCCAGUCUCUUGAGAGAGGAAAACCGUUCAAGCCAUAACAUAAUCUCUGGCUUCAAUAUCUCUAGGGACUCGAGGUACCUAUUUUGUCUCAUCCAUUGUCGAGAUAUUGUGCCGCAGCCAACAGAGAUAAUCAAGUUUUUGGUGUUACACAAUCUACUCAGUGGCUCCAUAUGCAACAUGGAAGGGGUUUGGAUCCAGAGCGAGUAGACCUUCAAGGAGAUCUCAACCAAUGAAUGUCCAUUCAUUUCACCUGAUUGUGCUGCCACCAGAAGUUGGCGACAGUCUGUAAUUUCUAGCCAACUGAGAUAUGAAAGAGCUCCAAGCCCACCCAACGAUGACAAGAAAAUGCAGUUUGUGAUAACCAUCUCUCGCAGUGCUGUGAGACUCCGGAACACCUCUGAUGAUGGAAGAGACUUCACCCUGGAGCAGUUGCACAAACUCGGUGAGGUAAGAUUGGUCAGACCAACCAGUGAAUCCAGCAGAGGAAGUUGGAGGUCACCACACUGCACCAUAGAGAGUUCCUUAAGCGUGCAAGGGAGUAGUCCACCAUCAACCUUCUGCAUCAUUCUCAAUGAGUAACAGCACCCAAUACGAAAUUCUGUAAGAUCAUUCAUGCUCCCAAAUGAUAAAGGAGCAUGGAUUAGUUUUUUACAGUCAACAAUCUUUAGGAUCCGAAGAGUGCAGAUAUAGUGUUCGCGCAUUAGAAAGCUCUCUGCCAACGUAGUCAAAUUUGAACAAUUGCUGAUAAUGACUGAUACUAGCUUGGGUGGCAUGGCCUCAGAACCAACGUUAUCAUGGUGGGCAACAAUUCCCGGGAGGAUCUCCAAUCCAACAUUACUUAUUUCCAAUAUUUUAAAUAGCACGCUAUUUCACCGUUAUAACGCGGUUAUAGCAUAUUUGAAAGGGAGACGUUACGUUUUGGCAAAAUCGGACGCUACGGCGCUAAUCACGUAAUUAGCACGCUACACACGCUAUAAUGUUGUAACGUUGUAACGUUACAACGUGCAGACCAUGCAAAACUGAAAUAAGCACAGCCCAGCAAGCCCAGCAGGCCAAAACCAACCCACGACCACUAGCUUUCUCACUCCUUUUAUCAGAUUCUCCCACGAGACCUAACCGGCUAACCCUAGUUCUCACUUCUCAUCCCUUUCUCACUCCUUUUUAUUUGCUGGAUUUGGCCCUUAUGCAUAUAUUGCUUGCUCCUAUGAAAAAUUUAGUUGCUUAAAUACUUUAUUUCUAGAUAUAUUUGAUUUUUUUUGCAAACGCUAUUUUAAAAUAUAGCACGCUAUUAGCGCGCUAUAACUUGUGUAGCAUUUAGAGAAGGGCCUCGCUAUAUUUUGUAGCGCGUUAUUUAAAAUAUUGCUUAUUUCUAGCUGCAUCAAAGUCAGAGGUAGAAGUGGUAGUUUCCUUAAUCCCUGGCAUCCUUCCACCACUAGGGUUUUCAGAUUUUGAGGAAAGGAAUCAGCAGAUGAUUGCCCAAUCUGUUUCAAUCCAGUAAGGUUUUGCAACUCGAGAUGCUUGAGUAACUGUAGAUUUCCAAGAGACGGGAGGUACACCCAAUUUUUGCACUGUCUCAGCUCAAGUGACACCAUAUUGACCAGAGGGGGAUCAUUUAUCCAAGAUGGGAAUCGGACACCACUAUAUCCUGCAAUUUCAAGAUUUUCAAGACGAGCAUGUGCCUCAAGUUUAUCAAGAACCAGGCUGUCUUCGAUUGGAACAUCAUUAGUUUCAGACCAGUUAAGUGAAAGUGACCCAAGAUAGGAUUUCUCAUUUAGCUUGGCCUCAAUAACCUCCUCCGACGCGACGGCGCCCAGCCGCCGGCGCGCCCGCUCAUCGCCUCGCCCCGCUCCAUCCUUCCCCUACAACCUACGCAGCAGGUCCGGUAGGAUCCCUGGUUCUACCAUUCCUACUCCAUGAGCCCCUCGUAUGCCCACUGUUCUUUCAGCCUCUACUCAGACUUGUGUUGCCAAAUACUCCCUCUAACCGGAAUUACUUGUUGCAGAAAUUGAUGUAUCUAGACGUAUUUUAAGUUCUAGAUACAUCCAUCUCUAUCCAUUUGUGCGAAGAGUAAUUCGGGAUGGAGAGUGCAUCUCAUAUUUAAAGUUGAAAGGGUACUAACCACAAUACAAACUACCUAUCGUUGUUCUUUGUUUGAGAUGUUGGUUCUGUCUGAUAAUGUUGGUUCUUUGGAGCUUUUGGGACGAUUUCCACCGCUGUGAAGCUAAUGAUUACUGUUUGGGUCAUACAGAAAUUAUGAGAAUACCUGCAUCAGCUUUGCCUGAAUGAAAGCUACAAAGUUUCUUUGACUGACGAUGUUAUUACUUGCUCCGCAGGUUUCGUUUUGGUGGCUGGAGAUGGAGAAACGGGCCGCUGAUGACCAUGCUGCGAAUUUUCUGUUCACUGAUAAACAUUCUGGCAUGAAAGUUGAAGGCACACUGGGUUGCUUCCAUAAAUCAGUACUUACAAUGCGUUGUUCUCGCUUGUCAAUUGAUCUUGUUUGCAAUUCAGUGCGAGCGCAUCUGCUGGUGUGUUUGAUUACCUUCCAUGUUGUGUCAAGCAUGGAGUUUCCGAUGUUAUAUUUAUGCAUAUCUAUGCUUAUGCUGAGAUGUUAUAUUUAUUCAUAGAGAGAUAUAGAUAUCUACAUUUGAAUGUUGGGGUCGUGAAAAGCUUGCUUGGACCAUCUAAGAGUGAAAUAUAUAGCUCAGUAGGUACUAAAAAAAAUCAAUACUAGCUAGUACAUUUGGGGGGAUUUGAUGAUUUGCUCCACUUUACAUGGGGUUUGAUGAUUUGCCCUUUGAUUGUCUCAAUGACAGUGGNNNNNNNNNNNNNNNNNNNNNNNNNNNNNNNNNNNNNNNNNNNNNNNNNNNNNNNNNNNNNNNNNNNNNNNNNNNNNNNNNNNNNNNNNNNNNNNNNNNNNNNNNNNNNNNNNNNNNNNNNNNNNNNNNNNNNNNNNNNNNNNNNNNNNNNNNNNNNNNNNNNNNNNNNNNNNNNNNNNNNNNNNNNNNNNNNNNNNNNNNNNNNNNNNNNNNNNNNNNNNNNNNNNNNNNNNNNNNNAUGGAGAAGUAAAGUGGGGCAAAAGAUCCAAUUUUCGAGUACAUUUGCAAGCUUAACAGUAGAUAAAUAUCUUCAAUAGAAUGUAGCGACUCUCCUGAUAUUGCUAACAAUCUUUAAAAAAUCCAUAGUAAGGACAUGGUUUAAAUUUUAUGAAGUUUGUUCAUUUAUCACUUUUGUUUAAAUUUACCUAGUAAGGCAAUUUGUAAUUAUUAUUCCUGCGUGUGGCAAGUCCAUUCCUGAUUGGGAAAAUUACAAAUUUACUCCAUUUAGAUUAUUAUCUUUGUGGGAUUACUCCAUUUUAAUUUUGAUGUGCUAAAUUUAUAUCUUAAUUAUUUAAAUCGUCAUUUUGAAUAGUGCUAUGGUUGCACACAUUCCCUCUUCCCCGACAAAAGCCUAGUGUUUCUUUGCCUCCUGCUGGUGCCGCUACCGGUCCGUUUUGUCUCCGGCGGCCUUAGGGCCAUGGCUGCACGGUGGAUCCCGGUCCUUGCCGAUGUGAGGUUUCCGUUUUUAGAUGUUCCUUCGAGUUUUGUUAGGGUUUGUAUCCUGUUCAGAAAGACGAGACGAUGAUGACUCCCUGAAGAUGGAAUAAGAUCCCCCCCCCACCUAGCCCCCAUCCCGUUGGUGUGUCUAGCGUCGUCGGUGGGCGUGUGGUGAUGCGUCUUCGGCGAAUUUGUUCUUGAUGGAUUUUGCUCGGAUUAGCCGUAGUUCGUCUACAUUCGUGUGUUUUCAGGUUGGAUCCUUCAUAUCUAGGCUAUUCUUCAACAACGGCGGUUGUUCUUCUGAUGUGCUGGUCCUGUGAGGCCUUAGCACAACGGUUUCUCGACUGUCUACUACAACAAGUUUCGCCCGGCUCCGGCGAGGGAGGGCGAUGACGAUUGGCGCGCCUUCGACUCGUGUCAGUUCUUGUAGUCGUCGCUUGAUGGUCUACGGAUCUGACUGUAAUUUUUAUUAUUUUUGGUGUUCGUUGUACUACCAUAAGAUGAUGAACAGAUUAGAAAUUUUCACUUAAAAAGAUAUCAUGCUUUUGAAUGUUUAAUAAUAAUAUGAGUUAUGUGGGACUCAGCCCGAUCCUAAGUUAGAAUCGGAGUUCAGGUUGUAUACGUGUUCGGAUUGCUUCCUUCCUAGAAGUGUCAGAUUGAACCGUGUUCGGAUCGGUUCGUAUGGGAUAGAAUCCGACUUGAGUACAAUCACGUUACUUGCAAAGAAGUUGGUCAUGUCCUACGCAUAAAUAAUCAGCUGUAGGCUGUAGCGUCAACUAAGGAUUCAGAUAUUGAUCAAUAAACAACCCUCGAAUUCCGCUCAGCAGUUCAUCCGGCAGCUAAGGGCAUGUACAAUGGUGCUAUCUUAGGAGUGCCACGUAGGAUUAAUGAUGAGGUGGAGGAGAGAGAACUCACAAGAAAAGGUUUGUCUUCUCUUAUUUAAGAUAAGACAAGAGAUGAUCUCUUAGCACAAUUUGUCUCACCAUGUUUUAAGGAAUGACUAGCUAUUGAAGAUAAGGUUAAGAUAUAACCCAUUGUAGACAUACUUUUUUGUCAUCUCUAAAUUACAUGCAAGACUUAAGAUAAGACUGUUUUAUCAACCAUUGUACAUGCCCUAAUAUUACAAGUUGUUCACGUCAAAAGAAAAAGUAUUACAAGUUGAAGGUGCCCUACUGCUUCGCCGUUCACUUUGGGCUUCUGCUGCUGUUGCUUCGCCGAGACUCCACGGCAUCCGGCAUGAGCCGUGAGGAGGGUGAUGGUGGGGUGGUGGGGCCCCUCGAAGAUGAUGACCUGCUCUUGGAGAUCCUCCUUCGUCUGCCCCCGCAGCCGUCGUCUCUCCCUCGUGCCUCCGCCGUUUGCAGGCGCUGGCGCCUUCUCGUCUCCGAGCCAGGCUUCUCCCGCCGCUUCCGGCGCUACCACCGCGGCAAUCUUCCCAUAAUUGGUUUCUACGACCGAAAUCCUCCAGACCUCUACUUCGUACCUGCCCUGGAGGGCCCUGAUCGUAUUCCAUCCGGGCGAUUGUCCUGGCAGUGUCAGCACGAAGAAGAACCGGACUUGUCCACCUUUGGAUGUCGCGAUGGCCUUGUACUAGUCCAUGUCAAGCACCUCGAACCGCUAAAGCGCCAUGUUCUGGUGUGGGACCCUAUCACUGGUGAGCAACACAACCCUAGGAUUCCCCCAGGGUUCGACACAGGGAAACGCUUCAAUGGAGCGGUGUUUCGGUCUGCUGGAGAUGCUGACCACUUCCAGGUGGUCUUGGUAGGCAACGGCGACAAUCAACUACCGGUUGCUAGUGUUUACUCGUCGGAGACCGACGUAUGGAGUAACCUUUUUUCGACAUCGUUGCCACUGAAGUAUUAUACAGACCCUUUUCCGUCUUUUAUCGGUCUAUCCCUUGAACCCGCUGUGCUGGUUAGGAAUUCCCUACACUGGCUGCUUGGAGCGGGCUCGGUUGGAAUUAUAGAGUUUGAUUUGGAGAGGCACAACCUUGUCGUGAUAGGUGUGCCUGUGCAUGUGGGUGCUGGGUGUCACUUUGGGUGCAAUGACCGAUUCUCGAUUAUACGAGCAGAAGAUGGUGGGUUGGGUUUUCUCUCUCUAUCAGACUUCAACGUCCAAUUAUGGAAGAGGAAGACAGAAUAUGAUGGUGUUGCUUCAUGGGUGAUGGAAAAAAUCAUUGAACUGGACAAACUACUGAAAAUUCCCCUGGAUCGAAAGAACCAAAGAAAAAAUACUACUAGGGUGAUGGGAUUUGCCGAGGACAACAAUACGGUGUUCAUGUGGACAAUAAUCGGCAUCGUCACGAUCCAUCUCGAGUCAUUGCAGUUCAAGACGCUUCCCGGAUCUAGGAUUUUUUCUUACUAUUAUCCAUUUGAAAGUGUCUGGUGCAUGUGGUUUUAUCAGUCCUGUGGUUUUAUUUUUUAUUCAGUGAACAACUGUAGUCCUGUGGUUUUAUUUUUUGAGGGGUAUAACGACUCUUUACUCAUGUAAUAAGUCCGGUGGAAUCAUUACAAUAUCGUGCAGUCGGAGGAACCACACAUGCCUUCGUAUGCCUAAAAUGAAGAAAAUUUAGCUAGACUAUGCGCCGGUUUUGAGUCCUUCUCUUAAACAUAGAAUUACAGUCCAAAAAUUCUAGUGAACUAGCACAAAUCCUCUGAAGAAAUAAUUCCUGUAUGUCUCCCGCCUUGGUUUUCCUGAAUAUCUCUAAUCACCGUUGCGCGGUCGGAAGAAAUAAGGGCCUUGGAGAUCGAGAGGGGUGUUUUGGCUCCCAGACUCAGAUGAGCCCAGGAGUAAAGAAGAAAAAAAUAAUUAUAAUGUACUCCCUCCAUAAAGAAAUAUAAGAGCGUUUAUAUCACUACUUUAGUGAUCUAAAUGCUCUUAUAUUUCUUUACAGAGGAAGUACUAAAUAAAUUAAAAAAAAUCCAUUUUUUUGUGAAGAAAGAAGACCGAGCGCGUGAUGUCCGUGUCAAAUUUAGGGAAAUUUUCUGAGUGAAACCAUUGCGGAGCCGUGUUCCGCCGGAGGAUCGGCGCCUCCUACCACCUUCGGUGUCCUCGCCGGCGCCGGAGCAAAGUGGGGUACGGCCCGAUCUACCGGCUGGACUUGUGUUCAUCCGUAGGUAGGUGUUGUAGUUAUGGUUUUCUCGUCUAGCGGUUCGUCCUUUGGGCGUGGCGGCUGCGGCGAAGUAGUUUUUGUCGCCUGUUCCAUCUGGGUGUCCGGUGAGGCUUCUCUUCCCGGUACAGCUGCUGGUUCGAUGGGGAUGACUAAACUUUCCUUCGGCUACUUUUUCUUCGGCUGUGGUGGCGUGAGCUGCGCCAGAUCCAUCGAUGUUUGUUUGUGCAUUGUGCAGGAGUUGUUGGCUUUGUUUGUGCGUUGUGUUGGAGUGGAUCAAGAUCCAUCUUCCUCUUCUCCAUAGUGAAGGUGAAGAUGGGGUGUUGCUGAUGAUGCUUGCGGUCUGCCACAUCUCCGACGCGCUGGUCCGGAAGGGCCUAAGAUUGAAACUUCCCGUUUGCAAAAAAAGUCUGUCCGCGGAUUCCAACAUCACGCUGGCUCUGGGAGGGAGCGGCGGCGCGCCCUCAACUCGCGGCGGUGUGUGAGUUUGAUCGGCUCCCCAGGGACUCGGGUGUAUUUGCUUUCUUUGUUGGGGUUUGUUGUAUCACUAGCAAUCUAUUUUGAAAUGGAGGGAGUAUAAAUCUGAGUUCCUUUUCGCAAAAAAAAAAAAAACAACAANNNNNNNNNNNNNNNNNNNNNNNNNNNNNNNNNNNNNNNNNNNNNNNNNNNNNNNNNNNNNNNNNNNNNNNNNNNNNNNNNNNNNNNNNNNNNNNNNNNNNNNNNNNNNNNNNNNNNNNNNNNNNNNNNNNNNNNNNNNNNNNNNNNNNNNNNNNNNNNNNNNNNNNNNNNNNNNNNNNNNNNNNNNNNNNNNNNNNNNNNNNNNNNNNNNNNNNNNNNNNNNNNNNNNNNNNNNNNNNNNNNNNNNNNNNNNNNNNNNNNNNNNNNNNNNNNNNNNNNNNNNNNNNNNNNNNNNNNNNNNNNNNNNNNNNNNNNNNNNNNNNNNNNNNNNNNNNNNNNNNNNNNNNNNNNNNNNNNNNNNNNNNNNNNNNNNNNNNNNNNNNNNNNNNNNNNNNNNNNNNNNNNNNNNNNNNNNNNNNNNNNNNNNNNNNNNNNNNNNNNNNNNNNNNNNNNNNNNGGGCCGAGCCAUUUCGCGUCCUGGGCUUCAGGAUCGAUCCACUACACUCACUACAUCGUGGCUUUGGCUGAGAGUUCAGAGCCCAGUCCACACAGUUUCCCCUUCCCCUUCCCCGCACGAGACUGAGAUGACGGCCAGCUGCCGCCUCCUCCCGCCGUCGCCGGCGGCGCCCCUGUCGCCGCUGGAAGUGGAGGAUCUUCUCAUCGAGAUCCUCCUCCGCCUCUCUCCGCUGCCCUCAUCUCUCCCCCGCGCCUCCGCCGUCUGCAAGCGCUGGCGCCACGUCAUCUCCGACCCGGACUUCCUCGUCCGCUUCCGCCUCCGCCACCGCCCCAACACUCCCCUCCUCGGUUUCUUCGUUACGGAUUGGAUGCGCUGCCUCAUCGGCUUCCUGCCUCUUGUGCGCCCCGGCGUCCCCGGUCUCGUCGAAACCAAUCGCUUCUCCCACAACCACCAGAUCCUCAGCUGCCGCCAUGGCCUCGUACUCAUCUUCCUCGUCAAGGAGUCGCAGUUCCAGGUGUGGGACCCCGUCACCGGCGUCCGCCACUUCAUCAACCCCCCUCCAGCACAGAGUCUGUCAGCACAGGUCAACGGAGAGGUGCUUCGAGAUGCGAGUGACGAUGACCAUUUCAAGAUUUUUCUGGCGGAUGUUGAGGGUCCACGAGCAAUCGCCUGUGUCUACUCGUCGGAGACCAGCAAAUGGGGUGAUCUCGUCUCAGCGUUUCUUCCACCCAGGGCUUCCAUCGGCUGCCCUCCUGCCAUGAAGUUCUCGAGGAUGAAUGCCCUGCUUGUUGAAAAAUCUCUUUAUUGGCUUCUCUUUGACGUGCCGGCAAACUUUAGUGAGGCCUUCAGGGGCGUUCUUUGUGCCAGUAGCAUCCUUGUGUUUGAUGUCGAGAGGCAGAGUCUGAGCGUGGAACGUGUCUCAGCAAACCUGCACCACCUCAAAGACCAUGAGAUUUCCGUGAUCAAAGAAAGGGGUGUUGGACUUUGUUUACUCACCGUGUCAGGCUGCAAGGUAAACAUAUGGAAGAGGAAGCGCGAGCACAAUGCUGAUACGUCAUGGGUGCUGGGAAGAACUACCAAGUUGCGCCAUCUUCUCUUCCCGGAUCCACAGAACAAUGGUGGUACGUCAUGGGUGCUGGGAAGAACUAUCAACCUGCGCCAUCUUCUCUCCCCGGAUCCAUAGAACUACGCGGGGCAGAUAUCCAUCAAUGCUUUUGCCGAGUACAAUCAUGUGGUGCUCCUGUCUACAUCUAUCUACUACUACACGGUCGAACUUGAGUCAUUGGAGGUCAGGAGAUUUCAAUGCAGAGGCUCUCGUUAUCAUCCAUUGGAAAGUGUCUACACUACAGGUAAGUGUCCUCCCUGAACUAUCUGGUUCGGACAGCACUAGCAAACUUCCUUUCAGUUUAUUUAAAACAUACGAGUAAUUGUUCAUUGUAUCACUUUUAGGAUAGUACGUUGCUCUCCAACUGUACCUGGGAAAACUAAUAAAUUGAGUUCAUUUCAUUUUCAGGCUAAUUUUAUUUUAAGAUCUAAAACUGAAUAGUGAUCACUUGUUUUUGCUAGGAUUGGUCUGAUUAUAUUUUUUGUGAUUUUUCUAUUUUUGUGAUUUUUCUCUUCAUCAGGUGCAGAUGAUCCAGCCUGGGCUCAGAAAUGAAUAUUCACCCUCCAUUGCUCUAUACAGUGCACCUUAUUUUCUAGCAAUGUUUCACAAUGUAGUGCCUUGUUGGAGUUCUGGACGGAAAAUACCCAUGGCUAGGAAGUAUCCGUCCCUGGGCACAUGCAUGCAUGUGGACAGAGUGAGUGGAGGGUAUCAGGCUCCAUAAUACACACGCCAGCACAGGGACACAUUACUUAACAGUAUAACUCAGCUAGCUAGGAGCCACCACAAUGUUUUGACGUCCUCAACCGUUAGACUUAAAGCAGGAACGGACCAGAUCAUUUGGUCGUAACAACCGGCACCGAUACGUCACGUUUUCACCGCGUCAUGACCUAGCGCACGUACUCGGGCUGCUGCUCCGCAUACCGAGCUAGUGAUCCCCUCAGUCGUUGGGCUGAUCGGUGGCCAAAAAAGCCCAUAGCACGGCCUCCAUCCAUCACAGGUAUGGGCAAAUCGUAUUAUAUGUCCAAGGCUCAGUGGGCCAGUGUCUGCCCAGGUUUGAAGGGAAAAAACAUAUAUUAUAUUUUGCUGCACAUGAUCAGUUUUUUUAAGGUUUUUGAGAUGAGAUCGCUGACCACCAUUGCCGCGUGGUUCAGGAUCAGUUAUUGUUCAUGCUUGCGUUUUCUCAGCGUUUCUGUUUAUACAGGAAUACUAGCAUAACCAUCUUGAUCUCGAUGCUAUGUAGACAUGUAUAUUUAGACAUAUAUUUUGUGCUCCUAUUUAUGAGAGGGAGCACCAGCUUCGUUGGUGCUUGAUUUAGGAGGAGACUUGACCUGUUCUAACUACUAGAUCCAAGCCAAUACAGCCAAUCCUGAUAUGCUAACGGGUCAAUUCUAACUUCAAAUAUGCUAACUAUUUCAAAUAUGUGAAAUACCAUCAUCAAAAUAAAUAUGCAAAUGGGUCCGCUAUAACUUCAAAUAAAUAUGCCCUCUACCAUGGCAUUCUAGCUUAAGCCAUUCAAAUUUCAACAAAUAUUUUUAUUGUUCAUCCAUUUCAAAUAUAUCAUAGUUUACUGUUUAAGAUGAACGGGCGCAGCAACGCGCGUCUUCAUGGUCUAGUGUAUAUGUAGACAGAGUGAGUGGCGGUAUCAGGGUCCAUCAUACACACGCCAGCACACAUCUUGGUAUUGCAGCCCAGAUGAAUCACAAACUAUAAAAGGAACAGAGGGAGUAAGACAAACGUUUUUCCCAACUGAGCAUAAUGCACUUGCAAAUAUGGAAGUGGCACAUGUAGUACGUCUUCACAAGUUUACGACGUGUUUGGUUCGCAGUCCGGUAACAUAUUCGUUCAGGUAUCCAGAAGCUCCGGUUUCCAAUGUUUUUCUAUCGAAUGCACAUUUGGUUUGGUUCGAGCGUCCGACCCCGGUUUUGUAAUCAGCUUCGCUCCUGCCCGUUUUCGGUUAUGUGAACCGGCGUAUCGGAAGACAUUGCUACCUAAUACUACAUUGUCUGAGUAACAAACACUGGGUACGGUUUCAAAAAGCGUUGGAUUCGGAAGCCGUUGAAAGAUUUGGGAAGCGUUCCUACUCCUCGAUGAGGAGCCACGUUGGUUUAUAUUGAAGAGGCAGAACAGCCCUGCCGUGGCUUGCAAGAAGAGGAAACUGAUCCAGAGAUUCGGUUGUUACAAGGACUCUUGAACAGCUACGAGAGGGAGAGAGAUAGAAUAUAGUUGAGAUUACAAUGUGGAGAUAACCACAAAUUAUGACACCCUCCCCUAAUCUCAACUAUCCUAUGUUUAGAUUCCUCUUGAACUCUUCAAAUGGUUUUGCCGACAGUGCCUUGGUGAAUCCAUCAACCACUUGAUCUUUGGAAGGGAUGAACCGUAUCUCAAGUUUCUUUGCUGCAACCCUUUCACGCACAAAGUGAAAAUCAAUCUCUAUAUGCUUGGUUCUUGUAUGAAACACUGUGUUUACAGACAAGUAUGUUGCUCCCAAAUUAUCACACCAGACAUGAGAUGCGAUUCUGCUUGACCCCCAUUUCAUAUAGUAGUGACUAAAUCCAAAUGAUUUCUGCAGUGGCAUUAGCCAAGGAUUUAUACUCAGCCUCUGUACUUGACCUUGAUACAGUGGCAUGUUUCCUAGCACUCCAAGAAACAAGAUUAGGCCCAAAGAAUACUGCAAAGCCUCCAGUUGAUUUUCUAUCAUCACUGCAACCUGCCCAAUUAGCAUCAGAGAAUGCACUCACAAGAGCAGAAUUAGAGCGUCUGAAAUGCAGUCCUACUCCAAUAGUAUGUUUGACAUAUCUUACAAUUCUCUUAACAAUUGUCCAAUGUGCAGUAGUGGGUGCAUGUAGAUAUUGACAAACCUUGUUAACAGCAAAUGAGAUAUCUGGGCGAGUAAGAGUCAAGUACUGUAAUGCUCCAACAAUACUUCUAUACUUUGUGCUAUCUUCCUCCUGAAGUGGAUCACCUUCAUAUGCUGAAAGUUUCUCUGAGGAGGACAAAGGUGUAGGUACAGGCUUGCAGUUUUUCAUCCCCAUACAAGAUAGAAGCUCAGUAACAUAUUCCUCUUGAUUUCGUACUAUGCCAUCUUGAGUCUUCUUAACUUCAAUGCCUAGAAAGAAGUGCAAAUCACCUAGAUCUUUCAAGGCAAACUCUGAGCUCAAAUCAUGUAGAAGAGCAUUAGUAGAACUUUGUGAUGAACUUGCAACUAUGAUGUCAUCCACAUAUAUGAGUACAAAGAUAGCUACUUUUCCAUUAUUAUAAAUGAACAGAGAUGUAUCAGCUUUGGAAGCAAUAAAACCAAGACAUUUCAAUUGUGAGCUCAACCUAGAGUACCAUGCUCUAGGUGCUUGUUUCAAGUCAUAGAGUGCUUUGUCAAGCUUGCACACAUAAUGUGGUGUUUUCUUAAUCUCCUAUCCUGGUGGCUGUCUCAUAAACACCUCCUCUUCUAGAACACCAUGUAAAAACGAGUUCUAUACAUCUAGUUGUCUUAAGCUCCAUCCCCUGGACACGGCAAUAGCUAACACAAGUCUUAUAGUUGCAGCUUUUACAAUAGGACUAAAGGUAUCCUCAUAGUCUAUACCAUAGCGUUCUUUAAAGCCCUUUGCAACUAGAAAGCCUUAUAUCUGUCAAUGGAGCCAUCUGCUUUCUUUUUAAUUCUAUACACCCACUUGUAAUCAAUGAUAUUUUUACUUCUUUGGCCAGGCACAAGACGCUAAGUUUUGUUCCUCAUAAGUGCAGAAUAUUCCUAAUCCAUUGCUUUCUUCCACUUAGGGUCACCAAGUGCAUCAUUCAGUGUUGUUGGUUCCCCUGAAAUACAUAGCAUGCCAUACCGUAUAGUACCAUCAGUUCGUAUUGUUGGAUUACGUAUACCUUUUUGUAACCUGGUCAUGACUCGCAAGGGAGCUUCUUGUUGCAUGUGUACAGGAACAGGAACAUGAUCCAUUGGCGCAGAAGAUCCACUGCCUGCUACUGAAUGUGCUGAUGCAGAGGAUCCACCUGACGCUGGCACAGGAGAUCCAGUGGACCUGGUGUGGCCCCCCUGCCACUAGACGCCCUGGAAACCACAGGACUAGCGGGCAUAGACGAUCCGCUGCUAGGGCGUAGGUGCGCGGGACGCGAAGCGGAGCCGACCGCACGGCUGGUCCCGCUGGGCCCACUGUCGGGAGACGCAUCGACGUGGGAGUGGCCCUCCUAGGAAUCUAGGCCACUGCCGCCUGGGACUCGAUCCAAGAAGGAUCUGCGCGCACGAUCCGAGGCCUGCAAGCGCGCAGGGGUUCCAGGCGCCGCCAAAUCAUCAUCGGGAUCUGUGCCAGGUUCGUCUUCUUCUGGAGCAUGCAAUAUGACAUCAUUUUGAGCUAUAUUUUCAUGAUUUUGACCGUUUUGAACGCCGUUUUCUCCAGGAACCUGCACAGGCAUAAGAGUAGAACUAGGACUAGCAGGAUUAUCAUCAUAUUGGUCAGUACAAUUGUCUCCCCCAUGAUCAAAGUUUCGAAGAUUUGGUGGGAGAAGAAGAAUUUCCUUGCGAAGGAGAGCACCGGCAUUGGGAUCAAGAGAUGCAAAGGGAAACACGGAUUCAUCAAAGACAACAUCUCUGGAUAUGUAAACCCUAUGAGUGAAAAUAUCUAAACAUUUUACCCCUUUGUGCAUAGGACUAUAGCCUAAGAAAGCGCAUUUUUUCAAACGAAAUGCGAGUUUGUGUGUGUUGUAGGGUCUAAGAUUUAGCCAACACGCACAACCAAAGAUACGGAGAGAUGUGUAACUGGGUGUGACACAAAGAAGCCGUGUGAUGGGUGUUUCAAGUUUGAUAACUUUGCUUGGGAGCAGGUUUAUAAGAUAUGUAGCAGUGAGAAAAGCUUCAUCCCAGAAUUUGAGUGGCAUGGAUGCAUUUGCUAACAAACCUAGUCCUACAUCAACAAUAUGUCGGUGCUUUCUUUCAGCCGAUCCAUUUUGUUGGUGAGCGUGAGGGCAAGAGACAUGAUGCGAAAUACCAAGUUUUUGGAAGAAUGAAUUUAGCUUCUCAUACUCACCACCCUAGUCAGUUUGCAUGGCAAUGAUCUUAGAAUUCAGCUUGCGUUCAACAAGGUUUGGGAAAAUGAUGAAAACUUGGAAUACAUCAGAUUGCUUCUCCAAGUAAAUUUACUAUAAUCAUCAAUGAAUCUUACAUAAUAGGAAAAUCUACCAACUGAAGUCUGCCCCUCAUACAUCGGAAUAUAUAAGUUGCAAUGGAGAGGUGGAUACACUGGUAGAAAUAGGGUAAGGUAACUAAUGACUUUUGGCCUGUUGGCAUGGAUCACAAACUGACUCAACACUAGACUCAUAUGAGAGUUUAUUCUUACUAAGAACAUAUCUAACAAUAACUGAAGAUGGAUGCCCCAAGCGACUAUGCCACUUUGCUGAAAAUGCCUUAGUGACGACAUAUGCUUUUUUAUUGGACCAUGAUGAUGAUGAUGAUGAUGAUAUGAGUGGAUAGAGACCUCCCACACACCGUCCUCUAAGAAUGAUUCUCCCCGUGGUAGGUCCUUAACAAAGAAAAAAUGAGGAUAAAACUCUUUAAGAACAUUGUUGUCAAGAGUGAAUCGAUGCACGGAAACAAGAUUUUUUGAUGUUUCAGGAACAUGCAAGAUCUUUUUUAAGUGCAAGUUUUUUAUGGGAUUUGUAACAAUUGAACUACCAAUAUGUUUUAUUUCCAUACCAGAACCACUCGCCGUGUGAAUUUGGUCGCCUCCAUUGUACUUCUCUUGCAUCGUCAGCUUGUCAAGUUCCCCGGUGAUGUGGUUUGUAGCUCCGGCGUCGGCAUACCAGCUGGUAUCUACACCAUAGGAGACAACAUGUGCCCCCUUUUCCUCCUGAUCAUUUUCUUCAUAGCGCCACCAACAUGUGCAUGCACCCCUGGAUGAUGCUUGUAGCAUAUCUGACAUCCAGCGUAGUCAUGCUAUUGCUGAUCAUGCCCUUGCUGCUGCUGUUGUUGCUGACGAGGGCGUCCUCUGUAGUUGUCGCCUCCACCAGUAGGAGAGGGCUGGCGGUCACCACGGCCGCGCCCCCUUCCUCCUCGCCCGCGGUAGGAUCUGCCAUGGUUUUGGCCUCGACCUCUGUAAGCCGCGUUGGCAGAUGUGUGAAAGCUGCCUGAAGAUGAAUUGCCAAGCAUCUCCAUCCUCUGGUCAAAAGCAGAAAUUUGAGCGAAGAGGUCAUCCGCCGUGAUCAAGUUCUUGACGGCACCAACCGUCGCAGCCACAGGAUCGUAGUCACCGUCUAGCCCUACAAGGAUAUAGUCCACCAUCUCCGGAUCUGACACCGGACGGCCAGCAACACCUAAUUCAUCUGCAAGGUUCUUCAUCUUCGCCAUGAAUGUAGAUCUUAACAUGGAGCCCUUCUUGGUUGUGGUGAUCGCUAUUCUUAGGUUUGUGAUCCUGGAUUGCAACUGGGAGGCGAAGAGGGUCGUCACCGUUGUCCACAGCUCGAAGGUAGAAUCCUUCCCGAUGACCUGUCCAAGGAUUUCUGGUGUCAUAGAGUUGAGUAGGUAUGCAAGGACCUAUUGAACUUUGGCGAUCCAUGGCCCGUACAGCGGGUUCGGCUCCAUGGCUGAAGUCUUGUCCGCCUUGGUGAUCUCCACCAUCAUGGAUGGAGCAGCGUUGGUGUUGUCCAAGAGACCAGUCACCUGCGCACCUUGCAGGGCUGGGAGAACUUGCGCUUUCCAGAUGGUAAAGUUUCCCCUUGCAAGCGUUGGAUUUCCCCGAAGAGGAGAGGAUGAUGCAGCAAAGUACCGUAAGUAUUUCCCUCAGUUUUUGAGAACGAAGGUAUCAAUCCAGUAGGAGGCCACGCACAAGUCCCUCGUACCUGCACAAAAUGAUUGCUCCUUGCAACCAACGCGAUUAGGGGUUGUCAAUCCCUUCACGGUCACUUACGAGAGUGAGAUCUGAUAGAGAUGAUAAAUAAUAUUUUUGGUAUUUUUCGUAUAUAGAUGCAAAGUGAAAAGUAAAAGGCAAAGUAAAAACAAAGCAAGUAUUAAAGCGAUGGAAAUUGAUAUGAUGAGAAUAGACCCGGUGUGGGGACCGAUUCUUCGGGUAUUAAUUCCCAGAAAAUGGCCCUUGUGCUCACCAGCCCCAGGAUAACUGUUAGCUGAUGAGGCCCCAACUUGAUACAGAAAUUCCAAGCAAAAUACAAAAUAUGUAGUACAAGACCAUUCUGGCCUGUGAGUACAACAAAUGGUUUCUAGUGGUUGAUGGCGGAAGCGGUUUGUGGAUCAUCAAUGUCUAUGGGACUCCAUGUUUCCACGGGAACAACUGACCAGGUUAACUCCUAUCUUCACGAGACUGCUAUCACCGUUGCUUAAGUUCCGGGACUGUCCGCUUGGUCGCUCCUCUCCGCGCAAGAAAAUCUGGCCAAGACAAUAGCCAGGGACAAGCCAGUGAGUACUUUGAAUGUACUCGCAAACAUUAUGAACACAGGCAUAAUAUGACAGCGAUGUGCUGAAAAUAUUAUAAGAACAUGACGUCAGUCACCAAUGAUAAAUAAAACUCUGAUGCAUACGAGCAUGUUAAAUAUGAAUAUGCAAUAACAUAGCAAUAUUAAAAUUAUGAAAUAAAUAAUAAACGUGCCACAGUCGGGCGUCUGAGCGACACCACAUAAAGGGCUUUUAAAAGAACUGCCACAGUCGGGCAUCUGAGCGACACCACAUACAGGGCNNNNNNNNNNNNNNNNNNNNNNNNNNNNNNNNNNNNNNNNNNNNNNNNNNNNNNNNNNNNNNNNNNNNNNNNNNNNNNNNNNNNNNNNNNNNNNNNNNNNNNNNNNNNNNNNNNNNNNNNNNNNNNNNNNNNNNNNNNNNNNNNNNNNNNNNNNNNNNNNNNNNNNNNNNNNNNNNNNNNNNNNNNNNNNNNNNNNNNNNNNNNNNNNNNNNNNNNNNNNNNNNNNNNNNNNNNNNNNNNNNNNNNNNNNNNNNNNNNNNNNNNNNNNNNNNNNNNNNNNNNNNNNNNNNNNNNNNNNNNNNNNNNNNNNNNNNNNNNNNNNNNNNNNNNNNNNNNNNNNNNNNNNNNNNNNNNNNNNNNNNNUGCCAUAGUCGGGCGUCUGAGCGACACCACAUACAGGGCUUUAAAAGAAAUGCCACAGUCGGGCGUCUGAGCGACACCACAUACAGGGCUUUAAAAGAAAUGCCACAGUCGGGCGUCUGAGUGACACCACAUACAGGGCUUUAAAAGAAACAAUCAUAGUGAAUAUCCCGGAGGUAGAACCAUCCCAGAGAUACUCGAUAAUAACAAUAAUAACACGGGUUAGUCAACAACAAUAAUGAUUAUAAUUAUCACAAGUCACAGGUAGUAAUUCCAGUUCUGGUUUAACAGUUUCACCUCCGAAGACUGACACUUGACCCAUCCCAGACUGUAGUCCUUAACCAUGGACACGGCUAUUCGAAUAGGUUUUAAUCUCUGCAGAGGGUGUACUCUUUACACACGAGUAACGGAUUCCACUAGUCCAUCGGGACUAAUUCCGUCUACGGUCUUUUUGUUGAAAACACACCAAACUUGCACACACCAGCUUAACUCACCUGUGUGUGGAAUCACCCACGACACCUGUCAAGCAAAACUCUAAGUGGGGAGGCUACAACCUCGACGUAACAUGGGAUCACAAAAUUUAUACCGCUCGCAAGACUGGGGAAGCUACCCCCUUCGGCUACAACCGAAACACCCAUGCUCCCGGAGCCGAUGGCAUGACUACCGGAUGCCUCCAGUAUCUUCCACCACGGCCUCUCUGUACGGUGUGUGCUAGGAAAGGGGUUGACAACUUACUGAACCAUACCCUACUUAUUGUAGAGACGAGUGGUAGUACGAAGCAAGUAUGGGGGUUACUGGCACAAGACUCAAUCUACGGUCGACUCAGGAGUUUGUAUUAUAUCCUGCAUGAUUAGCAUAACAACGCACAUAUGUCAAAUAACAGAUAGAAACAUCACGCGACAUACCCCUCAUGCCAUACCGGACACGAUCGUCUCAACAGAGGACGAGGAACAAGAUCGUUUCUACCCAAGACAGAGGCCUUCCCGGCUUCUCUUCCGGUAUGCAUGAAAUACGUAUGACGGUGAUUUCCAUCGCAAAUUAUGUCAACUUCAUUAGCAUAAACUCAUUAAAAAUGCACUCAUAAGUAGGAUCACUUCCUCACAUAAAAUGAUGUAUGGACGUGUUGCGGUGGUGCUGUCAUCAAUUCAAACAACACACACAUAGAUUUCACUAGGGUUCAGAAUGCUUGCCUUCAGGUCAUGGGAAAGAAGGGUGCAUCCAAAACAUCUUGAAAUAUUCAAAAAUCCUAUUUAAAAGAAUAUAUAUGAAUUAACACUCAAAACAAAACAGCACAAAAAAUUGUCUUACUUUUUUCAAAUAAAUCUUAAAAUAAACUAGACAGUAUUUGAAAGAGGUAGGAAAAAGAAUUAAUUCAUUUGGAGCUGUAUUAAAAAAGAUACAGCCGGUCAAAGUUUGGUCGAAAUUCUGAUAUUUAAAAUAAAAACAGAAAGAAAACGCUUCGAAAUAUACGUACACAUCGAAGGCGCAUUUUGGAAAUGCGCUUCCACUUAUCCAGCGUGGACUAAGCCUGAGUCACUGACAGUGGGCCCGCCUGGCCCACUGGUCAGGUUUGACUAGCCCACCUCCCUCCUCUUCCUCCGCCCGAGAGAGGGGGCGGGACUCCGGCGACGCUCGCCAGCGAACGACGGCACCGUUCAACAAACGGAGGUCACCCGCGGGCUCAGGGGGUCGAGGCGGUUACUCCGGUGGUGGUUUCGUCCUCUGGGGUGGACGGAGUUGCCGGCGGCGAGCUCCGCGGCGGACGGUGGUUGCCGAAAAAGUGAAAUAUCGCCCGUGGCGAGUCCCGAUCAAGAUUGAGUAGGGGGACGGGCUCACGGGACGAUGAGGGGGUUCCUGGUGGAGAGAGUGGAGAGGGGGAGGUCCUGGUGGCGCCGGAAUGGCCUGGUUAGUGACGGCGGCUAGAGUUGCCGGAGAGGAAGGAGACGACCCUCUCCCAUCGAUUGAUGGCUAAGGUGGCACGAGUGGGACGGUGUGAAGCUGCCUGCCUGCGAGUUUGAGCUUGGGGCCUCUUUAUAUAGGCGGUGGAGGUCUGCUUGCGGCGGCCGGGGAUAAGCUUGCCGGCGACCGCCGUUCUGUAGCUAGGGUGACGUGAUGCGCGCUAGAGGACGGAGCUGUGGAUGAGCACACAUUGCUCCAGGAGGCAGGUGGCAAGCGCUGGUGGCUUGGGCAGCGCCGACACGGCCGGGGCUGCAAGCGUCCGCCAGCUAGCCGCCACGGCCGUCCUGACGGUGGCGCUAUGGGGUGCCAGGUUGGUCGGGGUGGUGUGGCAGUGCAGGGGAACACGGAGUGUUGGCUGGGACCGGUCACGGGCCGGAUUUGGGUGCGGGGGUGCGACGCGGCGUCUCGGGCGCAUGGGUGCCAAACGCACGCUCUGGGCGCGCCCAGAGCAUGCCCGGGAGAUGAUCGACGAAAUGCUAGGGAAUCCUAGAGGCUGCGGUUGAGGCUGGCAAUUAACAGGACUAGUCUAGGCUUAGCAAGGGGACUGAGGGACAUGGUGGAUUGGUCAGGGGCUCAAGUUCACCAUGAAAACUUGGAUUCAUGCCAAAUCUGGCUGUGCACUCAGGGUGUUUGACAAAAUGCCAAAAGCACCUAGGUAGUUCUUGGAGUGGCCAAAAUCUCCAGAUCAGUGUCUCUAUGGGUGCAAGAGAGGGUGGUGAAGUUGGUUUGCAAAAAUGAGAAACUUGCUAAUGCAAGUUUUGCAAAACUACACUUCUGGACAGGGAGUAGAUGGCAUCAUUACAUGGGCUAAGAGUGCUCCAAAGAGUGCAUGCUCCUGGACUUAGGGGUUUUGCAGGGUUGGCAACAAGCAUGAGAAGACACAAGGUCACCUGAGCAAGAAAGAAUGGGGUUGCAGUAGAAAGCACAGGUCUGGUCCAGAAUGAAAAUGAUGUUGAUUCACUCAAAAAUUUCAAACAACAACACUGGGUUUUUGCAUAAAGUGGAAUCAUAUGCUGGUACUGACAUCCCAAAAUUUUGGUGGAGGCUCUAGGGAUUUAUUUAAAAGGGUUGUAGUGCAAAACUGUCCACUGGACCAGAGAAGAAAAAUAGGCACAAAACUCAUAAUAUGUAAUGAAAUAGAUAUAUAAUUGCACAUAAAUGAUUUAGAGACCUCACAUGAUGUCCCCAAAUUUUGGUUGGAUUUUUAGCUAAGUUUAUCAACUGGUUGAAGUAGAAAAAGAGCUCCUAAACUCAAACAAGUCAUUUUAAUGAUUAGAGCUCAGGGUGAACUAAUAUUAUAAAUAAAUCUACUGAUUUAGAAAUAGUUAUACAGAGAGCAUAGAAGUUUGAUACUUUGGAAAGCUCCACUAAAAAAAUUAUCCUCAAUAUUAAAAGAGAUGCUCUGAACUCCACAGAAAUAAUCCAAAAGGAAAAAAAAUUAAAACUCCUGGCAAAAUUUUAAUUUCCAAAAAUUUGGUUAAAUUUUUGGGGUGUUACAAUUACUAACCCCCUUAAAAAAAUCUCGUCCUCGAGAUUUGCUAAGGUUUGUAAAACAAAAUAAAUACUUUUACUAGAUCAAAAGAUCAUUUACACAAGCGGUAAAAAGAGGCUACAGUGAGAGGGCAAUAAGUGGUGAAUAACUACAAUGUGGGCACUGGUGUUGUGUGGAGAAAUCACUCGUUGUCCAGGACGUGGAAUUUCUACGUGGGACGUAGUGAAUUUAGAAUAAAUUCCAAAUUCAACAAUAUGCUGGUCGUACCCGAGAGCACAGUGCUCCCUCUGGCUGACAGGUGGGACCGGGGCCCAUUGUCAGUAUCUCCUUCUUCCUCUGGCUCUCUCUUCUUCCUCUCUCCCGCGUGUUUUCCCGGCUUUCUCCACCAGCGACGACUAGCGCGUAGGGCAUCUAGGCCGUCCUGCGGUAGUGCGCGGCGUGCUUGCUGCCGGUGCAGUGUGCACUCACGUCGCGGGCCAGUGUGCUGUCGGCACUGCUCGCGGAUUCGCCUCCGAACGCCGGCGAUCGGGCGACGAGCGGCGCUGGUGGACUUCGUCCACCGUACACCGAUCCCGAGCUAUAAAAUGACCGCGGUGCUCCUUCUUCAUCUUCGCACUUGGCCUCGCUUCUCCUCCUUCUGCUCCUCCAUUACCGCUCACCGGAGCUCGAGACGUGGCUCCAAUGGCGGAGACGGUGCCGGACUGGUACAUGAUCCUAGUGUGUGGAGGGCUGGCGGCAGUGCUGGGGCUCUCGGUGCUCCUGUGCGCGAUGAUCUAUGAUGAUCGUUGUGAUGCUGCCGCUCGGGUGUUGGCUCUCCGCGGUGGCGGUGAUCACGAGGAUUAGGCGUAAUCCCGAGUGUUUUACCGCUACCGAUGUGUUGGAGGUGGAUGGUGUCCGGAUGACUAUCCGCUAAUCUCUCCCUUGGAUGCAUGUGGAGCACUUAGGGGGGUGGUUGGGUGAGAUGCAACAUGGUUGCGUGUAUUUCAGGCAGUGUAAGAGUCUGAGUGGUUGUGGGUCUGCUGCCGUGGUGCUGCGUGAAAUAAAACAAAUAAUCCAUGCAGCGGGGGGAAAUAAAAGAUGCAGCAAUUUUUGGAAAAAGAAAAUCUCAUUCCAGGAUUUUUCGCGGUUACACAGGCUACUCACGAAGAAAACCACUCACAAAUGUAGAAACUAAAUACUCGACUUGCCGCACAAAUUCGAGGUACCAUGCAUAAGUUACAACAUAAUAGUAAAUGCUGAAAUAACAAAUGUAGCAGUGACGUCUAAAAUGAGAAUGGUAACUGGACAGGGUCUCGAGGAAAAGUCUCUGGUAGUGGAACGCUCUCCUCUUCCAUCGGAGGAAGUGGAUUGAUCAGUCGAUGUAUGCGUCUCUCCGGAUCAGGCCUCAGUGGUCUGCCAAUGGCAAUCUGAGGAUUCAGAUCAGUGAGAUUCUGGAGAUAAUCCAUCACUCGCUGGUUCAAAUGCUCUUGAGUGAUGAUGUACUGGAUGAGGUUGGCUAGUACUGGGUCUCUCUCAAUCCGCCCACCGGGGAAAGAUGUUACUCCCCCGGGCGUUGCACGGCUCGGGAAGUAAUAAUAUCCUCGCUCGCAGGCAUAGGGCACUGCGGAUCGAAGACGAGCAAUUGCUUCAUUCGCAGCAGCCUCUAUGGCCAAACGUGGGGUUGGCAUAGAUUUCCCCACGAAGGAAACCUUCGUUGGAUCUUGGUUGGGGUCUACGGGAGGAAUGUGUACUGCUGCCCAAUAUUCCGAGGUGGAAGGGGUGAUUCUCGAUUUGAACAGCUCGUUCUGGUGUGGCUGGGUAGAACCCAUGGUAUUGCAGGUAAAGUCCCACAAUAUUUUGACAAAGCUACCUGGGGUUGCAUCGGGGGUUCUCUGAUAAAUACUAGGGCUCGGCAUGGUAAGAAAUGGUCGUGGGAGUGGUGCACGAGGUGACGGUUGCUGAGUAAGGUCACAAGGUGGCCUUCUUAUAUAGCAUCUGGCUGGUUUAUUUACCGUGGUGAAAGGUAAUAAAUCUGCCAGAUUAGCUCCAAAGGUCAUGGUCAGUGUCAGAGAUACACAUAUCUCAUAAAGAGACGUGUUACUGUGGGUGUCGUCGGGUCUGGUUUUGGUAGUUGUGCCCGGAAACGUGCAACUAUGCACUGACAAACUACGCAAGGCUACUAUAAAAACAGAGGCACAACGACAGGCUGCGAUAAUACACAAGAUUACAUGAUUACAAAGCGGGGAUACACUGAGACUCGGCACUACUCGCACAGCUUAGUCUACCUCGUUUACGUCUAAACGGGCGUGUCUGGUGGAUGUCGAGGCUUCUCCACGUGUCUCACUGCCGGGAUUUGUCGAAGAUGGCGGAGGAACCGCAGGGUCGGGGUAGCGAUGAUGACCGUCGCGGGGAUUGUUGGCCACAAUCCCGUUGGAGUGUGCUCCCAAAAGGUGACGGAGCACUUCUGGGGUCAUCAAGACACCUUGGCCGCUGGUUGGAGCUGACCUCAGGGUCUCGAUCAGGUGUCCAAACAGCACGACUGGGUUGUCGGCGUCGGACUCGGCUUCCCUGCUUGCCGGGGCUCGGCGAACCAGCUCUCCUCGAGCUGCGAUCAGAUCAAUAGUGAUUUGAUCAAACAAUGCCUCUAGUGCACUUACAUAGCGCACUAGGUGCAACAAUGCGGGAUCCGUCUCGUGGUCUCCGCUGGCAACUUGGGGUGGUCUACCAUACCCUUCACGCCUGGGGUGGUAGUAGAACGAGCGACAGUUAACUCUAGGCGACAACUGCCGGAGUUGAACUAUAGCUUCUCGAGCGGCUAGCUGGAUGGCUUGUGGCUCGAAGGAAGUUGUUCUUCCGGUGAACCUGUAGGGGCGUUCUGGCGACAAACCCCUACCGUAGAUGUGCACAGUGGCCCAGAAUUGGCGGUCUUCACCGCUCAUGGGUCCUUGGUACACAACAUAUUCUGGGGGCUCUUCUAACGCGUAGGCACGACGGGUGAGGUUUGCGAGUAUGGUCACGAAACCUCCAAGAUUGGUUGUUGUGGUCUCAUAGUGCACUAUGGGACCAGGCAUUGUGGCUAGGUUGGGGAAGAGGCUGUGCUGUGUUGUGUUGAGGCUAGCGUGCCCUUUUAUAGAAAAGGGAACGGAGUCUUCCUUCGCACGCUUGCGAAUGAGACAUUUUUGCCAUCGGUCACUGGUGUGGGAUUGAUAGGCUAGGCUGAUAGGUUGGGCACCGACUGCCAAAAGUGUCGGGAUCACUGUGUGGCUAUCUUGCAUGGGAAGCUUGGCUGAGGUUUUGGUUAGGGUCUGGUAGGUUGUUUUUCCUAAGUUAUCCGACCUGGCUAAGAUAGGAUUAGCCAAUGGUCAGCCUGGCUCUGGUACCAAGUCUGUGGGGACCGAUUCUCCGGGUAUUAAUUCCCAGAAAAUGGCCCUUGUGCUCACCAGCCCCAGGAUAACUGUUAGCUGAUGAGGCCCCAACUUGAUACAGAAAUUCCAAGCAAAAUACAAAAUAUGUAGUACAAGACCAUUCUGGCCUGUGAGUACAACAAAUGGUUUCUAGUGGUUGAUGGCGGAAGCGGUUUGUGGAUCAUCAAUGUCUAUGGGACUCCAUGUUUCCACGGGAACAGCUGACCAGGUUAACUCCUAUCUUCGCGAGACUGCUAUCACCGUUGCUUAAGUUCCGGGACUGUCCGCUUGGUCGCUCCUCUCCGCGCAAGAAAAUAUGGCCAAGACAAUAGCCAGGGACAAGCCAGUGAGUACUUUGAAUGUACUCGCAAACAUUAUGAACACAGGCAUAAUAUGACAGCGAUGUGCUGAAAAUAUUAUAAGAACAUGACGUCAGUCACCAAUGAUAAAUAAAACUCUGAUGCGUACGAGCAUGUUAAAUAUGAAUAUGCAAUAACAUAGCAAUAUUAAAAUUAUGAAAUAAAUAAUAAACGUGCCACAGUUGGGCGUCUGAGCGACACCACAUAAAGGGCUUUUAAAAGAAAUGCCACAGUCGGGCGUCUGAGCGACACCACAUACAGGGCUUUAAAAGAAAUGCCAUAGUCGGGCAUCUAAGCGACACCUCAUACAGGGCUUUAAAAGAAAUGCCACAGUCGGGCGUCUGAGCGACACCACAUACAGGGCUUUAAAAGAAAUGCCACAGUCGGGCGUCUGAGCGACACCACAUACAGGGCUUUAAAAGAAAUGCCACAGUCGGGCGUCUGAGCGACACCACAUACAGGGCUUUAAAAGAAACAAUCAUAGUGAAUAUCCUGGAGGUAGAACCAUCCCAGAGAUACUCGAUAAUAACAAUAAUAACACGGGUUAGUCAACAAUAAUAAUGAUUAUAAUUAUCACAAGUCACAUGUAGUAAUUCCAGUUCUGGUUUAAUAGUUUCACCUCCGAAGACCGACACUAAGACUGACACUUGACCCAUCCCAGACUGUAGUCCUUAACCAUGGACACGGCUAUUCGAAUAGGUUUUAAUCUCUGCAGAGGGUGUACUCUUUACCCACAAGUAACGGAUUCCAUGAGUCCAUUGGGACUAAUUCCGUCUACGGUCUUUUUGUUGAAAACACACCUAACUUGCACACACCAGCUUAACUCACCUGUGUCUGGAAUCACCCACGACAACUGUCAAGCAAAACUCUAAGUGGGGAGGCUACAACCUCGACGUUACAUGGGAUCAAAAAAUUUAUACCACGCCCAAGACUGGGGAAGCUACCCCCUUCGGCUACAGCCGAAACACCCAUGCUCCCGGACCCGGUGGCAUGACUACCGGAUGCCUCCAGUAUCUUCCACCACGGCCUCUCUGUACGGUGUGUGCUAGGAAAGGGGUUGACAACUUACUAAACCGUACCCUACUUAUUGUAGAGACGAGUGGUAGUACGAAGCAAGUAUGGGGGUUACUGGCACAAGACUCGAUCUACGGUCGACUCAGGAGUUUGUAUUAUAUCCUGCAUGAUUAGCAUAACAACGCACAUAUUUCAAAUAACAGAUAGAAACAUCACGCGACAUACCCCUCAUGCCAUACCGGACACGACCGUCUCAACGAAGGACUAGGAACAAGACCGUGUCUACCCAAGACAGAGGCCUUCCCGGCUUCCCUUCCGGUAUGCAUGAAAUACGUAUGACGGUGAUUUCCAUCACAAAUUAUGUCAACUUCAUUAGCAUAAACUCAUUAAAAAUGCACUCAUAAGUAGGAUCACUUCCUCACAUAAAAUGACGUAUGCACGUGUUGCGGUGGUGCUGUCAUCGAUUCAAACAACACACACAUAAAUUUCACCAGGGUUCAGAAUGCUUGCCUUCAGGUCAUGGGAAAGAAGGGUGCAUCCAAAACAUCUUGAAAUCUUCAAAAAUCCUAUUUAAAAGAAUAUAUAUGAAUUAACACACAAAACAAAACAGCACAAAAAGUUGUCUGGAAAUUUUUACAAAUAAAUCUUAAAAUAAACUAGACAGUAUUUGAAAGAGGUAGGAAAAAGAAUUAAUUCAUUUGGAGCUGUAUUAAAAAAGAUACAGCCGGUCAAAGUUUGGUCAAAAUUCUGAUAUUUAAACUAAAAACAGAAAGAAAACGCUUCGAAAUAUACGUACACGUAGAAGGCGCAUUUUGGAAAUGCGCUUCCACUUAUCCAGCGUGGACUGAGCCUGAGUCACUGACAGUGGGCCUGCCUGGCCCACUGGUCAGGUUUGACUAGCCCACCUCCCUCCUCUUCCUCCGCCCGAGAGAGGGGGCGGGACUCCGGCGACGCUCGCCGGUGAACGGCGGCACCGUUCAACAAACGGAGGUCACCCGCGGGCUCAGGGGGUCGAGGCGGUUACUCCGGUGGUGGUUUCGUCCUCUGGGGUGGACGGACUUGCCGGCGGCGAGCUCCGCGGCGGACGGUGGUUGCCGGAAAAGUGAAAUAUCGCCCGCGGCGAGUCCCGAUCAAGAUUGAGUAGGGGGACAGGCUCACGGGAUGAUGAGGGGGUUCCUGGUGGAGAGAGUGGAGAGGGGGAGGUCCUGGUGGCGCCGGAAUGGCCUGGUUAGUGACGGCGGCUGGAGUUGCCGGAGAGGAAGGAGACGACCCUCUCCCGUUGAUUGACGGCUAAGGGGGCACGCGUGGGACAGUGUGAAGCUGCCUGCCUGCGAGUUUGAGCUCGGGGCCUCUUUAUAUAGGCGGUGGAGGUCGGCUUGCGGCGGCCGGGGAUAAGCUUGCCGGCAACCGCCGUUCUGUAGCUAGGGUGACGUGGCGGUGACGCGCACUAGAGGACGGAUCUGUGGAUGAGCACGCAUUGCUCCAGGAGGCAGGUGGCAAGCGCUGGUGGCUUGGGCGGCGCCGACACGGCCGGGGCUGCAAGCGUCCGCCAGCUAGCCGCCACGGCCGUCCUGACGGUGGAGCUGUGGGGUGCCAGGUUGGUCGGGGUGGUGUGGCGGUGCAGGGGAACACGGAGUGUUGGCUGGGACCGGUCACGGGCCGGAUUUGGGUGCGUGGGUGCGACGCGGCGUCUCGGGCGCACGGGUGCCAAACGCACGCUCUGGGCGCACCCAGAGCACGCCCGGGACAUGCUCGACGAAAUGCUAGGGCAUCCUAGAGGUUGCAGUUGAGGCUGGCAAUUAACAGGACUAGUCUAGGCUUAGCAAGGGGACUGAGGGACAUGGUGGAUUGGUCAGGGGCUAAAGUUCACCAUGAAAACUUGGAUUCAUGCCAAAUCUGGCUGUGCACUCAGGGUGUUUGACAAAAUGCCAAAAGCACCUAGGUAGUUCUUGGAGUGGCCAAAAUCUCCAGAUCAGUGUCUCUAUGGGUGCAAGAGAGGGUGGUGAAGUUGGUUUGCAAAAAGGAGAAACUUGCUAAUGCAAGUUUUGCAAAACUACACUUCUUGACAGGGAGUAGAUGGCAUCAUUACAUGGGCUAAGAGUGCUCCAAAGAGUGCAUGCUCCUGGACUUAGGGGUUUUGCAGGGUUGGCUACAAGCAUGAGAAGACACAAGGUCACCUGAGCAAGAAAGAAUGGGGUUGCAGUAGAAAGCACAGGUCCGGUCCAGAAUGAAAAUGAUGUUGAUUCACUCAAAAAUUUCAAACAACAAUAGUGGGGUUUAGCAUAAAGUGGAAUCAUAUGCUGCUACUGACAUCCCAAAAUUUUGGUGGAGGCUCUAGGGAAUUAUUUAAGAGGGUUGUAGUGCAAAACUGUCCACUGGACCAGAGAAGAAAAAUAGGCACAAAACUCAUAAUAUGUGAUGAAAUAGAUAUAUAAUUGCACAGAAAUGAUUUAGAGACCUCACAUGAUGUCCCCAAAUUUUGGUCGGAUUUUUAGCUAAGUUUAUCAACUGGUUGAAGUAGAAAAAGAGCUCCUAAACUCAAACAAGUCAUUUUAAUGAUUAGAGCUCAGGGUGAACUAAUAUUAUAAAUAAAUCUACUGAUUUAGAAAUAGUUAUACAGAGAGCAUAGAAGUUUGAUACUUUGGAAAGCUCCACUAAAAAAAAUUAUCCUCAAUAUUAAAAGAGAUGCUCUGAACUCCACAGAAAUAAUCCAAAAGGAAAAAAAAAUUAAAACUCCUGGUAAAAUUUCAAUUUCCAAAAAUUUGGUUAAAAUUUUGGGGUGUUACAAUUACUAACCCCCUUAAAAAAAUCUCGUCCUCGAGAUUUGCUAAGGUUUGUAAAACAAAAUAAAUACUUUUACUAGAUCAAAAGAUCAUUUACACAAGCGGUAAAAAGAGGCUACAGUGAGAGGGCAAUAAGUGGUGAAUAACUACAAUGUGCGCACUGGCGUUGUGUGGAGAAAUUCCACGUCCCGGACAACGAGUGAUUUCUACGUGGGACGUUGUGAAUUUAGAAUAAAUUCCAAAUUCAACAAUAUGCUGGUCGUACCCGAGAGCACAGUGCUCCCUCUGGCUGACAGGUGGGACCGGGGCCCAUUGUCAGUCUCUCCUUCUUCCUCUGGCUCUCUCUUCUUCCUCUCUCCCGCGUGUUUUCCCGGCUUUCUGCACCGGCGACGACUAGCGCGUAGGGCAUCUAGGCCGUACUGCGGUAGUGCCCGGCGUGCUUGCUGCCGGUGCAGUGUGCACUCACGUCGCGGGCCAGUGCGCUGUCGGCACUGCUCACGGAUUCGCCUCCGAACACCAGCGAUCGGGCGACGAGCGGCGCUGGUGGACUUCGUCCACCGUACACCGAUCCCGAGCUAUAAAAUGACCGCGGUGCUCCUUCUUCAUCUUCGCACCUGGCCUCGCUUCUCCUCCUUCUGCUCCUCCAUUACCGCUCACCGGAGCUCGAGACGUGGCUCCAAUGGCGGAGAUGGUGCCGGACUGGUACAUGAUCCUGGUGUGUGGAGGGCUGGCGGCAGUGCUGGGGCUCUCGGUGCUCCUGUGCGCGAUGAUCUAUGAUGAUCGUUGUGAUGCUGCUGCUCGGGUGUUGGCUCUCCGCGGUGGCGGUCAUCACGAGGAUUAGGCGUAAUCCCGAGUGUUUUACCGCUACCGAUGUGUUGGAGGUGGAUGGUGUCCAGAUGACUAUCCGCUAAUCUCUCCCUUGGAUGCAUGUGGAGCACUUAGGGGGGUGGUUGGGUGAGAUGCAACAUGGUUGCGUGUAUUUCAGGUAGUGUAAGAGUCCGAGUGGUUGUGGGUUUGCUGUCGUGGUGCUGCGUGAAAUAAAACAAAUAAUCCAUGCAGCUGGGGGAAAUAAAAGAUGCAGCAAUUUUUUGGAAAAAGAAAAUCUCAUUCCAGGAUUUUUCGCGGUUACACAGGCUACUCACGAAGAAAACCACUCACAAACGUAGAAACUAAAUACUCGACUUGCCGCACAAAUUCGAGGUACCAUGCAUAAGUUACAACAUAAUAGUAAAUGCUGAAAUAACAAAUGUAGCAGUGACGUCUAAAAUGAGAAUGGUAACUGGACAGGGUCUCGAGGAAAAGUCUCUGGUAGUGGAACGCUCUCCUCUUCUAUCGGAGGAAGUGGAUUGAUCAGUCGAUGUAUGUGUCUCUCCGGAUCAGGCCUCAGUGGUCUGCCAAUGGCAAUCUGAGGAUUCAGAUCAGUGAGAUUCUGGAGAUAAUCCAUCACUCGCUGGUUCAAAUGCUCUUGAGCGAUGAUGUACUGGAUGAGGUUGGCUAGUACUCGGCCUCUCUCAAUCCGCCCACCGGGGAAAGAUGUUACUCCCCCGGGCGUUGCACGGCUCGGGAAGUAAUAAUAUCCUCGCUCGCGGGCAUAGGGCACUGUGGAUCAAAGACGAGCAAUUGCUUCGUGCGCAGCAGCCUCUAUGGCCAAACGUGGGGCUGGCAUAGAUUUCCCCAUGAAGGAAACCUCCGUUGGAUCUUGGUUGGGGUCUACGGGAGGAAUGUGUACUGCUGCCCAAUAUUCCGAGGUGGAAGGGAUGAUUCUCGAUUUGAACAACUCAUACUGGGGUGGCUGGGUAGAACCCAUGGUACUGCAGGUAAAGUCCCACAAUAUUUUGACAAAGCUACCUAGGGUUGCAUCGGGGGUUCUCCGAUAAAUACUAGGGCUCGGCAUGGUAAGAAAUGGUCGUGGGAGUGGUGCACGAGGUGAGGGUUGCUGAGUAAGGUCACAAGGUGGCCUUCUUAUGUAGCAUCUGGCUGGUUUUAUUUACCGUGGUGAAAGGUAAUAAAUCUGCCAGAUUAGCUCCAAAGGUCAUGGUCAGUGUCAGAGAUACACAUAUCUCAUGAAGAGACGUGUUACUGUGGGUGUCGUCGGGUCUGGUUUUGGUAGCUGUGCCCGGAAACGUGCAACUAUGCGCUGACAAACUACGCAAGGCUACUAUAAAAACAGAGGCACGACGACAGGCUGCGAUAAUACACAAGAUUACAUGAUUACAAAGCGGGGAUACACUAAGACUCGGCACUACUCGCACAGCUUAGUCUACCCCGUUUAGGUCUAAACGGGCGUGUCUGGUGGAUGUCGAGGCUUCUCCACAUGUCUCACUGCCGGGAUUUGUCGGAGAUGGCGGAGGAACCGCAGGGUCGGGGUAGCGAUGAUGACCGUCGCGGGGAUUGUUGGCCACAAUCCCGUUGGAGUGUGCUCCCAAAAGGUGACAAAGCACUUCUGGGGUCAUCAAGACACCUUGGCCGCUGGUUGGAGCUGACCUCAGGGUCUCGAUCGGGUGUCCAAACAGCACGACUGGGUUGUCGGCGUCUGACUCGGCUUCCCUGCUUGCCGGGGCUCGGCGAACCAGCUCUCCUCGAGCUGCGAUCAGAUCAAUAGUGAUUUGAUCAAACAAUGCCUCUAGUGCACUUACAUAGCGCACUAAGUGCAACAAUGCGGGAUACGUCUCGUGGUCUCCGCUGGCAACUUGGGGUGGUCUACCAUACCCUUCACGCCUGGGGUAGUAGUAGAACGAGUGACAGUUAACUCUAGGCGACAACUGCCGGAGUUGAACUAUAGCUUCUCGAGCGGCUAGCUGGAUGGCUUGUGGCUCGAAGGAAGUUGUUCUUCCGGUGAACCUGUAGGGGCGUUCUGGCGACAAACCCCUACCGUAGAUGUGCACAGUGGCCCAGAAUUGUCGGUCUUCACCGCUCAUGGGUCCUUGGUACACAACAUAUUCUGGGGGCUCUUCUAACGCGUAGGCACGACGGGUGAGGUUUGCGAGUAUGGUCAUGAAACCUCCAAGAUUGGUUGCUGUGGUCUCAUUGUGCACUAUGGGACCAGGCAUUGUGGCUAGGUUGGGGAAGAGGCUAUGCUGUGUUGUGUUGAGGCUAGCGUGCCCUUUUAUAGAAAAGGGAAUGGAGUCUUCCUUCGCACGCUUGCGAAUGAAACAUUUUUGCCAUCGGUCACUGGUGUGGGAUUGAUAGGCUAGGCUGAUAGGUUGGGCACUGACUGCCAAAAGUGUCGGGAUCACUGUGUGGCUAUCUUGCAUGGGAAGCUUGGCUGAGGUUUUGGUUAGGGUCUGGUAGGUUGUUUUUCCUAAGUUAUCUGACCUGGCUAAGAUAGGAUUAGCCAAUGGUCAGCCUGGCUCUGGUACCAAGUCUGUGGGGACCGAUUCUCCGGGUAUUAAUUCCCAGAAAAUGGCCCUUGUGCUCACCAGCCCCAGGAUAACUGUUAGCUGAUGAGGCCCCAACUUGAUACAGAAAUUCCAAGCAAAAUACAAAAUAUGUAGUACAAGACCAUUCUGGCCUGUGAGUACAACAAAUGGUUUCUAGUGGUUGAUGGCGGAAGCGGUUUGUGGAUCAUCAAUGUCUAUGGGACUCCAUGUUUCCACGGGAACAGCUGACCAGGUUAACUCCUAUCUUCGCGAGACUUCUAUCACCGUUGCUUAAGUUCCGGGACUGUCCGCUUGGUUGCUCCUCUCCGCGCAAGAAAAUCUGGCCAAGACAAUAGCCAGGGACAAGUCAGUGAGUACUUUGAAUGUACUCGCAAACAUUAUGAACACAGGCAUAAUAUGACAGCGAUGUGCUGAAAAUAUUAUAAGAACAUGACGUCAGUCACCAAUGAUAAAUAAAACUCUGAUGCAUACGAGCAUGUUAAAUAUGAAUAUGCAAUAACAUAGCAAUAUUAAAAUUAUGAAAUAAAUAAUAAACAUGCCACAGUCGGGCGUCUGAGCGACACCACAUAAAGGGCUUUUAAAAGAAAUGCCACAGUCGGGCGUCUGAGCGAGCGACACCACAUAAAGGGCUUUUAAAAGAAAUGCCACAGUCGGGCGUCUGAGCGACACCACAUACAUGGCUUUAAAAGAAAUGCCACAAUCGGGCGUCUGAGCGACACCACAUACAGGGCUUUAAAAGAAAUGCCACAGUCGGGCGUCUGAGCGACACCACAUACAGGGUUUUAAAAGAAAUGCCACAGUCAGGCGUCUGAGCGACACCACAUACAUGGCUUUAAAAGAAACAAUCAUAGUGAAUAUCCCGGAGGUAGAACCAUCCCAGAGAUACUCGAUAAUAACAAUAAUAACACGGGUUAGUCAACAAUAAUAAUGAUUAUAAUUAUCACAAGUCACAGUUAGUAAUUCCAGUUUGGUUUAACAGUUUCACCUCCGAAGACUGACACUAAGACCGACACUUGACCCAUCCCAGACUAUAGUCCUUAACCAUGGACACGGCUAUUCGAAUAGGUUUUAAUCUCUACAGAGGGUGUACUCUUUACCAACGAGUAACGGAUUCCAUUAGUCCAUCGGGACCAAUUCCGUCUACGGUCUUUUUGUUGAAAACACACCUAACUUGCACACACCAGCUUAACUCACCUGUGUCUGGAAUCACCCACGACACCUGUCAAGCAAAACUCUAAGUGGGGAGGCUACAACCUCGACGUAACAUGGGAUCACAAAAUUUAUACCGCGCGCAAGACUGGGGAAGCUACCCCCUUUGGCUACAACCGAAACACCCAUGCUCCCGGACCCGGUGGCAUGACUACCGGAUGCCUCCAGUAUCUUCCACCACGGCCUCUCUGUACGGUGUGUGCUAGGAAAGGGGUUGACAACUUACUAAACCGUACCCUAGUUAUUGUAGAGACGAGUGGUAGUACGAAGCAAGUAUGGGGGUUACUAGCACAAGACUCGAUCUACGGUCGACUCAGGAGUUUGUAUUAUAUCCUGCAUGAUUAGCAUAACAACGCACAUAUUUCAAAUAACAGAUAGAAACAUCACGCGACAUACCCCUCAUGCCAUACCGGACACGACCGUCUCAACGGAGGACUAGGAACAAGACCGUGUCUACCCAAGACAGAGGCCUUCCCGGCUUCCCUUCCGGUAUGCAUGAAAUACGUAUGACGGUGAUUUCCAUCGCAAAUUAUCUCAACUUCAUUAGCAUAAACUCAUUAAAAAUGCACUCAUAAGUAGGAUCACUUCCUCACAUAAAAUGACGUAUGCACGUGUUGCGGUGGUGCUGUCAUUGAUUCAAACAACACACACAUAAAUUUCACCAGGGUUCAGAAUGCUUGCCUUCAGGUCAUGGGAAAGAAGGGUGCAUCCAAAACAUCUUGAAAUCUUCAAAAAUCCUAUUUAAAAGAAUAUAUAUGAAUUAACACACAAAACAAAACAGCACAAAAAGUUGUCUUGAAUUUUUUUCAAAUAAAUCUUAAAAUAAACUAGACAGUAUUUGAAAGAAGCAGGAAAAAGAAUUAAUUCAUUUGGAGCUGUAUUAAAAAAGAUACAGCCGGUCAAAGUUUGGUCAAAAUUCUGAUAUUUAAAAUAAAAACAGAAAGAAAACACUUCGAAAUAUACGUACACGUCGAAGGCGCAUUUUGGAAAUGCGCUUCCACUUAUCCAGCGUGGACUGAGCCUGAGUCACUGACAGUGGGCCCGCCUGGCCCACUGGUCAGGUUUGACUAGCCCACCUCCCUCCUCUUCCUCCGCCCGAGAGAGGGGGCGGGACUCCGGCGACGCUCGCCGGCGAACGGCAGCACCGUUCAACAAAUGGAGGUCACCCGCGGGCUCAGGGGGUCGAGGCGGUUACUCCGGUGGUGGUUUCGUCCUCUGGGGUGGACGGACUUGCCGGCGGCGAGCUCCGCGGCGGAUGGUGGUUGUCAGAAAAGUGAAAUAUCGCCCGCGGCGAGUCUUGAUCAAGAUUCAGUAGGGGGACGGGCUCACGGGAUGAUGAGGGGGGUCCUGGUGGAGAGAGUGGAGAGGGGGAGGUCCUGGUGGCGCCGGAAUGGCCUGGUUAGUGACGGCGGCUGGAGUUGCCGGAGAGGAAGGAGACGACCCUCUCCCGUCGAUUGACGGCUAAGGGGGCACGAGUGGGACGGUGUGAAGCUGCCUGCCUGCGAGUUUGAGCUCGGGGCCUCUUUAUAUAGGCGGUGGAGGUCGGCUUGCGGCGGCCGGGGAUAAGCUUGCCGGCGACCGCCGUUCUGUAGCUAGGGUGACGUGGCGGUGACGCGCGCUAGAGGACAGAGCUGUGGAUGAGCACGCAUUGCUCCAGGAGGCAGGUGGCAAGCGCUGGUGGCUUGGGCGGCGCCGACACGGCCUGGGCUGCAAGCGUUCGCCAGCUAGCUGCCACGGCCGUCCUGACGGUGGCGCUGUGGGGUGCCAGGUUGGUCGGGGUGGUGUGGCAGUGUAGGGGAACACGGAGUGUUGGCUGGGACCGGUCAUGGGACGGAUUUGGGUGCUGGGGUGCGACGCGGCGUCUCGGGCGCACGGGUGCCAAACGCAUGCUCUGGGCGUGCCCAGAGCACGCCCGGGACAUGCUCGACGAAAUGCUAGGGCAUCCUAGAGGCUGCAGUUGAGGCUGGCAAUUAACAGGACUAAUCUAGGCUUAGCAAGGGGACUGAGGGACAUGGUGGAUUGGUCAGGGGCUUAAGUUCACCAUGAAAACUUGGAUUCAUGCCAAAUAUGGCUGUGCACUCAGGGUGUUUGACAAAAUGCCAAAAGCACCUAGGUAGUUCUUGGAGUGGCCAAAAUCUCCAGAUCAGUGUCUCAAUGGGUGCAAGAGAGGGUGGUGAAGUUGGUUUGCAAAAAGGAGAAACUUGCUAAUGCAAGUUUUGCAAAACUACACUUCUGGACAGGGAGUAGAUGGCAUCAUUACAUGGGCUAAGAGUGCUCCAAAGAGUGCAUGCUCCUGGACUUAGGGGUUUUGCAGGGUUGGCUACAAGCAUGAGAAGACACAAGGUCACCUGAGCAAGAAAGAAUGGGGUUGCAGUAGAAAGCACAGGUCUGGUCCAGAAUGAAAAUGAUGUUGAUUCACUCAAAAAUUUCAAACAACAACAUUGGGUUUUUGCAUAAAGUGGAAUCAUAUGCUGCUACUGACAUCCCAAAAUUUUGGUGGAGGCUCUAGGGAAUUAUUUAAAAGGGUUGUAGUGCAAAACUGUCCACUGGACCAGAGAAGAAAAAUAGGCACAAAACUCAUAAUAUGUAAUGAAAUAGAUAUAUAAUUGCACAGAAAUGAUUUAGAGACCUCACAUGAUGUCCCCAAAUUUUGGUUGGAUUUUUAGCUAAGUUUAUCAACUGGUUGAAGUAGAAAAAGAGCUCCUAAACUCAAACAAGUCAUUUUAAUGAUUAGAGCUCAGGGUGAACUAAUAUUAUAAAUAAAUCUACUGAUUUAGAAAUAGUUAUACAGAGAGCAUAGAAGUUUGAUACUUUGGAAAGCUCCAGUAAAAAAAAUUAUCCUCAAUAUUAAAAGAGAUGCUCUGAACUCCACAGAAAUAAUCCAAAAGAAAAAAAAAUUAAAACUCCUGGCAAAAUUUUAAUUUCCAAAAAUUUGGUUAAAUAUUUGGGGUGUUACACCCGGGGGCCAUAGGUUUCACUAGUGGCUUCUCUCAAGAGCAUAAGUAUUCUAUGGUGGGUGAACAAACUACUGUUGAGCAAUUGACAGAAUUGAGCAUAGUUAUGAGUAUAUCUAGGUAUGGUCAUGUAUAUAGGCAUCACGUCCAAGAGAAGUAGACCGAAACGAUUCUGCAUCUACUACUAUUACUCCACUAAUCGACCACUAUCCAGCAUGCAUCUAGAGUAUUAAGUUAAAAACAGAGUAACGCUUUAAGCAAGAUGACAUGAUGUAGAGGGAUAAAUUCAUGCAAUAUGAUAAAAAAACCAUCUUGUUAUCCUCGAUGGAAACAAUACAAUAUGUACCUUGCUGCUCCUUCUGUCACUGGGAAAGGACACCGCAAGAUUGAAUCCAAAGCUAAGCACUUCUCCCAUUGCAAGAACUACCAAUCUAGUUGGCCAAACCAAACAGAAAGUUCGAAGAGACAUGCGAAGAUAACUCAAUCAUACAUAAAAGAAUUCAGAGAAGAUUCAAAUAUUAUUCAUAGAUAAGCUGGAUCAUAAACCCACAAUUCAUCGGUCUCAACAAACACACCACAAAAAAGAAGAUUACAUCGAAUAGUUCCCACGAGAGAGGGGGAGAACAUUGUAUUGAGAUCCAAAAAGAGAGAAGAAGCCAUCUAUGUAACGCCCCAGAUCCGACGCGCCAGGUGUCUGCCACUUAUUCGCCGUCUUUGCCAUGUCAUUUGCUUGGGUGUUGCAUUUCAUCAUGUCAUCAUGUGCAUUUCAUUUUGCAUACGUGUUCGUCUCAUGCAUUCGAGCCUUUUCCCCGUUGUCCGUUUUGCAAUCCGGCACUCCUAUGCCCUCCAGCGUUCCCCUUUUGUCUCUCGUUGUGAGCGGGUGUUAAACGUUCUCGGAAUGGACCGAGUCUUGCCAAGUGGCCUUGGUACACCACCGGUAGACUGCCUGUCAAGUUUCGUGCCAUUUGGAGGUCGUUUAGUACUCCAACGGUUAACCGGGUAAGCGUAAAAGCCCCUUUCUCUUUGCAGCCCAACACCCCUUCCAAACUGGCCCAAAACCAAUCUAACUCCCCUCCAAGCUCUCGGUCGUUCAAUCACGAUCAUGUGGGCGAAAACUGCUCCUCAUUUGGACUCUCCUAGCUCCCAGAAAUCUAUAAAUAGCCCCUCCCUCGAAAUUCCGCAGUCCAAACCCCCGAAACCCUAGCAGUUUUCCUCCUCGCGCCGCCGGACAUGUCCAUCCGCGCCGGACAUGUCCGCCGGACACGUCGCCCCGGCCAAUCCGGCCUCGCCACGUCAGCGCAGCCACCUCCCUCCACCUAUCAGCCGCCGCCACCUCAGCCGCACCCUCAUCCUCUCUGUCUCCCCCCGCCGCCAGGCCCGUCGAGGCCCGCCGCAGGCCCGCCCACGGACCGAUCUGGGCCCAGGCGCCCCGCGCCGCGCCUUCCCUCCGGNNNNNNNNNNNNNNNNNNNNNNNNNNNNNNNNNNNNNNNNNNNNNNNNNNNNNNNNNNNNNNNNNNNNNNNNNNNNNNNNNNNNNNNNNNNNNNNNNNNNNNNNNNNNNNNNNNNNNNNNNNNNNNNNNNNNNNNNNNNNNNNNNNNNNNNNNNNNNNNNNNNNNNNNNNNNNNNNNNNNNNNNNNNNNNNNNNNNNNNNNNNNNNNNNNNNNNNNNNNNNNNNNNNNNNNNNNNNNNNNNNNNNNNNNNNNNNNNNNNNNNNNNNNNNNNNNNNNNNNNNNNNNNNNNNNNNNNNNNNNNNNNNNNNNNNNNNNNNNNNNNNNNNNNNNNNNNNNNNNNNNNNNNNNNNNNNNNNNNNNNNNNNNNNNNNNNNNNNNNNNNNNNNNNNNNNNNNNNNNNNNNNNNNNNNNNNNNNNNNNNNNNNNNNNNNNNNNNNNNNNNNNNNNNNNNNNNNNNNNNNNNNNNNNNNNNNNNNNNNNNNNNNNNNNNNNNNNNNNNNNNNNGCCGCCGCGCGCCGCGGCACGUCGCCCGCUCCCUGCCGCCCGGCCUCGCCGGCCCCGUGCCCCUCGUCGACCGUGCCUCGCCGGAGCUCUUCUCAGGCCAGAUCCGUGAAGUAGAUCAGAUCCACCAGGAGUUGAACCAAACGGGAUCCCCGCGUCCCAGAUAUCUUCGUCCCGAGUUGACUUUUCGGAGGGUAUAUUUUCAAAGUCCCCGGAUCUGUGUAAUUUUCAUGUCAUGUUCAUCGCAUCGUAUCUCUGCAUCCGUAGCUCCGUUUCGUGCUUGUAAUAUGUCAAAUUGUUUGUCUCGACGAGUACAUCAUUUCAUUCCAUUGCAUCUUAUUCAUUUGAGCUCAUCUUGAUGCCUUGUUUUCUGCUGUCUGUUUACAGAACGAGCUCUUUUGUCAUUUUUUCCAUGAUUGAUGUGUGCAUCCUACGAGGUUGAUGUCUACAUGUGUUUUGAACUGUGCCAUGUCUUCUUUACAGAGGUGCUUACCAUGUAUUUUUGUGAUCAAUGUGGUGACUAGCACAAGCAUGCAAACUAGGCAUCGUGAUGUUGCUGAUUUUAGUCCCUGUUCUGCUGUUAUUUUGAUGCCAUGUAAACAUGAUGCUACAGAGAGAUCCAUGCAUAUUUUGAGAUACUUUAGUAAGGGUGUUUUGAACAUAUGGUUGUUGUCUAUCCAUUCAUGCCCCUGGUUGCAAUUAUGGAGUAGUCUAGGAUGUCAUUUUCGUGCUCUACUUUUGCUUCAAAAUGUUUCCUGGCAGAUUGUUUACAUGUUAUUCAAUUUUGCCAAGGUUGUUGUAAUUGAUCCUUGCAUGCUAUGAACUUGAUCUUGCCAUGCUUAUCUUCACAAAUAUGUUUUCUUACUGUUGGUUUCCUUUCCAUGCCAUGUUUUUCUCUGUAGUGAGUUGCACAAGCUCAUCUACAUGCCUUCAUAAUUAUGUUUCUGCCAUGUAUGAAUCUGUAUUAUAACUUGCUAUGUUUACAUGGGUGUCAUCAUAUUUUCUGAUCCUUUUUGGCUUAUGGUCACUAAGGGACUUUUUAUCUAUGCAAUUAGUAGAUUCAUGCCAUGACUUUGUUUGCCAUUAUAAGUUCCUGUAACAUGUUGUUUGAUAGCUCUAAACAUUGCAUCCUGAUGUUAUUCUCUGCAAAGUCUGAAAUUGUUAUUACUUGCAAUAUUGCCAUGUGUAUUUGACCAUGUUCUAGUGAUUUCUAGAGAUAGCUCAAUGUUCAUGUUUUGUUAUGCUUUACCUGUACAUCACGCCCAUGCCUUUUGUUUUCUUGUUGAGGUCCUGUAGCAUGUUGUUUUGAUGCUUGCAAUAUGCCUAGUUGCUGUUUUGGACAGCUUGUCCUUUAAAUUUGUAUAGUGUGCAUGCGUUGAACUGUUGCUCCGUUUUGAGUGUGCUCUAUAUGAAACUUGCUUGAUUUUGCAUAUAGUUCCAUAUUAUCAUGUUGCAUCCUUGUUUUGGUGUGUUUGCUUGAUGUUUGGGUGCAUUUUGCAUCAAUGCCAUGUUUAACUUGUUUUGCUCAUAUCUUCUAGGCCUUAGCCCCGAACUAAAUGAACUUUAUAUGUAACUUGACUAGAAUCUCGUGUAGAUCAUCCUUGUGCAUCUUAACUUGAUGUUUAACUACUUGAACAUAAGGUUUAUUCAGAUCUGGACCAAUUUCGAAAUAUGCAUAUGAGGACUUACCGGAAUUGUUAUAUGUUGUUCCCGGCCUCAUUUAAACUUGCCUUGAUGUGUUGCUCUUGUUUGCAUCAUCUCUUGCCAUGAGUAGCCUCAUCUAGAUUUGUCAUGCAUCAUGCUUGAUGUGCAUCAUGUCUUGUUUAUGUGUGGUGUGUUUACCAUGUUGUGUGCUUCUUCUCGAUAGUUUCUCGUAUCGUUGCGAUCGUGAGGAUUCGUUCGUCUACGCUUGGUUCGUCUUCGUGGCUUCAUCUUCUUCAUGGACUCGUUCUUCUUCCUUGCGGGAUUUCAGGCAAGAUGACCGCUACCCUGGAUCUCACUACUAUCAUUGCUAUGCUAGUUGCUUCGUUCUAUCGCUUUGCUGCGUUACCUAUCACCUGUUUAUCAAGCCUCCCAUAUUGCCAUGCACCUCUAACCUUUGACAUCUUUCCUAUGCAAACCGUUGUUUGGCUAUGUUACCGCUUUGCUCAGCCCUCUUAUAGCGUUGCUAGUUGCAGGUGAAGUUGAAGAUUCCUCCAUGGUGGACAGGAUUUUGGUUGGGAUAUCACAAUAUCUCUUAUAUUAUUAAUGCAUCUAUAUAUUUGGUAAAGGGUGGAAGACUCGGCCUUUUGCCUGGUGUUUUGUUCCACUCUUGCCGCCCUAGUUUCCGUCAUACCGGUGUUAUGUUCCCAGAUUUUGCGUUCCUUACGCGGUCGGGUGAUUUAUGGGACCCCCUUGACAGUUCGCUUUGAAUAAAACUCCUCCAGCAAGGCCCAACCUUGGUUUUACCAUUUGCCUCACCACCACCAAUACCUUUCCCUUGGGUCGGCCAACCCGAGGGUCAUAUUUAUUUUAGCCCCCCAGGCCAGUGAUUGUCUAAGUGUUGGUCCGAACCGGGCAGACUGCGGGGCCACCUCGGGGCAACUCGAGGGCUAGUUUUACUCGUAGGCUGGCCUAUCCGGUGUUGCCCUGAGAACGAGAUAUGUGCAGCUCCUAUCGGGAUUGUCGGCGCACCGGGCGGCUUUGCUGGUCUAGUUUUACCAUUGUCGAAAUGUCUUGUAAACCAGGAUUCCGAGUCUGAUCGGGUCUUCCUGGGAGAAGGUAUAUCCUUCGUUGAUCGCGAGAGCUUGUCAUGGGCUAAGUUGGGACACCCCUGUAGGGUAUAAUCUUUCGAAAGCCGUGCCUGCAGUUAUAGGCAGAUGGGAAUUUGUUGAUGUCCAGUUGUAGAUAACUUGACACCAGAUCCGAAUUAAAACGCAUCAACCGCGUGUGUAGCCAUGAUGGUCUCUUCUCGGCGGAGUCCGGGAAGUGAACACGGUCUUUGGGUUAUGUUUCACGUAAGUAGGAGUUCAGGAUCACUUCUUGAUCAUUGCUAGCUUCACGACCGUUCUGCUUGCUCUCUUCUCGCUCUUAUUUGCGUAUGUUAGCCACCAUAUAUGCUUAGUCGCUGCUGCAGCCUCACCACUUUACCCCUUCCUUUCCCAUUUAGCUUUGCUAGUCUUGAUACCCAUGGUAAUGGGAUUGCUGAGUCCUCGUGGCUCACAGAUGACUACAACAACAGUUGCAGGUACAGGUUGUGCGAUGAUCAUGACGCGAGAGCGAUGUUUGAUUGUGUUGAGUUCUUCUUCUGCUUCUUCUUCGAUCAGGGGAUAGGUUCCAAGUCGGCAGCCUGGGCUAGCAGGGUGGAUGUAUUUUGAGUUUCUGUUUGUGUUUCAUCCAUAGUCGGAUGAUGCUCUGAUGUAUUGUGAUGUUGUAUUCGUGUGGCAUUGUAUGCCUCUUGUAUGUAUCCCCAUCUAUUAUGUAAUGUUGAUGUAAUGAUAUCCACCUUGCAAAAGCGUUUCAAUAUGCGGGUCUAUCCUUGGUGGGACCUUCGAGUUCCUUUUGGAUAGGGUCGCAUAUAGGGCGUGACAAGUUGGUAUCAGAGCCUCGACCGACCUUAGGAGCCCCCCUUGAUUGAUCGUGUAGUUUGGCCGUUGUUGAGUCUAUGAGAAAACUAUUUUCGGAGUCUAGUUAUAUCGGAGAGUAGAAAUUCUUUUUACUCCUCUGCCCCUUCGUCGCUCUGGUAAGGAAUCUUGACGUAGGUGUUUUGAAUUACUCCUCUUCCCCUUCAGAAAUUUUCUUUAGGUUCAUGCAGUUGGUUUUUUGAUCGUGGGUUCUCAGCUCUUUUCAUCCGGUGCAUUUCUCGUCAAGUUGACUGGACUCUCUUCAUCGUUGCCAAGUUCAAUCCCCAGUUGUUUUCUUUUCCCACCCGCCCACCCUUCUUCUUCUCGGAACCGGAGUCCAUAAUCGAGUAUCCAUCCUAAUCGUGAGAAGUCUUUGCUUUCUUUACUCAAUGAUUUCAACCGGUGUUUUCUCUUCAAGUUAUUCGUCGGUUUCCCCUUCCAAGUUGCUUUUGUUUUCCCGCCCUCCCACUCUUUUUCUUCCCGGAGUCCGACUCUCUCUCCACCAGCUAUUUCAUUCGUACGGAGGUUCUUCAGUCUUCCCCCAAUCAUUUCAAUCGGUGAAUUCUUGUCUCGGUGGAAAUUCUUCAUCUCUUCUCUGGUGGACUCAAUUCAGGUUUUCGUGUUGAUCAUAUUAUUUUCCUUGGAUCAAGUCUCCUCCUUGCUCAUUUGCCUCUCGCCAUUCAAUCAUUCCGGAGUUCGGAAGACAUCUAAGGAGAUUCGUCUGUGUUCCAAUUAAUUCGAGGUUGUCACCUCAUUCAAAUAUUUCAAUUGUUCCGGUGCAUCAUCUAUUUGUUCAACAUCCCUUUUUCAACGGUGUUUUCUUUUAGUGGGCCCUAACCCACAGGUCUUUUCCCAGGAUCUUACCCGACUCUUCUAUUUCAAGUGUGACGUAAGAAUGGAUUUCAUCAGUCACAUGUCUUCUCCAAGAUCGCGUUUAAAUUCUUUUCAUUGUUGGCUCAACCCCUUCGCUUUUCAUUCUCCCGGAGUAUCUCAGUAAUUUUAGUGUUGUUUCCCGUCGUCAUUUGAAGACUGAAGAAGAGUUUUUCCUCUAAAUCUUUUCUGUUCUCCUAGAGAUUCGUGGUUGUAGCUUCAUAUCAUCCUCUCGAAUUAUUCCAAUUGUCAGAUAUUCUUUUCAUCCAUCCGGAGUUUGUCAGGAGUUGAUUUAUGUUUCUUUUCACCGGAGGCCAUCAUUUCAGCUACCGUUAUCCAAUUAUCCCGGUGCUUCGUUCAAGUGUUCUUUAAUCAGCUCAUGAUCUCUUUGUUCUUUUACAUCUAAAUCCCCUCUAGCAGAUUUAUUCUUCUAAUUCUCCCCGGUGAUUCAUUCUCGUUCGUCAGUCAUUUUUGAAUUCUUACGGUGGUUCGUUCAAGAUUCUUUUUCUUUGAUUAUCAUAUCAAUUUCAUUCGUUCUUUCCAAUCCUACCGGUGGUUCAUGAAUACCUUCUCAAGUUUGCGAUAUGUCACUUCUCAAUUCUUGUCAAGAAGAAUAAGUAAUAUGCAAAAAUCCAUUGCUUGUCAUCAAUUUAAUUUGAUGAAUGAUAAGCAUACAAUAAAUCUUAUUCUUAUUUCAUUCAAGUGAGUAAUCCCUUCCAUCAGAGUUUGUUCUUGAUGGAUAAAUUCUUGAUUCCAUGUGAUUCAUUUUUAUUUUCCGGAGUUCAAUUUCCUCGGCCAUUUUGUUUGAACCCCAUCUAAAUCACCGCAAGAUUUUAAUCUUAUUCUUUUCAUCUUUCAUUUUAUCUCAUCAUCCUUUUGUCACCGGAGUUCUUCAUGGUGGUUCUUCAUGAUUUAAUUCAUUCUUCAAGUGCUCAUCAAGAUUCUUAUCGAAGGAGCUCAAGUUUCUUUUCUUCUCGCGUCUCGAAGUGAAAUUAAUUCUUCAUUGUCUUUUGAAGUGGAGUUUUGCAUUCCUUCGUUCUUCUCAGCUAUUCUAUCAUUUCCACUUGCGGCUGUUUAUCACCUCAUAAUUUCUAAGAUGUUAUCCAUAAGUCCACGACAAGCUUAUGCUUUCGUUGUUGAAUUUUCUCAACAACUCUAUUCAAUCCUUCCUUCUAAAAUCUUUCAUUCCUUUCUUCCAAUUCUUCCGAAGGUUUUGUAUCAUGUCUUCAUCAAGUAUCAUUCCAUCCUCUCUAGCUCGUCUUCUAUUCUUUCCAUUUCAUUCGGAGUGCUGCCUAAAUCCUUUCAGUCUUAUUCGUUUCUUAUCUCGUUUUAACCGGAGUGGUUUCAUAGUCUAUCUGAUUCCGUGAGCUUUCGAUUCUCGUCAUUCUCGUUAUUCCUCUCUUCUUCUCGAGUGCUCUCGAUUUGUUGCUCCUUCUCGUCAGUUCUUUUUUCACCUCAUCCCUUUUCCCUUCCGUCUCGGUCCUAAGAUCUCGGGAUGAGAUCUCUUGUUAGUGGAGGAGUGUUGUAACGCCCAGGAUCCGAUGCGCCAGGUGCCUGCCAGUUAUUCGCCGUCUUUGCCAUGUCAUUUGCUUGCGUGUUGCAUUUCAUCAUGUCAUCAUGUGCAUUUCAUUUUGCAUACGUGUUCGUCUCAUGCAUCCGUGCCUUUUUCCCGUUGUCCGUUUUGCAAUCGGCACUCCUAUGCCCUCCGGCGUUCCCCUUUUGUCUCUCGUUGUGAGCGGGUGUUAAACGUUCUCGGAAUGGACCGAGUCCUGCCAAGUGGCCAUGGUACACCACCGGUAGACCACCUGUCAAGUUUCGUGCCAUUUGGAGGUCGUUUGGUACUCCAACGGUUAACCGGGUAACCGUAAAAGCCCCUUUCUCUUUGCAGCCCAACACCCCUUCCAAACUGGCCCAAAACCCAUCUAACUCCCCUCCAUGCUCUCGGUCAUUCGAUCACGAUCGUGUGGGUGAAAACCGCUCCUCAUUUGGACUCUUCUAGCUCCCAGAAAUCUAUAAAUAGCCCCUCCCCCGAAAUUCCGCAGUCCAAACCCCCGAAACCCUAGCAGUUUUCCUCCUCGCGCCGCCGGACAUGUCCAUCCGCGCCGAACAUGUCCGCCGGACACGUCGCCCCGGCCAAUCCAGCCUCGCCACAUCAGCGCCGCCGCCUCCCUCCACCUAUCAGCCGCCGCCACCUCAGCCGCGCCCUCACCCCCUCUCUCCCCNNNNNNNNNNNNNNNNNNNNNNNNNNNNNNNNNNNNNNNNNNNNNNNNNNNNNNNNNNNNNNNNNNNNNNNNNNNNNNNNNNNNNNNNNNNNNNNNNNNNNNNNNNNNNNNNNNNNNNNNNNNNNNNNNNNNNNNNNNNNNNNNNNNNNNNNNNNNNNNNNNNNNNNNNNNNNNNNNNNNNNNNNNNNNNNNNNNNNNNNNNNNNNNNNNNNNNNNNNNNNNNNNNNNNNNNNNNNNNNNNNNNNNNNNNNNNNNNNNNNNNNNNNNNNNNNNNNNNNNNNNNNNNNNNNNNNNNNNNNNNNNNNNNNNNNNNNNNNNNNNNNNNNNNNNNNNNNNNNNNNNNNNNNNNNNNNNNNNNNNNNNNNNNNNNNNNNNNNNNNNNNNNNNNNNNNNNNNNNNNNNNNNNNNNNNNNNNNNNNNNNNNNNNNNNNNNNNNNNNNNNNNNNNNNNNNNNNNNNNNNNNNNNNNNNNNNNNNNNNNNNNNNNNNNNNNNNNNNNNNNNNNNNNNNNNNNNNNNNNNNNNNNNNNNNNNNNNNNNNNNNNNNNNNNNNNNNNNNNNNNNNNNNNNNNNNNNNNNNNNNNNNNNNNNNNNNNNNNNNNNUCGACCGUCCCUCGCCGAAGAGCUCGCCGGAGCUCUUCUCCGGCCAGAUCCGUGAAGUGGAUCAGAUCCACCAGGAGUUGAACCAAACGGGAUCCCCGCGUCCCGGAUAUCUCCGUCCCGAGUUGACUUUUCGGAGGGUAUAUUUUCACCAAGUCCCCGGAUCUGUGUAAUUUUCAUGCCAUGUUCAUCGCAUCGUAUCUCUGCAUCCGUAGCUCCGUUUCGUGCGUGUAAUAUGUGAAAUUGUUCGUCUCGACGAGUACAUCAUUUCAUUACACUGCAUCUUAUUCAUUUGAGCUCAUAUUGAUGCCUGAAGCAUCGUUGGAAGAGUGCUUCAUAAUGUUUUCUGCUGUCUGUUUACAGAACGAGCUCUUUUGUCAUUUUUUCCAUGAUUGAUGUGUGCAUCCUAUGAGGUUGAUGUUUACAUGUGUUUUGAACUCUGUCAUGUCUUCUUUACAGAGGUGCUUACCAUGUAUUUUUGUGAUCAAUGUGGUGACUAGCACAAGCAUGCAAACUAGGAAUCGUGAUGUUGCUGAUUUUAGUCCCUGUUCUACUGUUUUUUUGAUGCCAUGUAAACAUGAUGCUACAGAGAGAUCCAUGCAUAUUUUGAGAUACUUUACUAAAGGUGUUUUGAACAUAUAGUUGUUGUCUAUCCAUUCAUGCCCCUGGUUGCAAUUAUGGAGUAGUCUAGCAUGUCAUUUUCGUGCUCUACUUUUGCUUCAAAAUGUUUCCUGGCAGAUUGUUUACAUGUUAUUCAAUUUUGCCAAGGUUGUUGUAGUUGAUCCUUGCAUGCUAUGAACUUGAUCUUGUCAUGCUUAGCUUCACAAAUAUGUCUUCUUACUGUUGGUUGCCUUGCCAUGCCAUGUUUUGCUCUAUAGUGAGUUGCACAAGCUCAUCUACAUGCCUUCAUAAUUAUGUUUCUGCCAUGUAUGAAUCUGUAUUAUAACUUGCUAUGUUUACAUGGGUGCCAUCAUAUUUUCUGAUCCUUUUUGGCUUAUGGUCACUAAGGGACUUUUUAUCUAUGCAAUUAGUAGAUUCAUGCCAUGACUCUGUUUGCAAUUAUAAGUUCCUGUAACAUGUUGUUUGAUAGCUCUAAACAUUGCAUCCUGAUGUUAUUCUCUGCAAAGUCUGAAAUUGUUAUUACUUGCAAUAUUGCCAUGUGUGUUUGACCAUGUUCUAGUGAUUUCUAGAGAUAGCUCAGUGUUCAUGUUUUGUUAUGCUUUACCUGUACAUCAUGCCCAUGCCUUUUGUUUUCUUGUUGAGGUCCUGUAGCAUGUUGUUUUGAUGCUUGCAAUAUGCCUAGUUGCUGUUUUGGACAGCUUGUCCUUUAAAUUUGUAUAGUGUGCAUGUGUUGAACCGUUGCUCCGUUUUGAGUGUGCUCUAUAUGAAACUUGCUUGAUUUUGCAUAGAGUUCCAUAUUAUCAUGUUGCAUCCUUGUUUUGGUGUGUUUGCUUGAUGUUUGGGUGCAUUUUGCAUCAAUGCCAUGUUUAACUUGUUUUGCUCAUAUCUUCUAGGCCUUAGCCCCGAACUAAAUGAACUUUAUAUGUAACUUGACUAGAAUCUCGUGUAGAUCAUCCUUGCGCAUCUUAACUUGAUGUUUAACUACUUGAACAUAAGGUUUAUUCAGAUCUGGACCAAUUUCUAAAUAUGCAUAUGAGGACUUACCGGAAUUGUUAUAUGUUGUUUCUAGCCUCAUUUAAACUUGCCUUGAUGUGUUGCUCUUGUUUGCAUCAUCUCUUCCAUGAGUAGCCUCAUCUAGAUUUGUCAUGCAUCAUGCUUGAUGUGCAUCAUGUCUUGUUUAUGUGUGGUGUGUUUACCAUGUUGUGUGCUUCUUCUCGAUAGUUUCUCGUAUCGUUGCGAUCGUGAGGAUUCAUUCGUCUACACUUGGUUCGUCUUCGUGGCUUCAUCUUCUUCAUGGACUCGUUCUUCUUCCUUGCGGGAUUUCAGGCAAGAUGACCGCUACCCUGGAUCUCACUACUAUCAUUGCUAUGCUAGUUGCUUCGUUCUAUCGCUUUGCUGCGUUACCUAUCACCUGUUUAUCAAGCCUCCCAUAUUGCCAUGAACCUCUAACCUUUGACACCUUUCCUAUGCAAACCGUUGUUUGGCUAUGUUACCGCUUUGCUCAGCCCUCUUAUAGCGUUGCUAGUUGCAGGUGAAGUUGAAGAUUGCUCCAUGGUGGACAGGAUUUUGGUUGGGAUAUCACAAUAUCUCUUAUAUUAUUAAUGCAUCUAUAUAUUUGGUAAAGGGUGGAAGACUUGACCUUUUGCCUGGUGUUUUGUUCCACUCUUGCCGCCCUAGUUUCCGUCAUACCGGUGUUAUGUUCUCGGAUUUUGCGUUCCUUACGCGGUCGGGUGAUUUAUGGGACCCCCUUGACAGUUCGCUUUCAAUAAAACUCCUCCAGCAAGGCCCAACCUUGGUUUUACCAUUUGCCUCACCACCACCUAUACCUUUCCCUUGGGUCGGCCAACCCGAGGGUCAUCUUUAUUUUAGCCCCCCCGGGCCAGUGAUUGUCUAAGUGUUGGUCCAAACCGGGCAGACUGCGGGGCCACCUCGGGGCAACUCGAGGGCUGGUUUUACUUGUAGGCUGACCUAUCCGGUGUUGCCCUGAGAACGAGAUAUGUGCAGCUCCUAUCGGGAUUGUCGGCGCAUCGAGCGGCUUUGCUGGUCUUGUUUUACCAUUGUCGAAAUGUCUUCUAAACCGGGAUUCCGAGUCUGGUCGGGUCUUCCUGGGAGAAGGUAUAUCCUUCGUUGAUCGCGAGAGCUUGUCAUGGGCUAAGUUGGGACACCCCUGCAGGGUAUAAUCUUUCGAAAGCCGUGCUUUAGGUUAUAGGCAGAUGGGAAUUUGUUAAUGUCCGGUUGUAGAUAACUUGACACCAGAUCCGAACUAAAACACAUCAACCGCGUGUGUAGCCGUGAUGGUCUCUUCUCGGCGGAGUCCGGGAAGUGAACACGGUCUUUGGGUUAUGUUUGACGUAAGUAGGAGCUCAGGAUCACUUCUUGAUCAUUGCUAGCUUCACGACCGUUCUGCUUGCUCUCUUCUCGCACUUAUUUGCGUAUGUUAGCCACCAUAUAUGCUUAGUCGCUGCUGCAGCCUCACCACUUUACCCCUUCCUUUCCCAUUUAGCUUUGCGAGUCUUGAUACCCAUGGUAAUGCGAUUGCUGAGUCCUCGUGGCUCACAGAUUACUACAACAACAGUUGCAGGUACAGGUUGUGCGAUGAUCAUGACGCGAGAGCGAUGUUUGAUUGUGUUGAGUUCUUCUUCUGCUUCUUCUUCGAUCAGGGGAUAGGUUCCAGGUCGGCAGCCUGGGCUAGCAGGGUGGAUGUCGUUUGAGUUUCUGUUUGUGUUUCAUCCGUCGUCGGAUGAUGCUCUGAUGUAUUGUGAUGUUGUAUUCGUGUGGCAUUGUAUGCCUCUUGUAUGUAUCCCCAUCUAUUAUGUAAUGUUGAUGUAAUGAUAUCCACCUUGCAAAAGCAUUUCAAUAUGCGGGUCUAUCCUUGGUGGGACCUUCGAGUUCCUUUUGGAUAGGGUCGCAUAUUGGGCGUGACAAUCUAGCUACUAGCUAUGGACCCGAAGGUCUGAAGUAAAUUACACACACUUCAUCGGAGAGUCCAUGGUGAUGAUGUAGAAGCCCUCCAUGGUGGAUGCCCCCUCCGGCGGAGCUCCGGAACAGGCCCCAAGAUGGGAUCUCGUGGAUACAGGAAGUUGCGACAGUGGAAUUAUGUUUUUGGCUCCGUAUCUGAUCGUUUGGGGGUACGUAGGUAUAUAUAGGAGGAAGGAGUACGUCGGUGGAGUAACAGGGGGCCCACGAGGCAGGGGCACGCCCUAGGGGGGGUGCCCCCCACCCUCGUGACCGCCUCUGUUACUUCUUGGAGUAGGGUCCAAGUCUCCUGGAUCACGUUCGGUGAGAAAAUCACGUUUCUGAAGGUUUCAUUCCGUUUGGACUCCGUUUGAUAUUCCGUUUCUUCGAAACACUGAAAUAGGGAAAAAACAAAAAUUCUGGGCUGGGCCUCCGGUUAAUAGGUUAGUCCCAAAAAUAAUAUAAAAGUGGAAAAUAAAGCCCAAUAUAGUCCAAAACAGUAGAUAAAGUAGCAUGGAGCAAUCAAAAAUUACAGAUACGUUGGAGACGUAUCAGGGCGCACCCAGGUUGAGGGCGACACCUGUUGACGGCGACAUGGAGGUGACGGUGAUGUGAUUCGGGUUUGAUUUUUGUGGCUAGAUGUGUAGGAAACAGGUCGCUCUGAUUACCAUGAAAGAUUUGGGAAGCGUUCCUACUCUUUGAUGAGGAGGCGCGUUGGUUUAUAUUGAACGAGGCAGAACAGCCCUGCCGUGGCUUACAAGAAGAGGAAACCGAUUCAGGGAUUCAGUUGUUACAAGGACUCCUGGACAGCUACGAGAGGGAGAGAGAUAGAAUAUAGUUGAGAUUACAAUGUGGAGAUAAACACAAAUUCUAACAGCCGUGACUUCCUUGCCGAACCAAACACGUGGUUAAUUUAUUUGGUAUGAACUAUGAAGGCGAUUGUAACUUUCAGCGGCAGCUCUUCGAUUUUGUUUCCCUCUGGAUGAAAUGAAACGAGCGAAUCAAACGGAGGAUGACUUUCGCUUGGAAACGGCAAAAGCUUUCCAAUUUUUUGUAAGUUCCCGCACGCCUCACCGGACGAAAUUUGAGAGCCACAUCAGCGAUCCGCGCCAUCACUCUCCUGGAUCGAGAUCUUGACCGCCCACUGCGUCCGGAUCCAACGGCAGGCGGACCCUCCUCCCUCGUUAAAUUCCCCUUCUCCCCACCGCACUCCAGCAGACGCAGGCACCACCGUUCCCCUCCAAAUCCAUACGAUCCAAUCUGCGCCAAGGAAGGAGUAAGUCGUUGACCAUGUCCGGCUGCGGCAAGGGCGGGAAGGGCCUGGGCAAGGGCGGCUCCAAGCGCCACCGGAAGGUUCUCCGCGACAACAUCCAGGGCAUCACCAAGCCGGCCAUCCGUCGCCUGGCGCGCCGUGGUGGCGUGAAGCGCAUCUCGGGGCUCAUCUACGAGGAGACCCGUGACGUGCUCAAGAUCUUCCUGGAGAACGUCAUCCGUGACGCGGUCAACUACACCGAGCACGCCCGACGCAAGACCGUCACCGCCAUGGACGUCGUCUACGCGCUCAACCGACAGGGCCGCACCCUCUACGGAUUCGGCGGCUGAUUGACCUGCCGCUGCCGCUGCUCCGUCCAGUCUGUGCUCCCGCUGUUCCUGUCUUCAUGUGGGUUUCUGAAAUUCUAAGUGUGUGCGUUGUGGUUGCAUCUGUCUGUGUAUGAAUAUGAAUGGAAUGGAAUAGAAUUGUUGGUUCUUGCGGUAUUAUCUUGGCUGCAUCUGUCUACAUGAAAGUAAUUUCCGUCUCAGAAAAUUGUACAGCUACGCAGCGCGCGGUAAAAACGUGCUUACUUGAAGGCUAAGGACGAAUAUGAGGGAGAGAAGGGUACAAGGGUCAAAGAACCCAAAAUGCACGCAGGCAUACAGAGGGGUCCGGGCAGCCGGGGUAAAGGGGCCCGGGCACCCAGAGGUGGUGCGGCUAUAGGUGGCCGGGCACCCGGGGGCUGAGGGCCCGGGGACCCGGAGGUGGUGUGGCUGUAGGUGGCCGGGCAACCAGGGGCUGAGGGCCCGGGCACCCGGAGGUGGUGCGGCUGUAGGUGGUCGGGCACCCGGUGGCUGAGGGCCCCGAAACCCAGACCGGUCAGGGACGCCGAGGCCUUGGUGCUAGGGUGGCCGGGCACCCGGGGGUUGAGAGCCCGGGCACCCGGGGUGGCUGCUGGAGCGGCCCAGGGGGGAGGCCGGGCACCCGGGGGCAAGCUGGACGCGGCCCAGGUUGAGGCUGGGCACCAGGGGCCAGGAGGCCGGGCACCUGGGGUGGGCUGGGUCGAGGCCCAGGCGGCGACCGAGCAUCCGGGGUGUCCAGGGGGUUUGGCCCUCCCUGUGGCUGCGAGUCCGAGCACCCGGGGUCCUUCUAUCUAGGUACCCGUGGUGUCCAGGAACUCCUUUCCUUCGCACUUCUCGCUGAUUUGUUCCUUCUCCUCGUUCGUAGGUGCUCGGGUCUCCGUGCUAGCCUCUUCAUGAUCAUCACUUUGGGACCUAAGCAUGCAUAACACUUUCGUUUGAGGUAGGACCCAACUCUUGUGUGAAUUUGAAUGGAGCUCAAAGAGGAAGGAGUUAACCUCGUUCUCGAUGGCGUGUGCACGUUCUCUUGUCAGUGGUCCUCCCGGUGCUUGUGGUGGUGAUGGAGUGUCCAUGUGGAUGGACGAGGGAUGCUCCGCAUCACCAAUGCAUUGCGCUAACUGUGUUUUGUAGCCACUCCUCAAUGCAUCAUUUGCGAUGCCUCCACUACUGAUGAAGGAGGUCUCAUUCUAGUUAUGUCUUGUUGUUGAUGAUCAUAUUAACAUGGUAAUAAUGACCUCCUGAUUUUUGCCUCUCCAUCAGGCCCUCCUAUGCAGUCAUGUCUAGUGUUAGGCGAUGUUUUUAUCGUGUCUCUUGCUCACCCGACCGCAACCAUAAGCUCGAACUGCUUGCAUUCUCACUCCGCUGCUCUCGCACCUUUCUGAGGCGCUCUAUCGUGUCAUGCUUGACGCUCAUCGGUGGCAACCCGUUUCGAUGAAAUCACGACAGACAUGCGGUGUCUGUCAGAGAGGGGGGUUAGCGAAAUCACACAAGGAAGUGUCAGAAUCAACCUUUACUUUUGCAUUGGGUCUUAACAUGGGUUCACAAGGGUGCUACGAUGAGGAAAGGUAAAUACACAAUUUUGAAGGAGCACCACCUUCACGAACCAGAAUAUCCGGCAGGAAGAUCCAGGGCUUUAGUGUGAACCUCCCACUUCCGAUGUCGUCUACCUAGCUCCUGCUAGUAGGUCGGCUCUCUUUGGUUUUGUCAUGAUCUUGUGACCUGCUCAAAGACAAAAAAUGAGUAAAACUCACAUGGGGUGGUCUCUUCUGAAGUAAAGGUAGGGCUAGACAAUGCAGGGAUCACAAGAGAGGGGAUCAUGCAAAAUCAUGGAAGAAACAUCAUAACCAACCCCCUUUUGAAUUUGAUCAUAACAUGGGUGCACAAGGUGGUGUUAUGAGGAAAAGUUCAAUACACAACUUUGACGGGGCACCUGCUUCACAAACCGGAACACCCCGCGAGAAGAUCUAGGGCUUCAGUGCGCCCCGUUCCAGGGUCGCCGACCCAACUCCUGCUAGGAUGGGCCUCUAUUUGGAUUUUUUCAUGAUCCUAUGACCUACUCAAACAUAAAGACAUCGAAACUCACAUGGAGGGCCCCUUCCAAAGAAAAACUAGGGCUAGACGACUUGGGGCCUACCAGAGAGGGAGUGUCGGAACCAAACCCCCUUUUGCAUUGGGUACUAAAAUGGCUAUGUAUACAAGGGCGGUGCGAUAAGAAAAAGGUCAAUACAGAACUUUGAAGUGGCACCUCCUUCACAAACCGGAAAAUCCCACAAGAAUAUCUAGCGCAUCAGUGCAAACCUCCCCCCUUAUGGUGUCGCCAACCCAACUAUCUUUGGGUUUGUCAUAAUCCUAUGACCUACUCAAACACAAAUAAGGAGUAAUACUCAUAAGGGGUCCCCUUUUGAAGAAAAGUUAGGCUAGACGACGCGGACCCUCCGGGUAGGGGAUACAUCGAAUCACACGAGUAAGGAUCAAAAACACUUAUCCUUUUUCAUGAGGUUCUAAUAUGGGUGCGCUAGGAAGGGGGGUUGAGUAGGGAAUGGGUGACGAAGGAUAGAAGGUGUGACCAAAAAAUGAGGGGAGGGAAUGCGUGAGAAAGAGAUGAGCAAGAAAUAAAAUGUCACAAAGAAACACAAAUGAAAAUGAAAAGAAAAGAAAGACUGUUUUGUACCUGUUUGGCGACUGGAGGUGGGAGGUGGCUCCGGAGAAAUUCGAGGCCAGCAGUGCUGGCCACGACGGCGGCGACGCCCGAGGGCGCCAUACCCUUCUUGUAGGCGCCGUCCAGGUCGCCUCCUUCCCCUCUUCCUUCCACCCAGCUCGUAUGCCGGGCGAAAGCCCAAAUCCUUGCCGGAUCGAGCGACAGCGGCGCUCCGCGCGUCGUCACCCUCUUGGGGGUGUCGUUCGUGGUGAUCUUGGGGUGGAUGUGAUGCGGUUGGUGGCGUGGUCGGAGUUCGUCUGGUGGCGGUGCGUUGGCGCUCUGCCGCCUAUGUGCUCAGCCUCGGAGUCCUUCCACGGUGCUUGGUCUUCAGCAGCCCUGCCGGACUCGCACUACAAGAAAUAUGUCAACUUCUGACCUUGACUAUUGGUCACUGAAAGGUCAUUGAUUUUUUCAUUUGCGACCUUUUUGUGACCAAAAACAGAAGGUCAAAAGCUGGCAGUCGUAAAAUGAAAUUAACGACCUUCUCUGUGAGAAGGUCGUAGACGUUGACGACCAAAACAGAAGGUCGUUGAACCCAUGACCUUUUGUUUUGGUCACUGGCUGUUUGCCCAGGGCACGUCGGAUCCGACGUGGUAAUCUGACGUGGCAAAUUUACGACCAAUUGAAAAGGUCGUUACUUAGAAUCAGCCCGGUCCAUUUCGGUGCUUUAGAUGGGCCGAACCCAUUAAUUCAUCCUUUUUAUAUUAUUUUUUCUAUCAAUUCUUGUGGGCUACUUGGGCCAAGCCUAGUAUUUCAGCUUCUUCAUUUUUGGGCCUUGGUCUUCUUACAAUCAAUUGAUUUUCUAUUUUCAGUCAUUACAUUUUGGAGCUGGUCCCACUAGUCAGAUGGGUCCCACAAGUCAUAAUGCCAUGCAUGAGUCCCACAUGUCAGAAAUUUCAAAAUUGCUCAGAUUAUAUUCAUAAGUGGGUCCCAAUGGUGAAGUUUCCAUAUCUUCUCAACAUACAUAACCACUAUUUCAAACAGGACAGAACAAAUAUAGUUCAUCAAAUAACACUACAUUAGCCUUUUACAAUCCGUUACAAUAUUACAAUUUACAUUCUACAACAGAGCCUAAAGAACUCUUUGCAAAGUACGGCUUCACUGCUUCGCACUUGGCUUCAUGGCUUCACACUCAAAAAAAUUAGGACUGGAGCUCCAGUAAGAGAGUGAACGUAAAGGAAAAAAAUUAGGCCUUGAGCUCCUGAAAAAGAGUGAACGCAUAAAGGAAAAAAAGUAAGAAAACUAUACAGGAAAACAAGUAGAGUGUAUUGAUCAUAUAUAGGUUGCCCAUAUAUGUUAUGCCUGGAAGGAGAACACAUACAACAACAAGAACAACAGGAAAAUUAUACAAGAAUAGAGCAUGGAAGCGGAUUAACUAUAUGGAACCAAAAACUAAAUCAUUGCAGAUCAGAUUACAUAGGAACAUAAUGUAGAAGCAGAUCAUAUGGAAGCAAAACCAAAUCAUUACGGAGCACAUAAUAAUACAUGAAGAGAAAGAAGCAACUAUACAUGCCAAAACUGGACAAACCACAAACAACAACAUCACAACGGCAGAAGUAGACCUGUUUGCAUCAUGUUGACCAGCACAAGCAGCCAUAUAUGCAUCACAAACAAAGAACACUCGACAUCCAACAUCUGAAGACAUUGCAAUGAUUUCUAAGCACUUCUAGCAUACUAGUUUCCGCAAAGAGCAUAAGCAAGCAUGAUACAAUAUCAAUUGCAUCACAUCAACCAAAUUAUUCAGGGAGCACAAUAUGCACAUGAACAAAGACAGGUUUCGGAUCCUGUUUGAUUCACCUAGUUGAUGAGGGCGGCAGAGCGGGAGACGAGCUCGAUGUCAUCGCCAUCGAGGACGAUCUCAUCCUUGACCUUCUUGGACUGCAGCUCCUCCAGAUGCAGCAGCAACACCUCUGACAACCACAGCAACAGCAACAACACCAAUAAUGACCUGCGUGACAUUUCAUAUCAUCAAUACAGAAGAAAAAAUUAAGACACAAGCAGCAAAUAUAGCUUUAGCAUUACGGAAUUAUCAUAACUGUUGAGCAGACAGGAAUAUAGCUUCAGCAUUAUAGAAUUAUCAUGUAACUAUUGAGCAGACAGGAAUAUAGCUUCAGAAUUACAGAAUUAUCAUGUAACUGUUGACUGUGAAGCUGUCAAGCAGAAACCUGAUUGUAUAGUAUGGACUAUGAGAUGUCACGGCCGAUCUAGUGGACUGUGAGAUGUCAAGCAGAGCAACAUCUGCUAGAGCAACAUCUCCAUGUACUAAAAUAAAUGCCCACAAGGACGAUGAGAAAGAGCUAAAAAGGUUUGUUGUAAAAGAGUGAACAUAAAGCUACCAUUAGAGUGUACUACUGCUGAGGCCAGAACCAAACAACUUGAAUGGCAACACUAAAUGUAAGCGGUAGAACAGAUCUAAAAAGGUAAAAAAUAUAUGAAUUAUGGUCCACUUAAGAUGUGAUAAAUGUUUAGCAAAAUUGUUCGUGGGAGUAACCUUAAUCGUUCAAAAUCAGAGUUGAAAAUGCAAGGAAAUUAAGUUGCAGAAGACGAUCAGGUAUUCUAUUUACAUAGUUAAGGAGACAACAGAGAACUUGGGAUACUGGUGUUGUUGUUCUAAGUCUGACAGUAGAAUGGGGGGUAGGAAUGGAGAGGCAAGAUCCUAGCUAUGGAGUAGUUGUAUACGCAAGAGAUUUACGAGUUCAGGCCCUUCUCGGAGGAAGUAACAACCCUACGUCUCGGAGCCCGGAGGCGGUCGACUGGAUUAUAUGCGUAUGAGUUACAUGGGUGCGAACCCUUCUACCUGUGUAGGGGGGUGGCUUAUAUAGAGUGCGCCAGGACCCCAGCCAGCCCACGUAGCGGAGGGUUUAAGGUACAUUAAGGCCAGGCAUUACUGGUAACGCCUUACAUAAAGUGCCAUCAUGACCAUAAAGACUACUUAAUUACAGACCGUUUGGAUACAGAGUGGCUCCUGAACUCCUGGUGGUCGAGUGAGUCUUCAUGGUCGAGUGUCUUUGAAUCUGUCAAGUGGAAUCCUACCAGGUCAACUGAAAGGCAGCUUCUUUUAAGGAUGUCCUUGGGGAGGGUAUCUUGGACAGGUCCAUGACCCUACCCAAGGUACAUGACUUCAUCAUUAGCCCCCGAAUGGAUCGAGGUUUGAGUGAGGAAGGAGUUGAUAAUCUUUCCAACCUGUUUUUUGUGUUGUGAGUGUGUCUUACUCUGGAUCAAUGACUUUUUAGUGAUGGUGUCAACUUCUCUUUCAGUCGCCUUGAUCCAUUCUCCACAUCUGUCGAGUGCGCUUUAUAAACUUGAAGAUUUCCGAGCGACGGAUCGGAGGAAAUCUGCCGUCUGACAAGUUGCUCUGCUGUUAGCGGAUUUAGCGGGAUCCGAAUUUUGGGAAGCGCGCGAAGUGGAGAAAACUGUGGCACUCGGAUGGGAUAAGGCGAAGACGCCUCGAUCUUUGCGCCACCUUUUUCUCCACGUAUCGCACACGCGACUGUUGCAGGAUUUGACAGGAUUGCCCGGGCCUACCAGUCAGUCACUCGGAAGCGACUUCAUAUAAGGCGUCGGGCGGGGGUCUUUUUAACAGUGCGCCCUAAUUUUCCCCUCCCCCGUCCUCAGAUUCAUCUGCUGCGCCCGCGGCCUGCUCAGCGCUGCUGCUCCGUUCCUGCUUCAUCGGUGACAAUGGUGAAGGAGAAUACGAUAGCUUUGGAGCGGGCGAAGAAGGCGACGGCGAAGGCGAAGGGGAGAGCAACCAGUCGGGGCGGAUCCUCGUCGCGGUCCCGCCUGCCGCAAGGUUGGGUCCAGGGAGAUUGGAUCCGCUUGACCAUCACCCAGAAGGAGCUCGACGACCUGGCCAACGAGGGACUGAUCCCCCACGGGUCAGCAAGGCUUCCGGGGACGGAGUGGCAGCCGCAGCCUCACGAGGGUGAGUGCGUCCUCUUAGACACUCAUGUUGAUCGCGGAUUUUCUCUGCCACCGAAUCUUUUCUUUCGGGGGUUUCUGAACUUCUUUGGAGCACAACUCCAUCAUUUCACACCCAACUCCAUUGCCUAUCUCGCCGCUUUCGUGUCUUUGUGUGAAAACUUUUUGGGCCGUCGGUCGCACCGGGGCCUCUUCAAACACAUAUUUACUUGUCGCUCUCAGACGGUGAAGAAGGCUAACCCGAAUGACGAGAGAACCCAAGUAAUCCAGAUGUGUGGGGGACUCGGGGUCCAGAUGAGGGGUAAGACUGCCUUUCCAGCCAUGACUCUUCCCGACUCAGUUAGAGGGUGGCAGUCGACCUGGUUCUACUGCCAAGACCAGCCGACGCCAGGGCAGUCGACUGGACUCCCUCCUUUCUCCAUGGGUCGAGUGAACAAGCCGUCCUCUUUGAAAGUGCUUCCGGAGGAGAAGGCUCAAGUUAAAAUGCUGAUGGAGCGUGUAGUCCAGCUCAUUCGCGACGGUGUGACUGGCAUGGAUCUUCUCGAGGUUUUCCUUCAACGGCGCAUUCAGCCACUCCAAUACCGAGGUCACCCGAUGUGGUUGUACUCUGGUACUGAAGACACCACUCGGGUCCACCCAGAGGAGGUCGACGACGCCACAUUGGAGAGGUGGAUGACUGCCCUUACAGGGAACAAGGAUAACCCUCGUGGAGCCCGGAGGAUCCCACCACUCGACCAGUCUUAUGAACCAGACAAGGUAUGACCACUUAUCUCCGACUAUGAUCCUGUUUCAUUCAUUCUAUUUUGCUCCAAAUCGACCGAUUGACUUUUGUCUUGUUUCGUUGUCUUCUAGGCCACCACUGAGAUGUACUCGAUGCCCAACGGGGCGCAAGAACCAGUCGAAAAAGAAGAAGGAAGCGGAGGUGAAAGCCAGGAGGAAUGGGAGUCCGACGGUGAGGAGGACGAGGGAAACGACAGCUCAUGUGAAGAGGAGGAGGAGGAGGAAGAGGAGGAAGACGUUGAUCCUCCCCGCUCGGAAAGGCGAUCCAAGCUGACACAUGAUUCGGCAGUCGAGCGCGGUAAAGCUAUCGCGCCCGUUGGGCAGUCGACGAAGCGACCUCGGACGACCUCUCCAGUGCCAACUGAGAAACCACCGAAGCAACCCCGAGCAACGUCAUCGAAGCCGACGAAGGCCCUGCCCAAGAUGAGGAUGGUCAUUCCCACAAUUUCCGGGUAAUCAGCAGAACUUGUGUUUUCCUAUUUAUCAUGGGUGUACUUUUGGUCGACUCGUUGACUGAUCAACUGAUUUCUGAAAUCUGCAGCGCUGCCACCUCUGAGACCUCAGCUAAGCACGAAGAUCAGGAAAUCGAAGAUGUCGCCACCUCCAACCUUGGUAUGAUCUCUGCAGUUUCGCUUUCGGUCGAUUGGAUUUCCAUUUUUACCUUUGAAUCUUUCUUGUAGUUCCACCUCAAGUCAUUGAUCUCCCUGACGACGACGAUGAAACACCGCUGAGGAAGAGGAAGAACAAAAAGGUGCCUGCUGGCAAGGCUACUCAAGUUCUAUCAGUGCCUGAGACGCUGGAUCACGAGGGGGGCAACACCACUCGGGCUUCUGUGUCCUUUGCUGUGCCGCUGACGAGUGUCCGACCUUCGUCGUCGACUGCUGAUCCGCCUUCUCUUUUUGCUACACACCACGUCCCGGAAGACCAAGUGAGUGCUGCUAAGGAGGCCAUACGCCAGGCAGGGAUCAUGAUGGAGCAAGUGAAGGUGGUCCGGGAAGCCAGCCAGGCAACUUAUGAUGCCAGCUCAGCCCUUCAGAGCAAUGUCCAAGUAAGUUGGUCGCUCCUUGUUCUGUUAGGAUAUGCUACCUGAAACUUCUUCUUUCUGAAGAUUUCCAUAUCUGUAUCUGUACACCCAUUGGGUGGGUGUGUAGAUUGAAUUUUUGUACUGGUGGGAGCACGCUGAGUGCACCCACUGGGUGUAGUCCCCGAGGCUAUGGUGGACUGCGGGCAGUCGACUAUAGUCUUUAUACUUUAAACUUCUUCACUCGGUAUGGUCGGGCCAUGUCGAAUGGAACCUUGGAACCGGUGGGGGCACGCUUAGUGCACCCACUGGGUGUAGUCCCCGAGACUAUGGUGGACUGCUGGCAGUCGACUAUAGUUUGAAGAACUGUUGUUUUUUUACGCGGCUGACCGGCGACAAUUAGCUAUGGUUUUAGGAUCAUAACCUUUUUGCCUCUUUCGGUCGACUGGUCGAACCGAAUUGGUAAAACCAGUGGGGGCACGCUGAGUGCACCCACUGGGUGUAGUCCCCGAGACUACUGUCGAAUGUUUUGAUUCGGCUGUAGUCUUAGAAAUGCUACGAUUUUUCCUUAGUCACUUGGAAGUGACCUGUCUUUGAUGUUUUGUCGAUUGACUCUUUGCAGAAAUCUUUCGAGCUUGUGGCUCGCUAUACUGAGUUGGAGAACAAAUAGAUCCAGCUCAACCUUGACUUGAAGCUUGCUCAGGAGAACUUGCAAAAGGCGAGAGACGAAGCAAAAGGUAUGGCUGGUGAGAAUUUGACGACUCUCUUUGUCUUUCUACCCAUUCUCAACUCUGGUCUCAUUGUUAUUUUGCAGAUAAACUGGAGGAGGCUCUGAAGAAGAAAGACCAUGACCUUGCAGAGGCACAGAAAGCGGCUUUGGAGAAAACAAAGCUCGCGGAAGAGAAACUAGCCUCAAUCGGCAAACUUGAAGAAGAGAAUGUCAAGCUGAAAGCCGCUCUUGACGCGGCCAACAAGGAAGUCAGCCGACUGAAGAAUGACAAGAUUGCUCUGACUGACAAGGCUGGCCAACUGGCGAGGAAGUGAAAUGACCUAGUGGUUUAUCUUGGAGGGCUCGCCAAGAAGCUAUUCCUCAUGCUUGAAGGUAGUCUCUUUUAUCCGACUGACUUGUUAUCACCGACUCAUCAUAUGAUUGUUGUUUUGAGCCUGAGCUGUGUUUACAGAAUUCUGCCAAAACUUCAAAGAAGAGACCAGUUGAGUGGAAACCAGCCUGGACCCCAUCAACUCUCCUGUGAAGGACGAAGCCGCUAUGAAUGUGCUCCGAUUGGAAUCUCGCGUCGCUAGCAUGGUGGACUAUCUCGCUCGACUGAAAGUUGCGGUGUCGCGGAUCGACUCAACACUUUGGCCAGACUAGACGCUUCAGAAUGACCUUGAAUCCUUAAUGACUCGACUGAAUGAGGUUCCAAGUCGAGUGCAGGAAUGGAAAAAGUCUUCUGCCAGGUGUGGUGCUGAUGUUGCUCUAUCUAUGGUUCGUGUCCACUGCAAGGAGGCGCAAGAGGAAAAGCUGGUGUCCCUCAAAGUUGCCAACACCAGGAAGUACGACUUCCGAUCUUUCAUGGAGACCUUCAUCGCCGCUGCCACCCGGAUUAAUGACGGAAUCGACCUCGACCAAUUUGUUGCACCUUCCAGUCCUCCACCUGAGGAGUAAAAAACUUCUAUGCUCCAUCUUAAAUUUGCCUCGGAAUGCCGAGUGGUCUUGUAACCAAUAAACUUUAACAGGCUUAAUCGCGUGAGCACUUUCGAAUCCGUAGGACAUUUAUCCGAACUCGAUUUAUCGCGGAACGUGCUUUUAUUUGCCUUCGAGCGAACUUGCUUUUCAAUUGGAAUAUACUUCAAUGUUUGAGUAGCAUCCUUAAGGUGAAAAGUCCAGUCGACUUGUACUUCAUCGAUCUUGCAGGUAGGGAUGGAGCACAGACUGCGACUGACCUCGUCGUCCUUGCAGAUCGGGAUGGACCGCACGUUGUACUUGUGGCGCAGCUCUGAAGCAGAAGGGAGCAGUCGACCUGCACCUCGUUGUCCUUGCGGAUUGGGAUGGACCGCACGUUGAACUUGUGGCGCAGCUCUGAAGGAGAAGGUAACCGUCGAACUGCAUCUCAUCGUCCUUGUGGAUCAGGGUGGAUUUCUUACUUAGGCGAGUAUUCGGACUGCAGCUAAGCCUCCGAGUGGGAGGUUUGCUCUCCACUCGGUAGGAUUUUUUAAUACUUAGGCGAGUACUGGACUACAGCUAAGCCUCCGAGUGGGAGGUUUGCUCUCCACUCGGUAGGAUUUUUCAAUACUUAGGCGAGUACUGGACUGCAGCUAAGCCUUCGAGUGGGAGGUUUGCUCUCCACUCGGUAGGAUUUUUCAAUACUUAGGCGAGUACUGGACUACAGCUAAGCCUCCGAGCGGGAGGUUUGCUCUCCAGUCGGUAGGAUUUUUCAAACUUAGGCGAGUACUGNNNNNNNNNNNNNNNNNNNNNNNNNNNNNNNNNNNNNNNNNNNNNNNNNNNNNNNNNNNNNNNNNNNNNNNNNNNNNNNNNNNNNNNNNNNNNNNNNNNNNNNNNNNNNNNNNNNNNNNNNNNNNNNNNNNNNNNNNNNNNNNNNNNNNNNNNNNNNNNNNNNNNNNNNNNNNNNNNNNNNNNNNNNNNNNNNNNNNNNNNNNNNNNNNNNNNNNNNNNNNNNNNNNNNNNNNNNNNNNNNNNNNNNNNNNNNNNNNNNNNNNNNNNNNNNNGCUCACCACUCGGCAGGAUUCCAAACACUUAGGCGAAUCCUUGGACUGCAGCUAAGCCCCCGAGUGAGAGGCUGGCUCACCACUCGGCAGGAUUUCAAACACUUAGGCGAAUCCUUGGACUGCAGCUAAGCCCCCGAGUGUGAGGCUGGCUCACCACUCGGUAGGAUUUUAAACACUUAGGCGAGUCCUUGGACUGCAGCUAAGCCCCCGAGUGAGAGGCUGGCUCACCACUCGGCAGGAUUUCAAACACUUAGGCGAGUCCUUGGACUACAGCUAAGCCCCCGAGUGAGAGGCUGGCUCACCACUCGGCAGGAUUUCAAACACUUAGGCGAAUCAGAUUCGCAGCUAAGCCCCCGAGUGGGAGGCUGGCUCACCACUCGGUAAGGAUUUUUUUACAAACUUAGGCGAAAUGGAUUCGCAGCUAAGCCACCCACUAGGGGGAUUUUUAACAAAAAGUAAUAACAAUCACUGGGAAAAUUAUAACAUUCUUGACUUAGAUAAACAAACUACAGAGGUACUUUUAUUACAUCUCAUCCGAGUGAGUACUUAAGUAUAAAAGGGGCGGAGCAGCUCCGCAUUCCAAGCUCGAGGCUCAUCAAUCUAACGAUCGACGUUGUAGAGAUGAUAUGCUCCAUUGUGGAGAACUCUGGUGACGAUGAAGGGACCUUCCCAAGUAGGAGCGAGCUUGUGAGGUUUCUGUUGAUCCACUCGGAGGACUAAGUCUCCUUCUUGGAAGGCUCGACUCUUCACAUUUCUGGCAUGGAACCGACGCAAGUCUUGCUGAUAGAUAGUCGAGCGGAUUAGGGCCAUCUCUCUCUCUUCUUCCAAAAGGUCGACUGCAUCCUGCCGGGCUUGUUCCGCUUCAUCUUCAGAGUAGAGUUCGACUCGAGGUGCAUUGUGAAGCAGGUCACUCGACAGAACUGCCUCGGCUCCAUAGACCAGAAAGAAUGGAGUUCUCCCGGUCGACCGAUUAGGAGUGGUCCUCAAUCCCCAAAGAACUGAUGGAAGUUCGUCGACCCAAGUUCCUGCUGCAUGUUUGAGAUCACGCAUCAGACGGGGUUUCAGCCCUUUGAGAAUUAGACCGUUUGCGCGUUCUGCUUGUCCAUUCAACUGAGGAUGAGCGACUGAAGCAUAGUCGACCCGCGUGCCUUGAGGGGCGCAGAAGGCUUUGAACUUGUCGGAAUCAAAGUUUGACCCAUUGUCAGUGAUGAUGCUAUGCGGAACUCCAUAUCUGAAUAUCAACUCUCUGACGAAACUGAUAGCAGUGCAUGCAUCGAGGUUCUUGAUGGGCUUGGCUUCGAUCCACUUGGUGAACUUGUCGACUGCUACUAGCAAGUGAGUGAAGCCGCUCCUGCCAGUUCUCAGUGGUCCAAUCAUAUCCAACCCCCAAACAGCGAAGGGCCAGACGAGUGGAAUGGUCUUCAAGGCUGAGGCGGGCUUUUGCGACAUGUUGGAAUAGAACUGACAUCCUUCACACUUGUCGACUAUUUCUUUUGCCAUUUCAUUUGCUUUCGUCCAGUAAAAUCCCGCUCGGUAUGCUUUAGCCACAAUGGUCCGAGAGGAUGCAUGAUGUCCACAGGUCCCUGAGUGGAUAUCCUCAAGAAUUAUCUGACCUUCUUCUGGCGUUAUACACUUCUGGCCGACUCCAGUCGCGCUUUCUCUGUACAAUUGUCCCUUGAUCACUGUAAAGGCCUUGGAUCAACGGACGGUCUGUCGAGCCUCUUCUUCAUUCUCUGGGAGCUCUUUCCUUAGAAUAUAUGCGAUGUAUGACACUGUCCAGUUGGGAGUGAUGACCACAACUUCCAUAAUCAGGUCGACCACGGCUGGGACCUCAACUUCAGUCGGAUCAUUGGCACUCUUUGGUUGUGGGGCUUCUUCUGUGAAAGGAUCCUCUUGCACUGAUGGUGCGUGGAUGUGCUCCAAAAACACAUUACUGGGAAUGGCUUCCCUCUUGGACCCUAUUUUCGCCAAAUCAUCAGCAGCUUGAUUUUUCAAUCGGGGUAUAUGAUGAAGUUCUAACCCCUCAAAUUUCUUCUCCAGCUUUCUCACUGCAUUGCAGUAACCAGUCAUGGCUGGGCUUCUGACGUCCCACUCCUACAUCACUUGAUUAACAACCAAAUCUGAGCCGCCGUAGACCAUAAGGCGACGGACGCCGAGUGAAAUGGCCAUACGCAACCCGUACAGGAGUGCUUCAUAUUCUGCUUCAUUGUUGGAGGAAUUGAAGUGAAUCUGGAGUACAUAUCUGAGCUUAUCUCCACGGGGGGAAACUAAUACUACCCCAACACCGAAACCAUUCAGCAUCUUGGAACCAUCAAAGAACAUAGUCCAGUGCUCCGAGUGAACUUGAGUCGGAAGCUGCUGUUCAAUCCACUCGGCGAGGAAGUCUGCUACUGCUUGGGACUUGAUGGCUUUCUUUGCCUCAAACUUGAUAUCAAGGGGAAGGAGUUCAAUCGCCCAUUUCGCCACUCGACCAGUUGCAUCUCUGUUAUGAAGAAUCUCUGACAAUGGGGCGUCGCUGACGAAUGUAAUGGAAUGAUCAGAGAAGUAAUGAGCAACCUUCUUCGUGGUCAUAUAAAUCCCAUAAACAAGCUUCUGAUAGUGAGGGUAUCUUUGCUUUGAUGGGGUCAACACUUCAGAAAGAUAAUAUACUGGGCGCUGAACUUUGAAGGCCUUUCCUUCUUCUUCCCGCUCGACCGUCAGUACUGCACUGACGACUUGUCCUGUGGCUGCAAUAUAAAGCAGCAAAGGCUCUUUGCUGAUAGGAGCAGCAAGCAAACGCUGCAUCAGCUUCUGGAGUCCACUCGAACUUGUCUGACUUCUUCAUUAGUCGGUAAAGAGGCAAUGCCUUUUCACCGAGGCGAGAGAUGAAUCGACUUAAAGCAGCCAAGCAUCCAGUAAGCUUCUGGACAUCGUGCACACGCACAGGGCGUUUCAUUCGGAGUAUAGUGCCAACUUUUUCUGGGUUAGCGUCGAUUCCUCGUUCGGAAACAAGAAAACCGAGUAACUUGCCGCCAGGAACUCCGAAUGUGCACUUUGAUGGAUUAAGCUUGAUAUCAUACCUCCUGAGAUUGGCAAAUGUUUCAGCAAGGUCAGUCAACAGGUCGGAACCCUUUCGUGACUUGACCACUAUAUAAUCCAUGUAUGCUUCCACAUUCCGACUUAUAUGAGUGAGCAAACACUUCUGAAUCAUCCUCAUGAACGUGGCUCCAGCAUUCUUGAGACCGAAUGGCAUGGUGACAUAACAGAAGCACCCGAAUGGAGUGAUGAAAGCCAUUUUGAUCUCAUCGGGUCCAUACAGACGGAUAUGAUGGUACCCGGAAUAGGCAUCUAAAAAAGACAACCUCUCACAUCCCGCAGUCGAGUCGACUAUUUGGUCGAUGUGGGGAAGAGGGAAAUGAUCUUUUGGGCAGGCCCGAUUGAUAUGUUUGAAAUCUAUGCACAUGCGCAGUGACUUGUCCUUCUUGGGGACCAUGACAACAUUGGCGAGCCACUCGGAGUGGUAAAUCUCUCGGAUGAACUCUGCUGCUAAGAUCCGAGCCACCUCCUCACCAAUGGCCUUUCUCUUCUGGACGGCGGACCUUCGAAGAUGUUCUCUGAAAGGUUUGACUUUCGGGUCGACUCGUAGGUGGUGCUCAACCAGCCCCCUGGGAACACCCGGCAUGUCAGCAGGCUAACAUGCAAAGAUGUCCCAGUUCUCACGGAGGAACUGGAUGAGCGCUUCUUCCUAUUUAGAGUCGAGUGUUGUUGAGAUGUUGGUCGGAGCAGCAUUGGGGUCACUCGGGUGAAUGUGAAUCGGUUUCGUCUCACCGGAUGAUUGAAAUGCUGAUUCCGUAGCGCGCUUCUUGGCUCGCAACAAAUCACUCGAAUCUGCAGUCUUCUGAUAUUCUUGCAGCUCCACCACUGCCAUCUGAGCAUCAGCGAUCUUAGAGCCUUUCUGGAAGCACUCUUCCGCCUUCUUCCGAUUGCCCGUGACAGUGAUCACGCCCUUGGGACCGGGCAUCUUCAGUUUGAGGUACACAUAACAUGGCCGAGCCAUGAAACGGGCGUACGCCGGCCUUCCCAGAAUGGCGUGAUAAGCGCUCUGGAAAUCCACGACCUCAAAGGUCAACUUUUCUUUGCGGAAAUUCUUUGAAUCACCAAAAACCACAUCAAGAGCAAUUUGGCCGAGUGUCUCAGCCUUCUUUCCAGGAAUGACUCCAUGGAAACUCAUGUUACUGGUGCUGAGUCUGGACAUCGGAAUGCCCAUCCCUUUCAACGUCUCUGCAUACAAGAUGUUCAGGCCACUGCCACCAUCCAUCAAAACUUUUGUCAGUCGAGUGCCUUCGAUGACUGGAUCGACCACCAACGCUUGCCUCCCAGGGGUGGCAAUGUGUGUUGGAAGAUCGGACUGGUCGAAUGUGAUGGCAUUCUGGGACCAUUUCAGAUAAUUGGGCGUCGCCGGAGCGACCAUGUUCACUUCUCGGUUGAUAACUUUCAAUCGACUUUUGCUUUCAACAUCAGCAGAAAUCAUCAGGGUGGAAUUGACCCGAGGGUAUCCACCAUCACUAUCUUCCUUGUCCUUAACUUUGUCCGACUCCUUUUCCUUAUCCUUGGGCUGCUUCCCUUGGAACUGCUGAAUCAAGAGUCGACACUGUCGAGUGGUAUGCUUCGGGUAAAUGAGUUUACCCUCUUCAUCUUUCUUUGUGUGAAUGUGACACGGCCAGUCCAACACAUCAUUUCCAUCUUGGUCUUUCACCUUCUUGGGAUUCCAAGGACCCUUGGGUUUUCCCUUGAACUUUCCUGGGGUCACAGCCAAGGCUUCUCCGGGAGCAGCUGGCUUGGCUUUGCGCUUCUGCUUCCGACUGGAGUUUCCUCCGCCGGCUUCAUUAGCGGCUGACUUGUACUUACCACUCCGGAGCCGAUCCUCUUCUUCACCAUUUGCAUACUUGGUGGCAAUCUCCAUCAUUCGACUCAGGGUCAUAUCUCCGGUCCGACCGAAUUUCAAACUCAACUCUCUGUUCUUGACACCUUUGAAGGCACAGACUGCCUGGUGAUCAGAUACAUUCUCAACUGUGUGGUGCAACGUGAUCCACCUCUGGAUGUAAUCUCUCAAGGUUUCAUUUGACUUCUGCACACACGACUGCAGCUCUGUCAACCCUGCUGGCCGCUUGCAAGUCCCUUCAAAUGUCCUGACAAACACUCGGGCAAGAUCUUCCCAAGUGUAAAUACCGCUGGGUGCUAACUGAUUCAACCACGCUCUGGCCGAACCCUCCAACAUAAGGGGCAAAUGCUUCAUAGCUACCUCAUCGUUGCCGCCGCCAAUCUGAACAGCCACUCGGUAAUCUUCAAGCCAAGUGUCAGGCUUGGACUCACCGAUGAACUUACUGACUCCAGUCGCCAACCUGAAGUUGGGAGGAAUCACCGCGGCUCUGAUGGCACUGCUAAAACACUCUGGCCCUGAGACAUGAACUCUGCUGGUGGUGGGAACAUCUCUGUCAUGGCCUUCUCGGUGAGCUCUGUUCCUGUCGACCAAACCUUGAACGGUAAUGGAUCUCGCAUCAAAGCCUGGUUCUCUGGGGUCGACUGGAACGCUUCGCCCAACACUGUGCUGGCGUCUGUCAUCCUGCUACCGAGGAGCGUAUGAUCCGCCCCUUGGGGGAGGGGUGGGCACUCGACGUCGAUCAUUGCGAUCGAAUCGGUGCUCAUACUACUCGCGGCUCUUGUACUGAUCAUCACGCCGGCCCCCACGUUCCUCACGCCUCGGAGGCGAUCUCGGACUAUCGGCCGACUGGACUGAAUUCGCAGCGACGGAUCUAUUGUGAAUCCUGUUCCGUGACUGUGAUACGACUGAAUUUUGAUCUCCUGCUGCCCGGAGUAAAUCUAUGAUCUGUAGCAAACCUCUACCCGCCUCCGACUGGGAAGGCUGAAUCGACUCUGCUAUACGAGCUGCAGCUGCUAAAUUCUGAAUCAGAGUUUGAUAUACCUGAGUUUGUUGUUGAAAGAGCUGACGUCGACUGGAUUCUGGAACCCGUGGUCGCGCGCGCUCGUUGAGUACUCGCUGGAGGUUCUCUAGUCCAGUGCGCUCAACCAGGUUGGCCAAGCACGCAUCCUCCAAGGCACGAGCCUCGGGGGUUUCUCCAACGAUAGGAGUGUGAAGUGCAUCCAUGUUCCGGCAGCGAGGUUCCUCCCUCUGCAGUGAAGUGAGGGGCUCGGGUCGGUACUCUUCGUGAGCUUGCGCCAGAUCGCCUCCACCGUCACCUCCGUCGGUGCGGGGGAAUCCAGGAGGACUGCGUGGUCCAUUGACCAUCAUAACCUCUGCCGCCGGAUCACUGCUAUCGCACUCGGAUGCGGUCUCUGCGGAGCCAGUCGACAGAUCGAACAUGCCGUAGAGAGAUUCGUCGGGCUCGAUCGCCCAACUUGGGGAGUGGCCGACUGGCGGGCCACCGCAUGCCUCACCCAUCGUGCCUCGACCGACCGGAGCGCUUGCGCCGGCGGGAGACUGGGAACGAGGACGGCAUAGGAGCGGACCCAUACUGGGUCGACGGUUGCCGCAGGAGGACGCCACGGACGCACGCGCGAAAGUGCGUUGCCCCGUGGACGGGGAGCACGUCAACGUCGAGUGGAGCCUCCUGAAGCCAAGCGGAGUCAUCGGCGAUGAACGUGAGCGCACCGAGACGGAUCUCGCGGCCCUCGACCAAAACUCCACCUGAAACCAUGAUGUAGGAGAUCGAAAGAAUCCCAACUUCUCCAACAAAUCGCUAGAACACCUGCCCCACAGUGGGCGCCAACUGUUGUGGUUCUAAGUCUGACAGUAGAAUGGGGGGUAGGAAUAGAGAGGCAAGAUCCUAGUUAUGGAGUAGUUGUAUACGCAAGAGAUUUACGAGUUCAGGCCCUUCUCGAAGGAAGUAACAGCCCUACGUCUCGGAGCCCGGAGGCGGUCGACUGGAUUAUAUGCGUAUGAGUUACAGGGGUGCGAACCCUUCUGCCUGUGGAGGGGGGUGGCUUAUAUAGAGUGCGCCAGGACCCCAGCUAGCCCACGUAGCGGAGGGUUUAAGGUACAUUAAGGCCAGGCGUUACUGGUAACACCUUACAUAAAGUGCCAUCAUGACCAUAAAGACUACUUAAUUACAGACCGUUUGGAUACAGAGUGGCUCCUGAACUCCUGGUGAUCGAGUGAGUCUUCAUGGUCGAGUGUCUUUGAAUCUGUGGAGUGGAAUCCUACCAGGUCGACUGGAAGACAGUUUCUUUUAAGGAUGUCCUUGGGGAGGGUAUCUUGGACAGGUCCAUGACCCUACCCUAGGUACAUGACUUCAUCAACUAGUACAUUACUUAUGUGCACAUGCCAACCAUCAGGAUAAUUCCUAAAAGACAAAAUGUACCAAAAAAAGAUGUAACAAAGCUAGCGGUAGAUUAGCUGCAGAAGAAGUACCUCCAUGUCCUUUGUAAGAACCCUGAAGGUGUCACCAUGCAGCUCCCUUAAAUCUGCUUGCACUUUUUUUGGGCAGACUGAAACGACCAAAGACAUCUCAUUCAAUUUGCUGGUGCGAGAGUUGAGAACAUUGAGCUGAUCAGAGUUGCUUUUCAUGCUGUUUUCAGCAAGUACUUUGAGAUCAUUUUGUCCUUUAAUCUGCGAUAACAUGUUUGAACAUAUCAAACUUUGUUGUCUUUGCAAACAAUGAAAUGGUAGGAGAAAGAACUGAGACAUCAACUUCUCUUACAAUUUUCUGAAGUGUAUCCUCUAGGAGAUCAAACUUUUGCUGCACACCACCAGCUGCACAUAACAGAUAAAUAUGAUUCACUUAUAUGAUGAUGCAUCAGUUGUCGAAGAAGAAGAAAAAUCAAAGUGCAAGGUUUAUGAGCAAAGCGGAAGCUGCUGCGAUUCCUAUUAUGAUCAACGGUACCAGUUUGCAAGGCUUACAUUCAACUGAUGCGUCCUUGAUGGUUCUGUUUAACUGAAUAACAUCAGUUUGUACCGAGUCCAAUACCAUUCCCAUCUUGUGUACUGAACCUGACAGUUGCUGAAACCUGUGCCCAGCGUCCUCGUUAACCUUACCUGUUGAAAUACUACCAUCUUCAGGCACACCAAACAAAACAUAAGCACAGCUUAGUGAUAUUGUUAUAUCACCAGCCACGAAUCCCCAAGCUACAAUUUAAACCUAGCAUGUCAUAGGUUAACUUGAGCAGAGUACAGAAUGAACCACAGCCUUUUUCAUCCCUUCCAAAAGCUGUGGGUAAAUUCGCAUGCCCCCAUACGCCAGCUAGCAGAUUCGUGCGCAACAAAAUUUACUUUAGAGUGCUAUAAACUGGAACCAUGGGAAACUAAAUUCAAACCAAACAUCUCAAGCACUGUACACUCUAAACCCCGUAAAAGGUCCAGUAGACAAUCUGCCAUUCCCUGUUUUAAAAAAUGAAGUAAAUAUGUUAUGCUAGACUAUUGUUUCAAACAAAUAUAUUAGAAUGUUAAAUUUAACAUGCUAGAAAAUUAAAGUAGAGUGCCCAACACACACAGUGUAAGUAAGACUAGCAUAUAGUAGUUUGUCUUGUACAGAAUGCUUCUAAUCUAAGUAAGCAUGAGAGUGUACGUGUUGGAGCUUUCUCAUGCAUGCAAAUAUUUUACGAGGAGAACUAGCUAGAUACAUGUAGGUGACCAUUAGAAUGCAUACGUGUGUAGGGGAGCUCCCUCGGCAUCGCUGCUAUCGUGUUUGACCAAUGAAACAAAAGGUUACAGGGAGCUUUUAAGUAAAAUUGAGGGUGUAAAAUUAAUAUUAAGGUUGUACAUUACAGUCACUAAUACCCACGAGUUCAGAGUUUCAGAGCAAGGAACAGCCGACAGGGUCGGUACCGGUCUAGAUUGUACAACCUCCGUUCAGAAUUAACCGUCGAUGAAAUGAGUGUAUUUAGACGUGCAUCAGAGUGUAGAUUCACUCAUUUCAGCGAGAGUUUAUUCCGAGCUGUAGUUUUUGCUGAACAGAGUUAUAUACGUACUCUGUAGUUUGUGCCGAACAGAGAGUUCUACACUGCAUUCUAUAGCGUGUGAUGAACACAUUGCAGAGGCAAAAAAAUCGUUCGGUUGGUAGCUUCAGGUCCUAAUGUCCUAGAGCAGACAUGCCACGUGCUAAUAUUUGGCCAACACGUCACUGGUUUGUAGCGUCUGUUGACAAAAAUGUCAGUCAUAGUAUCUGAGAGUCUGCCUUCACAUGUUUAUAUGUUAUAUGUUACCAUGUUUAGGAAUCAACUACUCCGUAUAUAUUUUACCAUGUCUGUCACAUCCAUGUGUGAUCAAACAUAUUGCUGGAAUGCCUAUAGGGUGCAGACAUGUGUGAUUAAACAUAUCGAUCCAGAUGGUGCUUGCAAUAAUUAACUAACACCAGCGCACCGCUCAAUCAGCACGAUCAGGUGUGCGACCGCAAAAGGCCUGAACUACAGGGGCGCAAUCGCACGAACAAAUAAGCAGCAGCAGUAGAUGCUAAUCGGCAGGCUGGAAGCUAGCGAUCGACCAUGGAUGGAUGAGACCAGGCAUCAGGAUUUGUAAAUCGUCUGACUUACCAGCAAAGGGCGAAGAAGAGUCCGGAGAAGAAGCGCCAGCGGUCGGGGGAGAGCGCGCGGCCGCAGCAGAAGCACUGGCUGGCCACCAUGGCGACGGUCUGCCCGACCAGCAGCAGGGCGAGCGCGCCGACGCCGUACUAGGUGGACGCAUCCGUGUCGUACAUGCAGUACCGCCUGCCACCAGGCUCGGCCUCGCCGAGUUGCGCCUGCACCCAGUGUCCCCAAUCAAGAUUCAAGAACCCGAUGGCUCCGGCCUGAGCACAUACGCAUACAUAGAUAGAUGCUUGAACGAGUUGGCCAGGAGAUGGUGCGGCUCACCGUGCUCCGGCGGCGCUUGGUGCCGAUGGCGAGGACGAAGGCGAGGAUGUCAAGGAGCAACACCAGGCCGAUCACCAUGAUGGACGCCAUGGGGACGCCGGCCGAUCAAAACCAAAUACACUUGAGAGGAGCACGAUGAGAUCGGGAGGAAGGGGACGUCCUUAUGAUCUGGCUCGCGAGCCCACUGCCGCUAUCGUGGGUCGUCGACGGUGGGGGUGACAGCGGAUCGAGGUGGGAGGGAGGGGGAGGCGGUGGAUCUGGCCCCCGCCAUGCCCAUGGUCGUGCCAUGCGGCUAGGUCUAGGUCAUGAGCGAGGAGGGAGCGCAGAUCCGGCCGCGGCCAUGGGAGAGAAGGGGAGGGGAGGGGUUGCCGGCGGCCGGGGUUGGGGGAGAGGACAGAGGACGGCGCCGGUGGUGGCUGGGUGGUUGGGGAUCGAGAGGGUUGGGGUUGGCGGCUGUGGGACGAGAGGGGGAGAGUGGUUGAUGCAUGAUCCGCGUGAUAUGCCUAUGGACCAAUGAGAGUGCACCAAACAAUUUGAUGAUUUUUUGACCAUAUAAAUUGGUCGUGAUUGAUUACAUACAAAUUUUUCAUUCCAUUUUUCAAUGCUCAAAAUGAGUUUUUUUGUGAAAUACCUAUCUAAUAUUUGUUCAAAUGAUGUCAUAUUUUGCACAAGUUUCAUCUUAGAUUGGCAAACAACAUUGACAAAGGGGGUUUUAAUUUCUUUUGCAUGAAAAAACAAUUUUUCAUUUUUUGAGUGUCCAAAAUAAGUUUUUUUGUGAAGAACCUACCAUAUAUUUGUUGCAAAAUUGUAUAAAUCAAUUUUCUAAAAUAUUAGGACAUAUUUAAUGCACAAUUGACCAAAUGCUUGGGUGUUAAAAGUUUUGAUCCACCUUCGGUGAAAAAGACAAAUUUUUGCCGAUUCAGCUGGAAGUGGGUCAAAUUUGAACUGUAGCUACCUCGUAGUUUGUUCUUUAUUUUUUCCAAAAAUCAUUUCUAGAUACAUAAGUAUCUAUUUAAUCAGAGAAACAUCAAAAGUUUUUCCAAGAUUCAACCACUAGCUAGGAACGGUCAUGCCCGCCUUUUGACCACAUUUUAAAACGGGCAUAAAAAAUUCAAAACAAAUUCAAAAAAUUGGAAAACCUUCGCGUUGUGUCAUUAUAUGUGAUCAAGUUUCCAGGAAAAAUAAUAAACUUGUAAUACGGCAAUUAUUUUUAAAAAGUGUUCUAAAAAAUGAGCUAUCAUGCGUGAAGUUUCAUGGCUUUCAAGCCAAAUGAUCAAUCUUAUGGCCACAUUCAUGGCAUAAUUUGUUCAAAUGAUCUCAUAUUGUGCACAAGGGUGCAUCUUGGAAUUCCAAACAAUGUUGCCUAAGGGGGGUCUUCAUUUUCUUUGCACGGAAAAUUCAUUUUCCAUUUUCCGAGUGCCCGAAAUGAGUUUUUUUUGUGAAGGACCUACCAUAUAUUUGUUACAAAAUUGGAUGAAAUCAAUUUUCUAAAAUACUAGGCCAUAUUUAAUGUAUAAUUGAAAAAAUGGUUGGGUGUCAAAUUUUUUGAUCCACCUCUGAUGAAAAAAGACAAAUUCCCACCGAUUCAGUAGGAAGCGGGUCAAAUUUGAACUGGAAGUGCCUCAUAGUUUGAUCUUUAUUUUUUCCAAAAAUAAUUUCUAGGUACAUAAGUACCUAUUUAAUCAUAAAUACAUGGUUUGGUGGCGAUACGUCGAGGUUUGGAUAGUGGCCGAGGGCCCCAACUCUAAAGCGCGUAAACUCACAUGCCCACAGCGUGGUCACCGUGUGACCGUGGCAUUGCCAUGUCUUCUAGGCGGCCUAGGCAUGUCUAGUGGGUUGGGCACUCCCCAGGUAGGUGCUAGGAAGAAAAUCACAACAUAAGAUUCUCAUGAGGAGACCGAUCGAUGCUCAAACAUGAAUAAGCAACCAAGUGUUUGAUUAGCGGUAUGGAAAAUGCACAUGGCUAAUGGGCGUGAGUUUUGCUGAGGAUGAUCAGUUACUAAGAAGACCAUCUUCACAAAUUUGCAGCUCAAAAGGAGGAGCCUAGGUGGUACUUGCUUUGCAAAGUAUCAUAGUGGACAUAAAUACGAAUGUUGAAGUUGGGCUCAAAAUAAUGAAUGGAUUGAGCUGACAUUUGGUGGAGGAUGAUUAUUUGGGCAUAGGAAAGCACCGUAGAAAAUGGAUACCAUUUGGACAUGCAAAAGUGGUACUUUCUUCACAAAGUGUUUUUCUGAACAGAAUAGGAAAAUGAAUAUUUUUAAAUUAUUUUUGAACUAGUCAAGGAAGGUCUUUUACAUAUUUGACGAAGAUAUGACCCAAAGAAUUUAUGAGAUUUUUUGGGAAUUUUGGGAAUGAGAGAAAUAUAGGUUUCUUCACAACCUAGGACAAAAACUGCCACAUGGACAUGACAUAUAGGCAAAACUGAUGAGGUGGCGCCUAGUCAUAGCAACCCACCAUAAUUUACAAGGUUAUGACCAUCUAUAUUGGUCAUGAUCAGCUAAAAAUAAGGCAGCGGACCAAUGCUAUCUGCUUUAUGACCAUUUUGUGUAAGGAAAUUAUGACCUUUCUGACCAAAAUAGUCAUUAUAAUUUAGGGUUUGGAGCCCCUUGAACAACUUUUGACCAAUUUGUCUGUAAUGGUCAUAGAUCUAUGACCAAUUCUUCCAGGGUCACUGACAGAAGGUCACUAGUUGACAUAUUUCUUGUAGUGUCGGCGGAGCGGUGCUUCAUCCUACUCAUUGAUGGCGGCAUAUCUCGGCGGCGUGGCGCAGUGGAGAUUCGGCGUCCGAUGUGUGGUGAUGGACUCGCGCAGGAGGACGAACCUGUCUGGUGUCAUGGUGACGUCGAUGGCUGAGUGGCCAAACAAGGUAGAAGCCUCAAUAUUUGCUCUGAAGACGGACCUGUGGAAGAUGGCGGCGACGACACACGAGUGCGUCGAACCGGUUUGUACCCCAGACCCGGUAUGUGGUUCGGUUGGGGCUUCUGGCUUUUGAUGUUACGGUUAGGUGAGUGGUCUGGGUAGUGGCCCAGCUAGCACCCCUUCAUCAUUUUGAUGUUAGGCUUAGAUGAGUGGUCUGGGUAGUGGCCCAGCUAGCAAGCUUUCAUCAUUUGGAUAGGAGUAGUGCCAUAUGUUGUCAAGAUGGCGGAUUCAGGCAUAUUGUUGUAAUACUUUGUAAGGUCCUCGAGAAUAAUCAAUAAAGUGGCCGCAUGCAUAUUCCAGAUGCAGAGGCCAGGGGUCAUCCUCCUUUUCGAAAAAAAGGAAUGGAUGAGAUAAAAAGAAUACAAGGCACUCGGCUUACACUUAUCAACAAUUUAAGAAAAAUAAAUCCAAUAUUGUAAGCAAUGAUUCACAUAUCUCAUGCUCAGCUUAGACAUUACCAGAUUAAGAAAAUAAGAAAUGCAAUUUUUUUUAGCAAGCUAUGUGUUCUAUGAAAAUAUGGUUACAACCCCAUACCUACAAAUGAACAAGACAAAGCGAGGAAGACAUUUAUCCCGGUACAAGUACAUGUAGGACCCCCCAAAAAGAAAAUAUGCAAUCAAGUCUUUGGAGUUCCCUCUGCGCAGAGGGCAAUUCUCCAUCGCCAAGACCCAGCACCAAUGAAAUACCACGAGAAGGAAGGAUAUGAAAGUCCAUCAUACCCAAACCAGAAGGGAGCAUCAUCGCGACAAUAGCCGCAUUGUGAGCCGACGUUGCGAAUGAGAAAACUAUUUCUAAUGUGCACGUCGGUUGGGGCACAUCCCCGUGCCACUCGCCAGACUUAAGCGUCGCCGUCUUCACUCGAGGAAGUCGAAGAAGACCAGUGAAGCUGUCUGCUGCAAUCCGCAAACCCAACACCAGAACAUCUAUCCUCUCACACAGGUCGCCGUUGUCACCCUCGAAAGGAACUCCAACUGCAGGCCCCAACCUGGAAAACCUAGCCUCGCUGAUCCAAAUGAGCAAUGAGGGACAUGAGCAACCAACUCAUCAGCACCGCCGUGGACAGCAUCACCAAGAUGUGGAAAGUCAAGGCAAAUUUAUUUGCCGGGGCCGCUGCCACUGCUAUAAAUGCCGCGCCGCCACAAGAAACUAAUCCUAACCUAUCUACAAGUCAGGGCUGAAGCACCAGGGAUCUCCACACGUCCCGCUGCUGGGGCGGCAGACAGAACGAGGGAAAUCCUACGGGCUGCGUGUUGAUGGUUGAAGGUGGGAAGUAGUUCUUCGCCCAGCCCGCUGCUAUCGGGAGGGGAAGGAGAAACUGCAGUUGCGGUUGAAGCAUAAGAAAUGUAAUAUGGUUAGCCAAGUUUGAUGUAGUGACCCUUGGCUUGCAUAUAAGCGUUAAGAAACGGAAAUUCAGCUCAUGUGCUUGACGCUCGGUAAACAACUACUGCCGUCACGGGUCCGUUAAGAACGGUCGCAAGGGACACAUGACCACGUCUUUGUCGAACACUCUCAUUUUGCCAAGUUUUACAUUUUAUUUUUGCUUCCUUUCCCGAGACUGUUUUGUAUGCCGGGUCUUUAAUAGGACGGUGUCGGCUUUGACAAUGCGUUGCCAAACGCCCUUCUGUUGCCGAUUUUUUUUUUUGUCUUGUAUGCCGAGUCCCCGAUUCUUUGCAUUCACCAUACAUUGAUAUAGUGGGCAUACAAUGUUUUUCCUGUAGUGAAUGUUGUUGGCUUGUGGAAUUAGAUGACGAUUUUGUGGGGUGUCAAGGUCCUCUCCCCAACUUUUUUGUCCACUGACAGUGACCAUGCAUUGAAACCCGGUAUAAAUAUUCUAGUGUGUUAGCUAAUAAUUUACCUGCCCAUAUUAAUGUGAUUGUGUAAAUAAAUGUUUAUCAAAUCCUGUUCGUGAUUUAUCUUUUAUUUUGAUGAGAAAUUUGGUAAAUAAAUUAAAAUGGAAUUGGCUUAGAAGGUAGAUAAAUUAAGGUGACUGAUUAUGAUACGGUGAAGGUUGGGCGAAAGUGUGGUGGGAAGAAAAGUGAAACAUGAAAUCUUACAUUCUUAUUAAGUAGUACUCCCUCCGUCCCAAAAUAAGUGUCUCAACCUUGAGACACUUAUUUUGGGACGGAGGGAGUACUAGCUAAUUGCCCGUGUGUUGCAACGGGGUCACACAAAUUUUAAGAGUUCAAUAUUGAUCAUGUCAACAAUACAUUUAGUAUUACUGGCGACCUUUANNNNNNNNNNNNNNNNNNNNNNNNNNNNNNNNNNNNNNNNNNNNNNNNNNNNNNNNNNNNNNNNNNNNNNNNNNNNNNNNNNNNNNNNNNNNNNNNNNNNNNNNNNNNNNNNNNNNNNNNNNNNNNNNNNNNNNNNNNNNNNNNNNNNNNNNNACCAUAAGCCAUCUAUGCUAUUUCCUACCUUGUGAAACCUAUUUCCCAAGACCCUUCAAUUACCUGCAUCAAUUAAUAUGAUACCCAAUUAUACAAAUACUAAUUCUCAAUUGUAUUUAGGAAAAAAUAUACAUACAUGCCCAUGCAGAAUUUGCUAUUUUGUGGAUUGACAAUGUCUCUUAUUUGACAUCCACCUUAUCCACGCCAGUGCAAUACCAAUAUGGAUGAUAUGUAUUAUGUUUGCCACCAAAACUGAGGGAAUUAAUUUCAUGUAAAUUGGCCAGCAACAACUCUAUGACAAACAAUAUAUCUAAAUUCUCAGCGUUAUUUUUUUCGUAAUAAGCAUUAUUUAUACUAUUUCUUGAAUGUGUUCAAACUAUUACUUGAACUUGCUAUCAUCAAACGAUAGCAAUUAGCCAAUGACCUAUAUGUUUUGGUGCACCUUUGUAAAAUUUAGAAACUGCUCGUGUGACAAAAGAAGAUACUGAGUGAACAUAUGGAACAAGGCCUUGUGUGUAGUAUAGAAAUAAAUUAGCAGAAUCAGAAGACUACAAUUAGUAUAUUUAAUCUUGACCCCGCAAAACAGUAGUAUAUUUAUUCUUCACAUGAACAAACUAUGAAAAGAGAUCACGGUUCUAUCCAACCCGUUCUACCAUGCGUGUAUGAACAAAGUUAGUACAAAGUUGAGACACUUAUUUUAGGACAAAGGGAGUAAAGGUUUCAUAUUUAAAAGGACUAUCAUAUAAAUACAAAGACAUACCAAAUAUCGCGAGCAUGCGACUGGAUAUUAUAGGACGAACUUUUAUCAAUUACCAUACUAUUACUUUUGAUGUCCACAAAAUGCAGUGAAGUAAUUAUGAGAAAAUAAAAAUGCAGGGUUGAUCAAAACAACUAACCACUAUACUUGAUGUAGAAGAUGAUGUAAGUAUAAGCCUGCUGACGGCAAUGCCAAUUGAAGCUUAAAGAACACCACUCGUACAAGCAUUAAAAUCUACAACCAUACAAACACAGCUUUAGGAUGAUGACAUGUUGAAUGUAGAUUGCAGACCUUCACUUGCAUGCCUUCUCAAUCCUCGUAGUAUCUUCUCUUGCCUUAAUUUCCUUCUCUAAUCUUCAUCUUGCCCAUGUGUUGCACCCCGUUCCAGAAAGAAAUAAACAUGAGCUACUCUGACUUGCAAGGACCAUCAACAUGUAUAGACAAAAUUUCUUAGUAUUAGUUCAUAGCAGAAACCAAAGAGUAUCAUAACAAUGGUUCAAUCACCUUCGAGGCUUUAACAACCGAUAAGAAUGAGGUGCCUGUGUAGGGGAGAUAUGGAGCCGUAGACGAUAUGACAGCCUAGCCACUUUGAGAGUGGAGAAAACCAUAGACCGAGCCUCCUCUUUGCACUCAUCUUUCGCACGAGAGUGGACAUAUGCGCGUCCCUCUCCCUCGCUCUGAGCUCUACUGAUACAAACCACACAAGUUAGUAAUAGCCGUUUUCUGAUGCACGAUGAAGCUGGAUGACCUCCCCAGUCUAUUGUCGCGUGAGAUCCUAGCGAACAUAGGCAUCGCCAGCAGCAUCGCAGCCUCAUGACCUUAGGGCUCAGACACAUGUGUCAUCUGGCGACCGCCUCCCCACCACCUCGGCACACCGAUGUGUGCGCCGUCCCCUACAACAUAAAGGCCCCAUGACCUCAAGCAAGCGCAUCUUUGACCACCGCCGCCGCGCCAACUCAGCAAACUGGCACACGCACUACUAGAAAAAGGGCUAUAGAUGAGAUGGACACUAAUGGCGCACCUGUCAUGUGGUGCGCCAUUAGUAUAUACUAAUGGGACACCAUGUUUUGAUGCACCAUUAGUGUGGAAGACACUAAUGGCGCACCAGGCACAUGGUGUGCCACUAGUAACAAUUUUUUUUCCAAACAUACUAAUGGCGCAUCAUGGCUCGGUGCGCCAUUACUAAUAAUGGCGCACCGGCCACACAGUGCCCCACUACUGUUGUUUUUUUAAUUCUUUUUUUUGCAAAACUACUAAUGGCGCAUCAUGGCAUAGUGCGUCAUUACUAGUCUAAACUAAUAGUGGCGCACUGUGCCACGGUGCGCCAUUAGAAUAUAUACUUUUUUUUUAUUUUUUUGCAAAACUUUUAAUGGCGCACCAGCAGCAGGUGCGCCAUUAGUAACCAGGGUUACUAAUGGCGCAUUUGCAUAUGGUGCACCAUUAGUAACCUGGGACCAACAAGAUAUUUUGGACAGCCCACCUACCCACUCAUUUUCCCCACUUUAUUCUCUCCACCUCCUCCUCCAAGCUUGUCUCGGCUGCCUCCUCCUCCUCACCUCAUUUGCACCAUAGAUUCAUCCAAAUUAAGUGGUUAAAUUACCUUUUUUUGAUAGGUAAGUAAGGGGAAAGCUAUCUUUAUGUUGUAGAUCUACUUUUUUUCUCCCUCCAACAAUGUGCACAUGCACUUUUUAUGGCCUAGCUAGAUCUAUAUAUGUUUGUGGUGUUGCAUAUGUUUGUGGUGUUGCAUAUAUGUUUGUGUUUGCAGGUACCGGUAUUUGAAAUGCGAUAGUUGCCAAUAUUUUGCUGGAAUGUUGAUUCAUUUCCGUUUCGGCGAGAAUUUUGGCACUAUGCAUUCUUUUUGGUCCUAUUUUUAGGGAAAGUCAAGCCAAUUUUUUUUGUUCUAAAAUAUCAUUUUGCUCUACCCCGCAGGUGACCAUGGUCCGCACGAUGACCGAAGGCAUCGUGAAUAGAUUUUUGAGCUCUGCGAAGGCCGAGAUGCUUCAAAAGAACGAGACAUAGAUAAGAUGUCCAUGUCGAAGAUGCAAGCUGAAGAGCCUUAUGGCGGACCCGGAUUCCGGGCAGGUGCGGGACCACCUGCUCUUGCGUGGUUUCAUGGAUGGCUAUCGGUGGCAAGGUGAUGAAGAUGACUAUGAAGUCGUCCAUGGGGGCCGGGCAAGAAAUGAGGAAGGGAAGCAAGACAACCACCGCGGCUCGGGUGGGCGAGAAGACAAAGAAUCUCCAGGACUUGAUCACGACGGUGAUGUUGUACACAGUCAUCAUGUAGAAGAUGCCGGACAUGAUGAUGAGGAAGAUGCCGGAGCAGACGAAGGGCAUGAUCAUGAAGAUGAAGAUGCCGGCGGAGCAGACGACGAUGGACCAUCGAUGGGCUGGGUGCAAGACCCUCAUAUUUAAGAGCUGCUUUUCAAGCAGACGGAUAACGCAAGAGCUGCCGCCCGAGAGAAAGCCAAGCUGGAUCAACUGGAGAUAGACGCGGUUACUCCAUUGUAUGAAGGAUGCAGGCCCGAGGAUACCCGCCUGAAAGUAACGCUCAUGGCUUUGGAGAUGAAGGUAAAACACAAAAUGACCGACGCAUGCUUCGACGAGAACAUGUCAUUCUGGCACGAAUGUCUUCCCAAGGGGAACAAGUGUCCGACCAGUUUCGAGGAGGCGAAGAAAAUCGUGUGUCCUCUGGAUUUACCGCACGUGAAAUACCAUGUGUGCAUGAACAAUUGCAUCAUUUAUCGGGACGAGCACGCGGAGUCUACCAUAUGUCCGUGUGCGGCAUCACUAGAUACAAGAAGAGGAAGAAAGCUCCUCGAAAAGUGGUGUGGUACUUUCCGAUCACUCCUCGUCUACAGCGGUAUUUCACGGACCCUAAGGUAGAAAAGCUCAUGCGUUGGCACGCGGAUAUGGAGGAGAAGAAGCGAGAAGAUGACGCAAAUGAUCAGGAGAUAAAUAAAAAAGACAAGAUGCUGAGUCACCCAAAGGAUGCGAGCUAGUGACAAGCGUUGAACUUCGAACACCCAGAAUUUGGGAAUGAUCCAAGGAACAUCGUGCUGGGCGCGAGCACCGAUGGAGUCAAUCCGUUUGGCAGCCAGAGAAGCACACAUAGCACCUAGCCUGUGUUUGUGUGGAUGUACAACCUUUCCCCCUGGUUGUGCAUGAAGAGGAAGUACAUUCACAUGAGUAAGCUAAUUGAAGGGCCAAAACAACCAGGGAAUGACAUCAAUCUGUAUCUGGGGCUGCUGAAAGAGGAGCUAGACACGCUGUGGAAAACGCCAGCCAAUACGCGGGACGCCGCAGAGAAAGAAUAUUUUCCUAUGAGAGCCACACUACUCAUGACGGUGCACGACUAUCUUGGUUACAGAUAUCUCGCGGGGCAGGUGGUCCAUGGAUUUUCUGGAUGCGUCAGGUGCAUGGAUGACACAACAUAUCACCAGCUAGAUAGAGAUCCUGGGUCUUCAAAAACCGUGUUCAUGGGACAUCGAAGGUGGCUUCGCGACGAUGACCCGUGGAGGAAACGCAAGGAUAUGUUCAAUGGUGAAACCGAACCCCGAAGACGCCCGCGUACGAGGAGCGGCGAGGAAAUAGACCAGCUAUUGAAAAAUUGGAAAGAUUGCCCACUGCCGAGAAAGAAUCAAAAGGCGCCAGAGCCGGGAAAGAAGCGAAAGGCGCCAGAGCCGCUGCUGAUGGUAUGGAGAACGAGGCCUGUUUUCUAGGACUUGCCGUACUGGAAGAUCCACCAUGUGCCUCACAGCCUUGAUGUCAUGCAUAUAACGAAGAAUGUGUGCGAGAGUCUGCUUGGUACCCUGCUCAACAUGUCAGAGAGGACCAAAGAUGGGCCGAAAGCAAGGGCAGACUUGAAAUCAAUGGGCAUCGGGGAGGAGCUUCACGCUAAUGAUCAUGAUGAUGAGGCGAAGCAGGACACGGAAAGUCGUCGCAAAGGUAAAAAGGCCAAGAAGACCGGAAAUGACUACCCUCCCGCGUGCUUCACUCUAAGUCAGGAGGAGAUCGAGCAGUUUUUCACCUGCCUCGUAGGAGUAAAACUUCCUUACAGUUACGCGGGGAAUAUAAGCAGAUACCUAGACCCAGCGAAGCAGAAGUUCAGCGGGAUGAAGUCUCACGACUGUCACGUGCUGAUGACGGAGAUACUUCCAGUUGCAAUCCAUGGGAUCAUGGAUGCGCACGUCCGUGAAAUGCUAUUUGGCCUAUGCAACUUUUUCAACGUCAUCUCUCGGAAGUCGGUUGGCGUGAGGCAACUCAGAAGGGUACAGGAAAUCGGUUGGUGAUACUAUGCGAGCUUGAGAUGUACUUCCUACCCGCAUUCUUCGACGUUAUGGUGCAUCUGGUGGUCCAUAUCGUGGAGGAUAUCAUCCAACUCGGGCCGACGUUCCUGCACACCAUGACGCCGUUCGAAAGGAUGAAUGGUGUCAUCAAAGGAUACGUUCGCAACAUGUCACAUACAGAGGGAAGCAUAGCAGGGGCUUCCUAUUGGAAGAGUGCAUCUCCUACUGCACGAAUUAUCUAGGCAUCAAGGACCCCGUUGGCCUGCCCGUCAACAGGCACCUCGGCAGGCUCGCUGGAUGGGGUCACCGUGAGGGUCACCGCGAAAUGCAUGUCGACUUCGAGGGUCGACUCGCCUACUUUGAAAGAGCAAACCUAGUCGCGCUACAACACAUAGACGUGGUCGAUCCUUGGGUGGUAGAGCACAAAACCUUUAUUGAGAAGACGUACAAUGACCGAGGCCAACAUAGGACGGACGGAGAUACAAUCCAAGAGCACAACUCAUGUUUCACGCGUUGGUUCAAGUAGAAGCUUAUGUCGUACCCUUUACAUGAGGAUUCUUCCGCGGAAGAACAACUCAUAUUCGCCUUGUCACAGGGCGCCGAGCACAACCUGAUGACCUAUGAGGCGUACGAUAUCAACGGCUACACAUUCUACACCGAGGACAAGGACAUGAAGAGCGAUGGUUAUCAAAACUCCGGGGUAACAAUGGAAUCCUACACUGGUAACGACAAGGAUAGAUACUACGGAAGGAUCGAGGAGAUCCGGGAGCUGAGCUACGCUGGAGAGAAGGUCCCGAUGUUCCGUGUCAGAUGGGCCAAGAGCGUCCUAAAAGAAGACCGGUAUUUCACCACCAUGGUUAUACCCGAACCCAAAUCCAAGACCGCGGGCGCAAACGUCACCGCGAAAAAUGAGCCAUGGGUACUGGCUUCCCAAGUGGACCAAUGCUUCUUCAUUACCGACCCGUCAAAGCCCAGUCGUGUUGUCGUGAGGAGAGGCAAAAGGAAGAUCAUCGGAAUGGAUGGAGUAGCCAAUGAGCAAGACUUCGACAAGUACGGCGACCCGAAGAUCGAACAUGACGACGACGAUGAAGUAGCAGCAUAAACCACAAGAAGAAGCAGGACCACCCUACAUAAAGGAUGUCCGUUCCACAGAAGAACUCCAUUUGCGAAAAAGAAGGGCAAGAAGAUUGUGAAUAGAUAGCUAGCUAGCUAAGAUCGAUUGUAUUUAAAUUGUAGCCUUCAUAUUUCCCGAUUGUAUUUCAUGGGCACUUUAAUUUUGAACUCAUGAAUAUUUUUUAAAUUUCAUGGACACUCGAUCUCGAUCCCCCUCCAUCUCGAUCGCUAUCCCACCUCACCAGAUCUGGUCCCCCCUCGCCGCCGAGCACCCCCUGCACCCUCUCCACCGGCCGCCACCGCCGACCCCCCGGCCCCGCACCCUCCCCCGCUCCACCGGCCGCCGCCGCCGACCGGCCCCCCGCACACCCUCCCCCGCUCCUGCCCCCCGCCACCGACGACCCACCGCACCCUCCCCGGCCCGCUCCACCGUCNNNNNNNNNNNNNNNNNNNNNNNNNNNNNNNNNNNNNNNNNNNNNNNNNNNNNNNNNNNNNNNNNNNNNNNNNNNNNNNNNNNNNNNNNNNNNNNNNNNNNNNNNNNNNNNNNNNNNNNNNNNNNNNNNNNNNNNNNNNNNNNNNNNNNNNNNNNNNNNNNNNNNNNNNNNNNNNNNNNNNNNNNNNNNNNNNNNNNNNNNNNNNNNNNNNNNNNNNNNNNNNNNNNNNNNNNNNNNNNNNNNNNNNNNNNNNNNNNNNNNNNNNNNNNNNNNNNNNNNNNNNNNNNNNNNNNNNNNNNNNNNNNNNNNNNNNNNNNNNNNNNNNNNNNNNNNNNNNNNNNNNNNNNNNNNNNNNNNNNNNNNNNNNNNNNNNNNNNNCGUCACAAAUGAAUGCAACUAAAAUUAAAAAAACAAAUUUGAUUAUAUUUUAAAAUAACAAAUUUGAAGAUAUUUUCAAAUAAUAAAUUUGUUGAUAUUUUUUCAUAUUCAUAAAUAUUUUCAAAUAACAAAUUUGAUGAUACUUUUUAAAAAAUUAUUACUGUUUUAAUAUUACUGUUAUGACUUAAACAAGUUUGAACAUAUUUAAACACAAAUAAAUAUCAAACAGCAUUUUAAAUGUUGUUAACAUGGCAACAAACUGCAUAUUAUUUUUUCUACAUGAAAUUCUGAUCAUCUAGCAUAUGUGACAUGUUAUAUUUGGAUGCAUGGAUAAAAAUAUAUGUGCAAAGAAAAAAAUGCAUAAAAACAAAAAUUGGGGAGCCUGGGAAUUGAACCCAGGACCUCCUGGUGUGUGUGCUGCGUGCUGACCAGUCAGGCUAGUGUGUGUGUUCUGAUGGAGAUACGGUUAGGUGGAAUAUAACCUGACUGCUCAGACUGUAAUCAAAAAAACAUUCUAAUGGCGCACCGCUGCGUGGUGCGCCAUUGCUAUCUAAAAAACAUUCUAACGCAGCGGUGCACCAUUAGAAAGCUUCCCCCAUCCAUACACUUCGCCCCUCCCUCGUCCCUCCCUCUCGCCAGACACUUCGUCCCUCUCCCUCCACCGCGCCGCUCCCUCCCUCUCGCCAGACACUUCGUCCCUCUCCCUCCACCGUGCCGCUCCCUCCCUCGUCCCUCCCUCCACUGCGUCGCCGCCGCCGCUGCCCCGACCCACUGUGCUGCAGCCGCCCACGCGCCCCCGCCGCCUCNNNNNNNNNNNNNNNNNNNNNNNNNNNNNNNNNNNNNNNNNNNNNNNNNNNNNNNNNNNNNNNNNNNNNNNNNNNNNNNNNNNNNNNNNNNNNNNNNNNNNNNNNNNNNNNNNNNNNNNNNNNNNNNNNNNNNNNNNNNNNNNNNNNNNNNNNNNNNNNNNNNNNNNNNNNNNNNNNNNNNNNNNNNNNNNNNNNNNNNNNNNNNNNNNNNNNNNNNNNNNNNNNNNNNNNNNNNNNNNNNNNNNNNNNNNNNNNNNNNNNNNNNNNNNNNNNNNNNNNNNNNNNNNNNNNNNNNNNNNNNNNNNNNNNNNNNNNNNNNNNNNNNNNNNNNNNNNNNNNNNNNNNNNNNNNNNNNNNNNNNNNNNNNAGAGAUUUGGAGCCUCGAAGCCGUUGGAGACUUGGAGCCUCGGAGCCGCCCGUCCACCAGGAGAGGAGGCCCCACGUCCACCAGGAGAGGAGGCCCACGCCGUCUCUGCCCCCCCCAAGCUCGCCGUCUCCACCCUCCGUCGUCUCCGCUCCGGACACCACCUCAUCGUGGUCAGGUAACCCUCCUCCCUCUGCCUCUCUUCUCCUCCCUCCCAGCCAUGCCCUCUUCUUCUCUCUUUUGCUAGGUUUAGGUCAAAUCCCUCUCGAAUUUAGGUCAAAUCCCUCUCGAAUUUAGGUCAAAUCCCUCUCGAAUUUACUGGACGCCGUGCUAGUAUUUCAUUUUUCAUCAUGCUCUGUAUGCCAUUGCUGCUGCUCUGUGAUGCCAUACCUCCAAACAUUAUUUGGCUGGGAUUCAUUCAUACAUGUGUGUGUCUGUGUAGUUAGUAAAGGGGUUUGUUUGUAUGGAAGCAAGUUUGUGUGUGUGUUUACUAGUUACAUGAUGAUCUAACAAGAAUAUAUUUAUAUAAUGGUUCCCUUUAGCUGACCUGGCAUUAUGCGUGAGAAGAGAAGAAAAUAGUUGCUUGUGUUUGAAUAUUGGCUUGAUGCUGGUUUUGAAGUUUGAAGCUGUCUGUCCAUGUGAAAAGAGUCCAGUCUAGUCAGCAAUAUCACUGUGGUAUAUAUCUCUGUCUCUGUGAGUGUGUGUGUGUGUGUGUAGUAGGGUAGUAGUUGGGUUGGAAUGGAUUGAAUGGAUCAAAGAUUGGACAGAGGUGUGUGGGAAUGGAUCCAGUCAGUCCCAUCCAUGCAUCCAUCCAUUUGAUGAUGUAGUAGUAGUAGUAAAGUUGGAGGAGGGAUGUAUUUUGAGAGGGAUGUAGUAGUAAAGUUGGAGGAGGUUAGUAGAUGCUGGAGUAAAAUUAAUUUAACAAGAAUGAAGGAAAGAAAGAAACAAAAUGAUGAGAUAUGCUGCACAUGCCUUGACUUGUGAAUGCUGCCCCCUUCAAAAAUCUAACCACAAGGGAAACAUCAUUUCAGUCUCACUCUUUCGCUUUCCCCCUUUGGAAUUAAGAUGCCAGAGUCUUGUUUGCUGUCUGGAACCUAGUGUUAUCCAGCUUCAGAAAUUCCUGCCCAAUUUAAUGCAUGAGAAAAAUCUACUGCUGCUGAUAGAAACCCCUGAAUGAUACUAUUAUUCAUUUAUGAUAGUUUGUGAGAUACAGAAGUAGAUAAAUUUAAGUUUGUAAUGGCUAACAGCCAGACAUGUGAAUCUGUUCUUGAUACUCCUUUUCCUUUUCUUAAAAUCAUCAUAUACAAAUUAGAACCUUUCUAACAUCUACAUAUUUCAGGUUUCCGAGGAGGUAAAGGAAGUGAAGUUCAGACAGUGCAGCAACAGCAACACAUCCAAGGUGAGAAAUAUGUUCCUAUUUAUCUUUUUUUGCUCAAGUUCUUCAGAACAUCAUAUAAUAUAGAGCUUAUAUAUACUGAUGAUGAGUCUUGUUGAAACCUUACAUAUGUUGGUUCCUGCUUAUUUGCUCCAAUGGCACAAACUUGAGAUGCUAGCAUAAAAAGUGUUGCAGGCGACAUACGGUGAGGAGCUACUGUCAAAAACUUGAGCUACUGUCAAAAAAUUCAGUUAGGUACAGUUAGCAUCAUGUAAGAAAAUGGCCAUAAUGUGCCCUGAUAAUGAUGUAUUUUGUCAGAAAAAUAUAUAGUAGUUUACUUCCAUGAGUUGUUUUAUUGACAUGGAACAUUUGCAAUGGAGUUUUAUAUAUCUUUAGCCACUGUUCAUUAACAGCAGUCAGUUUUGCUGCUGUUAUGCCUGUAUUCACUGCUGCUGCUGCUGUACUUGUGAUGAUGUUGUACUUGUGAUGAUGCUACUUGUGAUCUUCUGAAAUGACCCAUUGGCGACUUCAUUACGCGGGGAUAAUGAUUUUGCAGGUACCCCGAGAGGCCCUUGAGUUUGUCGGAAUGUCGAUUAACUUCCGUUCCGGCAAAUUCGGGUACUCCAUAUGUCCUAUUUUCAGCAAAGGUCAUGCUAAAAUUUUCCGUGAAUUUUAGCAUGACUUUGCUAAAAAUCGGACAUAUGGGGUACUUGCUACUAAUGCAUGGGCCGGGGUAUCUUAGUACUUAGUUCAGUAGGAUCAACUGCCCCUUUAUUCCUGCUGCAUUAAACCAUAGGUAGAAAUAGAGCCAAGUGAUUAGUCCCAACUUAGAAUUCUCCUUAGCAUCGAUAAACCCUAGAUGAUAAACCCAACAUAGGUGGCAAUAGAGCCAAGUGAUUAGUGCCAAGUGAUUAGGCCCAACCUAGGGUGCCUCGGCAUUGAUAAACCCUAAAUGAUGAAAACUUAACUUAGCAUUUAGGGUGCCUCGGCGUCGACAAACCCUAAAUGAUGAAACCUUGGCUUCUAUAGGGUGCCUCGGUGUCAAUGAGAACCUAAAUGAUGUACGCUUAGGCUUUUAGGGUGCCUCGGCGUCGACAAACCCUAAAUGAUAAAAGCUUAGCUUUUAGGGUGCCUCGGCGUCGACAGACCCUAAAUGAUGAGACCAUGAUCUUGUUCCCUGACAAUAACCAACUUUUUGACCAAACUUUUUUCCUAUUUAAAGCAAAACAUGGCCCACAACGAUGAGGCCGGCGGUUCGGGCGGCAAGCAAUUCUGGGAGCUGUCCCAGGAGUUGGAGGAAGAACCUCACCGCUAUGAGGACACCGCGGAAGACACCGAUCCUGACUACACAACCCCUAGUGGCGUCGGGGAUGACACCACUGAUGGUGCCGCCGAGGAUGCCACCACUGAUGGUGCCGCCGAGGAUGCCACCACUGAUGAUGGCGGCGCACACACAGAUGGCAGCCAACCGAAUAGGCAAUGAAAGGACCCACGCCCGAACGUGCUCCGCACCGUCAAGGAGGAAUUUACUCAAGUGGAUUCUGACGGGAAUCCAACGGAGCCCAAACAUAUAGUCAAGGGGUACUCGGUUCAGCUCGGGUGCAUUCUCCGGAGCACCGUCUCGAUCAACACCGAGAACCUUAGGCAUAAGGACCGAGGAAAUUUGCGCAACCUCCUCUUCACGAAGCUGCAUGAACGAUACAAGUUCCCCGCUGAAUUUGAAAACACGCGCCUCUCAGGGAAUAAAGUGAACAGUGCCACCCUCACGAGGAUGAGCAUGGCCCUAUCUACUUGGAGAAGCGCGGUGAAGAGAAUCAUUGAGAAAGGUGAUAGUUAUGAGAAGAUCAAGGCGAAAAAUCCUUUGAUCAGCGAAGAUGACUACAAGGAGUUCAAGAUCAAGUGCGAGAGCAGUGCAACCUCCGAAUCAAGUUAGUGGGAGAAAGAAAUGCAGGAGUUGAACUUAGGGGAACACAAACUCGGUCCCGGCGGUUACAGAGUAGCGGAGCCUAUAUGGGACAAGGAGGAUGCGGAGCGUGCGGAGCAAGGCCUACCGCCCCGCUUCGAGAAAUACAGCAGUGACAAGCAGACCAGGAACUAUGUUAGGGCCCGGUACAAGGAGGACCCGAUAACAAAGGAGCUUACCACGGAUCCGAAGACCAGGGCGCUUGAGCUUGUUCUGGCGAAGGAGACUAAAAGCAAUAGCGCGGGGUUGUCUCAGAGCACCCAUGCUUGGGACAGCACUCUAAAUAGGGCGUUGAAACAUAAUGAAAAACAAGGAUAAGCUCAGUAAGCCAUUGUCAGCUGGUCGUGUGGACGGCAAAGGCUUGUCCACAGAAUGGUUGUCAUACUAUACCGCUAGUGGGCGAAAGGAGAAAAAGACCAGCUCGGAAUGCCAGUCGCGCGAGGUUCAAGAACUCAAGGCACAAGUGGCACGGAUUCCGGAGAUUAUCCAAGAGCAAGUGCAACAACAACUGGGAUCGACGCUCACCGGCAUUAUGCCUACCUCGAUUCAUGGGCUGAUGACGUGGAUUGCGGGUGGCCAACAGGGGCCGCCCCCGAUUCCCAGCUUCACGGCCAGCAACUCGCACAACGCGCAGGCGCCGCCAUUGGUGUCUCCGGCGGCGGCGGUAUUGGUGUCUCCAACGCCGGCACGGCCGGCAUUGGAGCUUAAUGCACCCGGGUGUACGUCGACCGGCACCUCGGCAGCAAGCGGCCCCUCCGUCAGUUGCAUGCCCGCCAUUGGCGGUGCCUCGACAUUAGCCGAGCUCGACGCCAUCAUCACGGUAACUAAUUAAGCCUCUCGGCCGAGGACUUCAUCUCCUUUUGCCUUUGACUGGGCAUCCCUGACGCCCUACAUGUUUUCGUAGGGUGCCGCCGACGUUCCGUGCACUCUCCUGCACUUCGUGAACGACGAGUUGGUCGACGUCGCCAAGGGAAAAAUCGUUCAACCGGGCAACCCCAUGUUCCACGGUAAACCGAUGCCACCCACCAUGUAUAGGGUUCAACUGGUUCGGGUGCUGCAAGGCUGUGACGAGUUGUCACCUCCGAUUCGAUCCGCCGGGGCCGACGAAGAUGAUCUGAUGACCCUCAGCGCCUGCAUAAGCUGGCCCCUGCUUUGGUAGGGGACACCACCCCAAAGACAACACCGCCAGUCGUGCCGGCGCCAAGCCAUGGCAAGACCGCCGCAACGCUAUCGGACAUGCUGGACAUCCCUAUGGCACAGGGUCCGAACAUGCAUAUGGUACAGGAUCUGAACAACAAGGACAACGAUGACGGACGUAUAUUUAGCAACGUUGAUAAGUACUUUGCCGAACAUGGAUACAAUGACGAAUUCUGCGGGCCUCUUUCUCAAGAACCCAACCCUACAAAAGACGACCGCAGUCUAGCUGGUACAGCGGAGAAACCCAAUUGCAACAGGCGUCGUCUGGCGUUCAGUUCUCAGGAGACGCCUCCAGCUUCCGACUUCACCGAGCCUCAGAUAGCCGAGGAGCCAAAUAUUAUCAGCCCCAACACACUCAAGAAGGCGGUCUGUGAGCAGAACUUGGUCCCAUUACAACAGAAGAAGAAGGGACGGAAAAUAAAGAGUAACAAGGGUGCGAGCCAGCCGGCACCGAGUAUCUGUGCUCAGGACGGGCCACCUUCACCUAAGGAUAUCUCGAGGAGGGUGCAUGUGGCGGGUAGGGCGAUGCUACCGACAAAUAUGCUCAAUGCUGCAACCGGUGCUAUGCAGAGUCUGCAUGACAGUGUUCUUUCUUUGGAGAAGCGGCGUCUCAGAGAGAAUGAUGUGGCAUACCCGGUUUUCGUGGCCAAGGUGCCAGAGGGCAAGGGCUUUGUGGAUGGCCCCAUCGUGGGUACGAUCGUCCUGUGGUUUGAUGACAUCUUUGCUAUGUUUAACCUUCAUCCGCUGCACUACACCUUCGUUCGGCUGUUUUCGCUGAGUAUGGAGAUGUGGAUCAUUAGAGACAAGACCCCGGACAUCGUGAUAGUCAACCCCUUCUACAUGCGUGCCAAGAACUUGUGCAGCGCUGGGGACCGGCAUGUCGCGAGUUCUUACCUCGAAGGCGUCAUUCUGGCAAACCUAGAUAAGGAUAACUUCCUCGUGCCUUACUUUCCCUAGUAAGUCAUCCCCUAACCGCCCCGUAACAUAUGAUUUCUUAGAUUUCAAUCGUUCUUUUUUUUCUAACAUUCCGUUUUCUGUGCAGUGACACACAUUGCACACUCAUCCUCUUAAGCCCGAAAUAUUCCAUGGCCACGUAUUUCGACCCGGACCGUGACUCCAAGAUAGACUACACAAGUAUCAAGAAAGUUCUUGAUGAUGUUCUCCCCGGCUACGACAAAUCUGGAGGCACCUUCGCCAAGCCAGUUCGUAGGCGGUACGGCGCGCACGUGUUUGCCCACAAUACAAAGUUCUCCUGUGUCAAGCAGCCGCCUGGCGGUCAGAAGGAUGCCUACUAUGCCCUCCAUCACAUGCGGGCGAUCGUACGGGACCAUCAUCACCUUCUGCUACCAGAUAAUCUCAAAGAAUUCUUUCGCAUCCAGUCGGAGUUUGCGGAAAUUAUCCAUCAAGAUGUCCUUCGUACCUCGGGGCAGUUCUACCUCAGAUAUCAACUGUCCAACCGUGAGAUAGACACAGCGCUACAAAUGCAGGCUGACAAUGCCUGCGAUUUCAUGACCAUCACGACAGACGGCGGCUUCAUCCACGCUCCGGUCCCCCAUGAGUCGAGUCGAAAGUAGUGAUGCUAUGUGUAGUUCUGAAACAUUGAUUGGCUCAUGUUGUAAUUAAAACUUUAAUGAACUUGUAUGUCUCUUUGGUUUGGACAGUCGUUCAACUUAGAUGUAAUCGAUGCUAUUUAUUAGUAGGACCAUGAAUCGUGCUAUUAAUGUCUUGCUUUUCUCUUCCGAUCCUUUUGUUGCAUACUUAUAUAUUGUUUAUGUAUUGUCUGUUGUUUGGCUUGUGCAUAGAGAUGUCGUCAUAUGUCGUGUACAAGGGUAAGGUUCCCGGAGUCUAUGACGACUGGGAGGAGUGUCGGAGACAGGUUCACCCUUUCAGCGGUAAUAGUUAUGAAGGGUACACCACUAGGGCGGAGGCGGAAUCUAGAUACGCCCGCUAUCUAGCGGGAGAGAGGAGGGAGCGUUGGAGGAACCGGAUGAAGACCAGUUUCAUCGCGAUGAUGCUCAUCGUGAUGACCGCAUCUCUCUUCUAUGUGAUGGUAGUUUAAAUAAUCGAUAUCGACGUGUAAUGCGAAGACAAACUCGCUACUCGCGGUCUCGAGACUUGUAAUGUUCUAUCUUUGUUCGGUCUUUUGAAUUCGGAGACUAAUAUGAUGAUUUGUAUUCAGAGACUAAUCUUCUAUUGUAUUCGAUGAAUCUGCUGUUGCUGUGUGGUGUUGUCUAAAUUCUGUCCAAUAAUAUAUUUUGAAACCUGUGAAAAUAUCAGAAAAGAAAAAAAAUCCCUAAUAUUCAUACUAGUGGCGCACCACACAAGACACUAAUGGUACACUGAGAUAAUCACACUAAUGGCGCAUCACCCACUGGUGCACCAUUAGUAUGCCAAAGCACAUGGGUACAUAUGGCCCCCUGGGAGGAAUUCUAAUGGCGCACUGUGGGCAAUACUAAUGGCGCACUACAUGGUGCGCCAUUAGAACACCAGAUACUAAUGGCGCACCAGUGGUGCGCCAUUAGAAUUUAAUUCUAAUGGCAUGAUGCUAGUGGUGCACUAGUAGUGCGCCAUUAGAAGGCAAAACUGGUGCGCCACUAGCAUGCCUUUUCCUAGUAGUGAUGCUCCGUGCUCCCUCGACAAGCCGCUCUACGUUCUUGCGUCGCCACCGCCACACGCCAUUCCAAGCAUGGUUUUAAAUAGCCCGCUAUAGCAUUUAGAAAAGAUCUCGCAUGAAGGGUCUUUUGUCCAAACACAUGAGCAAACAUUUUAAAUGGCUCGCUAUAGCACCGCUAUAGCAUUUAGAAUAGGUCCGGCGCUAAGAGGCUUAGCGCGCUAUUUAAAACUUUGGUUCCAAGAGAGAUGGCCGAGAGGAGAGAGAUGACAUAAGCUUAGGAAGAGAGGAUGAAUGGGUACCUCACAUCCGUCCUCUGAUCCACCAUAAACACGUCGCGGUUGUUGCACUGGCGCCUGAUAACCCACAAGUCUAGGAGGUCGCAAUAGUUUUUGAGGGUAGAGUAUUCAACCCAAAUUUAUUGAUUCGACACAAGGGGCGCCAAAGAAUAUUCUCAAGUAUUAGCAGUGGAGUUUUGAAUUCAACCACACCUGAAAGACUUAAUAUCUGCAGCAAAAUAUAUAGUAGCAAAGUAGUAUGGCAGUAACGGUAACGGUGGUAAAAGUAACAAUAGAAGUUUUUGUAGUAAUCGUAACAGUGGCAAUGGAAAAGUAACUAAGCUAACAUCAAUAUGUGAAAAGAUCGUAGGCAAUGGAUCAGUUAUGGAUAAUUAUGUCGGAUACGAUUCCUCAUGCAACAGUUAUAACAUAGGGUGACACAAAACUAGAUCCAGUUCAUCAAUGUAAUGUAGGCAUGUAUUCAGAAUAUAGUCAUAUGUGCUUAUGGAAAAUAACUUUCAUGACAUCUUUUGUCCUACCCUCCCGUGGCAGUGGGGUCUUAUUGGAAACUAAGGGAUAUUAAGGCCUCCUUUUAAUAGAGUACCGGACCAAAGCAUUAACACAUAGUGAAUACAUGAACUCCUCAAACUAUGAUCAGCACCGGGAGUGGUCCCGAUUGUUGUCACUUCGGGGUUGCCGGAUCAUAACACAUAGUAGGUGACUAUUGAUUUGCAAGAUAGGAUCAAGAACUCACAUAUAUUCAUAAAAACAUAAUAGGUUCAGAUCUGAAAUCAUGGCACUCGGGCCCUAGUGACAAGCAUUAAGCAUAGCAAAGUCACAGAAACAUCAAUCUCAAAACAUAAUCACUAGUAGAAAACAGGGCUAUCGUUCGGGCCUGGCCAGCCCAUUAGUCCAUGCUCUUCACGAACCGGGACCAAUGGGGGGGAUUAGACCCGGUUCAUGAGCCCGGGGGGCGGCCGGGGCCUCAUGGGCAUUGGUCCCGGUUCAUCAGGACCCAUUUGUCCCAGUUCUAGGCACGAAUCGGGACCAAUGGUCCUCGCUCCCAGCCCAUAGCCAUUGGUACUGGUUCAUGCCUUGAACCGGUGUAGAAGGGGGGCUUUAAUCCCGGUUCAUGCCACAAACCGGGACAAAUAAAUUGCCUAUAUAUACCCAUCGCUGCGGCAGAGCACUCCACAGUGCUUUGUUUUUUCUGGCCGGCGAGGGGAGGGCUUUUGGGUGCUCUAGCUCAUCUCCUAUGCACAUGAGGUGUUCGAUGAAAUGGCCGAGCCACACUAGUUAAUCUUUCUCCUCUCGAAACUCGACCUCCGAGCUCCAUUUUCCCUGAGAUUUGUCUAGGUUUAGCGGUUCGUCAUGUCCCAUCCCCGUCUUCACCGCCGUCGAUCGCCCGCGCCGAUCUCGUCGCCGGCACCACCGUGGUGAGCCUCUUGUUCUUAUCUUCUUUUUGAAAGAAAAAAAUUCUUACUUCAGAUAGAUACUUGUCUAAUUUUAUUACUUUUAUUAUUCCUUGUUAUUAUAUAGUGCGAUGGUUUUGGUAUCCGCCCCCGUCGGCCCUCGUCCUGUCUAUGAUUCAGAUGUGGUAUAUAUUAUCUUUUGAUAACUAUUUGGUUCAUUUAUUGUUUAUGACAAUUAUGCCGACCAACGUGACAUAGAUUUUAUUUAUCUAGGAGGUUGUUGAACCGGAAAUUCCAACCGACCCUAUUGUCGAGAGGUUAAAUUUAGUUGAAGAAGAAAACAAUUACUUGAAUGGAAAAUAAGAAAAAUUGAGGAGGAGAAGAUGAUAUUGGAGUUGCAUGUUGCGGAUGUCAUCGAUGAUCACAAGAUCAAGAUGGAUGCAAUGCAGUUGAAGAUUAAAAAGAUUAGAAAAUAUGCCAUUCAUACCGAGGCUUGGUAUCAUUAUGCAGUUGGAUCAGUUGUUACCAUGAUUGCGAUUAUGAUCGCAUUUGUUGUUGCAUUGAAAUGUUUUACAUAAUUUCAAUGUAUGGUUUAAUUAGAUGCUCUGGAGAGCUAUAUGUUGUUGAAUGAGAACUAUGUAGUUACUUUGGUUUUAAUGUGAUGAUGAACUUCUAUUAAUUUGGUCACUUAUCUAUUCAUGAGAGGGUUGAAAAUUGAUGAUGUGGCUUUGAAUGGUGCAUUUUGAACACAAAAAAACUAUGGAGUUCAAAUAAGUUCAAAAAAAUGAAAUCCCUUUGUAACAGACGAGUUUCCGUAUGAAACCCUUAUACUUCGAAAGAAAUUUUCCAUUUUAUACACGAAGUGCAUCCAGUUUUUUCCGUAACCCUCUCUACUUUUUUGCACAUGCUAUGUGGGUGAAAUGAUGAUACCAUGCCAACUUUCAACCUUUUCAGAGUUUAUUUCAAAUGCUUUUCAAUUUCAUGGUCUUAUAGCUCAAAAUAAUCAAUAAAUGCAUGAAAAAUAACAAAUGAAGUCAGAAAGGGUUGAGAAUUGGUGAUGUGGCUUUGAAUGGUGCAUUUUGAACACACAAAAACUAUGGAGUUCAAAUAAGUUCAAAAAAAUGAAAUCCCUUUGCAACAGACGAGUUUCCGUAUGAAACCCAGAUACUUCGAAAGAGAUUGUCUGUUUUGUACACGAAUUAUCAUAAAAUAAAAUAAAUAAGUUAUUUGAAACAAAAUAAUAUAAACUUUAACAAAAUAUAUAAGUAGAAAUAAAAUAAAAUAAACUUUAAUAACAUAAAUAAAAUUUAUGAAACUAAAAUUAUCAAAGUAUUUUUUGUUCAAAACAUUAUAAGCAACCUAUAGUAUUAUUGAAACUAAAAUUAUAUAAAUUUGAUGCAACUAAAAUUAUCAAAGUAUUUUCUGUUUAAAAUCAUUAAAAGUAAAAAUAAUUUUCAUAAAGAACUUUUUUUGUUAGGAACUUUAAUAGCAAAAAGAAUUAUCAUAAAAUAAAAUAAAUAAGUAAUUAGAAACAAAAUAAAAAAAUAAGUAUUUUGUUGUAAGUAGAAACAAAACAAAAUAAAUAAAGCAAAAAACAAAACAAAAAACUGGGAAAAAAUAAAAAAAUUGCCACCUACUGGGCUACCACGGCCUGAAUACGACUAGAAACCCAUCCAUGGGCCAGGAUUCAGGCCCGUAGAAGGCCCAGUAGGCCCACAUGCAUAGCAGUGUUAGAUUUGGCCCAUAGGCCUGCAAUUCAGAGGAGUUCAAUGGAGAUGGCGCGACAUCGCAUAUAAACAGGUGCGGCCACUCCUCAGCUAGCGAGGUGGGACUAAACAUCCCACCGCACCGCGCCAGCGCAAGGCCUUUAGUCCCGGUUGGUGGCAACAACCGGGACUAAAGGGGUGCAUUGGUAUCGGUUGGUGGCACCAACCGGGACCAAUGAUCCCACUUUAGUCCCGGUUGGUGCCAGCAACCAUGACCAAAGGCCUCUACUUCCCGCCCUUUGGGCUGCUGAAAAAAGAGGCCUUUGGUCCCAGUUGGUGGCACCAACCAGGAGUAAAGGGCGCAUUGGUACCGGUUGGUCCCACAAACCGGAACCAAUGCCCUGGGUAUAUAAGGAAACACUUAGCAGUUUCGUCCAAAUCCAUCACUUCUUCUCUCCCGACGCCCCUGCUCCUCCUCGCUGUCGCCGCCCGACGCCCCUGCUCCACCUUGCCAUCGCCGCCGCCACCGACGCCGUCAGGCUGCUCGACGUCGCCGUCACCGCCGCCACCGAUGCCGUCAGGCUGCUCAACGUCGUCGCCGCUGUCGCUGACGCCCUCUGCCCCGACGACGGCUUCAACCCCUCUCGCCCUUGCCAGCCCCGACGCGCCGCCCACCGUGCCUCGCCGCCCCCUGUGUGCACCAGCCUGCUCCCGCACCCCUCACCUGUCCCGCGCCCCUGCCCUACCCUGCCGGCGCUGGCGCCGGCCCCUCCGCCAUACCCCUCCGCCCCUGCGCCGUGCUACAUUUGUGAUUUUUAGAUGUUUUUAGAAGUUGUUUUAGCACUUUUUAGAUGCUAUUUUUAGAUGUUUUUACAUGUUUCUACAUUUUUUAGGUUAUUUUAGUUUAUGUUUAGUUUAGUUUUAAGAUUAGAAAAAUUUCAGAUGUGUAGUUAUAUUUAUUUAGAUGUACUUAAUUUAGAUGUUGUAAUUUGUUCAUAAAAGUUGUGCACUUUUGUAUAGAAUUUUUUUUCAUAUGUAUGAAAAUGUAGAGUGAAAACGAAAACAAACAUAUAAGAAAAAACAAAGGAAAAAAUGAAGAAGGAAAAGAAAACCGCCCGGCUCGGCCACCACCGCAUUUUCAUAAAGUGUUUCCACAUGAGGGGGGACAUUGGAAAAAAUAAGAAGAGGAAGAAGAAGAAAAAAAGAGGAGAAGAAGAAGGAAUAGAGGAGUAGAGGAAAAAUUCUUCUACUCCUCUAUUCCUUCUUCUUCUCCUCUUUUUUUUCUUCUUCUUUUUUAUCGUGAACUAGGGCAUAGGGUCGAGGGUCGGGAACUAGGGCAGAGGGUCGAGGGUCACCCUCUCGACCGUGAUAACUUAUACCACGGGAGCACCCCCCGGCCCUCCCGCUCGACCAAAACUCUCGAGGACACCCAAACCCUAGAAAAAAACGAUGUCGGUCUCCUACCCCCUCCCGCCGCGCCCCUACCGACAAACUCUCUCGAGGCCACCCAAAUUUACCAAGUUAAAAGAGCAUUGUCGUCGAGGCCACCCCAAACCCUAGAGAAGCAGCGUCGAGGCCACUAAUUAAUAUGAUUCCUCAUUGUGAUUAGCUAGCUAGUUCUACGUUUGCCACUAAUAUAUCCAUCUGUCAUGUUUGAAUAAUAAUUGCCAUGUUGUAAAUAUUUGCAGAAACUAUGGAGAACCCCCGAGACGAAGCAACAGAAGCGAUGUUGGGGGACAUAAUCGCAAAAGGAAGUGAUGCCAUCUUGUCGUAUCUCAACGCCACUGAUGGUCUGGAAGGACAGGGUGAAGAAGAAGACUAUGCUUAUGAUGGCUUCGGUGACCCAAUGCCGGUACAAGAAGGAGACCGUGAUGACGGUUCCGGUGACCGAACCGAGUCCGGCCAGGUAUAUAUAUUAGUUAAGUCUGUGCUGACUAGCUAAUUGAUGCAUUCAUUGUUUUUGUAUGUACACAUAUUAAUUAACUCUCAUCUUUCUUCUUUUCUCUAGGCCUCCGGAUCGAGCACAACUUCGGUAAACAAAAGAGACCCGAAGAAAAUGUUGCGCUCGGAUGAAAGGUUUGAGAUCACAGCAAUCACGCGCGAUGGCAAGCCGAUUGAACCCAUCUGGACAAGGGAUGCAUUUCAUGCUCAGUGCGGGGUUCUUGUUAGGGACAAGAUCCCGAUCAAUAUCUAGCAAUGGUUAAAGCCUAAGAAUGAAGAGCCUGAGGUGUCUUAUGUCUCUGAUAUGCAGAAAGAAGAUCUUUGGACAACGCUUAAGGCAAAUUUCACCCUACCUCCAGAGGAGGAUCCCGAAAAGGCAGUUAAAGAGCAAUUGAUCAAGUCUCAUGCUCUUAGGAAGAUGGCAGAACUAUUCAGGAGGUGGAAAAAUAAGCUGAAAACAGAGUUUGUUGACGAAGAUUUGACACCAGAAUUCACUGGAAAGUAUGAGAAGAUCAGAUAUCACUGGCCCGCAUUUGUGGCCCACAAGACAUCGGAAAAGAGUAAGAAGAUGUCAGCGACAAACAAGAAAAAUGCUGCGAAGAAGAAGCAUCACCAUCGCACGGGGUCAGGUGGCUACCUCAAAGCCUGACCUUUGUGGGACAAGGCUGAGAAUGACCUGAUUGCUAAAAGGGUCGAACAAGAGACAUUGAACUGGGCAGACCGUUGCCGGACUUGGUUCUUCAGGGUUGGCAGAACCUUGGACCCUGUAUCAGGGAAGUGCAUUUGGACGGAAGAGCAACUACGAAUAACCGUCAUGAGGCUUCAAGAGUAUAUCGAGAAAGCGCAGCAAGGGACGUUCGUUCCAGGCAGAGAGAAGGACGAGCUCACAAUGGCCCUCAGGAAUCCUGAGCACCCUGGACGGACACGAGGCACGCUAGGCUCCGUUUCGUGGAAGAUUGGGUUUCCGGACACAGGGGGUUACAAAACCCAGGAGAGGAGGAAGAAAGUGGAGCAUAGCCAACUGCAAGCGCUGCACGAAAGGGUACAAGGGCUAGAGGAACAAGAAGCAGAUCGCAGAAAACGACCUACCGAAGCUUCCCCUGAAGCUACCCCGCCAUCUCACCAGAGAAGCAGCUUGGCUUCCACCGAUCAGACUUAGCAGCUGGAGCCCGUCUUCACGGCUCCUUCUAGCUACCCCGUGGAUGCUAUCACGAAGUCUCAACAUUGCCACCUUAUGACGCGAUGGAUGACAUUGAAACUCAAGGCGGCUGUUGGCUCUAUUUUACCUACUGAACCUUGCACAACCUACCACGGCUAGCCAAUUUCAGAAGGAUAUGCUAGGGUGAUGGUGGAUCAAAUAACGGACGGAUUUGAGGACCUUGAGCUUGACCACCCUACGGGUGAAGGGGAGAUUCGGCUGGGUUCUUCUCUGAAGACUCCAUGCCUAUGGCGGAAGGAGCUCAUCAACCUUCCGAACUGGACGCCUCCGCCUCCUCCUCCUCCUCCGGCGAGUCAGGGCACUCUGCCUCCUCCUCCGCCUCCUCCUCUGGCGAGUGAUCAGGGCACUCAGGCCCCUUCUCCGGCGCAUGGUGGCACUCCGCCUCCUUCUCCGCCUGCGCCUGCAUGCCCAAGCAGCCAGCCUCCUCCUUCUCCGCCUCGUCAACAAGGGCGGAUCAAGAGACCCGCCGCCGCUCCGGCACGUUGUAGUGCUUCUCCUCCGCCUCAUAAGAAAGGAAAGACAGCCGUAGCCGCUUCGUCUGCUCCGGCGUCUAGCAGUACAGCCAGAGCCGGGAGGCAAUACAGAUUCGGUCCUUCUCUGAAGACUCCAGAGAAGUUACCAUACGAGAGGAGCGUGGAGGAAAACACGAAGAUAGUGCAAGCCGAAGUGAAGAACUUCUUUGAAGGGGUGAAAGCAAAGAAACAUCCACCUCUGGAGGAGAAGAUAAAUCCGGUAAAAGCAAAGCGUACUCUGGCUGCCCUGAAGAAACCACCAAAGUCUCCGGUGAAAGGAAACUAUGAGCGCAUUCUUACAAAGUCAUUUAUCGAAGCGUCGCGGUCAGGAAGUACUGUCAGUGGUCAAAGGUUAGCACAACGAUGAGCUGGAAAAAAGUUGCCUAGCUCGGCGAACAAGUGAAACAAUCGNNNNNNNNNNNNNNNNNNNNNNNNNNNNNNNNNNNNNNNNNNNNNNNNNNNNNNNNNNNNNNNNNNNNNNNNNNNNNNNNNNNNNNNNNNNNNNNNNNNNNNNNNNNNNNNNNNNNNNNNNNNNNNNNNNNNNNNNNNNNNNNNNNNNNNNNNNNNNNNNNNNNNNNNNNNNNNNNNNNNNNNNNNNNNNNNNNNNNNNNNNNNNNNNNNNNNNNNNNNNNNNNNNNNNNNNNNNNNNNNNNNUGUCUAGCAAUAUUGUCGCUAAUGAUCCGACCGGGAUGGUGCCCGGUUAUAACAAUCUUGAAGAUUACCUGCCCGAUGAUGUACAUUAUGAUUUCUUGGAGGUGGACGAACACAAAUACGUGUACGGGAAGCCUCUCGUCAAAGAUGAAAGAUCUCUAACAACUAUGAUGCGAAGAUUCCAUGAUUGGUACAUGAAAACCUGCAGAGAGUCUAAGGGGAGGAAUAUUUUGAUGCUGAGAGUUAGAGAGGAGCAUGACCUUGUUGGAAUUGAACUGUUGAAUGUUCCAUUUGAGGAGUUCUUCGCGUUUUUCAAUCCAAAAGCCCUCGAUAAAUUAAUGAUCACUUGCUACUGCCUAUAAGUACUACUACUUCUGUCAUUAAGUCUCUAUAUAUAGGUCAGCUCUUUCAUUGCAUGUAUUUUUAAUUAUCCUCACUAUAUUAUGCAGAUUGAAGAUUGCCAAAUUGAAGAAAAGACAAAUCAGUGAUAUUGGGUUCAUUAACACAAAUCUCAUAGAUGCAUAUAUGGUUGAAUUUCAGGCCAAAGAUAAAGAGGCCAAGCUUCUAUAAUCAUUUGUAUUAAAUCAAAACAAACCUAUAAUACUCUUCCCUUAUGAAUUCAAGUGAGUGUUUACUGUCUUGUGCAUAUUCGGUUUCCCUUAUUAGUCGAGGUUAUAGUAAUGUAAUUGAUGACUUAUGCAAGCAUGCGCAGCUUCCACUAUAUUCUCCUAGAGAUUAAGCUUGAGCAGGGACUAUUAACCGUCUUAGACUCAAGACGAAAAGAUCCCAAGGAGUAUGCGGACAUGACUGAAAUUCUAGAGAAGUAAGUUAAAUCGAUCAUUAUCGCACCAUAUCGGCAACUUUGUUCAUUUUCUGAUAUCAAGUAAUUGUUUUCUUUGUCUGGCAGGGCUUGGAAAAAAUUCACCUCAAAACUCCGGGACUGCCGAAGAAGCUGCAAUUUAGACACCCGAAAGUAAGUACUAUAGUAUCAUGUUCCACGCAUAUCCUAGUGAUUUAAGCGCUAGUUUCAUCAAUACCAUUUAGCAUGCUUGCUAAUUAUCAAUUUGAUUAACCUCUAUUUCUUGUAAAGUGGUUGUGGCAGGAACAAGGGAAUGAUUACUAUGGAUACUACAUUUGCGAGUCCAUCCGCCACACGACCUGUGAGCGGGGCUACUCUGACAAACAAUAUGAAGUACGUAAAUAAUAAUAUUCACAAUUUUAUUUUAUUACCAUAAUUUGUGUUCAGUUUCAUUUAUUCAUAUAUAUGUAUUGACCCCCUUCUUCAAAUUAGAUAUUUCGGAUGCGGGAUGAACUCCUACCACCAGAUCGUAUUCGAGGAAUUCAAGAGGAAUUGGCGGCAUUCUUUCUUGACCACGUGAUCGCUAAAGACGGAGAAUACCAUGUGGACCCUGAUCAGCUCGUUUUUAAUUAGGAGAUUAUAUUGUAAGACAUACUUAUAUUGUAUAUAUGUAGCCAGUAGCGUCAGAUAGAUAUACGAGAACUUGUUGUUCGAUCAAUCUCUCAGAGAAGAGAGGUGGACGAUAUCACUUCUCCAUGUAUGCAUAUGUUCAUGACGAUCUUCUGUUUCCUUCAUUUGCUUACUAGCUAACUUGUCUAGUCCUCUCUAUACGUAUAGUAUGUAGCAUCGACCAAGCACGGAGAUAAGAGAGGACAAUUCUCUUUAUUAAUUAGCUAGCUAACACAAUAUAUGAAACACCUAAAUUAACCCCCCNNNNNNNNNNNNNNNNNNNNNNNNNNNNNNNNNNNNNNNNNNNNNNNNNNNNNNNNNNNNNNNNNNNNNNNNNNNNNNNNNNNNNNNNNNNNNNNNNNNNNNNNNNNNNNNNNNNNNNNNNNNNNNNNNNNNNNNNNNNNNNNNNNNNNNNNNNNNNNNNNNNNNNNNNNNNNNNNNNNNNNNNNNNNNNNNNNNNNNNNNNNNNNNNNNNNNNNNNNNNNNNNNNNNNNNNNNNNNNNNNNNNNNNNNNNNNNNNNNNNNNNNNNNNNNNNNNNNNNNNNNNNNNNNNNNNNNNNNNNNNNNNNNNNNNNNCACACACUUUAAAAAAACCAGCACCUGAAAUGCUGACGCAUGGGUGCCUAUGGGUCCCGGUUGGUGCCACCAACCGGGACCAAAGGGCCUCCUGCCUGGGCUCGCCGCUCCGGCCACGUGGAGGCCCAUCUGUCCCGGUUUGUGUAAGAACCGGGACUAAAGGUCAAGGGCAUUAGUACCGACAAUUUAGUCCCAGUUCAAAAACCGGGACAAAUGGCCCUUACGAACCGGGACAAUAGGCCCUUUUACUACUAGUGAAUGGAUACUAGGGAUCAAACCCAAACAAAACUAACUCGAUUACAUGGUAAAUCUCAUCCAACGCAUCACCGUCCAGCAAGCCUACGAUGGAAUUACUCAUGCAUGGCGGUGAGCAUCAUGAAAUUGAUGAUGGAGGAAGGUUGAUGAUGACGAUGGCGACAGAUUCCUCUCUCUGGAGCCCCGAACGGACUCCAGACCGGCUCUCCCAAGAGAGAUUAGGGCUUGGCGGCGGCUUCGUAUCAUAAAACGUGAUGAAUCCUUCUCUCUGAUUUUUUCUCCCCGAACGUGAAUAUAUAGAGCUGGAGUUGAGGUCGGUGGAGCCUAAGGGGGGCCCACGAGGCAGGGGGCUCGCCCCCACCCUUGUGGACAGGGUGUGGGCCCCCUAGUGUUGAUUCUUUCGCCAGUAUUUUUUAUUAGUUCCAAAAAUAUUCUCCGUGAAGUUUCAGGUCAUUUCAAGAACUUUUAUUUCUGCACAAAAAUAACACCAUGGCAAUUCUGCUGAAAACAGCGUCAGUUCGGGUUAGUUCCAUUCAAAUCAUGCAAGUUAGAGUCCAAAACAAGGGCAAAAGUGUUUAGAAAAUUAGAUACGUUGGAGACGUAUCAACUCCCCAAGCUUAAACCUUUGCUUGUCCUCAAGCAAUUAAGUUGACAAACUGAAAGUGAUAAAGAAAAACUUUUACAAACUCUGUUUGCUCUUGUUGUUGUAAAUAUGUAAAGCCAGCAUUCAAGUUUUCAACAAAGAUUAUGAACCAACCAUAUUCACAAUAACAGUUAGGUCACAUGUUUACUCAUAUCAAUGGCAUAAUCAACUAGCGAGCAAUAAUAAUAAAUCUCGGAUGACAACACUUUCUCAAAACAAGCAUAGUAUGAUAUAACAAGAUGGUAUCUCGCUAGCCCUUUCUGAUACCGCAAAACAUAAAUCCAGAGCACCUCUGAAGAUCAAGGACUGACUAAACAUUGUAAUUCAUGGUAAAAGAGAUCCAGUCACAGUCAUACUCAAUAUAAACUAAUAGUAAUGCAUGCAAAUGACAGCGGUGAUCUCCAACUGGUGCUUUUUAAUAAGAGGGUGAUGAUUCAACAUAAAAGUAAAUAGAUAGGCCCUUCAUAGAGGGAAGCAGGGAUUUGUAGAGGUGCGAGAGCUCAAGUUUUGAAACAGUGAUAAAUAAUAUUUUGAGUGGCAUACUUUCAUUGUCAACAUAACAACCAAGAGAUCUCGAUAUCUUCCAUGCUACACACAUUAUAGAUGGUUCCCAAACAGAAUGGUAAAGCUUAUACUCCCCCACCACCAACAAGCAUCCAUCCAUGGCUGGCCCGAAACAACGGGUACCUCCAACUAACAACAGUCCUGGGGGAGUUUUGUUUGAAAUUAUUUUGAUUUAAGCAAGGGACUGGGCAUCUCGGUACCAGCCAUUUUCUCGUGAAUGAGGAGCGAAGUCCACUCCUCGUGAGAAUAACCAACCUAGAAUGGAAGAUAUAGACAACCCUAGUUGAUACAUGAGCUACUCGAGCAUGCCAAACAGAAUUUCAUUUGAAGGUUUAGAGUUUGGCACAUACAAAUUUACAUGGAACGGCAGGUAAUUACCGCAUAUAUAGGAAGGUAUGGUCGACUCAUAUGGAAUAACUUUGGGGUUUAUGGAAGUGGAUGCACAGGCAGUAUUCCCGCUUAGUACAAGUGAAGGCUAGAAAGAGACUGGGAAGCGACCAACUAGAGAGCGACAACAGUCAUGAACAUGCAUUAAAAUUAAUCAACACUGAGUGGAAGCAUGAGUAAGAUAUAAUUCACCAUGAACAUAAAUAUCGUGGAGGCUAUGUUGAUUUUGUUUCAACUACAUGCGUGAACAUGUGCCAAGUCAAGCCACUUGAAUCGUUCAAAGUAGGAUACCACCCUAUCAUACCACAUCAUAACCAUUUUAAUAGCAUGUUGGAGCACAAGGUAAACCAUUAUAAACUCCUAGCUAAUUAAGCAUGGCAUGAGCAACUAUAAUCUCUAAUUCAUAAUAGGCUGAAUCAAGAACGAUGAACUAAUUAUAUUUACAAAAACAAGAUAGGUCGAGUUCAGACCAGCUUCUCUCAUCUCAAUCAGUCCAUCAUAUAUCGUCAUUAUUGCCUUCCACUAGCACGACCGAAUGGUGUGGAUAAUAAUAAUAGUGCAUGUGCGUUGGACUAAGCUGGAAUCUGCAAGCAUUUAAUACAAGGGAGAAGAGAAGGUAAUAUGGACUCUUGGUUAAAUCAACAAUAACGCAUAUAAGAGCCACUUCAACAUUUUCAUCAUGGUCUUCCCCUCUCGAGCCCCAAAGAAAAGAAAAUAAAUAAAACUAUUGACACGGGUAAACUCCCAACAAACAAAAGAAGAACGAGAAAUUUUUUGGGUUUUCUUUUUAAUUAUUAAUACAGACAUGGAAAGUAAACUAGCUAAAAGCUACAACUAAUUUUUUUGUGGUUUUUCUUAAGGUUUUAAAAACACACAAGAAAAAGACUAGAAAAGAGAAUAAACUAGCAUGGAUAGUACAAUGAAAAAGUAUGAGCACCGACAACUAGAAUGAGUGUGUGAACAUGAAUGUAAUGUCGGUGAGAAAAACGUACUCCCCCAAGCUUAGGCUUUUAGCCUAAGUUGGUCUAUGGCCACGGCUGGCCUGGCGGAUAUCCAAAGUUGUAGCUGGGGUCAUACUGAGAUGCAGCAGCUACUGCCUCAAGAGCUGCAGCUUGGAGGCGAGCUGCCUUCGUCCUCCUUUCGUACUCGUUCACCUCCUCCCUAGUUAUAACAUAUCUCUUUUUUUCCUGAAAGUCAAAGAAAGUAGGGGCAGGGAGAGCAAUAUGGACAGUGCGACGUUUGUCAAAGAUUAGUCGGUACUGGAGGAACUGUUUAUUCCUCUCAACAAACUGAUGGUGAACCAUAGCAUUAUAAUCUAGAUAAGGAGGAGGAAACCUAAUAUCAUUUUCAUGUAUAGGUACCUCAAGUUAAUUAGCUACACGAGUUGCAUAAAUUCCACCAAACAAAUCUCUACUUAAACCAUUAAGAUGCAACCUUCAUGAAACAAUACUCCCCAAGUUAUAUUGUUUAUCACCUAAUACUGCACUUUUGAGGACACAAAGAUCUAGAACACACAUGUGACAGGCCUCAUCUUUACCGUUAAUGCAUCUACCUAUGAAGAGAGAAAAGUAGUGUAUGGCAAGGAAAUGAAUGCUCCCUAUGGUAGCUUGUGUGAUUUAUCUAGAUUCCCUCAUAGUGAUACUAGCAACAAAAUCUAUAUAUUCAGAUUGCGAGGUUCACUAACAUUACCCCACUGCGGGAGUUUACGAGCAAUAUUAAAAUCUUCUAGGUCCAUGGUAUAUCAUUCAUCAUAUAGAUCAAAUAAAACCUUCUCACAAAGGAAUUAGUUACGUAGUGGUAUUGAGGGCACUUAUCUGACACGAAGCCCUCAAGAUCAGCAUUACGCACAUACGCGUCAAACUCUUCCUUGAUGCCUACCCGGACCAUAAACUCCUCUGAUGGCCAUUCGCAAGGCCGCACUUGAGCUUCCCUCGGUGGUUCAUCGUCUGGCUGACGUAUCACGAGCCUUGGUCCUUGCUUCCUUGAGGAACCACCAUGGUAUAUUUUCCUAAACUAUUUCUUCCUCUGAAAAAUUUCCGAAAUUUUUAGUGACUCAAAAUAAAAGUGAACCAAACUCAACAAGAUUGAUAGCAACUACUCCCACAAGUGCCUAGAGGCUGUAUCAUGCAUUAGAACUACUUUUGACCAUAUAAAUUUGACAUGCAAGCUCAAGAACAGGGUCAACUAAGCAGCAAACAUUUGCAAUAAAUAAAGGACUAGAACAAAAACUAAUUGGACCAUUGGAGGAGUCACAUACCGAAGAACAAUCCCCCAAACAAGUUUUGUGAAUGGAGCUUUGAGCAAGGAGAUCGAAAAUAGCAGCAAGAUGAGCUAGAACACGGGUUUGAGCUAUGGGAGGAUUUUUUCUAGAGGAAGAAGAAGUGAGUGGGUGCUGGAAUAAGUGGAGGGGGCCACGUGGCGUCCACGAGGCAGGGGGCGCGCCCCAGGGGGGUGGGCGCGCCCUGGACCCUUGUGGCCAGGUGGUGGCUCCCCCUGGUGUGUUCUCAGUGCCAGAUAUUCUUAAAUAUUCAACAAAAAAAUCAUAUAUAAAUUUCAGGACGUUUGGAGAACUUUUAUUUUCAGGCUAUUUUUUAUUGCAAGGAUAAUUCAGAAAACAGACAGAAAAUACUAAUUUUGCUUUACUUAAUCUAAAUAACAGAAAGUGAUAGGAGGGUAUAGAAAGUUGUGCUUUCUAACUCCAUCCAUCUCAUGCUCAUCAAAAGGAAUCCAUUAACAAGGUUGAUCAAGUCUUGUUAACAAACUUUUUUCGAAUAACAUGGAACCGGGGAAAUUUCGAAUAACACUAGGUUACCUCAACGGGGAUAUGCACGUCCCCAACAAUAAGAAUACCAUAUUUCUUCUUGACAGUAGGAAGAGGAAAUUCAAAAUGUCCAAUAGUAAUAGUUGAAAAAUUUCCAAUAGAAUUGAUACUAUGGACUUGAGGUUGUUUCCUCGGAAAGUGUACCGUAUGCUCAUUACCAAUAACAUGAAAAGUUACAUUGCCUUUAUUGAAAUCAAAAACAGCCCCUGCAGUAUUCAAAAAGGGUCUACCAAGGAUAAUCGACAUACUAUCGUCCUCAGGGAUAUCAAGAAUAACAAAGUCCGGUAACAACACGCACAUCCUCACAAAUACCGACAGAUAUAGCAGUUGAUUUAUCGGCCAUUUGCAAAGAUAUUUCAGUAGGUAUCAAAUUAUUCAAAUCAAGUCUACGAUAUAAAGAGAGAGGCAUAACACUAACACCGGCUCCAAGAUCACAUAAAACAAUUUUAACAUAGUUUAUUUUAAUGGAGCAUGGUAUAGUUGGUACUCCGGGAUCUCCUAGUUUCUUAGGUAUUCCACCUUUAAAAGUAUAAUCGGCAAGCAUGGUGGAAAUUUCAGCUUCGGGUACUUUCUUUUAUUAGUAACAAUAUCUUUCAUAUACUUAGCAUAAGGAUUCAUUUUAUGCAUAUCAGUCAUACGCAUACGCAAAAAGAUAGGUCUAAUCAUUUCAGCAAAGCGCUCAAAAUCCUCGUCAUCCUUUUUCUUGGAUGGUUUAGGAGGAAAGGGCAUGGGUUUCUGAACCCAUGGUUCUCGUUCUUUACCAUGCUUCCAAGCAAUGAAGUCUCUCUUAUCAUAAUAUUGGUUCUUUUAUUGUGGGUUAUCAAGAUGAACAGCAGGUUCAAUCUCUACAUCAUUGUUAUUGCUAGGUUGAGCAUCAACAUGAACAUCAUCAUUAACAUUAUCACUAGGUUCAUGUUCAUUACCAGAUUGUGUUUCAGUAUCAGAAAUAGAAAUAUAAUUGGGAUUCUGAGGUGUAUCAACAACAGGUUCACUAGAAGCAUGCAAAGUCCUAUCAUUUUCCUUCUUCCUCUUCUUCUUAGAAGGACUAGGUGCAUCAACAUUAGUUCUCUGAGAAUCUUGCUCAAUUCUCUUAGGGUGGCCCUCAGGAUACAAAGGUUCCUGAGUCAUUCUACCCUCUCUAGUCACAAUUCUAACAGCAUUAUCAUUUUUCUUAUUAUUUAAUUCAUUGAGCAAAUCAUCUUGUACUUUAAGCACUUGUUCUACUUGAGUGGUAACCAUAGAAGCCCGUUUACUAAUGAGUUUAAGUUCACCUUUAAUGCUAGACAUGUAAUCACUCAAAUGUUCAAUCAUAUAAGCAUUUCGUUUCAAUUGUCUACCAACAUAAGCAUUGAAGUUUUCUUGUUUAACAACAAAAUUAUCAAACUCAUCUAAACAUUGGCUAGCAGACUUAUAACGAGGAAUAUCACCUUCAUCAAAUCUAUAGAGAGAAUUUACCUUUACUACCUGUGUCGGGUUAUCAAAACCAUGUAUUUCUUCAAUAGGUGGUAAAUUCUUAACAUCUUCAGCUUUGAUACCCUUUUCUUUCAUAGAUUUCUUUGCCUCUUGCAUAUCUUCAAAACUGAGAAAUAGAAUACCCCUUUUCUUCGGAGUUGGCUUAGGAGUUGGUUCAGGAAGUAUCCAAUUAUUAUCAUUACUCAACAUAUUAUUCAAAAGCAAUUCAGCUUGAUCAACAGUUCUUUCCCUGAAAACAUAACCGGCACAACUAUCCAGGUGUUCUUUGGAAGCAUCGGUUAGUCUAUUAUAAAAGAUAUCAAGUAUUUCAUUUUUGUUGAGAGGAUGAUCAGGCAAAGCAUUAAGUAAUCGGAGAAGCCUCCCCCAAACUUGUGGGAGACUCUCUUCUUCAAUUUGCACAAAAUUAUAUAUUUCCCUUAAGGCAGCUUGUUUCUUAUGAGCAGGGAAAUAUUUAGCAGAGAAGUAAUAAAUCAUAUCUUGGGGGCUACGCACACAACCGGGAGCAAGAGAAUUAAACCAUGUUUUAGCUUCACCCUUUAAUGAGAACGGAAAUAACUUAAGGAUAUAGUAGUAAUGAAUUUUAUUCCUCAUUACUGAACAGGGUGGCUAUAUCACUACUAGGGAAAACCCUAGCAGUAGCGAUGGUUUUGUGCGCACUAGUAGCGCGGGUAGGCGCACUAGUAAUAAGGCGCUACAACUAUUGCUUAGCAGUAACGUGUGCCCGCACGCGCUACUGCUAGGACAAAUAGCUGCAGCGUUUGUUCACUCCCACGCUACUGCUAAUGUAACUACUGGCAGCGUGUUUUCUCUCCAUCGCUACUAGUAUUCUUUAUUUAUUUAUUUUUUUAGUGUAUUUAUGCGCCAUCGUACAAAUAUUGGUACAAUACCAGUUAUGAGGUUUACAUCAUUAUGUCCAUAACAGUGUGUCAAAUGAAGGUGGAUUAGGUUCAAGUGGAGGCAAUAUGUGGUGCAUGUCAAAAGUAUACUACUAAUCCAAACUUGAUCUAGUUUGGACUAGUAGUACUUUCGAUGUGCACCACAUGUUGUCUCCACUUGAAUCUAAUCCGCCAGCACAAGCUAUUUAAUCAUCAUCAUAGUCAUUACCACCAACAGUAUUUAUUUAAUCACCACUAACACUAGCUAAUAAUAAUCAUCAUAGUCAUUACCACCAACACUAGCUAUUUUAUCAUCAUAGUAAUAGUGUAGCACAUCAUCAUCCUCAAACUCAUUUCUAGCUAGCUAAUCACUCCUGCUGCUCUCUCUUAGGUAAAAUAACAUAAAACAUGUAUAGCUCUCCUCCUUGAUCAAGUUGGAGCAUGUAGAUGAACCUGUCUCCUAAUCGUGGGUAGCGCAUCUGUUUGCUGCCCCCUAGUACUUCUCUGCGCUCUCCCAUCACAUAUUUGGUCCAGUCUUGCACUAUUAAGCAUCCGUCGCUGAUCUUGAAUGCACUAAAGUAAUCUGUAGGAUAUCUUGGCCGUAAGCUAAUAAUACUCAUGGUACCUUUAGGCUCGAUCCCAAAGGCACAACAUUCAUCGGGAGUCCCUGUUGAAGAACAUCGUAUGGUAACAUACUUAGCAAUGAAGUUUAGCUUCAAAAAUAAUGUAUGGAAAAGAUGCAUUGAGGACAAAUAGUAAAAAUCUUACCAUCCUUCCUAAAUAGAUGUGACCAUAAUUCAUUACGAACACUAUUGGUCGCACGUUUUCAGUACUAACAUUUCUAAAUGCAGGAACAAAAUUUGUCUUGACAGUAUCAAGAUCCUUAAGCCAUGAAACAUAAUGACUUAGCUCCUCGCAAUUGAGUUCAGCCCUAGGACAGUAGUAGGUCCUGUCUACCAAGCAAUGGACAUGUUUGCUUACACCGAAAUAAGCUGACAAUACAAAUUAGUUGUCAACUAUUUUUGAAUAAACAAUAUCAAAGACAUAAAUAUGGUUGAGAAACUUACAUAAUGGUAUAACCGGAGGCGUCUGCACAUCGACCCAGAUGUCGGUAUUACCUUCAAUAUCAUCUUCCGGACGAACAUCAAAGGUGAUAACCAUAUCAGGAUCAAAUGCAUAAGUCUUGCAUAGUGCUCGCCAUGUUUUGCAUCCAAAAUAGGUGUAGUCGUCUGAAUUGUAUAAUUUUGCAUGGAAAAUAUAACCAUGCUUGGUCUUCAAGUAAACUUUCUUUACCUCCGUAGUAUGACUGAAACCUAUCUUAUCCAAUACAAAAACUCUUGCAUGGCAGGGGAUACGCUAGUAGAAUAGUAAAAAAAUAUAAGUUGAAGCAAAUGAAGCAGAUGUCAUGCUUAAUUAUGAAAAAAGACUUGUCGUUGUGACUUACUGUAUCCACUUCGAAGUUCUUGUCCAGCUUGAUGCUGAAGCGCCUAUCAUCAUCUAGGAAGAUUCUGUCGCACAGGUCGCGCUCGUCUUCGCAGUAUUUGCAAAUACCGAAAUCCUUUUCGUCGUCAGACAUUUCCUAUGUUCACAGUUAAAACAUUAAUUGAAAAUCGAUCGAAGACAACUACCAGGAUACUCAACACACAAAUCCGGGGCACUCAAUAUUUCCUACAUAUUCUGGCACAAGUCAUGCCAAAAUUCACGGAAAAAUCCGGCAUGACCUUUGCUAAAAUAGGACCUAUCGAGCGCGUGAAAUUUGCCAGAACGGAAAUAAAUCAACACUCCGACAAAACAUAGGCCACUCGGAGGUUUAACCUGCAAACAUGACCGGCCACUUGGAUAUUGAGCAACACAAGAUAUACAUUUCAAAUAUCUUAUAGGACUCAAAUUAGCAUGCAUUCAAUAAGCAAAAGUAAAUCAUCUCAUGCGUCCGUACAUCGUCGAAUAUUAUCACUAAUACAUCACGAAUAGUGCCAUACAUAUAACAUCACUAAUACAACUAAAACCCUAGCACACGACGGGUAUCGGCGCGGGCGGUGGACACCCACACAGAAGGAACCAUCACGGGAUCAUAGCUCCAGUGAGAUCCCUGGAGAACCUGCCAAGUAUUGGAGAACCUGUGCUCCAACGCAAACAAGUAGCGACGGACGUGCGCGUCCUCCUCACUGACAUGGUGACGCACCACCUCCGCGGAGUCCUCGAGCCUUUGGACCGUCACUGGCCCACGCGACCGCCACCAAAGAAGGUUCGGGUCAACGACAGGCUGGCUCCUCACCAACCUGCGCCCCCCAGUAGGUAGCGCCUCCCAGUACCACCCCGGCAGAGCCCAGUCCCGGACAUGGCCUAUCUGGUCAAGCAGGUGUCGUCCUCCGCCGACUCCACGACGAGGAUGCAGGAUAGGCAUCGUCCACGUCGAGGCGGGAAAAAUUGCUUUAACUAAAAAAUAGCAAGAAGUUCUUACUAACUAGUUCUAUUAAUUCAACUAGUUCUUACUAAAAAUAAACUUACUAUAAAUAAAAUAUUCUAGUACCUAAUUAGUACCUAGUUCUUACUAACUAAUUAGUACCUAGGAACUACUGCCCUAAUUACCAUCUAAUUUGAUGAACCUAUAGGGGUGGAAAGUGGUAGCGGAUAUUCCAAUUAUCCAACUAUGAAGUGAAAUAAGUGGUCAAAUUUUACUCGUUUUAUGAUUCAUCUUAGAAAUUUGAUUCGUUUCCACCCUUACAUGAAGCCUAACUCAUUUGAGCCGCAUCCGCAUCCGAUUUGCUUCCACUCUUACGUGAACCCUAACUAAUUUGAUGCAACUAAAAUAUAAAGAAACCCUAGGCAGAGGUAGGGGAAAGGGAAGAGCAGGCGUGCUCACCUCGGGUGCCUGCGGCGAGGGAGGGGCAGGGCGGUGUCGAGGUCAGGGUCGGAGCUCGGGCGCGCGGCGGAUGGCGGCGUCGAGGUCGGGGUCGGGUGUGGCGUCCGGGGCGGCGUUGAGGUCGGGGGCGGGGGCGGCAUUGAAUCUGGGGUCGGGGCGGCGUAGAGGGUGUGCGGAGAGCGCGUGGCGGCCGAUGGGAGACGGCGGCAGCGAGAGUGGAGAGUUGGAUUUCGGGGAAGUGGCCGUGGGGAAGGACGAACCAUGUGUGGUUAAGUCAGAAGUAGCAGUACCGCGUUCCAGGAAGACCACUGCUGCUACGUUAGCUACAGCGCGUUCUGGGAUACACGCUACUACUACUCCUUUCUCUUUUUCCCCUUUUUCAUUUAGUUUUCUUCACAUUUUAUUUUUUUUCCUUUCACCUUAUUCUAUUUCUUUCAUUUUCAAUUACCUUUCUAUUUUCUUUCCAUUUAAUUUUAUAUCCUUUAGCAGUAGCGAGUUUAGAUUAAAACGCGUUGCUACAAAUAAAGUAGCGGUAGGGCGGUUCAUUAUAGGUCUCUACUACUAUGUGUAGGCUAUCGGCUAAGCCGUGGGAAUUUUAGUAGUAACGUGUUUAGAGCAAGACGCGCUACUGCUAGAACUUUAUCUGCAGCGCGGUUUGCUCAGGCGCGCUACUACUACUUAGCACCAGCGUGCUUUUUUGACCCUCGCUACUGCUAAAAUUUUGUGUAUAAGGUUUUCCCUAGUAGUGUAUCAUUUAAUUUAGUAAGAUGUGCCACAACAGUUUCAGAUUCAUAGCCAUAAAAAGGAUCAGAUUCAACCAAAGUAAUUAACCCAAGAUCGACAGAGAAAUCAUAUUCCUUAUCAGAAAUACAGAUAGGUGAAGUAGCAAAAGCAGGGUCAUAUUUCAUUCUAGUAUUCAAGGACUUUUCUUUCAGCUUAACUAACAGUUUCUUAAGAUCAUAUCUAUCUUUGCAAGCAAAGAAGUAUCUACCAGUUUCUUCAUCCAUAACAUAACCCUCAGGCACAUCAGGCAAUUCAUAUCUAGGGGGAGAAUCUUCAUCAUCACUUCCAUCAAUAUUAUCAGUUUCAAUAAUUUCAUUCUCUCUAACCCUAGCAAGUUGUUCAUCAAGAAAUUCACCUAGUGGCACAGUAUUAUCAAGCAUAGAAGUAGUUUCAUCAUAAGCACCAUGCAUAUGAUGAAGUGGCAUCAUCAAUAACAUGCGACAUAUCAGAAUAAAUAGCAGGUGUAGGUGUCGCAAAUUUACUCAUAACAGAAGGUGAAUCAAGUGCAGAGCUAGAUGGCAGUUCCUUACCUCCCCUCGUAGUUGAGGGAUAAAUAUUGGUUUUUUCAUAUUUCAAGUUCCUCAUAGUGAUCAACAGAUAUAAAUCCCAAGUGACUCAAAGAAUAGUGCUAUGCUCCCCGGCAACGGCGCCAGAAAAUAGUCUUGAUAACCCACAAGUAUAGGGGAUUGCAACAGUUUUUGAGGGUAGAGUAUUCAACCCAAAUUUAUUGAUUCGACACAAAGGGAGCCAAAGAAUAUUCUCAAGUAUUAGAAGUUGAGUUGUCAAUUCAACCACACCUGAACAGUGGCAAAAUAUUUAGUAGCAAAAUAGUAUGGAAGUAACGGUAACGGUGGUAAAAGUAACAAUAGUAGUUUUUAUAGUAAUCGUAACAGUGGCAACGGAAAAGUAACUAAGCAAAGAUCAAUAUGUGAAAAGCUCAUAGGCAAUGGAUUAGUGAUGGGUAAUUAUGUCGGAUGCGAUUCCUCAUGCGACAGUUAUAACAUAGGGUGACACAGAACUAGCUCCAGUUCAUCAAUGUAAUGUAGGCAUGUAUCCGAAUAUAGUCAUACGUGCUUAUCUAAAAGAACUUGCAUGACAUCUUUUGUCCUACCCUCGCGUGGCAGCGGGGUCCUAUUGAAAACUAAGGGAUAUUAGGGCCUCCUUUUAAUAGAGUACCGGACCAACGCAUUAACACAUAGUGAAUACAUGAACUCCUCAAACUACGGUCAUCACCGGGAGUGGUCCUGAUUGUUGUCACUUCGGGGUUGCCUGAUCAUAACACAUAGUAGGUGACUAUUGACUUGCAAGAUAGGAUCAAGAAUCACAUAUAUUCAUGAAAACAUAAUAGGUUCAGAUCUGAAAUCAUGGCACUCGGACCCUAGUGACAAGCAUUAAGCAUAGCAAAGUCAUAGCAACAUCAAUCUCAGAACAUUAUGGAUACUAGGGAUCAAACCCUAACAAAACUAACUCGAUUACAUGGUACACCUACCCAUCACCGUCCAGCAAGCCUAUGAUGAAAUUACUCAAGCAGGGUGGUGAGCAUCAUGAAAUUGGUGAUGGAGGAAGGUUGAUGAUGACGAUGGUGACGGAUUCCUCUCUCCGGAGCCCCGAACGGACUCUAGAUCAGCCCUCUCAAGAGAGAUUAAGGCUUGGCAGCGGCUCCGUAUCGUAAAAUGCGAUGAAUCCUUCUCUCUGGUUUUUUUUCUCCCUGAACGUGAAUAUAUAGAGUUGGAGUUGAGAUCGGUGGAGCCUCAGGGGGGGGGCACCAGGCAGGGGGGCGCGCCCCCCACCCUUGUGGACAGGGUGUGGGCCCCCUAGUGUUGAUUCUUUCGCUAUAAUUUUUUAUUAAUUUCAAAAAUAUUCUCCGUGAAGUUUCAGAUGAUUCUGAGAACUUUUAUUUCUGCACAAAUUAACACCAUGGCAAUUUUGCUGAAAACAGCAUCGGUCCGGGUUAAUUUCAUUCAAAUUAUGCAAGUUAGAGUCCAAAAUAAGGUUAAAAGUGUUUGAAAAAAUAGAUACGUUGGAGAUGUAUCAGCGCCCCUCGACAUGUGAUCACCAUAGGAGAAUACACGGGAUGAGGGAAGGAAUAGGGUUUCUCUGGUUUGCUUGACGAAUUGAUUGCAUUGAGUGGAUCAGGAAUUGAAUCGGUUGAUCGUGCAAAAUCGACACUUAGGAUGGCAUGGUGUUUUGACGUGAUCCCAACACCACGUCAUAGGGAUCUAGAUCAACACCAGGUCACGUACGUGAUGUGUCUGGUAUGAAUUUUGUCAUUGGCGAGCGGUAAACAACGGUGAUGUAGAUAUUAAUUGUCCUUGAGCUAAGUUGGGUUACUAAAGAAGAAUCUGAUCACGAUAAGUGAAUUAAUUUUUGUUGCCUUGUAUCAAUUGGUUUUAGUACUUGAACAUUGAUUACCAUCCCUCAGUUAACCUGGGUUACCAAAAAGAAAUCAAUCGCCAUGCGUCAAUUGAUUGUGUUACCAAAUAAAAGUUGGGCACUAAUCUGCGCCGGCGCGCCGGCCCAACCGUUUGACCGGUCAGCCCCUGGCCGUCCGAUUCAGCCGCGCAGCCAUCCGAUUGGGUUUGCGUUCUCUUCUUCCUUCCCCCACUCAUCUUCAUCCUGGUUUAGCCCUCAUCCGUCGUUGCCCGACAGAAUUUUCUGUAGCCCCCCAUCGCCCCUCCGAAAAUAUAUUUUAGAGCAUAUGCACCCAGGCCCUCUCUAUCUAGCCAUCCAUUUUUUGCUUUAAGAUUCGUACAAAUAUAUUUCUCUUUUUUGUUUCUCCCACAUAGAAUAUAUCUUGAAGUUCAAACCUAUGCGACGUGACAAAGCUUUCUGAGUAGAAUCUAGGAUAAAUCGUACAGAUUUUUUUGUCAAACAUAAAUAUACAAAAUACGUUUUGUUUGAUUAAAAAAUCAUAUUUUUAAUAUUUAUGUCGGACAAAAAAUUCUGAAAGAUUUAUCCUAGAUUCUAGUUAGAAAGAUUUGCCAUCCUGCAUAGGUUUGAACUUUAAGAUAUGUUCUAUGUGGGAAAAGCAAAAAAGAGAAAAUUUCAUAUAGAAACUUAGUUGUGUCGCACGGAUCUUAAAGCAAUAUUGAAGAGUUAGGAUAGGAGGGCCUGGGUGCAUAUGCUCUAAAAAUCCCUGUCCAUCGCCCCUCCUCCCCCUGGCCUCCUGCUUGCAGCCCCGCAUGCUGGCUCGCCAUCGCCGCUCACCGUAUUAGUAGACGUCGAUCUGGCAUGUUUGACCUCUGUCGUCGUCUUCUUCACGACAGGAUGCCAUCUCUUCCCCUCGUGUGUCCGACUCCUGCGGGUUAGCUGCACAUUCUUCCCCCAUGCUCUGCACCCGUCUCCCCCGCACACAUCCCGUCCUGCCUCCGGCCGCCUCGCCCCCCGUGACAACCCCCACCGGCAUCUCGCGCUGCCCAUCACCGUGUUUGAAGCACCGUUUUAGCAAAUAUGCAUGGAUGUAGCAAAAAUCUUCACCGGUGGUAGAAAAACCAAAAAAUAGUUGCAGCGAACCGCCGUCGCGGCCAUCGCGGGUUGCAGCUAAUCCACGAACGGAUGAAGCAAAAUCCAGCGGCGGCUGUAGCAAAAACGUCGCCGCCAUCGUCGAACGUCACAGCUAAGUCGUGAAGCAUGUAGCAAACAACAACGCCUGGUAGUAGCAAAAGCAUCAACUGUUGCAACUCCCGACCGAGGUCACAACUAAUCCGUACAUGGUUGUAGCAAAAAAAAAAUCACCGGUGGUAGCUCUGCCAUAACCGGUUGUAGCACACAUAGUCUUCGUUCCAGCAAAAGCAUAUAGCUUGUUGAUCGCCGCCGUCGUCGCACGUCGCAGCUAAGCCGUGAAGUAUGUAGAAAACAACGACGCAGAUAGUAGCAAAAGUGACAACGGUUGCAGCUUUUUUGGUAUUGACAGUAGCCAGCCCUGACAUGUCAUCGUGAUUGAAGCUUUUUGCGAUGUCGGUCGAAGCUUUUUGCGACGCCGGUUGUAGCUUUUUGCGAUGGCACUGAGCAGUCCCAACAUUUGGCAUCACGGGUUGAAGCUUUUUGCGGCCCUUGUGGUAGCUUCCUUUAACACCAGUUGUAGCAUGGGAGGUGUCGCUUAAUGCUUGCAGCUCCGGUGAGAUUCUCCCAAUAGCAAAUGCUCAACGGCGUUGCCCAUAGCAGAUCGCAGUCUCCCCCGUCAUCGUCUGCACCCGAGCUCACAAGCCAUGGCGCCCAUAGCAGCUCGUAGGAGCCCCUGUCGCAGUUCGCCCCGAGCUCGUAAGCCAUGGCUGCCCUGACCUUGAGCUCACAGGCCAUGGCGCAUGGGAGCAGCACCCCCAUGGAGGAGGUGCUGCGUGAGGUGCGAAGGGAGGAGUGCUCGGAGCUGCCUGGUGCUAUGUCGGAGGAGGUGAGGCAGAAAGCGAUGGGGAAAGAGAGGUCAACGGCGCGAGGAAAGGAGUGGAUGCAGGCGUUGGGGAGAGGAUAAGGUACACGUGUUCCCUUCCUGAUGGCUAGCGCCAGCGUGGCGAAGUUACCGGCCCGAGCGUUCAUCCGGCUCACCGCGCGUAAACAUUUCCCAUAAAAGUUGGGUUUGUCCGGCCAUAUCGUUACCCAAUAAAGGUUGGGUUUGUUUGGCCAAAUGAGAAAACCAGUGAAAACCGGUGGAGGGAGGGAGGAAGGAAAAUCGGUCGAGGGGUGGGGGGUCGUACGAGGAGAGGCGUGACAAAAGGUGGGACGACCUAAGAGGGGAAAUUGAACCUUAGGGUUCUUUUAGGUAGUACUAGAAUAAUGCCUGUGCGUUGCAAAGGAUAUAAAUAUUCUAUUACGUUAGUUCGUGAUUUACCUGUCAAUAAUAAUGUGAUUGUGUAAAUAAAUGUUCAUCAAAUUCUAACUGUGAGUUACCUUACAUUUUGAUUAGAUAUUUGGUAAGUAAACUAAAGUAGAAUUGAUUCAGAAGGUAGGUGUAUUAAGGUGAUUGAUUAUCAUAUACAUGGGAGGUUGGACAAAGGGGAGGUGGAAAAAAAAGUGAAAUGGGAACCUUCUGUUCUUUUUAAGUAGUAAGAUAUAAUAUAUAAGUAUAUAUAGAGAAGAGAAGAGAAGAUAGAGAUAGAGAUAUAGAUAUAGAGAUAAAGAUAAAGAUAAAGACUAGAGAUAGAGACAGAGAUUGCUCUGCAUUUUCUUUUAGCAUCAAAUACUCUGCCGAUUGAAUUUGCCACCAUUGAUACUCUGCCGAUUUGGUGCUGAUUUUUCUUCAGAAAAGGUUGCUCAACUUUCCAUCGGGCGGAUCUACAGUUUUGGAAGUACGACCAUGAUUUACCUCUCUCUCAGAUUUCCACGCAAAUGAUUCCUAGCUCCUCGGAUCUUCUUGAUCUCAGGGUUAAUGAUUUCCUUCGCAGGAGAUCCACUUCCAGACUGAAACAUGUACAGAGCCCUCCAUACAAGAGCCGGAAACGUAGUUCCCCACUUCUCUUGUUACAGUACGAGGAAGGACAUGGUGGUGAAGAAGAGAGCGGCAGUGAUUGCGGCCCUGUCCAUGCUCCUACUUCUCAUGCUGUCCAGGCCAUCCCAUCAACAGUUCUCCAAUUACUCCUGCAACUGCUACCGAGAGUGCUACUUAGAGUGCAAGCACGCCUUCCCGAUGCUCUGCAAGGUCGUGUGUGGCGGCAGCUGUGAUGACAAGAAUGACCCCGUAGCCGCCUGCAUGGUCGCCUGCACCAAGGACUCCCUAUGCGGCGUGCCGGCGGCGCCAUCCGGUAAGAGGACCUCCUACCACCUUGCUUUAUGGGUGCGUUCGUAGAGGCACACUCAUGGAAUUUGUGUGCUCUUUAUGCUGUUAUUUUGUUCUGAUGACCUUGUGCUUGCACUGCCAUUUUGCAUAUGCAGGCGCCACGUAUUGUAGCCAUGCGUGCAACGAUACGUGCGGUCGCCAUUCGCGGGCCAAGGUUCCUUGAAGAUUGAAGAUCCGGCCGAUCAUGGGAUCAUAUGAUGUCGAACUGCUGCACCAAUGCAAUAAAAUGUAUUUGGCUUCGGUGUACAACUUGUGAUUGUGAGGAAGUUUGUGAAUCUUAUAAUAAAGCCAGUUAUCGAUGGCGCAUUUGGCAAAUCCCUGCUAAUUUUGACGUGUCUUUGAUUUUACCUUUCUCUGUCCAGAUUGCAAGAGGAAUAAGUAACGUAGGAGAGGGUUAAUAUAACAUGUAAAAGAAUUCAAACAUCAGCAAACUAAUCGAAGCCUUGCGUGAGUCUGAACAAAGCAAAAUAAUUUGAAACAAAUUCAUCAGUCACACACAAAAUGGGACAUAUAUAAGCGCAAUUUGACAUAGGAUUGGCCCGUCCUUAUACAAUCAAAAGAAAACAGUAAAAAUGAAUACAUGCAUAAUACCAACUAAAAGGUACUCCUUCCAUAAAAAAAUAUAAGAGCGUUUAUAUCACUAAAGAAUACAAGAGCGUUUAGAUCACUACUUUAGUGAUCUAAACUACGCUCUUAUAUUUCUAAACAAAUGGAACAACUAAUUAAUUGUACCAGCCUUUGCUCAGUGGUUGGACAUGCGGUUAUGGAUCCCAAUGACCCGAGUUUAGUUCCUAGAAUUGAUAAUGCACACGGAGAACCACUCAUGAAGAAAUAUCUUGAUACUCAUUUAGAAAAUUCUGAGGACCAUGCUAAUCUUCGUACUCAUACUAAAAUGGCCGUAUGCAUCCCUAUUUGAUGCAGAGACUGGGAAGUGACAAUAUCUUCCAUUUUAAAGAAGCACAAGCUACCUCACAAGAGACAGGGAGGCGACUACCUGUCGACUGCGAGGGCACCCGGGGCCGCCUUGGAUGCCGGCGGGGCAAUCACUUUUGGGCUCUCUCCGGGACGAUCUUCGACGAGGAGGACCGCACUGUGACCAGAUUGGUGGCGGAGGUCCCAUCGUCGAUGCCGUCGGAUAUCAUUUGCGAGUCUCUUCGGGUGGGCUAUUCGGAAGAAGUCGCCGGAACAUCGAUGUGAUUGUUCUAUCAAGUGAUCGGCCUUGAGAUGGAUAGAAGGGAGAAGAUAAGGUCGAGGUUAUCCGGCGAACGGCUUCGACGGUGAUUCGGCCAUGGAAGGGAUCAAUCCCCAAGGUAAGUUUGCCGGCGUUAACUUUGCAGUAUUUUAUUGAUCCCCAUUCUUGGACUGUGGUAUCACGACGGAAGAAAAAACGGCCAAUGGCAGCGCUGGUGCCGGCGGCGGCGGCCGACCUGAUCGGAGCGAUCAGGGAGGCUCGGUGCGAGCGUUUGAAUUCGUUGCUGGGCCAGUCUGGGCCGGAAUCAGUGCAGGGGUAUGAAAACUUACAGGCACAUAUCAGUAAAAAGAAUUACAACUUGCAGGCACAUAUCUACCAGUAACCAAAAGAGAAGAUUUUACUGUGCGAGAUUCGUUCACCCCAUCCCUGAGAAUGUCAAGAGGAGCAACACAACAUGUCCCUGUAUCAUACAAAGUUUUUUUUUUUGAAACGAAAGGUAGAGUACGUUCUACUUUAUAUAUUUCAAAACAGGCCGUAGCCCGGAGACCAUAGGUCCAUUACAUGAAGCUUAUGUUUUGCACCAAGACGCAUAGGCCAUAAGCUGCCGAAAGAACAGAAACAGAGGGAUGGAAGAAGAGAAAAGGAGUGGAAGAACAUGCACAACUACAUCAUGCUUGUAAACUAUGCAACCACAGCAAGACCGCCUGUUUGCGUUCUGGGAUCCUUGCCCGAUGACUCCAUAACUUGAGGAGAUCUAAUGCGUACAGCCAUGCAUAUGUUGGAGACCAGAUUUUGCCGUUGAACACCCGAUCAUUCCAGGCAUGCCAAAGAGUGACCGCAGCAGCAGCAACAAGGACAUUCCAAGCAGCUGACGAAGGCCAGCGUGGCUGCGACACUUGCAUGAACUCCAGGAGGUUAGCAAAAUUUGAAGCAGAAUUCUCCAAAACGAAUCUGUCCCAAAGUGUAGUAGCGAGAGAGCAGCACAAGAUGAUAUGAUCUAUGGACUCGCGGGCCAGGCAGAUAUCACAGUCAGCAUGUGCGAUGACCCAUUUCUUCCUGAUCAUGUUAUCCCCCGUGUUCAGACGCCCCCAAAAAGCUAACCAGAAGAAGAUCCUGUACUUUAGUGGAAUAAGAGGGUCCCAAACCCACAAGCUGAAAUGGCCGUCCACCCCCCGAAAGGUGAGCAGGUGAUAAAAGUACGAAGUGCUCAAGACCUUGCUGUAAAUGGACGAAGAACGAUUGUCCUGGUUGUGAGAAACAGGCUGAAUGCCCAGCAGAAGAGAGUGUAGAUGAUUGAGCUCACUAGUAGCAGAUCUUAUGAGGUUUGGGUGGAACUGAACAUCCCAGGCACCAUCGACAGAGAGCUGUGAAGCCACCGAGCAGUGCCUGUCCUUGGCAAAGGUAUAAAGCGUCGGCAGCAUUUGGAAGAGUUACCCGACAUCUAACCACUUGUCAUGCCAAAAGGAGAGAUGGCAACCAUUGCCCGGAGAGCCUUUGGAUGCAUAUAAAACCAUGGGAAUGAAGCAUUUGAAACCCUUCCAUAUAGGCGUAUCCCUACUCUGAACUCCAGAGUCCAUGCGACCAUUGCAGUAUUGUGCAGCAAACCACUGGAAACAAGGGAUAUCAGAUGGCUGCAGCACCUUAGCCACAAACUUGCACAACAGAGCUUGAUUAUGGGCAGCCACACAUACAUAGUUUUUUAACAAGAACGACAAUCACACCCAACACACUGAAGCACACACUCCCGUGUAUACAUCAUAUGUAUAUUCAACUCAUCAAAGAAUUCAAAUUCAAACAUUAGCAAACUCACCGAAGCCUUUACCGUAUCUCAAAAAAAAAACCUAUCCCAGUAGACUUGCUACUGAAUAGAUGCAAAUUUGGUUAAAGAAAGAGGGAAUUGUGCAAAUUCAAUUCACAGAAGGUGUCUUUCCAGGCAGCCACUUCACAUCUCCAGGAACUUGAAGUAGCAAUCUGUCCGUCACUACUACCAAACAGCAUUGUUUGAAAACUGCAUUCGGUUUUCUUUCUAAAUCAGCACAGGUCUCUUCAGCAUGCGCUUGUCUAAUCGGUUUAUGGUCCAAGGUUAUUUUCAGGUGUGCUACUAGGCCACUAGGUGCAAGUAAGUGGCAGUAGGCACCAUCUUGUUUAGGAAAUCAAUGCCAUGGCAAAACUGGCUACAAAACAACCAAUCCUGAAAUUGUGGGUAAUCGAGGCUCUAUCCCCCCUCUCCUCCCGCGACGCGCCCGCGCGCGACCGGNNNNNNNNNNNNNNNNNNNNNNNNNNNNNNNNNNNNNNNNNNNNNNNNNNNNNNNNNNNNNNNNNNNNNNNNNNNNNNNNNNNNNNNNNNNNNNNNNNNNNNNNNNNNNNNNNNNNNNNNNNNNNNNNNNNNNNNNNNNNNNNNNNNNNNNNNNNNNNNNNNNNNNNNNNNNNNNNNNNNNNNNNNNNNNNNNNNNNNNNNNNNNNNNNNNNNNNNNNNNNNNNNNNNNNNNNNNNNNNNNNNNNNNNNNNNNNNNNNNNNNNNNNNNNNNNNNNNCUCGGCCGGGGCAAAGCCCGGUGGGCGCGGUGGCGGCGGGCCCUUCUCCCCCUCUGCUCGUGGUGCACUGGCGCGGGCAGCGUCUGCGAGCGGUGGCGCUUGGCGGCCGCGGGGCACAGCGAUGCGAUAGUGGGCUCGCGGGGCAGCGGGGUGGCUGGCUGCAGGCGGCGCGCCGGUGUCCUGGAUCCGCACGCGGCGGGUGGCUGCGGCGCUCCCUUCUCGGGAGGUGGCGCGCGGACAGCCUCCUGCUGGAUCCGGCCUGAUCUGGCAGUGGGGGUCGGCCGGCGGCGCUUGGCUUCGGUGGUGCUUGCCCGGCGGCUCCGGCGCUUGGAGCUCACCGGGCGGCGCGGGUAGGGCAGCGGUUUGGUGUGGCCGUUGCUCCCGCCGGGGGCAGCGGCGUGGGGAGGCCCGACGCAUGGUGGCGGCCUCUCGGUGUCGUGGCGGCCUCCCGGUGGCUCGGCGGAUCUGCCUACGGCAGCGGCCGACUUUUCCGGCAUCCGCUUGUCUGCGAUUGGUCCGUCUCGGCCUUCACCCCAUCUCCUCGGCGUCCGGGCGCUUCUUCCAUCGGAGGGCUGGCCCUCUCCCAGCUGCGGUCCAUCGCGCGUCUCGCCCCCGGUGCAGCAGGACCGAGCUCGUCUCGCGCACGGUGCAGCAGGACUGACCUCGUCCCCCUCUCGGUGCUGCAGGACCGAGCUCGUCUCGCGCUCCGGGUUGCAGGAAGGGUCGAUGGAUGCCUGUGCUGGCCGGCCUAUUGGGUCUCGACGCUGGGGGUCGCCCAGGGGUGUGAAAGGUGGGACAUUUCCGCCCAUCUCUCUGGUUGGGGUAGCGGCGGGUUCCGGGUGAGGUGGUGUCAAGGUCUUCGAUGCCGGGGCGGCAGCCCUGGAGGUGGUAGCGCGGUGCUCUUGGGCAGAGACCGUGGCUUUGGUGCUGCCUGGUGGCCAUGGCUGUGUGGGCGGCAUGGUAGCCGGGGUGUAGCGUUUGGUGGCGGUGAGUGUUGGCCGGGGUGAAAACUUGUUCUAUCUUCGGACGGACCGGCGGCGGCGAAGCUCGUUCCCUUCUUGAAGGCAUCGUCGUGGCUCUCACGGCCCGUCGUGCAGCUCCGAGGGAAACUCUGAUCCUUGGAACGGGCGGUGGCGCCGUUCCAGUGUCCUAUCCUUCCUGAAGGCGCCGCCUUGGAGUUCACGUUCGUCGUAUGCGGCUUCAUCUCUUCGUGGUAGUAGUGCUAGGGGUGGUGUUGCUGCGCUCAGCGCCUUUGUUCCUUGCCUUGAGUGUGUGUGGUGGUGGCGUGCGUUUGUACCGGAUGAUGUGGAUCUUUGCUUUAUAUAUAAAGCAGGGCGGAAGCCUUUUUCGGUAAUUGUGGGUAAUCUGAUGUGCUAGAAAAUACUGCGAUACUUUGUCGUGUUACACUACAAAUUAUCCUGGUCAAAUACCGAUAUAGCCCUCAAAACUCCAGUAUAUAAAGACCACACAUCUGACUGACUAAGAGAGCCACCAGUCACCUGAAAUCUCCCACAGCAGUUCCCUUCCUAUUCUCUUGUCAUAGCUCGUGCGAGGAAGGAGAGGAGAUGGAGGUGAAGAAGAGAGCGGCCGCCAUUGCCGCGCUGUGCAUGUGCAUCAUGCUCCUCAUCAUGUCAGUGCCAACCAAGCAACAGGUGGACGCCAUGUCAGAUGAAUUCUCCUGAACAAUGAUGCAAUAUAUUCUCUCUUUUUUCUAUUGAUACAAAAAAGAAUCACCACCUGGUCUGAGGAUCUUGUGCUCGUCUUGGCCAUUUUUGCAGAUACACAUGGUGUUGCGGAUUGUAUAGCUGAGUGCAACAAGAGGUGGGGCAACAAUUAACGCCAAGUAACCUUCAAAAUAAAGAGUUGAAUAGCCUCUGGAUCAUGCACUACCGGACUCGCCACCUAUGCCGACGGCCCAGGGCCGUCGGCAUAGGCCAUUUCCCGUCGGUAUACAUCUAUGCCUACGGCUACCGUCGGCAUAGCCCCGUCGGCGUAGAACACGUCAGCGUAGUCUUGUCAGACCGUCGGCAUAGUUUAGCCGUCGGCAUAGGGGCCUAUGCCGACGGCUUCCGUUUGGCCGUCGGCAUAGUUUAGCCGUCGGCAGUGAUUUUCACAUGACGGCAACGGACGGCGCCGUCAAAAGCGCUAACGAAUCACAGGUAGCCGCGUGGCAGAGGUAUGCCUACGGCAAAGCCGUCGGCAUAGGUGAAAAUAUAUGCCGACGGCUUUGCCGUCGGCAUAUCUCUGCCACGUGGCGGCCUGCGGUCACUCCUGGCAGGAGGGUAUGCCUACGGCAAAGCCGUCGGCAUAGAUUUGGGUAGUCCUGUGCGUAUCUAUGCCGACGGUUUAACCGUAGGCAUACUUACGAACCAAAACCAAAAAAAAUACUAGCCAAAAAGGCUAGCAAUUUCCAAUCCAAUUAUAAGACAUGAUUCAACAACCAUGGAUUUGCAAACAAAGACCAUAAAAUAUUUUUGAUGUACACAACAUUUUCAUUCUAAGAAUCCACUAAAAAAAUACUCGCCAAAAAGGCUAGCAAUUUCCAAUACAAUUAUAAGACAUGAUUCAACAACCAUGGUUUUGCAAACACAGACCAUAAAAUAAUUUUGAUGUACACAGCAUUUUCAUUCUUAGAAUCCACUACAGCAUCAAAGGAGAAGGCGGAGGGGCGGUGCCGAUGGUGCGGGAGACGGGGCAGCGAUGACAGAGGUGGCAUGCAGUCAGUAUAAUGAACCAAAGAUCCUACACAUAAGGAUGAAUAUGUAAUAUAUACACUGCAUCUACCAAAGGGAAAUCACCAAAAUGUUACAAGAAAUACUUCUACCGGGAGGCAAACAAAGAUUUUCGUUGUAAAUGAUCUGAUGUUCGCACUGCAUAGCUAAUACAAUAGGAUUUCUUCACAUUAUUCAAUUACUGGGAAGGAUCAAUUACACAUAUGGAUGAACUACCAGUACAGGAGUAGCUUGCUGCCAACACUACUAGCUAGCUGCCAACACUACUAGCUAGCUAGAUUAAACACCAACAGUUAACAAAACCUAGCUGCAGUAACCAACAACCACAAAUGAGGUAGUACAAGAGCAGAAUUUAACAAGUGUGCUACUCUGAAUCAUCAUCACUGUAAAUAGGAAUGAUCUUUCUCAUGGCACAAGCAUGACAAGCACAAACAAAAUCACCCAUGCGCAUGAAACAGAGCAAGGUACUGCUAUAGCAGCACAAGAGAGGGAGCUAGAGGUAGGAGAUGGACUCACCGGAGAGGAGGUUGUUGUCGAUGCCGAACACGACCGCGGCCGCAGUCGCACAGUAGAGGAGGUUGUAGCCGAGUUGGACCAUGUGCGGGGUGUCGUCGUGGCGGUGGAUGCCCUGGUUGUCGUCAUCAUCCACGGAGGAUGCCUGCUACUCUGAAUCAAACGAAUAAGUCAGAGCUAGUGUUGUUGAGCUAGUACAGAAAUUAAACAAGCUAGUAUAGGAGACACAGGCGUGCUGGUUCUAGUAUCUACAGAAAUCAAUCGAGCUAGCUAUGCGUGUGCAUGAGCUAGCUUAGUAUGUACAGUACAUGGUUGGGCUCCAAAACAAACAGAGAAUGCUAGCCUCAACAGAAUCAAUCACAAGGUUAUUUUUUUUUUGUUACUAGCACUGCUAGUUGUAUGUGUUGAUCCAUCCGGACCUAACUAAUGUUGUUGUAUCUCUAGACCAAGUGCAGCAACACAAGAAGAACUAAAACUGUAGAGCACAUGUAUACAUAUGACGAACUACAGAACUAGCACUACAUUUUGCACAGGACAGAAUUAAUCAUGAAUGGUUCUGUCACAGUUGAUGCAUUUGUUGCCAAAAAGAAAAUUUCAUCCAAACUACAUACGGUGACAUGAGCCGGUGUAAUUCACAUUUAAUGGUGGCUUAAUAUGUUUUCUACCACAUGUCAUGUUUACUUACUAGCAUCUAAGAAUGGAUCAGGUAUGAAUUAGGGCAUGGAUAUCGAGAGCAGUAAGAUGGUAGUAAUGGAACAAAAAGUUUUGGCCAAAAAAAUUUGUUUGUCAAGGAACAAGAUAGACAAAAAAAAUUGGGUUUGAGAAGGUGAGUAUCUCAGGGGCUGGGCUUACACAUGGGUUGAGAAGGAGGUUGAUCUGCUGCCACCCACACAUGCAUCUAUCAAUCAAAAAAAUAACGUUUAGGUUCUCAAAGACCUUCCUGGAUCCGGCAACAGCACGAACAGAGCAAACAGAGAGGCGUGAGGAAACCAAAUCAAAUCAAAUCAAACAUCAAAGGCAGAGACAACAACCAUUUAUUUUGUAGCAUCUUGAGAUAACUUGAGAAAUCCAACCAGACCAAUUCAUAAGCUAAAUUCUACUACAUUUUUGGGGUAGCAAGCAAAAUAUACUAAAAAGCAGAGUCAAUUCAAACCGGAGAUGGACUCUAGUUCAUUAAUGGAUGAGUGGCAUUAAUUGUUUGAACACCACACCGUCACAGCAACAAAAGCAGUACCAAGACAAGUGCAUCAGGUGUUCCAUUUAGCACAAACACAAACUUCAGUGCUAUAAAAAAUACGUACAGGGCUAGUUCACUAGUCAUGCAAAUUUGCAAUAUAUGCAAACAAGUUUCAAUCGAUCGAUAUUAUGGAAGAUACGCCUAGCCUGGCUGCAGCAACCAACAAGGGCAAUCCAAACUGAGAGCUAGCUAGCUAGGAGGACCCAGCAGUGGAGUGUGACAGCAGUAGCACCCAUUCAAAAUUCAGUCAAGCAUGUGUAUAAGUAAAAAAUGCAGAGCAGAGCAGAGCAGCAGCAAAUUGAGAGCAAGCCUAGGAAAUCGAGGAGGACAAGGGAGGCAUGGAGGGGAAGGAAAACCUCUCACUUGAGGUUGGGUGUCGUUCCGAGAGAGAGGAUGCACGCGGGGGAAGCAGGACUCCUCCUCUCCCUUGUCCCUGCAUCGAGUUGCUGCUACUGCUGUGUGUGGGUGAGGAAGGUAGGCACAUCAGGGAAGGGUAGGGGAAUAGAUCAAAUAGGAGAGGGAGGGGUUGACCUUGAUGGCGUCGGAGAAGGGCUGGAGCGGCGUCGUCCAUGGCCUUCCCUUUGCUGUUCCAGCGCGAGCGAAACAACGGCGACAGUGGCGUGCUCGAUCUGGGAGGGAGAGGAUACAGGUGAGUAAGAGAGGGUGGGUUCCGAGGGAUCUCGAUGGAGAGAUGUACCUGAGCCACCGGAGCCACGCUGGCGACGCGGUGGCCGAAACCCUAGCUUAGGGAACGGUCGCGGGUGACCGGUAAAGGACGCGAGCGAUGAAUCUGCUCGGAAGGGACGACGGAGCGGAUGGAGGCGAUCAUGGGAGUGUGCUUGGCGUCGUCGGCAGCAGCCGGAAUCGCCGGCGUGGGUGGCGGCGGCGGAGAAGUGUCGCGGGGAGAGAGAGAGGUCGAGGUGGGGAGUGGUGCGGCUCUGUUGGGUCUUGGGUGGGCUCUCUCUCGCUUCUUUUCCUUUUUUUUAAUUUUGGUGGGUGGGAUCGGUUCCAACGGCUAGCCGGGAGGAGCUCCUUAGUACCGGUUCGUGGCAAACCUUUAGCACCGGUUCGUGCCACGAACCGGUACUAAUGAGAGUGGUGGCAGGAUGUUGUCAGAGUGGGGCCCUUCCAGCACCUUUAGUACCGGUUCGUGGCACGAACCGGUACUAAAGGUCGUCCUAUAUAAACCCUUCGUCCACCCGCACUCUGUUCUUCCCCCUUUCCCCUCUCCCUCUCCUCUGUUCUUCCCUUCUUCCUCUCGAGUUCAUCACAAAAUUUGCCCCAAAUUUGUCAAGAUUUGCAGGCCCUCAUCCAUUCAAAUGAUCACCAAGGUUAGCAACUUUGUCCUUUCAUCUCUCAUUGCUAGAUUAGCUCUUGCAUUGGUUUAUAUAGUGAUUAAUUGUGGGUUUUAGUAAUUUGGGAGGAAUUAUAUGUGGUAGUAUUUGAUUUAUAUGCAAUUUGAGGUCAAAAUAACACUUAGUUUGCAUAUGUAGGUGUGGUUUACUUAGUGCCUUCUAAAUCUCCGUCGUAACCACCGUCGAUCGCCCGCACCAUCCCGUCGCCGGCACCACCUUGUGGUGAGCCUCUUGUUCAUGAAAUUUUAUAUAAAAAAUUGAUGUUUGUGUGAUUUGGAUAUAUAGUUACUCGUAUAAUAAUUAUCUUACCCGUACAUUGUUUGUUAUACAUAGUGCCAUGGUUUUGAUAUCCGUCCCCGUCGGCCCUCGUCGUUGUUAUGAUUCGGAUGUGGUAUAUUCUCUUUUAAAACUAUUUGUUGCAUUUCGUGUUUAUGACAAAUUAUGCCCAUCAAGUUGACAUAGAUAUUUUUAUCUAGGAGGUAUGUGAACCGGAAAUUCCAACCGACCCUAUUGUCGAGAGGUUAAAUUUAGUUGAAAGAGAAAACGGGUACUUGAAAGAAAAAUUGAAAAGAAUUGAGGGGGAGAAGAUGGAAUUGGAGUUGCAUGUUGCCGAUGUCGUCGAUGAUCACAAGAUCAAGAUGGAGAAAAUGCGCUUGAAGAUUAGAAAGAUUAGAAAAUAUGCCAUCAAUAGUGAGGCUUGGUAUCAUUAUGCUGUUGGAUCAAUUGUUACCUUAGUUGCGAUCUUGAUCGCAUUUGUUGUUGCAUUUAAAUGCUUUAGCUAGAGAGUUAUUUGUUUGUUGCAUUUAAGUGUUGUAUGAACUUUAUGUAUGAACUUGUAUUAAUUUGGUCUAUUCGGUGUUGUGUAAUGAAGAUGAGCCAGCAAUGGAUGUACGAUGACCGAUGCUCUCCCCAGUUCGUUGAGGGCGUGCAUACUUUUUUGCUUGCGGCUGGGGCAAACAAGCGGGCGGAUGGUUUUAUGCCUUGUCCAUGUGCUGGCUGUAAGAAUGGUCGCAAUUACUCUACGUCAAGAACCAUUCACGUCCACCUGUUUGAGUCCGGUUUCAUGCCCCACUAUAAUGUUUGGACCAAGCACGGAGAAAGAGGGGUUAUGAUGGAAGACAAUGAGGAAGAAGAGGACGACGACAACUAUCCUAGCCAUGGGUUCCCUGAAUACGAUGAUACAACAAUGGGGGAAGAAGCUGAGCCGGUAAUGCGGGAAGAAGCUGAGCCGGCAAUGCGGGAAGAAGCUGAAGAAGAGGCAUCAGAUGAGCCCGUUGAUGAUCUAGGUCGGGCCAUUGCCGAUGCAAAGAGAAACUGCGCAAGUGAUUUGGAGAAGAAGAAGUUGCAGUGCAUGUUAGAGGAUCACAAAAAAUUGUUGUACCCGAAUUGCGUAGGUGACAAGAAAAAGCUGGGCACCACACUGGAAUUGCUGCAAUGGAAGGCAGAGAAUGGUGUAUCUGACAAGGGAUUUGGAAAGUUGCUGGUAAUGAUAAAGGAUAUGCUUCCAAAGGACAACGAAUUGCCCGAGAGUACGUACGAAGCAAAGAAGGCUGUGUGCCCUCUAGGGUUAGAGGUGCAUAAGAUACAUGCAUGCCCUAAUGAUUGCAUCCUCUACCGCGGUGAGUACGAGGAUUUGAACGCUUGCCCGAUAUGUGGUGCAUUGCGCUAUAAGAUCAGCCGCGAUGAGCGUGGUGAUGUCGAGGGCGAGCGCCCCAGGAAGAAGAUUCCUGCCAAGGUGAUGUGGUAUUCUCCUAUAAUACCAUGGUUGAAACGUUUGUUCCAAAACAAAGAGCAUGCCAAGGCGAUGCAAUGGCACAGAGAAGACCGUAAGAAAGACGGAAAGUUGAGAGUACCCGCUGACGGGUCGCAGUGGAGAAAAAUCAAAAGAAAGUACGGGAAGGAGUUUGUAGAUGACGCAAGGAGCGUAUGGUUUGGUCUAAGCGCAGAUGGCAUUAAUCCUUUUGGGGAGUAGAGCAGCAACCAUAGCACCUGGCCUGUGACUCUAUGUUUGUAUAACCUUCCUCCUUGGUUGUCCAUGAAGCGGAAGUUCAUUAUGAUGCCAGUGCUCAUCCAAGGCCCUAAGCAACCCGGCAACGACAUUGAUGUGUACCUAAGGCCAUUAGUUGAAGAACUCUUACAAUUGUGGAAUGGAACAGGUGUACGUGCGUGGGAUGAGCACAUGGGGGAAGAAUUGGACCUAAAGGCGUUGCUGUUCGUGACCAUCAAUGAUUGGCCUGCUCUCAGUAACCUUUCAGGACAGACAAACAAGGGAUACCGCGAAUGCACGCACUGUUUGGAUGAUACCAACAGUAUAUAUUUGAAUAGUUGUAAGAAGAAUGUGUACCUGGAACAUCGUCGAUUUCUUCCGAGCAGGCAUCCCGUAAGAAAGAAAAGCAAGCAUUUCAAAGGUGAGGCGGAUCACCGGACGAAGCCUCGCCACCGUACUGGUGCUGAUGUACAUGAUAUGGUCAAGGAUUUGAAGGUGAUAUUUGGAAAGGGUCCUGGCGGACAACCUGUUCCAAAGGACGCUAACGGACGCGCACCCAUGUGGAAGAAGAAAUCUAUAUUUUGGGACCUGCCAUAUUGGAAAGACCUAGAGGUCCGCUCCGCAAUCGACGUGAUGCACGUGACGAAGAAUCUUUGCGUGACCCUGCUUGGCUUCUUGGGCGUGUAUGGUAAGACAAAAGAUACACCUGAGGCACGGGAGGACUAGCAACGUAUGCACGGCGAAGAUGGCAUACAUCAGGGUCAUGCAAGCUACGCUCUUACCAAAGAAGAGAAGGAAAUCUUCUUUGAAUGCCUGCUCAGUAUUAAGGUACCGUUUGGCUUCUCAUCGAAUAUAAAGGGAAUAAUAAACAUGGCAGAGAAAAAGUUCCAGAACCUAAAGUCUCAUGACUGCCACAUGAUUAUGACGCAACUGCUUCCAGUUGCAUUGAGGGGGCUUCUACCGGAAAAUGUUCGAUUAGCCAUUGUGAAGCUAUGUGCAUUUCUCAAUGCAAUCUCUCAGAAGGUAAUCGAUCCAGAAAUCAUACCAAGGUUACGGAAUGAUUUGGUGCAAUGUCUUGUCAGUUUCGAGUUGGUGUUCCCACCAUCCUUCUUUAACAUCAUGACGCACGUCCUAGUUCACCUAUGCAAAGAGAUUAACGUUUUGGGUCCUGUAUUUCUACACAAUAUGUUCCCCUUUGAGAGGUUCAUGGGAGUCUUAAAGAAAUAUGUUCAUAACCGUGCUAGGCCAGAAGGAAGCAUCUCCAAGGGCCAUCAAAAUGAGGAGGUCAUUGAGUUUUGUAUUGACUUUAUUCCUAACCUUAAGCCGAUUGGUGUUCCUGAAUCGCGGCAUAAGGGCAGACUGGAUGGAAAAGGCACGCUAGGAGGGGAACAAAUAAUAUGUAUGGACGGACAUUCUCUCACUGAAGCACACUACACAGUUCUACAGAAUUCCGCCUUGGUGGCUCCGUAUAUGGAUGAAUACAAGAAUUUGCUACGCUCCAAACACCUGGAGCGGUCUGAUGACUGGAUUACACGUGAACAAACCAGGAGUUUCGCCAGCUGGUUGCAGACACGUACCCACUACAAGAAAUAUGUCAACUUAUGACCACCACUAUUGGUCACUGAAAGGUCACAAAUUUCCAUUUAUGACCUUUUUGUGACCAAAAACAGAAGGUCAAAAGCUGGCCGUAAUAAACUGACUAUAGCGACCUUUCUUCUGGAAUGGUCAAAGACGUUUACGACCAAAAUAUUCCUAUUGUGGCGUUUUGGUCACUAGCAACCUCCCCCAGGCCACGUAGGCAUCCAGCGUGGCAAGCUGAUGUGGCACAAGAUUCAGCCCGGUCCAAUUGGGUGUUUAUAUGGGCCGAGCCCAUUAAUUCAGCCUUUUAAUGUAUUUUUUCCCUGUUCAUUUUGGUCAGCUACAUGGGCCAGGCCCAACAAUUCAGCCUUUUAUUUUCUAGGCCUUUGGCCUUUUUGCUUCGAUUUCUUAUUUGGGCCUCAGCCUUUUUACAAUCCAUUUUGGACCAGGUCCCACUAGUCAGGUCAUCUAAUUAGGUCCCACUUGUCAGUUUUUUUUUUAAUUUUAAAGGACCCACGUCUUCUCUAUUUGGGCAGCAACCAAUAACUUGAUUCAAACAGAGCCAAUAACACAUAAAAUUUCAAACAACAGCCAAACAAAGUACUUUACAAUCAGGUAUUCAACAGCCAAACACGUCUUCUCUAUUUGGGCAGUACAAACAGCUAUUCAACUAUAAAAUACAGCUGAAUAUUAACAUGACUGGUGGCAGUGUUUGUCGCCCUGGUGAAGAUCUGCUGGCUGGACUGGAUUGACACCAUCCUGAUGAGUCCCCUCUCCAUUAGGUCCUUGAUGGCCCUGCGAGCCAGCGACCCGUUGAUCUGCAGCACCAUAAAAAUCAAACAAACAUAUGACACACUAAUAUGUCAGUAGUUCUAAUGAACAAGGCAUGUCAGGCACAUAUUGUUGAUAGUAAGAAGCCGGGACAUGUUAAUUAAGUGUAAAGCAGCAGGAUCAAACCACAUUUAACUAUAUGGAACACUACAAAUCAAUGGCUAUGUUGAAUAUCUGUGACACAUGACAUAAAUGAUGACUAGAUGGCCAUAUCAAAUGCACUGCACCCUAUCUAUAACAUGGCACACCAAGCAAAAUCUGCACAAAAAACUGAUGCAGCAGCCGAAUCCAGCAUCCAAUCAAUUCAUAACACUAGCGCAUGGGUGUGUUCUUACAAUUGUACAGACUGACCCCAAAACAGAGCAUCACAGCAAAGUACUUGACCAGGAGCCAUGAUGCAUCACACACAUAUCCUACCAUCCCCAGAUGUCACUUCACAUAGGAAGGAAGGAAGCAAGUAAGAAUAACAAAUCCAGAGGGAGUGCGUUACCCCGAGUCGCUCGGACAGGACGGAGGGCGUGAUCUGCUUGUACUUGGGCACCUUGGUGAGCAGCUUGUCGUAGGUGGCCUGGUCGAAGAUCACCGUGUUGUUCACCUUCUCCUUUUGCUUGCCCUUGCUCCACUUAUUCUGCUUGCCUCCACCCGACUUGGCCGGCUUCGACGACGCGGUGGGUGCUAAACACAUUGUUGGGUGCGGUGGGUGCGGGUUUUCGUUGGGAUUCUUCUCCUGGAGUUCCUUGUACACCAACUUUUGACGAAUGAAGCCCAAAAUCUGCGGGUUAUAAAUCAUAACAGUUAGGAAUAUAAUCAAGUGAAGCCGUGCAUAUAUUUCUGGACAGCAAACUAAAUAGACAGCUGCUCUCAAACCGUACAUCCAAAGAAGCAAAUAAGUACUCUACGGGAACCUUAGAACAUGCUUUACAACUCAUAUGUAGAGGCCAACUUGAAAUUAUGAGCAUAACAAACUCAUUUUUCAGUUAGAAGCUCGCUGCCCUAAACAGUCAGGUAGUGCAGUUUUUUAACUGAACCAAAUUCAGUUUAGAGAACAGCCGCAGAAAUCCAAAAACAGGAUCACUAGACCGAGUAAAUUGAAACUGCAUAGCCGUCUAGUUUAGAGAACUAAAACUUAGCUAGAUGAGGUACAAACUGAAACAGCAUUCAUUCAGUAGAAAAACAACCACCUUAGCUAGCUAGUCCGUGAGCAUUAACCAAGCAUGCAUCAUACAGGAAGGAACAAAUAUGAUAUGAACUAAGACCAAGGCCACAUACAGGACCUCAUCAAUCAGGCCACCCUAGUUUGGUUUCACAGCCGCAACAGAAACUAGACUACAACAUAGCAGCGAUAGGAAAAACAUCACAGUAAGGAUCAAACCUUGUUUGGGGAGUCGAUUUCCUCCUCAUCGAUGUCGUCCAUGGAGGGCUCCUGCUCCAUCUAAAUGGAAGAAACAAGUAAAUAUGGGCUUACAGACAGAGCUAGCAACAAUUUUUACAAACAGAGAAGCUGUCAAAUUUUCUGUGAUUAUAAAAUCUUCUUCCAUUUAGCAGUUCUCUUUUGAUUAUAAUCAUUUACUCCCUCCAUUACUAAAUAUAUGAUGUUUUGGUAAUUCAAAUUGAAUAACCAAAAGGUCAUAUAUUUAGGAAUGGAGGGAGUAGUUCAUUGUCCACAAAAUAACAGGUCGCAACUAACACUGCUGAAUCAAGCAGAGGAAUGCGGAGUUUAUGUGAGUCAAUUCAUACAAGCAUGAUAAACAAUUCUUCAUGGCACUCAAACCAUUCGAGGGGCAACAAUUUAUUUACGCUGCAGCUCCAAAGUGCUAGAUUACUAAAACAUGAGAUUAAAUCAAACCCAUUUUAGAGUAUUGCUGGAAACAAUGCAUUGAUACAAGACUCGAAUAAAGGAAACAUUGCUCUGUUCUUGCUGAGUACCACUACAAAUGCUACGUGCAGGAGCAGUUAUGUCAUUUACUUUGUUUUUAUACAAGUAACAUGGACAGUAUUGGCUGGAAGUUUGUCUAGCAAGCGAGAAAGAUCAGCGAUCAUGCUUUGUGUACAAAGUUCCAUAGGUUUGCAACCCAUUCUAUAGUUCAAUACAAUAUAACAUGAAGGAAGGAGGAGGCAGCAGUAGCUGCACGGGCAGUUCCAUCCAUCCAGGCAACAUACAUACUACUACUACAUAGAGAAAGAGGUGAAAGGAAGGGGGUCGGUCACCUUCUUGUCCUUGAUCUCGCUGGACUGGAUCCAGGUCUUGAUCUGGUCGCGGUAGUGCUGUAGCUUCUUGAUCUCCUUCUUGAGGUCCGCCUCGAACUUUUCCUUCUGGUUCGCAUUCGCGGUGUCGUAGACCUGGCUGAGACCCCGGAGAAUCAUGAGAAACCGUGCAAAAUCCUGAGAAUCGGGGGUGGGGGAGAAGGGGAAAAGGAGGGGGGACCUUGUUCCAGAUGCUAUAGAAGAUGUCGACGCCCUCCUGGACCUUCUUGAGCACGCGGUCGAUCUCGCCCUGCAGCUUCCGACUUGCGCCCAUGGCAUUCGGUGCACACUGCCUUGCCGGACUUGCCCACCUCCAGCUGCCAUGGAGGGUGUCCAGGGGAGGGAGGAGGGAGGCGACCCCCAUCACCAUGGUUGCCAAAUCCCUCCCUCCGGAUCGAGGCUGUGUCCGCCAGAUCAGCGUGGCCAAGGUCGCCAAUCUGCCUCGCCUGCUCGAGGAGGUGGUGGCCGUCGACGGUGGGGAUGGGGGGCGACGGCGGCAACGGCGUCCAUCUCCGCCUGCAUCACGCGCGUGGGGGUGCGAGGAGGGGAGGGAACUGGCGGAGGGAUCCGAAGGUGGGUGGCGCGAGCGGGUGGAGGGAUCCGAAGGUGGGUGGCGCGAGCGGGCGAAGGGAUCUGACGUCGUGGCUGCGUCAGGGGACGGGGCGGCGGUCGAGGACGGGGCGCGGGCUGGAUCUGGAUCGAGGAGAAGGGGAAAGAGAGAGUCGGCGGAGAGGGGGAGAGAGAGGCGGGUGCGGGCUGCUAGGGUUAGGAUUAGGCUGCUGAGAGGUGGACGGUUCAGAUCGGCUAGAACGGACGGUUCAGAUCGGCUAAGGGGGGUGAUCCGUGGGAUGAGCCCUCAUUGGCUCAGAAAAUUUAUGGUUUAAAAUAGUUUCUAAGUACUAAAACUAUGGGUGUUUUGUGAAGCAGCUAUCAAAAAUAUUUUGCAAAACGGCACAACUAAAUUUUUCUCUGAAGUUAGACCACAUUUUUUGGAUGAUCGCCAAUUUGCAUGCAUUUUUAUCUUUGUAGCUAUUUUUAAUCAUUUUUCGAGUGCCCAAAAUAAGUUUUUUUGUGAAGUACCUAUAAUAUAUUUGUUGCAAAAUUGGACCAAAUCAAUUUUAUAAAAUACUAGGCCAUGUUUAAUGCACAAUUGACAAAAUGGUUGGGUGUAAAAAGUUUUGAUCCACCUCCGGUGAAAAAGACAAAUUGUCGCCGAUUCAGCUAGAAGCGGGUCAAAUUUGAACUGUAGCUGCCUCAUAGUUUGCUCUUUAUUUUUUACAAAAAUCAUUUCUAGGUACAUAAGUAUCUAUUAAAUCAUAGAAACACCAAAAAAAUUCCAAGAUGCAACCACUAGCUAGGAACGGUCAAGCCCGCCGUUUUGACCGCAUUUUGAAACGGCCAAACAAAAUUCAAAAAAAAUCAAAAAAUUGGGAAACCUUCGCAUUGUGUCAUUAUAUGUGACCAAGUUUCCAGGAAAAAUAAUAAACUUGUAAUACGGUAAUUAUUUUAAAAAAGCGUUCUUAGAAAUGAGCUAUCAUGCGUGAAGAUUCAUGGCUUUCAAGCCAAAUGAUCAAUCUUAUGGCCAUAUUCAUGGCAUAUUUUGUUCAAAUGAUCUCACAUUUUGCACAAGGGUGCAUAUUGGAAUGGUAAACAAUGUUGCCUAAGGAAGUUUUCUUUUUCUUUGGAUGAAAAAACCAUUUUCCAUUUUCCGAGUGCCCGAAAGGAGGGUUUUUUGUGAAGGACCUCCCAAAUAAUUGUUGCAAAAUUGGACCAAAUCAUUUUUCUAAAAUACUAGUCCAUAUUUAAUGCACAAUUGACCAAAUGGUUGGGUGUAAAAAGUUUUGAUCCACCUCUGGUGAAAAAGACAAUUUGUCGCCGAUUCAGUUGGAAGCGGGUCAAAUUUGAACUACAGCUGCCUCAUAGUUUGCUAUUUAUUUUUUCCAAAAAUCAUUUCUAGGUACAUAAGUAUCUAUUUAAUCAGAGAAACACCAAAAAAAUUCCAAGAUUCAACCACUAGCUAGGAACGGUCAAGCCCGCCGUUUUGACCGCAUUUUGGAACGGGCAUAGAAAAUUCAAAAAAAAAAUCAAAAAUGGGAAACCUUCGCAUUGCGUCAUCAUAUGUGGCCAAGUUCCUAGGAAAAAUAACAAACUUGUAAUACGACAAUUAUUUUAAAAAAGUGUUCUCAGAAACGAGCUAUCACGUAUGGAGAUCAAUGGCUUUCAAGCCAAAUGAUCAAUCUUAUGGCCACAUUCAUGGCAUAGUUCGUUCAAAUGAUCUCAUAUUGUGCACAAGGGUGCAUAUUGGAAUGGCAAACAAUGUUGCCUAAGGAAGUUUUCAUUUUCUUUGGACGAAAAAACCAUUUUUCAUUUUCCGAGUGCCUGAAAGGAGGUUUUUCUGUGAAGGAACUACCAAAUAAUUGUUGCAAAAUUGGACCAAAUCAAUUUUCUAAAAUACUAGGACAUAUUUAAUGCACAAUUGAAAAAAUGGUUGGGUGUAAAAAGUUUUGAUCCACCUCUCGUGAAAAAGACAAAUUUCCGCCGAUUCAGUUGGAAGCGGGUCAAAUUUGAACUGCAGCUGCCUCAUAGUUUGCUAUUUAUUUUUUUUAAAAAUCAUUUCUAGGUACAUAAGUAUCUAUUUAAUCAGAGAAACACCAAAAGUUUUCCAAGAUUCAACCACUAGCUAGGAACGGUUAAGCCCGUCGUUUUGACCACAUUUUGAAUCGGGCAUAAAAUAUUCAAAAAAAAUCAAAAAAUUGGAAAACCUUCGCAUUGUGUCAUUAUAUGUGACCAUGUUUUCAGGAAAAAUAAUAAACUUGUAAUACGGUAAUUAUUUUAAAAAAGUGUUCUCAGAAAUGAGCUAUCAAGUGUGAAGAUUCAUGGCUUUCAAGCCAAAUGAUCAAUCUUAUGGCCACAUUCAUGGCAUAGUUUGUUCAAAUGAUCUCAUAUUGUGCACAAGGGUGCAUAUUGGAAUAGCAAACAAUGUUGCCUAAGGAAGUUUUCAUUUUCGUUGGACGAAAAAACCAUUUUCCAUUUUUUGAGUGCCCGAAAGGAGGUUUUUUUGUGAAGGAACUACCAAAUAAUUGUUGCAAAAUUGGACCAAAUCAUUUUUAUAAAAUACUAGGCCAUAUUUAAUGCACAAUUGACAAAAUGGUCUGGUAUAAAAAAUUUGGAUCCACCUCUCGUGAAAAAGACAAAUUUCUGCCGAUUCAGUUGGAAGCGGGUCAAAUUUGAACUGUAGCUGCCUCAUAGUUUGCUAUUUAUUUUUUCCAGAAAUCAUUUCUAGUUACAUAAGGACCUAUUUAAUCAUAAAUACAUGGUUUGGUGGCGAUACGUCGAGGUUUGGGCGGUGGCCGAGGGCCCCAACUCUAGAGCGCGUAAACUCGCAUGCCCGCCGCGUGGUCACCGCGUGACCAUGGCAUUGCCAUGUGUUUUGGGUGGCCUAGGAAUGUCUAGUGGGUUGGGCACUCCCCAGGUUGGUGCUAGGAAGAAAAUUACAACAUAAGAUUCUCACGAGGAGACCAAUCGAUGCUCAAACAUGAAUUAGCAGCCAAGUGUUUGAUUAGCGGUACGGGAAAUGUACAUGGCUAAUGGGCGUGAGUUUUGGCUGAGGAUGAUCAGUUACUAAGAAGACCGUUUUCACAAAUUUUCAGCUCAAAAGGAGGAGCCUAGGUGGUACUUGCUUUGCAAACCACCACACUGGACAUAAAUACGAAUGUUGAAGCUCGGCUCAAAAUAAUGAAUGGAUUGAGCUGGCAUUUGGUGGAGGAUGGUUAUUUGGGCGUAGGAAAGCAUUGUAGAAAAUGGAUACUAUUUGGACAUGCCAAAGUGGUACUUCCUUCACAAACUGUUACUCUGAACAGAAUAGGAAAAUGAAUAUUUUUGAAUUAUUUUUUGAACUAGGAAAGGAAGGUUUUUACAUAUUUAACGAAGAUAUGACCCAAAGAAUUUAUGAGAUUUUUUUGGGAAUUUUGGGAAUGACAGAAAUAUAGGUUGCUUCACAACCUAGGGCAAAAACUGUCACAUGGACAUGACACAUAGGCAAAACUGAUGAGGUGGUGCCUAGUCAUAGCAACCCACCACAAUUUAUAAGGCUAUGACCAUCUAUAUUGGUCGUUAACAACUAGAAAUAAGGCAGCGGACUAGCACUGUUAGCUUUAUGACCAUUUCAUGUAAGGAAAUUAUGACCUUUCUGACCAAAAUGGUCGCAAUGGUUUAGGGUUUGGAGCCCCUCGAACAGCUUUUGACCAAUUGGUCUCAAAUGGUCAUAAAUCUAUGACCAAUUCUUCCAGGGUCACUGACAGAAGGUCAUAAGUUGACAUAUUUCUUGUAGUGACCAUGCAUGACACCUCUAUUGAAGAUGACCUGUACUUGCUGUCCCAGUUACCAUAUUCGAAUAUAAUGACUUUCAAAGGGUACGAGAUAAAUGGUAACACAUUUUACACGGUCGCCCAAGAUAAGAAGAGCACCAACCAAAAUAGUGGUGUCCGCUUUGAUGCAGAAACCAAGACGGGAAAGGAAACAUAUUAUGGUUAUAUACAGGACAUAUGGGAACUUGACUAUCCAUGUGGUUUAAAGGUCCCUUUGUUUCGGUGCAAAUGGGUCAAUAUGACAUGAGGCGGGGUAACGGAAGACCCACAGUACGGAAUGACAACAGUGGAUCUCAACAAUCUUGCGUAUGCAGACGAACCAUUCGUCCUAGCCAAUGAUGUGGCACAGGUUUUCUAUGUAAAGGACAUGUCUACCAAGCCAAGAAAAAGAAAAGAUAAGGAAGCGAAUGCAUCGUACGAUGAGCCAAAGCGGCACAUAGUUCUUUCUGGGAAGAGAAAUAUCGUGGGAGUGGAUGACAAGACAGACAAGUCAUAAGAUUAUGAAAAGUUUGAUGAAAUUGCUCCAUUCACAGUGAAUAUUGACCCGAGCAUCCCGUUAAAUGAUGAAGAUUUUCCAUGGUUACGGCGCAAAGGGACACACGCGAAGAAAAAGUUUCACACCCAAAGAUCUGGGAUGUGAUCGGCUUCACUAGCUAUCAUCACUUUCUUCUGUGUUUCGCACCCAGAGGGGAAUCUCUGUAAUAGUUAGGGUAGUUAUGUGUUUUGGCAUUUGAAACGCGAAGAAAUUUUAUGUGCAAACAAAUUCACACUAAUUUCAAAUAAUUUAAAAUUUAAACUAUUCAAAUUUGAAAACUACGGGCACUAACAGAAAGUUUGUAAUUUUUUGUACCUAAAGAGGCAGUGUCAGCCUCCGGUCAGGCUAUGGCCCCACCAUCACCAUUUAGUGCCUGUUCGUACCACGAACCGGUACUAAUGAGGUUGUCAAAAGUACUCAAAAAUAAAUAGAAGAAAAUAAAUAUAGCAGAAAAGAAAAAACUACUCAGAAAUAAAUAGAAGAAAAAAUAAAGCAGAAAAGAAAGAAAUUAUAUUUGCUAUUUUUCAGUCGUUUACAAAAUGACCGUGAAACUGAAAAUCACUACAAAAUGAACUCUGAAAAUGUUGAAUUUUGGCAAACUAGAUGAAAAACUACUCAGAAAUAAAUAGAAGAAAACAAAUAUAACAGAAAAUAAAAAACUAUACAAAAAACUACGCAAAAAUAAAUAAAAGAAAAUAAAGCAGAAAAGAAAAAAAACUAUAAAAAAAUUGGGGCGCUGCCCUGUGGGCCUGAUAGGCCACAGGUGUGUAAUUACAGGCCUUAAAGGCCCAGCAGACUCACAGGGCAGCGCGCAGAGUUUAGGCCCACAAGCCUGCUAUAUAGAGGAGUUCAAAGUGGUAGCCGCGGCUGGGUUUAUAAACCAGUGCGGCUGCCCUUCGCCCGGCGAGGUGGGACUAAACUUUGGGGUGGCAGCACGAGGCCUUUAGUACUGGUUGGAGCCACCAACCGGUACUAAAGGGUGGUCUUUAGUACCGGUUGGUGGCUCCAACCGGUACUAAAGGCCUCGUCUUCCCACCACUUGGCCUGGCCAAAACAGGCCUUUAGUACCGGUUGGUGGCUCCAACCGGUACUAAAGGUGCCUUCUAUAUAUACACUUACGAAAUUUUCAUUCUCCCUCUGUUUCUUCCUCUGUUUCCGUCGUCUCCGUCGCCGUCGCCGCCCCCGUCCCCGUCGCCGCCCUCGUCUCCGUCGCCGCCCCCGUCCCCGUCGCCGCCCCUGUCCCCGUCACCGCCCCCGUCCCCGNNNNNNNNNNNNNNNNNNNNNNNNNNNNNNNNNNNNNNNNNNNNNNNNNNNNNNNNNNNNNNNNNNNNNNNNNNNNNNNNNNNNNNNNNNNNNNNNNNNNNNNNNNNNNNNNNNNNNNNNNNNNNNNNNNNNNNNNNNNNNNNNNNNNNNNNNNNNNNNNNNNNNNNNNNNNNNNNNNNNNNNNNNNNNNNNNNNNNNNNNNNNNNNNNNNNNNNNNNNNNNNNNNNNNNNNNNNNNNNNNNNNNNNNNNNNNNNNNNNNNNNNNNNNNNNNNNNNNNNNNNNNNNNNNNNNNNNNNNNNNNNNNNNNNNNNNNNNNNNNNNNNNNNNNNNNNNNNNNNNNNNNNNNNNNNNNNNNNNNNNNNNNNNNNNNNNNNNNNNNNNNNNNNNNNNNNNNNNNNNNNNNNNNNNNNNNNNNNNNNNNNNNNNNNNNNNNNNNNNNNNNNNNNNNNNNNNNNNNNNNNNNNNNNNNNNNNNNNNNNNNNNNNNNNNNNNNNNNNNNNNNNNNNNNNNNNNNNNNNNNNNNCGCGUCGCCGCCCCGGCCCGUCACCGCCCCCGGCCGUCGCCUCGUCGUCGCCUCGCCGUCGCCGUCGCCCUGCUGUGAGCUCUCCCGCUCUAGCCCUCUCCCUCGCCCCCGGCGGCCACCAUGGGUGCCGCCCCUCCCCGAGCCCAUACACACACACAAGCAUGAUGAACACACACACACACACACAUAUGUAUGAAUUAAUGCAUGUAUAUAUUAGUAUAUACGUAUUUUGUAUGUUUAAUUAGUUUAGAUUAUUUAGAUUAUUAUUUUUUCACUAUUAUAUAUGUAUGAAUGCAAGUUAGAUGGAUAUAAUUAGUGUUUAAUUAGUAUGGAAUUUUUUUAUAUAAUGUUGUUUUUCAGUUUUUUAAUGGAUGUAUAGAAGUUGUGUUUUCUGUUUUUAGUGUUAGAUGCUUAAUUAGUAUGAAAUAGUAUAUAGAUUUUUGAAAUAGUAGAAAUGUUAGAAGUUUUAGUUAUCAAAAUCCAAUCAUUAAAAAAAUGUUACUUUUUGCGGGCAUAUAGCUAGUAUUUGUUCUCGAUGAUACCCGGCCCACAUCCUCGCCGUCGACCAGUCCGCGACGACGUCCAGCCGACCCAUGUCCGGGACUGGGCUCCGCCGGGCUGGCACUGGGAGGUGCUGCCUGGAGGGGCGCGCCGCUUGAUUUGGAACCCGGCCCUGGGUCCCGUCGUCGACCCUGAUAUCGUUUGGCGGCGUUCGCGUGGGCUAGUUUCGGUGCGGAGGGACCCGGCCCCGCCGGAGGUGGUACAUCGCCGUGUCAGGGAGGAGGACGAGCACGUCCAUCGCUACAUGAUUGCGUUAGAGGGCGGCAGGUUCUCCAAUACCUGGUAGUAUCUUCGGGGAUCUCACUUCAGCUAUGAUCCUGUGAGGGUUCCUUCUCUUUGGGUGUCCACUGCCCGCGCCGCAGGAACCGCGAGUGUCCUAGAUUCUUCUGUAGUAUUCGAGCUUUAAUUAGCUAGCCAGUGAUGUACUAUUCAAUAUUAUAUAUUAUUCGAGACGAUGUAUUCGAGAUUAUAUCUAUUAUUCUAGACGAAGUAUUCGAGAUUAUAUCUAUUAUUCGAGACGAUGUAAUUUGAAUACUAUAUUGUUUUAUAUUUCUUUUGGAUUAGUUAAAUAAAAGCUAUGGCAGACAAUACCGGCAGAGAGGGAGAACAGACCAUGUUCGAUAUGAUACGCGGGCCAGAUGAUGAUCAGAAUGAAGAAGAUUAUGAUGGCUCCGAAUUUCUAAACAACACCAGAGAGGGUGAUAUGAUAUUCGAUCGCGACGACUGAAUUGAUGAAGUCAUGAACUACGAUUAUGACGAUGACGAAGAAUAUGUUGAUCCUGAAACAACAAAGACCGGCGAGGUAUAUAUAUUUAUAUAAGCAGGUAUCUGGUGAUCAUCACAUAUUUUAAAUGACUUGAAGAUAUAUUAACGAAUCGAUCUUUGUUCUUUCAGCCAUCCGGAUCGAGCAAAUCUUCAGGCAAAAGGACGAAACGAGGCCCGAACAAAAAGUUGAAGCAGGGCGUAAAGUACAAUAUCGAGGCAGUCAGACCUAAUGGCGAACUAUUAGCGCCUAAGAAGAUUGCAAACAAGUUCGUUCGUCAGUGCGGAAUUCUUGUGAAGGACCAACUCCCGAUCUCCCUUCAAGAAUGGAGAGAGCCAGCAAAAGACAAAAGACAAAAAGGCAAAGAGGACGCUGCUCCACGUCCAGAUGUUACUUUUGUCGACAAGAAUCAAAAAGAUCUGCUUUGGGAUACUCUCAUGGAACAUUUCACCCUACCAGAUCAUUUCACAGAAGCAGAUGUGCAGAAAGUCAAGUACGCUGCUCUUAGGAAGAUGGCAGUUGCAUUCAAGAACCAAAAGAAUCGUGAAUGGGACAAGUACGUCAAGGGAGGAAGGAAGACUCCAGUAUUCGAGGGAACACUAGAGAACCAACGUGCUCAUUGGGACAAUUUCAUGAAAUUCAAGGAUUCGGAAUUAGCUAAGGAACGGUCGAGAAUAAACAAGAAGAAUGCCGAAAAAAAGGAUAAGUUCCAUAAGCUGGGGCCAGGUGGCUAUGCGGUGGCAAUGCCUAAGUGGGAUAAGUCUGAGAAAGAGAUGGAGGAUGCAGGUGUCACUCCGGUUACUAAGAGCUACCCCCCCCCCCCCCCAGGUGCAGGACUUGGUUCUAUGCGCAUGGGGGGGAGUUGGACCCGAAGACAGGCAAUGUUUCGAUGAAGGCAAGUCUGAAGGAAGCCGACGAUGCGAUACUUGUUGUAAUAGAAGAGGCACGAUCGGGGGUGUUCCAGCCCAACAGAGAGAACGACGAGCUUACGCGUGCCCUGGGAAAUCCUGAACACCCGGGAAGAACACGAGGCAUGGGCGCUAUUCCGUGGUAUGAGGGGUUUUCAGACUGGAACACCGACUACAGAACCCGUGCGAGAAAGAAUAUUGCGGGGGAGAAGAAGAGGAAGAUGGAGGAGGAGCAGAGGAAGCGGGACUAUGAACGCCUUCAAGGCCUAGAAGCAAGUCAAGCAGAAUUGGCAGUCAAAUUCCAGCGGCAGCAGGAGCAGAUCGACUCACUUACCCAGCAAAGGGGGUCUUAGCAGCUGCAGCAGCUAGCGGAUGAUCCAGCAUUGGAUAGCACCGACCCAUCCAUGCCGAGAAGCAGCAUGGGUUCGGCCACCCUGGACGACGCAAUGCUGGGUAGAUACCCCGUGGAUGACAUCACGGAGAACACUAAGUGCGAGCUACACGUCAAAAUAACGAACAUAUCCAUGAAGGUGGCGGACGCCGUUGCUUUUACAAAUCCCCCCGAGGCAACCUUCCAUUGCAACCCGAUUCCAGCGGGCUAUGCUCGUGUCUUGGUUGAUGAGGUGGUGGACCCACCAUAUUCGGAGCUACAGCUUGACAUUCCUGGAGGUGACGACGAGCGCUUUCUCAGAGAGGCCAAACAUCGUAUCAUCCUAUGGAAAAAGGAUUGCAUCAUCUUUUGAAGGCCACCGACACCGCGUCAGCUGACUCCUCGUCGAAGUCCGCCACCGAGUCAGCAGUCUCCCGCUCCUGCAAGUCCACCAAGUCCGGCAAAGUGUCAGGCCACUCCUCCUCCAAGUCCGGCAAAGUGUCAGGCCACUCCUCCUCCUCCAAGUCCGCCACAGCGUCAGACGUCCACUCCUCCUCCAAGUCCGGUACAACCUCAGGCCACUCCUCCUCCAAGUCCGGCACAGCUUCAGGCGGCCACUCCUCCUCGUCCAACUCAGCCCCGUCAGCCGUCUCUGCCGCCUCAGCAAUCACAGAAGAGACACCCCGCAGCUAUGGUGCGUAGCGGUACGAGUUGAGGUAGUACAGGAAGUACAGGCGGAGGCAAGCGAUAUAAAUAUGGUCCAAGCCUCACGCCUCUUCCGUAGAGGGCUUAUGACAGGUUUGAGGAGGAAAUCGCAGCCAUAUCGAAGGCCGAGGUGGAAGCCCAUUUUGCACCGAAACCGCCACCGCCGCCAAGGGAGAAAGUGCCUGAGGAAACGAUUGACCACUUCAUUCGUAUGGCUCAACCACCAGCUCCCAAGCCUGUUGACAUAGACUAUGAGCGCCACAUCAGGAAGUUAAAUCGAGCACGUCUAUGUAAGGAGGCGAGCUCGGGAUCGAGCAAACAAGAAGCAGCUGUCAAAAAAUGCGAGAAAACCAUUCCCCAGCUGGGAGAACAGGCGGCGCAAUCGAUCCCCUCGCUUGUUGUGCCAACAACACGUGACAGUACGCGCGCCCAAUAUUAUUGUGGGCAAAUAGUUUACGUUCCUGAGGUGGGCAAUGUGGUAAUAACGAAGGAGCAUAUAAUGCAGGCUGAAGUUCUCAAAAUCACUGUUGGACAACUCCUCGAGAUCGAGCCCAUGCCUGUGCUUAGAGAGGAUGAAAUAAAACGGAAAUAUGUCCGGGGCCAACCUUUGGUCGAGCCAGACAAGGUCAAGAACCUCCCAACGAGAAUGUAUGAAUUGCAUCAAUGGUACAUGAACAUUACCAAGAUUUCAGAUCGAUUGUCCCUCAUGGUGAAUGUCAAGGAGGAUCAUUACUUCCAUGAGAAAGCUCUGUCCGUUGAGUAUUCUGAAAUGUUUCAGUUAUACAAUCAAGACACACUCGACAAAUCUAUCGUCAGUUGCUAUUGUCUGUAAGUGAUUUCUUUCUGUAAUUUAAGUCUCAAGCUAGCCGUAGUGAUCCUUUUGAUCAAUCAUUACCUGUAAUUAUCCUCACUAUAUUCUUUCCUGUGGUAUUAUGCAGGAUGAAGAUGUAUGAAAUGAGAAAAGGUGGACGCUAUGGCAUUGGGUUCAUUGACCCAAACACCGUUAAUGAAUACACAUGGCGGAUAAAUCCACAUCAUCAAAAGGACGUAGAGGACAACAUGCUAGAGUUCUUGAAGCGCCUCAAAUACAAUGAAGAUAUACUACUUCCUUACAACUUCCAGUGAGUCACACUGUCUUGUACUACAAAUUCUCUGUUUUUGCCUACUAGCUAGCUACAUGUUUUUGCUUACAUAUGUCCGCUUAAUUAAGACAUGCAAACGUGUGUGCAUGCAGAUUUCACUGGGUCUUGUGUAUCAUUAAAGUUGACGACGGAACAGUUGAACUACUGGACUCACUACUCAAAGUUAAAACUGACUAUAACAUCUUGUUUGGGAUAGUCAACGGGUAAUUUCAAUCAUUAUUAACUAUAUAUCUCGGCCUAUUUAGUUCGUCAUUUCAUGAUAUGAACUAUUUAAUAACCCCUUUAUUCAUUUUCUUUGUCGGCGGGCAGGGCUUGGGCAAGGUUCAUCAGCGUCACGGAUGGCGAAUGGAAAAAAAAGCUUCAAUGGUUUCGACCCAAGGUAAGUAAUUAAGUAGUACUAGCUAGCUAGCUAGCUGCCAUCUCUUUAAUUAUCAUGCUUGAUUAAUUAUUAUCUGAUCAAAUUUCAUUCUCGUAAAGGCCCUGAAGCAGGCGCAGGGGACUGAUCUGUGUGCAUUCUGCGUUUGCGAGAACAUUCGCAUGAUGGCGUCCGAAAGGAGCAGAUCUCAAAGACAGGAAUGGGUACGCUUGUCAGAACACUAUUCACAAUUUUUACACCAUUAUCGAUAUCUAGUCACACAACUAAUACACAUGCAUAUUGAUCUCCUUCUUAACAGUUCAGAGAGGUGCGGGAGAAGCUCCUAGAAACGGAGCGCGUAGAAGCACUUCAAGAGGAAAUAGCGGGAUUUUUGCUCGACCAGGUCAUAAAUCCGAAGGGAGAAUACUAUUACCCGCUACCGCCCCCAUGAAAACCACUUCCAAUUGUCAUCGUGCUCCGAAGGCACCAAUUAGGCUAAUGCCACUGGCUCCGAAGGCAACAUGCAUAUGUAGGAGAAAUUGUAUAUAGCUAGCUAUACAUUUGUGUAUGUGUGAAUUAAUUAAUAUGGUGGUUUGUGAGACAUUGAUGAUAUAUAUAUGCAUGAUUGGUUCUACUAGAAAUUCUAUUUAUAUAUAUAUAUAUGCAUAACAUGUACAAUGUGUAGUAUCGUAAAAUACUAGCAAAUGAAAAAGAAUUAAAAUGGAAACACAAAAUUAAAUGAAAAAGAAAUCAAAAAACUAAAAAAACCCAAACCUUAUAGUACCAGUUGGUAUUACCAACCGGUACUAAAGGGCUCCAGCCCCCCGGAGCUGGCUCGUGCCAGGUGGUUGCCCUUUACCACCGGUUCGUGCUGAACCGGUACUAAAGGGGGGCCUUUAGUGCCCACACUUUAGUGCCGGUUAUGGAACCGACACUAAAGGGCCUUACGAACCGGUGCUAUUGCCCGGUUCUGCACUAGUGGGAGGGAAGCGGGCUGAGUGGCGCGGGAAGGCCCAAAAUUUCAUUUGAUUUUGUAUCGUGCGUGCGUGCGUUUUCUUUUUCUUCUUUUCUUUUUGUAGGUGCAGAGGAGCGUGGGGCCAGCCAUCCACGUCACCGAUCCGCAUGACCGGGUGGUCACCCAGUAGGAAGUCUUCAUUUUUGUGUGCUUCUUUACGUAUUUGUUUUGCUAGAUUUAUUAGAGUUUUUUAUGAAAUCUUUUCAAACUUUUUCCACACCCUCUACGAAUCACAAACCAAUAUUCUGCCAAAUUUCAUGUUUUUUCCAAAAAAAAUGAAUUUUUUAGAAUUAAAAAAUUGAUAAACUCAUUUUUCCUACAGUCAUAUGAGAAACUGUAUGCAAAGUGAUUUGUUAAAUCAUAUAUGAUGGCAGGGGCCCGUCGUGGCCUCUGCGGGGGUGGUCUACAGCGGCGUUGUUGCGGCCAUGGUGGUCGACCGAUCUGCACGCGGCGACAGCAAGUCUCUCCGGCGGCGGUUUGUCUGCAUCAGGCUUGGGUGAGGCGUCUUCCUUCAUGGCUGAUACAGGUACGGGUCUCGGCUGGUUGGGGCGCCCGUUGUUCCGAUCUGGUGGCUCUGCCCACUGCUCAUGGGGGCGGGCCGGAGGUGCUGGCUUGCAGGGGAUCUUGGCGGAGGGCGGCAGGGGUGCCCCCGUCUGCGCUGACGCCAUCCCAUGCGUCGCGCAGCUAUAGGCCCCACCACCGGGGGAGAAUGUGUAGGUCUAGUGCAACCAAAGAAGGAGCAGGCCCCACCACCGGGGGGGCGAUUGUACGUCGGCGGCAUGCCGGAUCUAGCCGUUAAAAUCCACGGCAAACCAUACGAUGCCGGAAAUCCUCGGGACCUGGCACGGUGUCGUCAUAUGGCCCUUGUAGGGUGCAGUGAAAGUUUUAGCGCAUUUCGCAGAAACCUAACCUGAGGUCACUUGUAAACUGCACCAUCUCCGAGGUAGUAUCUGGCUAACGAGAGAGAACGUGCCUGGUUUGUGAAGGAAGUGUGUUCCCGUUGCUCUGUUGACCUCAAAACUUCUCGUGCUCUCAAAGGGGGCCAUUGCAUGACAUGUGACAGUAGAUGGCAUUUUUCGGGCCCACUUGCAAUAUUUGAGACAUUUACUGCAUCCAUAGGGUUUCAAUGCGGGAAAUUGCCGAUCUGCACGGCAGCCACCUGAAAUGAUGUCCAGAAGUGGUUCAUCAAAUCAUAUAUGAUGUCUUUGGGGUAUGUGUAGGACUAGUGCAACCCAAGGAGGGGCAUGCCCCACCACUGGGAGGCAAAUGUACCUCGACGGCAUGCCGGAUCCAACCAUUAAAAUCAAACAAAAAUCAUACGAUGCUGGAAAUCCUCGGGACCUGGCAUGGUGUCGUCAUAUGGGCCAUGUGGAGUGUGGUGAAAGUCUGAGCCUGUUUCGCAGAAGCCUGUCCGGAGGUCGCUUGUAAAAUGCUCCAUCUCUGAGGUAGUAUCUGGCUAUCGAGAGAGAACGUGUUUAGUUUGUGAAGGAGGUGUGAUGCCAGUUGCUUCAUUGACCUUGAAACUUCUCGUGCUCCCAAAGGGGGCCAUUGCAUGACACGUGCCAGGACAUGGCAUUUAUCUGGGCCACUUGCAAUAUUUGAGACAUUUAUUGCAUCCGUAGGGUUUCAAUGCGGGAAAUUGCAGAUCUGCUUGGCGACCACCUGAAAUGAUGUCCAGAAGUGGUUUAUUAAAUCGCAUAUGAUGUCUUUGCGGUAUGUGUAGGCCUGGUGCAACCAAAGGAGGGGGGGCCCACCACCGCAGGGUGAAUGUAACUCGGGGCAUGCCAGAUCUAGCCGUUAAAAUCCAUGGGAAAUCAUACGAUGCCAAAAAUCCUCAGGACCUGGCAUGGUGUAGUCAUAUGGCCCUUGUAGGGUGUGGUAAAAGUUUGAUCAUGUUUCGCAGAAGCCUCAUAGGAGGCCACUUGUAAACUAAACCAUCUCCAAGGUAGUAUCUGAUUAUCGAGAGAGAACGUGUCCGGUUUUGUGAAGGAAGUGCUGCCCGUUGCUCCGUUGGCUAUUUCAACACUUAAUCACACUUGUAUACAUAUAUUAAGACACAAUGCAAGUUUUGGUGGCAUUGCUACCCCCGAAGGCCCCCGACUGGGCCCAACCCACCACCGGAUCCCCCUCGUGUCGACCCGACGCGGCCGUUUCCUCCCUCCAAGUGCCGGCGGCAGCGCCUUCCGUGAAGGGGGUCACAUUUCCGGAGCCACAUGACAGGUGUUUGCACCUGACACCACACUUCCAGACAUGUAAGAGGACCCAAUGCAAGAUUUGGUGGCAUAGCUAGCCCCCGAAGGCCCUUGGCCACACUCGUAGACACGCGAAGAACAAUCCGUAGUGGGCUUUUUUUCACAUACUCUUGCAUCUUUAAAAAAUAUAAGAAAUUGCAAUGCCUAUUAUAUCACAUGUGUCUGCACUGUGUAAAAAUUUCAUGAAUUGAUCACGCUCCGAGUGUUCAGAAAUAUUCAUGCAACGCCAGAACCGUAGAGGGAUUACUUCGAUUUCAUUGCCGUCCAUGGGGGGGCUCACACUGGAGCCGCGUAUUGCCUCUUCAGACAUGCCACCACACCUUAAGACAUGUAUGAGGACCCGGCGCAAUGCUCUGGUGGCAUUGCUACCCCCCGAAGGCCCCCAACCGGCCUAACCCUGGACCAGUUGACCCGGAGAUCUACGCCUUUGUCUUUCGUCAGACGGGAUUUGACCAACAGACGUUUUCACCUGGUUAUGAUAGGUCAGCCCAUAGGAACACUUGAGAACAAGGUUUGGGCCAAACCCACCAUAAGAUUCCCUCUGUCUCGACCCAACGUGGCCGUUUUCCCCCUCCAAGUGUCGAUGGCAUCGCCAUCCAUGAAGGAGUCACACUCCGGAGCCGGUUGCCGGGUGUUUGCGCCUGCCACCACAAUCCUUGAAACAAUCUGAUGGAUGUAAAUAUAAAGUUUGUCUUGAUUGGCCAAGGUAUGAAAAAUAUACAAAAAAUUCAAAACAGAAGGGUGUUUUCUGUAAAUUUGAAGCAAACAUGAUUUAAGUUUGUUCAAAUUUGAAAAAUAGUAUAGCAACAUAAUCCUUUCAAGAUUCUGAUAAAAAAUCAUAUCAAAUUUGUCAAAAUCGAUCCAAGUAUCAAUUACUUAUGAUUUUAACAAACUAUAAGGACCUAUAUGCAAAAGUACAUGAGGUCACAUUUCUAACAUACUCAAAAACAAAAAAACUGUAUAUUCAUAAUCUAUGGAAAAUUCUACCCCAAGUCGAUGUAUAAUUUGUGUAUGUUUAAGUUUAGAUAAGUUAGAUUUAAAUUAUUCAAAAUUUAACUUUUAAAAACAUAAAAAUAAUUUAAAAAAACAAAUAGCCGUAGGCAUAGUUCUUGGCUAGGGGCUACCAAGAGGCGCCACGUGGCGAGGCUAUGCCUACAGCCUUGUCGUAGGCAUAGAUGGAAAACUAUGCCUACGGCUUUGCCGUCGGCAUAGCUCUGCCACGUGGCAGCUCCUAAUAAAAAAACAGAUGAUAUUUAUGCCGACGGCCGCCGUCAGGGCCGUCGGCAUAGAUUUGACGGCGUCAGCCCGGCGUCUGUCCCUAGGCCACGAGGGCCACCUCUAUGCCGACGGCCUAACUAUGCCUACAGCUGCCGUAGGCAUAGAUCGAUAUAUGCCGACGGCCUUACUAUGCCUACGGCUGCCGUAGGCAUAGAUGGANNNNNNNNNNNNNNNNNNNNNNNNNNNNNNNNNNNNNNNNNNNNNNNNNNNNNNNNNNNNNNNNNNNNNNNNNNNNNNNNNNNNNNNNNNNNNNNNNNNNNNNNNNNNNNNNNNNNNNNNNNNNNNNNNNNNNNNNNNNNNNNNNNNNNNNNNNNNNNNNNNNNNNNNNNNNNNNNNNNNNNNNNNNNNNNNNNNNNNNNNNNNNNNNNNNNNNNNNNNNNNNNNNNNNNNNNNNNNNNNNNNNNNNNNNNNNNNNNNNNNNNNNNNNNNNNNNNNNNNNNNNNNNNNNNNNCCUAGGCCACGAGGGCCACCUCUAUGCCGACGGCCUAACUAUGCCUACAGCUGCCGUAGGCAUAGAUCGAUAUAUGCCGACGGCCUUACUAUGCCUACGGCAGCCGUCGGCAUAGAUAAGGCCGUAGGCAUAUAAGAUUAUUCCGGUAGUGAUGGGAUCGUGAUGUUGAGCGGCUCUGAUUGCUGAACGAAUCAAUAUUCAAUCAAAUGUGCUUUGCGCGUCCGCACACCACUUGUGAAAUUUUGCAAAUCUCGAGUGACAUGUUUACUUCAAACUCCAAACCUUCGCAAUCCCAUCCACUUGAACAUUAGCAAUCUCACCGAAGCCUUCCCAGAAUCUCAGGGAAAGCAAAACAACUCAACAUUCACUAGUCAGAACGCUAAAUGGGGCAUAAGCAGAAAUUCUACGCAUAAUUCGUCCUUCCCUGACACAACAUGGAACACAAUCAAAAGAAAACAGUGAAAAUAUGAACACACACAAAAUGCAAGCAAGAUCAGCUGAAAGGUACAUACUAAUUAAUUGUAGCAAGCCUGUUAUGUAUUCAUCCCAGUUGGUUAAUUGACUACAGAAAGUAGAUAACAAGCAAGGUUGAUCAAAAUAAGCGAUUAAUUCCUAUAAGCCCACUUCACGUCUGACUAGUGCAUCCUACAUAGAAGGUGGAUUUUCCUCACGGGUCGCAGCAAACAAGCCCCUUCUGCAUCUCAGCCACCAGAUUGUAACUCUUGUUACCUGCAGGGCAAUCACAGCAUCAGUCAAACCAAAUGUGUGCCAUUCAUUCAUGAAAAUGCCAUUAAAGUUUUAUCACAUGAUUUUGUAUGACUCAAAUAGUAAACAAAGCUUCACCAUUGUGGAGAUCUCCAAAGACGAAUCAUAUCAGCAUUACAAAACCAACAUUAGAAACACAGAACAGGUAAUUUGUAGUGUAGUGACCUUCAGCUUCUAUUAUUACUUUAUUGGCAAUUUUUGGCUAUAUCUUGUCCUAAUAGAGGCUAAAAGAUCAGUGGGCAAACAAGGGGUUCAUGGAGUAGGAAAUCAGAAAUGUCAAAGUUUUGUUUGUAGCUCAUUAUCGUUCUUCUAUUUAAAUGCAGAAGCAGCUAGUAAGUCACUAAUGGAUGAAUUUAAUCAAAUACACGAUGUAGAAGCCUGAACUAAGAGAUCAUGCAUCGCCUUAUUAACAGGCAGACUUACUUCGGUCAAGAAUAGAUGUCUUUUUUUCACUCUGCACAACACUUGACCAAUACUUCCAAUGAUAAUAUGUUGUUAGUACACAGUGAAAUUCGUUGUGAAAGUAGUAUUUAUGGUGAAUCUUGUCGUGCCAUUUUGAUGAUAUGUUUAAUAUAAAGUGUUAAACAACAACCCUGAUCAAUUUUAAGAAAUUAAACUACCACAAAGCAUAUAUAUACAUAUAGUUUGCAGCAGACAACGGCCAAUUGAAUAUGCAACUAACAAUGAGAGGUGCCGAGACAAUAUUUAAGAACACUUCCUAAAACUAGAAUAAUCUCCCACAAAUCUGCAAUACUUAACUGCAAGUGGAACGAUAAACAGUAUUAUGGCAUGGCACGAAGGCAUGCUCUUCAAAAUUUUGUUACAAUAAUUAGUUCACUGGGUAUACAAUGAUCCAAAAUAAGCAGCAACGAAAUGCCAGCUAUAAAGCCCAUAUAAGUGAAGGAAGUAUAGAACAAAUUAUCAGAUUAUUUUCAGUUGUCAGUCACUUACGCAGAGAAGUACAUAUAAAUAACUAGAACCUGAUAGAUCCAUAACCACAAAAAACUAAUCAAAGGCAAUGUAGCAUGUGUGAAAUUAAAACAAAAUCUAUGAAUCAUGAAAAAUGAUGUAUUUCAUUCUGCUACCACUUAACAUGACACCAUUAUAAUCUAUGACCGAGUAGGAACAAAAUUUUGCACAAAAGGAAAAAAAAACAGCGCUACUAGAGGGGACUUGGGUAGUACUAAGGAUGAGGUAAACUGAAAGCAGGACAGCUGGAUGGAAGGGAGAGGCAAGCGAAGAGCAUAUCUAGUAGAGGAGCUUAAAACAUCAGCAAAUAAAGCAGAAUGUAAGUGGGUGAAGGCAUGAGGAAGAAAAUGGAGAGCUUCUGAGGAAGGGAUGAUGAGAAGUGUCCAGUUGGGAAACAGUUAAGCAAAAGAUUGAGAGAAAAACUUACAACCCUCUCUUGCAAUUUAGUACUUGAGAAUGGAAGUAAAAAAGAUAAAAAAAUACAUGUUUUUGAAAGAACAGUUCAGAACUUCAUACCUCAACAUACAUUCAGAAGAUAAGCUUUCCUGCUCAAGCAGUAUAUCAUUGAUUCAGCAUAUCUUGAUCAGCUCCAUCAUGUCCACCACCAGUGCUUGUUUCUGCAAUCAUAAGAAGUCAAAUAACCUAAUGGAAAGCUAAAGAGAUACAAGGAGGCAUUAACACAAUAUUUAUAUAACUCAGAAAUGUAAUCUGAAAAAAAAUAACUUUGUUCUGAUACAACAUUACAAAGAUAAACAAAACCAUACAGCCUGUCAAAUUAAAAGAAUAUUCCGAUGCAGUUGUUUUCAACAUGAGAAAGACCUGCGCCGCAGCACUAGCACUACCAACAAACAAUUCUUAUAUGUGUCAAAAGGCAAACAGUGAAAUUUAGUUCAAUUGUUGCAGAAAGAAUUUACCAAUCUCGGUGUUCAUUAUUUUAAAUAGAUAUUCAUAUAAUAAAAUGAUAAAGACAUAUUGCUAUGUUUGACUUGAAGCACAUAGUUCAACGAAUAACAGUAUGUGAUAACGUAAGAAACUCAUCGCUACAUAUAUGUUGACAAACAAGAUAACAAUGAAGUGAUGACAUAAAAGGCAUAAAGGACACUAGCAGAUUAGCUACCAGUAGCAUAUGUGAAUUCAGACCAUGACCAUCAAAUAAAGCUACCACACAAUCAGUCAAGCAUCAUAACAGAAACACUACAGAACAAAUUCGCCAUAUGUUGAAGAGGUCAUCAAGGAGCAAAAGAAACAAGUAAUAUGCCACUACUUAAAAUAGUUAGCUUAACACAAAAGGAUGUGAAUAGAAUGCCAUCAACCAAUUACAGAAAACAGGCAUGGUUUUUUAUAACCAGAAUUUGAUGACAUGCUAUUACCUGCAGCAUACACACUUUCAAAUGGAUAACAGGUAAAACAGUCGUUGUUUUCGGGGAUUUUACUGAACUGCAAUGACUCAAGCUGGAUCAUGAAGAUAUUCUCAAAUGUCCACAAGAAAGCCACAUUAUUUUCCUCAGCAUAAGCUACCAUCUGUGCGUGCCUUAUCUUCUCUGAAUUCAAGGGAAAUAGCUUGUCCAUUUCAAAAGUUCGUCCCAGCACCCAUGAAGCAACACCAUCACAGUCGGUAUUCCUCUUCCAUAACUCGGCGGCGGAUCCUGUCAGGGAGAGUACGCCCAGCCCGCCACCCUCUACUCGCAUAACCAUCAAGAAUUGAUCUUUGGCAAAGGUGUCCAUUGGCAUGCCUAACACAGCUAGGCUCUGGCUAUCCAAAUCAACCUCGAGAAUUACACUUGUACUAUCCCCAGGGAGCAAGAUGUAAAGAGAAUCCCUGACCAGCACAGGGGGCAUGCUUUCAUAUUCCAUGGCCUCACGUGGAACCGGUGUUUCGAUGAGAUUACUCCACACACCGGUCUCCGACGAGUAAAUGGCGACGACCGCUCGUGCAUAUUCCUUUUUGUAGUUUACAAAUACCACCUAGAAGUGUUGGGCGUCGGCGGCAGCGCGAAGCACCUACCCGUCCAUCGGGGUAGUGGCCAUGUCGAUCCUGGGAGCAGCAACGCGGUGCUGGUCGCCGGUGACGGGGUCCCACACCAGGACAUAGUUGCACGAUGAGAGGUGGAUGAGCACGAGGCCAUGGCGGCAGCUGAGGAUAUGAAAACUGUUGCUGUCGUUGAGGAGAUGCAAGGAGAAGCGGUCGGCGGGGACACGAUCGGGGGCCUCCAUGGUAGGCGUGUAGGAGAUGCCCCACCGGACGUUGCGGAAGAAACCGAGGAGAGGAGGUCUGCGGCGGUGGUGUCGGCGGUAGCGGCGGAGAAAGCCGCGGUCCAGGGUGCCAUAGCCAUAGGUGAGGGAAAAUGACGCUGCGAGUGACGAUUGAGGAUUGAAGCCCAAAACCACUUUGUUUUCUUUAUUAUAGAAAAAACAACAAUAUAAGGCUUCAGUGCCUUUUUAAGAAAAAAGACUAAAAAAAAAAGGGCAGCCCCAGUGCAUGUAGCUCCCGCUUGCGCAGGGUCUGGGGAAGGGUUCGACCACUUUGGGUCUAUUGUACGCAGCCUUUCCCUACAUUUCUGUAAGAGGCUGUUUCCAGGACUUGAACCCGUGACCUCAUGGUCACAAGGCAGCAGCUUUACCACUGCGCUAAGGCUCCCCUUCUUUUAAGAAAAAAGACUACCGUAACUUUUUUUGACAAACAAAAAAUAGUUCUAUUUAUUAUUUUUGAAUAUACAGUACAAUCACAUAGGCUCAAAUAUACACAUCUCUAUGAAUGCACGCACACCCUAUCCCAAUUCAAUAAUGUUAAACAAUGGCUAUCUAAAUAAUGCUAGACCUACGUAAGAUUGAUGCUAGCGACCAGGAACCCUAUUAGCCAAUGCUUCUGGUGCCGUGUUCUGGUGGCUCCCCUCUGCCGACGACCUCUUGGUCAUCGGUGGUGAGGGGGGUCGCCGGAUCCCACGCGUGCAGAUCAUUUUAGCUUUAGGUUCUAGGACCCGAGUAGUUUAGGUUUUUGGAUUGUUCGACAUCUUGGCUUAGGCCGCGGUCAUGACGAUGUUGAAUAAAAAAAGCUCCGGAUGCUUCUACAGCAAGACGAUCGUCUCUAUGGUCGGUGAUCGAUUUGGGAAAAUCAGUCUAUUCAAGCGUGGAUGUUGUAGCGACGGCGGCAUUCUUGUCGUGGACAUGUGUCCUCGGGCCUUGAUGUUGCAGCGACAUCUGCUCCAAUGAUGGCGCGGUGUUUUGGAGGUAGUAUAGGAGCGGAUGUAGAUUGUGGUCUGCAUCGACGACAUCUGGAAGCCGGAACGUGUGCUGGAUUCAUGGUUAUUGAUGGCAAGUAUGGUUUUCUCAUUCAACUUCUUAGUCGUGGUGGGGUGCCAGAUCUGAAGCUUGAUGCGUGGGCACAACACCUCCACCACGACAACCACCUCCCCUGGCCAUCGCGACACGUGUGGAGGAGCACCGCGCCGCCUGCUGUCAAACAACCCCUGUUCUUCGACGAGCUGCCCUGGGACGCCAGAGCCCCGCCGCCACUGGAUCCGUGCGGGCUUUGCCCUGUGGAGGCCAUGGGGCAGCAGCAAGGAAAGGGGAAGCACGGGAGGGGGGUGUUGAAGAUAUGCCCUAGAGGCAAUCAUGUAUGAUGAUAUUUCCUAUGUGUUUAUGAAUAAUGAUAGUCCUUGGAUGUAAUCAAUAGUACUUGUUGGCAAGUACGUGACUUGUCUGUGGGAUCUUGUGUUGUAUGAUACAUCCUAAAUUGUCCCUAGUCGCAAGUGGCGUGUGGGCACACGUCAUACUAGACUAGCAUAUGACACGGUGGAUGGCUUAGUCUCACUAUCCAUGGAGCAUUGGAUGCUAACCGGAUGAAAGAUCAUGGAUGUCACCUAGAGGGGGGGUGAAUAGGCGCUUUAAAAUAAUUACGGUUUAGGCUUGAACAAAUGCGGAAUAAACCUAGCGGUUAAUAUGUCAAGCACAAAACCUACAACAACUAGGCUCACCUAUGUGCACCAACAACUUAUGCUAAGUAAGAUAAACAACUAAGUGAUAGCAAGAUAUAUGACAAGAAACAAUAUGGCUAUCACAAAGUAAAGUGCAUAAGUAAAGGGCUCGGGUAAGAGAUAACCGAGGCACGCGGAGAUGACGAUGUAUCCCGAAGUUCACACCCUUGCGGAUGCUAAUCUCCGUUUGGAGCGGUGUGGAGGCACAAUGCUCCCCAGGAAACCACUAGGGUCAUCGUAAUCUCCUCACGCCCUCGCACAAUGCAAGAUGAUGCCGUGAUUCCACUAAGGGACCCUUGAGGGCGGUCACCGAACCCGUACAAAUGGCAACCCUUGGGGGCGGUCACCGAACCCGUACACUUUGGCAACCCUUGGGGGCGAUCACCGGUACCCGUCAAAUUGCUCGGGGCGAUCUCCAUAACCUAAUUGGAGACCCCGACGCUUGCCCCUAGCUUUACACCAUAAUGAUUGAGCUCCGAACAACACCAACCGUCUAGGGCGCCAAGGCACCCAAGAGGAACAAGCUCUCGUGUGCCCAAACACCCAAGAGUAAUAAGCUUCUCAACUUAAAACUGAAGGAAAUAUGCCCUAGAGGCAAUAAUAAAGUUAUUAUUUAUUUCCUUAUAUCAUGAUAAAUGUUUAUUAUUCAUGCUAGAAUUAUAUUAACCGGAAACAUAAUACAUGUGUGAAUACAUAGACAAACAGAGUGUCACUAGUAUGCCUCUACUUGACUAGCUUGUUGAUCAAAGAUGGUUAUGUUUCCUAACCAUAGACAUAUGUUGUCAUUUGAUUAACAGGAUCACAUCAUUAGGAGAAUGAUGUGAUUGACAUGACCCAUUCCGUUAACUUAGCACAUGAUCGUUUAGUAUAUUGCUAUUGCUUUCUUCAAGACUUAUACAUGUUCCUAUGACUAUGAGAUUAUGCAACUCCCGUUUACCGGAGGAACACUUUGUGUGCUACCAAACGUCACAACAUAACUGGGUGAUUAUAAAGGAGCUUUACAGGUGUCUCCAAAGGUACAUGUUGGGUUGGCGUAUUUCGAGAUUAGGAUUUGUCACUCCGAUUGUCGGAGAGGUAUCUCUGGGCCCUCUCGGUAAUGCACAUCACUUAAGCCUUGCAAGCAUUGCAAUUGAUGAGUUAGUUGUGAGAUGAUGUAUUACGGAACGAGUAAAGAGACUUGCCGGUAACGAGAUUGAACUAGGUAUUGAGAUACCGACGAUCGAAUCUCGGGCAAGUAACAUACCGAUGACAAAGGGAACAACUAUGUUGUUAUGCGGUCUAACCGAUAAUGAUCUUCGUAGAAUAUGUGGGAGCCAAUAUGAGCAUCCAGGUUCCGCUAUUGGUUAUUGACCGGAGAUGUGUCUCGGUCAUGUCUACAUUGUUCUCGAACCCAUAGGGUCCGCACGCUUAACGUUACGAUGACAGUUUCAUUAUGACUUUAUAUAUUUUGAUGUACCGAAGGUUGUUCGGAGUCCCGUAUAUGAUCACGGAUUUUACGAGGAGUCUCGAAAUGGUCGAGACAUAAAGAUCGAUAUAUUGGACGACUAUAUUUGGACACCGGAAAGGUUCCGGGUGAGAUUGGGACAAUACCGGAUCACCCGGAGGUUAUCGGAACCCCCCGGGAGGUAUUGGGCCUUAUUGGGCCUUAGUGGAAAGGAGGGGAAAGGAGCAAGGGAGGGGGCGCCCCCCCAAGCCCAAUCCGAAUUGGGAGGGCCCCCCCCCUUUCCUUCCUUCCUCCUUCCUCUUCCUUCCCUCUCCUACUCCUAAUAGGAAAAGGGGGAGUCCUACUCCCGGUGGGAGUUGGACUCCCCCCCUUGGGCGCGCCACGCACCUUGGCCGGCCCCCUCCUCCACUCCUUUAUAUAUGGAGGAGGGGGGCACCCCAUAGACACAACAAUUGAUCCCUUGGAUCUCUUAGCCGUGUGCGGUGCCCCACUCGACCAUAGUCCACCUCGAUAAUACUGUAGCGGUGCUUAGGCGAAGCCCUGCGACGGUAGAACAUCAAAAUCGUCACCACGCCGUCGUGCUGACAGAACUCUUCCCCGACACUUUGCUGGAUCAGAGUCCGGGGAUCGUCAUCAAGCUGAACGUGUGCUAGAACUCGGAGGUGUCGUAGUUUCGGUGCUUGAUCGGUCGGGCCGUGAAGACGUAUGACUACAUCAACCGCAUUGUUAUAACGCUUCCGCUAUCGGUCUACGAGGGUACGUGGACAACACUCUCCCCUCUCGUUGCUAUGCAUCACCAUGAUCUUGCAUGUGCGUAGGAAUUUUUUUUGAAAUUACUACGUUACCCAACAGUGGCAUUCGAGCCAGGUUUUAUGCGUAGAUGUCAUAUGCACGAGUAGAACACAAGUGAGUUGUGGGCGAUAUAAGUCAUACUGCUUACCAGCAUGUCAUACUUUGGUUCGGCGGUAUUGUUGGAUGAAGCGGCCCGGACCGACAUUACGCGUACGCUUACGCGAGACUGGUUCUACCGACGUGCUUUGCACACAGGUGGCUGGCGGGUGUUAGUUUCUCCAACAUUAGUUGAAUCGAGUGUGGCUACGCCCGGUCCUUGCAAAGGUUAAAACAACACCAACUUGACAAACUAUCGUUGUGGUUUUGAUGCGUAGGUAAGAACGAUUCUUGCUAAGCCCGUAGUAGCCACGUAAAACUUGCAACAACAAAGUAGAGGGCGUCUAACUUGUUUUUGCAGGGCAUGUUGUGAUGUGAUAUGGUCAAGACAUGAUGCUAAAUUUUAUUGUGUGAGAUGAUCAUGUUUUGUAACAGAGUAAUCGGCAACUGGCAGGAGCCAUUUGGUUGUCGCUUUAUUGUAUGCAAUGCAAUCGCCCUGUAAUGCUUUACUUUAUCACUAAGUGGUAGCGAUAGUCGUAGAAGCAUAAGAUUGGCGAGACGACAAAGAUGCUAUGAUGGAGAUCAUGGUGUCGCGCAGGUGACAAUGGUGAUCAUGACGGUGCUUCGAAGAUGGAGAUCACAAGCACAAGAUGAUGAUGGCCAUAUCAUAUCACUUAUAUUGAUUACAUGUGAUGUUUAUCCUUUAUGCACCUUAUCCUGCUUUGAUUGACGGUAGCAUUAUAAGAUGAUCCAUCACUAAAUUAUCAUAGUAAAAGUGUUCUCCCUGAGUAUGCACCGUUGCGAAAGUUCUUCAUGCUGAGACACCACGUGAUGAUCGGGUGUGAUAGGCUCUACGUUCAAAUACAACGGGUGCAAAACAGUUGCACACGCGGAAUACUCAGAUUAAACUUGACGAGCCUAGCAUAUAACAGAUAUGGCCUCGGAACACGGAGACCGAAAGGUCGAGCGUGAAUCAUAUAGUAGAUAUGAUCAACAUAUUGAUGUUCACCAUUGAAACUACUCCGUCUCACGUGAUGAUUGGACAUGGUGUAGUUGAUAUGGAUCACGUAAUCACUUAGAGGAUUAGAGGGAUGUCUAUCGAAGUGGGAGUUCUUUAGUAAUAUGAUUAAUUGAACUUAAAUUUAUCAUGAACUUAGUACCUGAUAUUAUCUUGCUUGUCUAUGUUGAUUGUAGAUAGAUGGCCCGUGUUGUUGUUCCGUUGAAUUUUAAUGCGUUCCUUGAGAAAGCAAAGUUGAAAGAUGAUGGUAGAAAUUACACGGACUGGGUCCGUAACUUGAGUAUUAUCCUCAUUGCUGCACAGAAGAAUUACGUCCUAGAAGCACCGCAGGGUGCCAGGCCUGCUGCUGGAGCAACACCAGAUGUUAUGAACGUCUGGCAGAGCAAAGCUGAUGACUACUCUAUAGUUCAGUGUGCCAUGCUUUGUGGCUUAGAACCGGGUCUUCAACGAUGUUUUUAACGUCAUGGAGCAUAUGAGAUGUUCCAAGAGUUGAAGUUAAUAUUUCAAGCAAAUGCCCGGAUUGAGAGAUAUGAAGUCUCCAAUAAGUUCUACAACUGCAAGAUGGAGGAGAACAGUUCUGUCAGUGAGCAUAUACUCAAAAUGUCUGGGUAUAAUAAUCACUUGAUUCAAUUGGGAGUUAAUCUUCCGGAUGAUAGCGUCAUUAACAGAAUUCUCCAAUCACUGCCACCAAGCUACAAGAGCUUUGUGAUGAACUAUAAUAUGCAAGGGAUGGAAAAGACUAUUCCCGAGCUCUUCGCGAUGCUAAAAGAUGCGGAGGUAGAAAUCAAAAAGGAGCAUCAAGUGUUGAUGGUUAACAAGACCACUAGUUUCAAGAAAAAGGGCAAAGGGAAGAAGAAGGGAAACUUCAAGAAGAACAGCAAACAAGUUGCUGCUCAGGAGAAGAAACCCAAGUCUGGACCUAAGCCUGAAACUGAGUGCUUCUACUGCAAGCAGACUAGUCACUCGAAGCGGAACUGCCCCAAGUAUUUGGCGGAUAAGAAGGAUGGCAAGGUGAACAAAGGUAUAUGUGAUAUACAUGUUAUUGAUGUGUACCUUACUAAUGCUCGCAGUAGCACCUGGAUAUUUGAUACUGGUUCUGUUGUUAAUAUCUGCAACUCGAAACAGGGACUACGGAUUAAGCGAAGAUUAGCUAAGGACGAGGUGACGAUGCGUGUGGGAAAUGGUUCCAAAGUCGAUGUGAUCGCGGUCGGCACGCUACCUCUAGAUCUACCUUCGGGAUUAGUUUUAGACCUAAAUAAUUGUUAUUUGGUGCUAGCGUUGAGCAUGAACAUUAUAUCAGGAUCUUGUUUGAUGCGAGACGGUUAUUCAUUUAAAUCAGAGAAUAAUGGUUGUUCUAUUUAUAUGAAUAAUAUCUUUUAUGGUCAUGCACCCUUGAAGAGUGGUCUAUUUUUAUUGAAUCUCGAUAGUAGUGAUACACAUAUUCAUAAUGUUGAAGCCAAAAGAUGCAGAGUUGAUAAUGAUAGUGCAACUUAUUUGUGGCACCGCCGUUUAGGUCAUAUCGGUGUAAAGCGCAUGAAGAAACUCCAUACUGAUGGACUUUUGGAACCACUUGAUUAUGAAUCACUUGGUACUUGCGAACCGUGCCUCAUGGGCAAAAUGACUAAAACACCGUUCUCCGGUUCUAUGGAGAGAGCAACUGAUUUAUUGGAGAUCAUACAUACAGAUGUAUGUGGUCCGAUAAAUGUUGAGGCUCAUGGCGGAUAUCGUUAUUUUCUCACCUUCAUAGAUGAUUUGAGCAGAUAUGGGUAUAUCUACUUAAUGAAGCAUAAGUCUCAAACAUUUGAAAAGUUCAAAGAAUUUUAGAGUGAAGUUGAAAAUCAUCGUAACAAGAAAAUAAAGUUUCUAUGAUCUGAUCGUGGAGGAGAAUAUUUGAGUUACGAGUUUGGUCUACAUUUGAAACAAUGCGGAAUAGUUUCGCAACUAACGCCACCCGGAACACCACAACGUAAUGGUGUGUCCGAUCGUUGUAAUCGUACUUUACUAGAUAUGGUGCGAUCUAUGAUGUCUCUUACAGAUUUACCGCUAUCAUUUUGGGGUUAUGCUUUAGAGACGGCUGCAUUCACGUUAAAUAGGGCACCAUCAAAAUCCGUUGAGACGACGCCUUAUGAACUGUGGUUUGGCAAGAAACCAAAGUUGUCGUUUCUGAAAGUUUGGGGCUGCGAUGCUUAUGUGAAAAAGCUUCAACCUGAUAAGCUCGAACCCAACUCGGAGAAAUGUGUCUUCAUAGGAUACCCAAAGGAGACUGUUGGGUACACCUUCUAUCACAGAUCCGAAGGCAAGACGUUUGUCGCUAAAUUCGGAAACUUUCUAGAGAAGGAGUUUCUCUCGAAAGAAGUGAGUGGGAGGAAAGUAGAACUUGAUGAGGUAACUGUACCUGCUCCCUUAUUGGAAAGUAGUAUAUCACAGAAACAGGUUUCUGUGACACCUACACCAAUUAGUGAGGAAGAUAAUGAUGAUGAUCAUGAAACUUCAGAUCAAGUUGUUACUGAACCUCGUAGAUCAACCAGAGUAAGAUCCGCACCAGAGUGGUAUGGUAAUCCUGUUCUGGAAGUCAUGUUAUUAGACCAUGAUGAACCUACGAACUAUGAAGAAGCGAUGGUGAGCCCAGAUUCCGCAAAAUGGCUUGAGGCCAUGAAAUCUGAGAUGGGAUCCAUGUAUGAGAACAAAGUGUGGACUUUGGUUGACUUGCCCGAUGAUCGGCAAGCAAUUGAAAAUAAAUGGAUCUUCAAGAAGAAGACCGACGCUGACGGUAAUGUUACUGUCUACAAAGCUCGACUUGUCGCGAAAGGUUUUUGACAAGUUCAAGGGGUUGACUACGAUGAGACCUUCUCACCCGUAGCGAUGCUUAAGUCUGUCCAAAUCAUGUUAGCAAUUGCCGCAUUUUAUGAUUAUGAAAUAUGGCAGAUGGAUGUCAAAACUGCAUUCCUGAAUGGAUUUCUGGAAGAAGAAUUGUAUAUGAUGCAACCAGAAGGUUUUGUCGAUCCAAAGGGAGCUAACAAAGUGUGCAAGCUCCAGCGAUCCUUUUAUGGACUGGUGCAAGCCUCUUGGAGUUGGAAUAAACGCUUUGAUAGUGUGAUCAAAGCAUUUGGUUUUAUACAGACUUUUGGAGAAGCAUGUAUUUACAAGAAAGUGAGUGGGAGCUCUGUAGCAUUUCUGAUACUAUAUGUAGAUGACAUAUUGCUGAUCGAAAAUGAUAUAGAAUUUCUGGAUAGCAUAAAAGGAUACUUGAAUAAAAGUUUUUCAAUGAAAGACCUCGGUGAAGCUGCUUACAUAUUGGGCAUUAAGAUCUAUAGAGAUAGAUCAAUACGCUUAAUUGGACUUUCACAAAGCACAUACCUUGACAAUGUUUUGAAGAAGUUCAAAAUGGAUCAAGCAAAGAAAGGGUUCUUGCCUGUGUUACAAUGUGUGAAGUUGAGUAAGACUCAAUGCCCGACCACUGCAAAAGAUAGAGAAAAGAUGAAAGAAGUUCCCUAUGCUUCAGCCAUAGGAUCUAUCAUGUAUGUAAUGCUGUGUACCAGACCUGAUGUGUGCCUUGCUAUAAGUUUAGCAGGGAGGUACCAAAGUAAUCCAGGAGUGGAUCACUGGACAGCGGUCAAGAACAUCCUGAAAUACCUGAAAAGGACUAAGGAUAUGUUUCUCAUUUAUGGAGGUGACAAAGAGCUCAUCGUAAAUGGUUACGUUGAUCAAGCUUUGACACUGAUCCGGACGAUUCUAAAUCGCAGACCAGAUACGUGUUUACAUUGAACAGUGGAGCUGUCAGUUGGUGCAGUUCUAAACAAAGUGUUGUGGCAGGAUCUACAUGUGAAGCGGAGUACAUAGCUGCUUCGGAAGCAGCAAACGAAGGAGUCUGGAUGAAGGAGUUCAUAUCCGAUCUAGGUGUCAUACCUAGUGCAUCGGUUCCAAUGAAAAUCUCUUGUGACAAUACUGGUGCAAUAGCUUUGGCGAAGGAAUCCAGAUUUCACAAAAGAACCAAGCACAUCAAGAGACGCUUCAAUUCCAUUCGGGAUUUAGUCCAAGUGGGAGACAUAGAAAUUUGCAAGAUACAUACGGAUCUGAAUGUAGCAGACCCGUUGACUAAGCCUCUUCCACGAGCAAAACAUGAUCAGCACCAAGGCUCCAUGGGUGUUAGAAUCAUUACAGUGUAAUAUAGAUUAUUUACUCUAGUGCAAGUGGGAGACUGAAGGAAAUAUGCCCUAGAGGCAAUAAUAAAGUUAUUAUUUAUUUCCUUAUAUCAUGAGAAAUGUUUAUUAUUCAUGCUAGAAUUAUAUCAACCGGAAACAUAAUACAUGUGUGAAUACAUAGACAAAUAGAGUGUCACUAGUAUGCCUCUACUUGACUAGCUUGUUGAUCAAAAAUGGUUAUGUUUCCUAACCAUACACAUGUGUUUUCAUUUGAUUAACGGGAUCACAUCAUUAGGAGAAUGAUGUGAUUGACAUGACCCAUUCCGUUAGCUUAGCACACGAUCGUUUAGUAUAUUGCUAUUGCUUUCUUCAUGACUUAUACAUGUUCCUAUGACUAUGAGAUUAUGCCACUCCCGUUUACCGGAGGAACACAUUGUGUGCUACCAAACGUCACAACAUAACUGGGUGAUUAUAAAGGAGCUCUACAGGUGUCUCCAAAGGUACAUGUUGGGUUGGCAUAUUUCGAGAUUAGGAUUUGUCACUCCGAUUGUCGGAGAGGUAUCUCUGGGCCCUCUCGGUAAUGCACAUCACUUAAGCCUUGCAAGCAUUGCAACUAAUGAGUUAGUUGUGAGAUGAUGUAUUACGGAACAAGUAAAGAUACUUUCCGGUAACGAGAUUGAACUAGGUAUUGAGAUACCGACGAUUGAAUCUCGGGCAAGUAACAUACCGAUGACAAAGGGAACAACGUAUAUUGUUAUACGGUCUGACCGAUAAAGAUCUUCGUAGAAUAUGUGAGAGCCAAUAUGAGCAUCCAGGUUCCGCUAUUGGUUAUUGACCGGAGACGUGUCUCGGUCAUGUCUACAUUGUUCUCGAACCCGUAGGGUCCGCACGCUUAACGUUAUGAUGACAGUUUCAUUAUGAGUUUAUAUAUUUUGAUGUACUGAAGGUUGUUCGGAGUCCCGGAUAUGAUCACGGACUUGACGAGGAGUCUCGAAAUGGUCAGGACAUAAAGAUCGAUAUAUUGGAUGACUAUAUUUGGACACCGGAAAGGUUUCGGGUGAGAUUGGGACAAUACCGGAUCACCGGGAGGUUAUCGGAACCCCCCGGGAGGUAUAUGGACCUUAUUGGGCCUUAGUGGAAAGGAGGGGAAAGGAGCAAGGGAGGGGGCGCCCCCCAAGCCCAAUCCAAAUUGGGAGGGCCCCCCCCCUUUCCUUCCUCCCUGCUUCCUCUUCCUUCCCUCUCCUACUCCUAAUAGGAAAAGGGGGAGUCCUACUCCCGGUGGGAGUUGGACUCCCCCCCUUGGGUGCACCACCCCCCUUGGCCAGCCCCCUCCUCCACUCCUUUAUAUACGAAGGAGGGGAGCACCCCAUAGACACAACAAUUGAUCCCUUGGAUCUCUUAGCCGUGUGCGGUGCCCCCCUCCACCAUAGUCCAACUCGAUAAUACUGUAGCGGUGCUUAGGCGAAGCCCUGCGACGGUAGAACAUCAAGAUCGUCACCACGCCGUCGUGCUGACAGAACUCUUCCCCGACACUUUGCUGGAUCGGAGUCUGGGGAUCGUCAUCAAGCUGAACGUGUGCUAGAACUCGGAGGUGCCGUAGUUUUGGUGCUUGAUCGGUCGGGCCGUGAAGACGUACGACUACAUCAACCGCGUUGUUACAACACUUCCGCUAUCGGUCAACGAGGGUACGUGGACAAAACUCUCCCCUCUCGUUGCUAUGCAUCACCAUGAUCUUGCGUGUGCGUAGGAUUUUUUUUUGAAAUUACUACGUUACCCAGCAGAAACUUCCACGUAUCACCAUGGAGAACUCAAACUGAUGUGCCAAAUGCAAUGGCAAGGGCACACGGAGUGCCCAAGUCCUUCUCUCCCAAAUCGCACCGAAGCAACUAAUGCUAGGGAGGAAAAUGAGAGGAAGAACAAGAAGGAGAACACCAAGAACUCCAAGAUCUAGAUCCAAGGGGUUCCCCUCACAUAGAGGAGAAAGUAAUUGGUGGAAAUGUGGAUCUAGAUCUCCUCUCUCUUUUCCCUCAAAAACCAGCAAGAAUCCAUGGAGGGAUUGAGAGUUAGCAAGCUUGAGAAGGUCAACAAUUGGGGAAGAACACGAGUUAAAGAGAUAAGGUUCAUUGGGGAAGAAGACCCCCUUUUAUAGGUGGGGAAAAAUCCAACCGUUAUCCUCACAGCCCGCAUAGAGCGGUACUACCGCUCCAAGGAGCGGUACUACCACUCGUCCUCACGGUAAUACCGCUAGGGAUCGCGGUACUACCGCAAAGGGUAGCGUUACUACUACUUGCGAGCGAUACUAAAAAAAUACAUCCGUGCCUACCACCGCAUGACUUGGGACGAGUUUUUGGUCCGGAGCGGUACUACCGUUGUAGGAGCCGCGGUAGUACCGCUCUGGAGCGGUACUAAAAAAUUACAUCCGCUCCAAUUCGUGGUAGUGCCGCUGCAGCCUUUUCAGAAUAGCAAAACUGCCACAACUUUUGCAAACGGACUCCGAAUUAAAUGAAACCAAGUUUGUUGGAAAGCUAGAGACAAGGCCUAACACAAUCUUGAUAGAAAUAACAAUAAGAAGCAAAUUAGAAAAGUACCAAAAGAAAAUGGUGAGAACCCUUCCUCGAAUAGGACCGGUAAAACCUCCAACAUCGAAAACGCAAUAGAAGAAGCAUGUGAACUCCGUUUUCGAUGAACUCGAGCUUGUCAAGAAGAUGACAACAAUCUCUAAAACCUCAAAAUAAAAUACAAAUAAGAAUCAAGAAAGAUGAUGCAAGGAUGCAAUGGUUUGAGCUCUCGACGAACGAUACAAUCAAGCUAGUCACUUGAGAGCCCCCCUUGAUAGUACGGCUAUCGAUCCUAUAACCCGGUCUCCAAACUAUCACCAUGAGACCGGUAAAAUAUAAAACCUAUCAAGGGCAAACCUUUGCCUUGCACGAAGUCCACUUGAGCUAGAUGAUGAUGAUCUUGACUCCCUCAAGUUGGACCACCUUUCUUGAUUGCGCUCGGUCGACGAAGACUAGUUGAUUGCUCCCUCAUACUCCACUAUGGGUGAGCCACUCUUUGGCACAUCUUCACAAGUCGAUUGACACCAAAAUGGACAGAAAGCUUCAAGCACUUGAUCUCUUCGUGAUGCUCCACUUGAACUUGCACACGGCAAUCUUGAUGACGAUCACCACUUGAUGUCAUCCUCUCCAUAGGUUGAGUGAUAUCUUCCUCUUGACGCAAGCCCAUGAACACGUACCUAACCCCACAUUGAACUCUCAUAUAGACCAUGGGUUAGUACACAAAGCACAAUGGAUAAUGCUUACCAUACCAUGGGAUCACUUGAUCCCUCUCGGUACAUCUUCUAUGCUUUGUGAGUUGAUCAACUUGAUUCACUCUUGACUUAGUCUUGAUCAACCUUGAAACUUUCCAACUCUCUUCAUUUGGAUGAUGUCUUGAAGGUAAACAUGAAUGAUCACACAAUCUUCUUCUUCAAGACAUGCUUGCAAUAAGCUCAACACUCGCAUGACCAAUCUUUGGAUAAUUCCUUUAUAGCACCUUGGUCAACACAUAAACUCCUUGAAACCAACACAUGGACUUCAAGAAAAGCCUAUGGACAAAUCCUUCCAAUAUAACUCAAUGCAACCAUUAGUCCAUAGAGAAUGUCAUCAAUUACCAAAACCACACAUGGGGGCACCGCAUGUCCUUUCAAUCUCCCCCAUUUUGGUAAUUGAUGACAAUCAUUUUCAAGAGAGUUUAUAAAAGGAAUUAUGCAUCACCAUGCAGUGCAACAACCAAUGGUGCAUGUGCAUGAGAUGCAAAAGCUAAGGAACAAAACCAAAUCAAGAAGAUAUAUCUCUCUAAACUUCUCCACGAAACUCUUUGAAACUUCUCCCCCAUUGGCAUCGAUUGCCAAAAUGGGCGAAAAGCUUGGAAGGCCAAUAUAUUGUGUUCCUCCAUAAAUUGUGUAUUUCUCAACAAGAGAGUGAAAUGCCAUACACAUAUCCAAAGGUAAAUACUUGGAGGAAGACAAACUAUAUUGAGGCACAAAGAUUGUUAAAGAAAGAUAUGCCACAAAUGUUGCGGAACAUAGUAAUUUCAAAAAUUUCCUACGCACACGCAAGAUCAUGGUGAUGCAUAGCAACGAGAGGGGAGAGUGUGUCCACAUACCCUCGUAGACCGAAAGCGGAAGCAUUAUGACAACGCGGUUGAUGUAGUCGUACGUCUUCACGAUCCGACCGAUCCAAGCACCGAACGUACGGCACCUCCGAGUUCAGCACACGUUCAGCUCGAUGACGAUCCCCAGACUCUGAUCCAGCAGGGUGUCAGGGAUGAGUUCCGCCAGCACGACGGCUUGGUGACAAUGAUGAUGUUCUACCGACACAGGGCUUCGCCUAAGCACCGCAACGAUAUGACCGAGGUGGAAUAUGGUGGAGGGGGGCACCACACACGGCUAAGGAACGAUCACGAAGAUCAACUUGUGUUGUGCCUAGAGGUGCCCCCCCUGCCCCCGUAUAUAAAGGAGCCAGGGGGAGGGGGUCGGUCGGCCAAGAGGGCGCGCCAGGAGGAGUCCUCCUCCCACCGGGAGUAGGACUCCCCCCCCCCCUUCCUUGUUGGAGUAGGAGAGAAGGAAAGAGGGGGAGAGGAGGAAGGAAAAGGGGGCUGCACCCCUUGUCCAAUUCGGACCAGAGGGGGGCUGCGCGACUCCUUCCUUUCGGCCUCUCUCCUCUAUUCCCGUAUGGCCCAAUAAGGCCCAUAUACUCCCCGGCGAAUUCCCGUAACUCUCCGGUACUCCGAAAAAUACCCGAAUCACUCAGAACCUUUCCGAAGUCCUAAUAUAGUCGUCCAAUAUAUCGAUCUUUACCAAUGUUGGGGAUAUCGCUUAUCGGGAACUUAUCAGUCGACCCAUGAUAAGGGGUAAAUCGGUCAGUUUAUCGGCAUAUCGGCCGAUUUAUCACCAUAUCAGCUAUUUUAUCGACCCGUUUAUCUUAUCGUUUAGACACUGGUAAGUGAUAAAUUGGCCGAUUUAUCAGAAUAUCGGAAGAUAUCUUGAACAGUGAUCUUUACGUUUCGACCAUUUCGAGACUCCUCGUCAUGUCCCCGAUCUCAUUCGGGACUCCGAACUCCUUCGGUACAUCAAAACUCAUAAACUCAUAAUAUAACUGUCAUCGAAACCUUAAGCAUGCGGACCCUACGGGUUCAAGAACAAUGUAGACAUGACCGAAACACGUUCCCGGACAAUAACCAAUUGCGGAACCUGGAUGCUCAUAUUGGCUCCCACAUAUUCUACGAAGAUCUUUAUCGGUCAAACCGCAUAACAACAUACAUUGUUCCCUUUGUCAUCGGUAUGUUACUUGCCCGAGAUUCGAUCGUCGGUAUCUCAAUACCUAGUUCAAUCUCGUUACCAGCAAGUCUCUUUACUCGUUCCGUAAUACAUCAUCUUGCAACUAACUCAUUAGUCACAUUGCUUGCAAGGCUUAUAGUGAUGUGUAUUACCGAGAGGGCCCAGAGAUACCUCUCCGACAAUCGGAGUGACAAAUCCUAAUCUCGAAAUACGUCAACCCAACAUGUACCUUCAGAGACACCUGUAGAGCUCCUUUAUAAUCACCCAGUUACGUUGUGACGUUUGGUAGCACACAAAGUGUUCCUCAAGUAAACGGGAGUUGCAUAAUCUCAUAGUCAUAGGAACAUGUAUAAGUCAUGAAGAAAGCAAUAGCAACAUAUUAAACGAUCAAGUGCUAAGGCUAACGGAAUGGGUCAAGUCAAUCACAUCAUUCUUCUAAUGAUGUGAUCCCGUUAAUCAAAUGACAACUCUUUUGUCCAUGGCUAGGAAACAUAACCAUCUUUGAUAAACGAGCUAGUCAGGUAGAGGCAUACUAGUGACACUAUGUUUGUCUAUGUAUUCACACAUGUAUUAUGUUUCCGGUUAAUACAAUUCUAGCAUGAGUAAUAAACAUUUAUCAUGAUAUAAGGAAAUAAAUAAUAACUUUAUUAUUGCCUCUAGGGCAUAUUUCCUUCAGUCUCCCACUUGCACUAGAGUCAAUAAUCUAGUUCACAUCAUCAUGUGAUUCAACACCAAUAUUCACAUCUGUAUGUGAUUAAUACCAAUAGUUCACAUCGUCAUGUGACCAACACCCAAAGGGUUUACUAGAGUCAAUAAUCUAGUUCACAUCACUAUGUGAUUAACACCCAAAGAGUACUAAGGUAUGAUCAUGUUUUGCUCAUGAGAGAAGUUUAGUCAACUGGUCUGUCACAUUCAGUGCCGUAUGUAUUUUGCAAAUAUUCUAUGUCUACAAUGCUUUGCACGGAGCUACUCUAGCUAAUUGCUCCCACUUUCAAUAUGUAUCCAGAUUGAGACUUAGAGUCAUCUGGAUCGGUGUAAAAGCUUGCAUCGAUGUAACUCUUUACGACGAACUCUUUUAUCACCUCCAUAAUCGAGAAACAUAUCCUUAUUCUACUAAGGAUAAUUUUGACCAAUGUCCAGUGAUCUACUCCUAGAUCACUAUUGUACUCCCUUGCCAAACCAGGGCAGAGUAUACAAUAGGUCUGGUUCAUAGCAUGGCAUAUUUUUAUAGAACCUAUGACUGAAGCAUAGGGAAUGACUUUCAUUCUCUUUCUAUUUUCUGCCGUGGUCGGGAUUUGAGUCUUACUCAAUUUCACACCUUGCAACAUAGGCAAGAACUCCUUUGAAUGUUCCAUUUUGAACUAUUUCAAAAAAUUUAUCAAGGUAUGUACUCAUUGAAAAAUCUUAUCAAGCGUCUUGAUCUAUCUAUAUAGAUCUUGAUGCUCAAUGUGUAAGCAGCUUCACCGAGGUCUUGCUUUGAAAAACUUUUAUUCAAGUAUCCUUUUAUGCUAUCCAGAAAUUCUAUAUCAUUUCCAAUCAACAAUAUGUCUUGCACAUAUAAUAUCAAAAAUGCUACAGAGCUCCCACUUACUUUCUUGUAAAUACAGGCCUUUCCAAAAGUCUGUAUAAAACCAUAUGCUUUGAUCAACUCAUCAAAGCAUAUAUUCCAACUCCGAGAUGCUUGCACCAGUCCAUUGAUGGAUCGCUGGAGCUUGCACACUUUGUUAGCACCUUUAGGAUUGACAAAACCUUCUGGUUGCAUCAUAUACAACUCUUCUUUAAUAAAUCUAUUAAGGAAUACAGUUUUGACAUCCAUUUGCCAGAUUUCAUAAAAUGUGGCAAUUGCUAAAAUGAUUCGGACAGACUUAAGCAUCGAUAUGAGUGAGGAAAUCUCAUCAUAUUCAACACCUUUGAACUUGUCGAAAACCUUUCGCAACAAGUUGAGCUUUGUAGAUAGUAACACUACUAUCAGUGUCCGUCUUCCUCUUGAAGAUCCAUUUAUUUAACAUGGCUUGCUGAUCAUCGAGCAAGUCAACCAAAGUCCAUACUUUGUUCUCAUACAUGGAUCCUAUCUCAGAUUUUAUGGCCUCAAGCCAUUUCGCGGAAUCUGGGCUCAUCAUCGCUUCCUCAUAGUUCGUAGGUUUAUCAUGGUCUAGUAACAUGACUUUCAGAACAGGAUUACCGUACCACUCUGGUGCGGACCAUACUCUGGAAGACCUACGAGUUUCUGUAGUAACUUGAUCCAAAGUUUCAUGAUCAUCAUCAUUAACUUCCUCACUAAUCGGUGUGGGCAUCACUGGAACUGAUUUCUGUGAUGAACUACUUUCCAAUUUGGGAGAAGGUACAAUUACCUUAUCAAGUUCUACUUUCCUCCCACUCACUUCUUUCGAGAGAAACUUCUUCUCUAGAAAGGAUCCAUCUUAGCAACGAAUAACUUGCCUUCGGAUCUGUGAUAGAAGGUGUACCCAAUAGUUACCUUUGGGUAUUCUAUGAAGGCGCACUUCUCUGAUUUGGGUUCGAGCUUAUCAGGUUGAAACUUUUCCACAUAAGCAUCGCAGCCCCAAACUUUUAAGAAACGACAACUUCGGUUUCUUGCCAAACCACGGUUCAUAAGGUGUCAUCUCAACGGAUUUUGAUGGUGCCCUAUUUAAAGUGAAUGCAGCUGUCUUUAAUGCAUAACCCCAAAACAAUAGUGGUAAAUCGGUAAGAGACAUCAUAGAUUGCACUAUAUCCAAUAAAGUACUGUUAUGACGUCCGAACACACCAUUAAGCUGUGGUGUUCCAGGUGGCAUGAGUUUGUGAAACUAUUCCACAUUGUUUUAAUUGAAGACCAAACUCGUAACUCAAAUAUUUGUCUCCGUGAUCAAAUUGCAGAAACUUUAUUUUCUUGUUACGGUCAUUCUCCACUUCACUCUGAAAUUCUUUGAACUUUUCAAAUGUUUCAGGCUUGUGCUUCAUUAAGUAGAUAUACUCAUAUCUGCUCAAUUCAUCUUGUGAAGGUCAGAAAAUAACGAUACCCGCCACGAGCAUCAACACUCAUUGGACCAUAUACAUCGGUAUGUAUUAUUUCCAUCAAGUCAGUAGCUCGUUCCAUUGUUCCGGAGAACAGAGUUUUAGUCAUCUUGCCCAAAAGGCACGGUUCACAAGCAUCAAAUGAUUCAUAACCAAGAGAUUCCAAAAAUCCAUCUUUAUGGAGUUUCUUUAUGCGCUUUACACCGAUAUGACCCAAACGGCAGUGCCACAAAUAAGUUGCACUAUCAUUAUCAACUUUGCAUCUUUUGGCAUCAAUAUUAUGAAUAUGUGUAUUACUACGAUCGAGAUCCAACAAACUAUUUUCAUUGGGUGUAUGACCAUCGAAGGUUUUAUUCAUGUAAACAGAACAACAAUUAUUCUUUGACUUUAAAUGAAUAACCGUAUCGCAAUAAACAUGAUCAAAUCAUAUUCAUGCUCAACGCAAACGCCAAAUAACAUUUAUUUAGGUUUAACACUAAUCCCGAAAGUAUAGGGAGUGUGCGAUGAUGAUCAUAUCAAUCUUGGAACCACUUCCAACACUCAUCGUCACUUCCCCUUCAACUAGUCUCUGUUUAUUCUGUAACUCCUGUUUCGAGUUACUAAUAUUUAGCAACUGAACAAGUAUCAAAUACUCAGGGGCUACUAUAAACACUAGUAAAGUACACAUCAAUAACAUGUAUAUCAAAUAUACCAUUGUUCACUUUGCCAUCCUUCUUAUCCACCAAAUAUUUAGGGCAUUUCCGCUUCUAGUGACCAUUUCCUUUGCAGUAUAAUCACUCAGUUUCAGGCUUUGGUCCAACUUUGGGCUUCUUCGCGGGACUGACAACUUGCUUGUCAUUCUACUUGAAGUUCCCUUUCUUUCCCUUUGCUCUUUUCUUGAAACUAGUGAUCUUGUCAACCAUCAACACUUGAUGCUCUUUCUUGAUUUCUACCUUCGUCGAUUUCAACAUCACGAAGAGCUCGGGAAUCGUUUUCGUCAUCCCUUGCAUACUGUAGUUCAUCACAAAGUUCUACUAACUUGGUGAUGGUGACUAGAGAACUCUAUCAAUCACUAUCUUAUCUGGAAUAUUAACUCCCACUUGAUUCAAGCGAUUGUAGUACCCAGACAAUCUGAGCACAUGCUCACUAGAUGAGCGAUUCUCCUCCAUCUUUUAGCUAUAGAACUUGUUGGAGACUUCAUAUCUCUCAACUCGGGUAUUUGCUGGAAAUAUUAACUUCAAUUCCUGGAACAUCUCAUAUGGUCCAUGACGUUCAAAACGUCUUUGAAGUUCCGAUUCUAAGCCGUUAAGCAUGGUGCACUAAACUAUCAAGUAGUCAUCAUAUUGAGCUAGCCAAACGUUCAUAAUGUUUGCAUCUGCUCCUGCAAUAGGUCUGUCACCAGUGGUGCAUUAAGGACAUAAUUCUUCUGUGUAGCAAUGAGGAUAAACCUCAGAUCACGGAUCCAAUCCGCAUCAUUGCUACCAACAUCUUUCAACACAAUUUUCUCUAGGAACAUAUCAAAAUAAACAUAUGAAAGCAACAACGCAAGCUAUUGAUCUACAACAUAAUUUGCAAAAUACUACCAGGACUAAGUUCAUGAUAAAUUAAAGUUCAAUUAAUUAUAUUACUUAAGAACUCCCACUUAGACAGACAUCUCUCUAGUCAUCUAAGUGAUCACGUGAUCCAAAUCAACUAAACCAUGUCCGAUCAUCACGUGAGAUGGAGCAGUUUCAAUGGUGAACAUCACUAUGUUGAUCAUAUCUACUAUAUGAUUCACGUUCGACCUUUCGGUCUCCGUGUUCCGAGGCCAUAUCUGUUAUAUGCUAGGCUCGUCAAGUUUAACCUGAGUAUUCCGCGUGUGCAACUGUUUUGCACCCAUUGUAUUUGAACGUAGAGCCUAUCACACCCGAUCAUCACGUGGUGUCUCAGCACGAAGAACUUUCGCAACGGUGCAUACUCAGGGAGAACACUUCUUGAUAAUUUUUAGUGAGAGAUCAUCUUAAAAUGCUACCGUCAAACAAAACAGAAUAAGAUGUAUAACAGAUAAACAUCAUAUGCAAUCAAAAUACGUGACAUGAUAUGGCCAUGAUCAUCUUGCGCCUUUGAUCUCCAUCUCCAAAGUACUAUCAUGAUCUCUAUCGUCACCGGCAGGACACCAUGAUCUUCAUCAUCUUGAUCUAUAUCAAUGUGUCGUCACAUGGUCGUCUCACCAACUAUUGCUCUUGCAACUAUUGCUAUCACAUAGCGAUAAAGUAAAGAAAUUAUUUGGCACUUGCAUCUUAUGCAACAAAGAGACAACCAUAGGGCUUUUUCCAGUUGCCGAUAACUUCAAGAAAACAUGAUCAUCUCAUACAACAACUUAUAUCUCAUCACGUCUUGACCAUAUCACAUCACAACAUGCCCUGCAAAAACAAGUUAGACGUCCUCUACUUUGUUGUUGCAAAUUUUACGUGGCUGCUACAGGCUGAGCAAGAACCGUUCUUACCUACGUAUCAAAACCACAAUGAUAGUUCGUCAAGUUAAUGAUGUUUUAACCUUCACAAGGACCGGGCGUAGCCACACUCGGUUCAGCUAAAGUGAGAGAGACAGACACCCGCCAGUCACCUUUAAGCAUGAGUGCUCGCAACGGUGAAACCAGUCUCGCAUAAGCAUACGCGUAAUGUCGGUCCGGGCCGCUUCAUCUCACAAUACCACUGAGCCAAAGUAUGACAUGCUGGUAAGCAGUAUGACUUGGAUCGCCCACAACUCACUUGUGUUCUACUCGUGCAUAUGACAUCUACGAUAAAACCUAGGCUCGGAUGCCACUGUUGGGGAACGUAGUGAUUUCAAAAAUUUCCUACGCACACGCAAGAUCAUGGUGAUGCAUAGCAACGAGAGGGGAGAGUGUGACCACGUACCCUCGUAGACCGAAAGCGGAAGCGUUAUGACAACGCGGUUGAUGUAGUCUUACGUCUUCACGAUCCGACCGAUCCAAGCACCUAACGUACGGCACCUCUGAGUUCAGCACACGUUCAGCUCGAUGACGAUCCCCGGACUCCGAUCCAGCAGGGUGUCGGGGAUGAGUUCCGUCAGCACGACGGCGUGGUGACGAUGAUGAUGUUCUACCGACGCAGGGCUUCGCCUAAGCACCGCAACGAUAUGACCGAGGUGGAAUAUGGUGGAGGGGGGCACCGCACACGGCUAAGGAACGAUCACGAAGAUCAACUUGUGUUGUGCCUAGAGGUGCCCCCUGCCUCUGUAUAUAAAGGAGCCAGGGGGAGGGGGUCGGCCGGCCAAGAGGGGCGCGCCAGGAGGAGUCCUCCUCCCACCGGGAGUAGGAUUCCCCCCCCCCCUUCCUUGUUGGAGUAGGAGAGAAGGAAAGAGGGGGAGAGGAGGAAGGAAAAGGGGGCUGCACCCCUUGUCCAAUUCGGACAAAAGGGGGGCUGCGUGCCUCCUUCCUUUCGGCCUCUCUCCUCUAAUUCCCGUAUGGCCCAAUAAGGCCCAUAUACUCCCCGGCGAAUUCCCGUAACUCUCCGGUACUCCGAAAAAUACCCAAAUCACUCAGAACCUUUCCGAAGUCCGAAUAUAGUCGUCCAAUAUAUCGAUCUUUACGUCUCGACCAUUUCGAGACUCCUCGUCAUGUCCCCGAUCUCAUCCGGGACUCCGAACUCCUUUGGUACAUCAAAACUCAUAAACUCAUAAUAUAACUGUCAUCGAAACCUUAAGCGUGCGGACCCUACGGGUUCGAGAACAAUGUAGACAUGACCGAAACACGUUUCCGGACAAUAACCAAUAGCGGAACCUGGAUGCUCAUAUUGGCUCCCACAUAUUCUACGAAGAUCUUUAUCGGUCAAACCGCAUAACAACAUACAUUGUUCCCUUUGUCAUCGGUAUGUUACUUGCCCGAGAUUCGAUCGUCGGUAUCUCAAUACCUAGUUCAAUCUCGUUACCAGCAAGUCUCUUUACUCGUUCCGUAAUACAUCAUCUCGCAACUAACUCAUUAGUCACAUUGCUUGCAAGGCUUAUAGUGAUGUGUAUUACCGAGAGGGCCCAGAGAUACCUCUCCGACAAUCGGAGUGACAAAUCCUAAUAUCGAAAUACGUCAACCCAACAUGUACCUUCAGGGACACCUGUAGAGCUCCUUUAUAAUCACCCAGCUACGUUGUGACGUUUGGUAGCACACAAUGUGUUCCUCCAGUAAACAGGAGUUGCAUAAUCUCGUAGUCAUAGGAACAUGUAUAAGUCAUGAAGAAAGCAAUAGCAACAUACUAAAUGAUCAAGUGCUAAGGCUAACGGAAUGGGUCAAGUCAAUCACAUCAUUCUUCUAAUGAUGUGAUCUCGUUAAUCAAAUGACAACUCUUUUGUCCAUGGCUAGGAAACAUAACCAUCUUUGAUAAACGAGCUAGUCAAGUAGAGGCAUACUAGUGACACUAUGUUUGUCUAUGUAUUCACACAUGUAUUAUGUUUCCGGUUAAUACAAUUCUAGCAUGAGUAAUAAACAUUUAUCAUGAUAUAAGGAAAUAAAUAAUAACUUUAUUAUUGCCUCUAGGGCAUAUUUCCUUCAACAAAGACAAAUCAAAGAGAGUCACACGCAAUCAAGCAAUCAAAAGAUACCAAUUCAAGCAAGCAAACAAAAGAUAUCAAUUAAACCAAAUAGACCAAGGAUCCUAUGAGCCACAAGAAUAAAUGAUAUUAUGAUAUGAGCAGAGGAGUGUUCUAAAGAAACUAGAGAAGCUCCCCAUGAUUUGUGCACAAAUAAGAAUAUUUGUAUUGGAUACAAAGUGCACAAAAUAGGAUCAUAGCUCCCCCAAAAUCAAUAGAAACUUACAACAAGUGCAAGUUAGCAUAGCCUAGGACUUGCAACAAACACAUGGUUGAGCAACAUGUAAAAGGGGCAACUUAAGAAUAGGCUCAACCAAAAUGAUGUGUGUGAGUCACGGCAAAGCACUUGAGAAGACUAAAAUAAGGAUGAGCAUAAAGCAUCAACAUAGUCUUGGAUAAAUGAGAUACACGGUGCAUGACAUUCCUCCCCACACACACCCAACAAGCAAAUGGGUUCACAAGCACACUAAAAAUGCAAAAUGAAUAACCAACACUUUUGACAACCCAUGGAGAAGAAAGAAAAAGAAAGCCUUAUCAAGACGAGGGAUACCAAUUAAGAUGGCAAAAGCCUCGUAAAGACAAGCAUGAGAAAAAUAAUCUUCACCACAGAGUGCAUCAGGAUGCAACAAGAAAUAAGAUCCGCACUCAAGACAAAAGCUUUCACGGAGCUACCAAAGAAAUAACAUAAGAAAGACAAGGUGGACGUGAAAGAAAGGAUAUCAUCUAGAGAUGUAAUUUCUCUCAGGUGUAUGAGGUUCUAGGUAGACGAAAUCAUGAUGACAUAUGUCUACAAAGAAGGAUGUACACCUGACAUAGUUACAACACGCAGGAACAAGAUAUCCACAAGGAAGUCAUACAUAUACCAAUAAGAUAUUUGCUUGGAAUCAUAGCACAUGGCUAGAUAUGGUCUUAUUGUAUAUAAAUGAAUUCCUACCACACAACCAUCAAAGACAUCACAACUAGGAACAUGAGAUCAUCGUUGAGAUGCUUUGAGAAAGGAAACAAGUACCACAAGAAAGAAUGAAUUACAUGCCAUAAUACAACCUACACAAGGUUGAUGCAAGAAAUGUGUGCAUGAAGUAAAUGAUGAUACUUGUUACCGAGAUACCAUUGGAAGGAUGUAGUAGAUACCAAAUGAGUGUAGAUGGUAGUUAAUUGAUCAUCCUAGCUUGACUCCAAUAAGCACAUGGUGACAACACCUUCCUUGUGAGUGAGCCGAGCAUCCAAUGCAUCUCCAACCGUUCCUAGAAGAACAACACAAACUAAACGGUACCCAAAUUCAUUGGGACCAAAUAGUUAGAAACACCAAUACAUAGGACAAACUCCACAUAAAUAUGUGCAUAUAGAUAUGAAAAUGAAUUUCACGUACAUCUCAUCCAAUUUGAGACUUGGUGGAGUUUCCCUUAUAUAUUGAGUCAAAGAAAGAAAGCAUGCCUAAUAAAAUACAUGAAGUAAAUAUGCAUGCUCAAAACUUUCAAGAACCGAAACCAAAAGAAAAAGAAAUGCCAAGUGAAAAGGAUACCAAAUGGAGAAAUCAUCACUUGGAAGAUAUCAUUAAAGAUACAUCAAGGAAUGAGAUAUCCAUUGAUACACACUAAAUUAAAGAUGUCAAACUCCCAAAGAGAGGAUGGUUCCAAACAAACCAAGCUCUCAACAAAUUUUCAUGAUGGCACAAGUACCAAAAAGAAAACGGCUUCCCUUCCACCAACACACACUUGAUAAGGAUCACAAGAAGAGUGUUCUAAAGAAAAUAGGAUAGCUCCCCCACGAGUUGUGCAUUAUAGAGAAUUUGCAUUUGAAUACAAAAUGCACAAGAUGGGAUCACCACUUUCACUAUAUCUAGAAAACACUAGACAAGAACAAGAAAUUAACAAGAUCCACAAGUGGUAUGGAAGACAACGGGAGUUGACACAACCCUUGGGAAGAGAAAAGGCAAAUAAAAACAAAAACCAAUGUAAAGAUGAUCAAUAGAUUCUACCACACAUAAGUGAAUACUAAUUGUCAAAAGGCAAGAAGUAUUUGGAAAUAAUUCCCGGUGGUAGAUAACAAGGAUAUCCAACAUCAUCUUCACAACAAACACAAGCAAGCUGCAACUUGUAGAGCUAACAUGUCACUUAGGAACAAUAUAAUUACAAUAUCAACUCUAAGUGACAAUAUCUCAAAUGUACACAUUUUCUAGGUGUUAGUCCCCCAUAAUGUGAUACCAAAGAAAACUUAACAAGAGGCAAUAAGAGGAUCCAACGAGAGAUAAUCAAUGGACUUUUAGAAUUUGAAUCUCUCAUGAGAGAUAUACCACCUAGCGACUAGAUAAUCUUGUAAUAUCAAUACUAGAUGGUAUUCCUCAUGUACACACAUUUAUAGGAUUGUGAGGUGCACAAAGCACAUCACUCCCCCAAAAUGGGAUGUUCCAUUAAUCUCUCACACGAGCCAACUAGGAUACAAACAAGAAGCAUAAAGGCUCAACACACGACACACACGUACAUGAUGUUCAACCCAACACACACAUACUUGAUUGCUCAAGAUAAGCAAGUUGGAAGCACAACAUAUACAAACACAUGCAAGGAACAAAACCAAAACAUGCAAGGGGGCAAGUAACUUUCAAUGUAAACAAAUUAAGUACAAGUUACCGCAAGGAGGCACAGUGGAUAUCAGAUAGAAACUUGAUAAUCCAAUUGACUUGGCUUGAGACAAUAAGAAUGAUGAAGUCCCCUUAAUUCUUCAUAAUGUAGCCAAGUCUCCAAUGCCCUCCAACAACACCUAUUGAUCAAGUUUGAGCUUGGUGGUCCCCAACCAAGUUGGGUCCUAAGAGGUUAGUCACAAUAGGCUUGGCUACCUAAAUGGUUAUUUUCUUGACACCACUUUGAGUACCAACAAACUUGGAAAACACAUUGCCAACCUUAUCCUUCCCAAGAGAAUAGAUAUCAUCAAUAAUAAUUGGGUUGGAUAAGUUACCACUAGUGCAUGAAGAAGCAACGUGACCUUUCUCAUGACAUAAGUAGCAACGUCUACUCUUCACUUUCUUCUUACUUGAUUUCUCAACAAGAGAAGCGUUAGCUUGAGUUUUCUUGGUAAGAGGCCUUUCUUCAGCUUGAGGUUGAGCAUGAGAGUGAACUUUUGGCUGCUUCCCUUGUUGCUUGUCACUAAUGGGCUUCUUCUUCAAUGGGCAAGAUCUAAUAUGAUGUCGUUCUACUUUGCACUUGAAGCAAAUAAUCUUGGCCGAAUUCUUGACUUGUUCUUGGCCCUUCUUCUUGUUUCUCUUGGACUUCUUCUUCCUAUUGGAGUUGAAUCCAAAUGAAUCCAAGUCCACCUUUAUCAUUGGGGGAUUUUUGCACACUCAAGAUAUUGUUGAGUGUGGAUUUCCCUUCACGACUCUUUUCCAAGUCUUUCUUCAAAGAAGUGACUUGGGCCUUGAGCUCUUUGAUUUCCUCUACAUGGUUACUCUCAACCCAAGUACUAGAGGAAGUAUAUGCUUCAUCGUUAGAGCAACAAGGCAAGGAAAGCAAUUCAUCACAAGAUGUACCAAUGUUAUGCAUGGAUGAAUUACAAGGACUAGCACAAGGCAAUAUAGCAUUUUGACUAAAAGAAGUGCUAGUAUCCACAUGAGCAUGAGGCUCACUUGAUGUUACCUUAGCAAUCAUGGCCUCAUGAGAUAUCUUUAUCACAUUAUGGGAUACUAGUAGAUCAUCAUGAGAGCUUGAGAGCUUUUCAUGGCUUUCUUCCAAUUUCCCAUAAUUGCUAGAUAGCAACUCAAGUUGAGCCCGUAGCUCAACAUUCUCCUUCAAAAUGGAUGCUUCACAAGAAAUAGAGUUAGUAGCACAAGCAUCAUCAUUGACAACAAGAGGAGAAGGCAACUUGUCAAUCUCUUUCAAAUAGGAAGCUUUAAGUUGAGCAUGAGACUCGGUGAGUUCGAUGAGCUCACUCUUAAUGACCCUAGAGCCAUUUUCGAGGUGCUCAAAGUCCUCAAGGAGUCUAGCAUGAGCAACUUCAAGCUUAGCAUUUUUAGUUUUGAAAUCAUUGGCCACAUCAAUAGCUCUAUCAUGAGAUUCCCUCACUCUAGAUAAUUCUAGAGCAAAAGUCUCCUUAAGAGAUUCGGAGGUGGUUUUUUCAUGUUUAAGAGCUUGAGAUAGCUCCGCGAUCUCAUUUGCGUAAUCUCGCUCAUGAUCUUCCAUUUUCUCAAUGGUGACCUCAUGCUCCUCUAGAUGAGAUUCCAACUCCUCAAUGUAUUUCUUGCCUUCAAUGGCAAUGGACAUUAUUUCCAUGAAGUUGGAACGAGCAAUUUUAUUUUUAUGAAGAGCUUUAAAAAUCAUUUCCCCCUUCGUUUUUAAGGAGGCAACAUUAUCAUUCUCUUCAUCAAGAGAUAUAUUGGGGUUCAAGGUAGGAGAUACGUUUGAAGCCUUAGCCAUGAGGCAAAAAGCAAUAUAUGAUGUAGGAUCCCUUGAGGCACCAUUAAACACCACAUCUUGUUCCAUGGAGUGUUGGGUUUCCUCUACAUUGUUAGCACAACAAUUCGAGGAAAUAGAUGCAUUUUUAUCAUGGCAACAAGACAUAACAAGCAUAUCAUCAUGAGAUUUAGUCAAGCAAUUUCUACAUGAUAUGCAAGGACUAUCAACACAAGCAUGUGAAACAUUUGGAGUGCUCAAAGUGUUAAAGCCCAAAGAAGGAGCAUUGCAAUAAUAUAGUGAUGAAGGAUCAUCCACAAUAAGCAUACUAUCGUCAUUGCAAUGACCAACACUACUCACCAUAUCAUUACCUUGUGGCAAACCACAUGUAGGUUAAGUAGAAGAAGUUGAGAAGACUAUAUGACCGAAGGUGGAAGGAGAACAAUCAUCCCCACAAAUCUUGGACAAACCAUAUUUAUCUCGAAGCUUCGUCCACAACUCAUGAGCAUCCCGGAAUGGCAUGAGUUGGAAAAUAACUACAUUGCUCAAAGCAUCGAAAAGCACAUUAGAAGCUUGAGCAUUGAGAUAAGAGUUUUUUUCAUCCUCUAAAGAUAAUCUUUGGGGAUCCUUUGGAGGAGAAAAACCCAUAUCUACAAUUCGCUCUAAAUUUGGGUCCAUGACCCUAAAGAGAUUAAGCAUGUGAAUUACCCAAACAUCAAAAUUUGUGCCAUUGAAACUAAGAGUGUCAGAGAAUCCUAAUCCCCUAGUCGACAUCUUUACUCUCUAGGCGGUAAAGCCUAUUAAAGAGAGACGAGGCUCUAAUACCAAUUGAAAGAUUGUGGAUGUCCCCUAGAGGGGGGUGAAUAGGCGCUUUAAAAUAAUUACGGUUUAGGCUUGAACAAAUGCGGAAUAAACCUAGCGGUUAAUAUGUCAAGUACAAAACCUACAACAACUAGGCUCACCUAUGUGCACCAACAACUUAUGCUAAGCAAGAUAAACAACUAAGUGAUAGCAAGAUAUAUGAAAAGAAACAAUACGGCUAUCACAAAGUAAAGUGCAUAAGUAAAGGGCUCGGGUAAGAGAUAACCGAGGCACGCGGAGACGAUGAUGUAUCCUGAAGUUCACACCCUUGCGGAUGCUAAUCUCUGUUUGGAGCGGUGUUGAGGCACAAUGCUCCCCAAGAAGCCACUAGGGCCACCGUAAUCUCCUCACGCCCUUGCACAAUGCAAGAUGUUGUGAUUCCACUAAGGGACCCUUGAGGGCGGUCACCAAACCCGUACAAAUGGCAACCCUUGGGGGCGGUCACCAAACCCGUACACUUUGGCAACCCUUGGGGGCGGUCACCGGUACCCGUCAAAUUGCUCGGGGCGAUCUCCACAACCUAAUUGGAGACCCCGACGCUUGCCCGGAGCUUUACACCACAAUGAUUGAGCUCCUAACAACACCAACCGUCUAGGGCGCCAAGGCACCCAAGAGGAACAAGCUCUCGGGUACCCAAACACCCAAGAGUAAUACGCUUCCCAACUCGAAACUUCCACGUAUCACCAUGGAGAACUCAAACUGAUGCACCAAAUGCAAUGGCAAGGGCACACGGAGUGCCCAAGUCCUUCUCUCCCAAAUCCCACCGAAGCAACUAAUGUUAGGGAGGAAAGUGAGAGGAAGAACAAGAAGAAGAACACCAAGAACUCCAAGAUCUAGAUCCAAGGGGUUCCCCUCACACAGAGGAGAAAGUGAUUGGUGGAAAUGUGGAUCUAGAUCUCCUCUCUCUUUUCCCUCAAAAACUAGCAAGAAUCCAUGGAGGGAUUGAGAGUUAGCAAGCUCGAAGAAGGUCAAUGAUGGAGGAAGAACACGAGCUAAAGAGAUAAGGUUCAUUGGGGAAGAAGACCCCCUUUUGUAGGUGGGGAAAAAUCCAACCGUUAUCCUCACAGCCCGCACAGAGCGGUACUACCUCUCCAAGGAGCGGUAUACCGCUCGUCCUCACGGUACUACCGCUAGGGAUCGCGGUACUAGAUCAGGAUAAUUCCUUGGUCGGUUCUGGCCAGACAUGAUGACACCGCCCACGGGUGCCGACUUUCUUCUUGAAGAUGUCGUUCGGGUCCGCCCUACCUUUUCCUAUAUUACUGCAUUUCGGGUGAAAACCCUAACUACGGUGGGCGGUGAUGGUGCUCAAGGUGUCGUGUCCAUCCCAAAGGCGUCGCCAUGGGAGCUUUGUGAUGGUUGACACCGUUUAGGUUUAGUGGCAGGUGCAGAAGGCGUGCCCCUCUUCCUGCAUGGGCAUCUGUUCAUGGGGGAACCUUAGAUCUAGUCUCCCAGAUUGGAUGGUGACAGAGAUUGUGGUGCCAUUUUCCCUCCCAAGGGCGUUGUUUUCGAGUAGAGGUUCACUCGAGGGGCCAAUAGGUGGACCAGUGUUGCAUCUACCGCAUUGAAGAUGGCGGGUCUCAGCGACGUGGAGCAGUGGAUCCUUGGAGUUGGACGUGGUAUGGGACUCACGAAGGCUAGUGGCGUUGUAUCAUGUCGUGGUGACAUCGACGGUAGAGCGUCUGGCAAGGUCUAUGCAAUGAUCCCUCCUGAAGAUGGGACGACUAAAGAUGGUGGCGGCGGACAUAGAGCGCGUGCAUGCGGUGCACGUUGUAGGACACCUAGACUGGUUGGUUGAGGCGGUUAGGACACAUCUUUAUACUUGUAUAGGUGACUUUGUUCACCUCGAAGUUAGGUUUGGGUUGACCUUUGUAUUUAUUUUUUCAAACCCUAUUGAAUCUCUACUCCUAAAGGCGAAGUCUGUAGCAGUGAUGGUCAGUCGGUAAGUCAUUGCUUCAUUCUUUUGCUCCGUCGUUCCACUUCUCCCUUAUUAAGGAAAAAAGGAAACCUCCACCUCUCCUCCGUAAUCUCCUUUGCCAAAUCAAUUGCUUCGUCAAUCAACUAAAGAAAAUCAAUUGACGCGUCAUUCAUCCAACUCCAUCGUCCCCUCCCUUUGGCUUUCUUCUCUUUCCAUCUUUUCCAAUCGACCUCGGCUCCUUCCCGAUAUGUUCCCGAUUCUGAUUUUGCUUUCCAAACCCAACCCCCAUCCGAUCUAGAGUGAUUCUCUCUUCCUCAUUCAUGUGAUCCCUUCGUCCAUCCCUCCUUUCGCCACUCUCUUUUCACCCUCUCUCUUCUCUCGCAUGGGAAUCUCGAUCCAGAAAAAGGCGACGAUGGGAUUCGGGUCAGAUCUUUCGUGAUCAGGCGCUUGGACAUCGGCGGUCAGUGCGGGAUGGUGGUACUCGUCGUUGCCCAUGUUGGAUUCUCUGGAUCUAGAGCCUGGACGGAUCUGCACCAGAGUCGCCCCAUGGUGCUUUCUUCUCCGGAUGGUUACGUUUCUCAAUUUGUGGCCAGAUCCAAAGCAGGAAGUGGUUGGUGGUACAGGUUGGGGAUAGAAGGAAACUUUGGUUGGCUAGCUCGACCCGACAUCAGCGACGGCUUUGGCGUCGUUACCCUCCUUGGAGGCGAAGCUGAGGUCCUCUCCUAUCCACCUCUGACCCACUCCCGGACGAAAGUCCAAAAUCCAUCUUGGAUUGGGCGGCGGCAGCGCCCUUAGCAUCGUGUCCUCCAUGGAGGCGCCAUCUUGGGAGGCUUGGGUGUUCGGGGGAGAGGUACUGUGGGUGGGGGGCUCUGCAUGGCAGUUCCUGCAGCAGCGACGGUGUGGAGGUCGGCAGGUGGAGCGGUGUUGGAUCUACCGCGUCGACGACGACGAGUAUUGGCGGCAUGGUGUAGCUGAUUCUCAACGACAGAUGUGUCUAGAUGGACGUGCGCAUGAGGAGGAAGCUGUCUGGUGUCAUGGUGGCGUUGAUGGCAGAGAGACCUGGCAAGGUCGGUACAUCAGUUCUGCUCUGAGGAUGGACCAAGGGAUGAUAGAGGUGACGGCCCUUGCAACGUCCGGUGCUUACUGGGAGUGUGCCAGACCGGGGUGGGACCCAUUCCAGGUAGUGGCUUGGAUGGGACACCGGCUUUAGAUGUUAGGCUUUGGUGCGAUGUCUAUUUGGUAUUAGGCCCGGACAUUCGGCACACCUUCAUCAAGGGGAUAGGAGUAGCAACAGUGUUGCCAAGAUGGUGGCUUCAGGCUUAUUGAUGUAUCACCUUGUAUGGUGUUUGUGAAUAAUUAAUAAUAUGGAUGCAUUGAUGCAGAGGCCCGGGGUACAUUCUCCUUUUCUAAAAAAAAUAAAAAAAUAGAAAAUUCAUGAGAUCGAAAAAGAAGAAAUCAUGAAAUUGUAGAUACAAAUGUGAAAACAAGAAAACGAUAGGAAAAAGUCCAAAAUAAACCUUGAAGUUUUAGAUGAAAACUAAAUUAAACCCUGAACUUUGAAUCCCGGAAAUUGGCACUCUGAACUUGUAAUCCCGGUCUAUUUUGGACUCUAGACCUGUUUGGCACACUGGGCAGACUACAAUCCCGGCCAGGAUUCCAGCUACUCUCACGAACUAGAUUUUGGGCCGGUCCACUAUAACACAACAAGAAUUCAUGCGGUUUAAAAAAUGUUCGCACAUUUCUAAAAAUGUUCAAAAGUUAAAAAUGUUUCUGUUUCUAUUUUUCCCACAAAUUCAAUUCGUUUUGUGUUAAUAAAAACUGUUUGGAAUUUCAUGUUUCGCACAAAAUCAACUCUAUUAGCAUUUUAGAAAACUGUUCGCAAUUUUAAAAAAUCACAUUUAUCAAAAAAUGUUCAGAAUUCCAAUAUUUUUUCACAUGCUAUGAAAAAUAUUUCAUAUUUUCAAAACUGUGUCACAUUUUUAAAUACUGUUUUUGGAGUUUCAUAAAUAUAUUAUUUAAAAAUUGUUUCGGAUUGUUUGCAGUGGACUCGACUAGGCCAGUGCACCAGACAUGAAGCGAGUUUCUUUCCUUAAAACGCGACGUAAAAAUUCUUUCUUUCUUUUCCUUAACGGGCGACGUAAUAAUUCCAAAACAGAAAAAAUAUGUUGUGGAGUCGAACUUGGGACCUAGUAGCCACUACACCAGAGGACUAUGCUGACAUAGUCAGAGGCCCGAAAUAUUUAAUCAGAAACCAAAGCGUCGAACUUUGAAAACAUUUUUUAGGGGCAAACAAUUAUUGAAAAUGUAUUUAUUUAUGAAAUCUUUGAACAUUUUAUAAAGUGCGAGAACUUUUUGAAAAUUUUGAAUACUUUUAAAAAAAGCAACAACUUUGAAAAAGCAAACACCUUUAUAAACAUUUUUUGAAACCUGAACAAAAUUUUAAAGUGCAAACACUUUUCGAAACAUAAAUUUUUUCUGCAACCUGAACAAAAUUUUAAAGUGCGGACACGUUUUGAUACAUAAACAUUUUCUGAAACCUGGAAAUAUUUUGUGACAUUUAAAAAAUAUCUCAAGUUUUAUAAAAUGUAUGGGCCAAUCCAAAUGUUUAUACAAUGUAUAAUGAUAUUUGUGUGAUUAAAAAAUGUUUUAUACAUUCAAAAAAAUGUAAAAUUUCAAGAAUGAUCACGAGUUCCAAAAAUUGUGCCUGUGACAUUUUUAAAAGAAUGUGUUUACAAUGUAAAAAUAUGUUGCGUGAUGUAAAAAAAUGUGUCAUAACCUUAACAGAAUAUAUGUCGCAUGUCCUUGAAAAAAGUGUAUGCAAAUUUAAAAAUGUUGAACCAUGUAAAAGAAUGUUGUGUAGUUUUAUAAAAUGUUUAUUGUCAUGAAGAAAAUGUAAAACAUGUAGUUGAAAAAAUAUUACCAUGCAUUCAAUUUUUUUUAAAACAUGUAAUUUAUAAAUGUACAUAAUGUAUUUUAAAAUAUCAAAAGUUUAUCAAAAAUAUUUAAUGUGUGCGUUAAAAAUGUACAUUGGAUGCUGAGAAAAAUUAGACACGUGUAAAAAAUGAAAAAGAAAAGAAAAAGGAAAAGGAAGAAACUAAGAAAACCAGAUUAGUGCGCGCGCAAGCAACUCGCUGCUGGGCCGGCCCAAUUCAGCAAAUCCCGACUAUGUUCUGUCAAGGUUUAAAAUAGACCGGAAUUAGAGAGUUUGGUGUGCUGAUUUCAAGGAUUGAGAGUUCGGGAUUUGAUUUAGCUUUCGCCUACAAAUUGAAGGUUUGUUUUGGACUUUUUCCAAAACGACAUCUCAAUGUCUUGGUCAUCACUCAUCACCAUGCAGCCUAGACCAGGUCCGUCAACGUGCACAUGCAUGCACAUGCGCGCGUGUUGGGUCAAGCGAGCGAGCACUCACUGUCACGGUAGGUUGCGGCUGCUCUCCUACACUACAGCUUGCUCAACUUGUAGAAAGCUUUAUAAUGGAUCGGAGAGACAAUAAUGGAACAACCCGCCGCGACGAUGAUUCCGGCCGUCGCGCUGACGGUGUUGCUGCUGCAGCUCUGCCUCUCAGCGGCAGCAGCUCAGGCUACGCCAGGCGCAGGCUCGCGCUGCCCAACCAGCUGCGGCGCUGUGCGCGUGCCGUACCCGUUCGAUCGGCAUCGGCGACGGCUGCUACUGGCCGGGAUUCAACCUCACCUGCGACCGGGCGCGCUCCGGUGAGCCGCGGCUGCUCGUUGGCACCGGCCUCCAGGUCGUGGAGAUCUCCCUGGCCAACUCCACGCUGCGGGUCGUGGACGGCGCGGGCCAGGUCAAGCUCAACUUCACCGGGCCCGGAGGCCUCGACGGCAACGGUGCGUGGGGCGGCCUCGGCACCGCCGGCCCGUACGUGCUGUCGGAGUGGCGCAACCAGUUCGUCGUGACGGGGUGCAACGUGCAGGCCACACUCGUCGGGGACGGCGGCGGCGGCAACGUCAUCAGCGGCUGCUCCUCCUUCUGCUCCAUCAACGACAAGUGGACCGGCGCCGUGACCAACUCGAGCUCCACCGGCGACGGCGCCGCCACGGCCACGUGCUCCGGCAUCGGCUGCUGCGAGACGCCCGUCCCCAUCGGCCGCCCCUCCUACCGCGUGGAGAUCAAGUCGCUGGACUCGAGCAAUGAGCACGCCGACAGGCUGCCCAUCGCGGUGCGCAUCGCCGAGAGAGGGUGGUUCGACGGCGCCUCCGCCGCGCUCCUCAACGACUCGCUGGGGUACUCGCCCUCGCGCGGGCCGGCGGUGCCCGUCGUCCUCGAGUUCGCCGUGGAUUCGAAGCCGGUGGUGCUGCCGGGAGUGGCAACGUCGGGCUGCCCCGUGGACGCGCGGAGGAGCGCGUGCCAGAGCAGCCAUGCCUCCUGCCGCAACGUCUCCGGCAACUACCGCAGCGGCUACGUGUGCCGGUGCCUGGACGGUUACCAGGGCAACCCGUACCUCGCCGGCGGAUGCCAGGACGUCGACGAGUGCACGCUGCCGGGCAUGUGCUUCGGCGAGUGCACCAACACGGCCGGCGGGCACCU